UUUUUUUGGCACUUGUAAAUGGACACCACGGAAAAGACAUGAUUUUGAGAUAUUGCACAAUAAUUUGCAUUUUUGCAUGCUGGAAUGUUCUCAGAAUGGUAUAAUGCUUCGCGUGUCUCUUCUUGCUCUUUUGUAUGCAGGCAAAUACUACAGAUGAAUUACCGGAGCGACUGAUUGGUGUUAUACGUGUUUCUCAUAUAGAACUCAAGUCUGCUAUUGUCCCAAAGUUGGAACCAGAAACAUCAUGACUCUGGCUCCUUUUCACCUCAAUUUUUUUUUUUUAAAUUUAAAAAAGCAUUUGUUUUAGGUAUACAUACAUGUAUUUUGAUCCCAUUUUCAUUGUAAUUUCUCAUUUACUUUGAAUGAAAGUCAUUGUAAUUUCCCAUUUUCUGAUUCUUUAGUUACUAUUUUUGGAAUGAGUGUGAUAGCAUUAAAGUUGGCUACUUGGUUUCUUAAUGUUGUACUCACAAACAAGUAAACUGCUCGAUUCCCAACUGCGACUUAACUGGUUUCUAACUUUUUUAUAUACACUAAUUUUUCUUAUUUAAUAAGUACUACUAUUAAAACUCAACAACGAACAAAGAUACUAAUAAAAAAAUGAUUUUCUUAUGAUGUUGUAGAAAUAAUUAUGGGUUUACUUAUUUCCACAAGAUCUAUAACAAGGUCUUGACUUCACGAAAUUCUUUUAAUUUAAAGCGCGCUGGUCUGAGAAGGUCAGUUUGAUGGAUUUAUUCCUUUUAAUAUUGGUCGAGAUAAUUUUAGUAUACUCAUAAAAAAUCUUACUCUGAUAAUGCAUGCCACAAAUGUUAUCAACAUUGUCUUGUGUUGUUUCCUUCAGCUAAAGAUCCUCUAUUAAAACAGGGUAGAAAUCAAAUGCUUAAAAUACCAAUUGAACAUAAAAUACAGAAGUUUAAACAAAAUCUAAUUGAAUAUUGCAUGAAACAUGAAUCAUCAAUUCAAGUUGUUCCUUAAACGGAGAAUCCAUCAAACAAAUCCAAAGUGUCUUGCAAGUCUGUAGCAUGACCAAAAAAUUGUAAAUAAGUUUAUAACCAAAUUAUUCCGGUACAAGAGAACGAGCAAGAUGAAUCAUGUACAAGAGAUUGGCCUGGUUCGAGAUAGCUUCUUCACUGUACCUGAAGGUUUGGCUCAAUCUCUUCUUUAGAAUUCUGUGCAUUUUGUAAUUACUCGUGUAAGCAGGCAUACAUCACCACCAUAACAAUAAUAAAGCAAGAGUAAUGAUACGGCCACAACCUCUUGUGCACAAACAAUAUUGUAUAAAUUAAUGUGACACAAUAUGAUUGCUUAAACAAAAAUAUCACAUGAUCGUCAUAAUUUAUUUAUUAGUAUUAUAUAUUUUCAGUAAACCAAUCAUAUUAUGCCACAUUAGUUGCUAUAAAAAUAAUUUGCUAGAUAGAACCAACACUUAAUUGAUACUCACCAUUUCAUUGAACAAGUUUUUUAUGGUGUCAUUGAGGUUGCCUUCCCAACAUCCUUCAUCAUCAUAAUCUACUUCGUCAUCAUCUUCUUCUUCGGUGAGUUUCACUUUGUUUAGCUUUGGUGUAUCUAUGACUCCUUGAGAGAAAAUCAUCAUCUUUGGGCAUCGCCUUGCAAUUACUUGUUUCAAGGACGGGAACUUGAGAGUGUAAUUACCCGAACAAAAGCUUGUUAGCCUUGGCAAACAAUCAAGUGUCAAGUACUUCAAUUUCUUGAAAACAAUGCAAUCUUUCGUUUCUUCUCCAACCGGCGAUUGUAUGAUUUCUUCUAUCAUUUUGCAAUCAGCUAUCCUCAUUAUUUUAAGAUUCACUCGACUUUUAGAUGUUGUGAUUGUCAACACAUUUAUCAACCCGUGACACUUCGAUACUUACAGAGACAUCAAAUUUUCUAAAUGCCACAAAGAUGGUACUAUUUUUUGCAACUUAUUACAUUCUGAUAUUUCUAGAGUUUCCAAAUUUGCGAAAACCUUGUUGGAUUCGGCAUUUUCCUUCCAGAGAUGCUGCACUUUGUGUAAUCUAGACAGCUUUAAAAAUCUCAAAUUAGGGAAUUCAACCUGAAAAUAAACAAAAUUAAGUUGUAAAUGAAAAUAUAUAUCCAAUCUCCACAGUCUUCCCCUGCAUAUUUUAUGGACAAGAUUAAUCACGGCAUUUUAUAUUUUAUUCCCAAAUUAGUAUGCUUUGCAGUAGGAUCCCAAAUAUAAGCAUCAGAUGAAUUACCCUUUGAAACACAUGAAUGAAAUCUGAUGCUAAUUCCAAUAUGAAUUAACUAGAAAAACAGAGAUGUAACACGCAUAAUUUAUAUAGUUCAUCACCUCAUGUUACCAGGCAUCUAAUUAAUUUGAGACAUUUUUAUAAUUCAUACUAUAAAGUUAGUUAAUAACUGCGGUUUUAUUGUUAAAUCAUAUAUAAAUUAAGACGACAUGCAAAAAGAUGAGUCAUUAAAUUUGAUUUGAUUCUAAUGAAAUUACAUCUAUGCAAAAGAAAGUGAAGCUAAGAAAAUAAUAAUGAUAAUCACCUUUUCAUCGAAGAGAGGUUGUACUUGAUCGACUAGCAAGAAGUUCUCUUCUAAUGUUAAUUUUUGAGGUUCCUUAUUAUCUACUAUCAUGUGCAGUUCAGAUGGAGAAUUAGAUACGAAUGUUUCCAUAUUAGGGCAAUUCUCAACGGUCAGAUACGACAACCAAGGCAGUUCAAGUAUAUUCCCAGUGAAGUUGCAGAAUCUUUUGAGGUUUGGAAGAUCCAUGAUUGUUAGACCCAAAAGUAAAGGAAAUAGUGGACCAAAAUGUUCUUCCUCGGCAUUUAGCUCUUCCAAAUGAAGAACCUCUUCUAAUGAAUCACAAUUCAUCACUUCUAGAGAGUUCAAAUCAUUCAAGCACCGUAGCAGAUUAGCUGGAAUAGCACUCAACAUAUUUGUGCAGUCAUCCACCACCAACUUAUCUAAAUUGUUGAAGAAGCCGACAGGUAGUGCUGGGCCAUGCCACAACUCUCUCAAAUGUGGAAAGUCUGAGAGUUUCAAAUUUUGCAAGUCACGGAAUCCAACCUACACAACCAAAACACUUGAACUAGAUAUAAACAUUUUAAAAAAAAAAAAUUUGAAAGGCACUAGAUAUAUACAUUAAACUUACAUUUUUUUGUUUUAACUUCUAAAAAAUCUAUAUACAAGGCAGAUGUAUAUAUAAAUGUGCAAGUGCAAGGGAGGUGCCUGAGCAAUUUGGAUGAAUCGAUUAACACAUACUAUUUCUUUGUAACACUUUUGUAUUGUGGAAUUAAGGUUGCCUUCCCGAUAGUUCAAUUCACCCUCUUCCUUUUUAGUCACUUACACUUUGUAAAGCCUUGGUGUGGAUGAGAUUCCCUGAGAAAAAAUCUUCAUGUUCGAACAACCUGUCAUAGAAACUCAUUCCAAUGAUGGGAAUUCAAGGGUGUAAUUCUCCAAACAAAAGCUGGUAAGCCUUGGUAAAUCAUCAAGUUUCAACAGUUUUAAUUCACUGAAAGCAAUACGAUUCUCCUUCACUUCUUCUCCAACAUGUCCUACGAUUUCUUCUAUUUUUUCACAGUAUGAUACAUUAAGAUUCACUAGACUACCACGAAUUCCAACCUUAAAAUAAAGAGUAGCAUUCAACUAGAUUCAAAACAUGUAAAAAUCAUAUAAUUGUUUUAUGAAAAUAACAAACCAUGAAUGUCUACUAGAUACUUUUUUCUUAAAGAAAAAAGGAAAAAAUAAAAAAUAGAAGUCCAGAAAAACAAAGAUAAUGAAAAUGCAUUUACACUAUUUAGUAUUAGGAGUGUAGAAACAAUUUCAGGUAAUUUUUAAAUAUUCUAAAUUCAUUUUUCAUCUUGAUGCUAGUUUUUUAAAAUUUUUAAUUUUCAAAUAUACCUAUUUUUAAAAUAACUAAACUAAAACGUUGUAUUUCCCCUUUUUCUCGAUAUUCAUGCUUUUAAAAAUGGAAACAUUUCUUGGAAAACACUUCCCAACGCAAUCAACAUGAGACUGUUACAGAGUGAAUAUUUGUAGAGUAUUCCCAGAUUUGAGGAAAUCUUUUAAUCAAUGGUCGAUUCAAAAUGAUCGUCGUGAAUUUGUGCUUAAUCAAUGGCAUAAUCAAUUCAUAACUAAACUAGAGAUAUUAACUACAUCUGAAUCUUUUCUUUUUUUCCAAUCGAAAUUUGAAGACCCAAGGAAAAGCGAAAUAUAUAUGAAUUUGUGAACUUAUAAGCUGAGUAACUAAGUAUCUUCUCAUUUAUGAAAAUCUUAUUUAUUAGGAUUUAAGGAAAAAAAAACAAUUAAAUUGAAUCAUAUUAUGCUGUUGAAUCGUGUUUAAAACAAUUAUAUUGUUUUAAUGCAGGUGAGCCUAAAAAUUGGAUUGAAAAUGUAGAAUUUAGAAUGGUGGUUUGAAGUACAAUACUUUUUUUCCCCCUUGAAGUUUGAAGUACAAUACUUGCAAUAAAUAAUUUGUGAAUGACUAUUAUUUGUAAACACAAAAAUAAUUAAAAAAACUUGUUGAAUGCUAUUUGAAAUAAAAAUUCAAAAUGAAUAUAGCAACCUUACCAAUGGAGGAAAAAUAUUCCGUAGAUUAUGACACCCAGAUAUCUCCAAAUUCUUCAAUUUGCUAAAAGACUUUGAAGCAAGCUGGUGGUGCCAUAUUUUUCUCAACUUAUCCAUCGAGCUAAUAUGUAAUACCUCCAAACUUGGAAGUUGCACCUGAAGCUAAAAAUUCAAUGCAAUUAGAGAUGGAUAUUAAUUAAAUUUGAAGACUCACCGAAAAGAGAUAUUAACAAUUGAGAAUAAAAUUAAUUUUAAAAAAAAAAACCUUUUCAUCAAAGAGAUGUUGAGGUUGCAUUUCAGUGUGAAUGACGUCUUCUGGUGAGGUGAAGCUACAUAGUUUUGGAAGACAAUGAAGCCGCAGGGAGUGUAGUUUAGGAAAAACCUUUAAUUCAUCUCUUCCUCCUAACCCCGUGCUGUUGACUACGCCUUCCAUUGACCCGCAAGCACCAAUCUCAAGAUGUUGGAGUCAUGGGCGGAUCCAAUUAAGGCCCAGGAGGGGCUUCAGCCCCCCCUGAACCAUUAAGUUUUCUUUUAAAUGUACCCCAAACACUUUCUGAAAAAGUUAAAUAAAAGAAUUUGGACACAUUUUUCAUAUAUUAAAAGACUUGUCGUUCAAUGGUAAGAGUGCUAUUUAAUGAUUUUAAAACCUUGGUUCAAAUCUCAUUAGCUACAUUAUUUUAUUUUUUUAAAUAUUUUGUGGAAGCUACUUCGAAAAAUAAUAUUUCUAUGCAUUUAAAAUACUACUUCAAAAAAUAAUAUUUUCACGCAUUUAAAAAUAAUAAUUUAUUACUAUUAUUAUUUAGAAUUUAAAAAAAUAAUAAAAUUUGAGUUUAUAAGACUUAAAAUGUAUUCAAGUGAACAUUAAAAAAAUCUAAGUUAAAUAAAAUUUUUUGAACUAAGCCCCCCCUCAUUUUAAUUUCUGGGUCCGCCACUAGUUGGAGUUGCUCAAGACUAUUAACCAUAGAAUAUGAAAACAGAUACUUCAGACGAUCACAACUCCACACGUUCACUUUUGUUAAAUUUUGACAACAAUACAUUCCCUGAAAUUGAUCGGGCCAUAAUUUUUCGAUGUUUCUUAAACCGUCGAGUUUCAAUUCCUCCAAGCGUGGAAAAGUAACCUGCAAAGCAAAACCGUACGUUUUUGUUCCUUCAACUACAACUUUUAAUAUAAUAUUCUUUUGAUGAUUGAAGAUCAAUCGUGAUAAUAUAUUAAUUAAUUAAUUAUUAAACAGAAAAUUAUCACCUUGUGAACAGGAUCAUCCUCUGCAAUGAUUCUGUGAAUCCCUGAGUAGUUGUUGGUUUCUCCAUGUUAGGCCCUAUAAAUGAGCAAAAACAAUAUAUAAUUAAUCUCUGUUGUUUUUUUUACAGAAAAAAAAAAAAGAAUGAGCCAAUGUCAAUAAUCCUACCAAUAAUUAAUUUCAACACUUACCAAUAAUCAUUUUCAAUUCCCGGCAAUUUUUCACUUCUACCUUUUGAAGCUGCAAUAGAUUUUUGGCCAUGGAGAAUGAGAAGAGAUACUUCAAUUUUUGACAGAACAAUACAUUUAUAAUCCUCAAGUUGCUGAAAGAUUGAUCUUCUCUGAGUUGGCUGUAGCAUAUGGCCUCCAAAUUGAUCAAUUCAUAGAGAGUCAGUGACUCCAGCAAGGGGAAGACUUUGCAACGAACCCCUCCAACUGAAACGACAAUAUGUAAAAUCUCAGAACAAGAUCUUACAUAAAGAUGCUUCAAUCGUGGAAAACCUUCCCUAUGGUCUAAUUCAUGAACAUCAUUCAGAACACCCUCCAGUUUGUCUAGAUAGAGAUCUUCAGUUCUCUUCAGCAACAAUUUCGUCCCAUAUUUCUCCAAAAGAAUGCUAACUCUUCCUAGCCCCGCGAGCAUCAUCGAUCUUGAUGUUCCAAAUUUGACAGGCCAUAGGCCCAGUCCUUGUCCUAUACGUAUCCUAUAUCUUUGCAAUUCCACAGAGACCAAAUUUCGCGGCAGAAUUUCGGCAUCCGGAACUUUUAUCUCUAAAGUAGUUAGCUUGGUCAACCCCUUUAACUCGACAAGACUGGCAUUACUUCCUCCUUCAACCUUCUCCCACCUUUUGAAACCAUCACCCAUAUACAAUUCUUCUAAUCGAGAUAAUUUUGAUAUGACAUUCGGUGCUAUCACCUUAAGCCUCCGACAAUUGCUCAAAUCUAGCAACCUUAACCGCGUCAAUUGUCCAAUUUCAAGUGGUAACUGGUCGAUAUUGGAACGUGCAAGGCUGAGAAUCUCUAAUUUCUUUAGCUCUCCAACUAUUGCUAUAUCUUUUAGUCUGCAACCAUCUAAACACAAUGUUUGAAGGUUAAUGAGGUGACCAAGUGAUGACGGUAAUGAAGAGAAGUGAAUUCCAGUAAAAUUCAAAACUUUGAGUCCUUCCGUCCCUUUAAAUAAGUGGUCUGAAACUUGCAUAGAGACAUCACCCUCCGUAUGCAACAAAAAUAACUCAAGACGGGGACAUUGCAACCUUUCAAGAAGCACUUGAAUACCUCUAUAAGGUAAAGAAAUAGCAAUUGGAUCUUCCUGUAUUGUCUCUUCCAUCUUUUUCUCCAAGCCGGCAACAUUUGGAAUAUUAAACAUGAGCAGCUCUUCUGCAAUUGAUACAGCAACUACACGGAUGACGUCAUGCAUUUUAACUUCAUCUUCAGCAUCACCGUCCAACAAUAAGCAUGAAAAUUUGAGUUUGUCGAUCAACGUAUGCACUCUGCUCCUUGCUUCUUCCAGUGUGUAAACGUUUUUAAAAUAGCCCAUACCCAUACCAUAUGUCAGUAAGUAAGGAACUGGUAUAGCAUGAUCUUCACUACGUAGACCACAAAGAAGGAACAGAGAUUUUGCCUCCUCACUUCCCAAGGAGUCAUAACUCAAUUUUAUGGAGGUGUACACAUUUGCUUGCAUGCCAUGAAUUUCUCCUAGAUUGGAACUUCUUAGCUGAUUCAAUGCAUCUUUCCAAAAGUCAAGCUCCUUAGUUUUCAGAGCAUUUGCAACUGUACUCAGUGCAACAGGCAAACCUCCGCAUCUUUCAACGAUCUCAUCUGCAAUCAGUUGAAAAGCAGAUAUUUUUGUUGGAUCACCCACUAUCUUCUCAAACAACUGCAAAGCUUCUUUUCUUGAUAAAGAAUCGAUCGAGAAAUUUUUCUGAGAAUUCAUAUCAAUGCACAAUAAAUCUCGACUUCUAGACGUUAGUGUUGAUGCGAGAUUUUGGUUCUCUGCUCGACCAUGACCAAGACCUGUCCUCAACUAACUCGACCACGAUCAGGAUCUCUCCUUGUAAGACUUCUUCUCUACAGACUCCUGCGUACACAGAAACAAAUCAGAGUAUGUCGGGUGUUUUCCGGCGUAAACCCUCCGACGUUCAAGUCAGAAAUGAAGGUUUCGAGUCCCUGGGAAAGUUAGCCACUAAUCUUAUGGCUUAUUUUCAGUAUCAAUUAUUCAGAGCUCUCUUUAUCUCAGUUUCAAUGUCAAAAAAUCUAACCAUUUUACCUUCGUUGGCUACCUUUUUAUAGGCUCCCUCUGAAUCUCGGCCACGACCAUUACCUCCCCCAACUCUCGGACGUGGGCGCUCCGUUAUCGUAGUCGUGGCUGGAUGGACUUCGUGCCAUGAUUCUCGGGUAGAAGGGCACGUCCUGCCAAUCGUCAUUGAUCGGGUCUCCUCACCUCGACCUCUAGCAGGAAUCGUUUUAUGCUCCUGGCAGGAGGCCGACUCCCGCUAUGGCCCCUUGGAGGGUGCAUUCGUGUACGAGCAGAACAAUCAUGCUCGUAUUCCCCUGCUACCAUACCUCUACGGAAUAUACCUGUUCGCGGCAUCCUGCUACCAGAUACCUGCUCAUCAUGGCUGGUCUUGUCGAGGUAUUACCCCCAAACAUCGGUCCCCUAGUUUCUGGUGUUGGGUAAUGCAGUGGACCAACAGUAGAAACUCAACAGUUCUGGCUUGCGCGGGAUAGGAAGAGGCUUUGAGGAGUUGUGUCGCAUUAAAUUACGGGCGAGGUGAUGUGGCAAAGAUCUAUCCUUCCAUUUGAAUUUCAAACUGGUGGCUAUGAGACCUUUGGAACUCGUGCCCUUAAAUGCUGACAGCCCGAGGGUUUAUUCUUCAUUAAUGAACCCAAAAUCCCGAAGAAGGAAUCCAUCUCUCAGCCCCCUUCUACCUCUCCGGUGACUGAAUAAUUGUUAGAGUGCAAUUUAUGCACUAGUUUUGCAUUGUUUACUUCUCUUAAUAUCGAUGUUUUGCACUUAAUAAUAAUGAUUUACUUGUGUUUUACUUUUGUAGGUGCAAUUCUAUUGAUUUGUGAUAAAAUUGAGGUAUACGAUGAUGUUUAAAGAUGAUUGUUCUCUUGGAGAAAUUUAGAGCGUCAGAAGAACUUUAUUGAUAAGGCGUGGGCGCGUGCUGUCAACUACGAACCUGCAGUUUUUAGUUUAACGUGUUUUGUAUUUUUAGUUAUUUUUGUAAUUACGAAUUUAAUAUUUUAGAUAUUAGUAUUUUAUUUUAAAUAGAAUUCUAGAGGAGAAGAGAGAGAGAGUAUUUAAGGGAGGAAUCUAUUGUGAAAAAUGGGGAUUUGGAUGGGAGAAAAAGAAAGAAACCCUAGAUCUAAUUUUUCUCUUCUCUCUAUGAAGAACUAAACCUAUUUUUCUGGUUGAAAGAUAAUGAAGCUUUGAUUCAUCACUACUGUGAAAUCUUUCUUAUGCUUUAAUUGUUUUAUUACUUUUUGGGUAUUUGUUUAUUCUCUGAAUUAGUUUCAUGAUUAUGUUUGUUAAUUAGAUAAUUGGCCACUAUUUAAUUAUCAACUUAAUCUAUUGUCAAUUAAAAGAUUCAUCGUAUGAAGAAUUUAAUGUUUGUGACAAAUAACAUAGCAGAGAGUUGUGUUGUGAGAAUAAAUAAUCUAAUUUAAAUGAAUCAUCAUAUGUGUUGAUUAGGAUUUGGGUCUCUCUAGUUUUUCAGGCUGUCAAUUGAUUAAAUCCUAUGAUCGUAUCUAGGGUUGUCCAUUGAUUAGGGAAAUAUCCAACGGUCGUACCUUGGUUAUCGACUAAUUAAGGAGAGAUUGGCUAUUAGAGGGUCUCAAUAGCUAUAACCGGUCUAUUCAUAAGUAAUAAUAAUCUAUAUUUGAAUUAAUAAUCAGUAGUCGAAUCAAGCUGAGUUAAUUCCUUCAACCAGAGCUUUCUCCAAUUUGAAUUACAACUUUAAUUUGCAUUCUUGUUAUUUUAAUUUGAUUUUUAUUAUUGUCAACAAUUCCCCCAUUUUACGUUUUACGUUUCAAAAGGAUUUAAAUAAUUACCGAUCUCUGUGGACACGACCCUGCUCAAUCACUAUACACAAUUUAUUUAGAGUAGGAAUUUAUUUUUGUUGGCUUCGACACCCACCAAAUUUUGGCGCCGUUGCCGAGGAUUGGUGUCAUUUAUUUAAUCCUUUUUACGUUUUACUUGGUGUAUGGUUCGUUCUUCUCGUACAGGUACACUUUCGUUUGAUCCUGAAAUUGAGAAGACAGCUCGCCAGCUGAGACAGCAGACGAAGCGAGCUAAGCAACGAUCAUCGUCGCCUUUGCUUUCUGAAAUAGAUACAGUACCUGAUUUAGUUGAAUCAUCUAGCGAUUCAGAAGAACAAGUGAUGGAUAGACCUGCACCUGUAGAAAGAACUCUUAGAGAGUUAGCUGAACCAUACUUGAAUCAACAACCACUCUGCAUUCAAUAUGUAGAUUUGGAGGUAAAUUUUGAAUUAAAGUCUGGUCUUAUUCAUUUAUUACCCAAGUUUCAUGGUUUUGCAGGUGAAGAUCCUCAUAAACAUCUUAUGGAGUUUCAUGUUGUAUGCUCAAGUAUGAGGCCACAAGGCAUGACUAAAGAGCAGAUUAAGCUGCUUUUCCGUUCUCUGUAGAUGGGCUAGCUAAAGAUUGGUUAUACUACUUGCCUCCUGGAUCGAUUACAACGUGGAAUGGUUUGAAGAAGCAGUUCCUUGAGAAAUACUUUCCUGCUUCAAGAGCUGCCAACAUCAGAAAAGACAUUUGUGGGAUCAGACAACUACCUGGGGAGACUUUGUAUGAGUAUUGGGAGCGAUUCAAACAAUUGUGUGCCAGCUGUCCUCAACAUCAGAUUUCUGAUCAACUUCUUAUUCAAUAUUUUUACGAAGGACUGUCAUUGAUGGAUAGGAGUAUGAUAGAUGCUGCUAGUGGAGGUGUGUUGGUGAACAAAACCCUUACUCAAGCAAGGGAGUUGAUCUCAAAUAUGGCUGCCAAUGCACAACAAUUUGGCAGCAGACAAGAUGCCACUUCAAGAACGGUGAAUGAGGUAAAUAUUUCUUCUGUUGAGCAACGUUUAGAUAAACUUACUUCUCUUGUGGAAAAGUUUGUUGUAGGUAAUGUGCAACAGGUGAAGACUUGUGGCAUUUGUUACAAUAUGGGUCAUUCAACUGAUAUGUGUCCUACACUUCAAGAAGAACCCGUUGAACAAGCCAAUGCAGUUGGAGGAUUUCCAGGCAUGCCUCAGAGGAGGUAUGAUCCUUAUGCACAAACAUACAAUCCGGGAUGGAAGGAUCAUCCCAACUUCAGCUAUGGAGUUAGGCAAUCAGGAUUCCCACAACAGUAUCCACCAAGACAACCAGCACCUCCACAGUCAAACUCCAAGUCAGGUAUAUCUCUUGAAGAAAUUGUUAAAUCACUUGCGACUAACACUCAACAAUUUCAACAGGCAACUACAACAAGCAUUCAGAACUUGGAGAACCAAAUUAGUCAAUUGGCGACUACAGUGAGCCGUCUGGAGUCUCAAGUAUUAGAGAGAUUGCCUUCACAAUCUGAGGUGAAUCCAAAGCAAAACGUUAGUGCUGUCAUCCUUAGAAGUGGGAAGGAGUUGCAAGAGCCUAGUAAGAAAGUGACAAAGCAUGUAGAAGAUGAGCUUGAGAAGAAUGAAUUGAUGCUUAAAUCUCAAGAUGCGGAACCCACCAGAGCGAAACCCCUACCUAUUGUGAUACCUCCUCCUUUUCCAAGCCGGUUUGCAAAAUCUAAGAAGGAGGAACAAAAGAAAGACAUCCUUGAGACAUUUCGCAAGGUUGAGGUAAAUAUUCCUUUAUUAGAUGCUAUAAAACAAAUACCUCGAUAUGCUAAAGUCCUUAAGGAAUUGUGCACCUCCAAGAGAAAAUUAAGAGGAGAUGAAAAAGUUCACAUGGGGGAGAAUGUUUCAGCAGUUCUCCAAAAGAAACUACUUCCUAAGUGCAAGGAUCCAGGUAUGUUUACUAUCCCUUGUAAAAUUGGUAGUGUUAGAAUUGAAAAGGCUUUGUUAGAUCUAGGAGCUUCUAUUAAUGUCAUGCCUCGUUCCAUUUAUUCAUCUUUGAAUGUUGGUCCAUUAAAAGAAACUGGCGUGAUAAUUCAACUAGCUGAUAGGUCUAAUGCAUAUCCUGAUGGAGUAUUAGAAGAUGUUUUAGUACAAGUUAAUGAGUUGGUUUUUCAUGCUGAUUUUUAUGUACUUGAUAUGGAGAGGAUAACUCCUUUAAUUCUGUCCCAAUUUUGCUAGGAAGACCUUUUCUUAAUACUGCUAGGAUUAAAAUGGAUGUACAUAAAGGGACUCUCAGUAUGGAGUUUGAUGGAGAGGUUAUAGAAUUCAAUAUGAAUGAUGCCAUGAAAUAUCCUAGUGAGGAACAUUCGGUAUUUUCUGUGGAUGUUAUUAACCCUAUAGUGCAAGAAGUUUUUUACAAGGAAAAGACGAAGACAUUUUAUGAUAGAAUGAUUUUGAGAAAGGAGUUCUCUGUUGGUCAAAAAGUUCUUCUUUUUCAUUCUAAGCUUAAACUUUUUCCGGAUAAAUUAUGUUCUUGCUGGGUUGGACCUUUUAUUGUUACUAAUAUUUUUCCUCAUGGUGCAGUAGAGAUUCGGAGUCCGACCUCUGACAAAGUUUUUAAGGUUAAUGGUCAUCGCUUAAAACCUUUUUAUGAAGGUUUUUUGGUGAAUAUUGUGGAGGAUGUGGCUCUCGAGAGUCCCAAUUAUGGAGAUUGAUGCAUAAAUGUGUCUAUCCAAAGACAUAAAACAAAGGCGCUUUUUAGGAGGCAACCCAAAGGAUUUAUUUAUUUUGCUUUUUGUUAUAUCUUUUGUUUUUAAUUUUGAUUUAAAUAUUUUUUUUAAAUAAUGUGUUUGCUUAUUUUGGCCAGAAGAAAAUUAUCGAUAAGGCGUGCCCACAUCUUAACUAAUAAGUACUUCUGUGAUUUUUAAAGUAAAAUAGUUUUAAGGCGUGCCCACGUGCUUAUUAGAAAAGUACUUCUGAAAUUUUUAGUGUCUCAAAGUGAUUCAUCACUAAAAAAAAAAAAACUUUUUAUUUAUUUAUUUAUUUAUUUUUUUCCUUCUUUUCUUUCUUUUAUAUAUAUAUAUAUAUAUAUAUAUAUAUAUAUAUAUAUAUAUUAUUUAUUUAUUUAUUAAAAAAAAAUCACUGUUAACAAAUCCCUAAUUCAAAAAAAAAAAAUUCACUGUUGAUUAUCUUUUUCUCCCGCAGCAACCAGCAGCCGCAGCCUACGCAGCAGCAGCAACCGUACGAAAUCAGUAGCAACCAUACGCACAGCACAUCCCACGCAGCAGCAGCAGCCGCGCGCCCCGCCACCAGCGCGCAACACAGCAGUGCGUAGAUCCAGCCCCGCCACGCAGCACAAACCAACAGCGCGAACUAGCUCUCGCGCGCAACACAGCCACGCAGCACCAGCAGUCGCGCGUAACGCAACGCAGCACCAGCAUCCCACGUCCAGCGAGUAGCAGCCACAGCCACGCAGACAGCAUCCCGCGCGGAACACAGCAGUGCGCAAGCAGCCCCAAGCCGCGCAGCAAGCUCCAACCGAGCAACAACGCAACGCAACCAGCCUACGCACUGUAUUCCAGCCAGGUAAAUCGAAAUCCAUGAGUGCAAUUAUUGUAACAAUGCCGAAGAGGAAAGAAUAUACUUCCAAGUCAUCGAAAAAGAUACCCGUCGCAAAGAAAUCUAAGAUUUCCGCUCCCACUACGGUUCCAUGGAACAAAAUUUCAUAUUCACGCCAAGCCGUGAGACAAAGAUCGAAGCAUGAAAAAGGCAUGAGUAUUUUACCACUUGCGGAAUCCAAUUUCGGAGGGUGCCUCGGAUUUGCGACUCAACAAGAGAAAGAGAGGUGUGGUCGAAUUCAAGGAGGGGAGAUUUCAGUUUACUGAACCAGGACCCACUCAACCUCCAAAGAAGCUUUAUGCUAGGAGUGGUGCUACCUCUGAUGACGAGUUUGACGACGACACUGCUGCCCCACCAACUAUUCCUUCUACAUCCGCACCACCUUUGAGUAUUCAGUUAGAGAAAAUGGAGCACAAGCUGAACAAGAUGGAGCAGAAUUUGGCCGCAUACUUCGAGAGUGUGGGAUUUACCCCACCAUUUCCGCCAAGCCCAUAGACGUUAUGUGGAUCAAAGCUCACAAUUCAGGGAAGUUUCUUUUUGCCUUUAAUCUUUUAUCCUUACGCUUUAAUUUUGUUGCGAGCUUUGAUUAUCUUACAUUGGGGACAAUGUAAGUUCUUCGUGUGGAGGAGGGAUUUUUGCAUUAUUGAUGCCUGAAAUUAUUAUUUUCACUCUACUCAUCCUUAAAUGAUUUUGGAGUUAGUAUGCUUCAUAUAUUAUUAUUUUUCUUUUCUUUUCCUUCUCACUACUUUUUUCCCAUCUAUCUCAAAUUAUUCAUGUCUAUUUUUAUUUUACCAUACUCUUUCAUCACUCACAUUUUAUCUUUCACUUUUCAUAUUACUACAUACAUCUUUCUCACUUCUUAUCAUUUUUACCUUUUCUUUUAUAUAUCACUCAUACCUUCUUCUCAUUCUACACCACUAUUGAUGGUUGAUUCAUUUGAAGAGUGUACAUGAUUUAAUGGCAAAUUUACUAACUUUGUGAGGAUUUGAGCUUAUGAGCAACCACUUUGCUCUAAUAUUUUUGUUAUAUGAAUAUCAAUCUUAGUUUGUUUAUUCUAGAACUUGCUUUGUUAUGCAUGUUGAAGCCGCAUUACGGGAUUUUAUGCAUUAAAAUGAUAAGGGCAAACCCUUUUCCAUUUUUCUAUUCUCGUAUUUUUUUUUCUCUACCCGAAGACCUUUAUUUGCUAUCUUUGUUUGAGCCUUAACCAUUACCCAUCUAAUUUUCUCCGUCUACUUAACCAUUUUUCUUCUUUUUGAGCCUCAAUUUAAGGAGAUUUUUGGACUCAUUGUGUGGAUAUAUUUUGUUACUUUUUCUACCUUGUAAUAAAGUUUCUCAAUUAGAUCAACAAGCAUUAUGCUUGAAUUAAAUUGUGCAAGGUUCGUUUCUUUUGUUUGAUUAAAAAAAAAAACAAACAAACAAAAAAAAAGAAAAAAAACAACAAAAAAAAGAAAAAAGAAUAAUCGAAAAAAAAGAGGAAAAAAAUGUUUACAUUCUUGGUGACUUGAGUAGAAAUAAGCAUUUUGAUAUCAUAAGUUCAUUUAAUGAGUUCAUUCUUCUCAUUUUGAUCUCUUUUUCUUUCGUAAACCUUUCUUUUUCAUUCAACCUAUUUAACCCCAUUACAACCGUUUUAAGACCCUUAGAUUUUUACAUUUUAUUCAUGUUUUGUGGAUUGAGAUGUGAUAUAUGAGCAAGAUGGUAAUAGCAUUCUUUGAUUUGAUUUGAGUGAAUAAAUGACACCCUAAACACUUUGAGUGCAUGGAGUGAAGUUAUUGAGAGGGCUAUUAAAUCUUGUUGCACUUGAAUUUUGAAUGGAUCUUCUUGGUGGUUGAAUGUUCUUAUUCUAUCUUAUGAGAUUUUAUGCUUUAAAAUCCUUGCCUCUCGAAUGUCGAUCAACUUAAUUUCUUGAGGUAUACUUGCUUAAAUUUGUUUUUGGAUGAGUUGAGAUGAGAAUUGAGUGGAGAUUUGGGAUUAAUCUUGAGUUAUAUGCUUGAGGACAAGCAUCAUCUUGGUGUGGGGGAAUUUGUUAGAGUGCAAUUUAUGCACUAGUUUUGCAUUGUUUACUUCUCUUAAUAUCGAUGUUUUGCACUUAAUAAUAAUGAUUUACUUGUGUUUUACUUUUGUAGGUGCAAUUCUAUUGAUUUUUGAUAAAAUUGAGGUAUAAGAUGAUGUUUAAAUAUGAUUGUUCUCUUGGAGAAAUUUAGAGCGUCAUAAGAACUUUAUUGAUAAGGCGUGGGCGCGUGCUGUCAACUACGAACCUGCAGUUUUUAGUUUAACGUGUUUUGUAUUUUUAGUUAUUUUUGUAAUUACGAAUUUAAUAUUUUAGAUAUUAGUAUUUUAUUUUAAAUAGAAUUCUAGAGGAGAAGAGAGAGAGAGUAUUUAAGGGAGGAAUCUAUUGUGAAAAAGGGGGAUUUGGAUGGGAGAAAAAGAAAGAAACCCUAGAUCUAAUUUUUCUUUUCUCUCUAUGAAGAACUAAACCUAUUUUUCUGGUUGAAGGAUAAUGAAGCUUUGAUUCAUCACUACUGUGAGAUCUUUCUUAUGCUUUAAUUGUUUUUUUACUUUUUGGGUAUUUGUUUAUUCUCUGAAUUAGUUUCAUGAUUAUGUUUGUUAAUUAGGUAAUUGGCCACUAUUUAAUUAUCAACUUAAUCUAUUGUCAAUUAAAAGAUUCAUCGUAUGAAGAAUUUAAUGUUUGUGACAAAUAACAUAGCAGAGAGUUGUGUUGUGAGAAUAAACAAUCUAAUUUAAAUGAAUCAUCAUAUGUGUUGAUUAGGAUUUGGGUCUCUCUAGUUUUUCAGGCUGUCAAUUGAUUAAAUCAUAUGAUCGUAUCUAGGGUUGUCUAUUGAUUAGGGAAAUAUCCAACAGUCGUACCUUGGUUAUCGACUAGUUAAGGAGAGAUUGGCUAUUAGAGGGUCUCAAUAGCUAUAACCGGUCCAUUCAUAAGUAAUAAUAAUCUAUAUUUGAAUCAAUGAUCAGUAGUCGAAUCAAGCUGAGUUAAUUCCUUCAACCAGAGCUUUCUCCAAUUUGAAUUACAACUUUAAUUUGCAUUCUUGUUAUUUUAAUUUGAUUUUUAUUAUUGUCAACAAUUCCCCCAUUUUACGUUUUACGUUUCUAAAGGAUUUAAAUAAUUACCGAUCUCUGUGGACACGACCCUGCUCAAUCACUAUACACAAUUUAUUUAGAGUAGGAAUUUAUUUUUGUUGGCUUCGACACCCACUAAUAAUUUCUUUCCCUCGGCGUAAAAGCUAUCGUCCCUGUCUCUAUUCCGCUGGGCCACAACUGCAGGUAUUAUCUCUAUUUCCUCGGUCUUGGAUUGUUAUAGAAAAUUUCUUUUUUCUUUGUUUUGAUUGGGUAGUGUUUGGUGAUAUUGUUCUGGUCAUAGUUUAGGAGAUGUCAAAAGGCAAAGAGGAGAUAGUUGAGAUUGAUGACGAUGAGUUAGACUUCUUACCUAGUCUGCUUGCCGAUCCUGCUUUUAACCCCGGGCUCCCCUUAAAACCCAUUAGAUCCAGUGUUGGGACUAGUGCUAGGAGGAUGUCUCCCCAAACAACCUCAUCAACCAACAAUAGCGGCGACGAGGGAUCUUCUGGUUCGGAAGACACCUUGAGUGAGGACCAGGGAGAAGAUGCUGGUGAAAUGUCCCCAUCAGGAAUGUCGCGACCAGAUAGAAGGAGCAGAAUAGGAGGUAGGGCUCUAUCGGAGCAUUAUGCUAUUGACUUUAUCACGUGCACGACCACAGUAGAUGAGCUUGAUAACCUCCGGGCUAGGUAUGGCAUUCCUGGUGAUAUACCCCUUAGGAUCCCAGGAAAAAAUAAUACUCCUAGUCGGCCUCCUAGGGGAUAUGUUACUCUGCUUUUAGAAAGUUUUAAGCUUGGGAUGAGGUGCCCUCUCCAACCCUAUUUUGCCCGAAUACUAAGUGGAUUGAAUCUAGCUCCUGGUCAACUGAACCCCAACGGGUGGAGGAUGCUUUCUGGUCUGCUUAUAUUGUGGGACAGAUGCUGCCAGAGCGAGCCCACAGUUGACGAGGUAAAGCACCUGUACCAGCUAAAGAGCAGUCCCAAAGACGCCGGCUGGUACUACUUCUAGUCAAGUACCAAGGCCAGGAAACCCAUAAUUGAUCCUUUAACUGGUGGUGGUGGGAAUUGGAAGAAAAAGUUCUUUUUUGUUGGGGGUCCCUGGGGUCAAGUUGCACAGAUUGACGGGAAGAACUAUCGCGUCCCACCCGGUUUCGUGGUCUUAGGUUGCUUGCUCGCUUUAGAUGUCUUGUACCCCUAGCUGUUCUAAUUUUAUUGAUUUAUUUCUAACCCAAUAUUUGCUCGUACUGCAAGUUCUUGGGGUGUACAUUACCCGCUCCAACCUGAAUCGCUCAAGGAGGUCGAGGCUGUGUUAGUCAACUCAUGCUCGGGUCGGGAGUUACUAUCUACUUACAACUUCUUUGAAUCUCGCCUGGUGCAUACCGAUCGUAAAAUGGAGGAUGCUGUGAUCAGGGCUUUGACUUGGAAGCGUCCUCGACCUCAUACUGCUAAGCACGACCAGAAUAAGGGUGCUCCACCUGCGAAACGGGUGAAUAUUGUGGAGCAGGUCCCCCUUUGAGGACUCUACCACCUCCUCCUGCCAAAGUUGGAGAAACUAGUGGAGCAGUUACUGACCCCACUUCCUCUUCUCCACCAUCUGGGUCAAAACCUCAUUUUUCCGACAAUUGAGCAAAGCAUCUAGUCCCCUAUAUGAGCGAGUUCUCUAGGCUACCUGGAGGACUUUAACGGCAGCACUCUAAGCGAGCUGGUGGGGGCUAUGCAGUAUAGUGCUUUUCACCUCGGAUGCAUGGCCACCUACUAUAAGGCGAAGGUUGGCCACUAUGAACGGAAGAUGAAGGAGGACAUUCAAUCGGCAAAAACCAAAGUUGAUGCUGCCGAGAGGAAAGCAGAAGACUUGAAUCUCGAGAAUCUGAAGUUGAUAGAGCGAGAAUCUCUCGUUCAAGCAAAGGCCAUUACUCUUGAGGAUGAGCUGACUAAGCUCAAGGAGGAUCUGCAGAGGCAGAAGGCCACCUACGAGGACCAGCUCGAAUCUCUCAAGAAUUCCCACCAGGUUUAGGUCGAGAACCUAGAGAAGGAGGCUGACAACCAAUAUGACCAGGGGCUUCGGCAUUCUUAUCGCUGCAUCAUGGCUGUCCUUGGGAAGCAGCGUCCUGAUCUGAAGAUGGACGACCUUGCUGCUGGUGUUGCUCAAUAUAUGGACGAGGAGGCAGCCAAAGAAGAUGUUGAAGAGUUGGAGCCAAAUGCCACCGAGGAGGGAGCCUCUCCUCCUCGUCCAGUCCCUACUGAUAUUGCUAAAGCGAGUACCCCUCCUGGAGCAACAGGUGACACUCCCCCUGCUCUUGAGAUGGAGCAACCAGUAGAGGGAAACCAGCUUACUGACCCUCCGUCCUCUUAAGCAUGUUUUGUGUUGUAGUUGCUCUUUCUUGUUUUUGAACAUUGUACGUUAGGAUUAAUAGCUUCGCAAACUAUUGGCAGUUUAAUAAGAAUGUUCUUACUUGCCUUCUGGUACUGUGGUUGCAAAUUUUUUUUUUUUUUUUAGAGUCUGCUCGCCUUGACUUGGCCGAGCAGAUCCUGACACACUUGGCUUUUGGUCUCGCCAUAAAACAGGCUUCGAGACUUGGCCUUUGCAUGGCUUAGAAAUUUUUCAAUGCUUGGGAUUCUGCUUACCUUCGCUUGGUCGAGCAGAUCCUGGCACGCUUGGCUUCUAGUCUCGCCAUAAAACAGGCUUUGAGACUUAGCCUUUGCAUGCCUUAGAAAUUUGUUCAACGCUUGGGAGUCUGCUCGUCUUCACUUGGUCGAGCAGAUUUUGGCACACUUGGCUUUUGGUCUCGCCAUAAAACAGGCUUCGAGACUUAGCCUUUGCAUGCCUUAGAAAUUUUUCAAUGCUUGGGAUUCUGCUCGCCUUCGCUUGGUCGAGCAGAUCCUAGCACGCUUGGCUUCUGGUCUCUCCAUAAAACAGGCUUUAAGACUUAGCCUUUGCAUGCCUUAGAAAUUUUUCAAUGCUUGGGAUUCUGCUCGCCUUCACUUGGUCGAGCAGAUUCUGGCACGCUUGGCUUCUGGUCUCGCCAUAAAACAGGCUUCGAGACUUAGCCUUUGCAUGCCUUAGAAACUUCUCAUAACAUUACAGCUGACUGAAAUUCCUCAUCGAUUCAUUAAUUGCUGAAUUCGGCUUACACGAAAUUGCUUUAACAUAGAAUAAAUAACAACGAGCGCGAAUAGAAAUAACUUUAAAACAUGAACAAGUCUUACUGGAAAUAUUUCCUGAGGUGCGCUGCGUUCCAUGGGCGUUUCACCUCGUGGCCAUUCGUGCGAGCAAGCUUGUAGGCUCCGGGUCCAGCCACCUCCUUGAGUCGAGUCUUUCGUAUUCGGAUUCACUCUUCUUAAUACCUAAUCUCCGAUCUUGAACUGCCGUACACUCACUUUCUGGUUGUAAUACCGGGCAACCCUCUGCUGGUAGACGGUUGAUCGCUUCGAUGCUUGUUCCCUCUUCUCGGUUAGCAAAUCCAGACUCAAGCACAUCUGGUCAUUACUUUCUUGCUCAUCGAAGUGAUCUGUCCAGUGCGUGGUCGUCUCUAUCUCAACUGGUACAACCGCUUCAUGCCCGAAGGCCAAGGCGAACAGAGUUUCGCCAGUUGCUGUUUUGUGGGUGGUACUGUACGCCCAUAAUACACCUGAUAGUUCAUCAACCCAUGCACUUUUUUUUGCUCCGAGCCUGAUUUUCAAAAGCCUCUUGAUUAUCUUGUUGGCGGCCUCUACCUGUCCGUUAGACUGAGGGUGAGUAGGUGAGCAAUACUUCAACUCUAUCCCGAGGUUCUGAUAGAAAUCUCUGAAGUUAUGCGUAUCAAACUGCCUGCCAUUAUCUGUUAUCAAGGCAUAAAGGAUCCCAUACCGACAGACCAGGUUUCUCUAUACGAAUUCAGUUGUCUUUUUCUCGGUGAUCUUGCUAAGGGCUUCUACCUCUAUCCACUUCGUGAAAUAGUCUAUUGCCACUAUUGCAUGUGUUGCUGCUCCUCGUCCCUUUGGCAACGGCCCGAUCAGAUCAAUUCCCCACUGAGCGAAUGUCCAUGGAGAGGCCUUAGAAGUGAGCUUCUCUGGUGGUUGGGUAGAGAAAUUUGUGAAACUCUGGCAACUUACGCAGCUCCUAGUCUUCUUCUGUGCAUCCUGGUGCAUUGUCGGCCAGAAAUAUCCCUGCCUUAGAACCUUGUGGGCAAGGGAUCUUGCACCAGAAUGGUUUCCGCAAACUCCUUCAUGUACUUCUCUCAGUACGUAAUCCGAGUUGUCCUCGUCUAAACACCGAAGAAAUGGUAGAGUGUAUCCUCGCUAAUAUAGCACCCCAUUAAUCAUCGUGUACCUUGAGGCCUGGGCCCUGAUCUUCCAAGCUCGUAGCUUUUCUGGUGGUAAUACCUCGUCUUUUAUGUACGAGAUUAUCGGGUCCAUCCACGAGCAUUUUUGUUCUAUCCGCAUCACCUCCAAAGUCUGCUCGAUGCUAGGGCUAGUCUUUACCUCCAAAGGGAUCGACUUAGGCAUUUUUGGGUCUGCUACGGCUGCCAUCCUGGCCAGAAUAUCUGCUCGACUAUUCUGCUCCCUUGGGAUUUGUAUCACCUCAAUCACCUCAAACUUCCCAAUCAUCUGCUUAACUUUCUUCAAGUAUCGUUCCAUCUUCUCAUCUCUCGGCUGAAACCUUUCACUGACAUGAUUUGCAACUAAUUGGGAAUCGGUUCGGAUUUUCACUCUAUCUGCUUUCAUUGCCUUAGCCAAUUCCAAACCCGCUAUUAGGGCUUCAUAUUCUGCCUGGUUAUUUGUAGCUGUGAAUUCCAGCUUUACAGCAUAAGAGAUUUCCUCCCUCUUUGGGCAUUCCAAGACAAUCUCUGCUCCAGACCCCUGCUCCCCCGAGGAUCCAUCCACCGACACUUGCCAUAUCCGGUCUUCAUUGUUUGCUGUAGCAGCCUCCAGCUGGUCGAAACAUACUUCGGGCUAAGCGAAUUCUGCCACGAAAUCGGCCAUUGCCUGGGCCUUUAUUAUUGCUCGGGGUUUGUAAUCUAUGUCGAACUCACUCAACUCUAUAGCCCACUUCACGAGCCGACCAGAAGUAUCCGGCUUGUGUAGAGUCUGCCGCAAUGGUUGGUUUGUUAUGACCGAGACAGGGAAUGCUUGAAAGUAUGGCCUCAGCUUCCGAGCAGCAACCACAAAGGCGAGUGCCCAUUUCUCCAACGGUGGGUAUCUGGUCUCGGCGUCGAGCAGGGCCUUGCUGGUGUAGUAUAUCGGAUACUGAACCCCUUCUUCCUCUCUCACUAGAACAAAAAUUGUGGCAUGAUCUGAUACCGCCACAUAUAAGAACAACACGUCCCCAUCCCGCGGUGUGGACAACAAAGGUGCUUGCUGCAAGUAUUGCUUCAAGUUUUGGAAGGCUUCUUCGCAUGCUGGGGUCCAUUCUGUUUUCUUUCCUCUCCUUAUCACUUGAAAGAAUGGCUGGCACUUAUAUGUUGCCUUGGAUAUGAAUCGGCUCAAUGCCGCCAACCUCCUUGUAAGGCUCUACGUCUCCUUCAGGUUACGAGGAGACCUCAUCUGCACGAUCGCCUGGAUCUUCUCGGGAUUCGCCUCGAUCCCCCUAUGACUCACCAUGAACCCGAGGAAUUUGCCCGACUCGACCCCAAAAGCACACUUCUCCGGGUUGAGUUUCAUCUUAUACUUCCUCAAAUGUCCAAAUGUCUCCUCGAGGUGCUCGACAUGUUCCUUCAGGAUUUUGACUUGGUUAUCAUGUCGUCCACAUACACCUCCAUUGUUCUCCCAAUUAGUGGCUUAAAGAUUUUGUUCACCAGCCUCUGGUACGUGGCCCCCGCAUUUUUAAGACCGAACGGCAUUACCCUGUAACAGAAAAAACCCUGGUUAGUAAUAGAUGUCGUGCUCUCUUCAUCCUGCUCGAACAUGGGGAUUUGAUUGUAUCCCGAAAAUGCGUCCAUGAAGCUAGCAGGCCAUGUCCGGCUGUUGAGUCUACAAGCUGGUCGAUCUUGGGUAAGGGAAAGCUGUCUUUCGGGCAUGCCUUAUUGAGAUCCGUGAAAUCUACACACAUCCUCCAUUUGCCAUUUGCCUUUUUCACUAACACCACGUUCGAUAUCCAUUCAGGAUAGUUAACUUCCCGAAGGAACCUUGCCUUCAAGAGCUUCUCCACCUCGUCAUUUAUAGCCUCAUAUCUCUCCUGGUUGAAGCACCUUCUUUUCUGCCUAACUGCCCGAGCACCUUUCUUUAUUGCCAGCCUAUUACAUGCGACCUCAUAGUCGAUUCCCGGCAUAUCUUCAUGCGUCCAAGCGAACACAUCUGCAUGAGCUCGCAGGCAUUGCACCAACUCCCGCUUCUGCUCUUCUUUAAGUCUCGACCCGAUUCGGAUUGUUUUUCCUGGAUCAUCUUGUCCUAGGCUUACUGUCUCCAGCUUCUCUACAGGUUCUUGUCUGCCAUUCUUGGCUUCCACUCGUGUAUCAAGGGAUGUAAUCUGCAUUGCUUCCCUUGUUGCUGUGGAGUAACAACUUCUGGCAAUUCUCUCGUCUCCUCUUACCACUCCAACUACCCCAUUCACCCAGUACUUGAGAUCUAGAUAAUGGUUGGAAAGUACCGCUUUGCUCAUCCUUAGAAAGGGACGACCUAAAAUCAUCUGGUAUGGACCCUCUUCAUCAACCACCACAAAAUCCAGUAUCAUGGUCUUUUCUGUCGGGGAACUGCCAAUUGUGAUGGGCAGCUCGACCACGCCUAGAGGAACCAGUUUUCCUCAUCCAAAUCCCUUCAAGGAGGUAUUGGUAUGCUCCAACCUCAAGUCCGCUAUCCCCAUCUCCUCCAGAGUUAACUUGAACAAAACAUCGACCGAGCUUCUCGUGUCUACCAGAACUCGGUCAAACUUCUUGCUAGCAGCGGUGACUUUAAUAACUAAAGCGUCCUCAUAUGGGUAUAGAAUUCCCUCUUCAUCCUCAUCUGUCCACAUGAUUGGAACUUGCCUGACUCUUGCUCGCUUGGCUGCUGGGGUGUUGAAGAAUAUUUUUUUGCUAGUCAUGGCAUACUUGGCGUAGUUCUUCCUCGACCUGUUGGAAUCUCCUACCAACGUUGGGCCCCCAGCAAUCACUCUUACUAUAGGUUGCUCGUGACUCAAGUUCCUAUCACUCUGCUCCCUUCCACCUGGCGAGGGCACCAUCGAGAAGGUCCCAUCUAUAAAUUCGUCCAGGUAUCGAUUUCUCACCAAAUCUUCAACAUGGGUCUUGAGAUCUCUAUAUUCUGUUGUAGUAUGGCCAUGAGUACCAUGGAACUUGCAAUAGCGUCCCCUAUCCCUCCUGCUCGGUAGCUUUGUUAUUGGGGUAGGGAAGUACAGUAAUCCCCGGUCCUUUAUGGCCUCGUACACCUCGUCCAGGGGCAUCUUCAAGGAAGUAUACCGCCCAUAGUCCUGGUUCUAGUCGAUCAUGUGCACUGCCCUUUCCCUGUUUGUGUUGUUCUGAACUGGAGGAGGUGGCAGCGCUUCCGGCCUGCUUCCUCUACCACCAUGGGGGUGUGGUUAGGGAUGACUACAUGUCAAAUCAUGCCUCCUCCAAGACUCCCUGGCCGGUGAACGAGGAGGUUGCGCCCUGCUGCGCUAAUAUUGUGGUGGCCUCUGAUGAGGCUGGUAAGCGGUGACCCAACCUCCUGUACCACUGCCUGAGGUAUAGUGGUCCCUCCUCUUGAUCGGUCUAUUUCCUUAUAAUGCUCUCUUCUCUUUCCUUCUCAACCCUUCUAACUGGUCUGUCUUGAUCCGUGCUGCCUUUUCCUCAUCAAUCUCUAUAUCCCUCUUAGCCUGCUCGUAAGCAGCUGCAUACGUCUGAAUAGCUGGGCUCCUCAAAUUGUACCAUAGCCUUCUUAUCUUCACUCCUUCUUUCAAUCCCCUUAAUGCCUGAGGAUGGAUGAAGGCUCCCAAGUCGAGGACAGCACGGUGGAACCUUUUGAUGAAUUCCCGAAAGGUUUCCUCCUAUCUCUGCUUCAUGCUCGUCAGCUCCAUCAUAUCAUCUUCCGGUGUCAUUGCCCCACGAAACUGUUCUGCAAAUUCCUGGCACAUCUGCUCGAAGGAUUUAACGUUCCCCCGAGGAAGUUUCCUAUACCACUCGCGUGCUCGUCCCUCUAGAGAUAGUGGGAACACUCUGCAUCUUUGAGCUUGGGAUAAUCCUUGCACCCCAGUUAUGUCGUUAAAGCGCUCUAUGUGCACCAAUGGAUCAGUUCGCCCCGAAUAUCUGAAGUCUGGGAGGUGGAAAUCCCUCAGAAUGACUGCCCUCAUAAUUUCUGCUGAGAGCGGGGAUUCUCCAUCUAGCAUUAUCCUCCACCCUGGUGCUUUGCUCCUUCCUUGCAUGUCAUCUAUUACCUGUGCUAUUAUGCGCACUUCUUCUUCCAACUGUACAGCACAACCAGGUCACGUGCUGCAACUUGGUCUCGUUCUUGCUCAACGUCAUGCAGGUGUUGCCGAAGUUCUCUUUCCUCUGCAUUCGCCAUUCCAUCAUCGUUGUUAAAGUUCUGUCUCCCUAGGGAUUAAUCUUCUCGUCUAUGACUUUCCCCCCGUAGAGAUUAGUUACCUCCCUCACCACCAGAUCUUCUGGUGGACUGGCUUCUCAUCAAGUUAUCGUGUCCUGGUGUCAUUCCGCCACUUCUCACCCCUUCCUCAUGAAUUCCCCUUCGUUCACUCCUCAUUUCGUGUAAGAUGGUUGUCAGGGUCUCCAUCUACUUUUCCAUCUGUUCCAUCCGGUCAUACAUGGCUUUUUUCCGUGCUUCAUUGGCUAUCUCUCUCAAUGUCAUGGACUCGUUAAGCCUCAAGUCACCUCCUUAUGCACUACUUCCUCCCACAUCCAUUGUUUCUUCACUUGCUUUCUUCUUCCUCUUUCUAUCAAUAGAAGCUUUUUUAUCAGCUCCCCACAGACGGCGCCAAAAUAUUGAUGCGAGAUUUUGGUUCUCUGCUCGACCACGACCAAGACCUCUCCUCAACUAACUCGACCACAAUCAGGAUCUCUCCUUGUAAGACUUCUUCUCUACAGACUCCUGCGUACACAGAAACAAAUCAGAGCACGCCGGGUGUUUCCCGGCGUAAACCCUCCGAUGCUCAAGUCAGAAAUAAAGGUUUCGAGUCCCUAGGAAAGUUAGCCACUAAUCUUAUGGCUUAUUUUCAGUAUCAAUUAUUCAGAGCUCUCUUUAUCUCAGUUUCAAUGUCAAAAAAUCUAACCAUUUUACCUUCGUUGGCUACCUUUUUAUAGGCUCCCUCUGAAUCUCGGCCAUGACUAUUACCUGCUCCAACUCUUGGACGUGGGCGCUCUGUUAUCGUAGUCGUGGCUGGAUGGACUUCGUGCCUUGAUUCUCGGGUAGGAGGGCACGUCCUGCCAACCGUCAUUGACCAGGUCUCCUCACCUCGACCUCUAGCAGGAAUCGUUUUAUGCUCCUGGCAGGAGGCCGGCUCCCGCUAUGGCCCCUUGGAGGGUGCAUUCGUGUACGAGCAGAACAAUCCUGCUCGUAUUCCCCUGCUACCAGAUACCUGCUCAUCAUGGCUGGUCUUGUCGAGGUAUUACCCCCAACAGUUAGUAUUAUUGUGCAUCGUCUCUUAUCAUCCGUUCUUUCUUUCUCAACAUUCCCAGAAGGAAUUCCAAUUUUAUCAAACUCGAGUUUUGUCCAAAUAUUAUCCAAUAUAAUCAGGAUCCGCUUCUCUUUCUUCAAUCUUUGACAUAGUUGAUGUGCUCUGUGGAAUAUACUAUCAUUCAAGUCAAAUUUCAUCCCUAAAUCAGAAGCUAGCUGGUCUUGAAUUUUCUGAGGAUCUAGGUUCUGUGUUAGCUCAGCCAUAACGACCUCAUCGAACAAGUUAUCUUCCAUCACUUGCUUUGCAACUUGCUUGACUAGCGUGGUUUUACCCACGCUGCCCAUCUCGUAGACCCCAAUUAUGUUGUGCUUAUUAUCCUUCAACGCCUCAACAACAUCCUGAAAUACUUUCAUUCUUGAAUCAAAGGCCGCGAAAUCUUUCACUUCCAUAUGUUCUGCCCGCUUUGGAGUAAGACGGUAGGAAACAUUAGAGAAGUUGCCUUUUCCCACGAGACUAGCGGCAGCUUCUGCGGCCUUUGCUGCUUGUUUACUGAGCUUGUAACGAGAAAUCAAGUUUGGGCACAAUCCUUUGAAACAGAACUUCUUAGCUCUAUCUUCAUCAUCAGUGAUGGAUUUUGCAGCGCCCUGAGUGAAUUCCUUGAUGCUAUUAAGCCAGUCUGCAACAUCCUUGUAAAUCUCAUCUCCUUGUUCAGUAACUUGAUGAACGGGUAUUUCCACCCUUUCUCUUUUAUAUUCCAGCUGCUUCACUUUAUCUUUUAGCUCAUCUAUGUAGCUCUGGUACAUGAACAUAUAAGAUAUUUGUCGUAUAAUCGGUUUGAACAGUGACCUUGCACCUUCUGAUACGAUGCUGGAAAAAGCAGCCAGACCCACUUCUACCAUUGCCUGCUGCUUAACAAAUCUAAUAAAAUGUCAAAGAAAGGAAUACAAAUAAAUUAAAAUGAACUAGAGGGAAAGACGAAAAAGGAAAAGACGGUAAACAGUAUCGCUACAUUGAUCUUGAAUCAACUGACACAUAAACAGAGCAUUUUUUCUUCUUUGUUAAGGAUCAGAGUUUUUGCUAUUAACAGAAACGUACUUCAAGUGUCUAAAAAAAACAACCAUAAAUUUACCAUAAAUGAACAAUAACUAUAAAACUCAAGCAAAACAAGCCAUAGAAUUUUUAUCUUGGAAAGUGGAUGGAAAUUAAGAAAGAAAUGCUAUAAAGAUCAAGCAUCAGAGAUUAUGCUAUUAAAAGAAAUUAAUUGAAGGUUUUAGAACAAGUGCACUUUAAUUAUGUGGGAUCAGAAAGUUGAUAAGCUUUUGUAAUCGCCUUGAAUAUUUAAGAACAAUUUCAAUGAGUAAAAAAUUUAUGUUACCUGCAGAGGAAUGUGAUUAUAGAGAGCUUAUGAGAGCAAUGACAAUGAUUUGCAAAAGAAGACUUAAUCAUGCAGCCCUUAAUAUUUAUUAAAUGACUUGUGAUCAUUUCUUUUAUGAAUAAAAUGCCAACAGCAAAAACAGAAAAAAGAGCCAAAUUUACUAAGUCUUAUUUUAUUUUUAAUUUCUUUUAUUUUCAUUCGCCGAAGAGGGAAUCUCUCUCUCUUCUUCUUCUUCUUUUUAAGGGAAUCUCCUUACCUAAUAUGACAAAAUGAAAGCAAUCUGUAAAUAGUACAAUAAUCAUAUAAUAUAAUAAGUAAAAAUACCCAUAUAUUUAUAAUAUUAAUGAUGGGAUCCAUAUGUUAAUACUAAUUAAAUUGGUGGACCAGAAUUUUUUUUACCAUACUUGUUUUCUAUAUAAUUAAAAUUGAAACGACAGAGAAAAAUUGUCGUAUUGAUUGUUUCGAAUUCGAUUGUGGAGUUCCGUUGUGGAUAGCACUUCCAAUAUUGAAAAUGAAGCUUUCAUCAACUUUCUCUCACGGACACGUACCGUCAUGCAUAUUGCAUUAUUUCCCUAGAAAAGCAAGAUUAAUUCUUUUAAUAAGCAAACGCGUAGGUGGGAAUCCAUUGACUAAACGAGUGGAACAACAAUAUCAAACCAGGACCUGUCUAUGGUACAGAUUCUGUAACAAACAUCUCCCGUCAUCCCACCAUCCGAUUUUCUAUUGUUCAGUUUCUCACUCCACAUCCAACCACAUCCAACGGCUGAUGCUGCAGUCUGUAGCUUACAGAUUCUGUAAGCUAGUCGAGUCCUAUCAAACCAAUGAUAAGCAUGCUCAAGAUGCUCAAGUGGGAAAACAAAUUAUGACAGAUAAUUCAAAAUCUGAAUCCGCCUGAUGGACGGGUUUGACCACCCAGAUCAAGAUAAGCGAGUCCAGGCAACUAAUCUGAACCAUUCUCCUUUAGUAACAGGGGAAUGAAAUUAUAUCGAUGAUAGAUAAUUUCAAAACAGGGGAAUGAAAACAGAGGAACCUGUUUUUCCUUCCUUUUCUUCCCCCCCCCCCCCCCCCCCCCCCCAACUCUUCUUCUUUUAUAUAUAUUUUCCUUGGAAUUUUUGGUAAACGAAAAAAAAUUGAGAAUGAUUUCAGGAAAACGGGUGGAUAAUAACUAAAAUAUUUAGUUUUAUAUAAUUGAUAAACGCGCUCACUAUUAAUAGAAUUCAUUAGAUAUCAUUAUUUAAAUAACUUCUUGUGAUUGAUUGAGGGUACGUUUGAAAUUUCUUUUACUUCCCAAUAAUUAAUUCUAUGUUGAUUCUCAGAAAAUUAAUUUUACGAAUAAUUUAGUAGGGUGUUUAGUAAAUGAUGAUUAUUUGACAGUCAAUUUUCAAAUAAUCUACUAUACAAAUUUGGUAAGUGAAAAUUAAAAGUGUAAUAUUCAUGUGCAAUGAUAAAAAUGUACUUGUUUGCUUAAUUGUACUUUAUUUAGAAUAUUAUUAUUUACAUCAUUUUUUUUAUUUACUGGAUUUUUUUAAGAGUAUAUUCUAUUUUCUUUAUUGCAUAUUUAUAUCAUUUUUUAUUAACUAUUUUAAUUUACAAUCAAACUAACUUUAAUAUUUUUUUAACUAAAAAAAUUGUUAUGCAGUUUGUAAUGUGCACAAAUGCUAACAUAUUAUUAAAUUGAUUAAUAAAUUAAGUGCAAAAAAGAAAAUGCAAAAAUUUAAUCUUUAUAUAAACUUUUAUGUACAUAAAACUAUUGCAAUCAAAGUAGUUCAUAAAAAUAAAAUAUUAUAUACAUGUGUAAAAAAAAAUAUAACUAUAAUAUUGUCCACUCAUUAAACUUGCAGCACUAUUAUUUCUCAAUCUCCCCAUCUCUCGACCUUUAGGAACAUUAAUACCAUGAUCUUCUUCUUGAAUUGGAUCUCCAUUUCCACAGUAUCAACAAGGCGAUCAAUUUGCUGUGACAGCCUUUCAACUCCUCCCACUUUCCUCCCUUUUGCAGCCGCUCUUUUUCCUUUUCUUUCUUUGAUAGCUUCAAUGGGAACAAACUCAUCUAACGACAAGUACAUUCUUCAACCAGAGUGGAAUUGGUAGUUGAUAUUUUACUACUCUCAGAUGGUGUCUAAACAUGGUCACCAGUGAUUGUUAUAUUAAAAAAAAUUCUAUUCAAUUUUUCCUCUGACUUUGUGUCGAUACCUUUCAUACAAAAUCUACUUGCUUCAGAAAUUUCUUACGUAUGUUGAUAUCAUAUUAAAGUGAAUUCACGAUCCUAUAUUAUUUUGCAUGACAUCAAAAUUUAGCCGAAUGGUAAAGAAUUUCCCUUUUUGUUUGUCCCACAACUAUAUAGUCUCAUUUUUGGCAAUAAGCUCACAAUAUGCACGGAAAUGAAGAUCUAUUAAAAACUUCCCUGUAAUAUUAAACACUAAACAAUAUCACUAUGUUGUGCAAAUGGUGCCUCGUCAACAAUUUGAUGUUCAUUUUGUUGCUCGGGUGAAUAUGACUACUUGCGUUGCGAGUCCAUGCUUUGUCGUUUGGAUGGAGGACGGGCCAUCUUUUUAUUUUAGAUGCUUUGAGAGACUUUUGAUUUAAUGAUUUCUGGUUAAUUAAUAAGACCUAUGAAAGCAUUCAAAGAAACCACUGAACUCAGAGGAAAGCCAUGAUUAAAUAUACUGCAGAGCAUAUGAGCUCGUUUUUUGAUCUCUUGAUCACUCAUAAGCUUUUCUAUACCAUUCACUAUAUCAUCCUUUUGAAUCGAUUUUGAUUGAUCAUCAGAGAUCAUGUACCCCACCUUGAGAUGAUUGAUCACAAAUUUGGCAUUGUAAUGUUGAUCACCUCUAAGUGGCCAUGCUAAAAUUGGGACUCGACAACCAAUUGCUUCUACUGUUGAAUUCCAUCCACAGUGAAAUAAAAAUCCACCCGUUGAUUGAUGACUCAAUAUCAAUAAUUGUGGCGCCCAUCCAUCUAUUAUCAAACUCUUUUUACCGACUUUAUUAUCCAAACCACUACGAAAAUAAAUGUUUCCUGCUGGUUUGUCCAAAUGACGUAAAGGAUCCAAUUUACCUGCACCACCUUGAAUUACCCAAAUAAAAGAUCGAUUUGAUGCCUCUAAAGCAUUGGCUAGUACUAAAUACUUAUCUAAGGUUGGAUCCACUUCAGUACCAAAUGACACAUAGAACACAGAUCCGCAUGAUUUGAAAUUCAACCAUUGAGCGAUCUCAUCUUCCGUCAUGUUAGAACUCCGCCGGUUGGUUCUCAUCUCAUGAUCACGAAGCAUUGAACCGGCAGAUUUGUAAAAUUGUUCAGGUAACAAUGGGCCCACUCCCCACACCGGCUUUCCCAAUUGAUUGGCUAAAUAAUUAAUAAAUGGUCCCUCAAGACCAUCACACGUGUUGAACAUCAACGCCAUUGAUCCCUCCACUUCCUUCAUCCAGUGUGGUUGAUCACCAGCUUCUGGUGGACCUAUUUUCUCGGAACCGGGUGCACCUCGCAGAGGUGGUGGACCACCAGGAGGGGGCCCAUGAGGCCUGUGUUUAAGGUCCGAUUCAAAUAAAGCCAUAUCCUCGGGUAACCCAGGAAGUAAACGGGCCUCUCCCGGUUUGACAUCUUGGAUGCGAGCCUGCCACAUGGCACACUCCACAGCUGCCGAGCAAGCACCAGAAGUGAAGAACCCAACAAUGGGAACUUCAAAAAUCUUGAAAACAUCAGCCGUCCAGCCCAUCAUAACGUCGAUGACUGCACAAACGGGUCGGCUUUCGGGUUCCCGGGUUGAAAGGAGGUUUCGAAGGCCUUGAAGCAUUUGGCUGUGCAUGACAACAUGGGGGUGAGGAGGCGAAGGUGGUGGUGGUGGUGGAGAUGAGGAGGGUAUUUCAGUAACUUCAAAGAGAGGGUAUUGGUGAAACGAGGAAGGGAUGAUGCUGGUGGCGGAAAUGUGAGAAGGAAUGAUGAGGGUAGAUUUGUAAUUACGAGAAGCGAUUUGCUUGCAUAAUUCAAUGCAUGGAAAUAGAUGUCCCUGACCGAAGAAUGGGACAAUCCAAAUCUCGGCCUCAGCAGCAGUAGCAACAGAGCUUGACAUCUUUAUGAAUUAUUUGAUACUUAAUUGUACUGUUUGCUUUUACCAUCUUUCAUAAAACACUCUUUGUUAUAUAUAAAGAGAUGACUUAAUGGAGAAGUAAGUGUUUUAGUUUUACAGUUUUACUAGUAGGUGAGCUCUGAGUUUGAUAAUUUGAUUGUUAGUUUUGGUUGGUUAGUUAUUAGAAAGCAUCUUUAAGAAAAUUCAUUCCAGUUUCAACUCAAAUUAAUAAUAUUGUUUAAAUUAAUUACUCAAUAAAUAAAUAAUUGGAGACAAAUCUAUUCAUAAUCUCACAUUUAUAAAAUAAAGAUUGAAAUAAGUUCUUGUGGGUUCGAACUCAAGCCCUCAAGCCGAGUGGCUGGAUCUUGACUACUUUAUAUAUAUAUAUAUAUAUAUUCCUUCUUUCAUUGAACAUCUUUUGUUAUAUAAUGAAAAAGAUAAGUUGAUAGAGAAGGGUUCUACUUUUACUAGUAGAUGAGCUUUGAGUUGAGAAGGUUAGCCCUCAAAUGUUCCUUGCUAAGUUAAAUAUCUACCAUCCAAAUCAACGUUCCUCAGACUAUUAUUCAAGUGAGAUGUCUGAAUAACAUACGCUUGAGUUCGGUGCCUAGCAAUUCGUGUGAUAGGUGAAACCAACCAAUAUGAAAACCAAAUCAAGUUGGUAGGUUUACAUUAAUUUAAAUUAACUUUCAAGUUUCAACAUUAUAACAUAAAUAAAUAGCAUAAGCUAAUUUUUAUUUUCAAGUAAACAUGUUUAUCGUUUACAAUUAAUUUUUCUUGCGGUAAAUGCAACACUAAGGAGUGAAGAGGGUAUUUUGUAGGGUAUACCCCCACCUUUUAUUUCAUUUCAUUAUUAAAAAAUAAAGGCUUGAUUCAACAUUCAAGUAAAAUUAACAAUUGCAUGAUAAAAUUACUUGAGAAUAAAAAUUAAAAUAAAAAAGAAUCAGCAACUAAAAAACGACGUACAAAUACCGCAUAGAAGUUUUUCGUCACGAGAUAUUUUUGGGUUGAGACAACACUUGUAUAACAGAGCAUACAUAUUGAAUGACGGUGAGAAUAAGAAGGAAAACGGCACCGCAGACCGAAAUGCCAGCCCAUGGAGUAUUGAAGUAAUUUUAUUUCAAGUUUGCCUCUCAUUUAUAGCAUGUUCUUUUGCAGUGAUCAUUCAAUCCUUUGCAUAGCCCAGAAAAAUAGAAGCUAUCAGCCAGCAGAGUGGUACCUCUGGAAAGGUUAUUUAUAAGCGUUGACGCUGCCUCCUUAUCCGGCAACUAGUUCUCAAUGAUUCCGUUCUGAACAAGCAACUCAACAUCCUUCGCUGUGUUCACAAGAUGAUGAAUAAGGAACAGUAAUCAUUUAUGUAAUUCUCUGAGUAAUGCCGUUGUUCAAAGGCAAUGAGAUUACGAAAUAAGGAUUCCGUUUCCAGCUGUAGCUUCAGUUUCGGAAUAUGCAAUGUCCUGUUUUUGAAUUCUAUGGCGAACAAAUCAAUGGCGAACAAAUCAUUGCUCUUGCUCAAACUGAAGUGGACUCCAGCUUGGUGGAGAUCAGUCACACUUGGUGCGGUUUUACCUUUGUGGUAUUGCUGACCUUCUUGUUUUUCCUGAUCCCUCGAUGAAGAUAGAUGACAAAUCCUUAGAAAAUCAAAGAAAUGCUCUACCCUAGCCUCAGUGUAAGGAGGGAAUUUUUGCUGAUUACCUUGUACCGCCUCUAAACCCUUGAAGUACUCGUAUGUGACUCUGAUGAUGGUUGGAUUUUCAUGUUGGUCAGGGAUUUCAAUUGCUGCUAGAGCAAAAAGAUCCUCAAGAAUGAAGAAAGGAAGCUGAUUCUCAAGCAACCACAUAUCAUACCAUAUAUCCUCUAUUAAAUAUAGUUUAUGAAACAUAUGAUCAUCUUUUUUUUGAAGUUGACGGAAAUGAUACCUCAAUAAGAGUUCAAUGAUGAAGGCAGCAUCUAGCAGAAUCAUUUCAAUGAAUUUAUCACUACUUAAUUCGAUUUUUUCUGCAUAAGAACCUCGUAAUUCUGCUUCUCUGAACUUUAUAACUUGAACAAACUCGUCAAAGCUUAUUUUGGUCCGUUGAAGAAAGUAACGCAGGUACCGCUGUUUAUGUUCUUCCAUGAACUGUAAGUUUGCUUUGCCAUGGUGAAGAGGGCCAAUUGAGACUACCUGAGGUGUAUAUGCCUUUUCAUUUAUCUGAUGUAAUCGCUCUGGAACUCUGUCGAUGCAGCAGUUUGAGGGCAAGGGUGACAAUUUUUCCAACUUAACCUGCAAGCACUCUUCCAUGUUAUAAACUGAAAACACGGUGCGAAAUUUGAUCCAUUCAACAGUUAAUAAGGCAUAGUAAUUUAAAAAGAAUUUUAAAAAAAUAAAUACAAGAGCAUUCUUACACGCACAGAAGCCCCUCAAUCCCUACUACUUACAGGGCUGUAGCCACUAGCCAGGAUUCAAUGAUAUACCGGACUGAACUAAAAGGAACAACUUUCUUAGGAAUAUGUUAUCGGCAUUUUCUCUGGCCUCAGGCCAUCAACAAAGCAGUUUCAAUGCGUCUUAUAUAAUUCCAUGGUUUAUUCCUUGCCUUCACAGAUGAUAUAGUCACAAUUCAUAUAUUCAUUUCUCCAGAUUCUGUAUAAGUGGACCAUAACUAUGGAAAACUUGAACCAUUUUUUUAAGAAUGCAACAGCCAUUUGAUUGGUCCAUGUCAGAAGUUAAUCUGGGGAAAGAAGCUUGAUCUAGCUAUAAAAUUCUCUCCUUCAAUCAGUCAGUUUGGGGCAGCAACAAGAUCAAAGCCACCAUGCAAAAAUUCACUAAAGUUUAUAUAAUAUUCACUAAAGUUCAUAUAAUAUUCUUGAACCUCAUCUUAAGUAAAGCAACAAAAGCCUUCACUGUUGCUUGACAACUUUAUUUCUCUAACACAUAGCAUAACAUUUUUAAAUUGCAUAAAACACACAAGUACUUUAGUUUGUAACAACACAGAUAAUAAAUACCAUUUUAUAGCUUUAACAAAAGCAUACAAAAUUCUUAAACCUAGCCUCAAGCAAUUCAUUAAUGCCACAAGGAUAUCUUUUUGCCUCCUACAGUUUUUAUUGUUCCAGAAAUUCAUAUAUUCUUCUUUAUCAAAUUAAGUAAUUUUCCUUUUUCAGAAACUCAAGAAGGUUUCAACCGCAUGGAAAUACAACACAAAAUUACUACUAUUCCCGGAUUAAGAAAUUCAUCAAUGCAAUAUAAACAUACAUUUUCAUUAGACAUCAGAAUCAAAGAAUCAUUGAUGCAUCAAAUCUGUACAGCCAAAAAAAAUGAAAACAUCAAGAGAAAAUACCAUAUGGACCCUUUACAACCCUUAUAAUGAGUUCAGAUCGCCUAAUCCAAUUUAAUAGAUUUGAGGACCCCGACAAUGUGCAAUACAAAAUUUCCCAAUACUAUUUAGAGCAAAGUCUAGAAAACGAAACUUAUAUAUUGUACAAAAUCAUGAAAACCAGAAAUGACAAAAAAACUGCAUAUGUAAUUUUUGGGUCUCUUCAACAUACUUCCAUCCAAAUCAAACAAGAAUCGAUAAAUUAACAACAUUCAUUUUAAACGACAUAUUACCACAAUAAAAAUUGUCAACCAAGCCUCAUAUUAACCUUUUUUGCAUUAUUUGGUAAAUAUAUUUGUUAUUCUCUAAGCGUAAAAAAAAAAAAAAAUGGACUUUCUUAAUCAAGAAUCAAAUAAUAUAUAUGAAUCUAAGUUGAAGUCAGUCUUGGGUUUGAUGAAAUAGCUUGCAUUGUGAUUUAGAUUGGAAAGGGAGUUGAUUUUUGCUGACUGAGAGAGAGAGAGAAAGUUGAGACAUAAGAGAGUGUUGCUAAUUUUCUAAACAAGGGUAACUGGGUCAUAGUUCAAAAUGAUGGUCCAAAAUUUACUAAAGCUAUUAAGGAGCCGAAAACCCAUAAUGGCUUCCCUCAAAUAAAUAAAAUUUUCAAGCAUAAAGUUUUUGUUUCUUCUUAAGAUUUCCUUGUCAUACUUACCCAUAAUUCGAAAAUGCCUGAUAUUGCCUGCAAAUAAACUUAUAUAUAUUGAUUAACAAUAUAAACAAGCACUAUGAGGUUUUAGGCCUGAAAGAACAUUAGGGUUGAAAUGACAACCAUCUAUUUAAGUAACAAAAUCUUCUGAUAAUUUGAUGCUUAAUAAAUUGAGCAGAGAUGACAUAUAAAUCAUGUUAUGACAUGGAAGUUAUGAUUAUAUUCAUCUUAAGAAUAAGAUCUUUCAGACACUGGCAGAUUAGUAUCAAAAUACUCAGCAUAAGACCUACAAACUAGAAAUCAUGCACUAAUACAUAAGUUGAUCUUUUAUAAGCUAUAAAACAAAUCUACUAUAACAUAAGAAAGUGGGAUUUAUCACCAGACAAAUAUUUUGGUGAGACUCAAGCUGAUGGAAGGAUAUCCAAAGCAACCUCCUUAAGGGAAGGCAUCACUUCCUGGUGAUGCAAACAUAUAUAUUUAUUACUCACUUUCUUGAGGACCUUCCAGGAACCUGGGUAGCACCUAGCGGGAAGUGGAAAAGAAAAAAAUGUAAAAUAUAAGUUAAACAGCAGGAAAACAGUAAGUGACUCUAGGCAAGCAUUAAUAUGUUGCCACAGGAAAAGCGUCAGUAACUAGCCAGCAAACCUGAAAAGGGUUCCUCCAUUGCGACCCUUAAAAUUGUGAAUGUAAUAUAUGGUCUCCAUCACAGGAAAAAUUGUUUUGGAUAGUGCAGCUAGCUUAGGGUAGAAGAAUGAUGGAUAAUCUUUAGCUCAUUUAAGGAAAUCCUCUCUGAUCCUUUCAUUGCACAUUCCAAAACAACUCUACUACAACCAACUCACCAAUUCUUUUUGUUAAGUCAUUGUUAUUUACUUUUUUUAAAAAAUAACCCUUCUGUGCAACAUUUUAGUGAAAGAUAUAACAUUAAUUCCCCUUCUAGAUUUCUGUGAGUGAAUCUCAAAUUAUUGUAUUCAUAAAUAGGAGCAAAAAACCCACUUUACUUUCAAUUUUUGCAAAACGAUACCAAUUGAAGGACCAAAAAGUUGUAAACAAGCAAUUCAAUGGAUGGGUAUCUAGAAACUGUUAUAUAGCAUCAAAAUCAUACUAAAUUUACAGAAAGUACAAUAAUAAUGAAAGAAUGGUGAAGGAUACACCCAGACCUUAUCCGGUCAAGCUCUCCAUUGAAUAUAAUCAGUUUCCGGGCAGUAUUGAAGACAGCUUCUUUGUAAAGCUCUUCAACCACAAGCAUUUCUACAAGACAAAAGAAAAGCAAAAUUAAUGACCUUAAGGAAUGAAUGUCAAUGAGAAGACAAGGUGUAAGACUACCAUUGACAUUAAAAUAUGGAUAGGCGACUAGAAACAAUUCAUCUUCCGGCUUCACACGGUCAGCCAUUUUGACCUUCUCAGUGAAUCCAAAAUCCUCAAAGAAUGAAGGUUUUGUUAGAUAGUCCAACUUAAAUGAUGCUCCUUCAAAGAGCGAUUUUCUUGCAAAUUUGACUUCAUUUGCCUCUGGGAAAAACUAAAAACCAAAUGACAGACUAUCACGAAACGAAUCAUGAACACAGAUAUCAGAUAAUCAGAAAUGGGCCUUAAACCGAAUACUAACAGGGUGGGAAAUGCAUACAGAAAACAUUAUUCAUACACCUUAUGCACAUGAAAUAUAUAUGUAGAGGGAUCCUCUUAUGAAUUUAGCUUAUAUCCUAAUAUGAGACAAUGAACAAUUGGAUGCCAUCUAAGGGCUAACAUUUGUUUGAUUUAUUAUAUGAAAAAUAAAAAUAAAAAACAAAACAAAACAUAAUUGAUUGAUGGCCUUUGAUGGAUUGCCUACACUCCUAAAGUGCAGAGAGCCUGAUUGAUGCCAUGCUUUAACUGGCCCACACACACUUGAUUUUAUUAUCUCUCUUUUCGAAUAUAUAAUCGUUGCCUUUCAUCCUGAACCAGCUGUCCUUCCAGGCACCAGCUGUGUUUUCUUCAAUUCAGUGAAACAUUCACUUUCUGGUAAGAAUAAACUUGUCCUUCCUCAAAAAUUCAGCUUCUGACUAUGAAGCUUUCUUUUUUGAAACAAUUACUAGUCUAGCAUAAUGCAUCUAAUUGAGGACAACUCAGAAUUGAAAAAGCCAUAUUUUAAUGUCUGCUGUUGGGACCUCAAGACUAGGAACAAAAAGCUUCUUUCUAACAGUUGCGUUAACAAGUGGAAAUAGCUUUUUUCUGAAGGACCGAACAUUGCAUUGAAAGAGUCAACAAAAGGACUGGCGUCAUAUUUAGUCCAGCAAGAAUUUUGUGGACUUAACACAAUGGUUAAUAAUUCGCCCAGCGGUCACUUUGUCCAACUCUGGCAAUCUUGACGGUGGAAAUGCAUCUUUCAAAUGUUGGCAGGCUCUAGCUUCUUGAUGUACUGUUGAUAGAAAUGCAUAUUUCACAAGUUGGCGGGCUCAAAUUGCCGAGACUUUGGUUUCUUGCAUUUCAAACCCACAAAUAAAACUUUGGUAGAACCCCAGAAAGAGCUACACCUCCCAAAUCUGAUGACAAAUGAAGAGACCAUGCCUAGUGCUUGGUUCGGCAAAUGAGUAAGUCUGAAACAAAUUUAGGGAAACCUUUCCCACAGAGAGUCAUAUUGAAGGUUACAAUUUGAUGACUUUGUCCCUCUGUUGCCCAUAACCUUCUUUAUCUCUUUUCUUGGUCAUAAAUAAUCAAACAUAUAUUAGUCGUUGGAUGCAAUCCACUCACUGACAUCUCAUGUCCACAAUCAAUCAUCCAUAUUUUAAUAGAAAUGAAAACAUUUUAAUUAAAAAAGAAUGAGAUGGGAACAAAAUCAAACUUGGCAGACAAGGGUCUAUGUGAUUUUAAAGAUGCUUGGUGAAAGUCAUAUCCAAGAGUUCAACAGUCAGUUCUAUCACCUAUGGCAAAGUAACCACCACAACUAAAGCAAUUACAAAACAUCAAGAAGCUUGAACUUGGCAAGAGUUCUCAUUAACAGUAUACUUCAGAAAUUAGGACACACUUAAAGUGCAAGCUUUUGGAUUUAUUUAAGGGGUUAGAAUCUCCUAUGGUCACAGCUAACAAUUACUAAUCACAAAUCCCAAAAAACAGAUAUGCAAAAAGCUGCAAAAGAACAAUAUUAGCAACUGAUGUCUGCUUUUGCUCGGACAAAGGUUCUCAUAACAAAGGACUUAGUGAUUGUCUGUCACAUGUUUAUGUUAAGGGGAAAAAGGAAGUUUGUUUUAGUUAAUCUCAUGUCUAAUGGCAUUCAUAAGGAACCCAAAAAUAAAAGAAAAAAUAAAGAGUUAGUACGUGUUUCUUGCAGCAUAAAGAAAAUUUAUCAUCCAUGAAAAACGUAGUAUGGAAAAAGCUAACUCAUUUAUACGCCAACGGAGAAAAACUUGUCGUCCACCCACUAAGGACCCACCAUUGGCAGGUCUGAUGGAUCCCAUGGAUGGGAACCACAAAUUUUUUUAUUUUAAAUGACAUCGGUAUUGUACCCAUAUCAUUUAGUUUGUCGAUUCCACUUAUGGGACUCGUCAAACUUGCCAAAUGGUAGGUCCUCAGGGGGCAGGCGCAUCGCUUUAGCAUCCUUCUCCACCGACGACCAAAUCUGGACUCAUUUAAAAAGAAUACAAAGCAAAACCAACUGACACAAAUUGCAUAGAGGUCUAGGAGCCAAAUUAAUGUUGUUAACUCAUCCAAUUAACACAUUUUCUUAGGGAUCAUACCAUGGUAUGACAUUUCAAAAGAAACUAAAAGGAAAACAACUGCACAAAUUGACCUGUUGAAGGUGUUCACUGCACAAAAUGAAGGGGGCAGAAAAAAAAGGCAGAAACCCUCAGCUGCUUGCUUGCAAAUAUUAGGACCAGAUCUUACAUUUUCCAAAUAUCACAACUGAAUGCAUAGGGAAAAGUAAAGAGAACUGAUAUAAGAAUAUACAACCCACUUAAUUAUGGUUCUAAACAAGUUCCCUAAAUCAAUUUGUGGAGUUCGCACAUUAUAAUAAUGUAACAGGCUCAUUAUCCACAACACAAUCAUCCAAUUUCAAGCACGAUUAAAAAUUCACCUUCUCCCUGUUGCUCCUUGUUUUGCUCCCUGUUGUGUCUCUCCAGGCAGCACCCAUACAAUUCAAGUAUCUUUCCCACAACUUCUGCAGCCAAAUAACAACAAAUAAUUAAAUAAUUCAUUCACUUCAGUUUGACUGAUUUAUUGUUCAAAAAUGACAUAGGAGUCAAAGAAAGAACAAACCCAAAUGUUCCCAUCACACGUGUAGUUACAUAGCUUGCCUCAGAUCCUAAGAGCUUGGCCAAUCCAAAGUCUGAUACUUUUGGGUUCCAUUUUCUAUCAAGAAGAAUGUUGCUUGACUUCACAUCACGGUGUACACAUUAUAAUAAUGUAACAGGCUCAUUAUCCACAACACAAUCAUCCAAUUUCAAGCACGAUUAAAAAUUCACCUUCUCCCUGUUGCUCCUUGUUUUGCUCCCUGUUGUGUCUCUCCAGGCAGCACCCAUACAAUUCAAGUAUCUUUCCCACAACUUCUGCAGCCAAAUAACAACAAAUAAUUAAAUAAUUCAUUCACUUCAGUUUGACUGAUUUAUUGUUCAAAAAUGACAUAGGAGUCAAAGAAAGAACAAACCCAAAUGUUCCCAUCACACGUGUAGUUACAUAGCUUGCCUCAGAUCCUAAGAGCUUGGCCAAUCCAAAGUCUGAUACUUUUGGGUUCCAUUUUCUAUCAAGAAGAAUGUUGCUUGACUUCACAUCACGGUGUACAAAUUUGGGUUCUAAACCUUCAUGCAAACAUGCUAGCCUGUAAGAGAAAUAACCAUUAACAGUUAUCAAACAAUAUGAAGAAGAUUAGAGCAGACUAGGGACUUCAAACUUGUAAGUGAUCAUUAUAAGCAGCUUCAGAUGAUAAGGUGAUUACCAUAUUAUAAACAUACUUAAAAAACAUAACAGUAUGCAUAAUUUGACAAAACAACUGCUAGUUACAAGGCCUAAAACAUCAAAAUCUUUGGCUUUAGCCAUUACUUUUGAAAUUAGAAUUGACCAAAGGAUAGCCACGAGAUUAUCAGUUUGCCCAUGCACAAUUUAGGACCAAAACGGUCAAUCAUAUAUAUAUUCAAGAUUGGUAAAGAAUCAGCACUGAAAUGAAGACAAGAAAACUCACCCUUUUGCAGUCCCAAUGGCAAUCUUCAUUCGAAUAUCCCAUGUCAGAGGGCUCACUGAUCCUACAUCACCAUGCAACCAUUGCUCCAGAUUGCCAUUGUGGACAUAUUCAUACACAAGCAUCCUAAAUGACCAGUAAAAAUUGCCGAAAAAAAAUUUCAGAACUUUCUUUCUAUUUUCAAUUAACCAUAUGAUUUUAAAAAAAGUGGCACAGGAAAAUAAAUGUACCUUUGAGCACCAUCUGCACAAUAUCCAAUUAGACCCACCAACUUCUUAUGCCUGACUUUACCAAUGACUUUAAACUUCUUAUACCAGUGACGCGAUCUCGCUGCAACACUCACAGUUGCAUUCCCCUGUUUCGGGUCGUCUCCAUUGGGCUAGGAUCCAAUUUAAUCCAUGGCCAUGUAGCUGCAAAACAAGUCGUUCUCGAGGUCGACCGAGCUCGUCGAAUUACCGAUCUGAAAUGAGAUGCACCCCGUCUGGAAUCCGGUAAUGCACCUCGGACUAUGAUGAAUGGUUGGACGGGCUACGUGCUAGUAGAUUCGGGUUCGGAUUUGGCGGAUAUUGCCUUUGCAUUUCUGGAGAUUUAAGAGAGAGAUUCAUAUUUGGGGAAUGAGUGAACGACGAAUAGGGACGGUGCUUUAUUUUUUCAUUUCUUCGAUGGUGCCGUUGCAGGGAUUUAUCCACGCCAUAGCCCAAAAGUGGGAUAUUUACUUAAAUACACCCUCAUAAUUUAAAAUUUUUCAUAUAUACUUUUUUUCAAUAUGCAAUUAUAAAAUUACCCCAAUUCAAAAUCUAAUAUUACAAAAUCACCGAUGUUACAAUGCCCAAGAUGCUUAUGCUGCUGUAAGUUCGUGCUUCUUCUGCUGCUGGUUCUAACACCACAAAUCCGCUACUUUCAUUAGAAAUUCACCAAACUAAGGCUGGAAAUUCACCGAAUUAAAGGUUAUUUACCACAUUUACACUUAAUUUUUACUUCAUAAAGAGAAUUUAAGAUUCAUAAUUGUUGGGGUUAUACGCAUUAGGGUUUUAAAAAAUAAAUUGCCCAUGCGAUUUUGGUCAUUAUUGUAGUUGGCCGAGUUAUUUGUUUCACUUGCAUACUUGCUGAUAAUGUUUCUUCACGAUUCAUGUAAUGAAGCUUCUUGAACUUGUGGAGUUGAAAUUGAAGAGAGUGAUUUCAAGGGAGCUCACUCUCCUUAUAAUGGUUAUGGGAGUUCCUAAUUAAAUAUUAAGAGGGAAUUAGAUAAAACAAAUAUUAUCCUUGUGACUACUCAGUCAUGGCUACACUGAUUUAUCUGUUAGAUCUGUGUUUGGUUUUACUUGUUGUUUGUAGUUGGACUUCAUCCAUGGGAAUUAUAAAUUAAUUUUCUUCAGCUGUGUAUGCAUUCAUUAUGUCGCAAUCUGGGUUUUCUCCAUUAUUUGCUAUGAACCUUCAAUUUACAAUUUCUAGUUAUUUCUUACCCAUAUUAAAUGGAUUUCAAAUAAUAUGUUAAUGAUUAAAUGUCCAUUUGGCUUUUUAAUGGUCCAUCAAUAUAUUUUUUAUAAUAAACAAAAUUUUCAUUCUCUCUAUUCGUUGACAAGCCAUAUUAAAGUAAAUUCUUUUUCAUACUGUCAUUCACUUAAAAUUAUGUACAAAGAUUUGAAUCCAAUGAGAUAUAGAAGUGAAAACAUAUUUAGCUUUUUUUUAGUUUUAUGUUGUAAGCAUUAUGUUUUAUCAUGAAAGGACUUAAAUCCAAGGAGAUAUAGAAGUCAAAACAUAUUUGAUGCUUGUUGUAGUCGUGUAAUGAAUGCUUUACUCGGCUGUAAUUAUGUAAUGAAUACUUUAAUCGGCUGUAGUCGUGUAAUGAAUGUUUUACUUGACUAUAGUCGUGUAAUGAAUACUUUACUCGACUUGUGUGUCGUGUAAUUUUUUUGAUUGGUCUAGAAUAUAUUAUUAUGCAACUUUUCAAUCGUUUUAUAUUAUAAUUAAAAUAUUUUAUGUUUAUGCAGAUGGAAUUAAAAAUUAAGGAAUCUGAAUACUUCAAAGCAAAGAUUUCUAAUCGAUUAUAACUAGAUGCUGUGAAAGACAUAAAUAAAUAUCAUCCUUGUGAGUACGUAAUAUCCCGCAAUAAAAUCAGGGUAUGCAAUUGAGUACAUCAUAUAUAUAUAUUUUUUCCAAUAAGAAUGGUGAUUUUAUUAUUGAUGUAUAUGAAUUUUAUUAGUGGUGAUUGUGAAUCAUUUUUGUUGUAGUACUUGGAGGUCCUAUCCCAUGGCCUUGAUGUCAACAUAUAUUGUCAACAAGAUGAUGUUACACAAUUUCGAAAAGCAUUAGCUGUCAAAUUAUUUGGACACAGGUCGUUGAAACCAACUACAUAGUGUUAUACCUAAAAAUUUCAUUGUUGUGAUUUUGCCAUUUUUUGGAUUAAUUAUCAUAAGAUGUAAUAGUUGCAAUGGGGAUGUCGUUAACAUUUGAUAUCAUUAAAGAUGAUUUUACAUAUUCGAGUAACUUUAUAUAUACACGACGGUAGUCGGGUAACUUUAUAAAUACACGAUUAUAUUCGAGUAAGUGAAUAGACAACAAAAAUUACAACAAAAUGAUAACACAAUUCAAUACAUCGAACAAGAAAAGCUUUUUUUUUUUUUACAUCAAAUAACAUCGAUCCAAUACAUGUGAGGAUCAUAAUAAGUUUCAAGGGAAUACAAGUUGCUACUCAAUUAUCAUAGCUAAAAUACCCAAGCAAAUAUAGUUUUUUUGCUUCGUCGUGAAAAUAAUCUACAUCAUCAUCUGUCAUAAUUGAAAUGGGAGGGAUUGGAUUGAAUGUCUUAAGCUUGAACUUCAUUUCAAUGUCAAAUUUAGAAAUAUCAACGGAAAUAACUCAAGAUAUUCUUUCAUGUCAUAAUAUAACACAUAAUUAUACAACAAAUACAAAAAAAAAUCAAAUAAGGUAUAAAACGAAAUGUGGAAUCGUUUGUCCAUUUACACAACUACCAUCGUGUAAUUGCUUGUUUACACGACAGUAGUCGUAACUUGCUAAAAUAUACAAUUAUAGUCUAGUAAAUAGUCAGAGGAUAUAUUUAGAAAAAAAUGUAUUCUUUACACUAACAGAAUCCUAGGUGUCAUAACGGCUACUAUAUUUUUCUUAUUUACACAACUGCUAUUGUGUAAAUUCAUACAUACACGAUAAAAGUCGUGUAAGUUGCAAAAAUAAAUGACUACAACCCAGUAAAUAGUCAGAGGACAUAUGUCUUCUCAAAAAAUAUUUUUCUUGCACUAAUAGAAUGUUAGGGUCUAUAACGGUUGAAACAUUUUACAUAUAUGCAUAACUGUAGUAUGUAAAUUCAUACGUACACGAUAGUAGUAGUGUGACUUAUUAAAACACACGACUAUAAUCUAGUAAUAGUCAAAGGACAUAUCUACUGAAAAAAUAUAUAUAUUUUGCACCAAUAAAAUGCUAGGGUCUCAUAAUAAUUGGAAUAUUUUACACAUUUUCACGACUGCAAUCGUGUAAAUUCAUACCUAUACGACAACAGUCGUGUAUGUCGGGUGCAGAACAGAAUUUUAGCAACAAAUUUAGGUUUUAACGAAUGUAGUUAUAAAACCCAUCAAAUAACAGUCAUAUGAUGUAAAUGUAAUGAAAAUGUGAGUUGCUUUAUUGUUUAUCACAAACCAAACAAAAUCCUAAAUAUAAUAUAAUGCCAACAAAAUGAAUAAAUAACACAAAAUAAAAAUAAAGUUUCAAAUACCUUAUUCAGGAGAUGAAUAAUGCACCCAGCUCAAACCAAAAUCUCAGUGCAUUAGCUGUGCAUGAGUGAUUUUGAGAGUAUGGAGUGAGUUUUUGUUGUGUGGAGUUAAAAAGAGUAAGAAGUAAAGAGUGUUGAAGGUGAGUUGUGUGUGAAAUACAAGUAUGCAACCCAAGAGGGGGGGUGAAUUGGGAUUCUAAAAAUUAUUCAAUUUAUAAGGAAAAACUUAAUGCAAAUAUAAUCCAAAUUCAAAGCAAUAACAAUUAAGUUGAUCACAAUAUAAAAAGAUAAGGGAAGAGGGAUUCAAACACAGAGAUUUUUACGUGGUUCGGCCAACCUCGCCUACGUCCACGCCUCCAAGCUUUUUGGGCUUGAGGAUUCCACUAAGCAAGCCGCCAAGGCUUCAAAUGCUUACACUUGACUUCCAAGGUGUCAAUAAACCUUUACAACAAGAGAUUAUCCCCAAUCUCUUAACCUAAGUGUAUCCCAACACUUACAAUCACUCAAAGUAAAAGAUUACAAAUUGUUUUGCCUCUCACAAUAUAUAAGAUUACACAAUGAUGCUUAAUAUGUGAAUAGAUGAAGCAAGAAUGUGUUUUAAGCUUUAUGAAGAUUGUAUUCUCGAAUAUUUGCUCAAAGGUCGUGUUGUGAUCAAUCUUCUUUGAAUUUGAAUGAGCUUAUUUAUAUCUGGAGAUGAAAAUCUAGCCGUUACAAACUGUCGGACAGAAAACGGUUUGCCGUUAGCCAUAAACGGUUAACCAUUUCGGUUGGUCAAAGUUAGCGUUGGGCCAGAUUUCAAAUAAACGGUUUGCCGUUUAGGAUUAACCUUUCGCCGUUAACUUCCAGAGACCUGCAAGAUGAACAUUGGUUAUCUGUUUACACUAAACGGUUAAGGACUUGCGUGAAGUGGCUUCUCUGGAUAUUAUCGGUUAAUCGUUUGUAAUAAACGGUAAGUCGUUUGACUCCAAUAACCUGCAAAACAAACUAGCCUUAUCAGGUUUUGUUAAUUAGUGCUAGAGGAGGACAACCUUCAAUUCUGGACGUUAUCGGUUAACCGUUUAAAAUAAACGGUUCACCGUUUAAAAUAAACAGUUCACCGUUAAGUUCCAGUUGCCUUUCCAUCCUUGGUGUUUUCCGUUUUUCAUAAACGAUUAGAGCUUAGGCAAUAUGUUGCUUUCUGGUGUUAAUCGGUUAACCGUUUUAAAUAAACGGUUCACCGUUAAGUUCCAGUAACCUUCCCAUCUUUUAUGUUUUCCGUUUUUCAUAAACGGUUAGAGGUUUAGGAAAUAUGUUGCUCUCUGGCAUUAAUCGGUUAACCGUUUAAAUAAACGGUUUACCGUUUAUUUCCAGAAUCACACUUUAAAACAGAUUUUAUAGAAAAUCAUUUUUGAAUUUGAAGGUCCAUCUUUUAUGAAAGAAUGAAUGGAAUGAUUAUCAAGACUUUUGUUUAUUAAGGAAUAGCUCCAAUAUUUUUAUCAAAAAAAUUUAAAAUUUGUUAUCAUCAAAAUCAAUAUUAUUAACAUAUUUAUGUUAACAGUGUGUUUUAUAUUUUUUCUUUAGGGAUAUUUUAGAUAAUGUACCACAUAAAAAGGUAUAUGUAGAUAAUUUUUAACUAUGGGGUAUAUUUAACUAAAUACCCCAUUUUUAGGGCAUCUUUAAUUAAAAACCCCGUGCCGUUGAGACUUGAGAGCUGGACUUUUUUUUUUUACUACUUUCACUUAAAAAAGAAAAUGAAUAUUAUAUAAAAACAACAUAGUUUUAAUUAAUUUUAAAUAUUAUAAUUUUUUUAUUAUUGUUUAUAUCUUAAUUAUGGGUUCCUCUAUGAUGCUGUAAAUUUUUUUACAGCAUCAAUAAUGUAUUAAUUGUGAAUCAUUAGAUCUAAUCAAUGGUAUACAAUAUUUGUACUAAAAAAAUAAUUUAAAAAUAAUGGUAACUGUUCAAGUGGAUGGAUAAUUUUUGUAAAAUAAUUGUGACCACCCUUAGAGUUUGAAACAAUUUUAAUUAAAUAGUAUAUUUAUUUAAAAUGACUUUUCAGCCCUCCUUUAAAUUUGUAAUAUGAUAAUCUCUUUUAAAUAAAUCUUCCAAAAUCAGUUACCAUUAAGUAUAAAAUAUAAUAUCAAGUAUGUUAAUUAACACAAAGUCUUUUAAUAAUUUGUAUUGUAUGAAUUUAAUUACAAACCAUUAAUACCUAAACAAUAAUGAUAAUAGAAAGCAUUGCAAUAACCUAUUUUAUACAUGUUUUAUUAAUAAUAUUUUAUGAAUCACAACAAAUGAGAAAUAUUUUAUUCACCAAUUAUUAUUGAAAAAUAUAUAUGUCUAUAUAACUAUAGAGUGAGAAAUAUUUUGAUUUAAUUUUUUAUCAAAAAAUUAAACUAUUUAUUUCAUGCAAUUCAAUGGUGGAGGAUAUAACAUUAUGAAAUGUUGCUUUGACUUUUAAUAUCAACCAUUAGACUAUGAGAUAUUAGUGGCUUAAAUAUUGUGCCAAAAUUUUAAGUUAAAGUAUCCCAAACCAUAUCUUUAUAAUGGAAAUAUAAAAACAUACAAUGAUUUUUUUCCUCAUUUUGUCCAUUAAAUAUUAUUUGAUGUAAUAUUUUAUUUAUUAUCACUAUUUAUUAUCAUAAUAAAAGUAAUAACUCUUCGCAGCAUAAAAAUUUUAUAAUUACUAUCAAAGAAUAACAAUAAAAUUAUCUUUCAUGAUUCAUAAACUAAAGUUAAUUAGGAAUAUGUGUUAGAUUUAACUUUUAUGAAAUUAACAAAGUAACAUUUGAAAAAUAAAUGAAAACAAGCUUGCGAAAGUUAAAUUUUAUAAGGCUGAGAUAAUUUCCUACCAUGUCAAUAAAAAUCUAAAAAUAUAAAUGAUUUUCUUUCAAUUUUUUUCCCACGUAAAUAUUAUUGGAGGCAAUAUUUUAUUUAUUGUCACUAUUAAUUAUCAUAACAAAAGUAAUGAUUCUUAAUAACAUAAAAUUUUAUAAUUACAAUAAAAUGAUAUCAAUAAAAUAAUCUUUCACGAAACUAAAGCUCAUUAGGAAUAUAUAUUAGAUUUAACUUUUGUGAAAUUAACAAAGUGAUAUUUGAAAAUAAAAUGAAAAUAUAUAGGCUUAUAAAACUUAAAAUUCCUAUCAUGUAAGGGUAUUAAUUGUAAGAUAAAUAUAAAGUUAAGAGAAUAAGUAUGUUAAAUGGGUGUUAAAAAUAAUACAUACUUCAUGAUCAAUUAUACAAUGACCCUUAAUAUUAUAUAAAAUAAUGAGUAUUUUAAUAUACGAUAUUCAAUUUUAUUAAAACAUGUGUGAUCAAGUAAUUUUUAUGUUACAAGCAAUCUCAACAAUGAGUUUAUUGAUGUAACUAUGACGUUUAAUUAAGUAUAUGUACUUAGUUGUGUUAUUUAUUACUAUUAUAUCAUAUAUAAAUUUUGCAAUUGCAACUUAUUUAUUUGAUUUGUGUUAAAUAACCUACCAUUAUAUUUUAAACUUAAUGGUAAUAGAUUUUGGAAGAUUUAUUUAAAAAAGAUUAUCACAUUUCAAAUUUAAAGGAGGAUUGAAAAAUAAUUUUAAAUAAAAUAUGCUAUUUAAGUGAAAUUGUUUCAAACUCUAAGGAUGGUCAGAGUUAUUUUAUAAAAUUCUCCACCCCUUACACAUUUGUUAACCGUUUACAAUUAUUUUUAAUUUUUUUACUACAAAUAUUGUGUACCAUUGAUUAAAUCCAAUGGUACACAAUUAAAAAUAUUAUUGAUACUGUAAAAAAAUUACAGCAUCAUAGAGGAACCCCUUAAUUAUAUAACAUUAAUCUUUUAAAAAAAGUUAAAGAUAAAAUUGAUAGAUUUAUGAUUAUAUAUAUAUAUAUAUAUAUAGACACACAAUCAUUUAUAUAUAUAUACCUAAAAUAUAUAUAGAACCACUUAUGAUUUUUUUUCGAGUUCAGAUUUAUGAUUUUUAGUUAAAUUUUAAAUUUAUGAUUUGAUACCUAAUUUUUCAUUCAGGAAAGGGACAAGGUAGAUUUUUAUAAACUAAUUUAAAGAAAAAUGAUAGAUUUAUGAUUUUAUUAAUAUAUUAAUAUAUAUUAUAAUUAAUAAUAAUAAUUUUUGAAUAAAUAAUCACUAUAAUUAAAAUAUAAAAUAAUAAUUAUAAUAAUUAUCCAUUAAGUACUUUUUAGUAAUUUGUUACAAUCUAACUCAUUCCGAAGCCAAUUCCAAGAUAAAAUAAACAUAUCAAUGAGAUGUCAUUCCAUUCCGAUUUCAAUUCUUGUAGGUCAAAUAAAUAACUUAUUCUGAUUCUCAUUCCCUAUUCCGACUAAUGACAAGUAAAUGCAACAUUAUAUAUAUAUAAACCUUUUUUUUUUGCCUUUGACUCGAAUUUAAUGGUUAGGCUCGGGCCUAAAUUCAGAGCCCGAUUAAAUUCAUAUCAGGGUUCGGGACCUACAUGCCCGACCCGACCUGACCUGACCCUAAAACUUUAAAAAAAAAAGUUUAUAUAUAUAUAUAGUUUAUUAUUUAUGUAAUAAUAUGGUUACGACCUUAAGUAAUUUUUAUUUUUAUGUUACUUCAAACAAUUUCUAAAGCUUUUAUAUUGUAAUGUAUAUGGGGAGGCUAUGUCCAAUUUUUAAAUUUUAAAUUAACUAAAAAUUAAAAAAAAACUGUAAAGAAAGUGUGAUUGGGCUUGAGCUUUCAAAUAAUCGGACCUUUUUAGGCUUGAAAAUUUUAUGUCAGUUACAGAGUCAGGCUCGGAAAUGACUAAGCACGGGCCUGACUCGACCCACUGCCAUCCUUGCGAAUAUACUAUUGAUCCAUUACGAGCUCAUUAGUUAAAUUCAUAAUCACUAUAAAUGUGUUACUAUCAUUCAAAACUCAUACAAUCUAAAAUUGUAAAUACACAAAAAGGUUUUCAAAGACUUCCAAAAGAAUGCCAAUAGUCUAACUCUCUAAUUUAUUUCGCAUAGGAUAUGGGUCGGGUCAACUAAGCUAAACUAAUGUUGAAAAAAAGAAGCAAAUUAAUGUUGGAGUGGUCAAUUGGUCUUCAAAAUUGUAAGAAUAAAAAAACUUUGAAAAAUAACAUAAAACUCAUAAAUUAAAAUUAACUGUAAAUUAAACAAAGAAAUUGUAAUCCACACAUAGGAUAGCUUGGCAGAAAAAUAAGAAAAUUAAUGUUGGAGUUGAAAAUUGGCCUUGUGAAUUAGAAGAAAUACAAAAAAUUAAACAAACCAGCAUAAAACUCGUAAAUUCACAUUAAGUGUGAAAUGAAACUAAAAAAUUGUAAAUCAUACAUAGGACUAGAAGCAUGACAUAAAACUUAUAAAUUGACAUUAAGUGUGAAGUAAAAUAAAAAAUACGUAAAUGUUGGUAUUUAUUAUAAUCAAAUGUUGUCGAUGCCAAUGUACAAGUGUACACAACAAGUAAUAAAGUGAUGAAUAUUCAAGAUCGUUUCCACAUGGAUUGAUGUUGCUAAAAAUGUUACAGCAAUCACAAUAGUGCAAUCUACUUUAAUCUCGAAACUAACAAAUGUAAAGUUGGUUAUAUUGAAAUUGAUAAUUGUGACAGAAUAAAAUGAAACAAUGCAGUAAUGAAAUAAAAUGUGUCGAAGAAUCAAUUAAGAAUAAGAUAGUUAAAUGAUCAAACUCUCUUUAUGGGCUGACUGCUUUUUCUCAAGUUAGCACCAGUUGUUACAGCAAUUGCUACAAUACUGGGCAGAAUUAUUUUGCAUCCUCAGCUGUCGCGUGUUGAAAUUCUCACACCCUUAAGUAUAUUAGCAAUGACCAGUUGCUAUUCUACCUACGGCAUGACCUUAUGAACCUUUAUUCUCUCCACCCUACAAGGUGAGUACCUAUGUCUAAUUUGUCAUAAAUCUUAACUUCAAGUAUAGCCCUUAUGGGAUUCAAGAUAAACUUAAUCUAGGAAACUUAAAUUAAGAUCAAGUAUUACUCUAAUAAUAUCCGCUAAGACAUGUCCUUUUGCGGCUCUAUCUUAAUUUGAACUAUUAAAUGGGUGGUCAACCGAAAUAACAGUCAUAAUAAUAACUAUUAGAGUAAAAUGCUACAGCAAUGACAUAGCAAUUCAUAAAAACAGUCAAGAACCCAUUAGAUUGUUUGUCACUCAACUACAAGCAAAUUUAGUUCAUAUUCUGAAAGAGAAAAACAAAUAUCAAAAUAUUGGUCAUGAAAUACAUCGGUUCAAUCAAUGAGUAAGGAAAAAAAUAAGUAGAGAACAAUGAAGAUUGAAUCCAAAUAACUCUGCUGGAUUCUUCACUGAUGUCGGAUUGGUUCCCUUGAAUUCAGAUUGUUUUCUUCUCUUCCUCUCGAUUUUUCCAAUGUUAAUUCCUUGCCGCCAUUUUAUGUGGUGCGUGCCUCCUUUUAUAACUAAAAACUAGGGCAAACAAAAGCCUCGGGCAUGCAUGAGUUAAAUUAGGAAACUGCAGAUCGCAAUUAUGCAGCUGACCCACGCUAAGUUUUCUCCCUCAGUGCUCCAGGAUUGCUACAGCAAUGGUUGCUCUAAUAACGGCUAUAACACUGCACUGUUCCCGGUUGUGCUUCACUUCUUUUGCGGCCAUAUUCUUUCCUUCUCUUGUUAGUCUAAUAUCUUAGCAUCCCUUCAUGCAUUAUAAACUUCUGAAAACCUACAAUUAUACAUAUGUUUUUAGCACAAAUUACUUUAAUUCAAGCAAAACUUAUUAAGACUCAACUAAAAUUAAUGUUUAUGCAAAAUAUAACCAAAAUAUAAUAAAAACACCUCAUUUACUCUCUAAGUGAUGAUGAUUUAAGUCUAGAAUUGUUGUAAUAACUCUCAUUUCAUAGAGUUAUCAGUAAACCACACAUAAAACUAAUAAAUUGAUGGAAAAAUGGGUAAAUUAAUGUUGGAGUUGUAAAUUGCAAGAAGAACUUGUAAACAAAACAAAAACCUAGAAAAAUAAAAUAGAACUUGUAAAUUGACAUUAAGUGUGAAAUGAAACAAAAAUUUAUAAACCACACAUAAACUAGUAAAUUAAUGAAAAAAUGGGUAUAUUAAUAAUGGAGUUGUAAAUUAGAAAAAGAAAGUGUAAACAAAAUAAAAACAUAUAAAAACGACAUAGAACUUGUAAAUUGACAUUAAGUGUGAAAUGAAACAAAAAAUUUGUAAACGACACAUAAAAUUAGUAAAUUGAUGGAAAAAUAGGUAAAUUAAUGUCGGAGUUGUAAAUUGCAAGAAAAACUUGUAAACAACACAAAAACUUCGAAAAAUGACAUAGACCUUAUAAAUUGGCAUUAAGUGUGAAAUAAAACAAAAAAUUUGUCAACCACACAUAAGACUAGUAAAUUAAUAGAACAAUGGGUAAAUUUAUGAUAGAGUUGUAAAUUAGAAGAAGAAAGUGUAAACAAAACAAAAACUUAGAAAAAUGACAUAGAACUUGUAAAUCAACAUUAAGUGUGAAAUGAAAUAAAAAAUUUGUAAACGACACAUAAACUAGUAACUUAAUAGAAAAAGGGGUAAAUUAAUGUUUGAAUUGUAAAUUGCAAAAAGAACUUGUAAAAAAAAUAAAAACUUAGAAAAAUAACAUAGAGCUUGUAAAUUGACAUUAAGUGUGAGUUAAAAAAAAAAUUGUAAACGACAUAUAAAACUAGUAAAUUGAUGGAAAAAUAGGUAAAUUAAUGUUGGAGUUGUAAAUUGUAAGAAGAACUUGUAAACAAAACAAAAACUUAAAAAAUAACAUAGAACAUUUAAAUUGACAUUAAGUGUGAAAUGAAACAAAAAAUUUGUAAAGGACACAUUAAACUAGUAAAUUGAUGGAAAAAUGGGUAAAUUAAUGUUGGAGUUGUAAAUUGAAAGAAAAACUUGUAAACAAAAUAAAAAUUUAGAAAAAUGACAUAGAACUUGUAAAUUAACAUUAAGUGUGAAAUGAAACAAAAAUUUGUCAAUCACACAUAAAACUAGUAAAUUGAUGGAAAAAUGGGUAAAUUUAUGUUGGAGUUGUAAAUUAGAAUAAGAACUUGUAAACAAAACAAAAACUUAAAAAAAAUGACAUAGAACUUGCAAAUAGACAUUAAGUGUGAAAUGAAAUAAAAAAUUAUUAAACCACACAUAAAACUUAUAAAUUGAUGAAAAAAUGGGUUUUUUGUAAACGACACAUAAAACUAGUAAAUUGAUAAAAAAAAUGGGUAAAUUAAUGUUGGAAUUGUAAAUUGUAAGAAGAACUUGUUAACAAAAAAAAAAUUUAGAGAAAUGACAUAGAACUUGUAAAUUGACAUUAAAUGUGAAAUGAAAUAAAAAAAUUGUAAACGACAUAUAAAACUAGUAAAUUGAUGAAAAAAUGGUAAAUUAAUGUUGGAGUUGUAAAUUGUAAGAAGAACUUGUAAAUAAAACAAAAACUUAGAAAAAUGACAUAGAACUUGUAAAUUGACAUUAAGUGUGAAAUGAAAUAAAAAAUUUGUGAACGACACAUAAAACUAGUAAAUUGAUGAAAAAAAUGGUAAAUUAAUGUUGGAGUUGUAAAUUGUAAGAAGAACUUGUAAACAAAAAAAAAAACUUAGAAAAAUGACAUAAAACAUAUAAAUUGAUAUUAAGUGUGAAAUAAAUAAAAAGUUUGCAAACCACACAUAAAACUAGUAAAUUGAUGGAAAAAAGGUAAAUUAAUGUUGGAGCUGUAAAUUGUAAGAAGAACUUGUUAAUAAAAUAAAAACUUAGAAAAAUGACAUAAAACUUGUAAAUUGACAUUAAGUGUGAAAUGAAACAAAAAAUUUGUAAACGACACAUAAAACUAGUAACUUGAUAGAAAAAUGGGUAAAUUAAUGUUUGAGUUGUAAAUUGCAAGAAAAACUUGUAAACAAAACAAAAACUUAGAAAAAAAUGACAUAGAACUUGUAAGUUGACAUUAAGUGUGAAAUGAAACAAAAAAUUUGUAAACGACACAUAAAACUAGUAAAUUGAUGGAAAAAUGAGUAAAUUAAUGUUGGAGUUGUAAAUUGUAAGAAAAACUUGUAAACAAAAUAAAAACAUAGAAAAAUGACAUAGAGCUUGUAAAUUGACUUUAAGUGUGAAAUGAAACAAAAAAUUGUAAACCACAGAUAAAACUAAUAAAUUGAUGGAAAAAUGGAUAAAUUAAUGUUGGAGUUGUAAAUUAGAAGAAGAACUUGUAAACAAAACAAAAACUUAAAAAAAUGACAUAUAACUUGUAAAUUGACAUUAAGUGUGAAGCGAAAUAAAAAAAUUGUAAACCACACAUAAUACUAGUAAAUUGAUGAAAAAAAAUGGGUAAAUUAAUGUUGAAGUUGUAAAUUGUAAGAAGAACUUGUAAACAAAACAAAAACUUAAAAAAAUGACGUAAAACUCAUAAAUUGAUAUUAAGUGUGAAAUGAAACAAAAAAUUUGUAAACCACACAUGAAAUUACUAAAUUGAUGGAAAAUUGGGUAAAUUAAUUUUAGAGUUUUAAAUUGUAAGAAGAACUUGUAAAUAAAAUAAAAACUUAGAAAAAUGACAUAGAACUUCUAAAUUAACAUUAAGUGUGAAAUGAAACAAAAAGUUUGUAAACGACACAUAAAACUAGUAAAUUAAUGAAAAAAUUGGUAAAUUAAUGUUGGAGUUGUAAAUUGUAUGAGGAACUUGUAAGUAAAACAAAAACUUGUAAUUGUUGUAUAAAACUUGUAAAUCAACAUUAACUUGUAAAUAUUGUAUAAAACUUGUAAAUCACACAUAAUAUUAAUAAAUGUAACUUGGAACUUGAAUAAAAAAAAGUAAUUAUCUGCUACUUAGGUAACAAGUUACCUAUUUAUUUAGAAUUAGUGGUAGAAAUUUUUUAUUCAAAUUUACUGAUUCACGUCAAUUACGGCAUCAAUGCCGUAAAUUUUGUUACGGCAUUAUAGAAUUACCCUAUCUUAGAUAAAAAGAAUUGUGUAUGGCGAGGUCGGGUGCUUGUUGAUAUAUAUAUAUCUUCCUUUCCGAUCAAAUAAAUCCAUAAUUUUUUUUUCUACUCUAUGCACCUAGACAAUAAUGAUGAAUAAAUUACAAAUAUAGAGGUAGAUUCAAAGAACAUAGUUUUUUUACACAUGUAAACACAAUUUUCUGAUCAUUUGAUUAGAAAAAAAAUGAAGGGUCAAGAUUAGAUGGCAUAGGUUAUUCAUAAUUCUCUCAUUAAUGCUCUAUCUCCAUCCUCUCUCUCUCUCAUUUGAGCUAAAUUUUUUUUAUAUGUUCUAUUAUUUAUUUUGUUUAUUCUAUCCGUAAUUUUAUAUCACUAUAAUUACCAUGAUAAAAUUUGGAUAAUUUCAAUGAAAAUAAUUUUUUUUAAACAAUACGAGGUGAUCACCGAACUUUUCAUUUGAUAUCAUUAACUAGAACAAAGCCACAAAGCCAAUGUUCCGAACGUAAAGGUAUGUGUUCUGGUCUGAGUGGCAAGGGAUAACAUCUUCUUGCAUAAAAGAUUAAUGACAUCAGAAUUACCGUAUUUAGGAAAGUGGAACAUUUAUAUGGACAACCUAUAAAAAAUUUCAAAAAGCUAAUGGGCAGAAAAUAAGUAUUUUAAUUCAAAAUUUUGUACUUGAAUUUUUCUGUCCUUUUUACAGCAUUGAUAAUGGGGUUGUUAUAAAUCUUUUGAUUUAAAUAUUUUAAUCUUUAUCAUUAAUUUAUUAAGUGAAUAAAUAAUUAGUUAAUUAAUGGCGUUACCUUUAAAAUCAAGUUGAUAAUUCAAAUUAAAAGAGAUAUUUAUGAAUUUAACACGAAAAAAGAGAAGUUGCAGCGACAAUUAAAGUGUCAAUCACAUUUAUAAUUUCAUCUGUAGUGAAAGUGACAGGUCCAAUAGGCAAUAUACAAAGAGUGUGUGUAUGUAAAAUUGUGAGGAAGUGAGAUGCUGCCGUUGGAUGAAUUGAAUGGACAUGAUUCAUUGUCAAUGUGGGACCUACAACUGAAGGAAAAAAACUUUAGUCAUAGGCUUUACAUACUGGUCCACAAAUAAAAUGAAGGGAAAAUGACAAUCAACCUCUUAAUGUUUGGGAAAAAAAAUAUAAAUCUCUUUAGCAUCUAAAAAAAGAUACGUAACUUCAUUCUUGUUAAUAAAUUUUAUUUGUUUUAAUGAUAAAUUUAUUUUUAAUUUUAAUCAAUGUUAUAUCCCUAUAAUAAAGAAAUCAAUAUAAUAACUUAAGGCAUGUCAUCAAUGACGUGUAUAAUGAAAUCAAUCACUUUUUAUUUAAAACUUAAAAUUGAGAUAUAAUUACUUUUUACCCAAACUUUUCACUUUAUAAUAGUAAUUGUAAAUUAAAAAUAAAUUUACUAUUAAAAAAAUAUAAUUACUAAUAAUAAGGAGGGUUAUGUGCAUUUUUUGAAAUGAUUUGCAAGCAUUUGGGGCUCAUAGUCCUUUCAAAGAAAAUGAAUUCAAUCCCUCCUUUCUCAUCUCUAUCUCUACAUAAAGAAAAUGAAUUCAAUCCCUCCUCUCUCAUCUCUAUCUCUACACUUACCCCCUGCAGAUGGCUUAUUCUUCAUUUUUUCUUGGUAGAGGAUAUAAGGGCCCGUUUGGUAUUGUUUUUGAAUUAGUAUUUUCUAAAAAUAAAAAUGAGAAUGAAAAUGGUAUUUUGCAGUUACUGUAUUUCGAAUUUAAAUAUGCGUUUGGUAUUAUUUUCUGUAUCCUAUAUUUUAAAACUGAAAAUAAAAAUAUGUGUUUGGUAGACACAAUUGAAAAAGAUAAAAAUAGAGAAUAUGCGUUCGGUAGUACUAUUUUUAAAAAAUAGUUUUUACUAAACAUUUAAAUUAUAGUAAAAAAUAAUUGUUUAAUUAAUACAUAUACUUAAUUUAAACAAAAUAAGUAUAAAAAAUCACAUAAUGAUAAAGUUUUAGUAUUAGCAUUAAUAGAAAAAAGUUUUACAUUAUCAUUGUUUUUACAUUAUAAUUAAGUUACAUAUUACAACACAUAAAUUAAACAAAAUAAUUAUAAAAAAAUUACAUGAUAGACAUCAUACAUUAACACUUACUGGAGAUAAAUCAAAUUCAAUAGUGUACAAUGUACUUUCAAGUUACACUUAUUUUAUGAAAACAAGCUCUAAUGACAACAAUGUCAACUCUGAACUACAAGUAUUUAUCCUCGAAGCGGAUUGAUCCCAAAUGAAAUUGCACAAAACAUAAGUCCAAGCAAAACCAAGAAUCCAUAUUUCUUUAAAUCCCACCUAAAUUCGACCAAAAAAUUCAAGAUUUACAUGUCACUACUAGGAAAAUGCAAAUUAAUGAUAGAAAUUUUAUGACACAUAUCAUUGGGUCACUGGUAUAUCAAAAAGCAUGACGUAUUCAUGACUUUUAUCAUACUGACAUUUAUAGAUGAUGGAUGUAUGUUAUGCAUGUAAUUUACAUAAUGAGCAUGCAAAUAUAUGUCAUGACAUGAAACGACGUCGUUCUCUAUUAUUGAGUUAUUGAUUUUAACUACUUUUAUUUGUACACAUGUCAAAUUUUGAUUGAAUAUUUCAUCAGACAUAGAAAAAAGCUUACCUGCACUAUAUUUCAUAGUAAACCAAAAAAUUGCUUAAAUGUGAAACUCUUCUCUGCUCUCACUGGUAACAGCAGUUGAAAUGAUCAUCUAGCAAAAUGAGAUAUAUGAUGCGUUGCAUACCGUGGCAAUCUAAGCGAGGAAUCCUUUGACUUUGGCAAGCACGAGAUCGUUGACCUUCCAUUGGCGACGAGUAGCAGUCAUGGCUAUGGCUUUGCUUGCUCCUUUUCUCAAACUCAGCACCAUUAUUGGAGAAUUGCACCACACUUAAUCGAUAAAAAUGUACGACAACAAACAAGUUGAAGCUAUAACAAAAUAGAUGGAUUGAGAGAAGCAUGCCAAAAUUGCUCUUGUGAGGGUUCUGUUUAGCUGUCUAAGGGUCUCAAGGCACGAUUUGGCAAUGAAAUUUGCAGGCAUUGAAACGCAUAAAUCGGACAAAAGAAGGGUAAGUAUCUCAAAACCCUAAUUUUUGUAAGAGUGAGCAAGUGAUUGUGUAUGUUAAUGUGAGUGUCUGAUUGUUUCUGUGUAAUAUUGGGGGUUAUUGUGGUUGAAGAUGCACAAAAAUUCAAUCAUGUGACUACUUGACAUUACAAAAAUUCAAGAGAUGAUCUCUACUGUCAUCUUUAAAUUCAAAUCUCGGUAGCGGCAGCGAGCAAACAUCGCGCGUCAUCUUCUGUCUUUCUUUUCCUCUCCAAAGCCAAACACCAAAGUAAACAUGUUGUGGUGAGUCCAAUUGCUCAUUUAUUUUGUUGAAUUUGGUGUCUAAUUGAUUUAAUCUUUGAGAUCUACGGUUUGUUUCUCUUUUUAGGUUCUGAAAUUGGAAAAAAAUUGAAUCUUUAUUACAAUGAUGAGAGCCAAGCUCAACAAUAAUUAAAAAGUUAAAAAUAAGAUUCUAUUUCAUGAAAUUUUAUAGUUGAGUAAAAGAGAGAGGGUAUUGAUUGUUCAGCGAAAACCAGUUGAGAAAUAAAGCAUUAUGAGCAAUGAAGAUGAGGCUAAAUCUGAAGAGAUGAUGAAGAAUGAGAGUGCUUUUCUUCUUGCUUGGUUGGGUAUUGGUGGAAUCAUUCUUUUUCAAAGUAUUGCUCUUGCGGCUUCAGGUAUGUUAAUUGAUGAAAAAUAGAGCCCUUGUUGUUAAAUUUUGUUGAUGCAUAUAUCGCUUUGCUUUUCAAUUCCUGAUGAGUAAUUUGGUAAUUUAGUUGAAUUUUUGUGAUUUUUUUCUCUUUUGCCUGGAAGAUUCCUUGAAUUAAAUAAUUAGUACACUUGAUUAGAUUGAUUUCAUAGAUUAGUUAUUAGUUAAAAACUAAUGUGCCAAUUGUUAUCCUUAAAAGUGUAAAUUUUAGAGUUUAAGAGUAGACUUGAUUGUUCAAAUUCAGGGAACAAAGAUUAAUUUUUAAAUAACAGCUUCGUAAAAUUAUAAUAUUUGUUGCCAAUCAGUUGCUUUUGCAUGUUAUAGAAGUUUAAGCCGUCGCAGGAAGUGCCUAGUGCUGGAGUUUUUCUAGAUUGUAUUUUCCUCUCAUUUCUCUUGACAAUUGAGCUGAAGUCCAAACAAAUGACAUACCAUCAGAUUUCUAAACAAAAUCUCUAUUUAAUAGCUAAGAUAUUUAGGAUCUUGGUCUAAUGAACUUGAGACCAACCUCCAAGUCCACAUGAAAGUGCAGUCGCAUACAAACAUAUGGUGAACUAGUUGGUAAAAUGCAUCAAAACCUUGCAUGUCAGCCUAAAUCUUAGGUACACGAUCAUGUAAAUAUAAUCAAGUUGGCUAUCUUUUGUAAGAUUUGCUGGCCCUGCAAAACGAACCAAAUUAAAAAUUGAGUUCUUAACUGAUGUGCAUGUGCUCCAGAUAGGUUUCGGAUAUUUUAUGAAGCUCAGUAUUUAUUAGUUGUUUCCUCGAUUAUUGAAUCAUUCAAUGGUAGUUGCAUGUCUCAUUGAUUGCUAUUGAUAAUGCUUUAAUUCUUUGUUGCUGUUUUUUUACUUUUUCUGCAGUUGUUAACUGCAGUUUCCUGUUGUUUUCCUGCUGUUUUCUACUAUUUUAGUUGUUGUUUCAUGUUGUUUUCCUGAUGUUUCCUAUGAUUUUACAUGUUGUUUGCUGCUAUUAGUGUCGAUAGCUGCUGUUUUAUCUAAUGUUUGGUGUUGUUUUUCGCCACUUUUCUUUUUGUUGUUUUACAAUAUUUUCGUUCAUUAUCCAUUACCUAAUUUUGUAGUGGGGACAAAUUUAUUAGGUACUAGGUUAAUGGCAACAUGUUGACAAUGGAUCCAGCGACUCAAAUGUAUAGAAUUCUUAAGCAUACAAACCAUGAAUACCUUUUUCAGGUUGUUUAAAUUGUGAAAAAAUAUGAAUUUUUUUGUGGGUUUUUUUUAGACUAUCGUUUACGUGAAUACCUCUCAAGCAACUGGAUAUGUUGGUGUUCUUAUAAUAACAAGGUAUGUAUGUUCCAUUCUGCUAUUUUUGUGCUCUUUGGUACAUGGUUUGAGGAAAUUAAAAUAAUCUUUGUUGAUUAUCCGCUAAUAAAUUUUGGUAUGCGACAUAAUAUUUAAUGACCUAUGUGAGAAUUAAUAUUGUGACAUUGUGUUUGAAGCAUCUGAUUUCUGUUGAUUGGUGCUAUUCAUUGUAUGGUUUUUUAGAAAUAAAAUUUUAGUUGCAAGAGACUUCAUCUAAUUUUGAUUUUGUAGCUACACUUGAAUCUUAUUCAUGUAGUUGUGUAGCUUCGAACAUCAAUGGUGGUUUUUUAAAUCUGGUGGCUAAAACAGGAAGAACAAUGUUGUGGCGAAGAUUUUUUGUUAAAUUAAAAGAAUUUAAGUAAGUUAAAUAUAUUGGCUCAUCGAAGAAGGCAGAAUUUUUUUCCUCACUGUUAUAUCAUGCUCCAGAUCUACUGUAUUUGAGAUGGAUUAUACAAGCAUAGGGAAUUGACAAUUGAUCAUUAUGGGAGCAUUUUAAACAUGCCCAAGUUAGAAAGUAAAAGUCAGCAUACUCAUUUUCGUUGUUGCAUGUAUAUUGAUGAAGUGUUGUUCAUUAAUUGCUACGCUACCAUCAUGGAAAGCAUAUACUGAUGAAGUGUUGAUUCAACUAUGAAUUGUUGUACUUAUUUUAUUUGAUAACUGAUAGCUGAUAGUGUUGUAGAUGGAUUUGCUAAUUAUGAUAUAUGAAUUUGAAUUAUGAAUUAUGGUUUAUGAAUUAUGAGAUUUUGAGUGUAUUGUAGAAUAUUAGUUGUUUUUUAGCUGCUGCUGCUAAAAAUAAAAAAUUCAAUUCUAAAAAAAAAUAAUAUUGAUAAUUCAAAUUUGGCACCAAUAAUAUAUUUUAAUUUUAAAAUUAAUCUUAAUAAAUCUUGCCAAAUAAUAUUUAAAAUAAAUUUAAUUUCCUACCAAAUAUAUUUUAAAAAAUUGUCAAAAUUCCCUCUAGAUUUAAUAAAGUUUAAAAAAUUAAAUAAUUUUAUUAUUUCUAGACUAAUUAAUUAAAUGUCAUCUUUGUAUGACAUAUAAUAGUCAUGCAUAAAAAAUGUUUAUGAUAUAAACUAGUCAUGCGCGAAUUUUUUUAAUUAAAAUAAUUAUGACACAAUCGUGACAGAUAAUAUGUCAUGUAUUAGAUGAAGUAUAAAAAUUGUUAUCUAAUUUUCUUAACAUUAUAAUCAAGGACGGUUAUUCAACCGUCUCUAUAGCACAUGAUGGGUAAAAGCCGUCAUAAAACCCUUUUUUUUUCUAAUAGUGUGUGUAGGCGCCCACUUUGAUUUAAUGUCAUAAGUUUCGCAGAGCCAUUCAUUACCAUCCAAUUGUACUUUUUGGAUGUCAUCCUUCCACUUUGUUUUAAUUCGAACUCAUCAGUAGUCUUUGAAUCCUAUAUACAUUUUUAGAAAUUUUUUUUUUAAACUAGAAUUUAUGAGAUGAUAUAUACCUUCACUCAACCUUCGAAAAAAUUAAUUCAAAAUGUGCAAUCCUAAUUCCUACGACUAAAAAUAAAAUCACAAGCAUUGUUUUGGGGGGGGGGGGGGGGGGGGGGGGGGGGGGGGGGGGGGGGGGGAGGAAGAGUGAUUGAAUUCUUCCACAUUUUCUUUUUCAUUUAUAUGUGGGUCCCACGAUGUAAAGUGCUUGACUUAAGUUAUUUUAUUCUUUAGCUGCGGGUGACAGCAAAUUCUAUUCAUACAAUUCAUGUCACAGAUAGCAUCUCAUAUCCACGCAAUUCACAAUUUCCGGAUAUCCGCAUGUAUGCUUUUGUAUACUUUUCAGUUUACACUCUAUAAAUGAGAAGCCGAUAAUACGUUGAAUUUUUUUGAUCUACAAUUGUAUUCAACAAAAUGUCUUUCAAUGAUAUUAAUCAAGAAUUAUAAAAGAAAAAUUCUAUAAUAAAGUGAUUAAAACUGUAGUGUCAAUGACAUGAUAAACAUAAAUUUUAUAAAGUUCACAUAAAACUAGUUAAUGAAAGGUAAAAUAAAUAUAUUAGUAUAAGAGUGGUGAAUUUGUGUUUUAACAUCACAAAUAAAAUAAAAACUUAUAAAAAUAAUAUAAAACAUUAAAUCAAUAUUAAAAUUUCAUUAAACAAAAAAUAAUUUAUUUAUUUAAUUAAAUUAAACAAAGAAAAAAUGCAUUCAUCAAUUGAAAACAAAAAAAAAAGUGAAAUAAAAACAAUUGGAAUAAGUUUUAUUGAUUUUGAUUAACCAUAAAUUCUAUAUUUAUUCUAAGAUAUUCAUACUUUUUUUUUUCAUUUUCUAUCAUAGUAUUAUUUACUGCACAAGUCCAUUAAGCAAAAUUAUUUUUCUUGAUGUGGAUCAAGGCAAAAUAAAAUAAAAAGAUAUCCUUAUAUUACUAGAUAUAUAUGAUAUAUCAAUAAAAUUAGAUCUAAUUUUCUGUUUUAUACAUACUUCAUUCAGCUUUUAACUAUGCUUCUCACUUUUGUUUAAAGAUUAUUUGGGGUUAUUGCCGAGGAAGUUUUGAAGGAUGUAAAAUUACCUUAUCUUAUAAACAGCUUUGAAAAAUUUGAAAAGAAUAGUUAUUCAAAUUCCAAUUUUGAGAAUAAAUUUUAUCCUUAAUAAAAUUCACAUUUAUCAUCACAUGUGUUAAAUAAACCCAAAGCUUCGUUAUUCAAUUUAGAAACAAAAUCAGCAAAUAUAUAAGGUGAUCAUUAUUAUAAUGAGUUUUUAUUUUAUACUUGCAAAGUUUUUAAUAAUUCUUAUGUUAAUUUACUUGUUUUACAUUGAAUUUACAAGUUUUAUGUUUUAGUUAGCUAAUUGAUGUUUUAUUUUACAUUUAAUGUUGAUUACAAGUUUUAUGUUAUAUUAGAGUUUUUUUUUUAUUUACUAAUGAUACACCAAUUUACUAUUUUUAUGUUAAUUUACUUAUUUUACUUUCUAUUUACAAUUCUUAUGUUUCAUUUACAUAAUUUAUAUUUUAUUUUACAUUUGAAGUUGAUUUACAAGUUUUAUGUUACAUUUGUAAGUUUUUAUUUUGUUUAGUAAUAAUACACCAAUUUACCGCUCCUAUGUUAAUUUACUUAUUUAAUCUUUGUUUUACAAGUCUUAUGCUCCAUUUUCACAAUUUUAUGUUUUGUUUUAUACUUAAUGUUGAUUUAUAAGUUUUAUGCUACAUUUAUAAGUUUUUUUUUUUUCAUUUACAAAUAUACACCAAUUUAUCACUCUUAUGUUAAUUUGCUUAUUUUACCUUUCAUUUACAAGUCUUAUGUUCUAUUUACACAAUUUAUGUUUUAUUUUGUACCUAAUUUUGAUUUACAAGUUUUAUAUUACAUUUCUAAGUUUUUGUUGUGUUUACCAAUAGGACACCGAUAGCCACUAAUUGACAUUAAAAAGUGUACAUUUAAUAGGGAUAAAACUAUCAAUUUUUUACUUACAGUGUCGAUUAAUGCAUUCAUUAUUCCUAAAUUAUCUUAACACUUUCCAAAUAUAUAUGUAUGUUAAAUUAAUUUGUAAUAUGUUAAUUUUAUUUUAAUUUUAUAUUGUAGAUAUAUUUUAAGAAUAAAGAGGAGUUGGAACUUGGAAGCGAGAAACAAAUAAGAAUUGCUGGAACCAUUUGGAAUGCAUUAUUGAGGAGAUGUAAUAAAUUAAAAUAUUAAAUAAAAAAAAGUGAGCAAACAUGCUCGUAAUGGUCAAGUGGCUAUUUUGCCAAUUGACCAUCACACUUCUCUCUCUCUCUCUCUCUCUCUCUCUCUUUAUAUAUAUAUAUAUAUAUAUAUUAUAAAAAAAUAAUAAAAUAAUAAGAAAAUAAAAGAAGAGGAUGCAUUGCUCACCUAUAAAAGGCGAGCGGAAACAAGUAGUAGAGUGAGGGAGAGAACAAGAGGGAAGUUGAGGAAUUCUUUCCUUUUUUUUUAGAAGUUUGUUAAAUAAAAUGAAUGUUUUUCUUUUCAGUAUAACUGUGGCACAUUAGGUAUUUGAUCCCAUAUUUAUCCACACAAAUGGUUAGUUGAAAAUUAAAUGGAAAAAUAAGUAACUGGCAAAAGAAAUGCAAAAUAUAAAUUUGGGAGAGUAUUGUAACCAUAAUUUGAAAUCCGAGAGUGGAUCUCGUAACCUUAGCAUAUUUUUAGAUUGAUUCCUAUUAAUUUCUUUUCCAACAUUUAAUUUUCUUUGUGAAAUAAAUUAAGUAGUAGAUUUUAAAUUUCAUGUGGUUUGACCUCGGACUCACCGGAUUAUAUUAUAAUUAGACACUCUUAUACUUAGGAGUAAUAACACUUUUGAGUCGUGUCAACCACUCUUAUGUUAAUUUACUUAUUUUACCUUUCAUUUACAAGUCUUAUAUUCUAUUUACACAAUUUAUAUUUUAUUUUAUACUUAACGUUGGUUUGCAAGGUUUAUGUUCCAUUUGUAUGUUAUCAUUUUGUUUACCAAUAACACCCUAAUUUACUAUUCCUAUGUUAAUUUAAUUCUUUUACCUUUCAUUUAUAAAUCUUACGUUUCAUUCACACAAUUUAUACUUUAUUUUACACUUAAUAUUGAUUUAUAAGUUUUAUGUUACAUGUGUAAGUUUUUAUUUUGUUUAUUAAUAAUACACCAAUUUACCAUUCGUAUGUUAAUUCAAUUCUUUUAACUUUCAUUUAUAAGUCUUAUGUUCUAUUUACACAAUUUAAGUUUUAUUUUACACUUAAUAUUGAUUUACAAAUUUUACGUUACAUUUGUAAGUUUAUAUUUUGUUUACCAAUAAUAUACCAAUUUACCAUUUCUAUGUUAAUUUAAUUCUUUUUCCUUUCACUUAUAAGUCUUAUGUUCUAUUUACACAAUUUAUGUUUUAUUGUACACUUAAUAUUGAUUUAUAAGUUUUAUGUUACUUUUGUAAGUUUAUAUUUUGUUUACCAGUAAUUCACCAAUUUACCAUUCCUAGAUUAAUUUGCUUUUUUAACCUUUGAUUUAUAUGUCUUAUGUUCUAUUUACAUAGUUUAUAAUUUAUUUUACAUUUAAUGUUGAUUUACAAGUUUUAUAUUAAAUUUACAUGUCAUAUGUUUCAUUUACAUAAUUCAUGUUUACAUACGGUAUUGAUAUCGUGAUUUUAAUCAUGGCAUUAUAGAAUAACCCUAAAAUUGAGAGGAAAACUAAAUUUUAUAAACAAGAGUUUUCCAAAUUAAUGACAACUUAUAAUUAUGCAAGUAAUAUAGUUUUCAUUGAUUUAACUAUUCCAUUUAUAGAUUUACAGGAGAGAGGAAAGAGAAAAUUGGAAUAGGAGAAAAAAUAAAAUUAAACAUUAAAAAAAGAAGAGAGAAAAAUAUUAAUGAAGUUAGAAAUUCUUAUCAUCUAAUGUUAACGCUUCAUUCUUAUUUCCAUUUUACAACACUCAAUCAUCUGACAUUAUUAUUAUUGUUGUUGUUGUUGUUGUUGUUGUUGUUGUUAGUACUACUACCACCAUCUUCUUUACCAAUCCUCAGAUAAAUUCAUACUGAACGAUCUUUUAGCCAAAAGUUUCAGCACACUUAUCCUUAGCCAGACCUAACUUUAAGUAUGCAAAAUGAAUUUAGAUUUAGUGUUGAACUGAGUUUUUUACUAGUUCUUUAAAAAGAUACAAUUAGUAGUUAUUAAAUAAGAAUAUAAAACUAAUUAAAUCUUAAAUCUUAAUUAUGUAUUGUUGUACAUGCAUGUGAGGCAGCUCGGGUCAACAUUGGAUCCAAAUCCAUGGCAAAUAACUCUCCAAAUCCAUCAUUUCCUCUAUGACAAAGUGAUCAAAUGGCCCCUUAUUCUCUGCUCCAUGAUGUGCUAAUAAUUUAUAUGUUAAUUUAAUAUUUCAUUAACUUAGUUUUAUGUCAAAUUAUAUUCUCUUAUGUUAAUUUUUAUCUUAAUUUUAAUAUUUUGUUGUUUUAGGUAUAAUCUAGGACUAGAGAGGAGUUCAAUCAUAACAUUCAGAAAGAAAUUUAAUUGAGAGAAUCAGAAAGGGAAAAAAUAAAGAAAUUUAAUUGAAACAAAUCAAGGAAGAUUUACCAUCAUGCAUGCAAUCACGUGGGGGGGGGGGGGGGGAGGGGAGCAUUUAAGAUUUAGUUGACAAAUAUGGCAUGUACGUGAACUUGGGCUUUUGAAUUUGCAAUAUAAUGGCCUAAGAACUUAAAGGUCGCUUGGCUUACUUUUGUGAGUUUGUCUUUUUAAUCCUUUUGGGUUAAGGAUUUAAAGGUCACCGAUUGAGCAUUACAAAAAGAAGAAAACAGGGCAAAAGCCGAAGUAGCCUCACGAAUAGAAUCAGGUAGAAGCACCCGCAAGACAUCUAGAGAGAAGCCAGAUUAAUUCUUGAGUUUUUCUUUCCCUCUUCUCUAUUGCUGUGCUUGAAUGUUCCCUACAAUGUUUAUGAAUUCUUUUUAUAUUCUAAUGAAAUAAUUUAUUUUGCUAGGGCUACAACGUAGCCUAACUAUGAAAUUUAAUUCCAUAAAUCUAUGUUAUUUUUAGUUUAUUAUUCCAUGAUUGGGUGUUCAUUAUUGUACUUAAUGCUUUUAAAUAUCUGGCCAAUAUUUGAAUGAUUUGAGGAUAUAUAAUGAGAGCAAGAGGAGAUUUAUGUAUUUUUCCUAUAUGUAAUGGAUGUCAUGAAUUGAACGAAAGACAGAGAUGUGCCAACGUGAUUCAUGCAGUUUUAUCUAAGAACUUCCAUAGAACUUAAUGAAUUUUUACAUAUUUAAAUUCACUUAGAGAUAUAGUUAGUUAAUAUAUGAGGGUAUUUUUUUUUUAUAUUAUUCGAGAUAAGAUAUUGAAUAGAUUAGAGAAAUUUACUAUCAAUAUGCAUGAUAAUCUUUAAUAGGAUCGAUGGAGGAUUAAAUUGGAUUGGUUAUAGGGAAAUCAUAUGUCCUAAUUUCUAAAUCUCUUGGUGAUUUUUAUUACUGCUUGCAUCUUUAUUUAAUUUUUAGUUAUUUUGUUUUAUCUAGUUUUUAAUCGAAAUUCACUUAUUCAGUUAUUCAAAUAGAAUAGGGUUAGAAUAAUUGAAGUAACUAAUAAAAUAUACAAUCUCUAUAGGAUGAUACUCUAUUCUUUAUUAUAUUACUCGUGUUGACUACUACACUUGCUAAUACGCAACAAGUUUUUGGCUCCGUUGCUGGGGAUUUUUUGGAUUAGUAUCGACACCAACUAACCUUAGUUUAAUUUCAAUUUUAUUUUUAUUUUUAUUGUUUUUAUUUUAUUUUCAUUUUCUUGUUUAAUUUUAUAAGACAUUCAAGAAGUUUUGAUUUAUUGCCUUUUGAUGCAGAGAUUGAAUGUACCUAUAGAAGGCUCAACAGGGAAAGAAGAGAAGCUUUGUAGGAAUAACAACUAAUUAUGGCUAAAAAAACAAUACAAGAAAAUAGAGAUGCAGGACUUUUACGAGAUUAUGUUGUGCCUACAAUUAGUGGUACUCGCUCAAGCAUUGCACGCUGUGCCGUUCAAGCCAAUAAUUUUGGGAUAAUCCAGAUGAUUCAGAUGUCAGUACAAUUUUUUGGGAUGCCGAAUGAUGAUCAAAAUGUUCAUAUUGCAAAUUUCCUAGAAAUUUAUGACAUAUUUCAGUAAAAUGGUGUCUCAGACAAUGUUUUCAAGCUAAGGCUUUUUCCCUUCUCACUUAGGGACAAAGCAAAAGAAUGGUUGAACUCGCUCCCUACUGAUACAAUCAUAACAUGGGAUGACUUAGCGCAGUAGUUUUAGCAAAGUUUUUCCCUUAGUAAAAGCAACCAACUUAAGGAAUGACAUCAUAACAUUUGCUCAAUUUGAGAUAGAGUCACUAUAUGAAGCAUGAGAUAGGUACAAAAACCUACUAAGAGAAUGUCCACAUCACGGUCUUCCAAUUUGGCUUCAGGUAUAAACAAUUUACAAUGGUUUGGGAUCUACUACUAGAACAAUGAUUGAUGCUGCAGCAGAGGCACUUUAAUGGGAAAAACACCACAAGCAACUUAUGAAUUGCUGGAGGAGAUGGUCUCUAAUAAUUACCGGUGGUCUUCAGAGCGAUCAAUACCAAGGAGAACUGUAAGAGCCCAUAAUGUUGAUGUUGUCACAUUUUAACUGAACAAAUGACUGCUUUAUCUAAUAAGCUGGAACAUCUGAAUAUUAGUGCUAUUCAAACGCAAGUGUGUGAAUUAUGUGGGGGAAAUUACACCAUUAUUAACUACCAAGUUGGAAGUCCUUUUGCGUCGUCAUCUACUGAACAAGCUCAUUAUGCGUCAAACUUCUAGAGGUAACAAAACAACCCGUAUUCUAAUACCUUUAAUCCUGGCUAGAGAAACCAUCCGAAUUUGUCAUCGAAAAACACUCAAAAUACAUUGAAGCCACCUCUAGGAUUUCAAUAAUAAGAAAAGAAGUCAAAUUUAGAAGAUGCUCUUACCCAGCUUAAAACGAAUAUGUCUCAAUUCAUGACCAAAAUACAGACAACUUUUGAAAAUCAAGCUGCAUCAAUCCAGAACCUCGAGGUACAAGUAGGUUAGAUUGCAAACUUACUAUCCAACAGACCACAAGGCUCCCUGCCAAGCAACACUGAGACAAAUUCAAAGGAAAAAAAUGAAUGCAAUUAUGGUUCGAAGUGGUAAACAAUUUAAAGAGUCUCCAAAAGAAGUAAAGGAAGUUGAAGAAGAUAACAUGGAGCAAAAUAAGGACACCACUAGAACACUUGAGACAACAAGUUCAGAAAUUCCACUAUCACAACAAUCAACACUAGUCAAAGCCUAUGUCCCUCCAAUCUUGUUUCCUUAGUGUCUUCAGAAAAAUAAAUUAGAUAAGUAGUUUUCUAAAUUUCUUGAUGUUCUUAAAAAGUUGCAUAUUAAUAUUCCUUUUGCAAAUGUUUUAGAACAAAUGUCGAGCUACACUAAAUUCAUGAAAGAAAUUUUAUUUAAACAAGAGAAAACUAGAAGAGCAUGAAACAAUGUUGUUAACUAAAGAGUCCACUGCAAUUUUACAGAAUAGAUUACCACCGAAGUUGAAAGAUCCAGGGAGUUUUUCUAUUAUUUGCAGUAUUAGAAAUUCUUAUUUUGAUAAAGCUUUAUGUGAUUUAGGUGUAAGUAUUAAUUUAAUCCCUCUAUUUGUUUUUAAGAAAUUAGGACUUGGUAAACCAAAGGCAACAACUAUUUCUCUUCCAUUGGUAGAUAUGUCUAUAAAGUAUCCAAGAGGUAUGAUUGAGGAUGUACUUACGAAGAUCGACAAUUUUAUAUUUCUUAUAGAUUUUAUUAUUUUGGAUAUGACUGAAGAUCAGGAAUGCAAAUCAUUUUAGGCUGACCAUUCUUGGCCAUGGGAAGAACUCUUAUUGAUGUCCAAGAAGGAAAACUAAUCAUUAAGGUGCAAGAUGAGCAAAUCACUUUCAAUGUAUUCGAAGCAAUUAAAUGUCCAUCUAAAAUCGACACAUGCCUUUAAAUAGAUAUCAUUGAUAAAAAAAAAAGUAAUUGAAAGCUUUCACAAUAUAAUGUUGAAUGACUUAUUAGAAUGAUGUAUUAUUCACUCUGGGACUACUCAAUUAGAGAGCUUGGUAGGAGUCCUUAUCGACCAAAACCUUCAAUAGAGGAACCUCCAAAACAUGAGCUUAAGCCUCUACCCUCUCAUUUGAUAUAUGCUUAUUUAGAUGAUAACUCUAAGCUACCAGUUAUUAUUUUUUUUACCUUGACAGAUCUUGAACAGGAAAAGCUACUUCAUGUUUUAAGAGACCACAAAACUGCUCGAGAAUGGACUAUUGUUGACAUCAAGGAAAUAAACCUUUCAAUUUGUAUGUACAAAAUUCUAAUGAAGGAGAUUUAUAAGCCUACAAUGUAGCCACAAAGAUAGCUAAAUCCAAACAUGCAAGAAGUGGUUAAGGCAGAGGUGCUUAAAUUGAUGGAUGCUAGGAUAAUUUACCCAAUUUCUAAUAGUUUACGGGUGAGACUAGUGCAAAUGAUACUAAAGAAGUGCAAAAUGAUAGUCAUGAAAUAUAACACCAAUGAACUUAUCCCAACAAGGACAACCACAGGUUGGCGGAGUAUGCAUGGAUUAUAGGAAACUUAAUGUUGUUACUAGAAAAGACCACUUUUCACGGCCUUUGUUUGACCAAAUGUUGGAGAGAAUUGCUGGCCAUACUUACUAUUGCUUUUUAGAUAAAUAUUCAGGCUAUAAUCAAAUCUUUAUAGCACUAGAAGAUCAAGAGAAAACCACCUUCACAUGUCCUUAUGGAACAUUUGCUUAUAGAAGAAUGACAUUCGGUUUAUGCAAUGCACCCACUUUUCAGCGUUGUUUAAUGGUUAUAUUUUUUUAUAUGGUGGAGAGAUUCAUUAAUGUGUUUAUGGAUGAUUUCUCGAUUUUUGGAUCUUCAUUUGAUCAUUGUUUGAACAAUUUAGAUCUAGUUUUGCAGCGAUGUGAAGAGACCAACUUAGUUUUAAAUUAGGAAAAAUGUCACUUUAUAGUGUAAGAAGGCAUUAUACUAGGUCAUCAUAUUUCUACUAAAGAAAUUGAAGUGGAUAGAGCAAAGAUUGAAGUCAUUGAGAAGUUACCGCCACCGACUUCCGUGAAAGCUAUAAGAAGUUUUAUAGGCAUGCCGGGUUUAAUCGACGUCUUAUUAAAGAUUUUUCAAAGGUAACGAAACCUUUAUGCAACCUUUUACUCAAGGAUGUUCUUUUUAAUUUUACUGAUGAGUGUUUGCAGGCUUUUAAUACUUUGAAAGAAAAACUAACCUCCGCUCCAAUAAAUAUGGCAUCUCAUUGGGAUCUAUCUUUUGAGCUUAUGUGUGAUGCGAGUGAUUUUGUUGUUGGAUAGUUUUUGGGUAGUGGAAUAAAAACAUGUUGCAUGUCAUUUAUUAUGCAAGUCAAUCUCUGACAGACGUGCAAUGGAAUUAUGCUACUACUGAGAAAAAGUUUGGCUGUUGUGUUUGCACUAGAAAAAUUUCGCUCACAUUUGAUUUGCUCAAGGGUGAUAGUUUACACUAUUCAUUCCGCUCUAAGUAUCUAUUCAUAAAGGUAAAUGUAAAAUCAAGACUGAUCCAUCAGGUGCUUUUACUAUAAGAAUUUGAUUUAGAGAUUUGAGACAAGAAGGGAUUUGAAACUUUGGUGGUGGAUUACUUAUUUCGGUUAGAGCAAAGAGAGCAAAAAGAUAAUGUAGUGGUUUCAAUUAUUGAAGAAUUUUCUAAUGAAAAGUUACUAGUUCUUUAAACUUUUGAAUGUAGAAUUUUCUAAUAAAAAGUUACUGGUUCUUUAAACUUUUGAAUGUAGAAUUUUCUAAUGAAAAGUUUCUGGUUCUUUAAACCUUUGAAUGCAGUGGUUUCAAUUAUCGAAGAAUUUUCUAAUAAAAAGUUACUGGUUCUUUAAACUUUUGAUGCACCAUGGUAUGCAAAUUUUGUAAACUAUUUGGUGAGCAUCAUUGUUCCUUUUAAUUUAUCAUAUCAACAGAGGCAAAAAUUCCUCUCAUAUGCCAAAUCUUAUUUUUGGGAAGAUCCAUUCUUAUAUAAGUAUUAUUUAAACCAAAUCAUUCAAUGAUGAGUUCUAGAAGAAGAGAUGAGAUGCAUUCUAUAGCACUGUCACUCCUAUGAGGUUGGUGGACACUUGGGUGUAUCCAGAACUUCAGCAAAGGUGCUUCAAUCAAGUUUUUAUUGGCCCAUCUUAUUUAAAGAUGCUUACAUUUUUGUUGCUACUUGUGACUAAUGUCGAAGAACUGGUAACAUUUCAAGGAAGAAUAAAAUGUCGUUAAAUAAUAUUCUUGUAGUAGAAUUGUUUGAUGUUUAGGGAAUCAACUUCAUGUGUCCAUUUCCAUCUUUCUUCAAGAAUAAAUAUAUUCUAGUGGCUGUUGAUUAUAUUUCUAAGUGGGUCGAAGCUGUUGCUUUGCCUUCAAAUGAUGCAAGGGUCGUUGUGAAUUUUUUAAAGAAAAAUAUUUUCUCACAAUUUGGCACUCCAAAAGCCACUAUAAGUGAUGGUGGGAAAUAUUUUUGCAAUUGGCAAAGCCCUCUUGAACAAAUAUGGAGUUACACAUAUAGUUGCCACUCAUUACCAUCCACAAACCAGUGGCCAAGUUGAAGUCUCUAAUCGGGAAUUAAAGAGAAUUUUGGAGAAAACUGUAAAUGUGUCAUAGAAUAAUUGGUCGAAAAAACUAGACGAUACACUUUAGGUUUAUCAAACAGCUUUGAAAACACCUAUUGUUAUGUCUCCUUAUAAUCUAGUAUUUGGAAAAGCAUGCCAUCUGGCUGUUGAACUUAAGCAUAGGGCAUAUUGGGCUAUGAAGAUUUUGAACUUUGACAUGCAAGCUGCAGGAGAGAAGAGAUUGUUGCAACUUAAUGAAAUAGAUGAAUUUCUCAAUGCAACUUAUGAGAAUGCUCAAAUCUGUAAAGCCUGUACUAAAAAUUUGCAUGACAAACAUAUCCUCUGACGUGAAUUUUAGGUUGGUCAAAAGGUUUUAUUAUAUAAUUCUUGACAUUGAUUCUUCCUAGGUAAGUUGCGAUCAUUUUGGUUGGGCCCUUUUACAAUAACACAAGUCUUUUCGUCUGGCGUGGGAGAAAUUUCUCAUUAGGGAUGGCAAAAAUCCCCACGGGGACGGGUACUCUCGGGGAUUUUCUCCAUUCGGGGAGGGUAUGGGGAUAAUUUCAUACCCAAUUUCUUAUUUGGGGAAGGGACGGGAAAUUUUUUUUAUCCAAUUUCUUAUUCGGGGAGGGGACGGGGAUGAAGUAAAAUCCCCAUCCCCUACCCAUUUCCCUAUUUUAAUUUUUAAUUUAAUUUUUAUUUUUUAAAAUUACUAGUAAAUAAAUAAUAAAAUUUGAAUUAUAAAAUUAUAAGUAUUGGUAAAAAUAAAAAAUAUCAAAAUAUUUAUAUUAUUAAACUUUUAAGCCUAAUUAACUAAUUAAAGUCCUAAAUUUUUAUUUAAGACAUUAAAAAGACCGGACAGAUUCUAUUAGCCCAAAACUUUUGUUUUAAUUUUAAUAUUCAUUAAAUAUUUUAAGCUUAAAUCUAUUUUUUAUUUAUCUUAAAUCUAUUUUUUAUUUAUUUUUAGAUGUUAUAAUUGCCCACAGCAAAUCACAAUUUUAAUAUCUAAUUUAAUCUAAUAUUUGCUCUUGAUUUGCUUCGACUUAACUAUUGUGCUGUAAAGGGAAUAGUCCACAUUUAUAAAGUGUCCACGCCACCAUUGAAAAGUUAAUUUAGAAUCUAAAUUUGAUUUUAUUUGUAACAAUUUUGUAUUAGGCUAUUAAUUUGUUCAUGAUAGUUUGUAUCUCUUACAUGCUGCAUUACUUACUAAUUUAAUGUAUGUGACUUUUGUAAUGGAUAUUGAUGUAAGAUAUAUUUCGAACUUUACUUUUAUUUGAAUUUUUUAUUUUAAUAUGAUUAACUCAAAAUCGAAAACAAAAAAAAUGUAUUAGUUAUUCGAGGAUCGGGGACCCUCGGGGAUCCCCUGUUAUUAUUCGGGGAGGGGAUGAAGAUUCUCUUAAAUAAUUUUGACGGGGAUGGGGAGGGGACGGGGACAUACGCAAAAUAUCAGGGAUGGGUACGGGGAGAUUGGUCCCCUCCCCUCCCCUCCCCAUUGCCAUUCCUAUUUCUCAUUAUACAAACAGGUCAACGGUCAUUGAUUGAAACCCUUUUGGAUGAUUCAUUUGAUAAAUACAAGAUAGCUAUUGGGAUGUCUAAUCCUGAAUGACGACCCAAGACAGUCAAGCUAAUGACUAUAAAUUAGGCACUUCUUAGGAGGCAACCCAAGCUUUCAAAACUUCACUUAUUAUUAUUUUUAUUUUGUAUUUUCAUUUUUCCUUAUUUCAUUUGUUAUUCUUUUCUUUUACUUAUUUUAUUUUAUCUAGGUUUCUGCAUAAGUUUGAGGGUCGACGAUCAUCAACUUUGCACAUGCCUUUCAACGACUCAACUACAAGUUCACAUCUUCAAGUGCAAAACUGGGGAGUUUCUCUUUCCUUUUCUAUCUAUUUACAUUAAGGACAAUGUUGAUUUUAAGUUUGAGGGUGGGAAUAUUUGCUUUCAUUUAAAAAUAAAUAAAAUUUUGUGUUGUUUGUAUGUUGUUUUUAUGCCAUUGAUGAGUAUAUGGUUGAAAAUGAAUAUGGUUAUGAGAAACGGAUGAAUAUUGUCUUAAUUUAUAAUUGAUUCUUGUUUUAAUUUCUCUUGAUUGUGAUUAUUUAAAUAUCUGGAACACUUAUAUCGAUUCUUUCAGAUUGUUUACCUCGAUUCUACAUUACUUGUGUUUACCCUGGCACCACAGUCAGAAAUAGUUACUUAUAACCCUUAAGAGUGAAGCUAUCCUUUAAUAAUUUGGGCAUAUGUACCAUCAAUAUGUAAAGGAUAAUCUAUCAUGAAAAAAAGGCUACCUUAAGGGGUAGAGGUAAAAGCUCCUUACUAUAUAUAUAAGAAAAGCAAAAGCAUGUGCUUUACGAGAAAUCCCAAGAAAAUACAAAUUUAGGCAUGUGCAUUUUUAUUUUUUAUUUUUAAAAAAUCAAGAUGAUGAGGUUAGUUUGACCUAUUUUGUUUAUUAUUUGAUACAAGGGCUGUUGAUAUUGAAAAUUUUUAGAGUGAGUUUUGAUUGAAUCAAUUUACACACAAUAGAAGAAUCCAAUGUGGGAUGAGGCUGACUAUUGAAUUAAAGUUAGAGCUUUGCCGAUAUUUAUAAUUUUCUUUGAGCUAUAUACUUUAUGCAAUCUCUGAGGCAUUUUUGAUGAUGUUUAUGGGUACCAUUGCUGAAAACCCUCAUGAGACUUUAACUCGUCCACUAGAGCAGCCUAGGGGUUUAAAGGUUUGUUGCAUAUGCUAAAUGCAAUCGUGAUCACCAGCAAAAGUGGUUCAAUUAGGAUUUUCUUCUUGUAGUUUCCGUUUUAGUUUUUACUCGAGAACUAGCAAAAUGUUAAGUUUGGGGGUAUUUGAUGUGCUAAUAAUUUAUAUAUUAAUUUAAUGUUUCCCUAACUUAAUUUCAUGUCAAAUUAUAUUCUAUUAUGUUAAUUUUUAUCUUAAUUUUUAUAUUUUGUUAUUUUAGGUAUAAUAUGGGAUUAAAGAAAAAUUGAAUUAGAAUAUUCAGGAAAAAAAUCUGCUUGAAAGAAUUAGAAAGGGAAAGAAAUAAAGAAAUUCAAUUUAAACAAAUCAAGCAAGAUUUACCAUCAUGCAUGCAAUCGCGCGGGGGGGAGGGGGGGGGGGGGUGGGGGUUGUGGAGCAUUGAAGAUUUAGUUGACAAAUAUGGCAUGCACGUGAACUUGGGUUCUUGAAUUUGCAAUAUGAUGACGUAAGAAUUUAAAAGCGGUUUGGCUUACUUUCAUGAGUUUGUUUUUUAAUCCUUUUGGGUUAAUGAUUUUAAGGCCAUCGAUUGAGUAUUAUACAAAGAAGAAAACAGGGCAAAAGCCAAAGCAGGCGCAAAAACAAAUCAAGGAGAAGCAGCUACAAGGCAUCCAAAGAGAAGCCGGAUUAAUUCUUGGGUUUUUCUUUUCCUCAUUUCUAUUGUUGUUCUUGAAUGUUUCCUAAAAUGUUUAUGAAUUCUUUUAUAUUCCUAUAAACUAAUUUAUUUUGAUGGGGCUACGAUGUAGCCUAAUUAUGAAAAUUUAAUUUCAUAAAUCCAUGUUACUUUUAAUUUAUUAUUCCAUGAUUGAGUGCUCAUUAUUGUGCUUAAUACUUUUAAAUAUCUGGCCAAUAUUUGAAUGAUUUGAGGAUACGUAAUGAGACCAAGAGGAGAUUUAUAUAUUUUUGCUCUAUGUAAUGAAUGCCGUGAAUUGAAUGAAAGACAAACAUGCGCUAGUGUGAUUCGUGCAGUUUUAUCUAAAAAUUUCUAUAGAGCUUAAUGAAUUUUUACAUAUUUAAAUUUACAUGGAGAUAUAGUUAGUUAAUAUGUGGGAAUAUUUUUAAUAUUAUUCGGGAGAUGAUAUUGAAUAGAUUAGGGAAAUUCACUGUCAACAUGAGUAAUAAUCUUUAAUAACAUAGAUGGAUGAUUAAAUUGAAUUAGUUAUGGUGAAACCGGAUGUCAUAGUGUCUAAAUCUCUUUUAGUGAUUUCUAUUACUAAUUGCAUCUUUAUUUAAUUUUUAGUUAUUUUAUUUAGUUUUUAAUUUAAAUUCACUUAUUUGGUUAUUCAAAUAAAUUAGAGUUAGAAUAAUUUCGGUAUCUAAUAAGAUAUACAAUUUUCGUGGGAUGAUACUCUACUCUUCAUUAUUUUACUUGAGCCAACUAUUAUGUACACUUGCUAAUUUACACAACACUCCAUCCGAAGGCUCAAACGAAAAUCUGUCGUGCUUGUUUUCCACCGAUUAGCGUUGUCCCAAUAUGGUUCAUAAUCAACGGUGUAAAACAGUUUGAAAACUGCAUCGAUGGAUAUGUUCACUUCUGGGACUGUGCCGCUCCACCGUAGCUAUUACACCAUUGGAUUUUUUGAGUACCCCUUUGACUUGAUUGUAAAACUAAAAAUGACUCGGUCGAACCAGUGCACGGCUUGAGCAAUUGUCACUAGAUCUACGGUUGAUUGUGCUGCGAAAUUUUGUUCAAGUUCAGGACAUUGGUGGUGCAGUGCAGCGAUAUCAAAUCGUCGGUCGCUUUGUUGCAAAUUCUAAUUGUUUGGGGCUCGGGUCCGAGCCUAUAACAUUUUUUAACAUCCCAGCUAGUUGAAAAUUUACAUACAAAUAUAAAGUUAGGGUAGGUAGCAAUCCAGGGUUUUGGUUCUACGGGGGGCCAAUAAAGAAAAUAAAAACUAAAGCUGGCUGUAACACUAUAUCAGUAAAAUUAAGAUGCUAAUAUCGUAGGAGUUAUCAGGCGAAGCCAAAUUGAACUUGGGAAACCUUAGAAGUGUUCAAUUUUGACCCCGAUUUUUCAUUUUUAACUUUUUAGGACUUUCGAAGAUUAAAUAGUCAUGGACUUGGCUUUUUUCCUUUGUGCUUCAAUUUUUGUAAAUGUUGGUCCGGGUUGUCUUACCUUGUGGUUCAUUGUUGUAAAGAAUUUUAAUAAUAAUGGAAACAGAGGAUCCAUCGUGGUCUCUUUGGAACAUCCGAUAAAAUUAGAACCGAUACGGAGAAUGAAGAGAAUGCACCAUGGAUGAUGAAAUGAAGCAACAAGACAUUCAGUUUUCACAACUUAUACUCCAAGCUUAGUAUCUAAAUUUUCAUAAAAAUGAAGUGAUUCAUUGCAUCGGAUUUGGGAGCCCGGAGGACUUUUGAUUUUGCAUUUUACAAGUAAAAUCAAUGGGGAAGAGGAUUCUAAACUUCACAAAAGUUGAAGAAAAUCAAAAUAAGUAAAUUCAACUUUUCUCUCUUUAGACUAUCUUUUACUUUUCACUCUCUUUAUAUUGACGUGUUUUCUUUCUUUUUCUGUUAUACUAAAAACCAGGGACUAUUUCUAUUUUUUUAAUAAAUCCAAAAAAAUUAAUUUCAACGCCAGAAAAACUUCUAUUGCCUAUUAUUGAUUUCUGUUAUAGCAAUUGUUCAUGGAUUUCUGCUGAAAAUUCAAGAGAUUGACAAAUUGACAAACCUGCUGAAAAUUCAAAACUUCCGUUGAUUUAAAACUUUUAUUGCCUAUUAUUGAUUUCUGUUCGUGGAUUCCUGCUGAAAAUUCAAGAGAUUGACAAACCGCUCUCCUACAUAUAAAUUUAAAUACUGACAUGGAGGUCUGGUUGCAAGCCGACAAAUCAACUCGACUAGAUUCAUCAUCAACAAUAUGUAUUAAUUUGAGCUUGAAUAAACUAUUAUUAAUUUCCUACUUUUCCAAUUCUCAGAUAAACUGGAAAUCGAGCAACCUUUUUACUCUGGCCAUCUGAAUUCCAAGCAACUUUAAACUUCUCCAUCAUAUUGUCUGUCAAAAGCUCAACACCCCUGUUCUUAGCCGUCUGAUAACCUGAACUUGACCGUAUGAACGUUAAGUAAUCAUCUAAAUCCAUCAACUUCUCUAAAACAAACUGAUCAAACGGCCCCGUAUUAUCCACCCCAUCUACAGGCUCAAAUGGAAAAUCAAUGCUCAUGUACUUGUUCUCCACCAAUUUAUGUUGUGGUUGCCGAAAUGGCUCAUAAUCAACGGAGUGAAAUGACUUGAAAACUGCAUCUACGGACUCGUUGAUUUCGGGCCAGUAGUAGGUCCAUGCCGCUAUUACUCCAUUAGGUUUUUUGAGUACCCAUUUUACUUGUUUGUAAAAUUGAGGCAAGUCAAACCAAUGUAGUGCUGUAGCAAUUGUCACUAGAUCUACACUUGAUUGUGUUGCCACAUUUUGUUCAAGCUCAGUUAUGGACAUGGUUGGAGGAGUAAGUUGAUACCGAAUGUUGGGGAGCUUUAUUGCGAAUUCUAGCUGCUUUGGGCUUGUGUCUGUAGCAAUGACAUUCUUGUAGAUUGGUGCAAGCUGAAGACAUAAUUGAGAAAAAAUAUAAAAUAUAGGAGGCUAUAACAAAAGUACACAAAAUUGAGAAGGCCAUAUAUAAAAAUUACAUAGACAUGGUGAAAUUUCAACCCAUACUCAGUUUUUGUGUUUUUUUUUUUUUCAUCCUCAAGGUUGCCGGGAUACUCUAGUUCCCCCCUCGGUAGUUAGAUAAGAUUUUUCUGUACUAGUCUCACGACUAAAUUUCCAGAUAAUGUGGAUAUUGAUUUGUAGAUAAUACAUACAUAAUUAAUCAAUGAAAAUAAUAGGGAUUUAACUAGGGAUUGGCAAUGGGAGGAGAUCGACAUUCCUGUAUCUAUUUCUGAUACUCUACUUGUAUCCUUCUACUCUCCCCGUCCUUUUUAAAAUUGCUUGAGGAUAGGGAUGGGGAUCCCCAAAAACACCCGAUCCCGAACAACUGAUUUUUGAACUUGAUUUAAUCAUAUUAAAGUAAAAAAAUAAAUCAUUUAACAACACAAACACAUCAAAACAAACUAAAAUCAUUAAAAUCAUUUUCAUCAAACUAAUUAAGUUAGUGUCAUCAAAAUUACAAGAUAAUCGAUGAAAUUAAGUAAAAAUAGAACUUCAGGGUUGAACACAUACAUAAAAGUUACAUGGUAUAAACCAUUAAGAAAAUUAUCUUCGUCAAUCUUCAAGUGUUCAUAUCUAUUAUGAUAUUUUUUUUAUUUAUAUCCAUACCAUCACAAUUUAAAUUUUAAAUAUAAUUACUAAAAAUUUUCACAGAAAUAAAAUAAAAUAAAAAAUGGGGAAACGAGAGAGAUGAGGAAUUCACUGAAUCCUCAUCUUCUCCCUGUAUAAGAUAUUGAGUGUUAAGUUAUCUCUGUUCGUUCCCCGAAUUUUAAUUAAGAUACAAAAUUGUUCCCACACCCUACACAAAUGGGAAAAAUCCUUCAAGAUUCGUCCCAUGAGAAUUUCUGCUAUCCCUGAAUUUAACAGUUAUAUAAUUCAACUUUCUUAUAGCUUGGGAUCAGAAUUCUGAAAUAUUAAUAUCGAACUUUUGUAUUAUUCAAAAAUUAAAUCUAAAGAUGUGAAAAGUAAACUUACGGAUGCAGCGGCCUGGCCGCUUCCGGUGCCGACGUCCCAUACAAGCUCGUGUUUGGGUGUUUUAGAGGCAAUGAAUUUGAACAAUUCUUCUGGAUAAUUUGGUCGUGCUUCCGCGUAUUGCUUUGCCUGCUUAACGAACAUAUCUGCCAUCUUUUCUGUUUUUUUCUAAAUAAGUGUUGACAAUAGAAUUGAGAUAAAUCUACUGAUCACUUGUUUCGUUUCUUCUUUAUAUAGGUUUUAGAAUUUGAUGUAGUAGACGAACAGACAAAUUUUAGUUAGAAAUUAAUUUGGUAUGGUUUAUCUGGGGAAGCCCAGAACGAGGACAAGCUCAUAAAGCGUUAAAUUUUGACCGAACUUUUCAUUCUUCCUUUAAUUUUCAAAGAUUCCCUUUUCUUCGCAAAGAUGAUGGUAUGGACUUCAUCAAUGAGCCCACAUCAACUCCACUUAGAGAAUUUUUUUGGGAUAAUUUUGUCAUUAAUUUAAGCUGUUAAAGGUAUCUAAAGAAGUAUUGAACUACUACUUUGCUCUCUUAUGGGGUUAAGAUGGCGGAGUUUAAAGGCAGAUUCACCUCAUGACCAUUAGGAGUUCAAGCUUCCAAUGGAGAAAAUAAUUUAAAAAAAAGUAAUGAGAUGAUUGUUUGAAUUAUUAAUUAGAACCAUUAAAUUUAUUAAAAUAAUCGUGUUAAAUUUAUAAAAAUAGGUCCACAAAUUCAUAAACCUAUAAAAUUUAAAUUUUGACUUUGAAACAUAUAAAAGCUCAUGCUUUAAUUAAAAAAAUAAAUGUUUACAGUAGUCAAAUUUAUUAUUAUUUAAUUUAGCCCUAUUAAAUUUACUAAAGUAACCUCUACAAACUCAUUAAUCUAUAAAAUUUUAGUAUUGAUUACAUUUUGUUAUUAUAUAAUUUAAUCCUCUGAAUUCGCUACCAUUUGGAAUUGGCUCUCUAUUAUUACUCGAUCUAGUCCAAGUUCAAUCAAAGUUGGCUCUCUAUUAUUACUUGUUCUAGUCCAAGUUCAAUCAAAGUUGGCUGUCUAUCAUUGACACUUCUCGUUCAGGUUCAAUGAAAGAGAUCAAAGCAGAGUUUGUUUGCGAUUCAGUUUGUGUAAAUGCAUGUAGGUCCAGGUUGUCUUAUUUUGUGGUCCACUGGUGUAAAGAAUUUAAAAAGUAAUUGGAUAAGAGGAUGCGUCUUGGAUGAUGAAAUGAAGCAAUAACACAUCUUCAUGUGCAGUUUUUACGACGUGCACUCGGUAUGAUUAUGAAUAAAAAAAUUAUUAUCCUGUGGUGUAUUUUUUAUCCUGUAAUUAAUUUUGUUUGUCUUUUAAUAUUGUGUGCUUUUAUAUUAUUUUUUGUACACGUGUCAUUCAUUGUUUCACUACUAUUACCAUGCUCCUAAAAACCUUACUUUUUUUUUUUUUCGGAAGAUGCCGCAUUUGCUUGAUUUCAACAUUGGCAUGCUCGUCCUUCUUACGCUUUUGUCUUUCUAUAAUCAUCAUAUUCAAUGGCAAAAUUUCAACAAGAUAGAGCAAACAUUCAACAAAGAUAAGUCUUCUUAUUGGAUUAGGCAUAGAUUUUUAAUUAAUUUGUUAUGGAAGUUGGUGGCUAUCCACUAUCAGCUUAGAUCAAUUUAACUAGCUAUACUUAAUUAGCUAAGUUAUUUGGGUGAGCAAAGUCUGUUAGUAGUAAAGCUCGGAAAAUCACCUAAGAAAAAUUGAAAAAGGACCAUCAAAUAUACACAGUUUGCUUUGAUUGGCCAUUCAACAAAGCAUCUGAAGAGAUUGGAUGGCUAAAGAGCUAAGGCUUGGCUUUGUUUUGAUUGGCUAAUGGAUCCUAUAAAUAGAGAGCACUGCUCUUCGUGAUUUGUAUCCUAAAUUGAAACCUCAUCAAUUACAAAAAUAUCACCUUCCUUUGUAUCAUCUAUAUAUUAAUUUAUACUUUCUACAUAUAUGUUGUCAAUGAUUAUAACACGUUAUUAGUUAGCACGACAAUCAUUUUGGUACAGGAAGUAUCUUAUCCCCUGCUCUUUUAUUUUAUCUAUUUAAUUAAUAAAGCUAUCUUUAUAAAUAUACUCUGAAGUUGUCAUUAAUUUGGAUCUUCCACAUAAAAAAAAUAUGACUAGCUAUUGUAUUUCUUCUUGUUUAUUUUAUUUUAUUUUUAUAAUAGAGGGGCUCUAGAACGAGCUAAGGUAAAACAUAUAGGGAGUAAAUAAUCCCAUACAAAUCAUUUGCAAUAAAACUAACAACCCCUGGAGGAGGAAUAGAAAAAAGAUGCAAUCCCAAGGGCAGCUCCAAGGCAUAAUUUGUUAGGAAGUCCGCUGCGAAAUUUGCUUCACGAUAUAUGUGGUUGAUGGUUAUAACCCAAUUUCGCUUGAUGAGAUCUCUAAUGGAGCGGAUGAGGUGGGUAUACUCGUUGAUGCUCUCCAUCUCUAAUGGAGCGGAUGAGGUGGGUAUACUCGUUGAUGCUCUCCCUGUGGCUGUUAACCAUCUGAACAACACAGUGGCUAUCCACUUCCACGUGUAAAAACCAAGCACCAUGUUGCCAUGUUAAAAUUAAUCCUUGGUAAAGGCCCCAAAGUUCUGCUGCAAUAACUGAACAGACGCCUAUGUUGAAGCCAAAGCCAGUGAGCCACAUGCCUUGGUGGUUGUGUAUGAGACCUCCAGCACUUGAUGCCCCCAACUCUUUUCUUGCUCUGUCUGUGUUUAGCUUGCACCAGGGCCAGUUAGGUAACUUCCAGGUGAUCAAUCUCUCAAUUUCUCUUGAUCUCAACAACCAAAGAUGAGUUGUUGAUGUUCUAAAUCUCCUCAACUCUAGCUUUAAUAUCUUGUAUUAUACUAAUACUGUCCAUUAUAAAUAAAGAUAAAACAAAACCUUUUUCAAGUCACGGUGUUGUGCAAAUUUUAUUGAACUCGCAAGUGCACGAAUCUAUUGUAGAAUAGACUAAUGGUGACGAGUGUCGAUCCCACGAGAAGGUGGAUUUUAAUUGUGUGUAGAAUUAAUUUUGUAAAUGGGUGGUUGGAUUUGUGGUGAAAAUGAUUUGGAUUAUCCUAAAAUUCGAAUUAAGAUGGCAAGAGUAAAUUGAAGUGAAAAUAUAUUAAAUUGACGUACUUGGGUAUCUGGAUCCGUAUCAACAUGCAUCAUGGGCUAAAUAUUCUUUAUUAAUACCAAUUAAAUCAUGAGGGGGGAAUCCACAUCUCAUGAACCACACUCUAAUCAAUAUGGUGCUAAGGGCUUAUCGUGCCAAAUAAUACUAACCUUGUAUUAGGAAGCCAGUGAAACCAAGGCGGUACUAAACAAGAUUAUUAUUAUUUGUCGACGAGAAGUCAAAACAUCCACAAACACUAGAGGGGAAUAGAAAAUAAAUUUACCAAAUAAAGCCCAUGACACAUGUUGAGACUUCACCUUCAACCCAAGCUUGAAAGAAAAUUAGUCACUCAUAAUUGAACUAGGGGAAAAAUGGGAAUUUAUUAAAAUACGUAGAAAAUACAAGAUAGAGAAGGAAUUAUAGAUCCCAAAAAUGGAUUCAGAGAUAUCAAAUUAGGGGGGGAGGCCCCCUUUUUAUAGAUACAUUGAGUAAAUCAUGGCCAUCGGAUUAAAAACAGUUUGGACGCUCAGGAUUGCGCCACGUCAUCAGUCAAUAGUACGCGGUUUGACCACGCGGGUGAACAGUAACACGGUUUGACCGACUUUGAACAGUAACGCGGUUUGGUUGAAAAUAAUCCUGUGUAAUGCAUGUACCGUACGCGCAAGUUUUGGUCCACUAAUAUGCUGCCACGUCACCAUCAACAGUUCAUAAGAAUUUUAGACCAACAGAAUCAUGACACCUCAUCAGUCAAUGCCAUGUCAUCAAUCCGUCUAUGUGAACAGUGUCGUGAACAGUAACGUAGACAGUACCGUACAUGUAAAUAGUACCGUACAUGUGAACAAUGCCAUUUUUCCUUUUAUGCUCCUCCUAAGGUUUUCGACCGUCCUGAGUUCAAAAGUGAUGUCCGUUUUGCCGUCUGAUCUCUCGUUUAUUGUGAAAUGACCAUGAUGCCCCUAAAAUACAUAAAAUACUUAAUUAAAAUAAAACACACGGAAUUAAAUCAAAAGAAGGUUACAUACAUAAAAGUAAGGGUGUUAGUAAAACUUGAAGUAUAAAAUGACGAUUUUCUCCUUUAUAAAUAUACAUUUUCUAACACUCAACACACGGGUUCUUUGUAUAUCAGCCUAUGUGGAUCCCACGAUUGAUAUUGGUUUCGUCUAAUUAGCUGGCGACGGUGACGAACUCAUUCUCUUUUUUUUAAUCAAACUUUCAAGCCCUAACUUUAUCCAAGUUCUUCACAAAAAUUUGAGGCUUAUUUCCAAGGGUAUUUUAGGUCAAGGAUGGUGGCUUUGAAGGUUUAUAGAAGCGGCUUGUGAGGUAGAUCAUUGUUAGAUAGAGAGAGAGGUAGAGACAAAGAGAGAGAGAGAGAGAGAGAGAGAGAGAGAAGAGAGCUUCAGUUCAGAGAAGAAAAUGGCCAUGGGGAUAGAUUUUUUGCUUAUCAAAAUUUUUAGAUUUUAGGUUUCCAUGUACACCUCAUUAAAACAGCAUAGUUUCUAGAUAAUUUAAUUUAAUUUUUAAUAAUUACUACAUCAAGCGAAAAUACAACUUGUGGUCUGGUUGUUUAACGUUUAAAAUUAAAAAGCUAAAGCUUAGAAGUCUACGGUUCGACUCCUAGCGUAUACAAAAUUAAAAUUUUAUUUUGUUAAUUACUGAUACCUUAAUGUCACAUAUCUUUGAUACUUAUCUAUUAAGUGCAGAAAAUGUCCCAAAUGCAUGUAAUUACUGAUACUUUUUAAUAAAGUGUCACAAGAUAAGUGUCAACAAAUACCAUUUUUCUUGAAGUGUUAAUUAAAAAAAUUCGAUUUUACCCUCAAUGAAUUACACAGUAAACAACAAUAAAUUAACGGAAGGGUGUUUUGAGCUUUUUUUUUUUUAAAGUAUGGAUGAAAUGAACUGUUGUUUGAAUAAUAAGGAUGAAUUAGGCUAUUGCAACAAAUUCAAGGGAUGAAAAAGGAUUUUUCUCUUUUACUUAGGUGCUGUUUAUUUUUUAGUUUGAAGUUUGAAUUUAAUUUUUUUUAGACAUUUGUUUAUUUUAGGUUUUUUUUUUAACUUAUCACUUAUUGUCAUAUAGUUUAUCUGAAUAGAAAAAGUAGAAAAAGUUCACUUUAUUUGAAGUCUGAAGUCUAAAUAUAUAUUUUUAAUUUCAAAUCUCAAAAAUACCCUUAACAAUUCAUGUAUUUCUAAUAUUAUGUAUAAACCUUAUAUUUUUGUAUUAUUCUUGAAGUUAUUUUUCUAAUUGCUUUAAAUUUUUAUUCACAUGAUAACAUUAACUAAACUGAAAUAUUGAACAAAUCAAAUUAUGUUAAUUGUGAUGAAUCAAAAAUAAAAUAAUAGUGUUGACUUUAUAAUAAACUUUAAUGUUAUAAUUACAUCUUUCAUUAAAAAAUUAAAAGAAGAUCAACAAUGAUAAUAUUUUUUUUAAUGUUACCAAACUAAUCAACCUGUGAAAAUUAUAACUGUGAAGAACAAAUAUAUGCACCACUUAAAAUGAUAUUUAUGCCAAAUUACUAGUUUUUAGGAUUUUCUCUUUAGAUGUUGAAAAAGAAAAACAAAGAUGUCAUUCAAAUAUUUUCAUUCAUAUUUAUUCAGAUUUUAGUUAAAUUCAGAUCUAUUCAGAUUUCAGAUUAAAAAAAAAAAUGCAAUCUUAGUUUAUAGGUACAGGACUCCACUCUAGCAUGGUUUUUAAUAUAAAAAGAGAGAGAGAGAGGAGAGAGAAAAUGGAUAAAAGAAAGAGUAAUGAUAAAAAUUAAAAUAAUGCUCGUGGGCAUUUUAGUCAAUUCAAGUUGAGAUGAAUGGAAAUCAAAAAAUAAAGAGGAAACCUAUUUGAAGUUUUAAACCGAUAAAAAAAAUAUUUUAUGUUGUAUUUCUCCCGAUACCCAUUAAUUAAAUUUUAAAUUUAUGAUUAUCCUUUAAACAUCCCUCUUAAUUUCAAAAAUAGCCCUUUAUUCUUUUCCACCAUAAUGGUGUUUUAAGCGAUACAUAAAAUGUUUUUCUACCAUAAUUUUGAAUUUCAAAAACUUGCUUUAGUGUUGGUUAAAAAUAAUUAUUUUUCAGGAUUAAUAAAAGUUUCUUAUCAUAAACUCAUUGUAAUUUUUUCUUAGUUGACGAAACUCUACAAAACUGAAUUUGUGUCCCUAGCAAUGCCACUUUGAAGCUUUUACAAAAUUAAUUGUGAUGUCACUGAUGUGUCUAUUAUUUUAAGCUACAAUCAAGGCAUAAAACCUUGUCAAUCUUGUAAUAUGCUGGUGUUGGGGAUUUGGCGAGGGUAUUGUAAUUAAAAACUUCAAUUACAUUAAAAGAUUUAGGAAUAAUGUUUUAAUUAUAGAUUCAUAGCGGAAAUCCUUUUUUGGGAUCCUUUUAUUAAGCUGUAGUCACAGUCAAAUAAUCAUUUGGCUUUAAGUUUUUGAUAUAUAUAUCUAUAUAUACAUGCACACAUAUACAUACAUACAUAUGUAUGUAUAUAUAUUCAACAGAGAAGAUUGAAACUAUAUGUAACACAUUAGACUGAACUUGCCCAUGAGCUAUCUGAUCUAAAAUUAUUGAUGAACUAGACAUAGGGGUUCACCUUGUAGGGAAAAUAGAAUCUAGAUCGUUUAAUGCUAUAUUUAAUAUUGGCGUAACAAUUGGACACUAUUAGAUUGCAUUAGAUAUAAGAUAUCCAACAAGCGAUAGCUGAGAAUGCAUAAGGGAUUCUACCCAGUGCUGUUGCAACAGUUUCUCAAUUAGAAAGACAGUAAACACCAUUAAGUCACAUUGCUUUUAUCCCUCUGUCUGACGUGAUAAUUUUCUUUACUACAUUUUUUAUUUAUUGUAUUUUUAUUUUAAUUAGUUUAUUAGUAUUAUUAGUCGAUUUAUUUCCAAUUAAAACAAAACUGCGUUGUUAAGAUUGUUAUAGCAAAUAUGAUAACAUAAAUCCCUAUGGAGACGAUCUGGAUACUCAUCAGUAUAUUACUUGUUGUGUACACUUGAACAUUGACAUCCAUAGCAUUAAAGAUUUUACACACCACAUAUUUACAAAUUAAAUAAGGCUUUGUACAGUUUAAAAUAAGCACUUAGAGCUUAGCUUGUUAGAUUCAAGUAUGUAAGGCUUUCUCAGUGGCAUUUUCAGCACUCCAAGUCUGAUAACUCUCUUUUCCUCAAAUGGGAUAGAGGUCUUUUGGUUCUAGUUUUGGCAUAUGUUUAAGACAUGAUCAUCACUAGCUCCAGCUCUUUUAUAGUUCAACAGGUUAUUCAAGAAAUGCGUUACACAUUUGCUUUAAAAGACUUGGCAAAGCUCCAUUAUUUUCUAGGCAUUGAAGUCAUAAAGACUCAAAAUAUAGUUCAUUUAUCUCAAGCCAAAUAUAUUGUCGACAUUUUAGCAAAACAUGGACAUGGCUAGUUGUAGUCCAGUGCCUAUACCUAUGUGAACUGGUCAUAUCUUAAAGACUUAGGUGAUGAAAUUGAUAAUGCAUCUUAGUGUAAAAGUGUUAUUAGAGCUUUGUAAUAUGCCACUCUCACAACGCGAGAGCUAGCCUUCUCAAUUAACAAAUUAAGCCUAUUUUUCUUACGUCCAAGGACUCAUCAUUAGGAAGCAUGAAUACGACUCUUGAUAUACUUGAAGGGUACUUUACAUUUUGGAUUGCAUUUCUAUAGUUGUCGUGCUAUGCAGUUAAACUAUUUUGUAUAAUAUUAUUGGGCUUGUGAUAGAGACGAUAAGGAUUUGCAAUAUAUCCAGGUCCCAACUUGGUUUUAUAGUUAUCUAAGAACCAAUCAGUGGUCUUUCGAUCAAGCACAAAGGCUGAGUAUAUAGCUUUAACUCAUUCAACUUAGCACCAUGCCUAUAAUCUGGUGUGCCAAUCAAGAAGCAACUACUUUGGCGUAUAACCCCAUUUAUCAUGCUAAAACCAAACACAUUGAGCUGGACAUACAUUUCAUUAGAGACAAAGUUGUAGCCAAGCAAAUUCAAGUUUGUUUUAUACUAAGUGCAGACCAAACAACUAAUUUGUUAACCAAAGCACAUACUUUUAAACGGCUCUAUUACUUGCGUAGCAAGUUGAAUGUUCAUUCUAGACAUUUUAACUUGAGGGAGGUUGCAAGUGAAUCAGAUGUUACUUGAAUGCAGAGCAUAUGGUGCAGCCAAUAGCAGCAGAUCAACUACUAAGCUAAUGUAGCAGAAUUAGCUAUUUGGUUUAACUUGUAUUAAGCAAAGCUCACGUGAGCAUAACAGAAUAAAAAGCAUUUAUAACGGAAUUAGAAGCAUGUAGAAUUCAGCACUAUAAAUAUGUAACGUGCUUUCAUUUCAAUUAAUUAAUUAGAAUCUUCUACAAGUUUCUUCAAAAUAUUCUCUCUCGUUUUCUAGUAUUUCUUGCUACUUUCUUACUUGCCAAACAUCUUCCAAUAUUCUAAUAUUGUACAAGUCAAAAUGUCAAACCAGUGCAUGGCUUGAGCAUUAAUUGUUGACACGACUCAAAAGUAUAUUACUCCCAAGUAUAAGAUUAUCUAGUUAUAAUAUAACCCGGUAAAUCCGGGAUCGAAUCACAGAGAAUUUAAAAUCUAGUUGUCAAUUUAUUGGACAAAGAAAAUUAAUUGCGGUAAAAGAAAUCACUAGAAAAAAAAUUAAAAAUAUGCUAAGGUUUCGAGAUCCACUCUUAAUAUUCAAACUAUAAUUUUAAUACUUUCUCAUUUAUAUUUUUUUCUCACUUUUACCAGUUAAUUAUUAUAUCAUUUAAUUCUAUGUGUGUGGAUAAAUAUGGAAUAAAGUACCUAAUGUGCCACAACUGUAUUAAUGUAUCGACAUUAUGUCAAAAUACCAUAUAGAUCCAAAAGAAUGUAUAAAUUAACAUGACAUAAAAAUAACCAGAAAAUAAUAAAAUAAACUUAAAAACUCACUUUGAGAAAAUAAUAAAUUUAAUAGUUUGAAACUUUAAGCUUUACCCUUCACCUUAGCUUAGUAAAAUUAGCCACUCAUAUUGAAAGAAAACACAACAUUCUUUUUAUUUGAUAAACUUUUGAAAUAUGUUAUAAAGAAAAUUGAUACAAAUGGAAACAAGAAAAGAAAAGUAAGAAAGAAAGAAAUUCUUCAGCUGCACCCUUGGCUACCACUCUCUCUCUCAGCUCUUGGCUCAACUCCCCCCUAAAUUGCUUGCAUCCCCUUGCCUUUUAUAGGUAAGGGAAGCAUCUUCUUUUCUUUUCUUUUAUUAAUAUUAAUAUUUUAUUUUAUUUUUAUAUUAUAUAUACAUAUUGAAAGGGGUGAUGGCCAGGAGGCGUGAUGGCCUCUUGACCAUCACAAGCAACCAAAUCAUAGCUGCCUUUUGUUCUUUUGUUCUUUUUUUUAUUUUAUUUAUUACAUCUCCUUAAUGAUGCAUUCUAAAUUGCUCCAACAGUCCUUCUUUGUUCCCGCUUUCGAUUCCAAUUCCAUCUUUAUUCCUGAAAAAUAUUUACAAGAUAAAAAUUAACAUAUUACGAAUUAAUUUUACAUAAAAAUAUAUUUGGGGAGUAUUAAGAUAAUUUAUAAGUAAUGAACACAUUAAUCGACAUAAUAAGUGAAAAACUAAUAAUUUUAUCGUUAUUAAAUGUACACUUUUUAAUGCCAAUCAAUUGUCGCUUAGAUCAAAGGUUGAUUGUGCCGCCAUGUUUUAUUCAAGCUUAAAAAUGGACAUAGGACAUUGCUGGUGUAGUGAACUGUAUCGAUUGUUGGUGGCUUUGUCGCAAAUUCUAAUUGUUUUGGGCUUGUAUUCGUGCCUGUGGCAUUUUUUAAGAUCCUAGGUCUGAAAAUUUAUGGAACGACUUAAAAACAUUUGAUUUACUCUCAAGUGUAAGAGUACCUAGUUAUAAUAUAUCUCGGUGAGUCCGAGGUCGAUCCACAGAGAAAAGAUUUAAUUAAUUUAUUUUAUUUUAUCUAAAAUUUGAAAAUAAAACUUAAAUACAAACAACUUAAUUUAAAUAAAACUAUGAAAUUGAAUUAGUUAGGGUUGUGGAUUCACUCUUAGUUGUAAAUAAAACUUAAUAAAUUCUUUUUGCCAUUUUUUUAGAUUUAUUGCCCAAAAGAUUCAUUAUAUAAAUUAUUAUUAUUUUCCCUUUAAUUUUAUAAUGGAUUAAGUAUUCAUUGUGCCAAAAUUUAAUUUGUCUACAAUAAGUCAAAAUACCAUUUUACCAUACCUUAUAUUAAGAUAAAAAGAAUUUAUUGUGCCAAACUCCCUUGUUUGUCUACAAUAAAUCAAAAUUUCAUAAUAUAAAAUGCGUAUAAAAUUAAAUAGAAAAUAACUUAAUUUAUAAAAUUAAAAAUAGAAUUUGAUUAAAUCAUAUUUAUUUCCUAAGAGUUCACCUUCCCCUAACUAUUAAUAUUUAGCUAAACAUUUUUUUAAUAAAGGAAAUUACUAAAAUUGAAAAACACAUAAUUAAAAAUGGAAUUUGAAAAUUGAAAUAAAACUAAUUUUAUUGAUUGAAAAUAAAUUACAAAGAGAGAUGAAAAGAAGAAUUUGGGGGGAAAGAAGAGAAGAGAAGGUGUGGAGAGGUGUGUUCACCCCCCCUCUAUUUAUACUAAUACAUGGUAAAUUCUCACCACACAAAUAAAAAAUCUAAUUACAUCUUAACCUUACAUUUGUCCCACUAAUAAUCCCACUAAUGAAACAUAAACCUAACUUAUCCACUCAAGCAUAUCCAAUACAUUCCACUAACAAUUACCAUACCUAACAUGAUAAAAACUUAUAAUUUUAUAAUUGCCACAUUUACCGUGGUAAAAACGUAAAAAUUUACAACAAAAGUCUUGGAUCCUCCUCGACAAUGACAUAAUUUCUCGGACUUCCGGAAUCCAAAUUUAACAUCCAUACAUUUGAUCGGAGCCUCAAAUUGCAUGAAAUUAUUAUUUUUACCUAAUAAACAUAAAAUACAUAAAAUCAAAUAUUUAGAAAAAUAAUUAGAAAUUCACAAUAUGUUACACAAUUACAAAUAUAAAUUACAUUAAUAAAAAAAUAUAACAUUUUAACCCUUAAUAAACAUGCAAUUUUUAACACUAAUCACACCCCCCAACUAGCUUAUUGCUAGCCCCUAGCAAUUAAAGCGUUAUAUUAAAUUAAGAUUUACAAAAUUCACAUGCAAGUUAAUAGUUGUUCAUCUAUCCUCUAAAUUACCAAAUAAAUAAACUCUCCCAAUUUUUUUUUUAAAUCUUGGUCGUCCACUCAUUAUCCAAAAUAUCAUAAACCUUAUUUUCUGCUCAAGUAAUUAACACAAUACUUAUGGGGUUUCAUUAAAAGAAAACAAUAUUUUCGUUUUAAAACUCAUUAGAAAUUCUAUCUUCAGGCAGUAGAUUAUUCAAGCUUUUUUUUUUAAAUUGCAUUUUUAACCCAUGUAGCGAGCUUUAGGUCAGUGUCUCCCAGACCAGUUGACCUUAGGACAAUCCAUAACUAGGCCACCUUUCUUUGACUUUAAUGACUACCCAUAUUGAAAAACUAGGAGAAUUUAUUUGUAAGCUUUAGGUUAUAAAAUUUGGCAAGUUGUUUGUGAUGGUUCAUUCAUGCCUAUGACUAAAAAUAAAGUAGGAGAUGAUAUUCAAAAACCUUCAAGUCAAUGAAGUGAGUUAGAAAAGAAAAAGAUAUCUUUAAACUCUAAGGCAGUGAAUGCUUUGUUUUAUACUCUUGAUAAGAAAGAUUUUCUUAGAGUGUCUAGUUGUAAGAGUGCUCAAGAAAUAUGAAACAAACUUGAAGUUGUCUAUUAAGGGACAAAUCAAGUUAAAGAGUCUAAGAUUAGUAAAUAUACUCGACAAUAUGAAUUUUUCUAAAUGGAACAAAAUGAGAGCGUGUAUUCUAUUUAUACUAGGUUUACAUAUAUUGUGAACACAUUAGAAGCCCUAGGAAAAAUAUUUUCGAAUAGCAAAAAAGUUAAGAAAAUUAUUAGGUCUUUACCAAUAGAAUGGAGACCUAAGAGAACUGCCAUAGAGGAAGCUAAAGAUUUAAAUACUUUGCAUAUUGAUGAUUUAAUUGGUUUUCCUAUUUCAUAUGAGGAAGAUUUGACAGCAGAAAAAGACAAUAAGGAAAAAAAAAAAAAAGAAAAGCAUUGCACUUAAAGCAUCAAAGCAUGCGAGUGAUGAGGAAAGCGAGCUUGAUGAUGAAGAUAUGGCUAUAUUGUCCAAGAGGUUUAAAAAAUUCUUCAAGAAAGCCGGUGAGCGGAAAAGAUUCAGAAACUACAAGAACCAAAAGGAGAAGAAGGAGCUAAUUACUUGUUAUGAGUGCAAGAAUCAUGGACACAUACGAUCGGAAUGUCCUCUUCUCGAAAAGCUUAAGAAGAAGGCAAUAGUAGCCAUAUGGGAUGUUAGUGAUAAGGAAACAAGUGAUGAUAAAGAGCAACAAGAGAUGUAAAAUCUAGCUCUCAUGGAAUUGGGAUGAAUCGUUUGACGAACUUGAUGAAGUAAGUGAUCUACCUAUGAUUAAUUAUAUAAUGCUUUUAAGGAAUUGCAUGAUGUAUGCCUUAAAAGGAAAAUGCUAGAACUUUCAAAUGAAAAUGAUGUCUUGUAAAAUGCAAUGAUUCAUUGAAUAAAAAGAUCAAGGGAUUGGAAUUAGAUAAUGAAAUGUUGUAUGAUAUGAUUACAUCAUUUAAAUAUAAAUAAAGUACUUCAUAUGAGCAUGAAAAAUCACAUGUUGAUAAAUUGAUAAAAGAAAAUGAAGUGCUUAAGAAAAAGAGUAAUGAACUCAACAAAAUUUUGUUAAAAUUCACAAGUGGUCAAAAGAAUUUAGAAAAAUUGCUGAACUCUAAAAAAUGUGUAUUUGAUAAAGGAGGACUUGGGUAUAAGCCUAGCUUGACUUGAAGCAAAAGUAUUUUAGGAAUUACUUUGUUAAAGCUACCUCCACUAGUGAUCAUAAAAUUAAUUGUCAUUAUUGCAAUCAAAAUGGUCAUAUGAAAUAUAGAUGUCUAAUGAAAAGAAAUGCAUUCAAUGGAGUCAAAUGUGUAGCUCCAAAAGGAACUAUUGCUAACACUCAAGGACCCAAAGAAAUUUGGGUACCUAAGACUUGAAAUUUCCUCUGCAUGGUUUGAAGAAGAAAAAGAAUAAACGGCACCUGGACAGUGGUUGCUCAAGGCAUAUGACUAAAAUUAUUCUUGGUUUUCAAGUUUUACCAAGAUUGAAAACAGUAGAGAUGUGUCAUUUGGAGAUAAUUCAAAAGGAAAGAUUAUCAGUAUCGGUAAUAUUAGUAAAAAAUCCUCUACUCUUAUUGAAAAUGUGUGUUUGGUUGAAAACUUGAAAUACAACUUACUUAGCAUUAGUCAAUUGUGUGAUAAAGACUAUAGAGUUAUCUUUGAUAAAUCGAAAUGUGUUAUUGAGAAUGCAUAUGAUGGCAAGAUUUUGUUUGUAGAAAAUAGAUGUGUUAAUGUUUAUAUCAUUAAUAUAGAUUGUGUAUCUACUUAUGAUAAAUGUUUCUCUACAUUACAUGAUUAUAGUUGGUUAUGGUAUAGAAGACUAGGUCAUGCAAGUAUGGAUUUGAUUUCAAAGAUUUCAAAAAAUGAUUUGGUUAAUGGCCUUCCAAAAAUUAGUUUUCAAAAAGAUAGAAUUUGUGAAGUUUGCCAAUUUGAAAAAUAAAUCAAAACUUCUUUAAAAAAAAGAACCAUGUCUCAACUUCAAAACCACUUCAACUACUUCACAUGGAUUUGUUUGGACCUUCUAGAUAUGUAGUUUAAGUGGCAAAUAUAUGCAUUUGUGAUUGUGAAUGAUUAUUCUAGAUACACAUGAGUAUUGUUCUUUGAUAAUAAGAAUGAUGCCUUGGAUGCAUUUAGAAUUUUCUACAAAAAGGUUCAAAAUGAAAAGGGAUGUGCUAUUUCUUGUAUUAGAAGUGAUCAUGUGGAGAAUUUGAAAAUCAUGUAUUUGAGAAUUUUCUAUAAAAAGGUCAACACUGCUUGUUAUGUUUUAAAUCAUAUGUUUAUUAGACCUUAUCUCAAUAAGACUCCCUAUGAGCUUUGGAAAGAUAAAAAACUCAACAUUGGUUAUUUCAAAAUUUUUGGAUGCAAAUGUUUUAUUUUGUAAACAAAAGAUAAUCUUGGCAAAUUUGAUCUAAAAUCUUAUAUUGAUAUUUUUCUUGGUUAUUCAAAUACAAGCAAAACUUAUAGAGUGUAUAAUAAAAGAACUUUGGUUGUGGAAGAAUCUAUGCAUGCUAUAUUUGAUGAGUCUAAUCCUUCCUCUACGGAGAGAGUUGUUGUCGAUAAUAAUAUAGAUGAACAGUCACAACAAGGAUUAUCAAAAGAUAAACAAGAUGAUGCAUCACAUGAAAAUAAAGAGGAUAGACAAUGAGAAUAAAUAAAUGAGGAGCAACAAGAAGGUACAUCUCAAACACUCCCCAAGGAGUGGAGGUAUGUUUCCCCUCAUCCGAAGGAUUUAAUUGUAGGUGAUCCUUCAAGAGAUGUUACCACUAGAUUAUCAUUUAGAAAUACUUGUGAGCACGCUGCAUUCAUAUCUCAAAUUGAACCAAAUUCUUUGCAGAUGCGAAAAAUGAUGAAUCUUGGAUCAUGGCAAUACAAGAGGAGUUGAAUCAAUUUGAGAGAAACAAUGUGUGGAAAUUAGUUUCUAAAUCGGAACAUCAAUCUAUUAGGCACUAAAUGGGUAUUGAGAAAUAAAAUGAAUAAAUCCAGUGUGGUUGUAAGGAAUAAAGAUAGAUUAGUGGCUCAAAGAUACAACCAAGAAGAAGGAAUUGAUUUUGAUGAAACAUUUGCGCCUGUAGCUAGAUUAGAAUCCAUUAGGAUGUUGUUAGCAUUUGCAUGUCAUAAAUAUUUAAUUUUUAAUCAAAUAGAUGUCAAAAAUACUUUCUUAAAUGGUUAUAUUAUGGAGGAACUUUAUAAGUUUUCUAAAGCACUGUAUGGAUUUAAAACAAGCACCUAGAGCAUCGUAUGACAAGCUUAAAAAUUUCUUGCUGGAUAAUGAGUUUUCAAUGGGAAAAAUGGAUACUACUCUCUUUGUUAAGCAUAAGAACCAAGAUAUACUUGUUGUUCAAAUUUAUGUUGAUGAUAUUAUCUUUGGUUCUACUAAUGAGUUUUUGUGCAAGGAGUUUUCAUCUUGUAUGAUGAGAGAAUUAAAGUAUUUCCUUGGACUUCAAAUCAAACAAAACAAUGAGGGAAUCUUCAUCAACCAAGCUAAAUAUGUCAAAGAUCUACUCAAAAGAUUUGACAUUGAUGACUCAAAUCCAAGAGACCUCCAAUGAGCACAACAAUCAAGCUUGACAAAGAUGAAAAAGAUAAUAAGAUUGAUAUAAAAAUGUAUCGAUGUAUAAUCAGCUCUUUACUUUACUUAGCCGCAAGUAGACCUGAUAUCAUGUUUAGCGUAUGUUUGUGUGCAAGAUUUCAAUCAUGUCCCAAGGAAUCUCAUUUGCUUGCUGUGAAAAGAAUUUUUCGUUAUUUGAAUAGAACUAUAGAUCUUGGCCUUUGUUAUCCUAGAGGAACCUAUAUAGAUUUAACUUAUUAUUCGGAUGUCAAUUUUGCUGGUUAUAAAAUCGAUAGGAAAAGCAUUAGUGGAACAUGUCAUUUCUUAGGUCAUUCUCUUAUUUCAUGGUUUAGUAAGAAACAAAAUUCGAUUUCACUCUCAACCACCGAGGCAGAAUAUAUUGCCGUAGGUAGUUGUUGUCCACAAACUCUUUGGAUGAAACAAACACUUAGAGAUUAUGAAUCUUGAACAAAUUCUUAUCAUGUAUAAUAAUAUUAGUGCUAUAAAUCUAUCAAAGAAUCCCAUUUAGCACUCUAGAACCAAGUAUAUAGAGAUUAGACAUCAUUUCUUGAGAGAUUAUGUUCAAAAGGGCAACAUUGCAUUAGAAUUUAUCUAUACAGGAAAAAAAAACUUGCCUAUAUUUUUACAAAACCUCUUUGCGAAAAAUAAUUUUCAAAAAUUUGGCAUAAACUUGGGAUAAUGAAAUUUUCGCAUUAACAUCUCUAAUCAUGUUAUUGAAUCUAUUAAAAUUGAUUGAUUGAUGAUUUGCUUAUGAUUACAAAGUUUUUAAGCAUGAUAAAUGAGUGAUGUAUUUGAAUCAAUAAUCUUUGAAUGCUUACAUGUCUCAUGAUUGUGUGAUGUAUAUGUAUGAUAAAUGUGUUAUAUAUUUAAAUUUAUAAUCUUUGAAUAUUUAUAAUUAUGAUUCAUGCAUUAAAAUGGCUUUUGAAAGUGUUCGGGAUCACGAAAUGGUUUUGGAAUCGAUCAAAAUUAGCCGGAAAGCAAACAUUUGUGCAAAAGGGCAGCAAAGAGACAGUUACCCGCUUGCCCCAAACCCGAGAGUAAGCGGCUAGCCAUUUGCCUCUAAGCGACUAGCCGCUUGGUCACGGUUUUUAUACAUUUCUUCCCCCUUUCUCUUGCUUUCUUCAACCUUUCUCUACUCUCUUUCAUGGCCGUUCAUCUUUCCUCCAUUUCCUCUUAAAUUAUUUUCAUUUCUCAGUCAUUUUCAUGCCAAAAUCAAUCUUUUAAACCAUUACCCAUGCAUUUAACCUUCAUUAAACACUUCCCAAUCAUCAUUUCAUCACUUGUUUCUCCAAAUCUAAAAAUCAAAACCUAAGCUUACCUAUAUCUCUCUCUUAUAUUUUAGGCUCUUUUUAGCUCAUUUUUUUUAUCCAAUUAAUACCAUACAUUGCCUUAAAUCAUCUCUAGGAUCAAUUUUAUUGAUUCAAAUACAUUCAUUUCACUCAAAAUCUUGAAAAUUCGAAUUUAGGUAUUAAAGCUUGUUCUUGUUUUCAACAAUAGUUAGUAGCCAAAAAUCCAAGGGAAAACAUAUAGCCAAGAAGCGCAAGGAAGAUCAUGGAGACAAUCUAGAGUUCAUAUUAACACAUUUUCUGCAACCACCUUUUCAGAAAUGUUUUCACGAUAAAUUUAUGUCGAGGUUGGUUAUUGCCCCCUAUUUUGUCAAUCUUCUUCAUUCGGAGAAUUUAGCAAUUUUUGAUAAAUCUCUUAGUGAUUUUCUUAUUGACAUGGGUUAGAAAAAUGUUUUAGUUUUCAAGGAACGAUGUUAUGAAAUUUAGUUAAAGUUUUUUAUUCGAAUAUGGUUAUUUCUUUGCAAACUACAAAUAGAAUUGUUACAAGUGUUGGGGGAAUACAUAUUGAGUUUGAUGUUGUGGAUUUAAAUCAUAUUCUUAGAACUCCAAAUGAAAGGUUGGAACAUUAUACUGCUAAAAGGAAAAUAGAUUAUUCGUGGUAUUCAGUUGAGGAUAUUGUUCGAAAAAUUUGUAGAUGUUUCGAUUUGUCCUUUAAGUUUUGUAAAUCUACCUUGAAAUCUCAAGCCUUACCCCUUCAACUUAGGAUCCUUCAUUAUGUUCUUUAACAUGUCAUUAGUCUUAGGCCUGGACAUGGGGAUGAAGUUACUCGAUUAGAUGUGGCCUUAUUGGAUAGCAUUCUAAAGGGUAGGGUGCUAAAUGUCAGUUAUAUUAUUCUUCAUCAUAUACUUAGCACUCCAUGUAUAGCAAAACGAUCCCUUCCUCAUGGAAGCAUUUUUACCCACAUUCUCAAACAAUUUUGGGUACCCAUAAUCGAACCAACAUUUUUGAAUCCUAAGGAAUUAGGAGAUGAAGCUAUAGCCAAUUUAGGGUUUAUAUGGACGGAAGAUAAAUGGUGUAAAAACCAGAGAUACAAAAACAAGGGUACUACAUUAGCUCCUAUAGAUCAUCGUUUCUUUAACGAUGUUCUUCCACCAAACCAGCUCCUUGAUCUCAAUGCUCCACAGCGCUCACAUCCUUCGUCUUCUGAGGGUCCUUCCUAUUCUACUUCAGCAGACCUUGAGGAUCCAAUACAGUAGCUAUUAACUGAAGUGCAUUCUCUUUUUGAGCCGCAGAACCAAUUUCAGUCCCAGUUUGAGGCCUUUCAAAUUCAGUCCACUUUGAAGCAACAACGCCUGUUUAAGCAGUAACAAUGUUUAUUUAAUCAACGACAUCGACUCUUUGCUCAACAACAGUAGCUUUUUGAUGGUCAACAACAACUUUUCGCUGCUCUUGGGUUUCCACCGCCAUCCUCAUUAUCACAUUCACCAUCUUCAUAGUGUUCUAUUCUUUUUCAUCUUGAUUUUAGUUCUUUGUUUUAUUCUGCACUACAUUUUCAUAUGCAUUGUUGUUUUACUUAUGGAUUAAGGAUGAUUGUUGUUUGAUAUUUAAAUGUUUUACAUUUGGAUGAUAUUUUAUGGAUUCUUGGAUAACUCUUUGGUUACUUGCAUGCUUGAUUUUUAUAUGUUUCUUGAUUAUCUAUUGAGAUGUUAUUUUUGGUCUGAGCAUGGAGUUAUAGUAAUUGUGAUGAUGAAGAGGGAGAAGUCAUGUAUUUUGACCUUGAAAUAUUGAUGCAUGAUUUUGAAAUAUUUAGAGGGACCAUACAUUUGUUAAAGAUCAUGUAUUCAGGGAGAGUUCAUAGUUCAUUUAUAUGUUGAAUUAUGUAUGCCAUAUAUUAAGGGGGAGUAUAAAUGUCAAAAUACAUGAAAUGUUUGUCAUCAUCAAAAAAGAAAAGAUUGUUAGCCUAAAGGGUUACAUAUAUUGUAAUUUUGAUGAUAAAAAACAUGUCUUAAGUAAUAUGAUAAAUAUUGUAUUUCACAUUUUCACUAGUUCUUGAAGGAUAAUAUUUAGGCAAGUGAAUCACGUGAAAUCAGGCUCAAGGCACUCAACGUACAAUAGCUCGAUCAAGAACAAAAUUUAGUUCAACGAAGUCAUUAUUGCGACAAAUUAUUGUAAAGCUGAUAUGAUUUAAUGUAUGCAGGGUUUAGCAUUUAAAAAGCUCGAGAAGUUGUGGGUAAAAAUAUAAUUUUUAAUAUAAUAUUAUUGUAGAAAAAUUCAAAUUGCAACGGUAACUUGCACUGUAUUAAGUGGUGAGCCGGCUAGUUAAGAGGCUAAUCGCUUGCUUGCGGGUUUUGUCCAUAAUGGCUAGUUUUUGUAUCAAAACUAUAUAAAAUCAAAUCCAGUUCAUUUUUAAAGACUUUUGCAAGUAUAAACAAGUGUAAACAAUAUAUUUUAAGCUUCUAAUUCGCAAAUCAUCAUAGAUUAAAUAUUCAUUGAGUUAUUAUUAAGAGGUUAAUAUCGUAGAGGUUACCGGGCAAAGCCAAAUUGAACUUGGAGAAUCUUAGUAAGUGUUCAAUUUUGACCAGAAUUUUUCAUUUUCAACCUUUAAUUUUCAAAGAUUAACCAUUAUGGACUUGCUUUUUUUUGUUUGUGCUUCAAUAAGCUAGUCUUCUUUCACAUUGCUUAAUUACAAAAUUUUACUACUAAUACAUCAAUUUAUUAAUUUUUUAUUAUUUUACUUUAUAUUUACAAGUCUUAUACUCCAUUUCUAAAUUUUAUAUUUUAUUUUACAAAUAACGUUGAUUUAUAAAUUUUAUAUUAAAUUCACAAAUUUUCUGUUUGAUUUACAUAAUCUAAGUUUAAUCACAAUAUUGAUACCAUGGUUUUAGUCACUACUUUAAUUAACAACUAGAUACGGAAAAAAAUAUAUAUUUUAACUAACUCAUUACAUGAAGCUUUUAAUAUAUUAUAUUCUAAAAUAAUUAAAAUAUAUAAGACAAAAAUCCUGACAUUCUUGCUGUUUUUGGAACGUUAUAGUGGCAACUUUUUAUUUUAUUAUUAUAUAAGAGUGAAAAUCAAAUCUCUUCCCUAUCACUAAGUAGUAUACUUCCCAAAAAAAAAAAAAAAAGAAUUUGACUGUCAUUUAAUUACAUUAAAAAAAAUGUCAUAGAAAGUGUUGUGUCACUUUUAAUCAGAGGAUGGGAGUGCAUUACGACUAUUGUAUAUAUGUUAUGUUUUCAUGAUGAUGUUGUUUAAAUAUUUAGUGCUUAUUUGGUAUGACUUAUUUAAUAACUAUAAGUGUUUAUUUAAUCUCAUAAGUUCCUAUCAUAAUUUUUGUUAUUGUUUGGUUGUUUUUCUAAUAGAGUUUUUAAAACUUAAAUAAGUUAUUUUAUCUCUACUAGUAAAAGCUCCAAUUUUGAGCUUUUGAGAGUAGAGGCUGAGAAGUUUUUUUUUUUAAAUGUCAAAAUAUCUAAAAUAUCCUCUACUUAUUUAAUAAUUGUAUUUAUUAUUUUCAUAAUAUAACUUUAAAAAACUUGCCUAUUAUAAUAAUUUCAUAAAUUUUUAAUAAAUAUUUUUAUUGACAACCAAACAACUAAAUAUUUUUUAGUAAAAACUCUAUUUACAAAAGCUCUAUUUAAAUAAGCUCUACUUUAAAAGCUGUACUAAACAGAGCCUUAGACCGAUACCUAAUAAUAACACAGAGCAGCUCGAGCCUAGCUCACCCAACUAAUGAAAAAGAAAAUGAUUUAGCCUCCUGCUAUUAGAUAGGUGUAAUGCAUGCAAGUAAUACACACAUUUAUUCAAAAGAAAAUACAUUUAUUUAUUCAAAAGGAAAUACAUUUGUAUGACAGAUGUAUAAGUAAUGCAGUGCCAAAAGUCUUCACUUAAAAGUUGAAGGCAUAUCAUCAAAACAUGUGACCCCUAGGGAUAGAAACUUGAACAUUCACAAUGAUCAAUGCAACUUGUCCUUCAUUGUUCCAGAAGAUAGCUAGGCACAUUAAUCCUCCAACAUUUCUCAAUGGAUUUCAAAAUCAUCGACAAUAUAUAGCUUUAUGGUUCUCUUUUUUUUAUUCACAAUUUUUUUAUUCUAAUAUUGAAAUUAAUUGGUAACUGCACAGAACUGACAAUUUCUUGGCACUCAUUUUGUAGGGAAUUGAGAUUGUAACUUACAAAUUUAAUAGCAUUUUGAAGCCAAGGAAAUCUAGUCUCAAUUAAUAUGACUCUAGCUUCAGGAGAUUAUGUCUCUAGACAAAUACCGAUGAUCAUGAAGUGACGGAUGAAUUCUAGUGAUAUAUUCCUUAAAUCGCUUAUAUAUUAUGAUUUUUUUCAGAUCUAAUGACCCAGUAAUUAUUUUUGAGCACAUAUAACACCUAGAUCAUUAAUAAUGGUGAUCAGCAUUGUUUUAAGAUUUAGAGCAAAUUAUGUGAUAGCCUAGGGACACUUGGCCGAAUGUUACCUACAGUUAAAACAAGAUGUUUGUUAAAAUAUCUCAAUGAAGAGUAAGAUGGCGGGAAAGCUGUAGUUCAAUAUGCAGAGAUCUUUUGGCAUUUGGAAACAAUAAUCUUGAAGGUUCUAGAUCCUCACAACGAUGAAAAGGCCAGAAAUUGAUCAACAAAAUGAAGGGUGCAUAAUAUGCAGCAAGUGAAGACAACAGUACACAACGGUCUUAUCAUCAUUGUGCAUAUUCAUCAAUUAGUCUCAGUCAUAAAUCAACAAUUGUAACAGUUGUAAGUAUAGUACAGAGACCUUAUGUAAAAAGCAAGUGAACUCAUGAAUAAAGAUGUGCUGGUUACAUCAAAUUAUUCUGUGCAUUGCUUUCGUAUUAUUCUCUGCACAAAAUAGCCAUCAUUUUAUGUAAUUUAAACUUGGUAUCGGAGCUCUCAUUCCAGAAAUGGGCGUGAUUCAAUAUCGUAGUUCAACUGAAGAGGUUGACCUUAGUGAGCAAACACUUGAAACACCAGCAGUAACACAACAGUCAUCAUCCUUAAUUAUUGCGCAAAACUCCUCUCAAAUUUUCCUUUUCAGUUUCCACAGAACUUGACAGAACUAUGUCAUCUAGAGGACCAUGGUCAUGCCUGCCAUACGUCGCAAUGGUCUGGAGCACCUCAUUAGUGACUCACAAGACAUACCAACCAAAUAUAUCAUCAGUACUGAGGAUGACGGCACAACCAAAUCAACACUAAGACCAAAUUUUGUGAUGUGUUGCAAACCGGACCAACUACUCCUUAGUUGGCUUCUUUCUACAAUCACAGAAAGUAUUAUUUGUGCUGUGACUCAUUGCACAGCUUCUCUUGAGUUGUUGACAGUGCUGGAGAAAAUUUACUCUUCACAGUCCAUGGCUAGGUCAAUAGUGCUAAGGAUGCAACUGCAUAGCACUAGAAACGACAAUAUGAUUAUCAGUGAAUACUGCACCUAAGAUGAGAAAUCUGGUAACGGAACUUGUUACUGCUAGAAAGAUUGUCUCAAAUGAAGAUCUCUGCAACCACAUUAUCACAGGACUUGACAGAAGCUAUGAGUCUGUGUUGGGGAGCCGGACUUCAAUGCUUUAAAACAUUCCUUUUUGAAGAACUCUGCUCAAUCCUCUUAAGCCAUGAAGCAAGACUUGAACAGCAAGCACCUGCUGAAGCACAAGCUGCCUAUGAGGCAAAUGUCACCAUGAAACACAAGUGUGGGAUGAAUGAGAACAAGGAAGGUCAUGGGAAAGGAUACAAUCCAAACCAAGGACCUGGAAAGUCUCAUGGAGGCAGAGGAAGCAACAAUAACAGCUUAAGAGGAAGGGGCAGAGGUAGAUAUGGAGGAAAGAAAACAGUCUUUAAGCCUGAUGUCACCUGUCAUAUUUUGCUUCAAAGUUGGUUACACUACAGAUGAGUGUUGGCACAUACGUGAGGAAGACUUUGUGCCCAGAAACAAUGAGCAACAACACCAAAGAGCGGCCUUUGUUGUAGCUAAUGAAGGAGUGCUUGAAACAGGGUGGAACCUAGACAGUCGUACGACAAACUAUGUGACUAAUGACCUCAACAACUUGAGCAUGAGAUCUGAGUAUAAAGGUAAUUCCUUUCUCAUGGUUUGAAAUGGACACAAAUUAAAAAUAUCACACACUGGCACAAUACUAUUUCCUUUAUCUUUUGGUAAAAAAAGAACAUACUUGACUCUUAAGAAUGUUUAAUAAUGUUCUAUAUGUACUUGAUAUAACCAAUAAUCUCCUUAGCAUAUCAAGUUUGAUCUCAGAAAACCAUCUUAAUAUCUUGUUUACUGAAAAACAUUGUUGUUGUAAAGGACAAGCUGGGGAGUGCUCUUCUUCAAAGAACGAAUCAUGGAGGACUGUUUGUGGUCAGUAGAACUGCUGAAAAUAAAGCGGGAAGUGUUGCUGUCAAUUCUCUUUUAAGUUCACAGUCUUUGUUUGCAAUUAUAAUAGAGUCAAAUUCAGUUGAGUUUGAUUCUAAGUCGGCAGAGUUUGAAUGUGUUCAGUCUAUUGAGUCGAAUAAAAAUCGAGUUGGAUAUGUGAAGCAAUUAGACCUUUUAGAUAGAAAGUUUGGUCAUCCAAGUGAUGCUGUCCUCAAAAUAAUAGUGUCAAGCUGUAAUAAUAUCUCAGCCUUAAAUAAAAAAGAAUCAAGUUCCUUUUGUUCAGCCCAUAUAUAUAGAAAGAACCAUAAGCUAAGCUUCAAAAAAAGCUCACGGACUAAAACGCAAGCAACAUUAGAAUUAUUGCACAAUGAUAUCACCUAUUCCAUUAGGAGAAAGGUACAAAUACUGAGCAUAGUAGAUGACCACACUAGGACAUUUCCACUCAUUAACAAAUCUGAAACAACAAAAAUCUUUAUAAAAUUUAAAGAACAAGUGGAAAGAACAUCAGAAAAGAAAACUUAAGUGCUUAAGUGACUGAGAGGUGAAUUUAGGCCAUUAAAGGGUAUGUAGAGAUAUGAGGAAUAGUCUUUAUAUAUUCAUGCCCUUACACUUCAAUGAAGAAUUGAGUGGAACUGUAUAUAUGCCACAACCAGAUGAAUUUGAAAGCAAGGAAAAUUGGAAAAACCAAGCUAUGUCUGUGAUUGGAAAAAGCACUAUAUGGCUUAAAGCAGGCACAAGGAGUCUGGUAUAAGAAGCUGAGAGGAGUUUUGCUGACUUGCGGAUUCAAAAUGCAAUCUCAGACAAAUCGCAGACACAUUAUUAUUUCUCGGGAAGAAUAAGGGAAAGUCAGUAUAUGUACUUAUAUAUGAUGAUGACAUAUUGAUCACAGGAAGUGACCAAAGAACGACUGAAGGCGUUAUCAAACAAUUGAAUGAAAGUUUUGCUUUUAAAUUACCUCGCAUACCCAUCUAUUUUAUGCAAAUUGAAGCAAAAAGAGACUGUGGAGGGAGGCACUCGUGCUAAGAAAAGUAUAUACAGGAUCUACUAAAGAAAACCAAAAUGUUACAGCUAUAAGAAUAGUACGGAGACCUUGUAUGAAAAGCAAGUGAACUCAUGAAUAAAGAUAUGUCGGUUAUAUCAAGUUAUUCUAUGCAUUGCUUUCAAAUUAUUCUCUGCACGAUAGCCAUCAUUUUCAGUAAUUUAAACUCUUACGCUAAUUGGAAAAUGCACUGGCUUGCUUCUGCAGUAAUUUGGUUGUUGGAUUGGACCAUUGAUUUUAAGUGAUGAAGACAAAAUUCAACAAGGAACACAUACGAGCCACAUGGAAAAAUUCAUUUUUAAUCAUUAUUAAUCACAUAAUAUGAUCCAUGUAGCAAAAAUUAAAUUUAUUAUUAAUAUGAGCCAAGGACUAAUUAUUUCAUACAACAAAGACAACAUUAUGGUAUUUGUUAUUUAGCUUUAUUAUAUGUUGUUCCCUUUCUAUAAAUAAGACUUCGAGCCGUAUUGAAUAAAUAAGGUGAAAGUUAAUUAUCUGCAAUCAUGACAUAUUCCCAAGAUUCAAAAAUCAAUUCAAAUGCCACCUAACAAUAUUUAUUAAAAAUUAAAAAAAUAAAUAUAAAUAGAAACAAAUUAAUGAUUUUCGACUACCCCAAAAUCUAACACAUUUUUUAUCCUGCUGAUAUCUAAAAUCUUGAUUCUCUCAAACUAACAAGAGUUAGAAACAAAACCUAGUCAAAGCAGUGGAUUUAAUUAUACAUUUGUAAAAAUUAUGGCAUCAUCCAUUUUGGAUGCCACAUUAUUUUUAUAUCUAUCGCAAUUUGAUGAGGCAAAGGAAAAAUGAUGACUUUUUUCGAUGAGACAAAAGAAAGAUGGCUUGUUUUUUAAUGAAGAACAAAAAAAUGACUUCAUUUUAGUGAGGCAAGAGAAUAUUGAUUGUUUCUUUUAUCUUCUUCACUGCUUGUUUCGGUUGCAAUAUUUCAAAUUAGUGCAUGAUUAAAAUUCUGUUUUUAUAAAAUCACAUCACAGAUGAAGAUAUGUGGAAAGACAAUUAUCGACGAAGAAGACAUACUUAACAUUUCGUGCUAUAAACAUGAUUCUGCAGCAAUAAUAUAGAGCUCACUAACUUGAUACGCAUAAAGUUGGUUUUGAAGCAAAAUGCUAUCACACAGAAUCGUGGUGAAAAUCAUUGACAUGACAAGGUCAUAGUCGUGCUAAAAAUCAUGGUUACAAUUAUGAUUGACGUCAUGAUCUUGAAGAAAUCAUUAUCAACCUUAUAAUGAUAGUAUACAUCUGGAUAUCUUAGAUACAUGAUGCGUAAACAGUUGAUUUAAUUGGUUAUAAAGAUAUCUAUCCCUGUUAAGAUUACUAUUAAAUUUUAUUAGCUUUUAUAUUCCUAUCUAUUUUAUUUUUUAUGACGAUGCCUAACAUAUUUUACUCUUGAAAGGAUAUAGAUACUCAAAGGGGAUUGCAUCAUAAAGAAAUGUGUUUAGCUGGCAGUAUAACUACACUAACUAUCCUUUGAAAUAAUAAAUAUUUUAUGAGUUUGUAAUCAUUUGAAGCUAAGAUAAGUGCCAUCUUAGGUCCUGUUGAGAUCUAGUUGAAGACUCUAGAACAUUCACGUUCAUAUUACCAAGUUAUAACAAAAUUACAUAUCUAUAAUGCUCUGUAUUCACUAACAGUAGAAGAAAUCUUUUGAGUUUCAAAUAUAUUCGCAGUAAUGAAUUUCAUAUAGAGAAAAUAAAUGAGAAUAAUACAGAAUGUCUCUAUAUUACUUCUAGUGUCUUAGGUAAAAAUGUAUAUUGGAAAAGCUUUCUACUUUUUGAUCUGACUUAUAUUCAUACAACGAUAAAACUAGUUGGGAGCUACACAAUCAUGAACCAAAGACUUUGUGAUUCAAAAGUUUUUAUAUCUCAGUCACCUAGGUCAACUAUGAUGAGUAGAAUUAUCGAGAAUUCUUAUGGACAUCAUUUAAAGAAUCUAAAGAUUAUUCUCUCCAAUGAGUAUAGUUGCACUACUUGUUCCUAGGGUAAAUUAAUUAGCACUUAGACCAUCACAUUCGAAGAUUGGUCUUGAAUCUCUAUUGUUCCUACAAAUAAUUCAGGCAUAUAUAUGUGGACUUAUUAGCCCAUCUAGUGGUCUAUUUCAUUAUUUUAUGGUCUUGAUUGAUGCAUUUGACAGUAGUCAUAUGUUUAUUUAUUAUCUAUAUACAACAUUGUAUUUACUAGAUUGCUUGCACAAGUUAUUAAGUUACCUGCACAAUUUUAAGAUUAUCUAGACAAUGCUAGUAAGUUUACGUCUAAAGUUAUUGGUGAUACUACAGUUCUUUGGGAUUGAUAUAGAGCACCCAAUAUCACAUAUUCAUACUUAGAAGGGAUUGGUAGAAUCCUUCAUCAAACUGCUUUAGCUGAUUAUAGGAACUUUAUUGUUUCAUACUCAAUUACCUAUUUUUGCAUAUGGACAUACUAUUUUGCAUGCUAUGGUACUAAUACCUAGAGGCAUACUGCCUAUCACCAAUAUUCCUCAUUGCAAUUAGUACAUGGCAUCAACCUAAUAUAUCUCAUUUGUGCACUUUUGGCUAUAUUGUGCAAGUUCUUGCGACACCCCCCUAGUGUACUGAAAUAAGACUUCAACGAUAUUUUGAAUUUUAUGUGCAUUUUGACUAUCUAUUAUCAAAUGUCUUGAACCUAUUACCAAUAAUUUUUUUACCGCAUGCUUUUAUGAAUUUCCAUUUUAAUGAGAUAAAAUUUCCUUUGUUGGAGAAAAAAAAAAAAGCCACCAUAUGCUGGGAAUGAGCUUUUAUAAUAAGUGACAAAAUUGUCUCCUCUAGAUUACCACACCACUCAAAGUGAAAAUGAAAUGUGGUGAAUAAUUCUCUUACAAAAAAUUAUAAAUCGCUUGUUAGUUGUAUUUACAAAUGUAUCGAAAGUAAUCAAGUCAUAUGUACUGGUUGCAAAUGUACUUGGCCAAUUAGUUGCUCCUAAUUUUAAUAAAUAAAAAAAACUAUUUGAAUCGUCUAUGGCACGCCUUAAGUAUUGUAGACCCAUUGGCUCAAAGGACAACAUUCUGCUGAAAAGAAAAAUAAAAAGUUAGGAUCUGUUAUCAUGAAUGAUCAGGCUCUAAGUGAAAGUGGUCCUUCAAAGCAAAAGGUCCUUGAUGAGAACUAUGUGCCUACAGUAACACUACCUCCUAAAGAGACAAUUACCUUAAAUAUGGCCAAGCACUUGAUGUGGCUUAGUGAUGGUUGUCGAAGCCAACAAAAAUAAAUUCUUACUCUAAAUAAAUUAUGUAUAGUGAUUGAGCAGGGUCGUGUCCAUAGAGAUCGGUAAUUAUUUAAAUCAUUUUGAAACGUAAAACAUAAAAUGGGGGUUUUGUUGACAAUAAUAAAAAUCAAAUUAAAAUAACAAGAAUGCAAAUUAAAGUUGUAAUUCAAAUUGGAGAAAGCUCUGGUUGAAAGAAUUAACUCAGCUUGAUUCGACUACUGAUCAUUGAUUCAAAUAUAGAUUAUUAUUACUUAUGAAUAGACCGGUUAUAGCAAUUGAGACCCUCUAAUAGCCAAUCUCUCCUUAACUAGUCGAUAACCAAGGUACGACCGUUGGAUAUUUCCCUAAUCAAUAGACAACCCUAGAUACGAUCAUAGGAUUUAAUCAAUUGACAGCCUGAAAAACCAGAGAGACCCAAAUCCUAAUCAACACAUAUGAUGAUUCAUUUAAAUUAGAUUGUUUAUUCUCACAACACAACUCUCUGCUAUUUAUUUGUCACAAACAUUAAAUUCUUCAUACGAUGAAUCCUUUAAUUAACAAUAGAUUAAGUUGAUAAUUAAAUAGUGGCCAAUUAUCUAAUUAACAAACAUAAUCAUGAAAAUAAUUCAGAGAAUAAACAAAUACCCAAAAAGUAAUAAAACAAUUAAAGCACAAGAAAGAUCUCACAGUAGUGAUGAAUCAAAGCUUCAUUAUCCUUCAACCAGAAAAAUAGGUUUAGUUCUUCAUAGAGAGAAGAGAAAAAUUAAGAUCUAGGGUUUCUUUCUUUUUUUCCAAUCCAAAUCCUUCACAAUAGAUUCCUCCCUUAAAUACUCUCUCUCUCUUCUCUUUUAGAAUUCUAUUUAAAAUAAAAUACUAAUAUCUGAAAUAUUAAAUUCGUAAUUACAAAAAUAACCAAAAAUACAAAACACGUUAAACUAAAAACUACAGGUCCGCAGUUGACAGCACGCGCCCACGCCUUAUCAACAAAGUUCUUCUGACGCUCAUAAUUUCUCCAAGAGAACAAUCAUCCUUAAACAUCAUCUUAUAGCUCAAUUUUAUCACCAAUCAAUAGAAUUGCACCUACAAAAGUAAAACACAAGUAAAUCACUAUUAUUAAGUGCAAAACAUCGAUAUUAAGAGAAGUAAACAAUGCAAAACUAGUGCAUAAAUUUCACUCUAACACUUAGAAUGAAGAAAAUACACAAAUUUUGCUCACAAAAAAAGGUGUGGAAUCUUAAAGAAACAAUCAUCGAUGAUAAUUUGCGUUUAUAGUAGCCACUGGUUUAAUAAAUGAUGAUAUUGAACUGUAAUCCAUUGAUAUGUAGAUUGAGACAUGAUUGGCCUGCAUAGGAAGAAGCAAUCCAUAUGAAGUUGGCUUCUUUGGCAAAAUGAUUAUUUUUUAAUGUAACCUAAAUACCUACUUGUAUUAAAUCUGUUGGAUAUAAAUAGAUAUUUUUUAAGAAAUGUAACUAAAAGAAUAAGGUCGUUAUAUAUAAAGCACGACUCAUUGCACAAGGUUUUUUUAUAGAGACUAGGUAUUGACUAUGGGAUACCUAUUUAUUGGUAGUGCAUAUAGUUACAUUCCAAUUCUUCUAUUUGAGAGGCUUGAUACGCAUUUAAUAGAUAAGUGAUAGGUUUUUGUGUGUAUGAAAACUCCUAAAGGAUUCAAAAUGCUUAAAGCAUUGUAGUCACCACAUUGUAGCUUGUAUUCUACAAAGCUAUAGAAAUCUUUAUAUGAAUUGAAACAAUCUUGACAUAUCUGAUAAAGUUUCCUUAGUGACUACAUGAUCAAGGAAAGAUACAUGAAUGAUCUUAUUUGUCUUCGUGUAUCUAUAAACAAGCUAAAAUCUAGAUUUGCUAUUGCAGUAGUCUAUGUUGAUAAUAUGAAUUUGAUUGGAACUCUCAAAGAUGUCCAAAAGCCUACUGAUUAUUUAAAAAAGAGAGUUUAAAAUGAAAAAUUUUGGGAAAACUAGAUACUAUGUAAAGUUAUAGAUCGAGCACAAAUCUAAAAAUAUCUUUAUUUUUUAGUCAAAUUAUUAUGAAAAGAUAUUAAAAUGUUUUAAUAUGGACAAAACUUCUCUAUCAAUUACCCCAAUGGUAGUUUCAUCUCUUGAUCUUAAAAAGAUUCAUUUAAUCCUAAAGAGGAUGAUGACCAAGUGCUUGCUUCAUCAAAUACCAUAAGUUGAAUGCCCGUUGGUGCUUUAAUGUAUUUAGCCCAAUGUACUAUAGCUGUGUUCAAUAACUUGUUAGCAAGGUUUAAAUCUUGAAUUGAGCUAGACGACAUUGGAAUGGUGUUAAACAUCUUUUUCAUGAUCCUCUUGGAAUUAUCAAUUUCAGUUUAUUUUAUUCUAGUAAAUUAACCAAAAAUCUAAGUCUUAUUAGUUUUGCAGAUAUCCUCAUAAAGCUUGUUCUUAGAGGGGUUAUGUUUUUACUUAUACUAAAUAUUGAUUUCUUAAAAAUAUGUGAAGUUGACUCUUGUACUUGCAUUUUCCAAUCGCUUUGAGAUCCUUGUAUUGCAUGAAGCAAGUAGAGAAUACUUAUGGUUGCGGUCCAUUAUGCAUCAUAUCCAGGAUGCUGAUAAAUUAUCUUCAAGUGCAGACAUCCAAACGGUAAUAUAUGAAAAUAAUGUUUCUUGUAUAGCUCAAUUCAAGAGAGCAUAUAUCAAAGGAGAUUGAAAAAGCUUACCUCACCAAAGUUCUUCAAUACUCAUGAGCUCCAACAAAAUAAGACGAUCGAUAUCAAGCAGAUACAUUACACAAAUAAUUUUACAUAUAUGUUUAUUGAAGCUCUAUGCAUAUCAACAUUUUAGAAAAUAGUAUAUGGCAUCAGAAUGUGCCAUUUAAACAGAAUAUCGAGACGAUCAUUAGUUGAAUGCUCAUCAGGAGAAGAAAAAAUUUACCAAAGAAGAAUUUCAAUAAUUAAAUUGGAUACAUCUGCACGAUACUCGUUUUUUUCCCUUUGAAUAGAUUUUUCUACAAGAUUUUAGUGGCAAAGGUUUUUAAUUAGAUAAUUUAAACCACAUGCAGCCCACUUUAUCGUUCGCUAAAUUAUAUUUCUUUUGGUUGAGCUUUUUUUCUAUUGAGUUUUUCCAUAACAAAAGUCAAAUACAAUUAUCGUGAAGUGGUGGAUACCAAAGUGGGGGUGUUAUGGAAAUUAGUGAUUUAAAAAACAACUCAAGAGAUUUGACGGCUAAAGAGCUAAACAAGUCAAUCAAUUGUGGGUAUUAAGGUCACGAUGUGUCCUAAGGCUUGGCUGUGUUUUAAUUAGCUGAUGGAUUCCCUGAAUAGAGAGCACUACUCAUUGUAAUUUGUAUCCGAAGGCUUGGCUGUGUUUUAAUCGGUUGAUGGAUCCUAUAAAUAGGGAGCACUGCUCUUUGUAAUUUGUAUCUGAAAUUGAAAGCCUUAUCAAUUACAAUAAUAUCAUCUUUCUUUAUAUCAUCUAUUUAUCUAUUUAUACGUCUUACCUAUAUUCUCAAUAAUUAUAUUAUAAUUGAUAUUUUUAUUGUUUAUUGUGCACUGAAUAAUUCUUUUUUUAACCUUUGCUUACUAAUAGAAUUCUUCUUUUUUUUUUAAUAUUCUCUUUAGCGUAUGAAAUUGAUACAAUUUAUUUUUUUCGAUUUUAGUACUUUUUUCGUUCAACUACUUAGGAAUUGUUUGGUAAUGAGAUGAUGUGGUUUUUAAUAUACAGUUGUUGGGAUAAAAGCUAAAUUUGUCAAAGAAAAGCUUAUAGAUUAUGGUAAAUAAUAAAUUUUGUAUUAAUUUUUAUAUUUAACAAUUAUUACAAAAAUUAUGAAAUAAGAAAAAAACCACCAGCUAGGCAGUGGAGCCACAACGUAGUGUGUUUUACCAAACACCCAAACAGAUCCCUAACUAGGGUGUUUAAAUGUCUACAAUUAAGAUUAGUUUAGAAAAUAAGGUCCUAUUUAGUAUUGAGGGGCUAUCUACAGCUAAUGUCGAACAAAAUUGUAACUAUGAAAUAAAAGUUAACAAUAUAUAGUAAAUAUAAUUUUUAAACAAUAAUUUUGAUAAAAUUAAUAAAGGCAUAAUAUUUUUUUUUCAUCUUAUAUGUAUAAAAUCAAAUAAACUUAACUUCUAAACUACAACAACUAAUAUUUACCAAACACUUUAAUGUUGUAUCUUAAAAUCUAUAACUAUCCAACCUCAAUUUUAAAUAGGGCCCAAGUAUGGGUAAUGCGUGGGAUUUAGCAUCUCACAACUUACCUAGCGUGUUAUUAGUGAAAUUACAUUUACAAUAUUUUUAGCCCACUUACGUAGAUGGAUCAACUGGCUGUUAACAUGUUCUCCACCAUGGUCACCAGAGUUCAAGAAAAGGAUUUAUACUGUUUAGUAGGUGAAGUUUCACAUUUCCAUCCAAAUAUUUUAUUAAAAAAUAAAUCAAGAGUAUUCAUUGUGAAAAAGAAGUUUUUGUCCAAACAUUAAAAGGAUCUUCCAAAUUAAUGUAAAACAUAGAGCACAAACGAGUUAAUACUCAUUUAUAUAUCAAGUUAAACGGGUUAAUUUUGUGUUAAUUGUGUUAUAGAUAGGCAAGAGUAAGAGACACAAACAAGAUCAAAAGGAUUAUCUUAGAUGGAAAAUUCUAUAAUACCAUAACAAAAAUUACGGUAUUAAUGCCGUAGUUAUUUUAUACUGUUGGAUGAGAUCAACGAUGUACAAUAAUUAAAAUAUAAUAAAAAAUGUAAAUUUUUUUUCUUUAACCGGUUUACAACUGGUUAUUUAUUUAUAAAAAAAUAAAUUUAACUGGCUAAAACAGUGGGGAAAAAGAAGCGGUUUUUGUUUGCCUCCAAUACUCUUUUCCUGCUGAUAAUUUAGCAAAAACAGAGGCAAAAAAAAGCAAAAAAGAAGAAGCCCUACAACGACGUCGUUGAGGAGAAUCGAGCUGAGUCCUUGAUCGUGAAGCGGUUUUCAGUCGACGAUAACGACCCGAAGUCGGCGAUUGAUACCGUAAUCGGCGCCAGCGAUUAAUAACCAUAUAAUCCUCUGCUGCCCUUAAUCUUGUUGAGGGGAAGAGAACCACGGCAAAUUACUAAUAAAAAUAAGGCAAGUUGCAGGCCACUGAUUCUCCUCUACCACAUUCGCAUUGUCGUUAAUUUCAACAUGUGUUUUUUUUUUUUACAAUUUAUUUGACCAAGACACACAAAUAUAUAUAGAGAGAGAGAGCAUGCACUAGACUUUGAUAUGAUUUUUUCUUGUUAUUACAAGUAUUACUUGAAUACAAGUAAUAUGUCCUGUUCUGAAAACACAUAUUGUCGAAUUAUGUAAUGUUCAUUUGGUUCGUAUCUUAUAAUUUCUCUAGUUUAUUCAAUCUGAUUUGCUGACACUUAUGCCCAAUAGCCCUAGUUUCCUUUUUUACAAAUCCACUUAGAAAAAUUUCUUUGUUAGUGGUUCUAUUUUUAUUUAUUUAUUUUUGAGUGAUUUGCCAAUGUGUUAAAAUUGUGCUUGGAUCCUACAUAUUGGUAGUUAACGUUGAUGCUUUGAUGGAAUUUCUAAUAGAGUGAGUAAAUUUUGUUGAAAUUUCUAAGUAGAGUCUUCAAGUUAUUUGUUGAAAUGCCUGAGAGAAACAAUGUGUUUGUAUAUGUUCUAUUAUUCAAAUAUGAGGUAUGAAAAUGAAAAUAAAAAUUUUGCGUUUGGGUUAAUUUUCUAUUGUAUUUGGAAUGAUUUGCUGUUGUUUUUUAGUAAAAUUUUUCUAGUGUUUUGGGUUUCAUUUGCUGCAGUUUUUAGGUUAAAUUUUCUACUAUUUCUGGGCCAAUUGGCUGUUGUUUUUCAGUUUAAUUUUCUACUAUUUUUAGAUAAAUUUACUGCUGUUUUUGCGUUAUAUUUUCUGCUGUUUUCAAGUAAAUUUUUCGGUGUUUCGAGCUUCAUUUGCUGUUGCUUUAGGUUAAAUUUUCUACUGUUCCUGGGUCAAUUGGCUGCUGUUUUCAGUUUAAUUUUUUGCUGUUUUUAGAUAAAUUUACUACUAUUUUUGGGUUAUAUUUUCUGUUGUUUCUUGGUAAAUUUUUUCUAGUGUUUUGGGCUUCAUUUGCUACUGCUUUUAGAUUAAAUUUUUUGUUGUUUCUGGGUCAAUUGGCUGCUUUUUUCAGUUUAAUUUUUUACUCUUUUUAGAUAAAUUUACUACUAUUUUUGGGUUAUAUUUUCUGUUGUUUUUAGAUAAAUUUACUAUUGUUUUUGGGCUUCAUUUGUUGCUGCUUUUGGGUUAAAUUUUUUGCUAUUUCUGAGUCAAUUGGCUGUUGUUUUUUAGUUUAAUUUUUUACUCUUUUUAGAUAAAUUUACUACUGUUUUUGGGUUAUAUUUUCUGUUGUUAUUAGAUAAAUUUUUUGCUGUUUUUGGGUUUAAUUUGUUGUUACUUUUGGGUUAAAUUUUUUGCUAUUUCUGAGUAAAUUUGCUAUUGUUUUUCAGUUAAAUUUUCUGUUGUUUUUGGAUAAAUUUACUGCUGUUUCCAGAUAAUUUUUUUGCUGUUUUGGGCUUCAUUUACUGUUGUUUUUAGGUUAAAUUUGUUGCUGCUUCUGGGGUAAAUUUGCUGCUGUUUUUCAAUUAAAUUUUUUGUUGUUUUUAGAUUAAAUUUUUUUCGUAUAUUGGGCUUCAUUUGCUGCUAUUUUGUGUUAAAUUUUUUUUUGUUCUAGGUAAAUUUAUUACUUUUUUUAGUUAAAUUUUUUGUUGUUUUUGGAUAAAUUUACUACUAUUUUUUGGGUUAGAUUUUUUGCUGUUUUCUGGUAAAUUUGCUGUUGUUUUGUGCACAGAGCUGGUCGAAAAAUGGUCAUGAUGCAUUUUGAAUGCAGAAUGAUGGAGACUGGUAGUAAAAGUUGCUUGUGUUGUUUUUGCUGCUACUUGCUCCAUUUGAGCUUCUAGAAAUUGUUAAGGGUAGCGGGGAAGAAGAAAGAGAUGAUGAGAAAUGCAAAUUGUUUGUGAGCUUUAGAUUGAUGUACCAAGCCAAUAGUUAUAUUGCAAAAUAUCUGUUUUUUUUUUAGUUUGUUAAUUUUUAUUUUUUUGGAUUAUAACUAAUGCUGUAAAUAGUUAUUGUUUGUCACCGUUCUAGAAGCAAAUACUAGUCUAACUUUCUAGGAAAGGUGUUCCUAAUUCUUGGUUGGGUGAUUGAAUUUUGUAUUGAAAUGUUUAUUUCUAAAAUAUUUUUAGAGGAUCCAAAACUUGUGAUAUUUGACAUUUCUUUUUGUGCUUAAUAUCUUCAUGUACAGGUUCUUGUAAACUUGAAAAUGGCAGAAAAUGUAAAAUGAGAAUGAUUUCAAGGAGAAUGAUAAUGUGAACCAAGAAAAUGAAAUUUUAAGAAAAAAUCGGCCUUUCAUUGAGCAUAUUUGCACCUCGGAUUAUGAUGAAUGGUUGCACGGCCUACGUGCUAGCAGAUUUAGAUGCGGAUUUGGCGAAUAUUGGCUUUGCAUGUUUGGAGAAUUGAGAGAGAGAGAUUCAUAUUUGGGGAAUGACGAAUAGGGACUAUGUUUUAAUUUUUCACUUUGUCGUUCUUGUCUUCUAUGGUGCCAUUGAGACUUGAGAGCUGAGCCUUUUUUUUACCGCUUUCACUUAAAAAGGAAAAUGAAUAUUAUAAGGAAACGACGUAGUUUUAGUGAAUUUUAAAUGUUAUAAUUUUUUGUUGUUGUUUAUAUCUUAAUUAUAUAACAUUAUUUUUUAAAAUAAGUUAAAGAUAAAAUUUAUAACAUUUAUAUAUAUACCUAAAAUAUAUAUAGAACCACUUAUGUUAUGAUUUGUUUUUGGGUUCAGAUUUAUCAUUUUUAGUUAAAUUUUAAAUUUAUGAUUUUAUACCUAAUUUUUCAUUCGGGAAAGGGACAUGGUCGAUUUUUAUAAACUAAUUUAAAGAAAAAUGAUAGGUUUAUGAUUUUAUUAAUAUAUUAUAAUUAAUAAUAAUAAUAAUUUUUUAAUAAAUAAUCACUAUAAUUAAAAUAUAAAAUAAUAAUUAUGAUAAUAAUUCAUUAAGUACAUAUAUUACAUGCAAGGAAGACUAGGCUCGACUUUUAGUCUAAUUAACUUGACCUGAAUUUUUUGGCCUUUGACUCGAAUUUAAUGGUUAGGCUUGGGUCUAAAUAUUAGAGCCCAAUUAAAUUCAUAUCAGGGUUAGGGACCUAUAUGCCCGACCCGACCUGAUCUGACCUAACCAUAAAACCUAAAAAAAAUGUAAUAAUAUGAUUACGGCCCUGAAUAAUCUUUAUUUUUAUGUUACUUCAAACAAUUUCUAAAGCUUUUAUAUUUUACUGUAUAUGGGGAGGCUAUGUCCAAUUUUUAAAUUUUAAAUUAACUAAAAAUUAAAAAAAAAACUUUAAAAGAAAGUUUGAUCAGGCCCACGCUUUCAAAUAAUAGGGCCUUUUUGGGCUCGAAAAUUUUAUUUCAGCUAUAGAGUCAGGCUCAGAAAUGGCUAAGCACAGGCCUAACUCGACCCACUGCCAUCCUUUCGAAUAGACUAUUGAUCCAUUAUGAACUCAUCAAUUAAAUUCAUGAUCAUAGUAAAUGUGUUACUAUCAUUCUUUUGUUUGCAAGAACAACUUGUAAACAAAAUAAAAAUUUAGUAAAAUGACACAGAAUUUGUAAAUUGACAUUAAGUGUAAAAUAAAAUAAAAAAUUUGUAAAGCACACAUAAAACUAGUAAAUUGAUGGAAAAUUGGGUAAAUUAAUGUUCGAAUUGUAAAUUGCAAGAAAAACUUGUAAAUAAAAUAAAAAUUUAGAAAAAUGACAUAAAACUUGUAAAUUAACAUUAAAUAUAAAAUGAAACAAUAAAUUUGUAAACCACACAUAAAACAAGUAAAUUUAAGGAAAAAUGGGUAAAUUAAUGUUGAAGUUGUAAUUUGCAAGAAGAACUUGUAAGCAAAAUAAAAAUUUAGAAAAAUAACAUAAAACUUGUAAAUUGAUAUUAUGUGUGAAAUAAAACAAAAAAUUUGUAAACCACACAUAAAACUAGUAAAUUGAUGAGAAAAUGGGUAAGUUAAUAUUUGAGUUGUAAAUUGCAAGAAGAACUUAUAAACAAAACAAAACCUUAGAAAAAUGACAUAGAACUUGUAAAUUGACAUUACGUGUGAAAUGAAACAAAAAAUUUAUAAAUCACGCCUAAAACUAGUAAAUUGAUGGAAAAAGAGGUAAAUUAAUAAUGGUGUUGUAAAUUGCAGGAAAAACUUGUAAACAAAACAAAAACUUAGAAAAAUGAUAUAAAACUUAUAAAUUGACAUUAAGUGUGAAAUGAAACAAAAUAUUUGUAAAUCACAUAUCAAAAUAUUUGUAAAUCACAUAUCAAAAUAUUUGUAAAUCACAUAUAAAACUAGUAAAUUGAUGGAAAAAAAGUUAAAUUAAUGAUGGAGUUGUAAAUUAGAAGAAAAAAGUGUAAACAAAACAAAAAUUUAGAAAAAUGGCAUAAAACUUGUAAAUUGUCAUUAAGUGUGAAAUGAAACAAAAAACUUGUAAACCACAAAUAAAACUAGUAAAUUGAUGGAAAAAUAGGAAAAUUAAUGUUGGAGUUGUAAAUUGUAAGAAGUUGUAAACAAAACAAAACCUUAGAAAAAUGACAUACAACUUGAAAAUUGACAUUAAGUGUGAAAUGAAACAAAACAUUUGUAAAUGACAUAUCAAAAUAUUUGUAAAUCACACUUAAAAUUAGUAAAUUGAUGGAAAAAGAGGUAAAUUAAUGAUGAAGUUGUAAAUUAGAAGAAAAAAGUAUAAACAAAACAAAAACUUAGAAAAAUGAUAUAAAACUUCUAAAUUGACAUUAAGUGUGAAAUGAAACAAAAAAUUUACAAAUCACACCUAAAACUAGUAAAUUGAUGGAAAAAGAGAUAAAUUAAUGAUGGAGUUAUAAAUUGCAAGAACAACUUGUAAACAAAACAAAAACUUAGAAAAGUGACAUGGAACUUGUAAAUUGACAUUAAGUGUGAAAUAAAACAAAAAAAUUUGUAAAUCACAUUUAAAUUUAGUAAAUUGAUGAAAAAGAGGUAAAUUAAUGAUGAAGUUGUAAAUUAGAAGAAAAAAGUAUAAACAAAACAAAAACUUAGAAAAAUGAUAUAAAACUUGUAAUUGACAUUAAGUGUGAAAUGAAACAAAAAAUUUGUAAACUACAUAUAAAACUAGUAAAUUGAUGGAAAAAUAGGUAAAUUAAUGUUGGAGUUGUAAAUUGGAAGAAGAACUUAUAAACCAAACAAAACCUAAAAAAAUGACAGAACUUGUAAAUUUACAUUAAGUGUGAAAUGAAACAAAAAAUUUGUAAACCACACAUAAAACUAGUAAAUUGAUGGGAAAAAAGGUAAAUUAAUUUUGGAGUUGUAAAUUACAAGAAGAACUUGUAAACAACACAAAAACUUUGAAAAAUGACAUAGAACUUGUACAUUGACAUUAAGUGUGAAAUGAACCAAAAAAAUGUGUAAAUCACACAUAACACUAGUAAAUUGAUGGGAAAAGGAGUAAAUUAAUGUUGGAAUUGUAAAUUGCAAGACAAACUUGUAAACAAAACAAAAAUUUAGAAAAAUGGUAUAAAACUUAUAACUUGACAUUAAGUGUAAAAUGAAAUAACAAAUUUGUAAACCACAUAUAAAACUAGUAAAUUUAUGGAAAAUGGGGUAAAUUUAUGUUGGAGUUGUUAUUUGCAAGAACAACUUGUAAACAAAACAAAAACUUAGAAAAAUAACAUAAAACUUGUAAAUUGACAUUAUGUGUGAAAUAAAAUAAAAAAUUUGUAAACCACACAUAAAACUAGUAAAUUGAUGGAAAAAUUGGUAAGUUAAUAUUUGAGUUGUAAAUUGCAAGAAGAACUUGUAAAUAAAACAAAACCUUCGAAAAAUGAAAUAGAACUUGUAAAUUGACAUUAAGUAUGAAAUGAAACAAAAAAAAUUGUAAAUCAUGCAUAAAACUAGUAAAUUGAUGAAAAAAAAGGUAAAUUAAUGAUGGAGUUGUAAAUUAGAAGAAAAAAGUGUAAACAAAACAAAAAUUUUUAAAUAUGACAUAAAACUUGUAAAUUGACAUUAAGUGUGAAAUGACACAAAAUAUUUGUAAACCACACCUAAAACUAGUAAAUUGAUGGAAAAAAUGAGUAAAUUAAUGUUGGAGUUAUAUUUUGCAAGAAGAACUUGUAAACAAAACUAAAACUUAGAAAAAUCACAUAAAACUUGUAAAUUGAUAUUAUGUGUGAAAUAAAAAAAAUAUUUGUAAACCACACAUAAAACUAGUAAAUUGAUGAGAAAUGGGUAAGUUAAUAUUUGAGUCGUAAAUUGCAAGAAGAACUUGUAAACAAAACAAAAGCCUUAGAAAAAAAUGACAUAGAACUUGUAAAUUGACAUUUAGUAUGAAAUGAAACAAAAAAAUUUUUAAAUCACACUUAAAACUAGUAAAUUGAUUAAAAAAGAGGUAAAUUAAUUGUUGAGCUGUAGAUUGUAAGAACAACUUGUAAACAAAACAAAAACUUAGAAAAAUGACAUGGAACUUGUAAAUUGACAUUAAGUGUGAAAUAAAACAAAAAAUUUGUAAACCACAAAUAAAACUAGUAAAUUGAUAGAAAAAUGGGUAAGUUAAUAAUUGAGUUGUAAAUUGCAAGAAGAACUUGUAAACAAAACAAAACUUUCGAAAAAUAAAAUAGAACUUGUAAAUUGACAUUAAGUAUGAAAUGAAACAAAAAAUUUGUAAAUUAACAUUAAGUAUGAAAUGAAACAAAAAAUUUGUAAAUCACAUCUAAAACUAGUAAAUUGAUAGAAAAAGAGGUAAAUUAAUAAUGGAGUUGUAAAUUGCAAGAAGAACUUGUAAAAAAACAAAAACUUAGAAAAAUAACAUAAAACUUGUAAACUGGCAUUAUGUGUGAAAUGAAACAAAAUAUUUACAAAUCACACAUAAAACUAGUAAAUUUAUGGAAAAAGAGGUAAAUUGAAAUUGUAAAUUAGAAGAAAAAGGUGUAAACAAAACAAAAAUUUUUAAAAAUGACAUAAAACUUGUAAAUUGAGAUUAAGUGUGAAAUGAAACAAAAUAUUUGUAGACUACACCUAAAACUAGUAAAUUGAUGAAAAAAUGGGUAAAUUAAUGUUGGAGUUGUAAUUUGCAAGAAGAACUUGUAAACAAAACAAAAACUUAGAAAAAUAACAUAAAACUUGUAAAUUGACAUUAUGUGUGAAAUAAAAUAAAAAAUUUGUAAACCACACAUAAAACUAGUAAAUUGAUGGAAAAAUGGGUAAGUUAAUAUUUGAGUUGUAAAUUGAAAGAAGAACUUGUAAACAAACCAAAACCUUAGAAAAAUGACAUAGAACUUGUAAAUUGACAUUAAGUGUGAAAUGAAACAAAAAAUUUGUAAGUCACACAUAAAACUAAUAAAUUGAUGGAAAAAUAGAUAAAUUAAUGUUAGAGUUGUAAAAUACAAGAGGAACUUGUAAACAAAAUAAAAAUUUAGAAAAAUGAUAUAGAACUUGUACUUUGACAUUAAGUGUGAAAUGAACUAAAAAAUAUGUAAAUCAUGAUUAAAACUAAUAAAUUGAUGGAAAUGAUCCCUGGGUUAGCUCAUUUAAUUGACUGCACCACUACUGGAUUAAUAAGCUAGACAACUAGCUAUUUGGGUCAAAAACCUAAAUAUAUCAUUUAGUGGGAGGCUCCAUUUAAUUAGCUUAUGUGUAAAGGGCCUUAUGUUAUUUUACAAGGUGGGUCCCCUAUAGAAAAAGCAAGUAACGUGAGUUUUGAUUUUCAUUAUUUGGAGUCUAGGGUUUUCACUAAAGGGAGAUAUAAAAAAGCUUAUUUUCUCUAAAGAAAAAAGAGCAGCUCCUUUAUACAAAGAAGAGAAAAAGAUUUUUCUCUUAGUUAUUGAGAGAAAAAUUUUCUCGUGCUAGUUGCUUUGAUAGUGAUAAAGGCGUCCACACGUCAAGUGCAGAUCGACCCUGAGUCAUAACCUGGAAGAUCAUUGUGACAGUUCGUGAUCUAACAAGCGUAGUGGUGACGGAUCGUGAUCUAACAGGAGUGGUGGUGACAGAUCGUGAUCUGGGAGCCUAAAUCACUUCAAUAGAAAAAAGCCAAAUCGAAUUUUCAAGGUAUGAUUUCUAGAUUACAAAUUCUUAUAUAUGGUAGGAGAGCUAUCUUAAAAGGUUUUAUAAAAAUUUAAAAAUUAUAUUUUUCUCCAACAAUUGGUAUCAGAGCCAUCUCAUAUUAAUAUAUAAGAAUAUUGUAUGAAAUCAAUCUUGAAAUUUAUAUAUUAGAGUGGCACAAUUUAUUCAAAUAUAUAUUAUUAUUUUAAUAUAUGAAUAAAGCAUGUUUUUAGUUUGUCUUAAUUCAUGGUUAGAUUUUACGCUGUAUUUUUUCUUCGGAUCUGUAACAAGAGGGGUGACUUUUCAUCACAAUGUUUCCCUCUUGAUUUAUUUUACUGUUAUAGAAUUUUUGUAAGCCAAAAUUGGCCUAGGAAAUUUGUAAAUCAAUCAUGGAUGUCAGAUCAUCGGAAACGAAGGCCGGAUAUUUUGACAGCAGCAACAAACCAGCACGUGCGGCCAGCAAUGGCCAGCGGCACGCACUGCACGUGCUGCAGCUGCAAGCAAUGCUGCCAGCAGCGUGCAGCUCCUGGGUUCCGUCAUUUGGUGGCUUUCCGGCGUAGUGGCAAUGGUUAAAUCAGCGUCGAACUUGGAUGAACAGUGACUGGCUUUGUGGUGAUGGCGGAUGGGGAGAGUAAAAGAUGGAUUCAGGGUUUCAAUGGUUUUUAUCAUUCAGAUCCCUAUGGCUCCAUAUUUUUUUUCUUUUUGGGUAGACACGUUUAAAUUUUUGCAGUUAAGUCCAAAAACAGUAUUGGGCUUAAUGAAUCAUAGUUUAUGCUCAAUUUCAAUUGGGCUUAAUGGAUUAAAAUGCAUAGAUAAAAUUGAACACAUUAAGACGGAAGGGUGGAAACAUUUAAAGCAAGAUUAGUAGCCAAAGGGUUUACUCAGAAAGAGGGAAUCGAUUAUGAGGAAACUUUUUCUCCGGUUGCUAUGCUUAAAUCCAUCAGGAUUCUGCUCUCCAUUACUGCAGUGCUAGAUUAUGAAAUUUGGCAAAUGGAUGUCAAGACUGCCUUUCUUAACGGGUAUCUUGAAGAAAACAUCUACAUGCAGCAACCAGAUGGAUUUAUACAAAAAGGCCAUAAACACAUGGUAUGUAAGUUGCAGAGAUCCAUUUAUGGAUUGAAGCAAGCAUCCCGGUCAUGGAACAUCAGAUUCGAUCAAGUGAUUAAAUCGUUUGGAUUCAUUCAGAACAUUGAUGAACCAUGUGUGUACAAGAAAAUUCAAGAAAAAUCUGUAGCCUUCCUAAUUCUUUAUGUAGAUGAUAUUCUCCUAAUUGGAAACGAUAUAGGAGUAUUGACUACAAUAAAGAGUUGGUUAGCAAAACAAUUUGAUAUGAAAGACCUGGGAGAGGCAAGUUAUAUUCUUGGUAUCAAGUUACUACGAGACCGAAAGAAUAAAACUUUAGCCUUGUCUCAAGCGGUCUACAUCGAUAAGAUAUUGGCUAGAUUUAGCAUGGAAAAUUCCAAGACUGGUUUAUUACCAUUCAGACAUGGAAUUACAUUCUCUAAUGAUCAAUCACCUAAAACAUCUGAAGAGAUAGAGAGAAUGAGACGAGUUCCCUAUGCAGAAGCUGUGGGAAGUCUCAUGUAUGCCAUGCUUUGCACUAGGCCAGACAUCUGUUUUGCGGUAGGGAUGGUUAGUAGAUAUCAAUCUAAUCCUGGACCUGAACACUGGACUGCGGUCAAGCAUAUAAUGAAGUAUCUGAAAAGAACUAAAAAUUAUAUGCUUGUGUAUUCUGGUAAUGAACUCAUUCCAGUGGGUUAUACUGAUUCUGACUUUAUGUCAGAUAAGGAUUCCAAAAAAUCAACUUCCGGCUAUGUGUUUACAUUGGGAAGUGGAGCUAUUAGUUGGAGGAGUGUGAAACAAUCUUAUAUCGCAGACUCCACAACUGAAGCUGAAUAUGUGGCUGCAUCCGAAGCUGCAAAAGAAGCUGUAUGGCUCCGCAAGUUCCUACAAGAUCUUGAGGUGGUACCUGCUGUAUCUGCACCCCUGAAACUAUUUUGCGAUAAUAGUGGUGCGGUAGCUCAAUCUAAGGAACCAAGGAACCACAAGAAACAAAAACAUAUUGAGAGUAAGUAUCAUCUUAUAAGGGAUAUAGUGCAAAGGGGUGAUGUGGAGGUUACUCAGAUUGCGUCACAGCAAAAUUUGGCAGAUCCUUUUACUAAGGCCAUACCUGGGAAACCUUUUAACUUGCACUUAGAAUCCAUGGGCAUGCGUGAGAUGCCAAAUAUGCUUUGAGAGCUAGUGGGAGAUUGUUGGGAAAAUAUGCUCUUUAAAAGCAUAUGUGUUUAUUUAAUUGUAAUAAAUAAUUUUUCUGAUUAAUAAAAUAGAUGAGGUAUUUUAUUCAAAUAUAUUAAUUGCAUUAAUAUUUAUAUUAAAGUCCAUUUAAUCAUAUUAUAUGUAUUUAUGUGAUCACCAUGUGGAUUCACAGAAGACAUAAAUACAAGUUAUCUUAUGAUUAAAUAAAUUUAGUUCGCAGUUGAUAAAUAAAGUUGGGCACUUUAUUUAGGUAUAGACUGUAAUAAAUUCAUUGAAUGAUUUGUCUUAAUCAUGUAUGAAUUUAUUGGUGUAGUACGACUACAUUGAACAUGAUCACAUAUGAGAUUUAAUUAACUUUGUAAUAACUGUCAGACUUAUUAAAUCUCAUAGGCGUUGAUUUUACUGUAAUCUUAAUCUUGAGUUAAUUAUGAUUUCAUGAUUGUAAUUGUUAUUCCAUUUGAGUUACCAAUGGGCACGACACAUCCUUGUGGUCAAGAUUACCCGGUAUCUUGGUGGGAGCAAUUAUGAGUAUUGGAGUUAUGGAUUAACAAUAUAGAAUUUGUACAACACAUCUCUUGAUGGGUUUCUGAACUAAACAGACCUCAAUUACAAAAAGAUUUCAACACCCAAGUGUCAAUAGGAUUCUGAACUAAACAGGCCUCAAUUACAAAAAGAUUUCCCAUACCUGAUUUCACAAUCUUAGGGUAAUCCUUUUUCCAGUGACCUUUCUGUCCACACUUAAAGCAUUUGCCUUUCGGCUUGCCAUCUUGCUUGGUAGACGGUUUCUUUUUCCCAGCUUUCUUCUUACCUUUGCCUUUCGGCUUAGGCCCAGAAGAUGAACUUUUUUCAGUAAUAUUUAUGCUUCCCAGAGAUUUCUCAGCACGAUAGAUCUCUUCAGCAGAAUGGAGUUCGUUCAUCAAUUCAGUUAAGGUCAUGUUUCUUUUGUUCAUGUUAUAAUUGACCUUAAACUCAUUGAAUGUUUCUGGUAGAGAUUCUAGCACCAUGUCAAUCUUUGAGUUAUCAUCGAUUUGUGCUCCCUGAAUCUCAGCCUCAUUCAAAUAGUCCAUCAUUUUGAGGACAUGAUCACGAAUUCUUGUGCCCUUCCCCAUUUUACUGUUCAUAAUUCCUUUCAGCGCUGCUUGUCUCGCUGAGCUAGUACUCUGCCCGAACAUCUGUUGGAGACUAUCCAUUAUUUCAGUGGCAGUCUCCAAGUUCUGAUGUUUGGUCUGCAGAAUAUUAGAAAUCGAGGCUAAAAUGUAGCACUUUGCCAUUUCAUUAGCCUUUUGCCAUUUCUCAUAAAGCCUCCUCUGAUUUCUAUGAGCAUCAUCCGCUGGAACUGGAGGGCAUGGCUGGGUUAAGACAUAUUUAUAAUUUUCAGCAGUCAGGACAAUGAAUAUAUUUCUUUUCCAAUCUAUAUAGUUCUCUCCAGUGAGUUUGUUUUGACUCAGAAUAAUAGUAAGUGGGCUCAGGGAAGACAUUUUUUGAAAAUAAAACAUCCAUGCAUAAAUAAUUUGAAAUAAUAUUCAUAAUAAAUGACAAAAAUGCAUAAAACCAUAAAUGCAUUUUAAUUUAUUGUAACGAUAAUCUAAUUCCGCUUUGACAAGCUAUCCGGUGGGAAAGUCAUGUCUAUACUUACUAGACCCAAUUACCCAUUGGAUUAUUUACUUUCAUGUAGAGACAUGAUAAAUAAUUAUCGUUAUCUUUUUGGGCCUAAAUUUGUUAACAGAGCUUCGUUGGAAAGGUUAAUAACAAAUUUUAGUUGAGUGUAUAACCAUUGUUUCAAUCUACGUAUUUUUCAUAUCAAUAGUCACCGUUGGGGUGAACAAUUGAUUGAAAAAUAUUUCAAUUUUAUCUUUGAAGAAGUUCAUCAAAUAAAAUAUCUAAUAUAUAUACCCUCCGAAGGGAGCAUCACUGUAUCAUGAAGUCGAGGUAUAUAUAUAAUUUUAUUAUUGAACUAACAAUGGAGCCCUUGGGAAAAUUAUCUUGAAUUUUCCCUCUCCCACUCAAUAUUUUAAAAUUGGUUUUUCCUUUUUAAAACAUACAUAUUGUUAAUUGCAUGCUUCCUAUAAUAUUAUCUAGAUGAUAUCAAAUAUUAUUAAGCAUACGCAAAUUUCAAAUAAUAUAAUGAAAUUCAUUAUUAAUGAAUGACAUGUAUCAUUAUGCAUAGAGUGGCACUACCUAUUCUAUAUGACAUGUUAUCAUGGCAUGUGAUCAUCCAAAACAUAACAUAUAGAAAAACAAUUAAAUAAUCUUAAUUCAUGGCUUUCCUAAUAAUGAAAAAUACAUUAACCCCAAGCCUAAUCUUCAUUGGGCUUCUUGUCAAUGUCCAUCUUCGAUAAACUUGUCUUUGUUAAUGGACUAGGGGAAAUUGGGCUUUUAAAUUUAUAAUUGGUCCAAUUUUAAUUUUAAAUAAAUAAAAAAAAUUUUAUAAAAUUUUUGGACCAAAAAUAAAUUUAAUGUAUUUAAUUUUGUCUAUGCAUUUUAAUCCAUUAAACCCAAUUGAAAUUGGGCCUAAAACUAGGAUUCAUUAAACCCAAAACUAUUUUUGGAUUUAAACGCAAAAAAUUAAAAAUAUUUCUGCCUAACUGAAAAAAUAUGAAACUAUAGGGACCUCCAUGAUAAAAACCAUGGAACCCUAAAAUCACAUUUUUCUUUUCCUCUUCUUCCCCAGCCGCCACCAGUAAAAAGCACCAGCUUCUGUUCCCGGUCAACCGCCGCUGUUCAGAGACGCCAGCCGGUCUCCGACACAUCUCUGACGAGGAGCCAUCGCCAAUACGCCGGAAACAAGCCAACCCUGCGAGCGCUACUUGCUGGAACGCACGCUACUUCUGCGCACGCUGCUGCUGCGCGUACAGCGCGUGCCGCUGGCCAGGCUGGCCGCACGCGUCGCUUGCUGCACGCAGCGCCCGCUGCUGGCAGCGUGUGCUGCCUGCUGCGCGCAUUGCCAGCAUGCGCUUGCAGCGUGUACCGCUCGUUGGCUGCAGCGAGUGCGCUGGUCGGUGGUCGAUGUCAAAAUUUCCGGCCUCCGUCGCUUUCAGCUCGUUUUCCAGUGAUGAUUCUUCAGUGAUUUACAAAUUUUCAACGCAAAUUUUGGCUUACAAAAUUUCAAUUACAUUAAAAUAAAUCAAGAGGGAAACAUGGUGAUAAUAAACCACCCCUCUUGUUACAGAUCCAAACAAAAAAUACAGUAGCACAUCUAACCAUGAAUUAAGACAAACCAUAAACAUGCUUUAUUCAUAUAUUAAACAAAUAAUAUAUAUCUGAAUAAAAUGUGCCAAUCUAAUACAUAAAUUUCAAGAUUAAUUUCAUACGAAAUUCUUAUAUAUUAAUAUGAGGCUGCUCUGAUACCAAUUAUUGGCGAAAAAUGAGGUUUUUAUAAUUUUUAUAAAACCUUUUGAAGAUCGCUUUCAUAUAAUAUAUAAGAAUUUGUAUUCUAGAAAUCGUACCUUGAAAAUCCGAGUUGGCUUUUUCCGCUGAAAUGAUUUAGGCUCCUAGAUCACGAUCCGCCACCACCACUCCUGUUAGAUCACGUUCCUUCACCACCACGCUUGUUAGAUCACGAACUGUCACCAAUGAUCUUCCAGGUUAUGACUCAGGUUCGAUCUGCACUUGACGUGUGGGCGCCUUUAUCACUACCAAAGCAACUAGCACGAGAAAAUUUUUCUCUCAACAAUAGAGAGAAAAAUCUUAUUCUGCGAUUUGUAUAAAGUGGCUUCUCUUCUUUCUUUUGAGAAAAUAAGCCUUUUAUAUCACCCUUUAGUGAAAACCCUAGGCUCCCAAUAAUUAAAAAAAAAAACUCACGUUAUUUGCUUUUUCUAUAGGAGACCCACCUUGUAAAAUAACAUAAGGCCCCUUACACAAAAGCUAAUUAAAUGGAGCCUCCCACUAAAUGAUAUAUUUAGGCUUUUGACCCAAAUAGCUAGUUAUCUUACUUAUUAGUCCCGUAGUGGUGCAGUCAAUUAAAUGAGCUAACCCGGGAAUCAUUUGGGAACAUACAAUAGUGGCUACAAUAAUUAGGCCUGUAAUUAAAUUAGCCCAAUUAUUUAAUUCCAAAUCUACUCCACUAAAAGAUUGGAACUGACUUCCAUAAUUGUAUGCUCGAAUAAUAAUUCGUCCCAAGCCACAUUAAUUUCUUUACUGCACAAUCCUUUGUACCACAUCGUUAAUUAAAUUGAUAUCUCAACUGUCCAAUUAAUUUAAUAACAUCUUAUUCCUUGAUCCUUACUGGUUUUCUCUAAUGAUCAUUUUCAACAUACUAAAUAUGUUGACACACUCUGGCCAGAGAAUUCUAUGAUCAAGUGCCGAAAACCCAUCAAGAGAUGUGUUGUACAAAUUCUAUAUUGUUAAUCCAUAACUCCAAUACUCAUAAUUGCUCCCACCAAGAUACCGGGUAAUCUUGACCACAAGGAUGUGUCGUGCCCAUUGGUAACUCAAAUGGAAUAAAAAUUACAAUCAUGAAAUCAUAAUUAACUCAAGAUUAAGAUUACAGUAAAAUCAACGCCUAUGAGAUUUAAUAAGUCUGACAGUUAUUACAAAGUUAAUUAAAUCUCAUAUGUGAUCAUGUUCAAUGUAGUCGUACUACAUCAAUAAAUUCAUACAUGAUUAAGACAAAUCAUUCAAUGAAUUUAUUACAGUCUAUACCUAAAUAAAGUGCCCAACUUUAUUUAUCAACUGCGAACUAAAUUUAUUUAAUCAUAAGAUAACUUGUAUUUAUGUCUUCUGUGAAUCCACAUGGUGAUCACAUAAAUACAUACAAUAUGAUUAAAUGGACUUUAAUACAAAUAUUAAUGCAAUUAAGAUAUUUGAAUAAAAUACCUCAUCUAUUUUAUUAAUCAGAAAAAUUGUUUAUUACAAUUAAAUAAACACAUAUGCUUUUAAAGAGCAUAUUUUCCCAACAACAACUGCAUCUACGGACUCGUUGAUGUCGGGCCAGUAGUAGGUCCAUGCCACUAUUACUCCAUUAGGUUUUUUGAGUACCCAUUUUACUUGUUUGUAAAAUUGAGGCAAGUCAAACCAAUGUAGUGAUGUAGCAAUUGUCACUAGAUCUACACUUGAUUGUGUUGCCACAUUUUGUUCAAGCUCAGUUAUGGACAUGGUUGGAGGAGUAAGUUGAUACCGAAUGUUGGGGAGCUUUAUUGCGAAUUCUAGCUGCUUUGGGCUUGUGUCUGUAGCAAUGACAUUCUUGUAGAUUGGUGCAAGCUGAAGACAUAUAAUUGAGAAAAAAUAUAAAAUAUAGGAGGCUAUAACAAAAGUACACAAAAUUGAGAAGGCCAUAUAUAAAAAUUACAUAGACAUGGUGAAAUUUCAACCCAUACUCAGUUUUUUUGUUUUUUUUGUUUUCAUCCUCAAGGUUGCCGGGAUACUCUAGUUCCCCCCUUGGUAGUUGGAUAAGAUUUUUCUGUACUCGUCUCACGACUAAAUUUCCAGAUAAUGUGGAUAUUGAUUUGUAGAUAAUACAUACAUAAUUAAUCAAUGAAAAUAAUAGGGAUUUAACUAGGGAUUGGCAAUGGGAGGAGAUCGACAUUUCUGUAUCUAUUUCUGAUACUCUACUUGUAUCCUUGUACUCUCCCCGUCCUUUUUAAAAUUGCUUGAGGAUAGGGAUGGGGAUCUCCAAAGACACCCGAUCCCGAACAACUGAUUUUUGAACUUGAUUUAAUCAUAUUAAAGUAAAAAAAUAAAUCAUUUAACAACAUAAACACAUCAAAACAAAGUAAAAUCAUUAAAAUCAUUUUCAUCAAACUAAUUAAGUUAAUGUCAUCAAAAUUACAAGAUAAUCUAUGAAAUUAAGUAAAAAUAGAACUUCAGGGUUGAACACAUACAUUAAAGUCACAUGGUAUAAAUCAUUAAGAAAAUUAUCUUCAUCAAUCUUCAAGUGUUCAUAUCUAUUAUGAUAUUUUUUUUAUUUAUAUCCAUACCAUCACAAUUUAAAUUUUAAAUAUAAUUACUAAAAAUUUUGACAGAAAUAAAAUAAAAUAAAAAUUAAAAAUAAAAAUUAAAAAUGGGGAAACGAGAGAGACGAGGAAUUCACUGAAUCCCCAUCUUCUCCCUAUAUAAGAUAUUGAGUGUUAAGUUAUCUCUGUUCGUUCCCCGAAUUUUAAUUAAGAUAUAAAAUUGUUCCCACACCCUACACAAAUGGGAAAAAUCCUUCAAGACUCGUCCCAUGAGAAUUUCUGCUAUCCCUGAAUUUAACAGUUAUAUAAUUCAACUUUCUUAUAGCUUGGGAUCAGAAUUCUGAAAUAUUAAUAUGGAACUUUUGUAUUAUUCAAAAAUAAAAUCUAAAGAUGUGAAAAGUAAACUUACGGAUGCAGCGGCCUGCCCGCUUCCGGUGCCGACGUCCCAUGCAAGCUCGUUUUUGGGUGUUUUAGAGGCAAUGAAUUUGAACAAUUCUUCUGGAUAAUUUGGUCGUGCUUCCGCGUAUUGCUUUGCCUGCUUAACGAACAUAUCUGCCAUCUUUUCUGUUUUUUUCUAAAUAAGUGUUGACAAUAGAAUUGAGAUAAAUCUACUGAUCACUUGUUUCGUUUCUUCUUUAUAUAGGUUUUAGAAUUUGAUGUAGUAGACGAACAGACAAAUUUUAGUUAGAAAUUAAUUUGGUAUGGUUUAUCUGGGGAAGCCCAGAACGAGGACAAGCUCAUAAAGCGUUAAAUUUUGACCGAACUUUUCAUUCUUCCUUUAAUUUUCAAAGAUUCCCUUUUCUUCGCAAAGAUGAUGGUAUGGACUUCAUCAAUGAGCCCACAUCAACUCUACUUAGAGAAUUUUUUUUGGGAUAAUUUUGUCAUUAAUUUAAGCUGUUAAAGGUAUCUAUAGAAGUAUUGAACUACUACUUUGCUCUCUUAUGGGGUUAAGAUGGCGGAGUUUAAAGGCAGAUUCACCUCCUGACCAUUAGGAGUUCAAGCUUCCAAUGGAGAAAAUAAUUUAAAAAAAAGUAAUGAGAUAAUUGUUUGAAUUAUUAAUUAGAACCAUUAAAUUUAUUAAAAUAAUUGUGUUAAAUUUAUAAAAAUAGGUCCAUAAAUUCAUAAACCUAUAAAAUUUAAAUUUUGACUUUGAAACAUAUAAAAGCUCAUACUUUAAUUAAAAAAAUAAAUGUUUACAGUAGUCAAAUUUAUUAUUAUUUAAUUUAGCCCUAUUAAAUUUACUAAAGUACCUCCACAAACUCAUUAAUCUAUAAAAUUUUAGUAUUGAUUACAUUUUGUUAUUAUGUAAUUCAAUCCUCUGAAUUCGCUACUAUUUAGAAUUGGCUCUCUAUUAUUACUCGAUCUAGUCCAAGUUCAAUCAAAGUUGGCUCUCUAUUAUUACUCGUUCUAGUCCAAGUUCAAUCAAAGUUGGCUGUCUAUCAUUGACAGUUCUCGUUCAGGUUCAAUGAAAGAGAUCAAAGCAGAGUUUGUUUGCGAUUCAGUUUGUGUAAAUGCAUGUAGGUCCAGGUUGUCUUAUUUUGUGGUUCACUGGUGUAAAGAAUUUAAAAAGUAAUUGGAUAAGAGGAUGCGUCUUGGAUGAUGAAAUGAAGCAAUGACACAUCUUCAUGUGCAGUUUUUACGACGUGCACUCGGUAUGAUUAUGAAUAAUGAUAUAUGCAUAGAAAAUAAUACAAAAUUUAAUAAAAAUUAUAUAAAAAUAAAAAAUUAUUAUCCCGUGGUGUAUUUUUUAUCCUGUAAUUAAUUUUGUUUGUCUUUUAAUAUUGUGUGCUUUUAUAUUAUUUUUUGACACGUGUCAUUCAUUGUUUCACUACUAUUACCAUGCUCCUAAAAACCUUACUUUUUUUUUUUUCGGAAGAUGCCGCAUUUGCUUGAUUUCAACAUUGGCAUGCUCGUCCUUCUUACGCUUUUGUCUUUCUAUAAUCAUCAUAUUCAAUGGCAAAAUUUCAACAAGAUAGAGCAACAUUCAACAAAGAUAAGUCUUCUUAUUGGAUUAGGUAUAGAUUUUUAAUUAAUUCGUAAUGGAAAUUGGUGGCUAUCCACUAUCAGCUUAGACCAAUUUAACUAGCUAUAGUUAAUUAGCUAAGUUAUUUGGGUGAGCAAAGUCAGCUAGUAGUAAAGCUCGGAAAAUCACCUAAUUAAAAUUGAAACAGGACCAUCAAAUACACACAGUUUGCUUUGAUUGGCCAUUCAACAAAACAUCUGAAGAGAUUGGAUGGCUAAAGAGCUAAUUAUGUCAAUCAAGCGUGGGUGUUCUGAUCAUGACGUGCCCUAAGGCUUGGCUUCGUUUUGAUUGGCUAAUGGAUCCUAUGAAUAGAGAGCACUGCUCUUCGUGAUUUGUAUCCUAAAUUGAAACCUUAUUACAAAAAUAUCACCUUCCUUUGUAUCAUGUAUUUAUUAAUUUAUACUUUCUACAUAUAUGUUGUCAAUUAUUAUAACACGUUAUUAGUUAGCAUGGCAAUCAUUUUGGUACAGGAAGUAUCUUAUCCCCUGCUCUUUUAUUUUAUCUAUUUAAUUAAUAAAGCUAUCUUUAUAAAUAUACUCUAAAGUUGUCAUUAAUUUGGAUCUUCCACAUAAAAAAAUAUGACUAGCUAUUGUAUUUCUUCUUAUUUAUUUUAUUUAUUUUUAAUUUUUUUAUAAUAGAGGGACUCUACAAUGAGCUAAGGUAAAACAUAUCGGGAGUAAGCAAUCCCAUACAAAUCAUUUGCAAUAAAACUAACAACCCCCGGAGGAGGAAUAGAAAAAAGAUGCAAUCCCAAGGGCAGCUCCAAGGCAUAAUUUGCUAAGAAGUCCGCUGCGAAAUUUGCUUCACGAUAUAUGUGGUUGAUGGUUAUAACCCAAUUCCGCUUGAUGAGAUCUCUAAUGGAGUGGAUGAGGUGGGUAUACUCGUUGAUGCUCUCCGUGUGGCUGUUAACCAUCUGAACAACAUAGUAGCUAUCCACUUCCACGUGUAAAAACCGAACACCAUGUUGCCAUGCUAAAAUUAACCCUCGGCAAAAGCCCAAAGUUCUGCUGCAAUAACUGAACAGACGCCUAUGUUGAAGCCAAAGCUAGUGAGCCACAUGCCUUGGUGGUUGUGUAUGAGACCUCCAGCACUUGAUGCCCCCAACUCUUUUCUUGCUCCGUUUGUGUUUAGCUUGCACCAGGGCCAUUUAGGUAACUUCCAGGUGAUCCAUCUCUCAAUUUUCCUGGUCUCAACAACCAAAGAUGAGUUGUUGAUGUUCUGAAUCUCCUCAACUCUAGCUUUAAUAUCUUGUAUUAUACUAAUACUGUCCAUAUUCCGUUGAUGGAAUAGGAAUUGACUCCCGCAGAACCACAAACGCCAAAUAGUAAGUCCAAAGAAAAUAUUUCAUUCAAUACUCGAGUCCAUUUGCCCUUUGCUUAGUAAAUUCUGACACAGCCAUUCUUUUAGAUCAGUCCUGAAAAACCAAGGACAAAAGCUCCCAGGAAUUAAGCGAUUUCAAAACGUUUUCGCGACCACACAGUCUCAAAUCACAUGUAUGGUAUUCUCAAGAGUUGAGCCACAUCGAUCACACCAACCGUCCACCAGCAAAUGACGCCUUGACAAUUCAAACCUUGUUUUUAGUGUAUCAUGCAACACCAACUAGAUGAAAAAACAAAUGCUCUGGGGGCCUUGCCAACUCCAUGCAAGACUCCAUAGCUUCUCCUCGUCACUUAAAAUGGUCUUUGAUAGAGCAUGGUAAGUUGACUUCACAAUAAAACACCCCUUUGCUGAUUCAGCCCAGAAAACUUGGUCUGCACCAUCAUCUGCCAAAGGAGGCUUGUAGGAAGCAAUCCUCAAAAGAAUAUUAUGUGGUAAUAAGAAACUAAAACUCUCCCAUAGCCAAUUUCCAGCAUUGUCAACAAAGUCCAUUGCUUUCCUAUUUACUAAAUGGUCCGGAACUGGAGCAAUCUCAUAAUUAAUCCGGGGUUGAUUUUUAGUUACCCAACAAUCCCACCAAAAACGAACCGUUUUACCAUUCCCAACAUUCCACCGAAUCCCCCUCUUCACAGCAUGCCAAAUUUUCCCAGAGUAAGAACCAUAUCUGGUUGGCAACUCAUAUGGUAAAAUUUUCGGGUUCACUCCAUAUUUCAUAAGCAACACUUGUGACCACAGACUUUUUGGAUUGACAGCAAGGUUUCAGCCCACUUUCAUCAACAAAGCUUGAUUCAUUACGUCCAUGUUCUUAAAACCCAAGCCACCACAACUUUUUGGACGACAAAUCAUCCCCCAACUAACAAGGCUCAUCUUCCUUUGAUUAUUAGCAUCGCUCCACAUAAAUUUCCUGCAAGCUUGUUCAAUUUUACUUUUAACACUAGCCGGCAAAUUCGUAGUUUGCAUUGCAUAGAUCGGAAUAGUCUUCAGCACUGACUGGACAAGAGUUGCUCUUUCUGCUAAAGAUAAAUGAUUGGCAUUCCACCAGAGAGGCGUUGCUCAACCUUGUCAAUAAUGCUCUGAUAAGCCCGCUUUGAGACUCUAGAAUGUAGGAGAGGCAUUCCUAGAUAAGUUCCCAGAUCUUUUAUUACUGAAAACCCAAGCAGUUCACCUAUCUGUUUAGCCUCAUUUGCUUUAACAUUCUUGGAGAAAAAAAUUUAAGUUUUAUCCUUGCUGACCUUGGCACCUGAGCUUGCAUAGAAAGCAUCAAGGAAAGACCAAAUAAAUCUAGCUUGAUCACAAGUUGCCUCAGCAAGUAGGAGAAGAUCAUCACAAAAAAAAAAGAUGGGUGAUAGGGGUCCCAUUUCGAACCAGUCACAUUGGUCUCUGAUCUCCCAUAUUUACAGCAUGAGCAAUGCCAUGGCUGAGUCUCUCAAUGCACAAAACAAAUAUAUAUGGGGAAAUAGGAUUCCCCUACCUAAUUCCUCUAGAUGGCACAAAAUUCUUGGUUAUCUCCCCCUCCCAUAAAACAUUCAUCUGAACUUGAGUAAUACAAUCCAUGAUUAGUUGAACCAAGUCAGAAGGAAUUACAACCUCUAGGAGCGUGUCAUGGAUGAAACUCCAAGUGAGCUUGUCAUAGGCCUUUUCAAGUCCACUUUAAUUGUCAUUUGCCCCCUCCUACCAAUUUUUCACCGCAUGGAGUGAAUCACCUCCUGAGCAAUAACAAUAUUCUCUGUUAUAUGACGCCCUGGGACAAAACUUGUUUGUUGAGGACCAACAAAAUGAGGUAGGAUCGUUUUUAGCUUGUUGGCAAUCAUCUUGGUGAUUGUCUUAUAAACUAAUGUACAUAAGCUAAUGGGGCGAUACAUUUUUGAAGUCUGAUGAUGAUCAUUCUUAGGAAUCAGAACUAAUAGUGUCCUAUUAAUCUCUGGGGGAACUUUGCCUUGACUGAAGAUGCUCUUAAUAAAAUGACAAAAGGAAGGCCCAACCACCCCCCACUGAGACUAGUAAAAAAUGGCAUGCAAACCAUCAAUCCUUAAGGCUUUUAAGGGCUUCAUACUAAAAAUAGUGCUUUUAAUCUCAGCUUCAUCUAAAGGCCCUUGUAAAAAAGACAAACUUUCUGCAUCUAUCACUGGAAAACAGCCCCGAAUAUGGUAUUGCUGAGACGGGAUGUUAUCCUCAAAGUAUAACUUGGAAAAAAAAAUGUACAAUAUGGCAUUUGAUAGCUUCAACUUCAUACAACUAUUUCCCAUUCUCAUCUUUAAUAGCCAUGAUCUUGUUUCUCCUUCUUCUAGUCAGUGUCUUCUGGUGAAAGAAAGCUGUCUUUCUAUCGCCGUGCAUAAUCCAAUCUUUUCUAAACUUUUGCUUCCAAAUAGCUCUUCUUGAGUAAGAACUACUUCAAGUUCUCUUUUCAAUUUUAAUUCAAGCCAAAUGAGACCCUUUGUAGUAUAGUCCUUAAGAGCUUUUUUAAUACCACCAAUGUGAGCCAUAGGUCUUCUUUACCUUUAGAAGAUAUUACCAAAAGAAUUUAUGUUCCAGUGUGAGACAUUGCGAGUGAAAGAAAAGGCCGAUUGGAGGUAGGGUUCUAUAGGAUUCCAAUUCGAAGCAACAAAAUUAUCAAAAUCUUUGUGUGUGAGCAAAGCCGCCAAGAAUCAAAAUGGUCUCUGCCCCUGACCUCGUCGCUCUUCUUUAUCAAAACGAACUGAUACCGGUCUAUGGUCUGACUGAAUUUUCGGUAAAUGAAGCACAAAGCUAUUUACAAAUUUAUUCAGUCAAUCCUCAUUGCACAUUGCCCUAUCUAGCCGUUUGAAGAGAGCCCUACGAGACCAAGUGAAUCUAGGACCCGUAAACUGAAGGUCAUAUAAAUGUUGGGUGCAAGCGGAAGUGCAGAAAAUUUUUUAUUUAAGAACAGAGUAUUUUGCUGGAAAUUUCUGAAACUUUAUUGCUUAAUUCAUUUUUUCGUUUCUCUCUUACUUUUCAUACAACCAGAGUUCUAUAUUUAUAUGCAUUAUAGACAACUCUAGAGAUUACAUUAAUCAUGCUUUACAUUUCCAAAGCUACAUUGCAAACAUCAAUUCUACCCUUUACUUCAUGUUGAAAAACAAACCAAAUAACCCUUCAAACUUCUUGCUCAAUUUACUAGAUUACUAAUUAUAUCUCAACACCCCCUCUUAAUUAGUAAUCUUCAAUUGCUUCUUGAAUUUUUCAAACUUCUCAAUGUUGAUUGCUUUGGUCAGAAAAUCUGCUGGCUGCUCAUUAGUGCUGAUAAACUCCAUAUUAACUUCUCCUUUGCUUACUAAGUCACGGAUGUAGUGAUAACGCAGCUCAAUGUGCUUAGAUUUAGCAUGAAAUACGGGGUUUUUUGUUAGAGCAAUGGCUGACAUGUUGUCACAAUAAAUUAUUGUUGCAGCAUCUUGAUUGAACUGCAAAUCCUUGAGAAUUCUUCUAAGCCAAACGGCUUCACAAGCUGAUUCAGUUGCUGCAAUGUACUCUGCCUCCGCUGAGGAUAAAGCUACUGACUUCUGCUUCCUUGAGCUCCAUGAAAUCACAUUUGUACCAAGACAAAAUAAAUAACCUGAUGUGCUUUUUCUGUCAUCAAGGGAACCAGCCCAGUCACUGUCAGUAAAACCAACAAGCUUGCAAUUGUCUUCUUUUUCAUACAUGAUCCCCUGCUUUUUUGUUCCUUGAAGAUACCUUAAGAUUCUCUUUGCUGCAAUAUAAUGGGACUUCCUUGGAUCAUUCAUAAAUCUAGAAAGAACACUAACUGAGUGCAAAAUGUCAGGUCUUGAGUUGGUUAGAUAAAUCAAUGAACCAACCAAGCUUCUAUAGAUUCUUGCGUCAGCCUUUUCUUCUUUUUCAUCAUGUUUCAAUUUUUCAUUCAAACCCAUAGGAGUAGGUGCUGGUUUGCAUUUGAACAUGUGGAAUUUCUUCAACAAAUCUUCUACGUAUUUUUCUUGACAAAAGAAGAUUUUUCCUCUGGCUUGCUUCACUUGAAUGCCAAGAAAAUACUUCAUUAAGCCCAAGUCAGUCAUCUCAAAUUCAUCUAGCAUGCUUUUUUUAAACUCUUCCACCAUUUUCAAAUUAGCGCCACAAUAAAUUAGAUCAUCAACAUAAAGGCAAACAAUAAGGAAAUCAGUACCUUCCUUUUUGACAUAAAGAGAAGGUUCACUUGAGCUUCUGUCAAAUCCAUUUUUAACAAAAUAUCUAUCAAUUCUACUAUUCCAUGCUCGAGGGGCUUGCUUCAAGCCAUACAAGGCUUUUCGGAGUCGAUAAACUUUGUUUUCUUCACCUUUUACUUCAUAUCCUUUAGGCUGCUCAACAUAAACCUCUUCUUCAAUUUCACCAUUUAGAAAUGCCGAUUUACAUCUAGCUGAAACACAUUUAAUUCCAUUUGGGCUGCCAGGGCAAGAACAGUUCGAAUAGUCUCCAUUCGAGCUACGGGAGCAAACGUUUCUGUAAAAUCAACUCCAGGCAGCUGAGAGUAUCCUUUGGCAACGAGCCGCGCCUUAUAUUUUUGAAUUGAACCAUCUUCAUUGUACUUGAUUUUGAAGAUCCAUUUCAGCCCAAUUGUUUCUUUUCCAUUUGGAAAAUUAACCAUCUCCCAAGUUUUAUUUUUCACAAUGGUGGCCAUUUCCUCGUUCAUUGCUUUGAUCCAAUCUUCAUUUCUUGAGGCCUCCUCAAAGUCUUGAGGCUCACAAGAAAAUAAAGCAAGUUCACAUGACUCAUAAAUUUCUCUCAUUGACUUUAUCUUCCUUGGAGGGCUUUCAUCAUCCGAAGAACUUUCUGCUGCUGAAUUUGGAGAAUUUGGUUCCAAAUUAUUUUGCUGUGAAGAAUUUGGUGGAGAUACAGGAGCUUCAAAAAAGCUAGAUGCCUGAGAUUGAUUGUUUUCCCACUGCCAAGCUGAUGCCUCAUCAAAUACAACAUCUCUUGAGAUAACAAGCUUAUUUGUUGUAGGAUUCAACAACCGAUACCCUUUAGACUCAUCACUAUAGCCAAUAAACAAAUAUUUUUCUCCUUUUCCAUCAAACUUCUCCCUGUUUUGAGCUGGAAUAAGAGCAUAAGCAAUACUCCCAAAAAUCUUCAAGUGAUCAACAGUUGGCUUUCGGUUGUGCCAAGCUUCAAAUGGAGUUUUGUCUCUAACAGCUUUUGUAGGAGACCUGUUGAGGAUGUACAUAGCUGUAUGACAUGCUUCUGCCCAUAAGUUGUUAGGAAUGCCUUUGCCUUUUAACAUGCUUCUUGCCAUCUCUACAAUGGUACGGUUCUUUCGUUCUGCGACUCCGUUUUGUUGCGGACUUCGGCUGACAGUAAGUUGUCUUUGAAUUCCAUUAUCCCUGCAAUAAUUCAUGAAUGGAGUGUAGAUAAAUUCACCACCACGAUCAGUUCUCAAGGUCUUCAUUUUGCAUCCACUUUGCCUUUCUGCAAGAGCUUUAAACUGAAGAAAAGUUGAGAAAGCUUCUGAUUUUUCAUUCAAAAAAUAAAUCCACAUCAUCCUUGUAUAGUCAUCAACAAAAAGAAUGAAAUAUCUCCUGUUAUUGAGAGAGAGAGUCCUUGUAGGACCACAAAUAUCAGCAUGCACCAACUCCAACGGAGCUUUGGCUCUCCAUGAAUUUUUAGGAAAUGGAAGUCUAUGCAUUUUUCCAUAUAUACAGCCCUCGCAAACUUUUUCAUAUCUUCCAACAUCAGGUAAGCCAAUCACCAUGUUCUUUUGCUUGAGCAAAUUCAGCCCUUUAUAGUUUAAAUGGCCAUAUCUAAGAUGUCAUAAAUUUGACAAAUCUGAAUUUUCAGUUUUGAGAGCAACAUUCUCAUCAAGUGGCAUAACAAGAGGAAAAACUUUGUUCUUUGACAUUUCAACAACGGCCACUGUGUGAUUAUUAGUUUUAUCAAUAAUUUUGCAUUUUUCAUCAUCAAAAUAAAUUGAAAAACCCUUUUGAAUUAGCUGCCCCACACUCAAGAGGUUUUGAGUUAAAUUUGGAACAUAAAGAACGUCAGAAAUGAGCUUUUUGUUACCUCCCUUUGUAUGGACAGCAAUAGUGCCUUUUCCCACAGCUUUCUGCAUCUUUCCAUCUCCAAGCUUCACUUGCGAAUUAAAACUUUGGUCAAGGCUGAUGAAAAUUUCACGUUCUCCAGUCAUGUGGUUGCUGCAGCCGCUAUCCAAGUACCACAAAUUAUAUGAUUCAUGUUCAGCACCUUUACUUGAAUAAAACAAGUAAUCUCCAUCACAUUCUUUUGUAAAAUUUGCCUUAUUUUUGCCUUUCUUAUUUUGAUACCAGCAAUCCCUUUGAGAAUGGUUAGGAAUGCGACGCCUUGUGCAUUUAUAACGACAAUCUUUUGAUUCAUAAUUAGACCGAUUACAAAUGAUGCACUGAGAAUCUGAAUUUUGCUGUGAAUUCCCUCUGUCAUUUUUCCACUUGUUGCGGUUGUCGUUAUGUUCUCUUUGCCCUUUGCCACGCUGUCCGUUUCUUUGAGACGAGCCUCCAUUCUUCUGGUCUUUUUUGCUGCUUUUAUUCUGAUCUGAAAAGCUUGCUCUGUAGGCUGACUUGAAGGUCGAUUGAUUCUUUGCUCAUGAGACCGUAAUGAUCCUGACAAAUCUGAAAAAGUCAUCUUAGACAAAUCCCUUGAUUCUUCAAUGGCUGCUGCUACAUGAUCAAACUUUGGAGGAAGACAUCUCAGCACCUUUUCAUUCACCUUCUUGUCUUCAAUGGAGUCCCCGCAACCUUUAAUCUGGUUCACAAUCUCAGUAACUCUACUGCAAAAAUCUUGAACUCCUUCACUGUCUUUCAUUGAUAAAUUAUCGAACUCUUUCCACAAAGUCUGUAACUUGAUGGUGACUGCCUUUUCGGAACCUUGAAAUUCUUGUUUUAGGAUUUCCCAAGCAUUUUUGGCCUUUUUGACACCAAAUAUUCUGGGGAAAAUUGACUUACUAACACCUUGCUGGAUAUAUCGAAGUGUCGUGGCAUUUCUCUGUAUGUUUUCUUUGUACUGCUGUUGAUGUGCUGGAGUCCAAUCUGAAGAACUUGCUGAUUCUGGUGGUUCAGCAUAUCCAUCUUCAACAACAUCCCAUAAAUUCUGAGAGAGGAAAAAGGUUUCCAUUUGAUUACUCCAAUAUUCAUAAUGUACCCCUUCAAAUAUUGGAACUUGACUGGGAGCAUAUGAAAAUAAUGUGGGUAGGGUAUUUGAUGUCAUUUUGAGGGUGUUUUGGAAAAGCUCUGAUACCAAAUUUGUUGGGUGCAAGCGGAAGUGCAGAAAAUUUUUUAUUUAAGAACAGAGUAUUUUGCUGGAAAUUUCUGAAACUUUAUUGCUUAAUUCAUUUUUUCGUUUCUCUCUUACUUUGCAUACAACCAGAGUUCUAUAUUUAUAAGCAUUAUAGACAACUCUAGAGAUUACAUUAAUCAUGCUUUACAUUUCCAAAGCUACAUUGCAAACAUCAAUUCUACCCUUUACUUCAUGUUGAAAAACAAACCAAAUAACCCUUCAAACUUCUUGCUCAAUUUACUAGAUUACUAAUUAUAUCUCAACAAUAAAUUGCUUGAUUGGAACUAGUUUAAAAAACUCCUACAAAUCCCACUUCUAUGUAAGGAGCCACCUUUCUUUUUCGAAGUAUAAAGGAUAGCAUUGAAAUCACCAAUGAUGAGCUAAGGUCCGCGAGUGCUGUUGGCUAGUCUUCCACGAUAGUCCCAAAGGUUUUGUCUAUUAGUUUGAACAGGGCUUGCAUAAACAGCAGUCACCCAUGACAAAAAGCCACCAUUGUUAAACAUUCGAAAAUGAAUGAAUUGCUUGUGAUUUAAAGACACUUCGACCUCCAAGAAGUCUCUCCACAAAAGCCAGAUUCCCCUAGAGAAACAAAUUGCUCCCACCAUGUGGGACUUGACAAAACCACUUUUCUUGAUGAAACCAUCCGCUCUUAUCCCACUAAUUCUCAGUUCCAUAGAACAACCAUGGCCGAUUAUAAGUCUUUGUCAGAGACACAAAAGCACUGUGAAAUUUUAGUGAGCCAGCCCCUUGGGCAUUCUAAAACAUUAUAGAAAUAAGCAUUAAAAAAAAUAGAUAAAGAUAAAAGGGAGAGAUAGGGAGCCUUACUCAACCAAGGUCUCAUAACCCAACUCCAUAUCCUUCUCAUCUUCUAGAGAAAUAUCAUCCUCUGAAGAAUCAAUACCCUUACCACUGUCUCCCAUAUAGUCACUGUCAUCCUCAUCAUAAUCUAAAGUCAUUGUUCCUACCAUAAUCAAGAGGUUCAUCUUGGGCUUUGGCAAGCUGACCGUUAUCACCACCCACAAAGAAUCCAUGUUGAGGCUCAGCCAGGGUGGGGUUUGUGGAAUUUGUGGGACAAGCAUGUGUGCCCUUUUGAUUUUAAAAAAAAAAUGGCGGUAUGGAAUAGGGGGUUUAAGCUAGUUGAUACGAAAAUAGGUUAUGGGUUCAUUGCAACAUGUGCAUGAGUUUUGCUUGAAUUACGUACACUUUGCGUGGUUUUUGUGUUGGUGGACUAGAACAUGUAUGUCACUUAAAUACGAUCCCUCACGUGACAAUAACUCUGGGCUGGAACAAGUUUGUUUUGGUGUAAAAGUAUAAACUAUAAUAUUUAUUAUAUUUUGAGAUAAAUUAUAUAAUUUAUUUGUUAUCAAUACAUUUUAGUCUUCAAUUUUCAUUCUAAAAAAUUAUUACUUUUUUAUUGCUGAGUUUUAGAAUUCAUGACGGAUCUAGGGCAUAUUUAGAUUUUUUUUUUUCAAAUUUGGAGCAGAUAUAGUUUUUUUUUUUUUUGAUCUAGAUAUAAAGCGAAAAAUAUGGAUUCAUGACGGAUUUGGAACAGAUACGAAUCUUGAUUUUUAUUAUGGAUCUAGAUCUGAAGCAGAGUACAUCCAACCCAUAUCUGUCCCAUUGCCAUCCCUAGUUUUAUCGUUUUCGAAGCUUGCUUCUUUUGUUUUGUUUCAACUCUAAGGUUAUACUUGGCUGGCCCUUGUUUGUUUGAGCUCGGAUUAGUAGGUUCUAUGUUUGUGGCAUUAUUGGAAUCUCCUUCCUCAAAGUUCGCUAACACUGCAAAACGAGAAUCCUUUCCAUAAUUGCUCCGUUGACCUUGCCGACCUUGCCCCGAAUCCUGCUGAAAUUCAUUUCCUUCUGCAAGCGAUCCUUACCCUUUCUGGUGACCACCAUCGAAGGGCCAAAUUUAGGAUAACCACCGGGAGCUAAAGCAUCACCCUUUUCUGCCAUCGCAUCCACCCUGUCACUAGGGAUGGCAAUGGGGAGGGGAGGGGAGGGGACCAAUCUCCCCGUACCCAUCCCCGAUAUUUUGCAUAUGUCCCCGUCCCCUCUCCAUCCCCGUAAAUUUUUUUUAAGAGAAUCUUCAUCCCCUCCCCGAAUAAUAAUAGGGGAUCCCCGAUCCCCGAAUAACUAAUACAUUUUUUUUGUUUUCGAUUUUGACUUAAUCAUAUUAAAAUAAAAAAUUCAAAUAAAAGUAAAGUUCGAAAUAUAUCUUACAUUAAUAUCCAUUACAAAAGUCACAUACAUUAAAUUAGUAAGUAACGCAGCAUGCAAGGGAUACAAAUUAUCAUGAACAAAUUAAUAGCCUAAUACAAAAUUGUUACAAAUAAAAUCAAAUUUAGAUUCAAAAUUAAAUGUGGACUAUUUCCUUUACAGCACAGUAGUUAAGUCGAAGCAAAUCAAGAGCAAAUAUUAGAUUAGAUUAGAUAUUAAAAUUAUGAUUUGCUGUGGGCAAUUAUAACAUCUAAAAAUAAAUAAAAAAUAGAUUUAAGAUAAAUAAAAAAUAGAUUUAAGUUUAAAAUAUUUAAUGAAUAUUAAAAUUAAAACAAAAGUUUUGGGCUAAUAAAAUCUGUCUGGUCUUUUUAAUGUCCUAAAUAAAAAUUUAGGACUUUAAUUAGUUAAUUAGGCCUAAAAGUUUAAUAAUAUAAAUAUUUUGAUAUUUUUUAUUUUUACCAAUACUUAUAAUUUUAUAAUUCAAAUUUUAUUAUUUAUUUACUAGUAAUUUUAAAAAAAUAAAAAUUAAAAUGGGGAAAUGGGUAGGGGAUGGGGAUUUCACCUCAUCCCCAUCCCCUCCCCGAAUAAGAAAUUGGGUAAAAAAAUUUUCCCGUCCCUUCCCCGAAUAAGAAAUUGGGUAUGAAGUUAUCCCCAUACACUCCCCAAAUGGAGAAAAUCCCCGAGGGUACCCGUCCCCAUGGGGAUUUUUGCCAUCCCUACCUGUCACCGCUAAUAUCAUGAUCCAAAUCUUCCGUUGCGCGGUCAGGACAUAGCUCACUGGUAUGCCCAUAUUUUCCACAAGUGAAACAUAUAUGGAGAAGACAUUUAUACACUUUUUGAACUUUGCCAUCUAGUACGAAUUGAGAUACAAUAGGCUUGUUAAGUGCUAUAACAACCGCAAUACAUGCAAACUUACCCCCCACGGUUGAUUCAGUAUUGUAGUCUAUUCGAACGACUGUUCCAAUAAUCUAACCAAGCAUCCGAAGGAUUCUUUUGUGGUAGUAACACAUAGUGGCGGACCUACAGCUGGGCUAGACCGGGCUAGUCUAGAAAAUAUCAUUUAAACCCCUUGUCUUUAGAUUAAUUCUAUAUAAGAAUAGAGUUUUUACUUUAUUUUUAUAUAAGUCCUUAAUUCAGUUGCUUUUAUGUUUUCAUCAAAUUUCAUAAAACAAUAGAGUUUUUACUUUAUUUUUAAAUAUAUCCCUAAUUCAAUUAUAUUUUUCUAUUAGUGGCUUAUUUUAUAAAAUGAUUAAAUUAUAUACUUAUUGAAUAGAUUGAAAACAUUAGGGGUCUAAAAUGUUAUUACUACUUUAAUUUGUUUUUAAAAUUUUAAUUUAAAAAAGUAUGUCAAUGUAAUAUAACAUUGUCACUAGUAUUAAAAAUAGUAAAAAGAUAUAUAAUAAAAAUUAUUAACAAUUUCAUAAAAUUUUUAUGUGAAUAUUGAGAUUUUAUUUAUUAGUUACAUUAACUAAGAGGAUAAGUUAGAAAAUAAAAUUUGAGUAUUUUGAUAUGAUUUUUUAAAGUGAGUCAGAGUGUCUGGCAAAGAAAUAAUUACGCACAAAUACCUUUUUACUAGGUUAGAGUUUAGUUUAUUAUUGAAACUCUUGACAACUAAUAUUUUUAUAAUUUAAAAAGAUGAAUAAAUUUUAAUUGUUUAAUUUAUUUAAGCUUGGUAAUUAAGUACUUUUCAAACAUAAAGUUCUAUUUGCAAUAUUUUAAUUGAUUAUAAUUACAUGUAUUGAUUUAUUCAAACUUGAAAUUCUUAAUUGAUUUAUUAAUUCUUAUAUAAUUAGAUGUUACUAUAUGUUGCAAUGUUAGAUUCCAUAAUUAAAAAAUAGUAUUUUUAUAUUUGAAUUAUCUUUUGUUUUCUAGUCUUUUUGUAUACUUAUUUUUAUUUAAAGUACAUAUUUAUAGGGUUUUUUGUAUCCCCCUUAUUUGAUGUACUUUUUUUACUUAUAAAUGUUUAUGUUCACUCCAAAAUAUAAAAUUUUUAAUUUAGUCCGGGGUAAUAUAAAGUUCUGGGUCCACCCCUGGUAACACAGGGCUAUACCAGGAUGCCUGAUCCAUGCAAUAAUUGUAUUAAUUGACUCUGUAAAACUAUCAAAGUGAGGAGUCCAUGGCUGCAUGACUAGGUAGUGACCCAUGAUUGUCCAUGGUCCUUGAGUCAAAGCAAAAUCCGCAUCACCCUUUGAACGAAAUCGAACGAGGUAGUAACCGUUAUCCAAAUCAAUGACCGAGAAACCUAAAGCCGGCCUUUAAAGAUUUUCCAAUGUAUUACAUAGGACCUUGUAGCCUAUGUGAUGUCCUAGCAAUUUAACUAUCACUGAAUUCUGCCAAGGUUUUACGAGUUGCUCAUGGAUUAUUUUUGAGAAAGAGAUAGAUGGUAUGUUGCCACCAUCCCCUACAAUGAUAUCCUCUGAUCCAAAGACUAGAUCAUCCUCCCCACCAAUCAUCUCCUCUUCAUUCAUCUUCUCUGACUCCAUUAACUUAUCUCUAAAUGAAACGUGCUCAGGGUUGUCACUAUCGUCGCCUUGGGCUCUAAACUUGGCCUUCUUCGUAGCAUGGCCAUCAUUGAUUGGAAGGGUUAGGUCCUUCUCCAUCUCUCUACUUAUAGUAUCUUUCUAGCGUAUUUUGAGUUGUAAAAGGUUUAUUAUUUAUUUUAUAUUACUAAAGUUAAAAGCAAGGACCAAAUUGUACAAGACAAAAGCAGAAGUCAAGACCAAAGUGUACAAAACCAAGAUUGAAGCAUAAAAAAUUAUAAUUGGAUCCUUAAAGUAUCAAGACUGAAGCCUACUAAUUUGAAGCCACAUAUUUGAAUAUUCUAAAACCCCAGAAGAUAAAUUGAAGAUGACAAAUCCACUAAAGCAUGAAUUUGAAGCCUACAGUAUUUUUGGUAAAAAUUAUUUAUCUUGAAUUCUACCUCAGCAAUUAGAAGCCAUAUGUCUCAAUAAGUCACCUGGAAGCUAUGAGACUCAGUAACAUAAUCUAGCUCAUCUAACUGAAAGGAAGUCAUUGCUUGAAUUGAUAUGAAGUCUUAAUUGAAGACAAAAUUCCUCACUCAAUUAAAAUAAGUUUUAAUAGUAAUUUUUCAAAUUAACCCAUCAUCACAACUCUAGGCUUUACAAAAUGACAUCAUAAUUGAAGAUAUGUGGAAAGAAAAUUAUUGAUAAAGAAGACAUGCUCAACAUUUCAGGCUUUAAACAUGAUUUUGCAACAACAAUAUCAAGCUCGCUAACCUAAUAGGCACAAAACGCGCUAACCUUACAGGCACAAAGUUAGUUUUUGAAGAACAAUUUUAUCACAUAGACACAUGGUCAAAAUCAUUAUCAUGAUGAAGUUAUAGACAUGCUAAAAAUCGUGGUUACAAUUAUGAUUGAAGUCACAUUCCUGAAGAAAUCAAGCAUUGGCUGAUAUUAUGCAAAGACAAACUAGGUUGAUUGAGGGGAUGGCUCAAGGUGGUGGUCCUGCUCAGAAUGCUAGAGCCGGAGGGUAAGGUGCUGCUGCUAGAGGCAGAAUGGUGGCAACUUUAGAGCAAUUCCAAAAGUUGGGGCCACUUGUGUUUCGUGGGACAACUGACCCUAUGGCGGCUGUUGGUAUGAAUUCAAAUGUUAUUAGUGUCAAUGUGCAAGUAUACACAAUAAAUAAUAUAAUGAUGAGUAUUCGAGAUCGUCUCCACUGGGAUUGAUGUUAUCAGACUUGCUACAACAAUCUUAACAGCGUAGAUUUUAUUCUAAAUUAAGAUAAAACAAUUAAUGAAAUUAAUGAAACAAUUUUAUUCUAAAUUAAUAAAACAAUUAAGAUACAACAAUCAUGUCAAGCUCAAGGAUAAAACCGAUGGGAAUAUAGAGUAGUUAAGUGAAUAAACUCUCUUAAUGGUUUUGACUAUUUUUCUAAUGUUUGGCUCGGUUGCUACAACAUUUGCUACAGUACUGGGCAGCAUCCUUAUAUAUCCUCAGCAGUCGCAUGUUGGAUAUCUUAUAUCUAUAUGCAAUCUAAUAGUAAUUAGUUGUUAUGCCAACAUAAGAUAUAACAUUACACACUUAUGUUCUAUUUACCCUACAAGGUGAAUCCCUAUGUCUAGUUCAUCAUUAAUCUUAGAUUAAGCAUGGCCCUUUUGGGACUCAAGUAAAACUCAAUCUAGGAAACUCAAUCUAAAACCAAGUAUUGCUUUGAUAUGUUCCACUAAGAUAGGCUCUUUUGUGGCUCUUCCUUAGCUAAUAUCAUUAAAUGGGUGAUCAGCCGAAAUAAUGAAUAAAAAUAAAUACUAUCAAAACAAAAUGCUAAAGCAAACAUGCAGCAACUCAUUUUUUCAGUCAAUAAACCAUCAAGAUUGUUAAUCACUCAACUACAAAUAAAUUUAGUUCAUAAUUUGCAAAAGAAAAAUAAAAAACAAGGUUUCAGUCAUGAAACAUAUCCCAAUGAAUAAAAAGUAAACAAGAAAACAAGAGAAGAGUAAGAAAGACUGAGUUCCCGCUUGAUUUCUGCAAAUUCUCCUCUUCUACAACCCUCAAUCUUUCUCUUGAAUCAUGUUUUUCUUUUGUUUCUUUGUGAUUUUUCUCUUUGGGUGACGGCUCUCUCUAUUCAUUAUGAUGUGUGCUUCUUGUAUAGCUGAAAAUUAGGGUAAGCGGAAGCCUAGGGCGCACAUAAGUCAGACUAGAAAACUGCAUAUCGCAAUUCUGCAAGUAUCCCACGCAGAAUUCUCUCUGUCGUUGUUCUAGGAUUGCUACAGCAAUGGUUGCUAUGGCAACAGCUACAACAACUGCAUUGUUCCAGAUUUGUUUUAAUUCUUUUGUAGCCAAGUUCUUUUCUAUCUUUUGCAAGCCUAUUGCAUCAGCAUUCCUUCCUUGAAAUUUGGGCUUCCGGACACCUACAAUUAUGCAUAUGAUUUAGUACACAAAUUAUUCUAAAUCAAAUAAAAUUUAUUAUGAAUAAACUAAGAUGAAUGUUUAUGCAAAAUAUAACAAAAAUACAAUGGAAACACAUUAUUUACUCUCUAAGUAUUAUGGAUUUAAGUCUAAAAAUGCCAUGAUAACUCUUAUUUCAUAGAGUUAUCACACCCCCAAACUUAAACCAUUACUUGUCCUCAAGAAAUGACAACAACACUACACAAUCUUGCAAUAAUUAACUUAGCUCUAUCAUCAAAUUUGCAAGCAUUUUUCAACCCUCAGAUCACACUCUUAAUCACACAAAAUAGUCAUAGCAGUUCAGUUAUACACUUAGGCUUCAUUUUGUCCAAAAUGUGUGUGUGCCACUUUGAUCAAAUUCCAGAGGUGCUACAACAUUACAGAGACAUUGCAUAUAAUUCAAAGGUGGAACACAAAUAUAUUCACAUAUGAGGGAGCAUAAUUCACAAAUAAACUCAAAUUGUGCUACAACAAACAUAAUUAUUAUUUUUAGUUAAACCUUUCAAUGCAACAUUGAGCUUUCAUGUGAAUGCCUAUCACUUGUAAUGACGACACCCAAUUACUCACUCAAAGUACAUGUCAAAGUUGUUGCAGCAACACAUCCAGGAUGUCAUACCUAGGUCUUACCUUUGGCCGCCUUUGACUCAAGGCUGAACAUGAGGCUCAUGAAUAGACUAGGUUACUCAGUAUCCUAGGCAGCGGACCUCUUUAUUUUUCAUUCCUUCAUCACCAUUUUUUUUUUUUGUAAUUUUUUAUAUAUAAUUGUUGCAGCACUGCUAAUAGCUCUUAUUGCCUUUGGACUAAAGUCUACAUAUAGGGUGCAUACUCAACCCUGGUUACUCAGUAACUUAAACCAUUGGAGCAGAAUUUAUUUCAUAACAGGCACAGUCCAACAAAAAUUUUCCCCCAAACUUGAUAUAUUUUCUACUCUUUUUUGGUUUUCCUGGCUCUGCUAUAAUAUUCUCAUAAAACUCAACCAAAGUCUAAGUGUCAGGACAGAAUUCCAACCUCCAUCUAUAACUAUCUCUACUUGGCAUUCUCAUAAAUACUGAACAACAUUAAAUUUAUCUUCAUUAGGUUUUUAAAUCCAUACACAAAUAUUAGAUAAUAGAGCUUCACACAACACACAACACAAGCAUAAACACAUGCACUCAGAAACACAGCCCCCCCAAACUUGAGUGGUGUAGUGUCCUCACAAGCACACAAAACAAAACCACAUAAACCAGACAUGCAUACACUAAAUAAAAGAACAUGCAGAAUGAAUCAGAAAAUUAAAACUAAAUGAAAGAAAAAUUUGGCAAAAAGAAGUAAAAUAAACUAACGGGUAGGGGUACUCCCCUAUUGCUGGAAGCACUGCUACAACAUAGGCUGUAAAGGAUCACUUCUUCUUUGAUCCACUUCUCAAACGUUCUUUAUCAUAAAAUCUGAUCAAUCCAUUUGCUGCUGCAAAAGCAAGAAAUGCAUAUGUUAUUUGAGAAUCUUAUGUUAUAUGUCAUGCUGUAAGUGAUGCUGCAGCAAUUCCCUCAUGUUCUUUUUGUCCACAUUUGUUUUUACUUGCUGCAAUUUAACACAAAGACAAAAAAUUAGAUGCACACUUAAAAUAAUAAAAAGACAAAUUAAAUAAUUUAAAAACUAAAUUCAAUGCCUUAAAAACUUGAAACAACUUCCCUUAUUGGGUUCCCUCCCAAUUAGUGCUUGAUUUUAGAUUUUUCAGCCUGACAUUUCUUGUUUGCUCAACCUGGAUCCUUUAAAAAUCGAUCCUUCUAUAGGUUGUUAACAUCAGCUCCCAUAUAGUACUUCACUCUUGGCCCAUUAACCUUGAAUUCUUGUUGGUCUGGAGUGAGUUCCCUUUGUUAUAUUUGCUCGUCAAUUCUGAAGGGUUGCUUCUCCCCUAACCAUGUUAUGUUAGCUGCUCUACGAUCUUAAUCAUCAAGUUCUUCAAAUGUUACAACAUUGAUUUCUUUUUUACUGCAACAACUGUGUAAUCUCUCUGCUACAGCAAAAUCCACAACAUUGAUAAAAUUACAAUCUUCAAUCUCAUCGGGAUUCUUCAUGGCAUCUAGCACAUUGAAUGUAACAUGUUGGUCAUUCACUCUCAUGGUUAAUUCUCCUUUUUGAACAUCAAUGAGGGUCUUUCCCGUGUCUAAGAAAGGUCUUCCUAGAAUGAUUGACACUUCCUUGUCUACUUCAAAGUCUACCACAAUGAAAUCCACUGGAAAAAUAAAUUUAUCCACCUUCACCAACACAUCUUUAAUCUUCUCUUAUAGUUAAGCAUGAGAUAUGUCAGCAAGUUGUAGAGUCACCGUUGUUGGUCUAGAUUCACUAACUCCCAAUUGCUUAAACACUGAUAAAGACAUGAGAUUGAUGUUAACCCCCAUAUCACAAAGUGCUUUACCACUGUAUUUAGUGCCUAUAGAGCAUAGGAUAAUGAAGCUUCCUGGAUCCUUCAUCUUCUGUGGUAUCUUACUCUGAAGCAUUCGGCUGCACUCCUGUGUUAGAGCAACUGUUUCAAAUUCUCCAAGUCUUCUUUUCUUUAUCAAGAUAUCCUUAAAAAAUUUUACAUAGUUUAGCAUUUGCUCUAGAGCUUCUACAAAAGGGAUAUUGAUAUGUAGUUGUUUCAGCACUCCCAAGAUUUUUCUGAAUUGCCUGUCUUGUUGCUGCUUCAGAAACCUUUGAGGAAAGGGUGGUGGAUAUUUAAACUGUUAUGUUGCAGCAGGUUGUGCAAACUGCUUCUCUUUUGUUCUACUCGGGUCUAUUGCUAUUGGUGUUGUAGCUUCCUCACCACCAGAUGCUGGAUCAUAACUUUCUGCAGAUGCUGUAGCAGAAUUGUGUAUUUGCAUUGUGAAAAGUGAAAGACUGUGACUCUUUCUUCACUUGAGUGUCUUCUUGGCUUUUGUUAGACUCAAUUCUUCUUUUUGGUGCACCAACUGAACUAUCAACAUCCUUUCCGAAUCUCAAGUUAAUUACUUUGCAAUGCUCUUUCCCUUCUCUUCUUGGGUCCUCUGUGUUGCUGGGUAAACAGCCGUGAGGUUUGUUGCUUAAUGCUAUAACAAGCUGUCCAAUUUGAUUUUAAAAUUUCCUCAAGGAUGCAGCAUGACUUUAGACAACUGCUUUAUUCUUCACAGUAUAAACCUUAAUUAAAGCUUCAAGGGAGCUGAGUCGAUCAUUGUUGAUGCUUCUUUGCUCUUGAUUUUGUUGAUAAAAUCCAGGUAGUUGAGCAGGUCUGUUCUGUUCACUAGGUGCUGCAGCAGUUUGAUUCUAAUUACUCCAUGAAAAGUUUGGGUGUUGUUUCCAUCCAGGAUUGUAAGUGUUUGAAUAUGGAUUGUUCUGGUUCUGUCUAUUGAAGCUGCCCACAUAGUUGAUUAACGCUGGAUUUCCAAGACAAUUGUCAAAUAAAUGCCUCUCUCCACAAUAAACACAAGAUACUUCAGCAACUUAGUUGGCAGAUGCUGGAGCAGUGAUCAUAGCUUUCACCAUAUUUGUUAAUGAGGUUACUUGGGCUGACAAUGUUGUCAAGGCAUCUACGUUAUGGACUCCUGUUGUUGCUCUUACUGCAGCUUAUCUGUUUGAUGGCCACUGAUAGUUAUUGUUGGCUAUCCUCUCCAAAAUUUAAUAAGCCUCAUUGCAAGGUUUAGAUAACAAUGUCCUAUUUGCUGAAGUAUACACCAUCAAUCUAGUGCUUGGGUUGAGACCAUUAUAGAAAGUUUCCAAUUAUAUACAUCAAAGUAUACCACGAUGAGGACAUCUCCUGUGUAACUCCUUAAAUCUUUCCCAUGCAUCAUACAAACUCUCAUCUUCAAGUUCAUGGAAAGAUGUGACCUCAUUCCUCAAUUUUGCAUUCUUGGUCAUGGGAAGUAUUUCAUCAAAAAUUUAUCAGCCAAGUCAUUCCAUGUGGUGAUAGAAUCUGGUGGUAAAGAAUUCAAUCAUGGUCUUACUAGAUCUCUCAAAGAAAAUGGGAAAAUUCUGAGUCUCAAUGCUUCCUGCGAUGCUCCAGCAAUCUUGAAAGUAUCACUUCCAAAAAUAACUUAAGGUGUAAAUGAGGAUCUUCGGAUGGCAAACCAUUAAAUUGCCCUACUAUUUGAAGCAUUUGAAACAUCAUGCGUUUGAGUUCAAAAUUGUCAGCUUGAACGUCGGGUCUAACUAUUCCCAGAUGUAUGGCUUGAGGAGUCAACACUGCGUAGUCUCGAAUAGCUCUCUCUCUAACGUUCGCCAUGUGAAUAAUGUUGUUGUUCCCUGGUUGCCUUGGAAUAUAUUGUCCAUUUAGACUUUCAUGUACAUUGACUGGUUGUAUUUCCUCUCUACGGUUCAAGUUUCUCAAAUCUUGCAAAUCAUCCAUUGCUACAGCAGCUUGUAAUUCUCGAUGCUCUCUUCUCAAUCUCCUUACAGUUCUUUCAAUUUCUGGAUCAAACUGGAAUUCAACAGAUUCAUAUUUCCGCAUGCAAGGGUUGCUAGAUCACCUAUGUAAAAAAAAAUAAACAAAUCAAAAAAAAAUUAAAAAUUAGCAUUGUUAACGUAUUGGUAUGAAUUCAAAUGCUAUUGGUGUCAAUCUGCAAGUGUACACAAUAAGUAAUAUAAUAAUGAGUAUUCGAGAUCGUCUCCACUUGGAUUGAUGUUAUUAGACUUGCUACAACAACCUUAACAGUGCAAAUUUUGUUCUAAAUUAAGAUAAAAUAAUUAAUGAAAUUCAUAUACUAAUUAAAAUAAAAAUGCAAUAAAUAAAAUGCAACAAAGUAAACUAUCACAUCAAGCUCAAGGAUAAAACCAAUGGGAAUAUAGAGUAGUUGAGUGAAUAAACUCUCUUAAUGGUUUUGACUAUUUUUCUAAUGUUUGGCUCGGUUGCUACAGCAUUUGCUACAGCACUGGGCAGCAUCCUUAUGUAUCCUCAGUAGUCGCAUGUUGGAUAUCUUAUAUCUAUAUGCAAUCUAACAGUGAUUAGUUGUUAUGUCAACAUAAGAUGUAACAUUACACGCUUAUGUUUUAUUUACCCUACAAGCUGAAUCUCUAUGUCUAGUUCAUCAUUAAUCUUAGACUAAGCAUGGCCCUUUUAGGACUCAAGUAAAACUCAAUCCAAGAAACUCAAUCUAAAACCAAGUAUUGCUUUGAUAUGUUCCACUAAGAUAGGCUCUUUUGUGGCUCUUCCUUAGCUAAUAUCAUUAAAUGGGUGAUCAGCCGAAAUAAUGGCUCGGGUACCACUCCUUCAAUGAGGUGUACUUGGCCUCCUCACUUUUUGGGGUGUGAACUAGUUCACCCAAAAACUCAAAUAUUACUUUCUCUCUUGCUCAACAAAAGUGCUUGUGCAGAUGGACCAAACUGAAAAAUAGCUGCUCCAAAGGUACACCGGAAACCCCAAAAAGAAAGUUGGACUCCCUCUUUUCUAUGCCUUAUAAAUAGCUAUCAAAUUUGGAUAAGUUGGAGAAGCUGGACCUGAUUGAUCAAAAUUUUUCAUCUAUUUAUGGGGACGAACCACCAAAUAUGUGUAGAGGGUGAUGCAGGGGUACCCCACCAUCACCCAUAUUUUAUUUUCUAGUAGUUGGAAAGUAUAGAUCGCUCCAGUGAGUACUUCAAUGCCUUUCUUGGCCGUCUGAGAACCAGUUCGUCAGUUACCCCAAGAUCCAUCUCUUUUAAGGGCACAUUUCCUCUACAUGCUCCAAGGACAAAAAUAAAAUCCCAAGGCUCCUUUCCUUGAAGCCCUCUAAAUGAUGGUUAUAUAGGAGAUUAAUUCUUUUUUAUUUUAUUUAUUUAUUUAUAUAUACAUAUCAUCUCUUUUUUUUAUAGCACCAUUAUUAGGAAUACGUAAUCAUCCUUAUUUUCAAAUACAAUUGAGUGAUGGAAAACAUAAAACAUAAGGUGAUACUCCACAUUGGAGUAGGAAAAGAUGAUAGGUACCAAAGAAAAAAAAAUUUUUUUUUCAAAGGCUCAAAGGGGUUAACUAUGUAUUCUUUAUAAUAGGGUUGGCUAAAAAACUCAAACGGACCAAAGAUGGCCUUCUAUCAUUUUUUAGGGCUUUAAAUAAUCUUUCAUAUCCACUAGUUCAAUGGACUUUUAGAUGCGGCUGCACAAACUUUCUCUUUUUUUUUUUUUACUUCUUUUUUUUUAAAGAAAAUAUUGAGAUCUUGUACAAUAAAUUGUGAAGCUGUAUAGGCAAAUAGAGUUAUUCUCCAAGGAUAAUAGGCUAAAAAAACUCACUUGGUCUUUUCAUGAUAUGUACAUUCCUCCAAAUUGCUUAAUCAAUUUCACUCAUCAAAUUUCUCAAUUUACGUUUCAACAUGCAAAGGGAAGAACAUAGUGUAACAUAACUCAAGGCCAAAGAUAAUACAAAUACCAAAAUUUAAAAAUCAUCAUAUUAUCCAAUGUUAAAAGAUCACACUGAAAAAGAAAACUCUUUUUUUUUUUCUUUUGGUUAAAGAAACACUAAAAAAUUGGGACUGAUUGCAGAAACUUAAGGGAGAUGAUUAAGAGAAAAAGAGAAAAAGACAGAAAACAAAAAGUUAGAAGACAUUUUUUUUUUGGAAACAAAACACUAAACUUAAAAAGAUGCGUUUCUAUAGACACUACAUUCUAUAUUUUGCCAUCUUCGACUAAAAUUUUUAUCCAAAGGUAGUCUUUACAACAAAAAUUAGUAAAAAUAUCAUCAGGAUUGAGACAUUCCACAAUUAUCAACUAUUCCCUUCCCCCAACCUGAGGAGACAUUGUCCUCAAUGUCUAAAGAAAGGAGUAGAGUUUAGAAGAUAUCACCUGGUCACUGCUGGAAAUAUUUACAAAUGGAGAGUUAAAUCUAAUUUACAUUUUUUACGAGAGUUACUGCCAUCGUCAUCAGUUGCCCAAUCCAACGCCAAAGUCAUGGGAUCUGGCUCUGGUUUGUAAGCGUGCAAAAGAUCAAAUAACUCAUUAGCAGUAGGAGCACAAAUGAAGAGUUUUUUCGCUGAGGAUGGAAUGAAAUAAUUUUUUAUUGCAUGAUUAAGAAAUGUUAUUAAGUCAUCAUAAAAGUUAUCAACAUUUAACAACCGAUGGUUUUUUAUGGAUAUUCAAAUGGGCCCAAGAAUCAAAUGUAAUUAGCGCCUCCAAAGUUGCAAGGUCUCCUGGCAAGAAAAUGAAAGCGUCAGCAUGAUUUAACAUUUCAGAUAUUCUUUUCUUGCAUACCUGAGACAACUAACUCUUCUCCAGUUGGUGGGUUUGGUAGACACAAAUAUUUUUAAGUUGACUGCUUAAAGUUGCUGCCAUUAGAACAAUUCUAAAAAGAAACAAUUUGUGAGUGCUUGAGAAGGAGCUUCUAUUUAAGGAUCUUGGUGACGAACAUAAUGAUAUAUAUCUGUAAAUAGGGUGGUGUGUUUGUCAAAUGACGCGUGAAGCUUUUAGCUUAAUAAUUCAAAGGCAAACAAUGAAAAGAAAAAGCAAACAGUAAUUAGAUAUAUAUAAAAAAAAAGACACACAAUAAUAAUAAUAAUGCAAAAGAUAAAAGAAUAGUAAAAUAAAAGGAUAUUUACUAGUAGUUGUGAUUGUGGCUCACAUCUUCCUCUGGGUCGAGGAUAGGCUUCGCAUCCAGUUUUCUUAUAAACUGGCAAACAAGGUCUUUUAGAGUCAGAUUCCCAAGACUAAAUUGUGCACUUUCCUUUUGGAAUAGCUUCCACAAAUUUUGAAUUUCACGUUGCACAUAUCCGCUCGGAUACGUCUCAAGAGAUCGUAAGAUAUCAUCCAACGAUUCUUUACUCAUGCCAUCCUUAACGAAUUUGAUUUUAUCUUCACGAUUUACAGAAACCAUUCCUAAAGUUUUACAACGUGGCUUUUUGCAAGCAAGUUUUACACAGUGAGAACAUUCAGAGCCAAGUCGCUUAGCUCUUCUUUUCUUAGCAAAUGUACUUUUACUAAAACCAGGCAUGUAGGAAAUGAAUGGAUCAGAAAACUUACCUGCCAAUCGGACCUUUGCUUCAAUUAAUCAGCGAAUGUCAGCAGGAAUCCCAUUGAUCAUUAACAAAUGCAGUCAUUCACAACGAGCUUUGUAAAUAUUCUUAAGAGCAUUUUGAGGGAGAGAAGGAAAACGUUGAUGCAAAUUUCACUGUAUUUCUUCCAUGCUUGACAUUGAGGUUUUAGUUAUUGUGGGAAACUGAGAAUACCGACUUAAAAAGUCACGAAGUACCGUUAUCCGCCAUUUAUACGGGAGAGUGAAUCAAAACAAAACGAAUUAAAUCUGCAAAAUCAAAUCAAAAGUGAAGAAGAACAACAAAAUAAAACAAAAACACAAGAAAUAUAACUCACCUUCAUCCUUUUAUUGAAUUUACCUCUAGUUCCAAUUGCAGAUUAUAAAUACCAUCCUAUAUUUCCUUGAGUUGUCUUUCUAGAUCUUUGACGUGGGAUACUAACUAUGGUGGUUGUAGAUCCCAAAAAAUCUGAGCAAUUUCCUCAAGUGAAAUUUUACAUGUAAAAGUUCUUUAAGAUGUUCGAAAAGGAAACUUCUCAUGGAGGUACUCAUGACAAGUAUCAAAAUUUGAUGAGCUAAAACAAAAUUGUCAAACAACACACAAUAAAAAACAAUGCAAUGCACUCUAUUCAAGGCAUAGGGAAAAGGAAGGAAAAAAAUCAAACAAUUCAAACUAUAAAGUAAUAGUAAAUCAAAUUCGUAAAAAGUUAAAAUGAAAAGGCUUAAUUAAAAUUUGGUUGGUCACUCAAAUUGAUUUCGGUAUCUGCUUCACGUGGUUGGUAUUCUAGAUAUGGUUUCAAUCUUUGACCAUUAACUUUAAAUGUGACAUCAUCUUUUGGAUACUCAAUUUCUACGGCUCCAUAUGGAUACAUAUUUUUUUACAACAAAUGGACCAUUCCACUUUGACUUUAACUUCCCUAGAAAUAAAUGAAGACGAGAAUUAUAAAGCAACACUUUUUGACCAAUUUCAAAUGUUUUUCGAAAAAUUUGGUUCUUGCCUUAAUAAUUCUGGAAUUCUCAUAUUCAUCAUUCCUUAAUUCCUCAAGUUCAUUUAAUUGCAAUUUACGCACAUUACCAACAUCAUCAAGAUUUGAAUUAAAAGCUUUAGUGGCCCAAAAUGAUUUAUGUUCAAGUUCAACUGGUACUGGCAAGAUUUUCCAUAAACAAGCCGAUAGGGUGACAUUCCUAAAGAUGUUUUAAAAGCAGUACGAUAUGCCCAAAGUGCAUCAGUUAGUCGAAGAGACCAAUCUUUACGGUUUGGAUUAACUAUCUUUUCUAAAAUUUAUUUUAUCUCCCUAUUUGCUAAUUCAACUUGACCACUUGUUUGAGGUUGAUAAGGGGUAACAACUUUAUGUGUAAUUCCAUAUUUCUUCAUUAAGGACUUAAAUAGCUUAUUACAAAAAUGCUUACCUCCAUCACUAAUAAUGGCUCGAGGUAUUCCAAAUCUGCUCAAAAUAUUUUCUUUUAAAAAGCGGAUCACAAUCUUGUGAUCAUUGUACCGACAAGGAAUCGCGUCGAUCCAUUUUGAAACAUAAUCAACAGCAACUAAAAUGUAUAUAAAUCCAAAUGAUGAUGGAAAAGGGCCUAUAAAAUCAAUUUCCCAACAAUCAAAUAUUUCAAUGACAAGGAUUAGGUUUAAAGACAUCAUGUUUCGCUUUGAAAUAGACCAUACCAUUUGGCAAUUCUUACACACUUUACAGAAUGCAUGUGAAUCUUUAAAUAAUGUAACCUAAUAAAAUCCACAAUGCAAUAUUUUUACAGCUAUCAUUUUUAAAGAAAAAUGGCCACCACAUGCUUCAGAAUGACAAAAUUGAAUGACCCUACUUACCUCGUCGUCCGAUAUGUAUCUUCAAAAAAUUUGAUCAGAGCAGUACUUGAACAGGUAUGGAUCAUCCCAGUAAAAGCUUUUCACUUUUGUUAAGAAUUUCUUCUUGUCUUGAGAAUUCCAGUCACAUGGCAUUUCACCUGUUGCAAGAUAAUUAACAAUAUUAGCAUACCAAGGCAUUUUGUUUAUAGAAAAUAAAAAUUCAUCAGGGAAAGAAUCAUUGAUGGGUGUUGUUUCAAUUGAAGACUCAUUCGUAAGUCUUGAAAGAUGAUCUGCAAUAACAUUUUCAGCGCCCUUUUUGUCCUUGAUUGUCAAGUUAAAUUCUUGAAGUAGCAAAAUCCAUUGUAUCAACCUUGGUUUGGCAUCCUGUUUUAACAUUAAAUAUCUCACAGCAGCAUGAUCAGAAUAAACAAUAGUGGAUGAACCAAUUAAAUAUGAAUGAAAUUUAUCCAAUGCAAAUAUUACAGCAAGUAGUUCUUUCUCAGUUGUAGUGUAAUUCAUUUGAGCAUUAUUCAAAGUUCUACUUGCAUUAUAGAUGACAGAAGGCUUACAUUCUUUUCUUUGACCCAGAACAGCGCCAACGACAUAAUCACUAAUAUCACACAUUAGCUCAAAAGGUAAAGACCAAUCAUUAUUGGGGCUGAUGUCAAAAGAGUAGUUAUUUUUUCAAAAGCUUGUUGACAAUCUUUAGUCCAUUCAAAAGGUGUCUUUUAUUAGGAGGUUACAAAGUGGUCUAGAUAUGGCACUAAAGCCAUUUAUAAACCCCCUAUAAAAUCCUGCAUGUCCUAAAAAGGAACGAACUUCUCUAAUUGUCUUUGGUGAGGGUAAUUUUGAAAUGACUUCAACUUUGGCUUUGUCAACUUCAAUUCCUUUUGAAGACACAACAUGGCCCAAAACGAUUCCAAAAGUGGUCAUGAAAUGGCAUUUUUCCCAAUUUAAAACUAGUCAUUUUUCUUUGCACAUUUCCAAAACUUUUUCUAGAUUAUCAAUACAUGUAUCAAAAGAAUUAUCAAAUACAGUUAAAUCAUCCAUAAAAACCUCUAAACAAUUUUCAACCAUGUCACUAAAAAUGCUUAGCAUGCACUUUUUAAAUGUUGCAGGAGCAUUACAAAGUCCAAAGGGCAUUCUCCUAAAUGCAAAUGUUCUAAAUAGGCAUGUGAAUGUAGUCUUUUCCUAGUCUUCUAAGGCUAUACGGAUUUGAUAAUAGCCAGAGUAACUAAUAAGAAAGUAGUAGUAGGGAUGUCCAACUACUCUUUCGAGAAUUUGGUCUAGAAAUGGAAGAGGAAAAUAAUAUUUUCUAGUGGCAUCAUUUAAUUUUCUGUAAUCAAUGCACAUGCGCCAACUAGAUGGAAUUCGUGUUGGGAUUAGUUUACCUUUUUCAUUUUUUACAACGGUUAUUCUAUAUUUCUUUGGUACUACUUGUGUUGGACUUACCCAUUUACUAUCAGAGAUAGGAUAGAUAAUUCUUACAUCUAAUAGUUUAAGGACCUCAUUCUUUACCACUUCUUUUAUAUGAGGGUUUAGUCUUCUUUUUGGUUGACGGGUUGUUUUGGCAUUUUCCUGUAAGUGUAUUCGGUGUGUGCAAAUUAAAAGAUUAAUGCCUUUUAUAUCUUUUAAGGUCCAACCAAAUGCAAUUUUAUGUCUUUUUAGUACAGAUAACAACUUACCUUCUUGAUCAUGUGUGAGUUGGGAAGAAAUUACCACCGGAUACGUCUGCUGCUCUCCAAGAUAGGCAUACUUCAAUUCUUCUGGUAAGGGCUUUAAUUCAAGCUCUGGUGCUUCCUCUUUGAUUAGUUCUUCAGGUUGUACUGUAUUUUCAAAGUUCGAUUGGUCAUCGUCACCUGUAAGUACCUGCAUAGAAUCAAGUGUAGAACAUAUAUUAGCAGUAUCACAAUUUAAUUCUUUACUUGAUUCAAAAGAACCAGCAAAACAAAUUUCCACAGAGGUUGUAAAAUUCUCAUCCUGAAUGUGUUCCUCAAUGAUUGGCUCGAUGAGAUCAAUCUCCUUAUUCUCAUUAUCAUCAUCUUCUUGGUGGUGAGAUUGUUUACACAUGUUAAACACAUUGAGUUCCAAUGUCAUGUCCGAAAGAUAAAUUCAUUAAUCCAUUCCUGCAAUUAAUCAAAGUAUUAGCAGUAGCUAAAAAUGGUCGACCCAAUAUAAGAGGAAUUUGUUUGCAUUCAUUAGCAAUUGGGUCCAUUCCCAAAAAAUUAAAAUCAACAAGAUAUAUGAAUUUAAUCGAUCUAACAGCAAGUAAAAGAGUGGUAGAAGUUGGUUUUAACUCACCGAGAUUGAGUUGUUGGUACACUGAGUAAGGAAGCAAAUUAUCACUGGCCCCAAGGUCAAGUAGAGCAUGUCCAAUUUUAUGAUCCCCAAUAGUGUAAGAAAUAGUUGGACAACCAGGAUCCUUGUAUUUCAAAGCACUAUUGGUUGAGAGAAUGGAACUUACAUGUUCUGCCAGAAAAGCUUUCUUUUGCACUUUAUGUUUCUUUUUCAUCAUGCACAGAUCUUUCAAAAAUUUAGCAUAAGAAAGCACCUGUUUAAUGACAUCCAGCAAAGGAAUGUUGACCUUUACUUGUUUAAAAACUUCAUAAAUUUCUAGACUGCGGUUUGAUUUCUUUGGCUUGAUUAGUGCCUGAAGAAAUAAGGGUACAAGAGGAGAGUUGGUUAUUUCUUCAUGGGUUAAAGGUUCGACAGACUCUUCCCUAUUUUCUGAAAUUGAAUCUUUACUAGUUUCACGAGGGUCCACAAUGUAUUUUUCGAUCACUUUACCACCACGAAGGGUUAUAACCGAUUUGACUUGACUCAUAUUUUGGUUUCCUGAAUUUUCCAUUUGAGGAUGUUGUUGACUCUUGGGGUUUGGUUAAGGUUGAGCAGGAAACUUUCCUUUUUCAUGCAUGGUCAGAGCAGAUGUAAGUUUGGAGAUAAUUUUUGUCAAAUUGGUUAAGGUUUGCAUCAUUUGGUUAUUGAUCGACUCGUGUUUUUCAAUAAACGAAUGCAAUGUGUCUUCCAGAGUUUUUCUUGGUGGUGAGACAUAUGGUGGGUAACUCUGGGGGUUUUGGAAAUUUUGACGUGGAGGAACUGGUUGUGAAGGUUGUGCAUGAUUAUCAUUUCUCCAACUGAAAUUUGGGUGGUUUCUCCAACCAGAAUUGUAAGUUUGGGAGUAUGGAUUUGGAUUUGACCUUUUGAAAUUGUCAACGACAUUUACUUGUUCGUGCAAACUUUCUCUCAAUGCUGGCAAAGUUAGACAGUCCUGCGUAGAAUGGUCAGUAGAAUCGCAAACAUAACAUGAAAUAUUUUGAACAGACUUUACAUGAUCAUUCUUUUUCAACUCUAAUGCUUUGACUUUUCUAGCUAAUGUUGCAAAUUUAGCUUGAAAAUCAUGGUCUUCCCUAAGGUUAUGCAUGCCUCCACCAGAUGGAGAUGACUGGGGUUUACUUGAUGACUCAUAAGAACCAAUUGUAUCUCAGUGUUGUGCAUUCUCUGCUAUAUAGUUAAGAUAGUCUAAUGCAUCUUCAGGACUUUUAUUCCUAAACUCACCAUUAUGGAUCAUUUCAACGACUUGUCUACCUUGGGAUGUUAAUCCCUCGUAGAAAUAAGACACUAAUCUCCAUGUUUCAAAACUGUGGUGUGGGAAAAUGUUAAGUAGUUCUUUAAACGUAUCCCAAUAUUGGUAGAGGGUUUCUCUUGGUUUUUAAGUGAAUGUGGUGAUUUGUCUUUUGAAAGAAUUAGUUUUGUGGGGUGGGAAGAAUUUUUUCAAAAAUUGUGCUUGCAUUACAUCCCAAGUUCUGAUGGAUCCUGACCUAAGAUUUUGUAGCCAAGUUUUAGCUUUAUCCUUUAGUGAGAAAUGAAAAAACUUAAGCCUGAAUAUAUUCAUGCUACAAUUUUGAUCAGUACAUGUGUUACAGACUUCCUCAAAUUCCCUUAAAUGCAAAUAUGAAUUUUCAUAUUCAAAACCAUAAAAAGUAUGAAGAAAUUGAAUGAUACCAGGUUUGAAAUUAAAACGUGAUACAUCAUGAGGGAAAACUAUGCAUGAUGGUGAUCCUGUUCUAGUAGGAUGCAUGAAGUCUCUAAGGGUCCUAGGCUGUUCAUGAAGAUUUUACAAGGCUUGGUCAUUUUCGUGCUCCGAAAAAUUUUCAGCUCCGAUCUCAGCCAUAUCUAAGGGUGGUGAAAGUGAUCUAAUUAAUCUGCCACUAUUUGUACGAGACCAACGAUGCCUGCAAUGCUAAUGAUGUGUGCUAAACCAAUGAUGCAUAAAACGCUAAAUGAAAAUUGCAGAAAAUAAAAAUAAACAGGAAAUUAAAUAAGCAAAAAUACGAAAUAAAAAUAAACAAACUGAAAAUAAAUAAAAUAAAUAAAUUAGGCAGUGAAACCAGCCAUAAACAAAGAAAUUAAAAGAAACAAUUUAGGCGGUAUUUUAAAACCAGCCAUAUAACAAAACAUAAAAUUAAAUAGAUUAAUGUAUAAGAAUAAAUAAACUGAAAUUAAAAUGCUAGGCGGUAGAACCGACCAUAUAAACAAAAAUACAUAAAUUAACAAAAUUUAAAUAACAGUCAGGCAGUAGAACCGACCAUUUAAAAUAAAUGCGGAAAGUAAAUUGCAUAAAUUUAAAGAAAUAAAUUCGAUUUGGGGAUUGAUUUGCAAAGGUUUCUGGGCUAAAAUGAAGUUUAUCACAAAUUUUAUGAAUAAUGUUAAAGUUUGAAAAGAGGAGGGGUGCUAACUGAAGUUUUGGAAAAAGAGAAUAAAAUAGAAUCACGAAGAGAUAGUAACAAAAAAAAUUAAAAUAAAAUAAAGUAAAGACAAACUAACACCAAAUUUAGAAAACUCCCCGGCAACGGCGCCAAAAACUUGACACGACUUAAAAAUAUAUUAACCCGGUGAGUACGGGGUCGAACUACAAAGAAUUUUAAAUCUAGUAGUCAAUUUAAAACUAAGAAAAUUAAUUGUGGGGAAAAGAAAUUAUUUGAAAUCAAUUUAAAAAUAUGCUAAGGUUCGGGAUCCACUCUCUGUAUUCAAACUAUAGUUUUAAUACUCUCUCAUUUAUAUUUUGCAUCACUUUUACCAGUUAAUUAUUAUAUCAUUUAAUUUUAUGUGUGUGGAUAAAUAUGGAAUAAAGUACCUAAUGUGCCACACUAUAUUAAAGUGUCGACAUUAUGUCAAAAUACCAUACAUAUCCAAAAAAAUGUAUAAAUUAAUAUGACAUAAAAAUAACUAGAAAAGAAUAAAAUAAAUUUUAAAACUCAUUUGAGAAAAUAAUAGAUUUAAUAGUUUGAAAUAUUGAGCUUCACCCUUCACCUCAGCUUAGUAAAAUUAGCCACUCAUAUUGAAAGAAAACACAACACUUUAUUUAUUUGAUAAACUUUUGAAAUACGUUACAAGAAAGUUGAUUACACAACAAAAGAAGAAAAAGACACAAUUCAUCAGUUACACUCUAUUCUCUCUUGGCUUAAGCUCUCUCUGCUCAACUCUCUCACUUCUCCAUGCCUCGCUCCCUACAUUUCCUUGCCCUUUUAUAGGCAAGGAAUGCAUUAUCUUUAUUUAUUUUAUUAUUAUUAUUAUUAUUAUUAUUAUUAUUAUUAUUAUUAUUAUUAUAUAUAUAUAUAUAUAUAUAUAUGUACAUUGAAAUGUGUAAUGGUCAAGUGGCCAUCAUGGCCACUUGACCAUCACGAGAAACCAAAUUGCUUGGUUUUUGUUCUUUUGUUCUUUUUUCAUUUUUUUAUUUUUUAUUCAUUUUAAUUUUUUAAUUUUUUAUUUAGUUAUAUCUCAUCAAUAACGCUUCCAAAUUGCUCCAGCAGUCCUUCUUUGUUCCCGCUUUCAAUUCCAAUUUAUUCCUAAAAAAUAUUUAUAAGAUAAAAAUUAACAUAUUACGAAUUAAUUUAACACAAAAAUUUAUUUGGGGAGCAUUCAUAUAAUUUAGGGAAAAUAUCCACCGUCCACCCGUUUUUUACACAUUUUUUAAAAAUACACAAUUCCUUCAUUUUUUGGCUGGAAUCCACCUAAAGUUACAUUUUGUUUCACUUUUCCACUUCCGUUUGGAAUCCGUUAAGAAAACUAACGGAAACUUAAAAAAAUGAUCAUUUUACCCCCAAAACAAAAAUUACAAUUUCACCCUAAAAAUGUUAAAAAUAAUCAGAUUUAAUGAUGAAUAUCAUUAUUGGUACGUUAAUGAAGUACAAAAACAUCUUAACUACUAGAGAUUAUAACUCAAUGAAUAAUAAAACUCUACUUAUCUUAAAUUCAAUUGAUGGUUUGUGAGAUUGGGCUAUUUUUAAUGCUACUGUUAUAAUUUAGCAUUCUAAUUACAGACAUAUUUAAAAAAAAAACUUGCAUUUGAUGGUUGUGCAAUUAAUUUCUUUAUUGACCGAUGGGGAAAAUAAUUAGAUUUAAUCUAAUUAUUUUUGGCAAUUUUUAAAGUGAAAUUGUAAUUUUCGUUUUGAGGGGUAAAAUGGUCAUUUUUUUAAGUUUCCAUUAGUUUUCUUAACGGAUUCCAAACGGAAGUGGAAAAGUGAAACAAAAUGUAACUUUAGGUGGAUUCCAGCUAAAAAAUAAAGGAAUUGUGUAUUUUUGAAAAAGGUGUAAAAAACGGGUGGACGGUGAAUAUUUUCCCUAUAAUUUAUAAGUUAUGCGCGCAUUAAUCAACACUUUAAGUGAAAAACUAAUAAUUUUAUCCUUAUUACACGUACACUUUUUAGUGUUAAUCAUACAAUAUUAGUAUUUCAAAAAAAUUAGGUGCAAUUUGCAUCACUAUAGUUAACAGUACAUCCCAACUAGGUUGGCACCUGUUGAACUAUCUAUCAUUUGCAAAUUCACAACCUUUCCAGUAGUAAACUUUUUUUCCAAAAAGUUGCAAAGAAAGAAGGUCUCUAGUCUCUAGAGGGGACUUCAAUGUUCUUUACUAUGCAUAAUCUGGAUCCACUUCAUCUUGAUCGACAUCCAAACUCUCAAUUUGUUUCAUUGAAGCAUUUUACCAAUCUUAUUACACUCAGCUUUUAGCAUCUUUCCAUCUUUCAAAUGCAUCAAAGAGUGUAAUGUCUCUGAUGACAAUUUUGAUCGACAUUCAUCUAGAACUCUACUAUCUACACUAAAAGCUGACUCUGAUGCUACAAUUGAAGCUAGAGGGGUUAGUGGAUCACGGGCCACAAUGAAUAGUAUAGGGGAAAAAGAUGUCUUAUCCAUCCAAAAUUUUAAAUUAUCAAAAUUUUACGAUUGUGAAGGAGUUAAUAAAUCUUCAAGAUUAACAUAACAAUACCUUCACCAUUCAUUACGAUUAGUAUCAAUACUAGAAGCAAUACCAUUACUUUUGAGCAACAAAAGGUUAGCUGGAUUUCUAUAAGAAGUUGAUGCUUGUUGAACAUUAGAAUAUGUAUUGGUUGAUCCAAAUUUAUUUUGAUAAAAAUUAAAAAGUUCAUGCAUAAAGGACGUAAUUGUGUUAGAAUUUGUUUCAAGCCCUGUUAGCAAAUUUUUAGUGAUAUUCUCAACUAAAAAUUUUGUACCAACUUCCUUGAUUGUAGGAUCCAACACUACUGCAAAUAUAAAUAGGUGGGGCAUAUCUUUCCAAUAUUUUUAGAAUUUUUCAUCCAUAGCAUCACAAAUAUUUUUAAACAUAAUAUUUUCACUAAAAGUCUUAAAAGCAUAACUCAUAUUAUACAAGUGGAUUAACAUUCUACAUGAAGUAUGACUCAUAAAUAGUAGAAUAUGCAAGAGUAGUAUUAUAAAAUACCUUCAAAAAAUGCAUAAAUUUAAAUGCAACAUUUCAAUCAUAAUCAGUGAUAUGAUAAUCUUCAUCAUGCAUUAUCUCAUUGUUAAAACUAGAAAUUGCUUUAGAAUAGUUUUGGCAAGAAAGCAACAUCAAAUAUGUAGAAUUCCAACAAACUUUCAUGUCAAUGUUGAAUUUCCUCUUUUUUAAUCCAAAAAUUUUCAAUGUAGAUAAAAACUAUUGUUGCCUUAAAGGUGCUCUAAUAUAUAAAAUGGUUGUUUUUUUUUUUUUAAAUAAUGAUUCAUAUGGUCAUACCAGCUUAAACAAUUAAAUCAAUAAUAUGACAUACGCAUUUCACAUGAAAACAUUUUGAGCCAUGUGCAAGUGUGAGAGUAGAAAUAUUUUGCAAAAACAUAUCAAUUGUGGUUGUAUUGACUGAUGCAUUAUCAAAUGAUAUUCUAAACAAUUUAUCAGUAAUUUCAUAUUCUCUUAAAACAGACAUUAUGAUUGAGUAAAUUACUGAACCAAUAUGAGGAUAUUCUAAUUCAUGAAAUGCAAGCAAUUUUUUUUCAAACUGCAUUUGCCAUUAAUCUCAUGUAUAGAGUGCUAAGUCUUACAAAAAUAACCAACCAUAUUAAUACCAGUCCAACAAUAAGAAGAAAUUGAAAUAACACCAUUAAAAUUGAUAAAAGUAUUAAUCAAGAAUUUUUUCAUGUCAUGAAAAUUUUUGGUAAAAUCACGUUUUAAUGUAUUUCUAGGCACUUUCUUAAGUUGAGGGCUCAACAUACCUUUCCAGAAAAUUUAUCAGACGUUCAUCUUCUGGAAAUGUUAAAGGUUGCUCUACUGUAGCAAUAUACCUAGUCAAUCCUUCUUGCAUGUUCUGUUGUGAAUAUUUAAAUGAUGUUAUAGUACUAGAAGGUCCAAAACCAUACUGUGAAAUUGGGGUUUGUGUUGGGUCUUGUGGUGCGUGUUUUGCCUGGCAAGUUUCCAUAUGUUGUUUGAGAUAUCCGGUUCCACAUUUACUUUUGACACUUAAAAAGGCUUGGAAAAUUGAUGUUCUUGGCUAUUUGGAGGUAAUAGUAGGACCAGUAGUGGCAGAAGUAGAACCACUUUGACUUGCUUAAGAAGUAGGAGGAGAUCGCUGGUGGGACAAUAAAUAUAUUAUUUGGAUCUAGUUCUUGUGUAGCAAUUUCUUCAUUUGGAGCUUCCUCCCCCUCUUCAACAAAAUUUAAAUUCUUAUUCAACUCAAAACGCCUUCCCUCAUGAUUGAUGUGAGAGUGAGACAUUUUAUGUGAAUAAUUUUUUGGUAAAUAAAAGUAGUUGUGUAUUUGUACGGCUGGAAAAAAUAAAAAAUUCAGUGACCAAGAGAGACGUGUAUUAAAUGGUGUUUAAUGGCGUUUCACUUUUGUUUGAGAUUUGAGUAACAAAAAGAAGUUACUGGAAUUGUAGGAGAGUUUAGAGGAGAUUGAGUAGAGAGUAAAGACGAGACACAAGAACAAAUGAGGAGAUAGAGAUUGAGAAUUGAGAUAAACUUGAAAAUGAUUUAAUUGUUUAAAUAGAAUAAAAAAGUAAAAAUAUUAACAGUCAAAUGUGGCAAACAUGCAAAGCUUCCUGCAAGCCUGCAACAAAUUAGACCGUUGCAUUUAUUUACUUUUUUUUUUGUUUCAAAUUUUUGUUCGUUUUGUCCGUUGGGUGAGUAAUAAAAUUAAUUCAAAAUUUUUUUAUUAUUAAAUAAUAAUAAAAAGUUAGUUUCUGAUCGGUGCACCCCGAGCUGUAAAAUUGAGUAGUCAUUUCAAUUUUACUAUUGUAACGAUGGAAUUUAAAAGUUGUGUGCAAUGCAAUCAAUUCAAAAUUUAAAAUUUUUGAAAGUUGCCGACAAUGAUAUUUAAAUAAUAGACAAUUGUAACUCGUAAGCAUUGUGCUCACCUUGUGUGAGACUGUAGUCGUAGUCAAAAAUUCAAAUCAUAAUUCAACGAUUUUUAUUUAUUUUUUAAAUAAUAAAUUAAUAUUCAAAUUAAAUACUUUUCAUUUUGGGUUCGUGCCAACAAGGCAACAAUGCAAUUUUUUUCAUUUCUUUUAUUAUUUUUUUGGAAAAUGUUCUUUAUUUCUUUUAUUAUUAUUUUUUUAAAUAAUUUAAUAAUGUUUUCCUACCAACCACACGCUUGCCUCUACGACUCCACAGCUCCACAAAAGUCAAGAACCCAAGAUUCACUCAUUCACAACACCAGUAUUUAUAUUUCACUAAAUAUUUCUACUUUCUCAACCACUUUCACCUAUUAAAGUAAUAAAAUCAAUUUUUGUCUUUUUACUACUACCUAAUAAUUAUAUAUGCAUGCCAAAACACUAUGAGUCUAUGACGAUUCAAAAUUCUUCUUCUUUUCUUUUUCCCUCAAACUUUCCAAUAUUCCAAAACCAAAAGCACAAUGGAUCCUCAAGAACAUAAUAUAAAUGCAGAAGAAGCUCAACAACCUCAAGAAUACAAUGUCUAUGCCGUUGGACCUCAACAAAACAACAAUGCAAGGUUAAAUAAGUCCAGAAGCUGUCAUUUAAAUAAUUUUUUUCAAAAUUUUACUACAGUAAGGGAGGAAAUAAUAGAUAAUGGUUCGCGUAGUCCUUACAAACGGAUGAUCUUCGAGUAUAACUAUUGUCAUUGAGAAAUUAUUUAUUCAAAUGCCCAUGGUACAAGGGCUUUUUGUCGACACGUGUCAAAUUUUUUAGCUCGCCAUCAAGGCCAAGACAGAAUUAACCUUGCUCAUUUAUCGUAACCAUAAUUGUGAUUAAUAAACGUUAUUUUGGCUUAAUAAUCAAUAUGUCAUAUUUUCAUAGUUGUGAUUUUUCGUAAUCUGUAUUUCCUAGUUGUAAGUUGUGACUUGUGACUUGUUAUAAUUGAUAUCUCGUAGUUGUAAUUUCUUGUAAUCAUUAUUCUAAGAUUGUAAUUUUAGUUUUUAUUAGUCAUUACUAUGAUGUAUGUAAUUGAAUUUAUGUAUUGUUGCAUUAUAAUUGGUGAAAUUAAAUAUAUAGUUGUGAAAUUGUGAUAAACUUAUAAUGAAAUGUUAAUUGUUCCUUUAAUAAAAAUUGUUGUUGUUGUUGUUGUUGUUGUUAUAAGUGCAUUGACUGAUGGGCUUAAAAAACACGCUAGGCAUGUGGGGUUGAGGAAAAAAAAAGUUGAUGGACAUUUUAUGAGCAUGGAACAACAUUGCCCGUCCACUUGGUGGACCGUGCCAUGCCGACCGUGGGCCUUGGUUUAACCCCAUCGACUAUCUUUAGUUUCAAAUUAAUUAAUUAUUAAUUUAUGAAUUAAUUGGUUCUUGUAGAAAAAUAAAUUUUGUUUUGAAAUUUCAUUAUCUAAUAAAUUUAUCGAAUUUUUAACUUACCAUGUUAGCCUUAGACAGGAUGGAAAAAACUAUUAUUUAAUCAAAAUUAUCAAUUUAUCAAGUACUAAUUUAACGAUAUUCUACUGUAAUAAAUCUUAUAAAUUUAUCAAGUAUAAAAUUACAGAGGUUUUACUAUAGAAGGUUAAAAAUUUUCCUUUACCCCAACCUUUAUCUUUUAAAAAAGAAAUUAAAAAUAAGAAAAUAGGAAAAAAAUGUGAUUUUGAUUUAGACCAAGUAUAUGAUGAUUUUAAGGUUAUUUUUUUCUUAAGUCCUUGCUGUUUAUCGGAAAAACUUAGAAAUUAAAAGUUUUCAAAAUACAUCUGUUAAAUCCUUAUUAUCAAUUCAAAUUUGUUUCAUUCAAGUUUUUGACUGAAUUUUACUAUUAGAAAAAAUAACAUUAUGGCAUUUUAAUCGGAUUUAAUUGAUUUGUUAAAAAAACAAACAUUAUGGCUUUUAAGGGUUGUUUCAGCUGACAAAGAUUACUCUUAGAUAUAUCCUAAAGGAAGCCCAAAUUAAUGUUAGAAAAUCAUUGCUUAAUGCCUUAAUUUAUUACUUGUUUUUCUGUUUUAACAGUUUUUUAUUGCUCAACUCUGCUUCAUAAAAUUAUGUAUAUGCAAUAUUUACAAGGUGCUAUGCUAUUGUAACUCGUCAUUGAACUUCAAUUUUAGAAAAUUUAAUUGUAGAUAAAGGAUCUUGAAAGUGAAUAGAUCGUACAUUGAUGUAAGAAUAUUGUGCUGAAAGUGAAAAAAAAAAAAAACACUCAAAGUGGGGGACUUAUGUGUGCAAUGGAACAAUAAAAAAUGACAAAUAAUGUGAAAGACCCUCAAGUUUCAUGUUGUUAAAUCUAUUGUAAUUAUUGAGCAAACGGGUUAAUUAUAACUUUGGAAAAAAUAAUAAUUAAGAAACUAUGAUAAAAUGAGCUUUAAACCAUUAAUGUGAAGUAUGAAUAAAAAAGAUUUGAAUUUGGAGGAGUUUGAGUGAUAUAUAUUGUUGGAUUCAUCUCAUUUGGGUGGUCCAAAGGCUUCCUUGGUGUGCAAAUAUCACUAAGUUUUGGACUUGGAUGAAAUUAGCUAGAGAAUAAUAAGUAUAAAAGAAAAGCAAGCCUUGGUAAUGAUAUAAAAAAAGGAAGAAAAAGAUGAGAGAAAAAGAGAGAGACAGUGGCGUAAUAUUUGCUUCUAGGGGCAAGUGUUUUAACUCUGUUUUCUCGUAAAUUUGGAGGGUAAGUUCCUAGCAUCAUCCUCUACAGUUCUACUAGUCUUGAUUUUUGUUUUAUCCUCUCCUUGGUUGUUAUUUGAGAUAUCUAUUUGUUUACGAUGUUGUCCUUAUUGAUUUUUGGUCCUCAACAACUGGGCAAUGACAUUGUUGUGUACUUGGCACCGUUGAUUGAAGACUUGCAAACUUUAUAGGAUGUUGGGGUGGAGGCUUACAAUGCUAAUAGAAAGAAAUUCUUUAAUCUAAGGGUUGUUUUGCUAUGGACCAUAAAUGACUUUCCAACAUACGGGAAUUUAGAGGGUUGUACUGUUAAAGGAUAUAAUGCAUGUCCAUAUUGUGGCUUAGAUGCACCUAAAUGUAGACUGAAAGAUGGUGGGAAAAAUGCAAUGGCUAGUAUGAAAGGUGUUGCAGACGUUUUGGAGGUGCUAAUAUGGAUGCUCCAGAGAGUAGUAAUGCGACCAGGGGUGUGAAUAUAGGUGCUACGCAGAACUAAAAGCUGAAAACGAGGAAAGAGAGGAUUGUUGUACAAUAUAAUGUAUUAGGCGUUCCUGCUGGUGAUGAAGCCACUGAGCUAGCUUCCUAUCUUGGAGUAUUAGCUAGUAGUUCAGUUUCGAUUUUAUUUUCUGAUUGGCGUAAAGUUCCAGCAGAGACGAAGGAGCGUUUAUGGGAGUCCAUUCAGGUAAAUGUCCAAAUUCUUUAAUCUAUUGAUCUUUAAUCAAUUGUUCUGGUCUUGGUAAUUAUUAGAAUAUCAUAUAUGGUAUUAGGAUUGCUUCAUCGUUCAUCCUAAAAGUAAGAAGUAGCUGCUGCAAUCAAUUGGGCAUGCAUUUCGUAACUUCAAGUACAUGUUGAUAAAAAAGUACAUUGUGCCAUUCGCACAAGACCGGAAGAGACUAUACAGACCUCCAAUUGAUUAUCCCCAAAUCAAGAAACCUAUUUUGAUAAAGUUUGUCGACAAACGUUUAUCAGAUGCCUUUCAAGUUAGUAUCUUUGACUUAGGCUUUAUGUUUGACUUAGGUUUUCUCACUUGUUAAUAUUUGUUGGAUAUAUACCAAUAAACACCUCGGUAUGUUGAAGUUAUUCAGAAAGUCAGUUGUGCUAAUAAGGAGAAAAGAGCCUCCAACAAGUUAAAUCAUCGACUUAGUCGAAGAGGAUAUGUUGGAUUAAUGCAAGAUAUGGUAAGUACAUGGCUAUCAAUUUAUAUUAGGUUAAUUUGUUUAAAAUAUUAAUUAUUAAGUGGACUUAAAUAAUAUGAUUUGUUUAUCCACCAGUGCUCAGAAACCAGUCUUUUAGAAGACUUAGUAGACAUGAGUGAACUUUGGAAGAGAGCCCGGGGAAUGAAAAUUGGGGUUACAACCUUGAAACUGAGAAGAUUGUUAUGAAAAUGGUGAGGAGCUUCAAUAAAGUUAAAUAUUCUUUAAUUAGUUUAGCGUGAGUAGAUUACAACUAUAUAUUAUUACUAAUUUAUUUUUUAUGGUGAUAGGAAAAGCUCAAAAAAGAGGCUAAGAAAGGCUCCUUGAAGUCAGAUGGAAGAAACAAUAUACUUGCACAAUCAUUGGGAAAGCUUCCUCGAAUUGGCCAUAUGCAAGGUCUUGGUAAAUUUGUAACACCUACCGAGUACUUUCACAUAGUUCAUGGGCAUAAUAAACAUGUUGCAGAGACUGACUUGUAUGCCUGGGAGAAAGAAAUUGAAAGUCAGCUGGAGAAAAUCACCAAACAAUUAAAGAAGACACCUCGCCACUCAAAUGUAGGAAGUCCCACCUAUUCCUAGCAAUGGUGUUGUUGAUUGCUUAGAAGAAAAGGAUAAUGACAAGGUGGAUGUAGUUGAACAGAAGGUUAGUAACUUUUUUUUUCCAGCCUUAGUGCAUAUACUAUAUUAGUAGGUUUAUUUAGUUUAGAUUUUUGCCUUUGUAAUUUUUAGGAGCCCCUAGCUUAGAAAACUCAGAUGGCCAAGAGAGGAAAUCCUCAACUAAAAAAAGGGUAGAAAAGCAAAAAGAAGUUGAUAAAAAGGAUAAGAGUAAACCUAAGAAGAAAAUAGGGACAACAAAAAACAUUACUGUCAUGCCAAGAAAAAGUCCAAGACUUAACACCAACUUGCCAAUGGGUGAUGCAAAUGAGGGGGAAAAACCAAAGCUUGGUAGUGCCAGAAAGCCAUUAUUUCAGGAGAAUGUGCAAUUAGCUAAUGGUCUAUAGCAAGUUCCACCCAUAGCCCAAAAAUAAGGGCUACAAAUCUGAACAAAAACAAAAGGAAGAAAGGUGCAGUGCAGCAUGUGUCGAGAAACACUAGGCACACAGCAGUAAUACCAAAAACAAUCAUCCAAUGCUGCAACUCUUUGGCACAUUAUAUGACAUGUACUUGCCUCCAUUCGGUUGGAUUCAAUAUUUGAUUGAUGAUAAUGUAUUUCAGCUAGAAGGUAUUGUAGCCCAUGUUGGGAAAAUGAAGUGUGAUGCGAUGAUGACGAUGCAAGUGAUAAGAGUUAAUGCUAUUGAAGUAUAUAUUGCGUAAGAGAUUUUUGUUUUUCUUUACACUUGAAUUAAUUUAUAUGAUGUUGCAAUACUUGUCUAAUGACAAGUUUUGGUAUUUUGCAUCCACUAUUUCAAGUUGUUGUAUGACUCGAUUAUCCCAAACAAAAAAGGAACAAGACCAUUUGGAUUCAUCUAUCCAGGUUGUGUCACCCCAUCCUAGACAAAUACCAGACAUUUCCCAUCCCAGCAGAGCAGAAGGUGUGUGCAAGCGCUUGAAAAAAGCUUAUAAAGGACAAUUCUUGUUUGUGCCAUACAAUCCUAGGUCUGGAAAUUUCAAACUGUAAUAAAGUGUUUUAAUAAUUAUUUAUUUAUUUUAUCUUGUCUUUGAUAAGUGUUGCUUGGCUUUCUUUGUAUUUUUUUUUUUCUAUUUUAGCUUCCAUUGGGUUUUGGUUGUGAUUGAUGUGGCAAAAAAAGAAGUGUUUUAUUUAGAUCCUAGGGGGUACGAUGCUCCUUAUCCUGAUUUAGAACAACUGAUUAAAUCGUAUGUAUUCCUUUCCAUCUCAUAAUCCUAAUAUUCUCGCUUUUUUUAAUAUAUUUUUAAUAUUUUAACCAAUGUACUUUAUUCAUACAGUGCUAUGACACUGUUCUCAGCUGAGGAUUGUAAGGAAAGAUGGAAUUAUAACCCUAAUAUGAGAUUUGUGAAGGUAAACAUAUUAUCUUAACUAAAAUUCUGUGUAUCUAUCAUUUUAAGCCUAAAAUAGAAUAUAUUUAUAUUGAUUUUUUUGGUUUAUAACUGUGAAUAGACCCCUCAGCAACUGGGAAGCGUGGAAUGUGGCUAUUAUGUCUUGAGGUUUAUAAAAGACAUUAUAGCAGACCUUAGUUUGCUAAUGAAUGAUGUGAGUCAGUGAUGAAUAAAAUCAUAGGAUUGGUUUAUACCAUACGCACUGCAUUGUUAUGGAAAUUUGACAAUGUUGAUUUUAUGGUUUUCAGUUCCAUUGAAAGGUCAUGUAUACUCAGGCUGAGCUAGAUGAAGUUUGUUUAGAGUGGGUUAACCAUUGUUCUUAAAUCAUUAACGCAACAAAAAAUGGUUAGUAUGAAUCUAAAACUAUACACAAACAUUUUUAUUACUUAUAUAUUAUAAUUGGUUAAAAACUAUAGACAAAGUGGCAAUAACAGCGACCUAGCUAGCUACCUAGGUUUCUUGAACUAGGCUUAAUCUUCUAUUUGAACAACAAACAACUGCUGGCAAAGUUGUUAUCCUGAUAACAACAACAUUAUUUAGAGAUGAGAUUGGUACUUCACUCAAACUCUUGUAGAGGAAUAUUAAGAUAUACUUCCUUAGAAGUUCAAUAUUCCACAAAUACUUGAUACUAAGAUAUUUCUUAAGAGUUCAAUAAUCCUUAAAUACUUGAUAUACUUACCAAUGUAGUAGUCAUCUUUAUUUUGAACUCUUUGAUAUGGAAUCCUCUUACACGCCAAUUUGCUUCUUUUAUUCCUCCAAAAUAUUCUCCAAGAUUCCAUAUAAUCUAAUUUUAAUUAAUUUCGACGACUAAAUACAUCUCUAAUAAAAGGAAACUAAUCCCUAAUAAAAGAAAUAAAUAAAUUAAAAAGUUAUUGACAAGAUGAUGCCAAUAAUAAAAGCCUUAACAAUCUCCCCCUUUGGCAUCCUUGUAGUCAAAACAUAAACUAACCAAUUUUAUAGUCUUCAAAUGGCGUGUGUAUUGGGAAGAUAGAUCACGAGCAAUAACCUACGCAUAGGCAACAAAAGCAUACGAAGAACUAACCAAAGCAAAAAUAAUUAGUCACCGUUAAUUCAAGAUAAAAAUCAUCUAUAAUAAAUAAAUGCAACGUCUAUUGUUCAAUUGAGAAAAUUAACUUUCCCUUUAAGAAAAAUAAUCUCAUAUCAACAAAUGACGAUAGCAAUAAUGCAUAAUAAAAGAAGUAAUAAAGAUCAUAUGCAAAUCAAACAAGCUCCCCUUAGAGAAAGAAUAAAUAAACUCCACAUUUAUUAUCGAAAUUGAAUUCCUUAAACAAAAUAAAAAACCACUCUCCCCCUUUCACGAGGCAAGAAAAAAUAAAAUACGUUAAUCUCCCCCUUUUUUACAAAAGGAACCAAAGCACAAUAAAGAACAUAAACGAAAAUUGAAAUAGCAUAUCCUAAACUAGGUAAAAGCAAAACUAACGAACAAAGGGGCAUAAAGCUAAUGAAUCAAGGGUAUUAAACACACCUAAUGUCAUCAAGAGUUGUGUUCAAUGCAUUCAACGUGACCUAAUAAAUCUAAAGUCAUCUAAUCAUCCAAGUGAUGGAGAGUGGAGUGAAUUGUUUGAAGCUCAAAAUUGAUAGUGGCUGAAUUUAGGAAAGCAUUCUCAAUUGAAGUAUCUUCAUCUUGAUCACAAACAACACCAAGGGACUUCAACAUAGGAUAGGAUGGUUCAAUAUAAAUAGGAAAAGAAGGAAAGACCUCAUUUCUUCAAUCAAAGUAUAAUUCUAAGAAGUCAAAACUUGAUAAAUCAAGGAAGGGAAUGGUAAUGCAUGUCUCUCCCAAAAGGCAUCAGUAUUUUUCAUAAUCAAAUCAAAAGCCAACUUGCUAAAGUUGAAAGAAACCUCACCUCCAAUUAAAAAAAAAACUUUAGCAAAUAAAAGAUCCACUAUAGCAUAAUUUUCAGUAGGAUACCAAUUGUGUGCUCCAAUCUAAUACAAAGCUUGAUAUCUAGAAUCAAGUUUGGAAACCAAAAGGUCUUUAGGCCAAGGUGAAUACCUUCCUAAAAGUCAAGUAACAAUAGUAGACAUGUCCAAGGUAUUCAUGUGCUUCCAGACAUUAUUAUGAUCAAAAUCUUUACUCCCAAAUCGACUAUUGAUUAAAAAUAGGGAAAACUUCAAGAUACGUCCUCUGACAUAAGUUUUAUGGAGAAAACUACGCUUAGUCUCAUCUGCAGUAUUCUUAUUCAAAUUGGCAUAGAAUUCACGAAAUAUGUUAGAUGCAUAUGAAGAGAUAUUCUUAAUGAUGUUUUCUAAACCAGUAACAAUAAUGGAUGAUUCAAUCUCAAAAGGAAUAAACUUAAAAAUAGCAACAAUGCAUUAAGAAUGAAAUUUUCUUUUAAGCAAGAGAUCAAGACCAUCAGUAGGAGAAUGAGUAUAGUACCUUUUACUAUAACCACAUGGUAACACAUAACUAAAGAUUAAGUGGCCGCUAUUUUGAUGAAUUGGAGACUUUGGGACAUGCUCAUCUGAAUUGGCUUCACUAGGACUUCUUCAAUUGAAUCGACAUGGCCAUUACAAGAUCCAACAAAAUUGUUGAGUGAAUUGGUGCAAUCGGCAUAUGUAUCUAUCCUUGUGUAUUGAGCAAUUUCUAUAUAGUUUCUAUCGUAGGCCAUGGGUUGUCAUCCUUCUCUUCUUCAUGAGUAGCAUGCAGCACAUUAAUUGGAUCAAAUCCAUGCACAUUGGAAUCACCUAGAACAUACACUUAACUUGUUGAACAUGUAUCUUUGAUUUCUUUUUCAUGGAACUUGAUCUUUUAGAAACUAUGAUGUACAGCCUGAAAAAGAACUAAAGCAAAGAAGCUCUAGAGAUAUAGGCUGCUGUUUGCGUAAGAGAGAAUGAGAAAAACGAGAUAAAAAAAAGCCCUUAUUCCUAGACCUUAUGUGGCAAGGAAAGUGUAAUUUAGAUAGAAAUCAAUUAUUAUACUUUCCAUAAAUAAUAAUAAUAAAUCAAAUAAGGUCAUAGGGUAUUUAUAAAACAAUAAUAAAUAAGAUAUACCGUAAUAAAAUUAUAAAUAAGAACUAUUUUCAAUGACAAUUGCAAAAACCACAAGUAUAAUGCAAAAACACGUCAGAAGGACGUCAUUGAGGAUCAUGUCAAAUUUUGAAAAACCGCGCAGUUACAGGAAAGUAUGCCCUACCUAAAAAUGGUCAGGUGCUAAUAACUAUGGCCAAUGGGCCGUGCCGUGCCGGCACGACCCACCAACUAUCGGCCCACAAGGGCUCGUGGGCCGGCACGGCACGGCCCACUAAAUUGGUGGGCCGUGCCGUGUCGUGCCUACAUUUUUUUUAAUUGAGCCCGGCACGGCCCACGGCACGAGCCCGCUCGUGCCGUGCUCGUGCCGUGCCGAAAAAAAGCCCACCAAUUUUUUUUUUUUUUUUGCGUGCUUAAAAAAGCCCACGUGCCUAGCGUGCUUUAUUCAAGCCCACGUGCCUGACGUGCUUUUUUAAGGCCACCAACAUAAUAAUAACAAUAAUAAUAAUAAUAAUAAUAUUCACAAUCAUAAUCAUAUUAAUUUUUAUUAAGAGAGCAAUUAACAUUUUAUUAUUAGUUUAUCACAAUUUCACAACUAUAUAUUUUAUUUCACAAUAAUCAAUCAUAAUUCAUAACACAACAAUACAUAAAUUUAAUUUAAUUUAAUUCCAUAGAUCAUAAUAAUAAUUAAUUAAAAUUAAAAAUACAAUCCUCGAAUAAUCAUUACAAUAAGUCAUAACUACGAAAUAUUAAUAUAACAAAUCAUUUAUUUAAACUAAGAUUUAAUGAUUUAAAUUAAUUUUUAAAAGUCUAUGCUAAAAAAUAUAUUAAAACAUUUAAUUUCAUAACAUUUUAUAUUUACUUUUUGUUAAAAAAAUUUACUUAGAUAUAUUUUGGCCCACGUGCUAUUAAUGGCUCACGGGCCGCGUGCUAGCCCACUAAUGAACCGUGCUUAUUACGUGCUUUUUCGCGUGCCGUGCUUUGGCCCAUCUCUAAUCGUGCCGUGCUUUAAAGCCCGCGUGCCUAAAAUUCUAGGCCCGGCACGGCCCACGUGCGUGCCGUGACGUGCCUCGUGCCUCACCAAAACGUGCUCGUGCCGUGCCGUGCCGUACGGACACGUGCCGCCCGGCCCAUUGGCCACCUUUAGGUGCUAAUAACACAAUUACAGAAAGGCCCCUAAACACUCGAGAAACCUCGAAAAGCCCUAAAUCAUGAAAAAACCCUAAAACUAAAAUGCAUGCAUAUAUGUAUCAUGCAAUCGUCCAUGCAAUGAUGAUUAAAAUUCCCUCUUUGAUAAAUGAAACACAUAAUUAAAAACUUUUAGGAUUAGGUUAAAGAGACAAGUUGUUAAACACAAGUUUAAACCCAAUUUUUCAACCAUUGGAUUAAAUUUAAAUGAAUGGUCAAGAUUAGAUGACGUGAGUUAUCAAUUUCAUUAAUAGCUUUCUUCCUUCUCUCUUUAAUUUUUAAUUCUCUUUCUUCUUUUAUUAAAGAUUCUCUCUUUUCUCUCUCCUAUAAAUUUUUGUAAAUGGAAUAAUUAAAACCAUCAAAAUUAAUUUACUUACAUAAUCCAUCAAAAUUAAUUUACUUACCAACAGUGAAAUAAAGUAGCAAUAUAUGGAACAAACUUGUACAAUUUUUGCUCUAUAGUUUCAGAACCAACUCUACAAGUCGUAUAUGAACAACCUUCAUCAAUAAAUUUCCUAAAAGGUUUUAAUCAAAAACCUUCAUCAAUGAUUGUGAUUUUUUUAUUAAAACCUUUUAUAUGGAACAAAUUGUACAAUUUUUGCUCCAUAGUUUCAGAACCAACUCUACAAGUCGUAUAUGCACAACCUUCAUCAAUAAACUUCGUAAAAGGUUUUAAUAAAAAAUCACAACCAUUUCCUAUCAAACAACAUUGUUCUUUUCCAUUAUAUUUUAAAUUAAUUUACUUAUAUAAUUUCUAAAUGGAAUAAAUAAAAGUUUAUACAGACACACAAAGCGAAAUAAAAUUGAUAUGAAGCCAAAAAAAUAACAUUGAUAUGAAUCUGAUCAUUUCAUCAUGAAGCAUACGUAAAUAAAUAAGGAUGCAAUUGAAGAAGAUUGAGAAAAAGGCAAUCUUCGUCAGCACAGCCACUAAUUGAAGAAAGUAAUGUGUGUAGAAGAAGGACAAGUGCUUCUAGGUAAUUAAAAUGGGCUAGUUUACAGUUACAAAUAGAUUAUGUAAGUUAGGUAAUUAAAAUGGGCUAGUUUACAGUUACAAAUAGAUUAUGUAAGUUAGGGAAUUAAAAUGGGCUAGUUUACAGUUACAAAUAGAUUAUGUAAGUUAUAUAAAUUAAUUUUGAUAGCUUUAAUUAUUCCAUUUACAAUCAUUUAUAGGAGAGAGAAAAGAGAAAGUCUUAAAUAAAAGAAGAAAGAGAACUAAACAUUAAAGAGAGGAGAGAGAAAGAUAUUAAUGAAAUUAAUAACUCAUGUAAUCUAAUCCUGACCCUUCAUUUCAAUCUAAUCCAUUGGUUGAAAAAUUGUGUUAAACUUGUGCCUACAAAUGUGUCUCUUGAAUCUACCCCAAAAAUUUUAUGCUAUAAGACAUCUUAAAACAAAAAUGCACUUUUGUAAAAUAAAUAUAUGAUUUUUGAACAAUUAAAAAGGCGUGUUCAUCAAUAAUCAUCACAAUACACACAAAAUCAAGAUAAUCAAACUUUAAUCAAUUAAAUCAAUAGAAGAUUAGUUAAAUUUUAAACUUUUGUAUGUGUGUGCAUGAUAUAAAUCCGUCAUGACUCAAUCUCGAUUUUUCUCAAAAUCAAAAAUUUUUGUAUUGAAAAAUAGAAUAAACAAGUCAAACUAACCUUAUCAUCUUAAUCUUUGAAUUGACUUUUUCAAUGUAACAGGCAGUGUAAUAAGAGAUUGCAAUAAUAAAAUUUUUCAUUCUACUGUAUAUAUUAUUUUUUUAAAUGUUUACAGUUAAUAACUUUCAUCUUACCUCUUAAGGUAGCCUUUUUCUGAUGGUAGUUCGUUCUUUGUCGUAUUUCGAGUACGCAGACUCAAAUUACUCAAUGAUAGCUUCACUCUUAAAAGUUACAGGUAGCUAUUUCUAAUUGAGGUGCCUACAUAUCUUGAUAUCUACAGUUGAGAUAAGAGUUAAAAGCAAAAAGUCAAUGUUCAAUCCAUUAAUCUCAACAUCAGAAGUCUCAAAAUUGAAAAUCAAGUACUUCCAAGAUAUAUGUGCAUAAGUUUAAAUUAAACCAAUCAAAAAUUGUUUCAAGCUUUCAAGUCAUCAAAACAAGACUUUUAUGCGCAUAGUGAUUUAAAUUGAGAACAUGUCAUGCAAAAACACAUGCGAAUGAUGUAUUAAUCAUGUCAUGAGAUGCAAAAAAAUAAUGAUACAUAUAUAAAAUGUUAGAACAUGGCUACAUAGAACAAAUACCUAAAACUUUUCUUAAGGAAUCAAGUCUACAUGCAUCCAAAGCUUUAAUAAAGAUAUCCGCAAGCUAAUUUUUUGUUUUAAUCUACUCCUGAAAUAUAGUCUUGUUUUCAACUAAAUCACGAACAAAAUGAUGUAUGAUAUUUAUAUGCUUAGUUCUAGAAUGUUGAACAUGAUUCUUUGAAAUAUUGAUUGCACUUGUAUUAUCAUAAUAUACAGUAAGAAUAUCCUGAGCGAAACCAUAAUCUUCGAGCAUUUGCUUCAACCAAAGUAAUUGAGUACAACACUACCAAUGGCAAUAUAUUCUGCCUUAGCAGUAAAUAAAGAAAUUGAGUGUUGUUUCUUAGAGCAUCACCAAAAGACUCUUCAAAUAAGAUUUUAUUACUUAUUUGAAGAGCCACAUCAGCAUUUAAGGCUCUAAAAGACACUCCAAUUAAGAUUCUUCAAAUAAGAAAUAAUCAUCUCUCUUCAAAUUUGAAGAGUUAUUUUCUCUCUCUUCAAUUUAUAUUUUAUUACUUUUUGUUGGAGAAAGAGAGAGAAGUGCUUUAAUUACUAUUGACUUUUCCUUUAAAAAAUAGUUAUUUUAAUUAAAAUAAUAUUAACUCAUUUCUAUUUGAAGAGUCUUUUGGAGAAUAACAUAAUUUUUCACUCUUCUAUUUGCCACAUAGGUAAGCAAAUAGAUAUUUGAAGAGUAAAAUUUAUAGAACCUUUUGGAGAUACUCUUACUAUGCCAAGAUACAAAAUGGUUACCAAGAUAAAAACAACCUCCAAUGGUACUCUUUCUAUCAUCAGAAUUACCUACAUAAUCAGCAUCGCUAUAUCUUGCAAGACUUGAAUUUGUGUCUUUAGUACACCAAAUUCCAUCAUUAAUAGUUUCAUUUACAAAAUGAAUGACAUGUUUCGAUGCAGAUAAAUGAGAUACUUUUAGAUUUGCUUGGUACGUAGCAGAAACACCAACACUAAAACAAAUAUCUGCCCUACAUCUAGUUAAAUAAAGUAAGCUACCAAUCAUGCUUAUGUAUAGACUUGUAUCAACAUUAGAGUCACUAUCAUCUUUAGUUAAUCUUAAAAGUGCUCAUAGGCAUUCUCAUAUAUUUGGCUAAAUCUAGUUCAAAGUUUUUCGCCAAAUUUUUGGCAUAUUUUCUUUGAGAAAUGAAGAUACCAUUUUCAAGUUGUUUCCCUUGUAAGCUGAAAAAAUAGGAUAACAUACUAACCAUGCUCAUUUCAAAUUCAUUAUUCUUUGGAUCAAAAUAUUCCUAAACUUCUGUAAGAGAUAUAUCAUCCAUAUAAAUUUGAGCAAUCAUACUUCUAGGGUUAAGGUAUUUAAUAAAUAAAGUUUUGUCUACUCCCUUUCUUUUGUAGCCUUUUCCAAUCAAGAAUUUGUUUAAUCUUUCAUACCAAGCCUUAGGAGCUUGUUUUAAUCCAUAUAAAACUUUUUUUUAACUUAAAAACAUAAUCAGAAUGAUGUGGGUCUUCAAAACCUUUAAGUUGUUUAACUUAAGCUUCUUCAUUCAAAAUUCCAUUCAAGAAUGAUUUUCUUAAUUUCCAUUUGAAACAAUUUAAAGCUAAUUAAACAAGAUAAUAGCAAUUAAUAGCCUAAUAGAUUCUAGUCUAGCCAUAGGAGUAAAGGUUUCAUCAAAAUCAACACCUUCAAUUUUUGUAUAAUUUGGUACUACUAACCUAGCUUCAUUUCUCACUAUAUUACCAAUUUCAUUUGUUUUAUUCUCGUAAAUCCAUUUGGUGCCAAUAACAUUGGUCUGAUUUGUUUAGGAAUUAGUGUCCAAACAUCAUUACACUCAUAUUGUUCAAGUUCUUCUUGUAUAGCUUUAACCCAAAAUUCAUCCAAUGAGGUUCCUUAGCAUUUUUUGGUUAUUUAAUGAGGUAAAAAAAUUCUUGUUAUUUCCAGAAUUUCCUCGAGUCAAAUUUUAAACCAUCUUGGCAAUCUUAGCCAGGGAUUCGUCUUAACUUCAUUUUCAACGUCAUCAGCAUCAUUAUCAUAAUCAAAUUUUGAAUUUGGUAUCUCAGCUUGAAAAGCAAUACUUUUGUCUUUCUUCUUCUUCAAAUGAUUAGUCUUAAAAGUUUCAAGUUUGUUAAUCACUUGAUUUCUUAUCUGCCAAUAUUUCUUCAAUAGAUAUAACUUCCAUAAGAAAUCUAUCCGGCAAAAACCUCAAAAUUUUUCUAAUUAAUUCUUAUUCAGAAAUUCAUUUACUAAGAGACUUAGAAGUGUUAGCAAUCUUAAGAAGUUUAUCAUUAAAAUCGGUAAUCUUCAUGUUCAUGCAUCUUAAGAUUCUCAAAUUCAAUUGUAAGUUUUUAAAGUUUGGAAUGUUUUACCGUAUUGUUUCCUUCAUGAUUGUCUCAAAGAAUGUCCUAAGCGUCUUUGGCAGUCGUACAUGUAGAGAGUAAAUCAUACUAAUUGAUGUUAACUGCAUUAGCAAUAACAUUGAGAGACUUGGAAUUAAAGCCGUAUUUUGAAUUUUUGCGUUGGAAUAUUCAUCCACAGGCUUAAGAAUUCUAUUUCCAUCUUGAUUAGCCUUAGUGGGUAAAUUGUAUCCUUUUCUUACGCAUUUCAUAGCUCUUAUGUUAAUGGAUUCAAUAAAAAUAGUCAUCCUUUGCUUUCAAUAUGAAUAAUUGGUGCCAUCAAGUAAUAGUGGACAGGUCCGUAGAUCCUCUUUCUCUCUGCAAAUUCAUUCCGACAAAAAUAGAUCAAGAUCGGGAGGAUUGUGUAAAUCAGUUUAGAAUUUCGUGAUUAAAAUCUUGUGUUUUAUUUUGAAGUUUUGUUUUUGUGGUGAAUUUUUACUGGUAGUAAGUCCCGUCCAAGGAUAAGUUUUCCGUUUAGGGCUGUAAAACCAUACCUGUAGCCAUUUUGACCAAACCAAAGAUAGAACCCAGGAUUCUAACCAUGGAUCCUCUUCACUGUAGAGCAUCGUCCUUUUCUAGCUCUUCUUCUGGGAAGACUAGUGACUCAAAGCAUGUUGUGAGUUCAGAAGAAUUUGUUAUUGAGAACUUUGAUAAAGCAAUUGAUUGUUGGGAACUUCCAAAGAUUUCAAAAGAAAAGAUUUACAGAACAAAAAAGCUCGAUUUUUGGAAAAAUGAUUAUGUUAUAAAAACUGAAGAGCGUGAUAUAACUCUUUCAAAGCCUUUUGAAACAAUUAAUUUGUUUUCAGAAAAAUCUUUAAACAAGUUAAAAGAAAAGAAUUUCAAUUACAUUCAUAUAGGUCUAAUCCAAAUAGGCAUAAAGCCCCUUACCAAAGAAGGCCUGGAUACUUCUAUCCUUGUUGUUCUUAGAGAUGGUCGAUUCAUCUCUUUUGAUGAUUCUCUGCUAAGUAGCAUUGAAUCUAGCCUAUGCAAAGGUCCCAUUUCAUUCGAUUGCUAUCCAAACAUAACAUUGUCUCUUAAAGACAAAAACAUUUUGAAAAGCAUGAUUUUACAAAUCAAAACACAUAAUUAUCAUAUGAUUGAGGGAUCUAUCCCUGUUGCAUUGAUUUUUAAAAUCUCAUACAAAGCCAUGAUUACUGCCUUCAGUACUCAACAUAAAUUCCAGUCGAAAAGAGAUGAAACUCUUCUCUUACAGACUGACCUGUCUAGAGCAAACACUGUCAUUCCAAAACCAAUCCAAUGGAAGGAUGUAAAUCUUCCUGAGGAAUGGAUACUUGAAGGAGCCGCUCCACCAGCGAUUCCAAAACAACUUGAGCCUAAUACAGAGUUGCAAAAUGUGACUCAGUAUUCUGAUGGUAAAGUUAAAUUAUCAUUCAGGAGAUCAAGUUCUUCCAGAUUCUCCGAUAAAGCAUCAUGCUCAAGCAUUCCUUCACUAGAAAGGAAAUUUACAAAAGUACCCUCUGUUAUAAAUCUUCCUUUUCAGAGUCAACCUAGGUUCUCCACUUCGGAUUUACCUAGUUCUUCUAUCAGUUCUGUUGACUACACUACAAAAAUACCACAUCCCGUUUACAUUAGCAGUCAACAUGAACAAAGACAGGAAGAGAAAGAAUCUUCUCUUCCAACUUCUCCUACAUUCUCUGCAGUCACAGAAAAUGUUUUAAAUGUCAUUGAAAAGCAUUUUGAAUUAGACAAAACCAUGUUGCAUAAUGAUUUUUAUUCAGAUGAUAAUAAAGAAAAAAGACUAUGGUUUUUCAAACAUUUUUUAAAUCAAAGGAAGGAAAUCCAACAAACUUACUAUGAAUUUGUUAAUUUUCAUCAAGUUCAUAUAUUGUUUUUUGAUUGGUUUGAUAUAUAUUCUUCUUAAAACAACAUUUCCUACCCUUUCAAAGAGUCAAACCCUAUUACUACCAGGAAGAAAACCACUGAGUGGAAACUCUUCGAUAGUAAUAGAACAGUCGAUUCUGAGCAUCCCCCUCUUAGGAGUGUCAUCAUAGAACAUGGUGAACCUCCUGUAGAAAUUAGAGCUUCACCUUACAAAAUCCCAAAGCCAAAUGAUCCUGAAAUCAAUUUAAGUAGUAUUAUUCAACAGAAUAAUUUCUGUAAUACUAACUUAAAUACCAUAGGAAAACAGUUGACUAGAUUGGAAAACCAAUUUCAACAGUCAACCAUAUCUGUUUCUCCAAAUCCAAAAAUUGUUUCUUUAAAAUCAGAUUAUGAUAAAAAGCUUAGAGAACCUAUUUUCAAACCUUUUCAGGUUUCGAAAACUAGUCAGAAGCUUGUCCAGGAAUCAAAGUCUGAUUUUGCCAAAGCCAUUAGAGAACAGCUAGAUAGGAUAGAAGCUUCUUCUUCCUCAUCUAGUAAAGUUCAAAUAGCUCCCGAUACUCCUCAAUCUAGCAAGAUUGAUACUCCUCAGUUGAGUAGAAUUGGAGUACUCGACCAAGACCAGGUUUCUAUUGCCUCUUCUGACUUAGAAACCUUUACUGAAGAACCUAUUCCUAAGGCCAACAAAAUUCAUUGGGAAUUAGCACUCCCUACUUCUAAAUCUCCACCUGAUUUGACCAUAGACAACAGGCCCAGUGCAUUAAAUCAAGCUCGAUAUAAUGCAUCCUCUGUCUAUGAGUGGAAUAUAGAUGGAAUGUCUGAAUACAACAUUUUAGGUGUAUUACAGCAAAUGACCAUGGCAGCCAAUGCUUAUAAAACCCAAUCAGGAACUUCUGACAAAGCCAUUGCAGAAAUCCUAAUUGCCGGUUUUACUGGUCAACUUAAAGGAUGGUGGGAUCAUCUUCUCACCAAAUUGCAGCAAUUAGACAUUCUAAAUGCCAUCCAAACCGAUGAGAAUGGAGCCCCCAUUCUUGAUGAGCUCAAUAAUCCAAUUCAGGAUGCUGUUGCUACCCUGAUAUUGACUAUUUCUCUCCACUUCAUAGGUGACCCUUCUCACCUUAGAGAUAAAAAUGCUGAGUUACUACACAACUUGAGGUGUAGGAAACUUAGUGAUUUCAAUGACUACAAAACCACUUUCUUUACCAGACUUUUCCUAAGAGAUGAUGCAAAUCAUGUAACUUGGAAGGAAAAAUUCCUUGCAGGAUUACCUACCCUUUUAGGAGAAAAGGUAAGGAAUUCGAUCAAAGCCCUUUUUAAUAAUCGUAUUCCUUAUGACGAACUCACUUAUGGUGAAUUAGUCAGCUUUGUCAACAAAGAAGGUUUAAAGAUCUGUCAAGACUUGAAACUUCAGAAACGUCUAAAACAAGAGCUUAGCCAAUCUAAGCAAGAAUUAGGCGGGUUCUGCAAGCAAUUCAACUAUGACCCCUUUAAAGCUUCCACUUCCAGAGACUGUAAUGGUAAGUGUUCUUCAAAACCUUACAAGAAACAUUACAAGUCCAAAAGCCAUAGAAAACCCUUUCAUGAUUUUAGAAAACUCCCUUAUAAGAAACCUUUGAGGCCUUAUAAGAAACAUAGUUUCUCUAAAAAGAAAGAGUUUAAAGCCAAACCUAAAACCCCAUUUAAUUUCAAAGAUGCUACCUGUUUCAAAUGUGGUAUGAAAGGUCAUACUGCACGUUUUUGUAAAAUGAACAGGAGACUCUAAGAGCUUGGUCUCGAGGAGGAAAUCCUUUCAAAAAUAGCCCCUCUUCUGGUCGGAUCUUCUGAUUCUGAGUCUUCCUGGUCAGGUGAUAAUGACCCCCUCCAAGUUGAUGAACUAUUUGAUUCAGAUAGCUCUGCAUCUAGCAAUAGUGAUUCUGAUUCGGAUAAUUCUUAUUUAAAGAAAAUCAAUGUUUUGACAAAAGACCAAGAGAUUAUCCUUGAACUUGUGAAACACAUUUCGGAUCCAAAUCUUCAAAAGGAUUAUCUUGAUAAGCUUUUAAAAACCAUGGAUUCAAGCAAUACAGAAGCGUCUUCUUCUAAAGUCCCUAUUGUCAAAAAGAAUUCUUAUGAUUUAAUUGAAAUUUUGGAUAAGAAGAAAACAAAGAAGUCUACUCCUAAUAUCCAAGACCUCCAAAAGGAGAUUAAGGAUAUUAAACUUGAAAUAAAGGAUUUAAAAGAAAAACAAAAAACUGAUUCUGCAACUAUUCAACUCCUUUUACAAAAACAGUUGCAAGAUACUUCCGAUGAGGAAGUUGAAUCAGAAAAUGAUGAUGUUGAACAAAAAAUUGAUAAUCUUGAGUCAAUUCCAAAUGAUUUUUUGUUUGUUUUAAAGCAAAUCACCACCAGAAAAUAUUUGAUAAAGAUUACUUUAAUUUUUUCAGAUGAUUUUGCGAUAGAUGCCAUUGCUCUUUUUGAUACUGGUGCUGAUUUAAAUUGUAUUCGUAAAGACAUUAUCCCAAAAAGAUUUCAUGAGAAAACUAAUGAAAGACUUUCUGCUGCAAACAAUUCAAAAUUAAGGGUUGAUUCCAAAGUUGAAGCAUCCAUUUACAAUGACAAAAUUGAGUUUAAAACCUCUUUUGUUCUUACAAAUGAUAUACACCAUGCUAUCAUUUUAGGAACACCUUUUAUAAAUUUGAUAACUCCAUAUGCUGUCAACUAUGAUGGUAUAUAUUUCAAAGCAAAAUCCAAAGAACUUGCUUUUUCAUUUAUUGAAAAACCAAAGACCCGAAACCUUAAUAUUGUCAAAGCUUGUUCGGUUUACCAAAACAAAAUCAAUGCUAUUGUAAAGUCUAAACAAGAUGAUUUUUUUUACUUACAAAAGGAUUUAAGUUUUCAAAGAAUUGAGAGUCAAUUACAAAAUGAUAUUAUACAAAGAAAAAUUUCUGAUUUCAAAAAUCUUAUUGAAAAAGAAAUUUGUGCUGAUUUACCAUCUGCUUUUUGGAAUAGGAAACAACAUUUGGUAGAUUUGCCAUAUGAAAAUUCUUUUGAUGAAAAGCAAAUACCCACUAAAGCCCGUCCAAUCCAAAUGAAUUCGGAUUUGGAACAACAUUGUAAAGGAGAAAUUAAUGAUCUUAUUUCCAAAGGUCUUAUUGUAAAAUCUAGGUCACCUUGGUCUUGUGCUGCUUUUUAUGUUAAUAAAAAUUCUGAAAUUGAAAGAGGUGUACCUAGACUUGUGAUAAAUUAUAAACCUUUAAAUAAAGCUUUGAAAUGGAUAAGGUAUCCGAUACCUAACAAAAAAGACUUGCUCCAAAAACUUUGCUCGGCCUUCAUUUUUUCUAAAUUUGAUAUGAAGUCAGGUUUUUGGCAAAUUCAAAUUCAUCCUAAAGACCGUUACAAGACAGCAUUUACUGUUCCUUUUGGUCAAUAUGAGUGGACAGUAAUGCCUUUUGGUUUAAAAAAUGCACCCUCAGAAUUUCAAAGAAUUAUGAAUGACAUUUACAAUCCCUACUCUGAGUUUUGCAUUGUUUAUAUCGAUGAUGUUUUGAUUUUUUCUCAAAGCAUUGAUCAACAUUUCAAACAUUUAAAGACUUUUUAUCUUGCUACAAAAAAGGCUGGAUUAGCUCUUUCCAGUUCGAAAAUUUCAUUAUUUCAAACAAAAGUCAGGUUUCUUGGUCAUCAUAUUUCCAAAGGAACCAUUACUCCUAUUGAAAGAUCUCUUUUAUUUGCGGACAAAUUCCCAGACAAAAUUUUAGAUAAGACCCAAUUACAAAGAUUUCUUGGUAGUUUAAAUUAUGUUCUUGAUUUCUGCCCUAACAUCAAUAGGAUGUCAAAGCCUUUGCAUGAUAGGUUAAAAAAGAAUCCUGUUGCAUGGUCAAAAGAGCAUACCAAAGUUGUUAGAUUAAUAAAGCAGUCAGUUAAAAGCAUUCCAUGUUUGCAUCUUGCAAAUCCUGCAUUUCCUAAAAUUGUUGAAACUGAUGCAUCAGACUUAGGAUAUGGAGGUAUUUUAAAGCAAAAAGAAAAUGAUAAAGAACAGAUAGUACAAUAUGUUUCUGCUCAUUGGAACGAUUGUCAGAAAAACUAUUCUACUAUCAAAAAAGAAAUUCUUUCCAUUGUUUUAUGCAUUACUAAAUUCCAAAGUGAUUUGCUAAACCAAAAAUUUUUACUUAGAAUUGAUUGCAAAGCUGCAAAACAUGUUUUAGAAAAGGAUGUUCAAAACAUUGCAUCAAAACAGAUUUUUGCACGUUGGCAAGCUAUUCUCAGUGUUUUUGAUUUUGAUAUAGAAUUCAUUAAAGGUGACAAGAAUUCUGUUCCUGAUUUUUUAACUCGGGAAUUUCUUCAAAAUAGGUAAUGGCUCCAAAGAAAAGAAGUGACAAAGGAAAAGCUCCUGCUUUCCAAGAACCAUCCAAAGAACUUCAAGCAACCCCUUCUAAAGAAAAACUCCUUUCCUCAGCCAUGCCGAUUAAAUCUUGGAUUGAAUUGGUUGAAGAACAUGAAACCAAAUACAAAUCCAUUUCUUCUGAAGACCAAGUAAAGCAAUGGAUGAGUUCCAUUACAAAAUCACCUGAGCUCAUGAUAGCUCUACAAAGCCUUUCCCAGGUCCAACCUAAAGAGGAAGAAAAACCCACUUCUAAAGAUAUCUCAAAGCCUUCCUCUCAAAACAUUGUUGUUUCUGGUGAGAGCUCAUCCUCCCAAAUUGUGCUCUCUCAGCCAACACCUUCAAAGAAAACCUCUGAUUGGUUUGAUAAAGCCCAUUUUCAAAACAUUAUUUCAAUGGAAGAUGGAUUUUACCAUUCUGAUCCUUUUCAAAGUAUUUCAAAGUUUUUUCCCCAAGGCUGGUUUUUCAAACCAUGGGAUUUGACAAAACCCCAGUCUUACUAUCAAAGCAUUUUGGAAAUUACUGAUUCAGUAAAAUUCAAACAUUUCUUUUUAAGUAAAACCCAUUCUGAGCCGGCCUAUUCUACGGCCACAAUUUUAAAAGUUUUGAGCCCUAACCAGUGGGGUGAUCUGCUCCACAAUUUUAAAACUUUCCCUCUUGAUUUUGAGACUCGUUUACCACACUGUCGGUCUUUCUCCUAUUGGGAUUACCAACAGGCUUGGUAUAACACUUUCUUCAUACAAAACCCUAAAAAAUCCCAUUCCUGGUUAUUUUUCUUUAAUUCAAAAAUAACCGUCCAGAGCCUUCCCAAUUGGUUUCACCAUUGGUGGAAUUAUUUUGGUCCAACUUCUGAAAUUCUUACCCAAAAUGCCCUACAAUGCCUAAACCUUUUCAAAGCCAACUACAAACCUACUGAGUCUGAGAAAAGAUUUCCUCAUUUUCUCUGCUUUUGUACCAAUUUCUUCCUCCCAUAGGUCUGGAUGUGGAGUCUUCGACAUCACACACAGGAUUCCCAUUUUAUCCUCCAAAGAACCUUUAGAGUCAAAUGGUGGUCAAAAUUUGACGAGCAAACCAAAUUAACUACCAACCUUGUCCAAAACUGGCUUUAUGCUCAAGGCCACCUACAACCAGCCAUAAAAGACAUUAAAGCCCAAGGCACUUUCCUCACUCAAAAAUCCAAAGCCCAAGCUCUCCUCGCAAGUGCCAAAACAGAAGAAGAAUACUUCAAAGCAAUGGAACAGCUCCUCGCUUCUAGAUCCAAAUCCUCGAUUGCAGAUUCUACUGAAGAUGAAGACGAUGAUGAUGAGCCAACUGUCUCUCUGGGAGAUGAAAAUGAAGAUGAUUGUUUCGGAAUUUUCUCUCCAAUAAAGCAUUGUAAAUAGUUUAUGUAACUAUUUAAAAAAAAAAAAGUAAUUAUUUUCUUUUCGGGUGGUCCUCUGGACACAAGUGAGAGCGCACAUGUCUCUUCACCCGUGUUAUAUUUUAUUCUGUAUUUCAGUAUUUGUACAAAGCAGUCUACUAUUCAAAGCUACGAUCCAAAGAUUACUGUGCACUCAAAGCCCCGCUACAGUGAACAGUGCAAAGUUCCACGAAUUACUGUGCACUCAAAGCUCCGCUACAGUGAACAGUUUACAAAGCCUUGUAUAUAAUCCAAGAGGAAGACUUAGACUCCUCACGGGUUUUUAUUUUGAGUUUUCAUUUCUCUCUCUUCUCCUCCUUCUCUCUAAAAAAUCUCUCUAAAGCAAGAAGUGUUCGAAGAAAUUUUCUGUUUACGUAAUAGUUCUAUCCUAGAGCUUUGAGUAAUCAGACUAAUUCUUUGCCUUCAACAAUCUUCCCGUCUUUCAAUCUUCCCUUCUGGAAAGAUUUGAAAAAAUUGUAAAGCAGCAACAAAAGCAAAGUGUAUGUUUAGAUCUCUGAUCUAAUUUUAUUUGUAAAGCAAUUUCAAUUCAUGUAAUUUAAUUUUUGUGCAUUUAAAUUUCUGCAAUUUAAUUUUAAAGCAAUUUCUUUUAAGCAUGCUUGCAGACUGAUCUGUAUCAGAUCUGCUUUAUAAAAUAUACAUUCUUCUGAGGCAAAGAGACCAGAUCUCGAUCCUCAGUCGUACCCUUCUCUUCUCCCUCCAUUCCUUCAGAGCACCAUUUCCGGGAACCGGAUCUGGUACUGUGUAUGUUUUAGAAGCCAACCUUAAUGCAUGUUUAAUUCUGUAAAGCCCUGUUGCUAGGUUUGCUAAAAUCAACCUAACUCAGAUCUGGUAAAGACACUUCUAAAAUUGACAAAUCGCGUUUCAAAGCAAAGUAGAUCUCCAGAUCUACCAAAGAAUCUAAUUAAAAUUUGGUAAAGCACCCUAAUCCGGUAUAUCGGCUGGAAACCAGAACGUGCGGACUAUUGAUCUGUUCUAAGUCAGAUCUGGGUCCAAAGGCAGAUUAGGUUCUGCAUCGAUCCGGUAAUACAAUGCCACGUACCAGUUUAGAUCUAAAAUUUUGAUCAAUCGCGUUCCAAAGCAAAUUGAUUUAACAUAGAAACGGUAAGUUCUUCUAAAAUCUGACGAAGCCGAUUCCAUUAAUUGUUUAAUUUGAGUUUUUAAUAAUAAAGUAUUUUGAAAACACAUCCAUCCUUCGAUCCUAUUUCCUUCUGGCUUAAGAAUUCUAUUUCCAUCUUGAUUAGCCUUAGUGGGUAAAUUGUAUCCUUUUCUUACGCAUUUCAUAGCUCUUAUGUUAAUGGAUUCAAUAAAAAUAGUCAUCCUUUGCUUUCAAUAUGAAUAAUUGGUGCCAUCAAGUAAUAGUGGACAGGUCCGUAGAUCCUCUUUCUCUCUGCAAAUUCAUUCCGACAAAAAUAGAUCAAGAUCCCAAAAUCUCACCGAAUAAACCAUUAGUGACACUAUUCUAAUACUAAUUGUUAAAAAUUUAGAUAUAUUUUUAACAAUUGUAGGCAAGAUAAGCAAUAGAUAAACUAAUUUCUUCAAUUAAUUACUGUUUACGAUUAUUUUUACGUGAUUUAGAUCACUAUCCUAUAUUCAUGUGAAGAUUAGAACCUAUUGGAUUCUUACACAAUUUCAGACACCCUUUUAUGCUUGUCGCCACCUCUUUGUAUCUAAUUUAGUUGACCUUGCUUAGUGAGAACCCCUCGUUUUCAAUUGCACUUGCUGCUUUCCUUGAGAUCCCCUCAACACAACAAAUGACCUCUUUGUCUAGAAGAGGUCAAAGUAAAUAUAAAAAAUGUCUAAUGAAAGACUUGAUAUGAUGAAGACUAAAACAUCAUAGAGAUAUGAAACAUCAUAUGCAGCCAAAUAGGUUCCUUCUCAUUCUCUGUAUUGGCUUCAAUAUGUGAAAUACUUCUCUUUAUAUAGGAGUAAUAUUUCACUCAAACCCUAGCAGAGAAAUAUUAAAAUAUACUUCCUUAAUGCUCCAAUAUUCCAUAAAUACUUUAUACUAUAAUACAUUUCGUUAAGAGUCCAAUAUUUCAUAAAUACUUGAUAUAUUUAAAAAUAUAGUAGUCAUCUUUAUUUUUGGAGCUCUUUGAUAUGGGAUCUCUUACACACCAAUUUGCUUUUUCUAUGCGUCGAAAUAUAUUCUCCAAUAUUCCACAUAAUCUAAUUUUAAUUAAUUUCCAAGAGUAGAUAAAUUUCUAAUUAAAGGAAACAAAUCUUAAUAAAAGAAAUAAAUAAAUAAAAAUAUUAUUGACACAAUGAUGCCAAUAAUAAAAUCCUUAACAAAAAAUACAUACAUAAAUGUAAUAAAUAAACAAAUAAGAAACUGUAGAAAGACUUACAAUGGGAAGCCGGCAAUUUGAAUCUUUGUGGUAAUGAUUUGUUGGGCCAUGCAGUUUGGCCUUGGCCAUGGAAUGUUCCACCGUCGGUGAGAGUUAAGCAUCUAAGGGAUUCAAAGGUGAUCUGGAUUUCCUUAUUGGCUAGCUUUUAAAGAUCAGGGGGAGCCACGAUGAGGCCUUGAAGUUGAAAUGAAAUUGGAGCUUUGCAUUGACCUUUAAAUACAACAUAAAUCACUAAAUAUUUUCCUGGUGGCGCCAAUAUCGUGCUAUUGGUAUUCCAAUUGCAAGCUUCUCUCUAAGCAUUUUCAAAAGCCUUAAUUGUUAUUAUUAGUGCCAUCGGCCACAACACCAAAGUCAAUUACAUUGAAAACUCCAUUUGGGAGCUGCAGCCAAACCAAAUAAAACUAGUAUUGCAAGUACUAGCAGCUGACGGCAAGAGCCAUAACCCAUCUUGUUUUUUAUGAUGGAUUAAGUGAUAAUGUUCUUGUUGAAAAAAUAGCAUAUCAAUAUGCUAUUUUCAGUGGGUCCUACUUAGCGAAAGUGAAAAAUCUUGUGAAGUUCGGGUUCUACUCCAUGAAUACUUCGAAAGUGUAUAUUUAUUUACUCAAAAUGGUGCUUGGGUGAAUGAGAAAUUGUCUCUCCAAGUGCACCCUUGAAGUUGAAAAUUUGAAAGGAAAUGAGGUUUAUCCCACAAGGGAAAAAUAAGCCAAGGGAUUUUUGUUUAUUUAUAGACACUUACCCAUGCAUGAGCAAGAAUUAUAAGGAUAGAGGCUCUCUCCACACGCGCGUGUGCAGGGGGGUGCGAAUCCAAGAUCGAUUUGGUUGAACUCAUGUGCGCCCGCGCAUCCUGCGUACACGAAUGUCAGCCCAAAAUCACCCAAGCUUGCAUGGCACGUUUUCAAUAGGCUGUAUUGAAUUGUUAAAAUUGAAUUGGCUGUUACAACAAUUAAAUGGCAUAUAUUGAAUUCGGAAAUUCAAUAUUAUGCUACUGUUACAUCCUCACAUGUGUAUAAAAAGGCAGCUUCCUCUUCUGUUUUUACACACAAGAACAACCAACACACAAAGCACUACAAUAGGUGGUAAAUCUAUUUUAAGGAAACUGUGUUGCAGGCCUCACGUUUAUUUUCUGUUUCUAUUUUCUUUCCCCUACUUUUUUCAUUUGUUCAUUCGUGAUUUCCAGUUCCUGUUUUACGUUGUUGUUUAAAUUAGCUACAGUAUUAAAGUGUUAUCUCACUGUUAAUUUUCUUACAAUCUUAAAACAGAUUUAACGUUGAGAUGGCAACUGAAACUAAUGAUCCAGUUCCGACUGUCCCUGUUUCAGCUUCUGCUGCUGGACCAUCUGUUAUGAAGGAACCAGCCUCUGUGGCAAUUCCUCUGAAUCAUGCAAAAAGACUAGAAAAAUUCAAUGGCCAAAAUUUCAAACGUUGGCAGCAAAAGAUGUUCUUUUACCUGACCACGUUGAACCUUGCGAGGUUCUUGACGGAGGAUGCUCCUAAACCCAAAGAGGGUGAAACGAAUGUUCAAGUUGCAAGUGCAAUUGAUGCAUGGCAUCAUUCUGAUUUUUUAUGUAAAAAUUAUGUAAUGAAUGGCCUUAGUGAUUCCUUCUAUAAUGUAUACAUAGGAAAAAUAAUAGCCAAGGAGCUAUGGGAAUCCUUAGACCGUAAAUAUAAAACUGAGGAUGCGGGUACAAUGAAAUGCAAGUAACGCAACCCAAGAGGGGGGGUGAAUUGGGUUUUUAAAAAUAAUGCAAUACGAUUCGCACAAUAAAUCAAUUUAACGCCUUAAUGAAAUAGAGAACAAUAAAUUCAAACAAGCGUAAAAAUAAAAGAGCAAGGGAAGAGAAAAACAAACACGCGGAUUUUUACUUGGUUCGGCAAUCCUCGCCUACGUCCACGCCUCCAAGCCAACCAAGCUUGAGAAUUUCACUAUCCAAGCCUCCCAAGGCUUCAAGUUUUUACAAUUGACUUUCAAGGUGUCAAUGAACCUUUACAACCAAGAGAUUAUCUCCCCAAUCUCUUCACCUCAAGUGUUUCCCACACUUACACACUCACAAUUUGAUAAGAAAUGAAAAUUACAACAAAAACUCUCUUUAAGAGUGGAUAUGCAACUAAUAGCUCAAUAAUGAUUCAAUCAAUGAUGAUUUUCGUUUUGGAAGCUCAAUAUAUAUUGUAUGAUCUUAUAUUUGCUUGCAUUAGUCCUUAGAAUGAAGUUUGAGUUGAGUUUUUAUAGUGAAAGCCCAAAAACUAGCCGUUAUAGGUAAAUUCCCGCGCCCAAGCGGUUAGCCGCUUGAUUAUCCGGCUAGCCGAUCAGGAACAGUGAUAUUACCGUUAUUUUUGAAUUUUGCUACAGUAAUACUAUUCACUGAAAUUACACUUUAACCCAAAACUUUCUAUAAUUAUAUUAUGGCCCAAAACGUCAUAAAACUUUACAAAUAAAUCUAAUUUAAGAACUUCCUAAGAAUAGUUGUCUUUCCCAAGCUUUUUGAAAUUAUGAUAUGGCCCCAAAGAUUUUAUUAUUUCGCACAAAGGUCCUUUUACCCAUAUUUUUCAAAGUUCUCAAAACCUUUCACUUUAGUCCAAAAUAUUCAUAAAUUAUAGUAUGGCCCAAAAUAUUUCAAAUGUUUGUAAAAACAUCCAACUCCGAAAGUUAAUACUUAUUAAAAUCAAAGAUUUCAAAUCUUAGCAUUUAAGUCCAAAUUACUUGAAUCCACAAAAUACUUUACUUUAUAAAAAUAAAACCUUUUAGUUUAUGAAAAGUAUUUAAUUAAAUUAAUCUCUUGACCUUCUCAAAUGCUAAAUCAUGUAUCAAUUAAAUCAUACCAGCUUUACAAGAAUUUAUCGCACUAAUUUGUUCGUUGAGCUCUAAACUAUUUUCUUGAUGUCACCGUUGUCCGUUGAGUGUCUUCAAUCUUGAUUUCACUUGAUUCACUUGCAUAAAUAUUAUCCUUCAAAAACUAGUGAAAAUGUGAAAUACAAUAUUUAUUAAAUUACUUAAUACACAUGUUUGUUAUCAUCAAAAUUACAUUAUGUAUAGCCUUUUAGGCUAACAAUCUCCCCCUUUUUGAUGAUAUCAAACAUCUCAUGUAUUUUGACAUUAAACUCCCCCUCAAUACAUGGCAUACAUGACUUCAACUUAUAAAUCAAAUUCAAAACAAAAACUCCCCCUGAAUAUUUGAUUUAGAUAAUUUGAAAGCUCCCCCUUAAUAUUUCAAAACCAUGCAUAAAUACUUUAAAUAUAAAUUAUGUAUUACAUGUCUUCAUAUUCAAAAUUCAAAAUAAUAUUCAAAAUUCAAAAUACAUGACUUCUCCCCCUUCAUCAUCAAAAUUACUAGAAAUGUACACUAAGACUGAAAAAUUUAACCAAAAUGACAUUAUCAAAAACUUAUCAUAUUUAUUUUCCGCUGUAAAAAAUAGAUAUAUGCAAUUUGAAACAAGAUCACCAAAAAUAAUUCAAUGAAGAUAUUACCAAUUUUGGGCGAGCAAAAGUUUCGACAGAGUCUCCCCUUAAAAAUGAACAAAUCCUCAAAUACACAAUGUGGUUAAAAACACUUCCAUAUAAACUUAAACAAGUAACACAAACCAACAACUCCACCAAGUCAUCAAACAACACAUAAGAAUUAAGCAUAUAAUUAACCAAAGAGUUAUAAUAUUCCAGGAAUCCGAAAACAUUAUCCAAAUAUAACAUAUCCGAAGAUCAAAUAACAAACAUCCUUAAUCCACAAAUUAAAAACAACAUAUCCAAAUAUCAAAUAACAAGAUGUCAUUCGGAAAUGAAAAAACAACAGUGCAUGAAGAAAUGUAGUGCAGAGUGACAAAAUAAGGAGUAAUGACCGACCUUGGCUUGAAAUUGUUGAGAAAAUGUUUCCAAAGUUGGAGUUGUGGAAAAUGAAUCAACAUAAAGUCCGAAUAAUCUCCAUGAUCAUCCUUACGCUUCUUGGCCACGUGUUUUCCCUUGGACUUGUCACCACCCACCAUUGUUGGAAGAAAAAAGAGCUUAAAAAUGCAAUUUCGGGUUUAACAAAAAUUGAGUGAAAUGGAUUUGUUUAAGGCAAGAAAAUUAAUCCUAGAGAUGAAUGAAGCUAAUUUAUGAUGUAGAGUGAAUUAAAAAUGGGCUAAAGGAAGCUUGAAAAUGAAGAGAGAGAAACGGGUAGAGUGAGAAUUUUUUAUUUUGGGUUUUAUGUGGAGAGUUGAUGAAAUGUUGUUUUGAGAGUGAAAAUUGAAGGAGUAAUGGAUGAAUAAUGAGUUGGAUGAUUGAUUUUAACAAGACAAUGAGUGAAAGAUGAAGAAAUUUGAGAAAGAAAAUGGAGAACACUAUUCACGCGUGAAUGGAAUAAGGAUGGAAUGAUGAAGAACAAGUGAAGAAAUCAUGAUGGUAAAGGGUUUAAUGAAGAUGAAAUGCAUGGGUAUUAGUUUGAAUGGUUGAUUUGGGCAUGAAAAUGGAUGAAAAAGGAAGAAAAUGGAAGUGAAAAUGGAUGGGUUGCUCACGGUUUUGAGUGAAAGAGAGAGCAUGUGCAGAAAAUUAACAAAGGAAGAAGAAGAAGCAAAAAAAAUAUGCCUAACCCGUGACCAAGCGGCUAGCCGCUUGCUCUCGGGUUGGGGACAGUUUCCAAGCGGCUAGGCGGCUAGCCGCCUGGUUGCUGUCCAGCUGCACUCAAGUUGAUUUCCGGCUAAUUUCGAUCAAUUCCGUGACCAUUUUGUGAUCCCGAAACAUCUCAAGAGCCAAUUUAAUGCAUGAUUCAUGAUUUUAAACAUCUAAAAGAUGAUUAAUUCAAACAAAUAAUCCAUCCAACAAGCAUAUAUUUAUGAAGCACAUAAGCAUUCAAAAAUUAAUAAAUCAAACACCACAUAUACCUAACUUGCUUAAACACUUCAUAAACAUUAAUAAUCAUCAAGCAAACGAUUUUAAUAGAUUCAAUAACAUAAAUAGAGAUGUUAAUGCGAAAAUUUCAUCAUCUCAAGUUCAUGCCGAAUUUUUGAAAAUUAUUCUUCACAAAGGGGUUUUGUAAAAAUAUUGGCAAGUUGUUUUUCCGUAGAGAUAAAUUCUAAUGCAAUAUCACCUUUUUGAACACGAUCUCUCAAGAAAUGAUGCCUAAUCUCUAUAUGCUUGGUUCUAGAAUGUUGAAUGGGAUUCUUUGAAAGAUUUAUGGCGCUAGUAUUAUCACACUUGAUAGGAAUUUGUUCAAGAUUAAUACCAUAGUCUCUAAGUGUUUGUUUCAUCCAAAGUGCUUGUGCACAACAACUACCUGCGGCAAUAUAUUCCGCCUCAGUAGUUGAGAGUGCCACGAAUUUUGUUUCUUACUAAACCAUGAAACAAGUGAAUAACCAAGAAAAUGGCAAGUUCCACUAGUACUCUUCCUAUCGACCUUGUGACCAGCAAAAUUGGCAUCCGAAUAACAAGUUAAAUCUAUAUGAGUUCCUCUAGGAUACCAAAGGCCAAUAUCUAUGGUUCCACUCAAAUAACAAAAAAUUCUUUUAACAGCAAGCAAAUGAGAUUCCUUGGGACAUGAUUGAAAUCUUGCACACAUGAUUGAAAUCUUUCACACAAACAUACACUAAACAUGAUAUCGGGUCUACUUGCGGUUAAGUAAAGUAAGGAUCCGAUCAUACCUUGAUACUUUUUAAUAUCAACCUCUUUACCUUUUUCAUCCUUAUCAAGCUUGAUUGUUGUACUCAUUGGAGUAUUCUUGGUAUUUGAUUCAUCAAUACCAAAUCUCUUGAGCAAGUCUUUGACAUACUUAGCUUGGUUGAUGAAGAUCCCCUCAUUGUUUUGUUUGAUUUGAAGUCCAAGAAAAUACUUCAAUUCUCCCAUCAUGCUCAUCUCAAAUUCCUUACUCAUACAAGAGGAAAAUUCUUUGCACAAAGAUUCAUUAGUAGAACUAAAAAUAAUAUCAUCAAUAUAAAUUUGAACAACAAGUAUAUCUUGAUUUUUAUUUUUAAUAAAGAGGAUAGUAUCCGCUCUUCCCAUCGAAAAACCGUUAUCCAACAAGAAAUUUUUAAGCCUAUCAUACCAUACUCUAGGUGCUUGUUUUAAUCCAUACAAUGCUUUUGAUAACUUAUAUACAUGAUUUGGAAAUUUCUCAUUUUCGAAACCAGGGGGUUGUUUCACAUAAACUUCCUCCAUAAUAUAACCAUUUAGGAAAGCACUCUUGACAUCCAUUUGAAAUAAAAUAAAAUCUUUAUGACAUGCAAAUGCUAACAACAUCCUAAUGGAUUCUAAUCUAGCUACAGGUUCAAAUGUUUCAUCGAAAUCGAUUCCUUCUUCUUGUUUGUAUCCUUGAGCCACUAAUCUAGCUUUAUUUCUUACAACCACACCGGAUUCAUCCAUUUUAUUUCUAAAUACCCAUUUAGUGCCUAUAAUGGAUUGAUGUUCUGGUUUAGGAACCAAUUCCCAUACUUUAUUUCUCUCAAAUUGAUUUAACUCCUCUUGCAUUGCCAUAAUCCAAAACUCAUCAUUUUCCGCAUCCGCAAAAGAUUUUGGUUCAAUUCGAGAAAUAAAUGCAGCAUGCUCACAUGUGUUUCUAAGUGAUGAUCUAGUUGUGAUAUCUCUUGAAGGAUCACCUAAUAUUAAAUCCUUAGGAUGAGAGGAAACAUACCUCCACUCCUUGGGGAGUGUUUGAGAACUACCUUCUUGUUGCUCCAGCUCCAUAUUUGUUUGUUCUUCUUGUCUAUCUUCUUGAUUUUCUUGUGGUGCAUGCUCUUGAUUCUCUUUUGACGAUUCUUCUUAUAACUCUCCAUCUGCAUCAUCAUUAACAACUCCUUUCUCCGCAGAGGAGGGGUUAGAUUCAUCAAACGUAACAUGCAUGGAUUCUUUCACAACUAAAGUUCUUUUAUUAUAAACUCUAUAAGCUUUGCUUGAGUUUGAAUACCCGAGAAAGAUGCCAAAUUAGAUUUUGGAUCAAAUUUACCAAGAUUAUCUUUUGUGUUUAAAAUAAAAUAUUUGCAUCCAAAAAUUUUGAAAUAACCAAUAUUGGAUUUUCUAUCUUUCCAAAGCUCAUAGGGAGUUUUAUUGAGAUGAGGUCUAAUCAACACAUGAUUUAAAACAUAACAAGCGGUGUUGACGGCUUCGGCCCAAAAAUAUUUUGGUAAUGCAUUUUCAUUUAACAUGGUCCUAGCCAUUUCUUGAAUAGACCUAUUCUUUCUCUCAACAACUCCAUUUUGUUGUGGAGUCCUAGGUGAUGAAAAUUGAUGCUCAAUGCCAAAAUCAUUACAAAAAUUUUCAAAUGCAUGAUUUUCAAACUCUCCACCAUGAUCACUUCUAAUACAAGUAAUAGAAUAACCCUUUUCAUUUUGAACCUUUUUACAGAAAAUUCUAAAUGCAUCAAUGGCAUCAUCCUUAUUAGCUAAGAAUAAUACCCAUGUGUAUCUAGAAUAAUCAUCUACAAUUACAAAUGCAUAAAAUUUGUCAUUUAAACUAGCAUAUUUAGAGGGUCCAAACAAAUUUAUGUGAAGUAAUUGAAGAGGUUUUAAAGUAAAGAUAUGAUUCUUGUUUUUGAAAGAGGUUUUGAUUUGUUUUCCAAAUUGACAUGCUUCACAAAUUCUAUCCUUUUGAAAACCAAUUUUUGGAAGACCUUUAACUAAAUCGUUUUUCGAAAUUUUUGAAAUUAAAUCCAUGCUUGCAUGUCCUAGUCUUUUAUGCCAUAACCAACCAUCAUCAUGCAAUGCUGAAAAACAUUUAUCAUGAGUAGAUGCACAUUUUAUAUCAAUCGUGUAAACAUUGCCACAUCUAUUUCCCAUAAACAAAAUUUUCCCAUCACAUGCAUUCUCAAUAACACAUCUUGAUUGAUCAAAAACAACUUUAUAACCUUUGUCACAUAGUUGACUAAUGCUAAUCAAAUUGUAUUUCAAAUUUUCAACCAAACACACAUUUUCAAUUAGAGUUGAAGAAAUUUUACCAACAUUUCCAAUUCCGAGAAUUUUUCCUUUUGAGUUAUCUCCAAAGGAUACAUCUCCACCAUUUUCGAUUUUGGUGAAACUUGAGAACCAUGCAUAGUUUCCGGUCAUAUGCCUAGAACAUCCGCUAUCCAAGUACCAUUUAUUUUUCUUUUUCUUCAAGCCCUGCAAAGAAAAUCUUAUGUCUUAGGUACCCAAACCUUUUUGGGUCCUUGAUCGUUAGCAACGGUUCCUUUUGGAACCCACACACAUUUGACACCAUUAUAUGCAUUCCUUUUUACGGGACAUCUAUAUUUCAUGUGACCAUUUUGAUUACAAUAAUGACAAACAAUCUUAUGAUUAUUUGUGGAGGUAGCUUUAACAAAAUAAUUCUUAUAAUACUUUUGCUUCAAGUUAGGCUUAUACCCAAGUCCUCCUUUAUCAAAAACACAUUUUUGGGAGUUAAACAUGUUAUCCAACAUCUUUUGCCCAUUUGUAAAUUUUAGAACAACAUUACUAAGUUCAAUAUUCUUUUUCUUGAGCAUUUCAUUUUCCUUUUUCAAAUCAUCUACAUGUGACUCUAAAUACUCAUGUGAAGUGCUAGAUUUUUCAUUUGAAAAUGCAACUCUAUUAUGCAAGGUUUUAUUCUCUAAUUCUAAUCCUUUAAUCUUCUCAUUCAAUGACUUAUUGCAUUUUUGCAUGGCAUCCUUUUCAUUUGUAGAUUCUAGCAAUUUCUUUUUAAGGCAUGCAUUAUUUUUACCAAUUUUUAUCAACUCAUCAUGCAUUUCUUUAAAAGCAUCAUAUAAUUCAUCAUAGGUUGGAUCAUUUACCUCAUUGAGAUCAUCAUCAUCUCCUAGUGCCAUAAGUGCUAGGUUUGAUACUUCUUGCGACUCAUCUUCAUCACUUGAAUCUUCAUCGCUAUCAUCCCAAGUAGCAACCAUAGCUUUCUUCUUGAGUUUGUUGAGAAGUAGGCAUUCCGAUCUUAUAUGGUCGGGCUUCUUGCACUCAUAGCAUAUGAUUACCUCUUUCUUCUCCUUUUGGUUUUUGAAAUUUCUGAAUUUUCUUCGGUCAUCGGUUUUCUUGAAAAAUUUUAUGAACCUCCUUGCUAGCAUAGCCAACUCCUCAUCAUCCGGCUCACUUUCCCCAUCACUCUCAUAUUUGGUGACUUUGAGAGCAAUGUUUUUCUUCCUUUCCCCAUUUCCUCUUUCAGCUGCCAAAUCUUCCUCAUAAGAAAUAAGAGAACCAAUUAAAUCAUCAAUAGGUAAGAUAUUCAAAUCUUUAGCUUCCUCAAUGGCAGUCCUUUUUGGUCUCCAUUCCUUAGGUAACGACCUAAUGAUUUUCUUAACUUUCUCGCUAUUUGAAAAGGUCUUUCCUAGGGCUCCUAGAGUGUUUACUAUGUCCGUAAAUCUAGUAUACAUAGAAUACACACUCUUAUUUUGUUCCAUUUGGAACAAUUCAUAUUGCCGAGUGUACCUACUAAUUUUAGACUCUUUCACUUGAUUCGUGCCUUCAUAAAUAACUUCAAGUUUGUACCAAAUUUCAUUAGCACUUUCACAACUAGAUACUCUAUGAAACUCUUUCUUAUCGAGUGCACAAAACAAGGCAUUCAUGGCUUUGGAAUUUAGAGAAGCUUUUCUCUUUUCCAAUUCAUUCCAUUCACGUGAAGGUUUUGGAAUGUCUUCCCCAAUUUCAUUUUUAGUCAAAGGCAUAAAUGGACCAUCACAUACAACUUCCCAAAUUUCAUAAUUUAAUGCUUGUAAAUAAAUUCUCAUCCUAGUUUUCCAAUACGGGUAGUCAUUUCCGUCAAAGAACGGUGGCUUAGUUAUGGAUUGUCCUUCCCUAAAGGUUGAAUCAUUUUGGGUUGCCAUGGAUCUUUUACUCUAAACGAUUAAGUCCUAACAAGAGAACCAAGCUCUGAUACCAAAUAAAAUGCAAGUAACGCAACCCAAGAGGGGGGGUGAAUUGGGGUUUUAAAAAUAAUGCAAUACGAUUCGCACAAUAAAUCAAUCUAACGCCUUAUGAAAUAGAGAACAAUAAAUUCAAACAAGUGUAAAAAUAAAAGAGCAAGGGAAGAGAAAAACAAACACGCGGAUUUUUACGUGGUUCGGCAAUCCCCGCCUACGUCCACGCCUCCAAGCCAACCAAGCUCGAGGAUUUCACUAUCCAAGCCUCCCCAGGCUUCAAGUUUUUACAAUUGACUUCCAAGGUGUCAAUGAACCUUUACAACCAAGAGAUUAUCUCCCCAAUCUCUUCACCCCAAGUGUUUCCCACACUUACACUCACAAUUUGAUAAGAAAUGAAAAUUACAACAAAAGCUCUCUUUAAGAGUGGAUAUGCAACUAAUAGCUCAAUAAUGAUUCAAUCAAUGAUGAUUUGCAUUUUGGAAGCUCAAUAUAUGUUGUAUGAUCUUAUAUUUGCUUGCAUUAGUCCUUAGAAUGAAGUUUGAGUUGAGUUUUUAUAGUGAAAGCCCAAAAACUAGCCGUUAUAGGAAAAUUCCGGUGUCCAAGCGGUUAGCCACUUGAUUAUCCGGCUAGCCGCUCAGGAACAGUGAUAUUACCGUUAUUUUUGAAUUUUACUACAGUAAUACUGUUCACUAAAAUUAUACUUUGGCCCAAAACUUUCUAUAAUUAUAUUAUGGCCCAAAACGUCAUAAAACUUUGCAAAUAAGUCCAAUUUAAGAACUUCCUAAGAAUACUUGUCUUUCCUAAACUUUUUGAAAUUAUAAUAUGGCCCCAAAAAUUUUAUUAUUUCACACAAAGGUCCUUUUACCCAUAUUUUUUAAAGUUCUCAAAACCUUUCACUUUAGUCCAAAAUAUUCAUAAAUUAUAGUAUGGCCCAAAACAUUUCAAAUGUUUGUAAAAACAUCCAACUCCGAAAGUUAAUACUUAUUAAAAUCAAAGAUUUCAAAUCUUAGCAUUUAAGUCCAAAUUACUUAAAUCCACAAAAUACUUUACUUUAUAAAAAUAAAACCUUUUAGUUUAUGAAAAGUAUUUAAUUAAAUUAAUCUCUUGACCUUCUCAAAUGCUAAAUCAUGCAUCAAUUAAAUCAUACCAGCUUUACAAGAAUUUAUGGCACUAAUUUGUUCGUUGAGCUCUAAACUAUUUUCUUGAUGUCGCCGUUGUCCGUUGAGUGUCUUCAAUCUUGAUUUCACUUGAUUCACUUGCAUAAAUAUUAUCCUUCAAAAACUAGUAAAAAUGUGAAAUACAAUAUUUAUUAAAUUACUUAAUACACAUGUUUGUUAUCAUCAACAUUACAUUAUGUAUAGCCUUUUAGGCUAACAUACAAAAAGUUUGUUGUUGGCUAUUUCCUAGACUAUAAAUGGUGGAUUCCAAAACUGUAAUGAGUCAAGUACAAGAGCUUCAGAUAAUAUUAUCUGAAAUCCUUGCUGAAGGGAUGAUGUUAAGCGAAACGUUUCAAAUGGUUGCAAUUAUUGAAAAAUUGCCUCUUGCUUCGAAAGAUUUCAAGAGUUAUUUGAAGUAUAAACGCAAGGAAAUGAAUAUUGAAGGGUUGUUUAUGUGGCUAAGGCAAACGUUGUUGAACAUGGACCUAAAAAUAAGAAAAAUAAAAAAUUGGGUCCGAAAGGAGGAAUUUCCAAGAAGCAAACAAAGUUUCAAGGAAAAUAUUUUAAUUGUGAUAAGAUAGGUCACAAGGCUUCGGAUUGCAGGUCGCCUAAAAAGAAGCAAGAGGCAAAUGUGGUGGAAAACAUCACUCAACAUGUUUCAGACAUAAACCUCUCUACAUUGGUUUCAGAAGUGAAUCUGGUUGGCUCUAAUCCGAGAGAAUGGUGGAUUGAUACGGGAGCAACCAGACAUAUUUGCUCGGACAGAGGGUUGUUCACUUCAUUUGAAGUAGUUAGCAAUGGAGAGAAGCUAUUCAUGGGGAAUUCUGCUACAUCUGAGAUUGAGGGUCAAGGGAAGGUGAUUCUGAAGAUGACUUCUAGAAAAGAGCUGACUCUAAACGAUGUGCUUUAUGUGCCAGAAAUUCGGAAGAACUUGGUGUCUGGAUCGCUAUUGAACAAACAUGGUUUCCGAAUGGUGUUUGAGUUAGAUAGGGUAGUUUUGUCAAAGAAUGAGAUGUAUGUGGGAAAGGGUUAUGUUAAUGAUGGGCUAUUUAAGCUCAAUGUAAUGACUCUGAAACCAAAAAUUAAUAAUGAAGCUAGUUCUUCUGCUUAUUUGCUUGAGUCUUCUAAUCUUUGGCAUAGUAGAUUAGGACAUGUUAAUUUUAAUUCAUUGCGUAAAUUAAUUAACAUGAUACAUAUUCCCAAUUUCCAAAUUGAUUUGAAACAUAAGUGUGAAACUUGUGUUGAGGCAAAACUAAGUAGGUCAUCUUUCCAAACAAUUAAAAGAAACAAUGAACCACUUGAUUUAAUACAUAGUGAUAUUUGUGAUUUUAAAUCCAUUCAAAUAAGAGGUGGUAAUAAAUAUUUUAUUACCUUUAUUGAUGAUUGCAUAAAAUAUUGCUAUGUAUAUUUGUUGAAAAGUAAAGAUGAAGCUUUAGAAAAAUCAAAGAAUUAAGGAGUGACCGCGGUGGUGAGUAUGUUAUUCCGUUUGAGUAACUAUAUGAACAAAGUGGAAUCAUACAUCAAGUCACGACUCCAUAUUCACCUCAAUCUAAUGGGAUUGUAGAUCGAAAGAAUUGAGCUUUAAAGGAAAUGAUAAAUGUAAUGUUGAUAAGUUCUGGGUUACCCCAGAAUAUGUGGGGAGAAGCUGUUUUGUCAGCUAAUUAUUUAUUAAAUAAGAUACCCCGAAAGCAAGAAGAUAAAACCCCGUAUGAGCUGUGGAAAGGUAGAGCACCUUCAUAUAAAUUCUUACGAGUGUGGGGGUGUCUUGCUAAAGUAGUGGUUCCUUUAAAUAAAAAAAUGAAAAUAGGACCAAAAACUGUUGACUGCAUUUUCAUUGGUUAUGCACAAAACAGUAGUGCUUAUCAAUUUCUGGUGCAUGAGUCUAAAGUUCUAGAUGUCCACAAAAAUACGAUAAUAGAAUCAAGAAAUGCAUUGUUUUUCGAACUUGUGUUUCCUUGCAAUUCUAGAGUGGAAUCGAGAGAACUAUGACAAUUUCAUGAAACAACAAUUGAAAAUAAAGAAAAUGAUGAAGCUCCAAAAGAAGAAGAAGAACAAGAAGUUGAGGUCAGACGUAGCAAAAGAGCUAGAAUAGAAAAGUCUUUUGGUCCAGACUUUCUGAUGUAUUUGCUAGAAAGUGAACCUCAAAGCUUCAAAGAAACUGUAACUUCACCUGAAGGCCCUUUAUGGAAAGAAGCCAUUAAUAGUGAUUUUGAAUCCAUUUUACAAAAUCAUACCUGAGAGCUUGUAGAUCUUCCUCCAGGAUGUAAACCUUUGGGGUAUAAGUGAAUUUUCAAAAGGAAAAUGAAAGCCGAUGGAUCAAUUGAUAAGUAAAAGGCUAGGCUUGUAAUUAAAUGUUAUAGGCAACGAGAAGGCCUUGAUUACUUUGAUACUUAUUCUCCUGUUACGAGAAUAAAUUCCAUUCGGAUGAUAAUAGUAAUUGCAGCUUUGCGUAAUCUCGAGAUACAUCAAAUGGAUGUAAAGACGGCUUUUGUAAAUGGAGAUUUAAAUGAAGAAAUCUACAUGGAGCACCCUGAAGGUUUUAUAGCUCCAGGACAAGAAAAGAAAGUUUGUAAAUUAGUAAAGUCAUUAUAUGGCUUGAAACAAGAACCAAAACAGUGGCAUGAAAAAUUUGAUCAUACGAUGAUCACAAGUGGAUUUAAGAUCAAUGAGAGUGACAAGUGUGUUUAUGUCAAAGAAACAGAAAAUGACUAUGUCAUUUUAUGUUUAUAUGUUGAUGACAUGCUCAUUGUUGGGAGUGAUGAUGACAUGAUUAAAUCUACCAAGAAUAUGUUGAAGUCUAAGUUUGACAUGAAAGACAUGGGUCUUGUAGAUGUCAUUUUGGGAAUUAAAAUCUCAAGGGCUUCUAAUGGACUUAUUCUAAGUCAAACUCAUUAUGUAGAUCAAAUUCUUGGGAAAUUUAAUAAAGAUGAUAAUACCGUGUCUAAAACUCCAUUAGAUACGAGUAUACAUCUAUCGAAAAACAGAGGAGAAGGUAUUUCUCAAGUAGAAUACGCUAGAAUAAUAGGCAGUCUGAUGUACUUAACAAAUUGUACCAGACCAGAUCUAGCCUAUACAGUAAGUAAACUUAGUAGACAUACAAGUAAUCCAGGAACUAAUCACUGGAAAGCUAUUGUAAGAGUACUCAGGUAUCUUCGAUACACUCGUAAUUAUGGACUGUACUAUACUAGGUAUCCGGAAGUAUUAGAAGGAUAUAGUGAUGCUAACUGGAUAUCUAAUGUAAAAGACUCAAAAUCCACUAGUGGCUAUGUGUUUACACUAACAGGUGUAGCUGUAUCAUGGAGGUCUUCUAAACAGACAGUAAUUGCCAGAUCUACAAUGGAAUAUGAAUUCAUUGCUUUAGAUAAAUGUGGUGAGGAAGUAGAAUGGCUAUGGAAUUUUUUAGAGGGUAUUCCAAAGUGGCCAAAGCCUGUGCCUAUAAUUUGUAUUCAUUACGAUAGUCAAUCAGCUAUCGGUAGGGCACAGAGCAAUAUGUAUAAUGGUAAGUCUAGACACAUACGUCGUAGACAUAAUACCAUUAGACAACUUAUUUCUACUGGAGUUAUUUCUAUUGACUAUGUAAGGUCAAAUGAUAACAUUGCGGAUCCACUAACCAAAGGAUUAAAUAGAAAGCUAGUAGAAAAAUCAUCGAGGGGAAUGAGAUUAAAACCCUUAGAAUGAUUAGUCAAUAACGAAGGAAAACCCAACCUAGUUGACUGGAGAUCCCAAGAUCUAGGUUCAAUGGGACAACCUAAUUGUUAAAGACUAAAGUUGGAUCACUGUGGGGGUCAUUCUCUUGAGAGGAUUACCUCAUUGACCAUUCCUAUGAUGAAACAGUGAUGCUCGUGAGAGAUAAGGUUGAGCUGGGCUCUUACUGAUUCUUAUGCAUCGAAAUUCGAGCGAAGUAAUACGAGUUACUCUUAAUUAAGAUAUCACCUAUGUGAGAGAGAAGUGGGGCCGCUUCAAAGGGAGUUGUUAGGGGUUCAGCUCUUAGAAACUCUGGUAGAACUAGGUAGAUGUUUAAGGCCAAAACGAGCAUAACCAUCAGAACUCAACAGUGUUAAGAGAGAUACCUCUGUGUAGUAUAUGAUCGUUUACACUAACGGCAGAACAGUUCAACGACAUCGCGUCUAUUGAUCAACCAGUAAAGUAAAUAUACUAUCACAAUGGAAGGUUUAAAGGAUAAAACCUACCUAUCCUUUGCUAGGUAUCGAUAUAAUAAACUCGAUCAUUAAGGUCAAAAAUGAUUUUGAUGUCAAAAUUUAGCGGUUUUCUGUUUUACUGCCAAAUUUCAUUCAUGUGGGGGAUUAUUGAAAAAAUAGCAAAUCAAUAUGCUAUUUUGAGGGCACAUUUUGAGUGGGUCCCACUUAGCAAAAGUGGGAAAUCUUGUGAAGUUCAGGUUCUACUCCGUGAAUACUUCGAAAGUGUAUAUUUAUUUACUCAAAAUGGUGCUUGGGUGAAUGAGAAAUUGUCUCUCAAAGUGCACCCUUGAAGUUGAAAAUUUGAAAGGAAUUAUAAGGAUAGAGGGAUUUGUGUUUAUAUAUAGACACUUACCCAUGCAUGAGCAAGAAUUAUAAGGAUAGAGGCUCUCUCCACACGCGCGUGCAGAGGGGGGGUGCGAAUCCAAGACCGAUUUGGUUGAACUCGUGUGCGCCCGCGCAUCCUACGCAUGAGAAUGUCAGCCCAAAAUCACCCAAGCUUGCAUGGCACAUUUUUAAUUUCCUUUUAAAUUUUUGUAACAGUUUUUCAAUUUUUGAAUUCAAAGGAUUUGUAACAGCUUUGCAACUAUUUUUGGGUUGUUAUGCAAAUUCAAUUUUUGAAUUCAAUAGGCUGUAUUGAAUUGUUUAAAUUGAAUUGGCCGUUACAACAAUUAAAUGGCAUAUAUUGAAUUCGGAUAUUCAAUAUUAUACUAUUGUUACAUCCUCACAUGUGUAUAAAAAGGCAGCUUCCUCUUCUGUUUUUACACACAAGAACAACCAACACACAGAGCACUCCAAAAUUUCUUUCCUCCUUCUGACGUUCUGUUUUUUAUCGAGUUUGUAUGCUGUUGUGGUUCGCCAGAAUUAUCAGUCUGUGCUUGACGGAUAAUUAGUACCCGUUGUAUCCUAGGAAAUAGUUACCAGCAAACCUAAAGCACUACAGUAGGUGGUAAAUCUGUUUUAAGGAAACUGUGUUGCAGGCCUCAGGUUUAUUUUCUAUUUCCGUUUUCUUUUCCCUAUUAUUUUUCAUUUGUUCAUUCGUGAUUUCCAGUUGCUGUUUUACGUUGUUGUUUAAAUUAGCUACAAUAUUAAAUUGUUAUCUCACUAUUAAUUUUCUUACAGUUCUCCUGGUGAUCUAUUUAAUUUAAUUAGAUGUUGAUGGUAGAGAUAGAUCACUCAUGUGGAGGCAUUUUAUAAAGUAGUGUGAUAGCUGUUCGUCCACUAAUUACAUAUGAAACAAUACAAGUGGCCUAUUUUAGCAUGAUUUUGGGAGUUACUUUCUUAGUCAAGGGUUACUUUCUUUACUCAAGGGCUAUAGGUCGUUUUCUGUGGUCCAUUCAUCUUUUGCUUUGUGGUUGCUCCGCUAUAUAAUUUCUAACAAAUUCUGUUAACGGCUACGAGUUAUUAAUAAAUAAACUCUAUUGUGUUGCAUGUGGUUGCGUAAGUAAGAAGUUUAACUCAUUCAUAUCAUUUUUUAAUUAACCUGUUUAAACUUCAUGAAUCAAAUGUGAUUUGAUCCAAUAUUUAAGUAAAAAGGGAUAAGUUAUCAAGUAAAAAUGCGAUUUACUAAAUCUUUUAAUUGUAUGCACUGUCGAAAUUAGGGUAAAUAUUUGUUUAAUCCCUAUUUUUAAUUUGGAGUUAGAUGUGUAUUUAGUCAUUGUAUUUUAAAAAGUUUCUCAAAGCCGUUAAAUAUGUGACACUACUGACCUUAUUGUUUCUUUACUUUUACAAUUAUACCCUUACUACAAUUUUGAGCACAUUAAUUAGUUUAUCUAUAAUAAAAAGUUAUCUAAUAAUUAACAAUAAUUAUUUAUUAGUGAAUUAACUAAUAAAUAUUAUUAUGAAAGAAUUGGUACUUUUUGUACAUUGCAAUAUUCUUCCUAAUAAUUAUUUUUAAAGAAGUUAAUACUAGCCAACCUAAAGCAAUAUUUGGAACCUUGCAAUAAUACAUAAAUAAUUUACAAAAUUAACCAUAAAAGUAAAUCAAUAACAAAGAUUUACAUUUAUUUUUAUUUUUUAGCAUUAAUUCUUAAUAAUCUUUUAUAAAUUAAUUAAUUAAUGUCCCUAUAAAUGUUGUUGCAAGGGCAUCAUCAUAAAAACAAAAAAAUAAUAAGGGCAUGAGUGUAACAUAUUUAACAGUAUAGAUGUUUUGAGGUAUUUUAAAAAAUACAAGAAAUAAAUGCAUAACUAAUCAAAAUAUAAGGAUUAAACAAGUAUUUACUUAUCGAAACUAAGUAGAAAUACAAUAGAAUCCUGAACAUUAUUACAUUACCCUUAUAUUGUAAUAUGAAAUUAGUAGAUCAUUUAUUCAUUUUGUCUUGCCUUGCCUUUUUAAGAUCCUGACACGUGUUUGUUGUUAGUUAUUUAUAGUUUAUGAAUAACUUUUCAGGAUUUCUUUAUGAUACUGUAUGUAUUUUUACAGCAUUGAUAGUGGGAUUAAUGUGGACCAUUAGUUUUAAGUAUUUUAAUCUCAAUCGUCCAUUUAAUAUAAUGGAUAAUUAAAUAAUUAAUCAAAAUGUAGCAGGUAGUUUACAAGUUGUUGGUAAAUAUUUUUUUUAAUUUUAAAUUAAUAUUAGUUUGAGAAAAAGCCACACACAUCCCAAGGUUUGCUCAAAUAGUCAUAUAGAUCCACUUAGUUUCAUAAAUGGUAAUACAGACCCCUUAAUUUUCAUAAAUGACUAUUAUACAUUUUGAUUUACACAACCUAAAUAAAUAUACAUAUAGUAAUAGGAUAAAAAUAAUAAUAAAUAUCAUAUGAUACAAAUAAAAUAUUAAAAUAAGUAUAAUUAAUAAAAUAACAUGUAUAAUGAAUUCUUUUAAUAUUAAGUUAUUAUUAAUCUAUCCCGAUGGAUUUAUUAAAAUCUACUAAUCCAAAAAUUGACUUUAAGAUAGAUAUUAAUACAUAUAUAAUUAGAAAAGAUAUUGUAAAUAAAACACUACAAAUUUUUAUAAAUUGUUGUGAGUGUUAGGUAUAACUAUUUCAAUAUUCUAUAUCAUACAUCAUACUUAAGAUGUUGAUUUUGUUGAAGUGUUAUGUUAUUAAACAUUAAGCUUUGCAUUUAUAAUGUGCUACAACUUUAAUGUAAAAUGUAAUAAAAAAUAUAAAGACAUUUUUUAGUAAUCAAUUGUAUUGUAAUAUGAUCAAUUUACCCUACAGUGAUACUUAUUUCUAAACUGACACUCCAAGUAACUUAGGGCAUGUUCAAUAUCAUUUUGUAGCCCCUAUUUUCAUUUUCAUUUUAAUAAUACAGGUGUAAUAUAUGUUUGGUGAGCCUAAACCUUAAAUCAAAUUAUAAAAUGAAUUAAACAGAAUCUAUUUGAUAGUAAUAAAAGUUAAAACAUGUUAAACACGUUUUCUGUAACUUACAAAACGAAUUAUAAAAUAAUAUACUACACGUCUUCCAAAGUAUAGCAAAUAAAAUAUAUUUUACAAACACUACUAUAGAAAGACAUAUAAGACAUAUGUUAAGUUAGUAGAUAUGAUUUUUCUUGUAUUCAUUAAAACAUAUGAAUUGAUACCCACACACACACACACACACACACACACACACACACACAUAUUGAGUACUUCUAUCUACCUGUAUUUAUUAAUAGAAGGGAAAUUAAAAUCGUAAUUACCCUGAUAUAUUAUGAAUUGAUAUGUCACAUAUAAAUAUCAGUGAAAAUUAAUUUUUAGAUUAAUGUUGUAAACCAUUUAUAGGCAUUUAAUUAAUCUAAGGUCAAAUGAAAUAUAUCACAUGACAUUUCAUGUAGUAGUCCAAUUUUUAACACUUGCAUAUAGUUUUGUAAGCUAAUAAGCCAAUGAAAUAUACCACAUGAGAAAUUGAUGGGCUAUUAUUUAUAUUUCACUAUUGGACAAUUAUGGAUCUUCCAAUUCUCUUCCAUGGCCAUAAAUUAGAAUAAAAAAAUCACAUAGUAGAGACUACAUCCAUUUGCAUGCUCUCAAAAUAGAUUUUGAAAUUUAUUUUGCAUGCUUUCAAAAUAAAUUUUGAAAUUAGUUUGGUUACAUGAUAAUCAAAUUAUCUUAUAACAUUAAUGAUAUAAUUUAAGCACUAUUUUAGCAAUUGUGAGUUUUACAUUAAAUCUUCAAAUUAAUUACAUAUUGUCACUCUUUCUUGUUUUGCUUGAAAUUUCUAUUUAAUAAAAUUAUGAAAAGUUGAUAAUGAAUGGUUUAGGAUACAUAGGUAAGAUAAACUUUAAAAGUCUAAUGAAACAUUUCUAUGAAUGUGGGUUUCAUAUGCAUGUUCAUAUAUUUCAUUGAAAUCAUAUAUUUUAUUGAAUUUUGUGUUAUUAAACGAAAUAUGUUAUUCAAGUGAAAAAUGUGAGAAUAUUUAAAACUGUAGGGGUCGUCAUUGAAAUUUCGCAUACUUCUACCAACUCCACGAUCCAACAGUUCACCCCUGUUAACCGGUUAUGUUAUUUUUUUAUUAAUAAAUAUAAUGUACAUUGUUGAUUAAAUCUAAUGGUUAAUAUUGUUUACACUAUUGAUGCUGAAAAAAAUUACAGCAUCAUAGAGGGACCCAACUUUUCAUUGUUUUUGAUUCCAUGAACCACUGAUAAUCAAUAGAUUUAAAAAAGAUAAGCCGAAGACAAGAUGAAUAGAACAUAUAAAUCAGAGGGGGCCCAUGAUCAAAUUUAGGCUGUGCUAAAUUAUAAAUUUAUAGUAUAUAUUAGAGUUAAUGUCAGUGCACAUAAACAAUUAAAAAUUUUACUCUAAACAAAAUGAAAACUUUUAAUAAAACAAGUCUCUAACUCUAACUAGUGACAUGGUAGAUUACUCUUUUUAUAUGAAUUUUAAAGGUCCCAAUUCAAAAUUAACUUAACUAGAAGAUAUAUUUAAUUUAUUUUAAAAGAAAUUGAUUUCGGGAUACAGUUGAGAAAAAAGUGAUAAUUAUAUUCUUAUGGAGAAGAUCAUAAAUCUAUAUGGAUUUUAAGUACUAAGCUGGGCAGUUUAGCCCAGAUUAUCGAUCGCGCCUAACCCAGUUGGGUUUAACUAUGAGCUUUCCUCCAAUAUUCUUUUUUUUUUUUUUUUUGAAUAGCCUCCAAUACACUCUUAAAACUCCAUUUUUAAGGAAAAAAAAAACCAUUAUCGUUAUUAAUACUCACUUUAAUUCGAAAAACUACUUCUUAUAAACAUCGUAAUCUUUCAGUUCAAAACCCAGAAAACACAGUUUUCUUGAUUUUCCAUUAUCCAUCAUGCGUCUAUACUUUUCUUGCUUAAAUAAUUAUUAUAAUACCUUCAAUGAAAGAUUAAAUGUAAUCUUCAAUUCUAUGAUUUUUAAGUUGAAUUGCCUUGUCACAUUAUCCUCUCCAUCAUAUUUUUUGUGCUUUCACAUUAAGAGUAAAAGAAUUCCUGUUGGAUGCAAAUUCAUUAAUCAUUUUAAUCAUUCAUUUGUGAUUAGAAACAAAACAAUAAAAUGAGAGUAAUGAUGAAUAAAAAAAUAAAAAUAAAUCGUGGGUUUAGCGGUGAGUAACGGACGGUGUGGAGGUGACAGUGUGAGAUAGUUUUGAGAGAGAGGAAAAGAGGUGAGAUUUAGAAAGAUUGUUUUGUUCUUUAUCGUAAUUACAUAAAUGAGGGCUUUUAUAAGGUUAAUGGUGGGGGUGGGGCUAUUUUAACGCAUAAAUUCCUUUUUUCACCCUAUUUGUUCUCUCUCUACAUCACUUGCAAAUUAAAAGCUUACCAUUUCACUCUCUAUGGCCAUGGAUUCUUUAUCUUCAUUAAUUCCACUACAUUUUAUUUGUGGCAUUUGAAUUGCGACUUUUUUAUUCUAUUUUAUUUCAAAUGAAACAAAGAUUUAUAAUUUUACACAGAUUUAGGAAAAAUAAAAAAUUUAUAGCUUUCACGAUUACUUAAAAUUCUUGAUACUUAUUUUUGUAUGGGGGGUUUGUUCAUAUAAAUUGAAGACAGGGUAGUUAUUAUUAUUACGUUCUUGGUCGAAGAGCUUUUGAAUAAAAUCAGUAAGCCAACUUAGGGUCUAAAAUUUCCAAGCAAAGCAUGCAAACCCCUUUGACCUCGAGAGCCCUAGUCUUGAAAUAAUGAGCCACUAAACCUUGAUCUGAUAUUGCUUGUAGCUUAUAGGAAAAAUUAAUUUCGAUUAUUCGUAAGAUUUAACAUUCAUUUGCGGAUGAGAAAAUCAAAGGAAUUGGUUAGAGAUGAUCAAGAAUUGUGAGAGAGAGAGAAUAGGGUUAAUUGGGUAAUUUUAUCAAAAUUAAUUCGAUAAUAAAUAUUUUAAUUAAAAAAUAGGUGUAGAGAGAAAAUCGGUGGACGUAAAUGUCCCCAUCCUAAUGGUUGGGGGCUAAUAUAUAUUCGUAAAUAUCCUUAACUUAAAUUACUAUUAUAACUUAAUAUUAAAAAAAAAUAUUUCUCUUCCUAAAAGUUUUUAAGCAGUGAUAAGAAGUCUAAUUACUAAGCAUAUGGGUUUAUUAAGUAUUAUAGUGGGUUAGCCCUACCCUUUGAUUUAUUGGAUAUAAUAAAGGGAGAAUGAUCAUUUAGUUUCUCUUACAAUUUGAUUUUACCGCUUGGUCCUUAAUUUAAUAUCUUAUUAAAGCAAUAUUAAAGAUAAAUAUAACCUUUUAAUUAACAAACAAAUUAAUUAGAAAAAGAAAAUUGAUUCUUCAUUAUUAAGGUAACCCAUAAACUCUAAUAUAAGUUACAUUACAAAUUUUUAUUUAUUUGUUGUCAAUUAGACUUACUGGAGAGAGUUAAUUUAUAAAAAAAUAUAAUAUUUAUGAAAACAUAAAGAAAUGUCAGUCAGCAUACUCUAUGGUAAAUUCUACAUUCAUUUCAUAUAUAAAAGUUCUAUCUACAAGCGCAAUCAAUUAGAAACAAACAGAUGAGCCUUCGUCAAUAUGUCAUGUAGGUUAAUUAUUGUACAUGUCACAAUCAGAGACCAAAAUUUGCAUACGGUUGACUAAUAAGAAGACUUCCUGAGACAUCAAGUUUCAAGUUUCAAGUUAAAAGUUUUAAGUCUUUCUUCAGAUUUUAUGCCCAAACGCCAAAUCCCAAGCUCCCCCUCAAACUUUUAAGGCUUCAUGUUUUCUUGAUCUGAAAACGCCACCCAAAGGUACAUCAUUCUUUCCUUCGUUUCUUUUUCUUCGAGAGCAUCUGCAAGUAAAUUUACUUUCACUCCAUGCUUCCAAUGAUUUGUUUCUUGUUUUAGAUUAUAUAUUUAGCAAAAUAUUCUUUUUCCUCAAAACUACCUAAAAAUUUAGAAUUUAUAUAACUAGUUUUAUCUUAGUCAAUGUAGUGAAGCCAUUUAUCUUAUGCAUCUUUUCUUUACUUAUGUUGCUGCUACUUCAUGACUUUCUAUCAUAUUCCAUAUGUAUAUUGAAUAACUUUACCUUAAUUGCUACUGCAAGACAAGUAUACCUUCAUUAAGUUCUGAAGAGUUUAAUGAAUCCCAUUUUAAAUCUUUUCUUUUUCCCUCACUCAACGGUGGCUAUCAGUAGUUUCUAGAUCUGGUCUAUCAAUUUUUACUUUGUUGUUACUUCUGCCAUACAAUCUCUAACAAAUUGAAGGCUACCAAUUAUUCGGAAAAAUAAAAAAAAACCUUGUGUUUGUGGGGAGAAAAGUAAAAAUUUUAACUCAUUCACAUAGCCUUUUUCAAUUAACCUAUAACCUAUAUAUAAACUUCAUGAAUCAAAUGUGAAUUGAUCCAUUAUUUUAAUUAGAAAGUAAUAAGUUGUCGAGUAAAAGUGGAUGUUAAUACAACACAGUCUCGAACAAUAGUACAUUACCCUUCCAAUUGGGAAAGGCAGAUGAGUGAGAUUAAUUACGAAGAGAAAAGGCGAAAUUUUAUUGAAAAAAUUGAUUGCAUCUUGUAAUGGUAAGCACAAUCCUAUUCGUUGCCUCACGAAAAUGAGCUCAAGGCAGCAACUGUUGAAAAUUCAAAAGUAAAUGGGGCUCACAUGUUGGAUUCAAUUUGAAUGCACCGAAAUCCACAUGCCUUUCUUGAAAAAAUCAAGAAGAGUUGGAGCCGCAUGUUGAUAAUGUGGAAAAGUUGGAGUCUUGGACAUUUGUCAAAAAAAGAGGAAAUUGGUUGCCGAUUUCUUAGACUUUUGUUGUGAUAAUUAAAUGCAUUUAUGGUAAGGCCGGAUUAUAAAUAGAGAAGCAAUUUUCAUUUGUAAAUUAUCCUAAAAAUAUAGAGUGUGAGAACUUAGGUAAACAACUCUCUCAGAGAAUGUAGAGAAAUUCUCUGUGAGAGAGUCUAGAAAAAAAGAACAUUUACAAGUGAGCUCUUAGAAAGUUUAUGAGAGUGUUUCCUUAGGCGCUCAGUUGGGUUCUGCACUAUUUCUAUAUGUAUAAAAGAAUGUCUAUCUUGCGAAAAUUGUUUUGUUCAAGAGUAUAUGUGAGUACUGUGUGUAUUUAAGUAUUUGGAAUGUGAGAUUUCAUUACUCAAAUUUUUAUUAUAUUAAUUGUUAGUAAAAUAAUCAUUCUCUCUUGCAUCCGUUUGCAUCCGUGGGCGUAGGCUUUAUCGUCGAGCCAUCUUGUGUCCUUUAUUUUUUGGUGAAUAUUUGGUGCAUAUUGAUUCUGCAUUUGCACACAAGUGAUAUCAUACCAUAAGAAAUGACACUUCCGCAGCACAACAAGUGGUAUCGAGUUGAUGGUUCGUACUUGGGGUAUACAAUGUUGUUCAUGUAUUCAGUAAUAUUUAUAUGAUAUUGUUCAUGAAUACGAUGAGGCUGAUUGACACUGAAAAGUUUACAUUUAAUAAGGUUAAAAAUUAUCAGUUUCUCACUAACAAUGUUAAUUAAUGGGCUAAUAACUUACAAAUUAUCUCAAUGCUCUCCUAAUAAACUUUUAUGUUAAAUUUAUUUACAAUAUGUUAGUUUUAUGUUCAUUUUUAUUUCAAGAAUAAAGAGGGAAUUGGAACCAAAAGCAGGAAACAAAGAAGAUUGAUGGAGCCAUUUGGAAUGCAUUAUUGAGGAGAUGUAAUUAAUAAAAAAAAAAAAAGGAAGUGAGCUAUACCGUGAUAGUCAAGUGGGCAUUUUAUCACUUGACUAUCACACAUUUCUAUGUAAAUAUAUAAUUGAAAAAAAAUAAAUAAUAAUAAAAUAAAAGAAGAUGAUAUAAUUGUUGUUUAUAAAAGGUAAGGAGAGGAAGAACGAGGGGACGGGCGAGAGAAGACGAGAAAGGAGCUGAGACUGAGACUUAGAAAUUUUUUUUCUUUUGUGUAGUUAACCCUCUUUUAAUAUAUUUCAGAAGUUUUUUAAAUAAAAUGAGUGUUCUGUUUAUCAACAUGAGUGGCUAAAUUUUUUAAGUUGAGAUGAAAGGUGAAGCUCAAGGAUUUAAAUUAUUGAAUUGAUUACUCUUUCAAGUGAGUCCCAAAGUUUAUUUUAUUCGUUUGUAUUUUUUUUCUUUACCAGUUUCUUUUUAUGUCAUGUUAAUUUAUAAAUCUAGAUCUCCUUAGAUCUAUAUAGUAUUUUAGCAUAAUGUCGACACUCUAAUAUAAUUGUGGCACAUUAGGUACUUGAUUUCAUAUUUAUCCAUACAAACGGUUAGUUAAAGAUUAAAUAACAUAAUAAUUAACUAGAAAAAUGAAUGAUGAAUGUAAAAUAUAAAUAUGAGAGAGUAUUAGGACAAAAAUUUGACAACUGAGAGUAGAUCCUGUAAUCUUAACAUUUUUUGUCAGAUUGAUCCAUAUUAAUUUUUUUCUUUAAUUAAUUUUUAUUUAAUAAUUGACUACUAGAUUUUUAUAUUCUAUGUGGUUCGACUCCAGACUCAUUAGAUUAUAUUAUAACUAGACACUGUUAUACUUAAGAAUAAAUAACACUUUUGCAUCACAUCAUAUUUUUAGCGUCAUUCCUGAGAAUUUUCUAAAUUUGGUGUCAGUUUAUCCUUAAUUUUGUCAUUCGUUUAUGUUUUCGUCAUUUUAUUUUAUUUUAUUUCUUUGUAAAACUUCAGUUAACCCCCCACUUCUCUUGAAAUUUUAGUAUUAUCUAUAAAAUUUGUGAAAACUUCAUUUUGACCUAAAAACUUUGCAAAUCAGUCCUUAAAUCGAAUUGGAACUUGGAUCUUAGGAGUAUGACUUAUUCUUUGGACUUUUGGACUUAAAAGACUAAAUGAACUUGGACCUUUGGACUUUGUGCACAUAAUGGACGUGGACUUUUUUAAAAUUAUCAUUAAGGCCCAGAAAUCAAAUUAAUUAUCUAAUUGGUCAUUAAUUCUUAAAAGUUGUUAAAAAGGGGGGAAGAAUUCAUGCCUUGUGGUAAGUAUUCAUUUCCUUCCUUCUUCUUUUAAUUUCUACAAUUUAAUUUUUGUAAUUUUUUUGUGUUAUUUUAUAUGGCUGGUUUAACCAUCUAUUAUUUCAACUUCAACUGGCCAAUUUUGAAUUUAUUUAUUUUUAUUUCACAUUUAUUUAUUUUUGACAUUUAUUUUAUUUGCUUAUUUAAUGUUUAGUUUAUUUUUAUUUGUGCAAUAUUCAUUUAGUGUUUUAUGCAUUAUUCAUUUGUUUGUGUAUCAUUUUCAUAAUUUAAUUUGACACACUUACAAAUCAUCAGCAUUGUAUGCGACAUUGGUCUCGUAUAGAAAGUGGCAAAUUGAUUAGGAGAUCGCCUUCAUCAUCUUUAAACAUAGCCAAUAUCAAAAGUGAUAACAUUUUAAAGUAUGGAAAUAACCAAACCUUGCAAAAUCGUCAUGAACAGCCUAGGACACUUGGAGAUUUCAUGCAUUCUACUAGAACAAGGUUAUCAUUAUGCAUAGAUUUUCCUCUUGAUGCAUCUCAUAUUAAUUUCAAAUCUAGUAUCAUUCAACUUCUACCUAUUUUUCAUGAUUUUGAGUCUGAAAAAUCAAUACUUGUGUUUAAGAGAAUUUGAGGACGUUUGUAACACCGAUACUGAUCGGAAUUGUAGCAUAAACAUAAUUAGACUCAAGUUUUUCUAUUCUCAUUAAAGGAAAAAGUUAAAACUUGGCUACAAAUUUUUUUCUUUUUUUUUCCUAUGCUUUUUUUGGUGUUGUUUGGGUUUUUUUUUAAACUAAACGGAAAAAAACAAAAAAGGAAAAAAAGGAAAGGUUUGGUGGUAGAUGGAGUUAGAUUAGUGAUACCAGGUUUUGGCUCUGAUACCAAACUGAUGCAGCGGAAGUUUAAUGUUUAAAAUAUUCCGUUGAUUCUAGAGAAUACCGGAAUAAAAGAACAACUAAAUUCACGUUGAUUCAAGAGAAUACCGCGAACUUAGGGGUUAAGACUCGUUGAUUCAGAAUACCGAGAAUUAACUGUUCAAAUACUCACAAAGAGAUUUGAAAAUUGAAAUAUUAUUGAACUCAAAAUUCUACCUUCAAAAGCUACAAAAGACACUUAUUUAUACUAAGUAAGACUUAUCCUAAUAUGAUUAGAAAACCUAUUUUAAUAAGACUUAUGCCUAAAUUAGGAAUAUUACCCAAAUAAGCAAUACAUAAACAAUACGACUCUAAAUAGGAAACCAAAUUAAACUAGAAUACAAAUUAAUUAAAAUAUUCCUAAAUAUUAUACAUUUAAAUAUAAUUAGGAUUUCUUCAAUUUCUUGCUCUGCAUCACAAGCCUAUCCACUAAAAAACUUAGAUGCAUUCUUUGUCAACACUGAGUCAAGACGAGCCACUAAUACUAAAGUGGAGUUCCUCGCUAACAAAUAUAGUGUAAAGUGCUCUGUAACAUAUACACCCUAAUUUUUCCUAAUUAAGUGUAUUAUGUAUUUUACAUUACGGUAUUAAUUUUUAAAGUCAUCAGAUUGGUUAUAAAUUAUUAUGGGAAAACUUGACGUGACUCGAUUUCUUAUCAUGAAUUAAUGGAUUUGGGUCGAGUUAAUAAAUGGAUCAUGUUUUGAAUAAAUUUAAAAUUUGUCAUGACAUAAAUUGAGACAAAUCGAACGUGAUAAAGGGUCUUGUAGUCGGAUUUUAUUUUCAUCAUGGGCCUGGUAUUAGCUUAAUUUGUAUUAAGCUAAAAGAAAAAGAGAGGGAACCGUUACUAUAAAUGGAAAGAGAGAGGAGUUGGUUUCCAAAAAUAGAAAGAGAGACUUGUUUGACCCGACCGCGACCUGUGACUUUGACUCGGCUCCAGCCGUUGAUUCCGGCCACCACUCCGGCCGAUCCAGGUACCAAUUUGAAGCUUGAAAGAUGAGCAACAUAUCCUUACCAUCUUCAUCGCUGGAUAAUGGCCAGAUUACCGACGAUUUAGCCCGAAAAGAUCACGGCUCCACCUAUUUUAGUUGCCAUCGAUUUCACUGGAAUUAGGCUGCAUCACCACUUGGAUCUUGAUCCUCAGCUCACCUUCAUUGUUUUUCGACCAACCCCACCACCUAAAACCUCCGUUUUGGCCGUGAACGAUUGUCGGAAAGCUCACGGCUUUGGGAGCACAAUCCGCCGCCAUCGCUGCGUGUGGGAGGUCACUGCGGGCACCAUUGGACUCAUCGAGGUCAGAACUGUCAAGUCUGAGCUUCCUGUCGUCGUUGAUUGAAUUCCCGUCACCGUUGACUGGCAGGGGCAAUUCAGAGGACCCGCAAACGAGAAUCAACCCGCGAACGUUGUUGAUACCGAGUCUGGACAUUGUCACUAUGAGUGGAAUAUUCAAAACAUAUUUUCAUAGUUUAUUAUGAUAGUAAAGCAUAUUUGCAAAAUGAGUAUUUUAAUUAUUUCGAUUUAAUGAUUUUGUCGAAAUGGAUUUUAUUCACGAAUUGAUAUUUUAUUAAAAUGUUAGUUAAUGGAUUUCCGGAUUGAUUUUGAAUAAAUCAUGCUAGUAAUUUUAAGACUAGAAAAAAUGUGUUAGUGAAAAGAACAAUAUGAUUGAUAGUAUGAUUAAAAGGUAUAUGGUUAUGAGUAUAAAGAUUGUUUUGAAGUCAUUCGACAGUACCCUUCCCCUCCAGAUACAGUGAUACAUAUGAUAUGAGAUGAGAGGCCUUUAGGGCCCGUCUGAGUACACACAGAGGCUUUGGGCCGUGUACUUGGGCGCAUUGUCGUUUGGGGACCAGAUCAUCCAUGCACAAAUAUGAUGAGACAUGAUGAGAUAUAUGAGAUGAUACUUACCGGUCUAUCCGUGUAGCUCCGGCGCAUGAUGGUACUUAGAUAGUACAUUAUUGCCUGUUCGUUGAGGUCCGGAAAUGAGACAUGAUGAGAUAUAUGAGAUGAUACUUAUUGGUCUAUCCGUGUAGCUCCGGGGCAUGAUGGUACUUAGAUAGUAUGACAUUGCCUGUCCGUUGAAGUUUGGAUAUGAGAUAUGAGACAUAUGAGAUGAUAUUUUAUUUGAUGAACUUCUUCAAAGAUAAAAUUGAAAUAUUUUUCAAUCGAUUGUUCGCCCCAACGGUGACUAUUGAUAUGAAAAAUACGUAGAUUGAAACAAUGGUUAUACACUCAACUAAAAUUUGUUAUUAACCUUCCCAACGAAGCUAUGUUAACAAAUUUAGGCCCAAAAGGAUAACGAUAAUUAUUUAUCAUGUAUCUACAUGAAAGUAAAUAAUCUAAUGGAUAAUUGGGUCUAGUAAGUGUAGACAUGACUUCCCCAACGGAUAGCUUGUCAAAGCGGUACUAGAUUAUCGUUACAAUAAAUUAAAAUGUAUUUAUGAUUUUUUGCAUUUUUGUCAUUUAUUGUGAAUAUUGUUUCAAAGUAUUUAUGCAUGUGUAUUUUAUUUUUUCAGAAAAUGUCUUCCAUCAACCCAUUAUUAAUUAUCCUUGUUAAAAAUGAACUCACUGGCGAAAAUUAUUUAGAUUGGAAACGCAAUCUAUUUAAUAUUUUCACUGCUAAGGGAAGCAAAUAUGUGUUGACCCAGCCUUGCCCUCCUGAACCAUCGUUAUACGAUUAUAGAAAUCAGAGGGAGCCUUAUGAGAAAUGGUGCGAAGCUAACAAAAUGGCUAAGCGCUAUAUAUUGGCUUCGAUUUCUGUGGAACUGCAUAAGAAACAUCGGAGCAUGGAAACAGCCACUGAAAUAAUGGCUAGUCUUCAUCAGAUGUUUGGGCAAAAUACCCAUUUUGCCAGAGAAGCAGAAUUAAAACGUAUUACGCAUACUAAGAUGGAAGAGGGCACAAAAGUUCGUGUCAUGUCCUCAAAAUGAUGGACUAUUUGAAUGAGGUAGAGAUUCAAGGUGUUCAAAUCAAUGAUAAAUCAAAGAUUAACAUGGUGAUUGAAUCUUUACCUGAUACAUUCAAAGAGUUUAAGGCUAGCUAUAUCUUAAAAGAUAUUACCUUAAUUGAAUUAAUGCACGAACUACAUGCUAUAGAAGAAUUUUAUCAUAGCAGAAAACUUCCUGAAAAAGGAUUCUCUUCAAGGCUUAAGUCGAAAGACAAGAAUGAGCAAGCAAGAGUUGGGAUCGGCAAACUGUCCACUAAAAGAAGUGGCAAGCCAAAAGGAAAGUGUUACAAAUGUGGACAGAAGGGUCACUGGAAGAAAGAUUGUCCUAAGAUUAUUAAGAUUAUUAAAAUUAGGUAUAGGAAAUCUUUAAGCUUCCUAAUUAGUUCAGAUUUCUAUUGAUUCAUACAAUAAUGAAUUCUGAGAUAACUAAUCUUAUUUGUAAUUCAUUUAUUUGGUUUUAGAAAACCAGAGAUUAAGUGAAGAAAGCUUCAAACAGCAGUUGAAGACAUGCUAGUUUAUAUCAAUUGAAAGGCUAGAUCAAUUUUACAAGACUUAAAGUUUUGAUAUUUGUCUUUAUUUUUCCAUAUAUUAGAGGAAUUUAAUUUCGGUGACUUGUUUUAAUAAACAGGAGUACGCUGUUAUUUUUUUAUCCUCUGUUUAUAAAGACAAUUUAUAUCAUAUAAGUCCAUUGAUCUAUUCAAAGCAAGAUAUAAUAAUAAAGAGUAUAUGCAUUUAUCUAAGAAAAGAAAUGUUUCUUCAAACCAAAAUAACCUCUGAUAUUUAUGCUUAAGUCAUAUAAACUAUAAUAAGAUUUUAAGAAAAUGAUUAAUGAUAGACUUGUUGGCCUAUUAAGAUUGAUCAUUGUAACUCUAUAAAUCUUAUUUAGAAAAGUAAUAUGACAAGGAUGCUCGUUUAGAGCUAAAAGCAUAACAUUGUAUUGGAUGAUUUAGCGCAUACAAAUGUAUACGGACUAAUCAGUUUACAUGUCAUAAGAGGUUAUGAGUAUUCUAUCAAUCAUGUUGAUGAAUAUUCAUUUUAUUUAUGUUUGUCUAAAUGUGUCAUGAUUUCAUUGCUUUUGAAAUUCAAAAGAGUACGUGGAUAAGACAGAAGGAAUUAGACAGGAACAUAAAAGCACUUCGAUUUGAUCGAAACAAAGAAUAUCUCUAUGGAGAAUUCAAGCACUAUUUGAUUGUCAAUAAACAAUAUGAUACAAUAGUACAUUUAAAUGGAGAAACAAGAUUCUUUUGGAUAAAACAAGAUAUAUACUAAGUGGUUUAUCAUUUACCUUUUUUAUUCCAGAUACUAGUAUUUAAAACUACAAAGUUUAUUGAACUUAGUCUCAUCUAUCUCAGUGUCUACUACUCCAAGAAAUUAUGAAAAAGUCACAAACAUGGUUUGAGACACAUUUGUAUUUGGAGUUUACUAGUAUUUCUACUAGAAUCAGAGGUAGAGAAGAUGGAUUUGUGUUCAGAAGCUUGCAUGUUUAAGGUAUCUUAAUGGAAUAAGGGAAAGUCUAAAUUAUAGUCCUCAAGAUAGGAAUGUAUUUAUAGACAUAUUCUUUACUUUUUUUGAGGAAGACUAUAUAAUGACUUAUAACCUAAGAGUAAGGUAAAACUAGAUAAAUAAAAGAGAUCAGGUUGAUGCUCAGCUUUCAACACCUGUUAUAGAACAGGAAGAACAGUAACAACCAGCUGAUCAGCACAUGAUUAUCCUUGAAGAACCAUCACUUUUAGAACCUCGUCGUAGUGGGAGGGUAACUAGGUUACCUGCUAGAUACAUGUUAUUGAGAGAAACCUAUAUGAUGAUCUCAGUUGAACAUGUAUAAGAUCCCACUAGUUACAACGAAGCUCUAAUAGACAGAGAUGUUGAAUUUUGGAAAAAGGCCAUGAAUCAAGAAAUGUAAUCUAUGAAUUCCAAUAAAGUCUGGGAACUUGUAGAGGCACCAAAUGGGGUAAAACCUAUAGGGUGCAAGUGGAUCUACAAGAGAAAAAGAGGAGUAAACGGAAGGGUGGAAACAUUUAAAGCAAGAUUAGUAGCCAAAGGGUUUACUCAGAAAAAGGGAAUCAAUUAUGAUGAAACAUUUUCUCUGGUUGCUAUGCUUAAAUCCAUCAAGAUUCUGCUCUCCAUUGCUGCAGUGCUAGAUUAUGAAAUUUGGCAAAUGGAUGUCAAGAUUGCCUUUAUUAACGGGCAUCUUGAAGAAGACAUCUACAUGCAGCAACCAGAUGGAUUCGUACAAAAGGCCAAGAACACAUGGUAUGUAAGUUGCAGAGAUCCAUUUAUGGAUUGAAGCAAGCAUCCCGGUCAUGGAACAUCAGAUUUGAUCAAGCGAUUAAAUCGCUUGGAUUCAUUCAGAACAUUGAUGGACCAUGUGUGUACAAGAAAAUUCAGGGAAAAUUUGUAGCCUUCCUAGUUCUUUGUAUAGACAAUAUUCUCCUGAUUGGAAACGAUAUAGGAGUAUUGACUACAAUAAAGAUUUGGUUAGCAAAACAAUUUGAUAUGAAAGACCUGGGAGAGACAAGUUAUAUUCUUGGUAUCAAGUUACUACGAGACCAAAAGAAUAAAACUUUAGCUUUGUCUCAAGCAGUCUAUAUCGAUAAGAUAUUGGCUAGAUUUAGCAUGGAAAAUUCAAAGACUGGUUUAUUACCAUUCAAACAUGGAAUUACAUUCUCUAAGGAUCAAUCACCUAAAACAUCUGAAGAGAUAGAGAGAAUGAGACGAGUUUCCUAUGCAGAAGUUGUGGGAAGUCUCAUGUAUGCCAUGUUUUGCACUAGGCCAGACAUCUGUUUUGCGGUAGGGAUGGUUAGCAGAUAUCAAUUUAAUCCUGGACCUCAAUACUGGACUACAGUCAAGCAUAUUAUAAAGUAUCUGAAAAGAACUAAAAAUUAUAUGCUUGUGUAUUCUGGUGAUGAACUUAUUCUAGUGGGUUAUAUUAAUUCUGAUUUUUUGUCAGAUAAGGAUUUUAGAAAAUCAACUUCCGGCUAUGUGUUUACAUUAGGAAGUGGAGCUAUUAGUUGGAUGAGUAUGAAACAAUCUUGUAUCACAGACUCCACAACUGAAGCUGAAUAUGUGGCUACAUCUGAAGCUGCAAAAGAAGCUAUAUAGGCUCCGCAAGUUCCUACAAAAUCUUGAGGUGGUACCAGUUGUAACUACACCCCUUAAACUAUUUUGUGAUAAUGGUGGUGCAGUAGUUCAAUCUAAGGAACCACAAGAAACAAAACAUACUGACAGGAAGUAUCAUCUUAUAAGGGAAUAGUGUAGAAAAGUUAUAUGACAGUACCCCAAAUGGCAUUAGAUGCUAAAUGGCAGAUCUUAUUACAAUGGCCAUUAGUGGGAAACCUUUAUAACCUGCACUUAGAGCCCUAGAGCAUGUGCAAUAUGCCAGAUAUGCUUUGAGAGCUAGUGGGAGAUUGUUGGGAAAAUAUGCUCUUUAAAAGCAUAUGUGUUUAUUUAAUUGUAAUAAAUAUUUUUUCUGAUUAAUAAAAUUAAUGAGGUAUUUUAUUCAAAUAUCUAAUUGCAUUAAUAUUUAUAUUAAAGUCCAUUUAAUCAUAUUAUAUGUAUUUAUGUGAUCACCAUGUGGAUUCGCAGAAGACAUAAAUACAAGUUAUCUUAUGAUUAAAUAAAUUUAGUUCGCAGUUGAUAAAUAAAGUUGGGCACUUUAUUUAUGUAUAGACUGUAAUGAAUUCAUUGAAUGAUUUGUCUUAAUCAUAUAUGAAUUUAUUGAUGUAGUACAACUACAUUGAACAUGAUCACAUGUGAGAUUUAAUUAACCUUAAAAUGACUGUCAGACUUAUUAAAUCUCAUAGGCAUUGAUUUUACUGUAAUCUUAAUCUUGAGUUAGUUAUGAUUUCAUGAUUGUAAUUGUUAUUUCAUUUGAGUUACCAAUGGGCACGACACAAAAUUUGGCAAGAUUACCCGGUAUCUUAGUGGGAGCAAUUAUGAGUAUUGACGUUAUGGAUUAACAAUAUAGAAUUUGUACAACACAUCUCUUGAUGGGUUUUCGGCACUUGAUCAUAGAAUUCUCUGGCCAGAGUGUGUCAACAUAUUUAGUAUGUUGAAAAUGAUCAUUAGAGAAAACCAGUAAGUAUCAAGGAAUAAGAUGUUACUAAAUUGAUUGGACAGUUGAGAUAUCAAUUUAAUUAACGAUGUGGUACAAAGGAUUGUGCAGUAAAGAAAUCAAUGUGGCUUGGGACGAAUUAUUAUUCGAGCAUACAAUUAUGGAGGUCAAUUCCAAUCUUUUAAUGGAGUAGAUUUGGAAUUAAAUAAUUAGGCUAGUUUAAUUACAGGCCUAAUUGUUAUAGCCACUAUUGUAUGUUCCCAAAUGAUCCCCGGGUUAGCUCAUUUAAUUGACUGCACCACUACUGGAUUAAUAAGCAAGAUAACUAGCUAUUUGGGUCAAAAGCCUAAAUAUAUCAUUUAGUGGGAGGCUCCAUUUAAUUAGCUUGUGUGUAAGGGGCCUUAUGUUAUUUUACAAGGUGGGUCCCCUAUGGAAAAAGCAAGUAACGUGAGUUUUGUUUUUUAUUAUUUGGAGCCUAGGGUUUUCACUAAAGGGAGAUAUAAAAGGCUUAUUUUCUCUAAAGAAAAAUAGAGCAGCCACUUUAUACAGAUCGGAGAAAAAGAUUUUUCUCUCUAUUGUUGAGAGAAAAAUUUUCUCGUGCUAGUUGCUUUGGUAGUGAUAAAGGCGCCCACACGUCAAGUGCAGAUCGAACCUGAGUCAUAACCUGGAAGAUCAUUGGUGACAGUUCGUGAUCUAACAAGCGUGGUGGUGACGGAUCGUGAUAAAAAAGGAGUGGUGGUGGCGGAUCGUGAUCUAGGAGCCUAAAUCACUUCAACGGAAAAAGCCAAAUCGAAUUUUCAAGGUACGAUUUCAAGAUUACAAAUUCUUAUAUAUUAUAUAAGAGCGAUCUUCAAAAGGUUUUAUAAAAAAUUUAAAAACCUAAUUUUUCCCAAUAGCUUGCCCUUAACUCUGUCUCUAAAUCAGCAGAAGAUAGGCCAACAAUUAAUGGUUCAUAUGGCAAAACCACUUACAAAAUUGUAUCACUCUAGUUAUUCUCAUUAUUAAUACUUUUUAAGCUUUGACUGUUUAGUUUUAUACAAAGUGAGUGAAUUGUGGGACCUUUAUUUUGAUUAUGGAUCUUUCCUUCUACGUAUCUUGUUGAUACUUUAUGUUUCUCUAAUUGCACCAACUUUAGUUAAGGCAAUUAAAGAGCUAAUAGUGAUUUGUUUGAAGAAAAAAAAUAUUCUUUUUUUACUUUUACAUUAUCUGAUAAAGAAUUGUUAUGAAAUGAUUGGCUUAAGUUUCAAGUGAUUAUUUAGGACAAAUGUUAUGCUUCAGUUUACUUUAACUUCUUGAUAGUUCAAUGGAACACAAUUAAAAGCUUUACACCAUCGGAGUAAAUGUGAUGAAUCAAUGAUUGUAUGAGUCUUGUGUUAAGUCAAAAUCAAUUAUUUAGGACCAUAAUUGAUAGCCCCGAGGGCACGAUGCAUAGUAAUGUAUGGCUUCGUUUAUGUCACAAAUGUCACAUUAAUCAUUGAACACAUGGUGAUGAGGAUUACUAUUAAACUUUCAAUGGCAAAGUUUCAAUUUAUAGACUGUCAUAUCAAAGCUCUCUCUCAAGCUUUUAAAGGCAUUGGGUUUUCCUUAGCUGAACACACUUGAAUUGGCAAGCUAGAGAUACAACUUUUAAUACUCUAUUUCUUUUUCUUCAGUUACUUUGCGUGUAAUUUACCUCUAUAUUUUUUUUUCCAAUGAUUUCAUUCUAGAAUUACAAGUUGUACUCCUUGUUUUAUCUUGCUUUAACUCAAUAAAAGCAUUUUAUUGGCUUAUGAAUAGGUGUUAGAUGAGUUCUUUUUUGAGAAAUAAAAUCAAGCCACUACUAGAAAAAUGGUCUUUACUGACACUUGGUUUGUGACAAUUUUUUAAAAAGUAUCAGUAUGUUCAUACAUAUGGACCAUUUUCCAUGUUUAACAUAAAAAUAUCACAAAUUACUGAUAGUAUAGUGUUUGUAACUUAGACAUCAGAGAUUUCUGACAUUAAGGUAUCAGUAAUAAAAAUAAAGUAAUUCUAAUUAAGUUCCAAAUAAAACUCGAACCAAGGACCUCUAGUACUCAAGCGUUUAAGUUCCCAAAAAAAGACCAGGACGUCCAAAUCUCAAAUUUUCUAAUUUAGAAAACUAACUACUAAACCAAACAUUAAUUUUUUUUUAACUUUUAAUUUAGAGAAAAUUUUUAAUCUAUCUCGUCCCUCCUAAACUCCCUAAAUCUAAAAAACCAUAACUUCACCAAAUUCACAAAACUCUAAUCUAACUGCGUCGUCUUAUCAACCCCGACUCUUCUCUCAGCCACUCCUCUCUUAUCUUUAUCUUACAAUCCAACACAAUCUCUUACUAUCUAACUCAAUUUUUCCCUCUCAAUCUUGCCUCUCUUCAACUACCCGAAGGAGAAAGGAAAACAAAGAAGACUCGCCCAUUUGAGUCGUUGCGAGCCGAAAAGCGUACUGACGAGCGCGUUUCGAUCCGCGAAGGCAAUCGCUCGAAUGUUCCCCUAACCCAACCCGGGAACGGAACAGACUGGAGGGAACCACAGUGAAUCAUCGCUUUUGGGCGCAGGCAGCCCUCUACCAUCCAUCCCAUUGCAUUCCAUCGUCUCGCUGGCUCAACUGAACAAUACAGGUUUCGCUUCCUCUCCCUUGCGGUUGAGCCUGCUCUCGAUCCAACUUAAUUUUUCCCUCUCAAUCUCGCCUCUUUUUAAUCCAUAACCUUAAAAUCUUUCUAUUACAAUCCAACAGAAUCUCACGCGGCCGUGAAAUUCUAGCCACUUUUUUGCCUAAUGCCAAUCUUCGUCAUCGAGAAAAAUGAUUUGAGGGUUUAAUUUAGCUCCAAGAUCAUGGACGGAUGCCUUGGUCAAAGUUAAAGAGUGUUGUUAGAGGUUGUUUAAAGAAGAAGAAGCAGAAGCACCACUUAGGUGAAGCAGUUGUAGAUCUGGGCAUGGUAAAUAAAUAAGGUGAGCAUUAGCUAAAUAAUUAAUAAUUAUUAAAUAUUCUCUACUUAUAUGUGAAUUUAGUAAGAAAUUAAUUUAGUUCUUUUUGUUGAAUUUUAAGUAGGUUUACUAAUUCUUUUAUUUUUAUUCAGUUAAUACACGGUUUUAGAAUUUUUUUUUCCACGUUUUGAUUUAUUGAUAUGUGAAUGGUAAAAGUUGUGUUAGUCAUUCAUAGUUUUUAGAGACUGGUAUGGGGUCUGCAAAGUGUUUGAUGAGAUGCUUGUGAGAAUUGUUGGGUGCGUUUCAAUUAGUUGACAUGGUUAGCAAAUUAUAUGCUAACAGGGUACCCAAAUCUCCCCCUUCUCUUCAGGGUAAUUCCAUGCAUUUCUUCUUCCUCUGUUUACACUCUCCUCAUUAUUUUUGGUAGAUAUGUCAUUGUUCUAUAUUAAUGUGUACAAGAUUUCUAUUUUUGGGUUUUGUGUUUCUUUUAUGAUCUUGCUUAUCUACUCUUUCGAAUGGAUGAACAAAAUGUUAUUGGAGGAGAUAAGCAGCUGGUUCACUAGGGGGAAAAAAGUUGUUAGCUUUUGAUUGACUCGUUGUUUUGAGAACGAAGUACCUCUGUUUUUAUUAUAUACAUUAAACGGAAAAAGGCUUAAGCUUUUAUGAAUAAAAAUUCUUACUUUUGCUGUGUACUUACUCUUUGUGAUGAGAUUCUUCUGCUUUGAUUUUGUUUUGGAAGAAAGCCUGGGAUCAGUGAUGUCAAUUAGCACAAGUAGAAAAUGAUAAUAUAAUGUUUUACGUGUCUUUCUUUCAUAGUACAUGGAAACUAUGUAUGAGUGCGUAAGAGAGAAAUCAUGAAAUAAAUAACUUGGCGAUGACCGUGUCGUCGUCGACGGUCUUGUCAUCAUCGGCAGUGGUACUGUUGAGAGAAGAAAGAAAGAACCUUUGAUUCAAGGUGGGGAAUUGUGAAGAUGGCUAGUGAAUCAAACUAGUUCUCCAAAAAUGACAAUGUUUGAGACCUGAGAAGCAUUAUAAAGUUAUGUGCUACUCAUAUUACAUAUAACAUAAAAUCGGUGUUUUGGUCAAUAACUUAAGUAACCACAUAAGAAAGCAAGUUAGUUAAGUUUGUUGACCAUGUGUCAACAAACUGUACAAUCUAAAAAUAAGCUUGUUAUUGAAAUAGGGUAUAUAAGUUGGUUCUGAGAGCUAUCUUCGGGUGUGAUUCUAGGGUCAUGUAGAAAGAGAUUUAAGAUAGAGAAAGCAUCAUCUUGUUCUCUGUAUUGUUUUUGGUAUAAGGCUUUGUAACUGACUCCAUUUUUUAAUCAAUAAAAGCUCGUAUAAAAGCUUUCCCCAUGUAUGUUGGAUGAGCAUUUUUUAUGCACAACUUAACCACAUUAAUCUUUGGCAUUCUUUGUAUUUUUUAUAGUUUGUGUUUUUUAUUAUUUCUAAUCAAGAUUCUUGUUGCUAUAUUGAUUAUGAUUUGAUAUGUUUAAUCAUGUAUUUGUGCAAUAUAAAUUGAUUUAAUCAAUUUGAUCUUGGGCAAUGAUCAAUUUUGUUUAGUUCAAGAACAAGUUGGUUACUACAUGUGAUCCUAUCGGUAAUUUCUCUACUAAAGAGCUCAAGUCAGCAACAAAUAAUUAUGAUACAUAAAAAGUUGGAACACUGAAAAUGGACAACGAGUUCUACAAAACCACCUAGUUUCUAUCAUGAAGUUUGUAGACUCUGAUUAUCCACAAGAAUUUUGUUCUUGUUUUAUUACUCUUGUAUUUAUAUCACAAAUGAGCCACAAAAUGUUUCAAGGUUGAUUGGUUGCUGUCUACAAACUCAAAGACCCAUUCUAGUUUUUUAAUCUAUUGAGUAUGUGUUAAAGGGGCUUGGCCUAAGCUUUCUAGGUAUCCAACCCAAAAAAUUAGACUAUUAGGUGGAGUGACCUAUCCUACAUAUAAAUCAAGUAUCUCCCCUUUACUAGUUAAUGUGGGAUACAACUCAAUAAUUUCCCCUGAAAAAAACCACUAUAAAACUUUGAUCCUUUCAUCUGACACAUUUGAGUUGUUCUACCACUACAUUCUAGCUAAUAGGGUCUGGCUCUAAUACUAAUUGUUAAGAGAACUUGGCCUAGAAUUUCAAAGUAUCUAACCUAAAAGACUAGCCGAUUAGGUGGAGUAACCCAUCCUACUUAUAAAUUCAAGUUUCUCCUCUUUACUAACCCAUAUAGAAUACAACUAAUAAUCAUCCCUUGGACGAAACCACUAUUGCACUCUGGUCUUUUCAUUCGACAUACCUGAGUUGUUCCACUAUUACAUUCUGGUUAUUAGGGUCUGGCUUUGAUAGCAGAUGUUGAAAGGUCAACUUAAAAUGGCUUGCUAAUGGUGCUUAAACAAGUUUGGAAUCAUUAAUACCAAACCUUAGUAAAACUUUCUUGAUAUAGUACUGCUAAGUUAAAAAUAUAACUUUCUUUCUCCUAUCUUUGAUUAUUUCUAUCCCUAGAAUCUUGUUUGCAGCUCUAAGAUCUUUCAUUUCAAAUUCACUACUCAAAGACCCAAAAACUAUUGCAGAGCAAUAGAAAAUGACAAGAUUUCCUUACUCUAGCUCUAUUGGGAGUCUUAUGUGAUUGUAGUAAGCAAAUUUAUGACUAAUCCAAGCUAUGAACAUUUGAGAGUAGUAUAGUGGUUAAUGAGGCUCCUGAGGGCACUGUAGAGUAUGGUUUCAUGUAUGGUGGAUCGAAAGAUGAAGAAUGCAUUUGGAUUGGUUGUGUUGAUUCUGACUUUGCAGGGCACCUCGAUAAAAGAAGAGGUUGUGUUGUAAACUAAAAGGCUACAUUACAUAGUGUGGUUGCAUUAUAUAAAUUGGAGGCUAAGUACACAACUAUUGCAGAAGCUUUCAAGGAGGCUAUUUAAUUUAAUGGAAUGGUCAUUAAACUUGGAGCAAAGUAAGAGUCAGUUAAUGUGUAUUAUCAUAGUCAAAGUGCAAUGCAUCUAAACAAAAAUCAGACUACUCAAGAAAGAACAAAGCAUAUUGAUGUGAAGUUGUAUUUUAUAAGAUUAGAAGUAUUAACAAGAAGUGUGAAGCUUAUGAAGAUACAUACAUAAGAAAAUCAAGCUGAUAUGCUUACCAAAGUUGUACCAUCUGCUAAGUUUAAUCUUCGCAUGAACUUAACAAAGAUUUGUAGGUUUUAAUGGCUACAAGUGUUGAGGAAGAUAGCUGACGAGAGUAGUUAAAGUUAUGAGUUCAAAGUGGAGAUUGAUAAGUAUGAACUCAAAACUCAAAUGACCGGUAUGUAAUUUUGAGGAUUCAUGCUUGUAUGACAUAUCAUUGUUAGAGUUGUAGUGUAGAACCAAUGUGGUUGAGUGUUCUUGUGAACUCAAAUGCUAUUGGUGUCAAUGUACAAAUGUACACAAUAAGUAAUAUGAUAAUAAGUAUUCAAGAUCGUCUACACGUGGAUUGAUGUUACCAGAUUUAAUACAUCAAUCUGUAACAGUGCAAUGAUUGUUCUAAAUUUAAAUAAGAAAAUUGAUAAAAUUAAAUGACUAACUAAAAUAUAAAAUGCAAUAAUUAAAAAUUCAAUAAAUUAAAUUCUCACGUCAAACACAAAAGUAACCAAUGGGAAUGAAGUAGUUGAGUGAUUAAACUUUCUUAAUGGUUUUGACUAUUUCUUGUAAUUUCCGGUUCAGUUGCUAUAGCAUCUGCUACAGCACUGGGCAGAAUCCUUAUAUAUCCUUAGCUGUGGCAUGUUGGAUGUCUUAUAUCUAUAUACAACCGAACAGUGACCAAUUGUUAUGCCAACAUAAGAUAUAGCAUUACACACUUAGAAUCUAUUUACUCUAAAAGGUAAAUCCUUAUGUCUAGUUCAUCACUAAUUUUAGAUUAAGCACGACCCUUUGGAAUCACGUGAAACUCAACUCAGGAAACCAAAUCUAAAAUCAAGUAUUGCUCUGAUAUAUUCCAUUAAGAUAGGCCAUUUUUUGGCUCUUUCUUAGCUUGUAUCAUUAAAUGGGUGGUCAACCGAAAUAAUGAAUAGAAUAAGCUUUACCAGAACAAAAUGCUAUAGCAAACAUGCAGCAACAUAUAAACUUAGUCAAAAAACCAUUAAGAUUAUCUAUCACUCAACCACAAUUAAAUUAGUUCAUGGUUUGCGAAAGAACAAUAAAUAAAUGAGUUUCAGUCAUUAAAUACAUCCCAAUUAAUAAACAGAAAACAAGAGAAGAAUAAAAAAGGUUGAAUUCCCGAUUGAUUUCUGCAAAUUCUCCUUGUUGUAGCCCUUAGUUUAAAUCUUUAAUUCUCUUUUUGUUGGUUAUUUAUACUCAAUUGCUAUUAAUGUCAAUGUGCAAGUGUACACAACAAGUAAUAAAGUGAUGAAUAUUCAAGAUCGUCUCCACAUGGACUGAUGUUACUAGAAAUGCUACAGCAAUCACGAUAGUGCAAACUUCCUUUAGUUCAAGAGGAAUCUAGUUAAAGUUGAUUACUAUCGAAAUUAACAAUUGUAAGAAAAUAAAACAAAUAAAUGAAGUAAUGAAUUAAACUAUAUGAAUUGCGUAAAAAGAAUUUAAUGAGAAUGAAGUAGUUGAAUGAUCAAACUCUCUUCAUGGGCUGACUAUUUUUGUUCAAAUUAACACCAGUUGCUACAGCAAUUACUACAGCACUGGGCAUAAUUAUUUUGGACUUCUCAUACCCUUAAGCACCCUAACAAUGAUCAGUUGUUAUUCUACCUAAGGUAUGGCAUUAUGAACGUACACUCUCUCUACCCUACAAGGUGAAUUCCUAUAUCUAGUUCUUCACAAAUCUUAACUAAAGUGUGGCCCUUUUGGGACUCAAGUCAAACUCAAUCCAGGAAACUUAAAUUAAGAUAAAGUAUUACUCUAAUAAUUUCCUCUAAGACAGACUCUUUUGCGGCUCUCUCUUAACUUGAACUAUUAAAUGGGUGCUCAACCGAAAUAAUGAUUGUAAUAAAAGCUAUCAAAGUAAAAUGUUACAACAAUCUUGCAACAACUCAUAAGAACAGUCAAAACUCAUUGAGAUUGUUUGUCACUCAACUACAAUCAAAUUUAGUUCAUACUUUGAAAAAGAAAAACAAACAGCAAAGUAGCAGCCAUGAAAUACAUCGGUUCAAUCAAAGAAUAAGAAAAGGAACAAGUAAAGAACGAUGAAAAUUGAAUCCAAAAAUAGUUCUGCUAAUUUCUUCACUGGUGCAAACUUGUUUUCCCUUGAACUUUGAUUUUUCCUCUUGAUUCCUUCGAUGUUAAUUCCCCGCCGCUUUUUCAUAUGAUGCGUGCUCUUUUUAUAUCUGAAAACUAGGGUAAACAGAAUCCUAGGGCGCGCAUAAGUCAGAUUAGAAAACUGCAGAUCGCGAUUUUGCAUAUAUCCCGCGCUAAAUUUUCUCUGUCGUUGUUCCAGAAUUGCUACAACAAUGGUUGCUCCAGCAACGACUACAACACUACAUUGUUCCAGAUUUUGUUUCAAUUCUUUUGUAGCCAUGUUCUUCCUCCUUUUCGCAAGCCUAUUGCAUCAGCAUUCCUUCCGUGAAAUAUAAGCUUCUGGAUACCUACACUUAUGCACACAAUUGGAGACGAAUUACUCUAAGUCAAGUAAAAUUUAGUAAGAUUAAACUAAAAUGAAUGUUUAUGCAAAAUGUAACAAAAAUGCAAUAGAAACACAUCAUUUACUCUCUAAGUAAUCUUGAUUUGAGUCUAGAAUUGCUAUAAUAACUCUCAUUUCAUAGAGUUAUCACUUUUCAUAUUGGGCACAUAGUAAACAUUCAAAAUUAUUUGGUGGCUACCAUCUUUUGCACGAAAAAGAAUGUUACCUCUACCCUUCACUGGUACUUUUGAAUCAUCUCCAAAAGCAACAAUGCCAUUCACAUAUUCAUUUAGUUCCAUAAACAUGCUUCUGUUUCCGUUUCCGCUCAUAUGAUUGCUAGCACCUGUGUCAAGAUACCGUGUAUUUUCUUGACCUCCACUUGUGUCAUUGCGUGCUAGUAAAAGAGUGUCAUCUUUACCAUUUUUCUCUUCAACAUAAUUCACUCUCUCAUCAACUUUGGUACUUGGAGCUCUACAUUCUGAAGCAUAAUGCCCAAACUUUUGACAAUUAUAGAAUUGUACUUGGGAUUUGUCAUACCUUGAUCUUGGAUUGCCUCUACCUCGUCCUCUGGUUGAGCUUUCUCCUUUGGCAUAAUUGGAGUUGCUGUUGUUGAAAUUCCAACCUCUACCUCAGACAUAGUGCCUUCUCUCAUUGUCGGAACUUUCUUCUCUUUUUUUUUUGGAUUGACUUCCAUCUUGAGAAGUUGUUCUUCAAUUCCUUGCUUCUUUUUUAUAUUUUUCUUCAUAGGCUUGCAACCUUCCUUGAAGUUGCUCGAUCGUCAUAUCUUUCAAAUCUCUUGUUUCCUCAAUUGUCACAACAAUAUGGUCAAACUUCGAGUCUACUGAUCGAAGUCUUUUUUCAAUGAUCCUUACCUCUUUUAACUCCUCGCCAUUUCUUUUUAAUUCAUUGGAAAUGGUCACAACCCGAGUAAAGUAGUCAAAAAUUGACUCUGACGCCUUCAUGUGUAAGGACUCAAAUUCUCUUCGUAAUGUUUGGAGAUGAACUUUCUUAACUUGCUCCGCUCCUUUGUAAGAGGUCUCUAGUUUCUCCUAUACUUCUUUUGAGGAGGUUGUACUAACAAUCUUUUCAAAAGCAUCUUCAUCUAAUGAUUGAAAGAUGCGAUACUUUGCUUUAUUCUCUUUCUUCUUAAAGUCUUUUAAAUUCGCCUUCUGCGCCGUAGUUAAAGUGGCUUCAUUUUCUGGCACAAUAAAGCCUUUUUCCACGACAUCCCAUAUGCCAUGUGCACCCAAUAGAGCCUUCAUUUUAAUACUCUAGUUGUCAAACUUCCCUUUAAUUGUGGAACUUGAAAUGACAUCAUACUAGUAUUUGCCAUAACUCACAAAUUGAUUGAGAAUUUGGAGAUUCUGAAUGCACAGAUAGAUCCGGCACGUCGAAAAACCUUGGGAGGAACUCGAGUCAACUUUCGGUCAACAGUCAAUGUCGGUUUGGUUGACUUUGUUCUGUCCGGCUUGGUUCGGCUCGCGUUGGCUCGGUUCGACUUGAUUCUGUUCAGCUCCGCUCGGCUUGAUUCUGUUCGGUUCAGUUUGGCUCGGUUCGGUUCAGCUUGCUUCAACUCAGCUCGAUUCGGUUCAGCUUGGUUCAACUCGGUGAGUCGACUUAGUUUCAGGACAGAAAAAUUCCGGCGGCGAGUGUGGGAGCGUCCGGUCUCCAAUCGGGAUGAUCUUUAUGGUAUCGCGUACCUCUCGUCGAGAGCUUCGAUUUAAUAUGCUAUACGGCUAUAUAUAGCUUCGAACACUAGCUCUGAUACCACUUUGUUGGAGAAUUAACAAAUAAAACACACAAAAAACACACUAUGUUAUUUCUUCAACAACACUCCUCACCAAAUACAACUCUUAUUUUUCACUCUUUACAACUUAGAGAAUUUUGUUACUUCACUUGAUGCAUAAACCAAAGGGGAGAGGGGGUAUUUAUACAUUAAACAAACUAAUCACAACCAUUUAAAUAAGAAAUUACAAAAAAUUAAUAACCAUUCAUCUUCACCUACCAAAUCUACCACACCUAACACAAAUAAUUCAAAUCUCACCAACCAUACCUACUCAUGGAACCUUCCAUGAGUUGGGCUUGAAUUUAUUUAUCUUGGAUCAAGUUUAUGAUCCAACAGAUCAUACUACGUUUCAUUAGUUGCAUCGGUAAUCUUUACGUUGGUGAAUUGUUUUUUUUUUUUUUUGGCCGUUGUAUUUACUUCAUAGUCAUCUUCAUGGUUAACUCACUAUGUCUUCUUGACUAGGUUCUUGGCUUUUAUUUAAUAAAUGUCUAGUAUUGUCGACGUUAUUCCAAAAAAAAAAAGAAAAGAAAAAAAGAGUGACUGUUUCAUCCCUCAUAGAUGUUUUUGUCAGAAUCUAUAGCAUUCUCCAUGAAUUCAGAAACAAUUACCCGAAUCCAUACCUGUAGCACGCGAAAGUGGAAGUGGAAGAACCAAGGUUGAAUCACCAUUCAAUUUGGUCGGAAAGCAAUCACAAAAUUGGAAGUCUUCUUAAAUCACAGCAUAAGAAAUUUAUAUGCAAUGGGGCUCGAAUUAUAGAGUUCCCAAAAGUCUAAAGUGAGUUCUCUGCACUUUUCAAAUCUCAACAAUAUUUUGUUCUUCGUGCUUUUAUAUCUACACAUAAAACUAAAUUCUGUGCAAUUCUUAUUUUAUGUGCGUAGAGAGAGAGGAAAAAAAAAAAAGGAGGUAGAGAGGUUAGUGAUAACCACCAUGAUUCAGCUUCCUUUCAUCUUUUCUUUAUUUAUACGCUACUGCUAGUAAUUACUCAAGUGGUAAUUACUUCUAUAUGGGUUGGGUCCGAUCGGUUCAUCUUGUGCAAACCAUCUGGCAACUCCCCUAAGUCUAUCAAGUUGAUUUACUACUUACAUUCCCACUAGAAUUUUAAUUAUUUGCUUCAUCCCUACCAUUAGAAAUUAACGGAAGUAAUUGUGAAAGUAAGCAUAAAACAAUCAUUCAAAGUGUGAUAUUUUUAAAAAUUCAAAAUUAAAAUCUGAAAUAAGUUGUUAGGAUUAGAAAAAAAUUGAAAAAUGAAUGGUUUUUUUUUUUUGGAGCUAAACAGACCAAUCUUUUCCAUUUUCUCUUGGGUUAUAUUUCUGCACAAACAAAACUCUUCUCUUACCCGUGAAAUACUGUGUCACUCAUGAAACCCUUUCUCUUGUAGACAACAUCAAACCCAAAAAUCACUCACGACCGUUAACCAUCCAUACAUUCUGUUGUUCGAGACGUUUGUUUGAUGUGUGGCACAGCAUUUUGAUCGAAUCAGAUCGGUGAAAAUCAGUGGAGAUGGCUCCAAAAUCCUUCGAGGUUAGUUGUUCUAGGUAAACCUACCUUCAUUAUAUAGAAAAAAAUUAUUGUUGAUUUAUCUUUAUAAAUUGUAUAUGUUCGUAUAAAUAAGAAAUAAAGUUGAAAGCUUUACCUGUUUAAAACUACGAAGAUUUUGAAAAAUGAAAUGGGUAUUGAUAUGUAAUGGGUUUGAAAUAUAGAAGUACUAGAACCCCUUUACUUGAAAUGUCAUGAAAUCCUAUAAUGAGGGAUAGAAUUGUAAACGGACAAACUAUUGACUUUAUCUGUUAUCUUUUGACACAGAUGUAAUAGGUAAUUAAAACUCUAGUGGAGAUGUAAGAGGUAAAUAAGACAUAUCUAUCAAGGAUGAAACAUUUAUUUUCCCCCUCAAACAAAACAGAUGUUGGAGUUUCCUUAGCUUUCCAAAUUGGUGGUACAACAUGGAGUAGCUUCUGGACUUUUAUUUCAUAAACAUCUUGCAUUGUCGAGGUUAUUAAAAAUAAAUAAAAUAAAAUAAAAAUCCAGUGGUCGGAGCUUCCUUAGGCUCUCCAAAAUCACUAAUACAACAUGAUAUGUGUUUUAAGCGGAUUUUGGUUGCCAGGAAGAUGGAUAAAAAUCUCACCAAAACAAUGAAUUUUUUUUUAGGAGUUCAGGGUACCUCACUAAAUCGUGGCAUAGGGGGCUGUUUUAGGCUUUAAGGGAGGUGAAGAAGAAGGGUGCCCAGGGUGGAUAAUGGCGAGAAGUCUAAAACGGAGUGAGUUGGUUUGAGAUAGUGUCAGCACACCUGCAAAAUAGCCCAGGUAGGUUAGAGGUGGAGUCGACAGUGGCCGGUGACCACACUCCGAUGCUCAAGUCAGCUACUUAAAUUUUUAUGGAGGUGAGAGCUUGCAAGCUCUCUAAAAUGAAGGCUGAAGGUUGAAGAAGUACAAGGUUCUACGUUCAGAGAAUGUUAUCAUCCUGUCAUCCUCAUUCUCAAUCUUGGCAUUCCCUCCAUGACUUCACUUUGUCGGAUUCUUUACAGAAGAUUCUAAUGGAUUCUCUAAUUAUUUGUUUCAUUGAUAUUUUUCUUUCUUAUAGUUAGAUUCUUUCAAGCAUUUUAAUAAUUUGCCUGCAGAACUUUGGCUACGUUUUGUUGUGGCACCAUGCACUGUUUGAGAAGCAAAGCGAAAUACAACCUUCUGAUUGUUAUCAUUUUCUUUGUCUUAGACCGUCGAGGUUUCUUAAAAAUAAAUAAAUACGAUAGUAUUUAAAAACUUAAAGGACAUAUUACAUAUAAGCUCAAACACUAAUUUUUCAGAUAUUUUAAUUAGUUUUAGAAAAACAAACAAUGUAACAUUUAUAAUCAGAUAUUAAACAAUGAAAAACGAACAUAUCAUUUAAACUUAUGCAUUCAGUCAUAUUCCGAAUUCAAAAAUUCAGAAACCAUUUGCAACAACUUUAAUGGAGAAGUGACCAACUAAGAAAGGCUUGCUAGUGAGAUCACUGCAAUGCCAACCUCAGCGCCAGUGAGAAUAACAAGCUCGCUUGCCUUUUUAUAGAUCCCGGAUCUACGCUUGGAGAAUGUACUCAUCUCCUGUCACCUCAUUUUCAAUCCUCCUCUUCUCAAUCUUUUGAAGAAGUUAAAGGUUGACAUAAAGAAGAUUGAGAAUGAGGAUGACAGGAUGAUAACAUUCUCUGAACGUAGAUCUGGGAUCUACAAGAAAGCGAGUAAGCCUGUCACUCUCACAGGCGCCUAGAUUUGCCAUUAUGGUAGUCUCACCAUCUGGCGAGCCUUACUCCUUUGGUCACCCCUCCAUUGAAGCUGUUGCAAACCGUUUCCUGGGAUUGAACCAGCAGCCUAAUGACAACAGUCACCCUCUUGCUGAGGCUCGACGCCAAUUACCCUCUUUCCAAUACAACAAAAAAGUAUUUUUUCCUUUUAUUUUUCAAUUAGUAAUGUUAAAGCUUGAACAAGGUUUAAGGAAAAUAUCAAGAUAUUUAUAGGGAAUAGCGCGUAAAAUACACCUACGCUCGUGAGCGCGUGCAUGUGUUUAUGCAUAUGUAAAUGUAAACUUAGUUAUGUUCUUUCAAAAUUUACCAACUCAAGCUCUCCAAAUUACUAAUUCAAGCAUCUUACAGAUUAUUUUACCAAAUUAUUGAGAACUAGAAAACAACAACAUUAAUUAUAAAAAAUCUAAGCGUAUCUGACUAAUUCUACCUACUAUACAAGUUACCAAUUGCCUUCUAAGGGCUUGGUCGAGUGGUUUUCAAAUAGUUUUAUUUAGUUGGUCAUCAAAGUUCAAAUUUUGGGCAUGUAAAAGGUUAAAAAAUUGAUUGAGGUAUUGCCCACCUCUCUAUCUUCGAAAAAAAAAAGCAAAAAAAAAUGUGCCCAAUGGGCAUGGCCAAGUAAUUUUCUAAUAGUUUUAUUUGAUUGGCUGCCCAAGUUUGAAUCUUGGAAGGUAGGGUUAAAAAAAUUAAUUUAGAUUUACCGAUUACCCUUAAAAAAAAAAAGCAAAGAAAAUUUUGAUUUUGAUUUAGACUAAAUAUAAACUGAUUUUAAGGGUAUAUUUUUCUUGAGUCCUCGUUUGUAGAAAGAAAUUCACACCAAAAUUUUUAAAAAUACAUUACUUAAGUCCUUGUCAAUACAAAUUUGUCUCCUUCAAGUUCUUGAAUGAAUUUCAUAAUUAAAAAAAAAAAUAGCAUUAUGUCAUUUUACUCAGAUUUAAGCGUUCAGUCUUCUUAUUUUUAAUUUUAUGCAUGACAGUGCCAAGGUUUCAAGCUGACUAAGGUUAGAAAACCUCAGCUUUUAUAUUACUUGUUCUUUCCUAUUUUAACAGUUUCUUGUUGCUCAACCCUACUUCAUAAUUUUACAGGGUCCUUUGCUAUUAUAACCCCUCGUUCAACUUUAAUUUGCCGAUGAAGGAUCUUGAAAGCCAAUAUAUAGACUUGUAUAAAGACAUAAGAUAUUGCGCUGAAAGUGAGAGAAAAAAAAAAUACUCCUGAAGUUAAAAAAAUCUAAAGUAUUUAGUUGAAAGUGGGGACUUAUAUGUAUAGGGAAGAAAAAUAUGUGAUGAUAAAUAAUGUGAAAAACCUUCAAGUAUUUUGGUGUUAAAUCUAUUGUAAUUAUUGAGCAAUUGAAUUAAUUUUUUAAACUGUGAAAAAAUAACAAUUAAUAAACUCAGAUAAAAUAAGCUUUAAACCAUUAAUGUGAAAUAUAAGGUUAUAACUAGCCAGUUGAAGACAUGAAUAAAAUCAAUUUCAAUUUAGAAAAAUUAAAGUGACAUUUUAACAAACUAUGGUCAUGAGUUUCCUUCUUUUUUUCUUUUUUUUUUUCUAUUUUCUCCGCUUUCUCAAAACACAUAAUUAAUAAGCAAGAGCAAACACUUUGUACGCUUUAAUAUACUUGAAUGUAAUUAUGUGACUGCAUGUGUGGUGAAGGAAAUAAAAUCUAUAAUUUUCAAGAAUUAGCACUUAAAGGUCUCAACUAAAUACCCUUAUUUUGUUCCUACAUUACUUCCACUUACGGAUUAUUAUUUUGACAAUAUUGGAAGGCUUCAUUACUUCCAUAUAUGGACUAUCAUUGUACUAUUAUUAGAAGGCUUUUUUAAUUUGUUACCCAAUUAGUCUCACACGUGUAAUUAUGGUACUUCAAUGCUUCUUUUUUUUCAUAUCAAUUAAUCAUUCUUAAAUUUUUUUCCAAAAAUAAUUUUUUUGCUAGAUUUUUUAAGUGAUAAUAUCAUCACUAUAGAUGAUAUAUUAUAAUAUUAACAAUAGUUGGUGUGGCAGACAACCGGGACAAACUCUAUUUAUUUAUUUUUUUUUUAAUUGCACGUACCUUAAUGAAGCUCAAACUCAAGACCUGAGUCCUAAGGAAGCAGCUCCUUACCACAACUUGGCCUCAACUCAAGCGAACUCAUCUCUUCAAACUGGAAUACAACUUUAUCAAAGCCUAAUCAUUUCAUUAAGGUCCAACUGUGUCACCCCAAAGACACCGUAAAAUAAUUUAUUAAUUUUUAAUAAUUUUCUAAUUAUUUAAUAGUCAUUAUUCUUUUCGUUAGCCUUUUGUUUUCAAUUUCCACUGCUUUCAAUUUCCGCUGCGGUAGUCAUAUUCUGUUGAAUAAACAGAAUGAGAGAAUUCUCAUUUCAUAUACCUAUUUUUGGCACGCUCACGAAAAAGAGUCAUUUUAUCACAAAGUACUCACCGAGUAAUUUUCAAAUAAUUUUAUUACACUACCACCAAAAUUUAAAUUCCAGAAGUAAUAGUUGGUGUUGUAAGUCAGGUUUGCGAAGUGCUGGAUGUUCAAGCCACUUCUGACCAUGGGAUGUAUUUAGGUCUUACCUCUUGUAUUGGCAGGAAGAAAAAAGUUGUGUUCCAAAACAUUCGGGACAGAGUUUGGCAGAGAAUUCAAGGAUGGAGUACGAUGAUGCUAUCUAGAGCUGGCAAAGAGAUUUUGCUGAAAACGGCGGUGCAAGCAAUGCCUAACUAUGCCAUGAAUGUCUAUCUCCUCCCUCUUGAUCUUUGUAAAGAGCUUGAGAUCAUGAUGAAUUUGUUUUGGUGGGGUAGUAAACGCAGUGUUAGCCGAAGGAUUUUGGAGGAAUAGGUUUCAAACAACUACAUAUCUUCAAUGUAGCAAUGUUAGGAACUCCAAUGAUGUUUAGGGAUUUAUGCGGUUAUGACUCACCAUCUAUUAUCAAGUAUCUUUAGCAUAUUACCAAUGACUUGUUUACGUAUGCAAUAUGAAUUUCCAUUUUAAUGAGAUAAAAUUUGCCUUGUUAUGAGAGAAAAAGCCGCCAUAUGUGAUUGAUGCAAGCUUUUAUGGCAUGUGACAAAAUUGUCUCAUCUAGAUUAUCGCACUACUCAAAGUGAAAAUAAAGUGUGGAGGAUAAUUCACUUACAACAAUUUUGCAAAUCACUUGUCAAAUGCAUUUAUAGAUGGAUCUAACGUAACCAAGUCAUGUAUACCACAUGUAAAUGUAUCUCACCAAGUAGUUGUUCCUAUUGAAAAUUUUGAUAAAAAUAGCUAAUUGAUUAAUCUAAGGCACACCUAAGGUAUGGUAGACCACUUCGUUUAAAAGAUAAUAUUCAACUAAAAUAAAUAAAAAUAAAAGGUUAGGAUUUUGUUAAUCAGUUGUAAGUAAAAGUGCUACUUCAGAAGAAUAGGUCCUCUCCUAUGUGCCUACAGCGACACUACCUUCUGAAGAGACAAAUACCUCAGAUGUAAGCCAACCUCUUAAUGUAGCUAAGAAUGAAGAAAAGUUUGCAAAUUUUACUCACAAAAUGGAAAGUGUAUAAUCAUAACAAAAAAGCUAUUGACAAUGCUUAUUCAUUUACAAUAGCUACUGAUUUGAUAAAUGAUGAUAUUGACUAAUAGUCCAUUGACGAAUUUAGACUAAGAAAUGAUUGGCCCAAAUAGGAAGAAGCAAUCCAUGUGAAAUUGAUUUUCUUAGCAAAACAUGAUGUUUUUAGACUUAUAAUCCAAAUACCUAUUAUUGUUAAACCAUUGGGUAUAAAUAAAUAUUUUUUUCAAUAACUUAAUGAAAAGAAUGAGGUGGCUAGAUAUAAAGCACGACUUAUUGCACAAGGUUUCUCACAAAAAGUAGUUAUUGAUUAUGAGGAGGUGUAUUUACUAGUAAUUUGUGUAGUUUUGUUCUGAUUCUUGAUUAGUUUGACUAUAUUUGAGAGGUUUAAUAUUUGUUUUAUAGAUGUAGUGACAGUUUAUUUGUAUGAAUCAUUAUUUAUAAAACACACACACACAUAUAUGUAGUGGCGGCGCCACUUGAGAGCCCCUGCUAGAUUUAAAAAAAAUAAACUCAUCUUAUUUUUUAGUGGAUUUACAAUAAAGCCCUUAGUAAAUUUUAAAAAUAACUAAAAGAUCAGUAUUUUAAAUAGUGAUUAGAAUCCAAAAAAAAAAAAUUCAAAAUCAAAUCUAUAACCACCACCAUCAAUCCUUUGCCAAAGAAAACCUCCAUCGGCUACCAUCAGUGAUCAGCUUGUCGUCUAUCUCUGUCCAAUUCCCAUGUCAUCACACCUCUUUGUUUUCAUGUCAUUGCCAUAGACGCUACAACUUGUAGCUCGUAGUCGCAGUCGCAGUCUUGCAUCACCGUAUGGUCCUCGCACUCGCAGCCUUGCAUCACCACAUGGUCCGCAUCUUUGCAUUUUUUCUAGUACUACCAUUGCACCUUUGCAGCUUUUAUAUUAAUUAUCAAGAAUUGAUUAAAUUAUUUUGAUAAUUAAGCACCUCUGUCACUUUAUGAUUUAAUAUUCUAAUUCUUGAAUUAGUUUAUACCUUUUUGAAUUGAAUUGGUUUAUGCCUUUUUUAAUAGAAUAAUAUUAUUAACUUUCAAUUAUUGUGGCGAUGCUUUGUGGAUUGAUAAAGUGGCAAUGCUUUUAACUUUACUGAUUAUAACUAAUAAAAUAAAAAUUCCAUGGCCCAUGGGUGACGCCGUGACGAGUUAGUAACCUAGUGGUUGAGGAUUUAGUCAGGUAGUCGGUUUAUUAAAUUAAUAAUUUGUAAUUUUUUCUUUUUCUUUUUUUUUUGACAUGGAAAUUGUCUUCGGUUUCUCUUUAAAUAAACACAAUUAAUUGUGUUUAUUUGUCACAGUUAUGGAGAAAUAUUACUCAAGAAUGACUGCCACAUGGUUCUCUGCUUGUCUUGUCUAAAUGGGCAACGCCAAUGCGUCGGUGCUUUGCCUUUGUGCCCCAUCUAAUAAUAUAUUAUUAUUAUGAUUAUUAUCUAAUUCAUACAUAAUUCAUGCAUAUCCUUUCUAAGUGAUUGGGUUGCCACUAUUUUACAUCCUUUUUAAUGCAUGUAUUGCUUUAUGCAAGUCUAAAAGAGGUUCUAUGAUAUCAUACAAACUCAAAAAAGUAAGCACCUCUUUCUUUUUAUAUGCAUUUAAUUUUUUACCUACUUGGUGUGCUAGUGUUAUGGUGUAAAGACAAGAUUGAUCUGUAAUCUCAAAACAAAAUUUAGUGGGUGAUGUCAUUGUGCAAUAUCGUCAUGAGCCUUCUGGUUGAUUCAAAAUGUCGGCAUUAUUUAUCGAACAUUAUAGAAUAUAAAAUAAAUUACCAAAUUAUAUUUGAUAGUGAACUGUUUUAUUGAUCUUUGUGCAUGAGACUCAAUUUUCUUAACAGCAAGAGAUUCCAUUUGUCGGCUCAAUAAUUUAUGAAGGUGAGUUUGUAUUUAUAAAUCAUGCGAAUUGCGACCGUCUCUUUAAAGGUGGCAUUUGUUGGAUUCCUUGUACAUUUUAGGUGUUUUUAGUAUGCUGUAUUUUAUUAUAAUGUAUUAUAAUAUAACGUUUUAUAAUGUUUGGUAUUAUAUCGUACAUUAUUAUAUAUAAUAAUUUUUGUAUUAUUAUUUAUAUUAAAUUAAUUUUUUAUAAUUAUAAAUAUCUUAAAAGUUUUAUAGUUUAUAUUUAUUAUUUAAAUUUAUAAAUAUAAAUAAAAUUAUUCACCAACAAUCACCGUGAACCACUGCAAAUUGCUUUGGGCAUUCAUAUAUUGAUAUUUUUUUAACUUCAAUUCUAGUGCUAUUAGAAUCUUUAUCAGCGGAUCUAUACAACGAGUGAGCAAAAGCUUUGAUUCUGAUAUUAUAUAUGCUAUCGAGUAGUUCCAAUGAUAAAGACUCCAUUGGUACCAAAAUUGAUGUCAAAGAAUGCUAAAAUAAUAUUAUUGGUGGUGGAUUGUGGUGGUCAGCGGCGGACAAUAUUUUUAGCAUUCGAAUUUAUUGUUUUAUAAACUAAUAAUAAAUAAAUUAAAUGUGUUGUAAUUGAUUAAAUAAUUCUAUGUUUUAAAAGUCAGCAAUAUAGCUUAUUCAUGGUGGGAUUGUAUAGCAUUACGUUAUGGGCCCAGCAUUACUUUGAUAUUGCGGCAAAAGAUGCAUUAAGGCCUUCGGUUAAUGUUGCUCAAUGCAAAUUUAAUAUAGAAAGCAGAGUCAUUUGAAUCUUUCAUUAAACACAACAUAGCGAGCCAAAAAAAAAAGAUUCAAUGGAUGUACUUGGAGAUUCUCACAUUCAUCAAAAGAAAGGAAGAAGACUGAUACUCUUCCCACUGCCUUUACAAGGCCACAUAAACCCAAUGCUUCAGCUUGCAAACAUUCUCUAUUCAAAAGGCUUUUCAAUCACCAUAAUUCACACCAACUUCAACUCCCCGAAUACCUCAAACUACCCUCAGUCCAGCUUCUGUUCAAUCGAAGACAGCUCUUCAGAAACUGAAGCCUCUACCGCGGAUUUAGUGGCUCUUCUUUCACUACUUAAUGUUCAGUGUGUUGUGCCAUUUCGGAAUUGCUUGGCUAAGUUGUUGUCAAAUGUUGAGGAGGAGGAAAAGGAGCCUAUUGCUUGCUUAAUCACGGAUGCUACUUGGUACUUCACUCAGGCUGUUGCUGAAAGCCUAAAGCUCUCCAGGAUUGUGUUAAGGACUAAUAGCGUCUCUUCAUUUCUUGUUUUUGCCGCCUUUCCAGUUCUAAGCCAAAAGGGUUACUUCCCAAUACGAGGUGCAAUCAAAUUAGUUCUUGCUUCUAGUAUCAAUGAUAAUUUUAUUUGUAGGUAUUAUUUUUAUUUGUAGGUACUGUCUGAUUAUCGAAUCUUGCCCUGGAGAAAUCUCCCCUUAGGAUGAUUGGAAUUCUUAGUACAUCUCAUAAUUUAGUUAUUAUGACAGUAAUUCAUUAUAGUAAUGAGUAAUGAUCAGUGCAAAUGGUACUUGAUAUUAAAAUUAUCUUCUUUUACUAUUUUUGUUCUUCAAUGUUCAGAUUCUCAAUCGGGAGCACCAGUGCCAGAACUUCCACCUCUAAGAGUGAAAGACAUUCCUGUAGUUGAAACCUGUUACCGAGAGACACUACAUCGAUUGGUAACAGAAGCAACCAAUCAGAUGAAGGUCUCCUCCGGAUGCAUAUGGAACUCACUUCAGGAUCUUGAACUUGCUUCUCUAACCAAAUUUCAGCAGGACUUCCCCAUUCCAAUGUUCCCGAUAGGCCCAUUUCACAAGUUCUUUUCAGCUUCUUCAAGUAGCUUACUUGCACAUGACCAAACCUCAAUUUCCUGGUUAGAUAAACAAACACCAAAAUCUGUAAUUUAUGUAAGUUUUGGAAGCAUUGCUGCAAUUAACGAGACCGAAUUUUUAGAAGUAGCUUGGGGCCUAGCCAACAGCAAGGUGCCAUUCCUGUGGGUGGUACGGCCAGGAUUAGUCCGUGGAGCAGAAUGGAUUGAACCAUUGCCACAAGGGUUCCUAGAAACGCUAGAUGGAAGAGGGCAUAUAGUGAAAUGGGCCCCCCAGCAAGAAGUGCUAGCUCAUCCUGCCACUGGAGGAUUUUGGACACAUUGUGGCUGGAAUUCGACAUUGGAAAGUAUAUGUGAAGGUGUCCCCAUGAUAUGCCAGCCUUGUUUUGGUGACCAAAUGGUGAAUGCAAUAUAUGUUAGUGAUGUUUGGAAAGUUGGUUUGCAUUUGGAAAGGAAGCUGGAGAGAGGGGAGGUUGAAAGGACAAUCAGAAGAGUAAUGAAGGAGGCUGAGGGGCAGGAAAUAAGAGUCAGAAUUAUGAUUUUGAAGGAAAAACUCAACCUUUGUCUAAAUCAAGGUGGUUCUUCAUAUCAAUCUCUGGAAAGCUUGAUUAGUUACAUUUUGUCAUUCUAGAUUUUCCAAUAUUUUCAUCACUCUAUCUAAAAGCUGAUUUAGAUAGUGAGUUGUACUCUUUGGCCUUUUCUUGCAUAAACAGUGUCCGAAAUCCGAAUUUUAUAUCUUUGUUGGAGUUUGUGAGCCUUGGUUGUCUUAACUGUACUUCAAAAGUUGGACUUCUAAGCUGAUUUACUAUCUGGGUUCGUUUGUAAUGCUGUUGUUGUUUAAUUCCCCGUUCUUCAUAGAGGAAUUUAGUUGAUUAUAAAUGCCUUGCUCAUUGAAAUAAAGUUUUCAUUCACCAAUAAAAAAUUUAAAGCAGAAGCAUCACAAUGUUCCAUUCACGGUUGAUGAUUAACUCAUGGUGAGAAAUUAACAACAAAAGAAGUGAGAAAUUAAACAGAAAGCAGGAAGCAGAAAGAUUCAAUGGAGAACUAAAGAGAGUUGCAUAUACAACAAAAGAAGCAAAGACGGCUGAUACUCUUCCCACUGCCAUUGCAGGGUCACAUAGAGACCCGUGCUUCAGCUUGCAAGCAUUCUCUAUUCCAGAGACUUUUCAAUCAUUAUAUUUCAAAGCAACUUCAGUGUGAAGCGCGUGGUACAAUUCGGGAUUGGUUGGCUAAGUUGUUGUCAAAUCUUGAGGAAGGAACUACGGCCAAUUUCACAAAUUCUUCCCAGAUAAUUCAUUGUCUUGAGACGAAUCCAUUUCCUGGUUAGCCAAACUGCCACAUGUGCAUAAAUUGGUAAUUUAUGUAAGUUUGGAAAGCAUUGGUGCAGUGCCAUUCUUAGAGAGAGCUUAAGGGCUAGCCAAUAGCGAAGUACCAUUCCUAUGGGUGGUUCGACCAGAUUUAGUCCGUGGAGCAGAAUGGAUUGACCAACUUUCAUUGCUUUUGUGGCUAACCAUUGAUGAUAUAUUGUCACAAGCAGAGUGUUAAUCGUGACAUCCUCAAUUUCCAUCUCUCAUCCUGAAACUCUCAGAUUUUACAGCAGCAGCAUCAUUGAGAAUCUACCAAUUGAUUAUUGGUGACGAUUGGACUUAAUUUCUUUGAUUUAUUUUUACUAUUUAUUUUUUGGUGGUGCAAGUCAUUUCAUUUCCCUGUUGGGGCAUUUUAGGGAACGGUUUGCAACUUUUAACGAACACUAAUCCCUCUCUCAAACCAACUUCAAUUCUUCCGUAACCAGCACUGCUCUUCAUGAAACUCGCAAGAUCCAUUACCCACCAUUUGACUACCUCUUCAACGACCCAAAAACCAAAGCGAGUAAGCACGAAACCAAUCUCCCUCAACUCCAUUAAAGAGCUUCACGCAAAUCUUAUCAGAACCCACCUCCACACGGACCCAUCUUCAAUAUCUAAUGUAAUCAAGUCAUACGCUUUAUCUCCCUCUUAUUUGGACAAAGCCCAUCUUGUUUUUAACCAACUUGAACGACCCACAUUGUUGGUGUUUAACCAUAUGAUCCAAGGUUUGUCACAAAGUGACCAACCAAAUGAAGCCAUUGACAUGUACAAUAAUAUGUAUCAUCAAGGAUUUACUGGUGACAAUUUGACCUUUAUUUUUGUAUUCAAGGCUUGUGCUCGUGUUAAGGAUGUUUUUCAUGGCCAAAAGGUUCAUGCUCAUAUUUUGAAACUUGGAUUUGGAUCGUAUCUCUUUGUUUCAAAUGCUUUGAUUCACUUGUAUGCCUCUUGUGGUCGUUUGGGGUUGGCGCGGAAACUGUUUGAUAUAAUGACUAAUAGAGAUUUGGUUUCUUGGAAUUCUCUAAAUUGUGGUUAUAGUCAGUGCAAAAGGUUUGAAGAGGUAUUGGCUUUGUUUAAUUCUAUGCAAGAAGUUAAUGUAAAGGCUGAUGCGGUGACAAUGGUGAAAGUUAUUUUAGCUUGUAGUAAUUUGGGCAGGUGGGAUAUUGCGGAUUCUAUGGUUAAAUAUAUUGAAGAAAACAAUAUUGAAUUUGAUGUUUACUUGGGGAACACUUUGAUAGAUGUGUAUGGACGGCGUGGUUUGGUGGAUUUGGCACAAGAGGCUUUUAAUCAAAUGCUUGACAAAAAUAUAGUUUCCUGGAAUGCUUUGAUCAUUGGGUAUGCAAAAGUUGGGCAUUUGAUUGAGGCGCAGAAGCUUUUUGAUGAGAUGCCCAGAAGGGAUGUGAUUUCUUGGACUUCUUUGAUCACAGGGUACUCUCGAGGUAACCAAUUUGUUGAGGUGGUGAAGCUUUUUCGUGAAAUGAUGUUAGCUAAGGUGAAACCAGAUGAAAUCACUUUGGCAACUGUGCUUUCAGCAUGUGCCCAUAUUGGGUCACUGGACAUGGGAGAAGCAAUUCACGACUAUAUAAAAGGCAUGGUACAAAAUGUGAUCUUUAUUUGGGGAAUUCGCUUAUCGACAUGUACUGCAAGUGCGGGGUGGUUGAGAAUGCACUAGUUGUGUUUCAUGAGAUGGAAAAGAAGGAUUCUGUUUCCUGGACUUCAAUUAUCUCAGGCCUUGCAGUGAAUGGUUUUGCUGAUUAUGCACUUGAGCUAUUUAUGCAGAUGUUGAGAGAAGGUGUUCGGCCAACUCAUGGAAGCUUUGUUGGCAUUUUACUAGCUUGUACUCAUGCCGGAUUGAUAGAUGAGGGAUUGCAAUAUUUUGAAAGUAUGGAAAAAGUUUAUGGACUAACACCAGAGAUGAAACACUACGGUUGUGUUGUUGAUCUUUUGAGCCGCUCUGGCAAUGUAGAGAAAGCUUAUGAGUUCAUGAAGGCAAUGCCAAUAGCCCCAGAUGUUGUAGUAUGGAGAAUACUGCUGAGUGCUUGUAAACUUCAUGGGAACUUGGUCCUAGCUGAGAUUGCUACCGGCAAGCUUCUCGAAUUGGAUCCUUCUAACAGUGGGAAUUUAUUCUCUUAUCUAAUACUUAUGCAUGUUCAGAUAAAUGGGAUGAUGCUAAUAGAGUUAGAGAAUUAAUGGUGGAGAGUGAUGUGUAUAAGCCAUCUGGUUGGAGUUCCAUUAAUUCUAUGGAACCACAUGUAAUCUAAAGUAAAGAGGAAUCAAUUGAGAGCUGCAACUAAUUACAAUGGACUACUGUAGAUCAGUGUAGUUAGUGCCUGGGUAAUAUCCCUGGAGAAAGAGAAAUGAGCUGUACCUUCACCUCAACCAAUUUGAUAUUGGCUCAAAGAUAAUUGAGAUAAUUGUAAUUGUAGCUCCGAUCCAAAGUUGUACUCAGAAUUUCCUUUUUUUAAUGACAAUUUGAACGUUUAGUAUCAGAGUCCUUGAGACAAUAAAUUAUGUUUGAGGUGCUCAUCUAAGCCUGAAGCUAGAGUGGUUUCAGUAUUGAUUAGAGCUCUAGUGAUGUGGUAAAUCAACUCUAGAAUUGUAUCAGGAGAAAAUUCCAUUGCUUGGAGUGCUAUCAAAAAAAAGUUCAUUACGUUUUCUCUGGGGAUUAUAUAGCUAUGAUGAGCAGGAGAACUGCCCAACGGCAAGACACUGCCUUAUAAGUUCGGAGGAUGUGAGCUGUUCUUCAAGUAAGAAUUAAGCAAAAGUAUUCCAAUUGCAUACUUUCUUCAAAGGAUACUUUUGCAUGAGACAUAAUUGGGUGUAAUUUUUGUGCAUGGAUGACAAAGUUCAUUACAUUUUCUCUGGGGCUUAUAUAGCUAUGAUGAGCAGGAGAACUGGCCAACGGCAAGACACUGUCUUAUAAGUUCGGAGGAUAUGAGCUGUUCUUCAAGUAAUAAUGAAGCAAAGUAUUCCAAUGGCAUGCUUUCUUUAAAGGAUACUUUUGCAUGAGACAUAAUUGGGUAUAAGUUUUGUGCAUGGAUGACAAAUAGAACAGUUGAGUGACAUGAAGUUUGAGGCAACUGUCCAUUGCUAGGUCCUGCUUUGGAGGAGAAUAACUAUCUUAAUUAGGUCUAGUUCAGAUCAGUUUGAAUGUAAAUGCGAGUGAAGCUGUAGAACAUCUUUGCAAGUGUAUAGAGGGAGCCUUUCCUAUAAGAUAUGCAUACCGCAGCAAGUAUAUGAUAUCAUAAUGCUCUUGGCAGAGACCUUCGAAUGUACAAUUGUUUCAUAUGAACUGCAGAGUGAAAACUUUUACUUGGUUAAGCAUCUUAAAUUUAUACUAUUCUGCUCUUGGAUGUGCGAGCCUUCUCUGUCUGUCAAAAUAUUUUUUUCAGAAGAUCUUACAGAGAGGCUAAUGAUAAUGUAUUUAUUUAUUUUUUAUUGGAAUCAAGUUAUUAAAAGUAAAUAGGCAGCAUAUUGAUGCAUUCUGGAAGAAAAAAUUGUUAGCAGAGUGAUAUGGCAUAUACUUUGUGCGUCUUGUAUGCUUUAUCUUCAGCACUUUGCUAUGUGUUUUUCUCCCUAGUGCCUAGAGACUGUCAAUUUUUUUUUCCUUUUUCUUGACAAAACUGAGGAGCUCAAGUUGGGACAGAAUUGUUUCUUAAUUUCUUGCAGACACGGAUUCUCGUUAAUCAAGAUGGUAUAUCAACAUAUAUACUUUGACACAAUACAUAAUAUCAGUUUUCCCCCUUCACUUUUCACAGAUUAAACAUAACCUUGAUGGCAUUUCCACCUUGAGCACUAAUUUCAAAAGCAUCUUCUAUUUCUUUCUGUGUGAAGCCAAACCUGUGGGUUAUCAAUGGCUUAACAUCAAUCUUGCCGCUUCUCAGAAACUCAAUGCAGAGUGGCCAUGUGCUCCUAUACCGAAAUAUGCCAAUUACAUCCACUUCCCUGUCAACCAACAAAACCCUUUAUCAGAAAUUUCCCAAAUUUAUAUUUCAAACGUCGAAAACUGAGGGUGAAUUAUAUAUCUCAUCACCUUGCAGCUGCCGGCGUCAGAGCAACAGUCAUCUCGGUCUUGGCUAAUCCUAUCAGGCAAACUUUGCUUCCUGGACGAGUGGCAUUCAAAGCCGUUGACAUGGUUUUGUCAAACCCAACACAAUCAAAGCUCACAUCAAUGCCUGAACCCAUUGCAUUUUGUAUCUUCCCCACAUCUGUAUCAACAUCCUGCCAAUGUUUUUGCACAGCUUCAAAGUCUAGAAAAACUUGGGAAAGUGAAAACAGAGCGAUAAUCAUCUACAUCUGACAAUUAACCUCGAUAUCUGUUGAGACUUUAACUGUUUCAUCCGAGCCAAGAUUCCUUGCAAUAGAUAGACGCUGAACAUCAACAUCAGUGAUGAUAAUUCUGGGGGCACCAAAUGCUCGAGCAGCUAACAGGGUAACAAGGCCUAUCGGUCCUGAUCCCAUGAUCAUUACAUUGGUUUCAGGUCCAACGUUUGCACGCCGACAGGCAUGGACACCAACACUUAAGGGUUCACACAUUGCUCCUUCCUCCAAGCUCACAUUGUCAGGUAACUUGUAACAUAACUUUGCUGGAUGCACAACCUAGUUGCAGGAAAAAAAAAAUGUCUCCGUUAUUUACAAUUCUUACGUACGUAGACCGCAUGUGAAAUUAAAAAAUUUCUAGUUUGGGAAGCUGAAGACAUCUGAUCAUUGACCUUAUGGGCAAGAGAGCCGUUGGUUGGAGGAGAUCCAAAGAAUCUCAUUUCAGGACAAAGAUUAUAGCUACCAGCUUUGCAGAGACUGCAGUGUCCGCAACUAAUACCAGGUUCUAGAGCCACACGAUCACCCACCUCGAGGGACUUAACUUCACUGCCAACUUAGUCUAUGAUCCCAGCACACUCAUGUCCAAUUACCAUAGGUUUUUUCACAAUAAAAUUGGCACAUCUCAUAGUCUGAUCAUAAACAACAUUUUGCAUACAAUAAGCAGUGACAGCCUUUGGCAUAUUAUACAAUCAUCAAGAUUUUGCAUAGAGACAGACAGAAAGCUUUUUCACCUUGAAGUGAUGAACAUCACUUCCACAUAUUCCAAGAGCCUUAAUUCGUACUUUCACAUCUUGAGGACCUAAAAAUUACACAAUUUUUUUUUUUUUUUUUGGCCAUGGCAUGGCAUGACAAGUGAUCUGAUUAAAUUCAUAGUUGUGCGUAUAGAAUAACAAGAAGAAGAUAAAAAUAUAAUACCUAGGGUAGGCAAAUGAUAUGGCUGAAUUUUCAGAGUUUUGAUUCCAAGCAGCCAGGCAGCCAUGUUCUGAUUCUUGUCUCCUUCGUCAUCUCUGAUUGCUUCAGCCAUUUCAAUGUUUCCCUUUUUUCUUCUCCUCUUGUCUUCUUUUUACACAGUGUUAUUGUGUCUCGUAUUAUCCUAGUUAAAAUUGCCUCUUUUUUUUUUUUUUUUCCCUAUCUCAUUAUAAUUACCUUUUUGAACAGGUAUUCCCUUCCCUCCCAUUAUUGAUUUAUUUAAAUUAUAUGAAUUUUAAAAUAUUAUUUCAUAUGACCAUAUCCAUUAAAAAAAGUCAUGAAAAUCAAAUUAUUGGUUUUCUUUUAAUUCAUAGUAUUAUGGAAUUAUUCUAAAAUAAAACACAAUUAUAAUCGUACAUAUAAAAUGAUAAAUAAUAAAAAUAUAUUAUAAUUUUUUUAUCAUAUAAUUAUAAAAAAUACUCAAUCGCAAAAUAAUUUCAUCGUAACCAAACUCUUUCUUUUAACCUUUUUUAAAAGAUAAAACCAUUCUUUCAUACCAUUUUACAAAAUUAGCCACCACCUACGUACAUUAAGUUGAUUUUGAUUCCUUUGUAAAGAUACAAUUAUUGCACAGUUUGGAUUUCGGGGUCCAUAAAUUCUGAAAAAAAAAAAACAAACAACAAACGGUUCUGAAACCGAUUAAUUCUCUCCACGUAAGCACGUUAUCCUGUUGAAAAAAGAAACCAUAAUCUCUAUCACAAAUUUUUUAAAACUAUCAUUAGUAAUUGGAUUUUUACUUAAAUAAAAAUUAGUCCGAUGAAAACAGAAAUCAAUCAUCUACGCGGAUAAAUACAAAGAACACUUGAUGUUAUGCCUCACUUGUCAUUAAAUAUUCCUGCGGCCGAAUCAAAUCAUAUCCCAUAUCCAGAAUCAGAAUAAAUGGUAGCUUAAAAUAUAGUGUACAGAGUAACGUCUCUGCUGUACACUUGUGUUUUUGAAGGGUAAAAAGCAAAUAUGGGCAAGGGAGGGAUGUCACAAGGAGAAAAGGAAGAUGGAGAAGAAGUUAACAUGGCAGCUUGGCUUCUGGGUGUCAACACCCUCAAGAUUCAGCCUUUUGAGCUUCCUUCUCUGGGUAUUGUUGAUGCGAGAUUCUGGUUACUCUUUCGACCACGACCAGGAUCUCUGUUCGAUCAACUCAACCACGAUCAGGAUCUCUCCUCGUAUGCUUUCUUCUCCAAAUAUUCCUGCGUACACAAAAACAAGUCAGAGCGCACCGGUUGUUUUCCUGAAGUAAACCCUCCGACGCUCAAGUCAGAUAUGAAGGUUUUCUGUUCCUGGGAACGUUAGCCACUAAUCUUAAGGCUCGUUUUUAGUCUCCGUUCCUUAGAGCUUUCUUUUUCUCUGUUAUAAUGUCAAAAAUUCUAACCCUUUUACCUUCGUUGGCUACCUUUUUAUAGGCCUCUUCUGAACCCAGACCUUCCCUCCAUUCGCGCCCGUUAUCCUCCCACCUCUCGAAAGUGGAUGUUCCACUUCUGUAAUCGUGGGUGGUUGUAUGGCCUUCGUGCCUUGAUUCUCGGGUUGGAGAGCACGCCUCGCCAACUGUCGUUGACCGGGUCUCCUCGACUCAAGCUUUAGCUGGAAUGACUUUAUGCUUCUAACAUAGGAUCGGCCUCGCGGAUGGUGCAUUUGUGGAUGAGUAGAAUAUUCCUGCUCCUGCUCCCCUGCUGCCAGAUUCUUACAGUAUAUACUUGCUUGCAAGACCUUGCUACCAGAUGGCUGCUCAUCACAGCUGGUCCUCACCGAAGUACACUCUGCUACCAGGUAUCUGCUCGUCACGGCUGGUCUCGUUGAAGUAUAUCCCCCAAAUACCGGUCCCCCAGUUUCUGGUGUUGGGUAACAUAGUGAGUCGACAACAGAAACUCAACGGUUUUGGCUUGCGUAGGGCAGGAAAAGGUUGCCAAGAGUCGUGUCGCAUUUAAUUACGGAAGAGGUGAUGUGGCAUAAAUCUAUCCCUCCAUUGGAAUUUCAAACCAAGGGUUACGAAACCCUUGGGAUUUGGUGCCGUUAAAUGCUAGCAGCCCAAGGGGUUGUUCCUCAUUAGGAACACUCAAAACCCCCAAACGAGAAACUCGUCGUUUACUCCACGUCUGUUUCUCCGACGAACGAGUUUCGGCAUAAAAGCAUCCAACCAUGUCUCCUUCCGACUGAGCCGUCCCCUCCGACUAAGCCACUACUUCAGGUAUUACUCCUAUUUCCUCACUCAGGGUGUCUCCCGAGCCAGAUGAUCCCUCGUCACCGCUAUUUCGGCCCUAGGAGGUUGUUUGGGCGGACAUUCUCCUAGCACUAGUCCCAACACUAGAUCUAAUGGGUUCUAAGGGGAUCCCGGGGUCAAAGGCAGCAUCGGCGAGCAGACUAGGUAGGAAGUCUAACUCCUCGUCAUCAACCUCAAUGAUUUUCUCUUUACCUUUCGACAUUCCAUAGGCUAUAACCCGAGCACCACCACCAACUAUUACCCAAGAAAAAUAGAGAGAAAAGAGAUAUCAACAACUAUCCAAGACCGCUAUUUCGGCUCGAGGAGGUUGUUUGGGGGGACAUUCUCCUAGCACUAGUCCCAACACUAGAUCUAAUGGGUUCUAAAGGGAUCCCGGGGUCAAAGGCAGCAUCGGCGAGCAGACUAGGUAGGAAGUCUAACUCGUCGUCAUCAACCUCAAUGAUUUUCUCUUUACCUUUCGACAUUCCCUAGGCUAUAACCCGAGCACCACCACCAACUAUUACCCAAGCAAAAUAGAGAGAAAAGAGAUAUCAACAACUAUCCAAGACCGAGGAAAUAGAAGUAAUACCUGAAGUAGUGGGCUCAGUCGGAGGGAACGGCUCAGUCGGAAGGAGACAGGGAUGGAUGCUUUUAUGCCGAAACUCGUUCGUCGGAGAAACAGACGUGGAGUAAACGACGAGUUUCUCGUUUGGGGGUUUUGAGUGUUCCUAAUGAGGAACAACCCCUUGGGCUGCUAGCAUUUAACGGCACCAAAUCCCAAGGGUUUCGUAACCCUUGGUUUGAAAUUCAAAUGGAGGGAUAAAUUUUUUCCACAUCACCUCGUCCAUAAUUAAAUGUGACACGACUCUUGGCAGCCUUUUCCUGCCCUACGCAAGCCAGAAUCGUUGAGUUUUUACUGUCGGCUCACUAUGUUACCCAACACCAGAAACUGGGGGACCGAUGUUUGGGGGAUAUACUUCGACGAGACCAGCCGUGACGAGCAGAUACCUGGUAGCAGAGUGUACUUCGGCGAGGACCAGCUGUGAUGAGCAGCCAUCUGGUAGCAGGUCUCGCAAGCAAGUAUAUACUGUAAGAAUCUGGCAGCAGGGGAGCAGGAGCAGGAAUAUUCUGCUCGUCCAUGAAUGCACCAUCCGCGAGGCCGAUCCUCUGUUAGAAGCGUAAAGUCAUUCCAGCUAAGGCUUGAGUCGAGGAGACCCGGUCAACGACUGUUGGCGAGGCGUGCUCUCCAACCUGAGAAUCAAGGCACGAAGGCCAUACAACCACCCACGAUUACAGAAGUGGAACAUCCACUUUCGAGAGGUGGGAGGAUAACGGGUGCGAAUGGAGGGAAGGUCUGGGUUCAGAAAAGGCCUAUAAAAAGGUAGCCAAUGAAGGUAAAAGAGUUAGAAUUUUUGACAUUAUAAUAGAAAAAAAGAAAGCUCUAAAGAACGGAGACUAAAAACGAGCCUUAAGAUUAGUGACUAACGUUCCCAGGAACAGAAAACCUUCAUAUCUGACUUGAGCGUCGAAGAGUUUAUGCCGGGAAAACAACCGGCGUGCUCUGACUUGUUUCUGUGUACGCAGGAGUAUUUGGAGAAGAAAGCAUACGAAGAGAGAUCCUGAUCGUGGUUGAGUUGAUCGAACAGAGAUCCUGGUCGUGGUCGAAAGAGUAACCAGAAUCUCGUAUCAACAUUUUGGCGCUGUCUGUGGGGAGCUGAUCAAAAAGCUUCUGUUGACAGCAAGAAGAGGAGUAAAGUAAGUGGAAAAACAAUGGAGGCAGGAGAAAGUAGUGCACAAGGGGGUGAUAUGAGGCUUAACGAUUCCGUGACGCUGGGGGAGAUAGCCAGUGAAGCACGGGAAAAAGCCAUGUUUGACCGGAUGGAACGGAUGAAAAAGCAGAUGGAAACCCUGAAAACCAUCCUACAUGAGCUACGGAGUGAACGAAAGGGAACCCAGGAGGAAAGAGUGAGAGGUAGUGGAGUGGCACCAGGUCACGAUAGUACGAGGAGAAGUCAAACCUCCAGGAGAUUUGGUGGUGAGAGAGGUGACUUAUCUCUGCGGGGAGAAAUUCAUAGAGAGGAAGAGCAAUCCCCAGCAAGACAUAUUUUUGAUGAGGACGACGGGGUGGCGAAUGUAGAGGAAACAGAGCUCAGGCAACACUUACAUGAUGUAGAGCAAGAGCGGGAUCAAGUUGCAGCACGUGACCCUGGUCGUGCAGUGCAACUGGAGAAGGAAGUGCGCAGACUAGCGCAGGUAAUUGAUGACAUGCAAGGAAGAAGUAGAGCUCCUGGUUGGAGGAUAAUGCUGAACGGAGAAUCACCGCUCGCAGCAAAGAUCAUGAGGGCAGUCAUUCCAAGAGAUUUUCGCCUCCCAGACCUUAGAUAUUCGAGACGAACUGAUCCGUUGGUGCACAUAGAGCGCUUCAACGACAUAACCGGGGUGCAAGGAUUAUCUCAAGCCCAAAGGUGCAGGGUGUUCCCACUAUCCCUAGAGGGACGUGCACGCGAGUGGUACAUGAAACUUCCUCGAGGGAGCAUUAAAACUUUCGAGCAGAUGUGCAAGGAAUUUGCAGAGCAGUUUCGUGGGGCAAUGGCACCAGAAGAUGACAUGAUGGAGUUGAAAAGCAUGAAGCAGGGAGAGCAAGAAACCCUUCGGGAGUUCAUCAAGAGGUUUCAUCGUGCGGUCCUGGAUUUGGGAGCCUUCAACCAUCCUCAGGCAUUAAGGGGAUUGAAAGAAGGGGUGAAGAUAGGAAGGCUAUGGUACAACUUGAGAAGCCCAGUUAUUCAGACGUAUGCAGCCGCAUACGAGCAGGCUAAGAGGGACAUAGAGAUUGAGGAAGAAAAGACAGUACGGAUUAAGACAGACCAGCUAGAAGGGUUGAGAAAGAAAGAGAAGAGAGCAUUACCAGGAAAUAGGCCGAUCAGGAGGAGGGACCACCAGGCCUCAGGUAGUGGUGCAGGAGGUCGGGUAACCGCUUACCAGCCUCAUCAGAGGUUACCACAGUAUCAGCGCAGCAGGACGCAACCUCCUCGCUCACCAGCUAGGGUGCCUUGGAGAAGGCAUGACUCGGCAUAUGGUGGUCUUCAUCCACACUCCCACGGUAGUAGAGGGAGCAGACCAGAAGCGCUGCCACCGCCUCCAACUCAGAACGGCGCAAAUAGAGAAAGGGCAGUGCACAUGAUCGACCAGAACCAGGACUAUGGGUAGUAUACGUCCUUGAAGAUGCCCCUGGACGAGGUGUACGAGGCCAUAAAGGAUCGGGGGCUACUGUACCUCCCUGCCCCAAUAACAAAGCUACCCAACAGGAGGGAUAGAGGACGCUAUUGUAAGUUCCAUGGCACUCAUGGCCAUACCACUACAGAAUGUAAAGAUCUCAAGACCCAGGUUGAAGAUUUGGUGAGAAAUCGGUACCUGGACGAGUUUAUAGAUGGGACUUUCCUGAUGAUGGCCUCGACAUGUGAAGGGGAGCAGAGUGACAGAAACUUGAGGCGCGAGCAGCCUACAAUAAAAGUGAUAGCUGGGGGCCCAACAUUGGCCGGAGAUUCCAACAGAUUGAGGAAGAAUUAUGCUAGAUACGCCAUGACUAGUAAAGAGGUAUUCUUCAACACCCCAGCAGCCAAACGAGCAAGAGUCAGGCAAGUGCCAAUCAUGUGGACAGAUGAUGAUGAAGAAGGGAUUAUAUACCCCCACGAGGAUGCUUUAGUUAUCAAGGCCACUGUUGCUAGCAAGAAGUUUGACCGGAUACUGGUUGACACAGGGAGCUCAGUUGAUGUGUUGUUUAAGUCAACUCUGGAGGAGAUGGGAAUAGCAGACCUGAAGUUGGAGUACACCAAUACCUCCUUGAAGGGGUUUGGAGGAGGAAAGCUGGUCCCUCUGGGCGUGGUCAAGCUGCCUAUCACGAUUGGGAGCUCCCCGACAGAAAGGACUAUGAUACUAGACUUUGUGGUGGUGGAUGAAGAAGGUCCUUACCAGAUGAUCCUAGGUCGGACAUUUCUGAGGAUGAGCAAAGCAGUACUAUCCAACCAUUAUCUAGCUCUCAAGUACCGGAUGAAUGGGGUAGUUGGAGUGGUACGAGGAGACCAGAGAAUCGCACGAAGCUGUUACUCUUCGGCAGCAAGGGAAGCAAUGCAAAUAACAUCCCUUGAUACCCGAGUGGAAAAUAAGAAUGGCAGACAAGAACUUGUAGAGGAGCUUGAGACAGUAAGCCUGGGACCAGAGAAUCUGGGAAAAACGAUCAGAAUCGGGUCGCGACUUAAAGAAGAGCAGAAGCAGGAGUUGGUGCAAUGCUUGCGGGCUCAUGCAGAUGUGUUUGCUUGGACAUAUGAAGACAUGCUAGGGAUUGAUCCUGAGGUUGCAUGUCAUAAGCUGGCAAUAAAGAAAGGUGCUCGGGCAGUAAGGCAGAAAGAAGGUGCUUCAACUAGGAGAGGUAUGAGGCUAUAAAUGACGAGGUGGAGAAGCUCUUGAAAGCAGGGUUCAUUCGGGAAGUCAAUUAUCCUGAAUGGAUAUCGAAUGUGGUGUUAGUAAAAAAGGCUAAUGGCAAAUGGAGGAUGUGUGUGGACUUCACGGACCUCAACAAGGCAUACCCGAAAGACAGCUUUCCCUUACCAAAGAUUGACCAGCUUGUAGACUCGACAGCUGGACAUGGCCUGCUCAGCUUCAUGGACGCAUUCUCGGGAUACAACCAAAUCCCCAUGUUCGAGUAGGAUGAGGAGAGCACGACAUUUAUUACUAGCCAGGGUCUGUUCUGUUAUAGGGUAAUGCCGUUCGGUCUUAAAAAUGCGGGGGCCACGUACCAAAGGCUGGUGAACAAAGUCUUUAAGCCGUUGAUUGGGAGAACAAUGGAGGUGUAUGUGGACGACAUGAUAACUAAGUCGAAAAUCCCGAAGGAACAUGUCGAGCACCUCGAGGAGACGUUUGCACUUUUGAAGAAGUACAAGAUGAAGCUCAACCCGAAAAAGUGUGCUUUUGGGGUCGAGUCAGGGAAAUUCCUCGGAUUCAUGGUGAGUCAUAGGGGGAUCGAGGCAAAUCCCGAGAAGAUCCAGGCGAUCGUUCAGAUGAGGUCUCUUCGUAACCUGAAGGAGACGCAGAGCCUUACGGGGAAGCUGGCGGCAUUGAGCCGAUUCAUAUCCAAGGCUACAGAUAAGUGUUAGCCAUUCUUUCAAGUGAUAAGAAGAGGGAAGAAAACAGAAUGGACCCCAGAGUGCGAAGAGGCCUUUCAGAGCUUGAAGCAAUACUUGCAGCAAGCACCCCUGCUGUCCACACCAAGGGAUGGGGACAAGUUAUCUUUGUAUUUGGCGGUAUCAGAUCGUGCCACAAGUUCUGUUCUGGUGAGAGAGGAAGAAGGGGUUCAGUAUCCGAUAUACUACACCAGCAAGGCCCUGCUCGACGCUGAGACCCGAUACCCACCGUUGGAGAAAUGGGCACUCGCUCUUGUGGUCGCUGCUCGGAAGCUGAGACCGUACUUUCAAGCAUUCCCCGUCUCAGUAAUAACAAACCAGCCGUUGCGUCAAACCUUACACAAGCCGAAUACCUCUGGUCGGCUCGUGAAGUAGGCUAUAGAGCUGAGCGAGUUCGACAUUGAUUACAAACCCCGAGCAGCGAUAAAGGCGUAAGCAAUGGCCGAUUUCGUAGCAGAAUUUACAGAGCCUGAAACAUGUUUGGACCAGCUGGAUAUUGCUACAGACAACAGCGAAGCCCGAGUAUGGCAGAUGUCUGUAGAUGGGUCAUCAGGGGAGCAGGGAUCAGGAGCAGGAAUUGUCUUGGAAGGCCCAGAAGGGGAGGAGAUCUCUUAUGCUAUAAAGUUAGAAUUCGCAGCCACAAAUAAUCAGGCAGAGUACAAAGCCUUGAUAGCAGGUUUGGAAUUGGCUAAGGCCGUGAAAGCAGAUAGAGUGAAGAUCAAAACUGAUUCCCAGCUGGUUACAAAUCAUGUCAGUGAAAGAUUUCAACCGAGAGAGGAGAAGAUGGAGCAGUACCUGAAGACAGUCAGGUAGAUGAUGGGAAAAUUUGAAGCGGUAAAUGUGAUACAAAUCCCCAGGGAGUAAAAUAAUCGAGCAGAUAUUUUGGCUCGGAUGGCAGCGGUAGCAGACCCAAAAAUGCCAAAGUCGAUCCCUCUGGAGGUGAAGUCUAGCUCGAGCAUCGAGCAGAAUCUGGAGGUGCUGCGGAUAGAACAAAAAUGCUCGUGGAUGGAUCCGAUAAUUUCAUACCUUAGCGACGGGGUAUUACCACCAAAUAAACUACAAGCUCGGAAGAUUAGAGCCCAGGCCUCGAGAUACACGAUGAUUGACGGGGUACUGUAUCGGUGAAGGUAUACGCUACCGUUCCUUCGGUGUUUGGAUGAGGACGACGCGGACUGCGUACUGAGAGAGGUACAUGAAGGAAUUUGCGGAAACCAUUCUGGUGGGAGGUCCCUGGCCCACAAGGUUCUAAGGCAGGGAUAUUUAUGGCCGAUAAUGCACCAAGAUGCGGAGGAGAAGACCAGGAGCUGUGUAAGCUGCCAAAGUUUUGCAAGUUUCUCCAACCAACCACCAGAGAAGCUCACCUCUAUGGCCUCCCCUUGGCCAUUUUCUCAAUGGGGAAUUGAUCUGAUCGGCCCGUUGCCAAAGGGACGAGGAGCAGCAACACAUGCAAUAGUUGCGAUAGACUACUUCACGAAGAGGAUAGAGGUAGAAGCCCUUAGCAGGAUCACAGAGAAGAAGACAACAGACUUCGUGUGGAGAAACCUGGUCUGUCGGUACGGGAUCCCUUAUGCCUUGGUAAUGGAUAAUGGCAGGCAGUUCGAUAAUCACAGCUUCAGGGAUUUCUGCCAGAACCUCGCGAUAGAGUUGAAAUAUUGCUCGCCUGCUCACCCACAGUCUAACGGGCAAGUAGAAGCAACCAACAAGACGAUCAAAAGGCUUUUAAAAAUCAGGCUUGGAGCAAAAAAGGGUGCUUGGGUUGAUGAGCUAUCAGGUGUACUAUGGGCGUACAAGACAACCCAUAAGACAGCAACUGGGGAAACUCCAUUCGCCUUGGCCUUCGGACACGAAGCGGUUGUACCAGCCGAGAUAGGAACAACCACGCACCGGACAGAUCAUUUCGAUGAGCAAGAGAACAACGACCAGAUGUGCUUGAAUCUGGAUCUGCUAACCGAGAAGAGAGAACAAGCGUCGAGGCGAUUAGCCAUUUACCAGCAGAGGGUUGCUCGGUACUAUAACCAGAAGGUAAAUGUACGGCAGUUCAAGGUCGGAGAUUGGGUGUUGAGGAGAGUGAAUCAUAACACGAAAGACUCGGCCCAGGGAGUACUCGGACUAAAUUGGGAGGGGCCAUAUAGGGUCAAGCAGCUAGUUGGACCCGGAGCUUACAAGCUGGUUCGCACGGAUGGCCACGAGGUGAAACGCCCAUGGAACGCGGCACACCUCAGGAAAUAUUUCCAGUAAGACUUGUUCAUGCUUUAAAGUCAUUUAUGUUCGUGCUCGUUGUUUUUAUUUUUUAUUUCUUAUUUCAAAGCAAUCUCAUGUAAGCUGAAUUCAAUAAUAAGUGAAUCAAUGAGGAAUUUCAGUCAACUAUACUGUUGAAAAAUUUUCUAAGGCAUGCAAAGGCUCACCAAGUCUCAAAGCCUGUCUUAUGGCGAGACCAGAAGCCAAGCGUGCCAGGAUCUGCUCGAUCACGCGAAGGCGAGCAGACUCCCAAGCAUUGAAAAAUUUUCUAAGGCAUGCAAAGGCUCACCAAGUCUCAAAUCCUGUCUUAUGGCGAGACCAGAAGCCAAGCGUGCUAGGAUCUGCUCGACCAAGCGAAGGCGAGCAGACUCCCAAGCAUUGAAAAAUUUUCUAAGGCAUGCAAAGGUUCACCAAGUCUCAAAGCCUGUCUUAUGGCGAGACCAGAAGCCAAGCAUGCCAGGAUCUGCUCGACCACGCGAAGGCGAGCAGCCUCCCAAGCAUUUAAAAAUUUUUCUAAGGCAUGCAAAGGCUCACCAAGUCUCAAAGCCUAUCUUAUGGCGAGACCAGAAGCCAAGCGUGCCAGGAUCUGCUCGACCAAGCGAAGGCGAGCAGACUCCCAAGCAUUGAAAAUUUUUCUAAGGCAUUAAAAAGCUCACCAAGUCUCAAAUCCUGUCUUAUGGCGAGACCAGAAGCCAAGCGUGCCAGGAUCUGCUCGACCACGCGAGGGCGAGCAGACUCCCAAGCAUUAAAAAAUUUUCUAAGGCAUGCAAAGGCUCACCAAGUCUCAAAGCCUGUCUUAUGGCGAGACCAGAAGCCAAGCGUGCCAGGAUCUGCUCGACCACGCGAGGGCGAGCAGACUCCCAAGCAUUAAAAAAUUUUCUAAGGCAUGCAAAGGCUCACCAAGUCUCAAAGCCUGUCUUAUGGCGAGACCAGAAGCCAAGCGUGCUAGGAUUUGCUCGACAAAGCGAAGACGAGCAGACUCCCAAGCAUUUAAAAAUUUUUCUAAGGCAUGAAAAGGCCAACCAAGACUCAAAGCCUAUCUUGUGACGAGACCAGAAGCCAAAUAAAUAAAUAAACCAAAACUGCAAUAUGAGAAGGCAAACAAGAACAAUUUUAUUAAGCUUCUAAUAGUCCGCAAAGUUGUUAUAUACAAUGUUCAAAAAGCAAUUACAACACAAGAAAAGUUUAGGAAGACGGCGGGUCAGUUAGCCGAGCAGCUUCAGUUGGUUGUUCCAUCUCAUGUGCAGGGGGUAUCACCAAUUGCGUCCGGGGGGUACUCGCCUCACCAACAUCAGCAGGGACAGCACGAGGAGGAGAGUUGUCCUCCUCAACCACAAUUGGUUCCACCACUUCGACAUCCUCUUUUGCUGCCUCCUCAUCCAUGUGUUGAGCAACACCAGCUGCAAGGUCAUCCAUCUUCAUAUCAGGGUGCUGCUUCCCGAGGACGGCCAUGAUGCAAUGAUAGGAAUGUCGAAGUCCCUGGUCGUAUUUGUUGUCAGCUUCCUUCUCCAAGUUCUCGACCUAACCCGGUGGGAAUCGCGGAGAGAUUCGAACUGAGCCUCGUACAUAGCCUUCUGCCUUUGCAGAUCUUCCUUGACCUUAGUCAGCUCUUCCUCGAGGGUAAUGGCCUUAGCUUGAGCAAGAGAUUCUCGCUCAAUCAACUUCAGAUUCUCGAGAUUCAGGUCUCCUGCUUUCUUCUCAGCAUGGUCAGCUCUGGUCAUCGCUGACUGAAUGUCCUCCUUCAUCUUCCGGUCAUAACGGCCGACCUUGGCCUUAUAGUAAGUGGUCAUGUAGCUGAGAUGGAAAGCGCUAUACUACAUGGCCCUCACCAGCUCACCCAGGGUGCAGCCAUCAAAGUCCUCCAGGUCCUUUUUGCUCACGAGUUUAGAUAGCUCGUUGAGAUAAGGGACCAAGUGCUCUGCUCGGUUGUCAGAUAAACGAGAUCUAGGCCCGACAUGAGGAGAAGAAGAAGCAGGAUCAGUGGCUGCUCCACUAGUUUCUUCGACUUUGGCAGGAGGAGGAGGUAGAGUCUUCAAGGGGGGAACCUGCUGCACAAUGUUCACCCGCUUCGCAGUGGGAGCAUCUUUGUUCUGGUCCCGCUUGGCAGCUUGAGAUCGAGGAUGUUUCCGAGUCAGAGCCCUAAUCACAGCAUCCUCCAUCUUAUGGCCGGGGAACAUCAGACAAGAUUCGACCAGGUUAUAAACAGUUAUCAGCUCUCUGCUUGAGCAGGAAUUGGCCAGUACAGCUUCGACCCGUUUGAGCUGGUCGGGUUUGAGUGGGAAGUGAACACCCCAAGAACCUGCAAUACGAACAGACAUUUGGUUAGAGACAAACCAGUAAAGUGAGAAAAAUUAUGGAGACAAGACAUCUAAAGCGAGCAGGCAACCUGGGACCACGAAACGGGGUGGGACGCGAUAAUCCUUCCCGUCAAUCUGUGCAACCUGACCCCAGGGACCCCCAGCAAAAAAGAACUUUUUCUUCCAAUUCCCACCACCACCAGUUGGUAGAUCGGUUAUGGGUUUCCUGGUUUUAGUAGUUGAUUGGAAAUAAUACCAGCCGGCAUCUUUGGGGCUGCUUUUUAGCUGGUACAGGUGCUUCACCUUAUCAACUGUGGGCUCGCUUUGGCAACAUUUAUCCCACAAUAUGAACAGACCAGAGAGCACUCUCCACCCGUUGGGGUUCAGCUGACCAGGAGUUAAAUUCAACCCGUUAAGUAUCCGGGCAAAGUAGGGUUGCAAAGGACACCUCAGCCCAUACUUAAAACUCUCCAGAAACAGGGUAACAUAUCCCCUAGGGGGCCGGCUAGGAGUAUCCUUCUUUCCUGGGACCUUAAGAGGUAUUUCACCAGGAAUAUUAUACCUAACCCGGAGGUCAGCGAGCUCGUCAAAGGUGGUCGUGCACGUGAUGAAAUCAAUAGCGUAAUCCUAUGAUAGGGCUCUACCUCCUAUUGUAUUCCUCACUUCUGGUCGUGAUGUUUCUGGUGAGGGCAUCUCACCAGAAUCACCUCCCUAGUCCUCACUCGGGGUGUCUUCCGAGCCAUAUGAUCCCUCGUCACCGCUAUUUCAGCUCGAGGAGGUUGUUUAGGGGGACAUUCUCCUAGCACUAGUCCCAACACUAGAUCUAAUGGGUUCUAAGGGGAUCCCGGGGUCAAAGGCAGCAUCGGCGAGCAGACUAGGUAGGAAGUCUAACUCAUCGUCAUCAACCUCAAUGAUUUUCUCUUUACCUUUCGACAUUCCCUAGGCUAUAACCCGAGCACCACCACCAACUAUUACCCAAGCAAAAUAGAGAGAAAAGAGAUAUCAACAACUAUCCAAGACCGAGGAAAUAUGAGUAAUACCUAAAGUACUAGCUCAGUCGGAGGGAACGGCUCAGUCGGAGGGAGACAGGGAUAGAUGCUUUUAUGCCGAAACUCGUUCGCCGGAGAAACAGACGUGGAGUAAACGACGAGUUUCUCGUUUGGGGGUUUUGAGUGUUCCUAAUGAGGAACAACCCCUUGGGCUGCUAGCAUUUAACGGCACCAAAUCCCAAGGGUUUCGUAACCCUUGGUUUGAAAUUCAAAUGGAGGGAUAGAUUUCUGCCACAUCACCUCGUCCGUAAUUAAAUGCGACACGACUCUUGGCAGCCUUUUCCUGCCCUACGCAAGCCAGAACCGUUGAGUUUCUACUGUUGGCUCACUAUGUUACCCAACACCAGAAACUGGGGGACCGGUGUUUGGGGGAUAUACUUCGACGAGACCAGCCAUGAUGAGCAGAUACCUGGUAGCAGAGUGUACUUCGGCGAGGACCAGCUGUGAUGAGCAGCCAUCUGGUAGCAGGGUCUCCCAAGCAAGUAUAUACUGUAAGAAUCUGGCAGCAGGGGAGCAGAAGCAGGAAUAUUCUGCUCGUCCACGAAUGCACCAUCCGCGAGGCCGAUCCUUUGUUAGAAGCAUAAAGCCAUUCCAGCUAAGGCUUGAGUCGAGGAGACCCGGUCAACGACAGUUUGCGAGGCGUGCUCUCCAACGCGAGAAUCAAGGCACGAAGGCCAUACAACCACCCACGAUUACAGAAGUGGAACAUCCACUUUCGAGAUGUGGGAGGAUAACGGGCACGAAUGGAAGGAAGGUCUGGGUUCAGAAGAGGCCUAUAAAAAGGUAGCCAACGAAGGUAAAAGGGUUAGAAUUUUUGACAUUAUAACAGAGAAAAAGAAAGCUCUAAAGAACGAAGACUAAAAACGAGCCUUAAGAUUAGUGGCUAACGUUCCCAGGAACAGAAAACCUUCAUAUCUGACUUGAGCGUCGGAGGGUUUACGCCGAGAAAACAACCGGUGUGCUCUAACUUGUUUCUGUGUACGCAUGAAUAUUUGGAGAAGAAAGCAUACGAGGAGAGAUCCUGAUCGUGGUUGAGUUGAUCGAGCAGAGAUCCUGGUCGUGGUCGAAAGAGUAACCAGAAUCUCGCAUCAACAGGUAUUUUGAUCUUUCUUUCAUCUCUGUCUUGUAUCUUAGAAGUGUUAUGGAAUUUGUUUAUUGGUUGAAGAUAUGAACUUUUGAUAGAUUGAUAGAUAUCUAAAGAGAGAUCUUUGGUUGAAAAACAAUAAAAACACAUCUUCCAAUACAGCUUAUCUCAUACCUCUUACAAUUGAAUUAACUAUCACUCACAAUUAAUGUAAUUCAAACUGAUUGUUUUAACAUCUUUGUUUGUUAUUUGUAAACUGUAGGACCAUAUGAUGUUUUAGUCAGGAUGAAAGCCGUUGGUAUUUGUGGAAGUGAUGUGCAUUAUCUCAAGGUAUUUUUGUUUAUUCCUCUUCAACUUCCUUUAAAUUAUUAUUAUUAUUAUUAUUAUUAUGGCAAUUAAUCUGUCAAAUUGCUGAGAAAUGUUAAUAAUGGAAUAUUUUCACUUUAUGUUAUUCAAAAUAAUACUUGAAUGUUGAAUGUUUGUGUAUUUUCGCAGACCUUGAGGUGUGCCGAUUUUGUUGUGAAAGAGCCUAUGGUGAUUGGGCACGAGUGUGCUGGGGUCAUAGAGAAGGUGGGAAGCGAGGUGAAGACUUUGGUGCCCGGUGACCAUGUGGCCCUGGAACCCGGGAUCAGCUGCUGGCGAUGUGAUCACUGCAAAGGAGGUCGAUACAAUUUGUGUCCAGAGAUGAAAUUUUUUGCAACUCCGCCCGUUCAUGGUUCCCUGGCUAAUCAGGUUGAUUGAAAAUUUACAUUUUGAGCUAAGGUCUAGAGGACUAUGAGAUGACAAAUAUGGUAGACUGACUUUAACACAGUUUAUGCCCUUAUAAAUUUCAGUAAUGAUAUACUUACUACAGUUUUUUUGUUUUUUUUUUUAAUUCUACUACGGUUAGUAUACCAUCACUACAGAACAAAAAAAUUUCAUUACAAGAUAAAAUAAAAUUCCACUGUAAGACAAAUUUUUUUCUUUCUCUUACUGAUUUUGUGCUAACUUUUAUACAUACAUUAUUAUUCUAUAAAUUUUACUGUUUGAUUUUUUUUAGUGUAUUGGAUUAUUACUACAAUAUGAUCUAUGCCCUUGUGAAUUCUGUUGCAUAAAUAGUGGUGUCACUUUACCUGUUCUUCUAAAGGCAUACCGGUUACUGUCAGUUGUGUAGUUCCCAUUUGAUCUUCUGUCCCUCUCGUCGUAUAUUUUUUUAUCUGGCAAUGAUUGUUGAUUCCUUUUAUUUGAAAUGAAAUUGGCUGCUAUCAAAAUUGAUCGGCUACUUGACACAAUGACUAAGAUGCAUUCUCUUGUGUAUAAUAGGUGGUGCAUCCUGCAGACCUAUGUUUUAAGCUGCCCGACAAUGUUAGCCUGGAGGAAGGGGCUAUGUGUGAGCCCUUGAGUGUUGGUGUUCAUGCCUGCCGCCGUGCCAAUAUCGGUCCUGAGACAAAUGUGCUUAUCAUGGGAGCAGGGCCCAUAGGACUUGUCACAAUGCUAGGAGCUCGUGCUUUUGGAGCUCCUAGAAUUGUCAUUGUGGAUGUGGAUGACUAUCGUUUAUCUGUUGCAAAGGAACUUGGUGCAGAUAAUAUUGUUAAAGUUUCAACAAAUUUGCAGGUAUGUUACUGCCCAUUGCCCAGCAGAAGAGUUUAGAAAAGUAAAAGACAUCUCAAAAUCUUCAUGCUCACAAUCCUUCCCUUUCUCUUAAUCAUCAUAACAACAUGUUCUGUUCAACCAACUCUGUUGCAUUAAUACCUUGUUUCAACUUCCUCAGUUCAUUUUUGUUCUCAGUACCUUUUUGUUCUCUGUUUGAAAGUUGACCACUCUAAUCUGCAUUAUUCUUGUUAUCAGAGUAGAGGUGAGCUUGAGCUUUGGUUCGUUUGAAAAUUUUUCAUGUGCUCCUCACGCUUGUUUUUUCUGUUUGAAUAAACCGCUAUGCGUCGAGUAUUUUGCAGGAUAUAGCUGAAGAAGUGGAAAAGAUAGAUAAAGCCAUGGGGACAGGAAUAGAUGUGAGCUUUGAUUGUGCAGGCUUUAACAAAACCAUGUCAACAGCACUGAGUGCUACUCGUGCAGGUGGUAAAGUUUGCCUCGUGGGGAUGGGUCAUCAUGAAAUGACUGUCCCACUCACUCCAGCUGCUGCAAGGUACUUGAUUUAUGGUUUUCUUUUUCAUUUUUUUAUUUAUUGUUUUGGGCUACUCCGUUAUUUACUUUAAGUUUUUAAUUAGUUUCUUGAAAUCUGAAUAAAUUUGAAUUAGUUUGAAUUCAUAAUAUAAUUGAAUAUUUGAAUCUUAAUGAUAUAUUUGUUUUUUUUUUCUGAAUCGCAAAAAAUAAAUUUUAAGUUUUUUUCCUAAAAAAAUAAAAAAACUAAUAUUUUUACAUUUAUACCCCUACAAAUUAUAAAUGUUAAACAAAUAAUAAACAUAUCAAAAAAUAUAAAUAAGAUAAUAUAUUAUCAUAACAUAAAUCAUAUUCAAUUGAAUACAACUCUUUAAUAUUUUAUAUUAUAUAUAUUAAUCAAUUUUAUUAUAGUUUAUGAUGUUUUUAUAUGAAAAAUAUUCAUAAAAAAUUAUGAAAAUAAAUAAUGCUAAUUUGAAGAAAAUAAAAAGAAAAAAUAAUAAUAAUCUACCACUAUAUAUUAUCACAAGUUAUACAAAGAUGGGUAAUGAUGUUAAUUAUUAAAUUUUAUUCAGGUAAAGAUGAAAAUUAAUUAAGGAAAUAGGGAUAUUUUAAAAAAAAAAAACUUGCAAUGAUACCGAUAAGACUUUUUAAAUUAAGCAAAAAAGAUAAAAAAAAUUAACUUAAUAACUUGAUGAAUUAAUGGCUAAAAUUUUUUAUUAAGUUGAAAAAAUAAAAAGACUUAAUGACUUAAUUAAUUAAAAUUAAAUUAAUUAAGUCAAGUCAAAAAAGUAAAUGACCCGUAAGCCUCUAAAAUGUAAAUAAAAAAAUAACACAAAAUUUCGUGGGCGGAGUCAUUUCAUUGUUGGAUUGGGAACAAAUGCAUUUAAGAAAUGAGAGAAUCAAGGAUACCUACCAGAAUGACCAUAAAACCAUCAUUUUUAAGAACAUGUAAAAUGGUAAACAAAAGCUGUUGAAUAAAAGUUGGAAUGUUCUAGAAUCAAUAGACUUGGAAGAAGAAUGUAAACAAAUUCUUGUGCUUGGGUUGUAUGUUUUCCAAUAGAACACGAUGGCAUGUCAAGAACAACUUUCACAAACCAUCUUGUAUGUUGUUUCUGUUUAAUGACUUUUUCUUUCCUUUUCUGGAAACAUAUGUUUAAUGACUUCUUAAGCUGAAUAACACGUUUCGGCUUUUAAUUGGACUAAAAUCCGUCUGAACCUUUUACCCUUAAAUUUAUGAGCAUAAUUGUGAACGCAGGGAGGUGGAUGUGGUGGGGGUGUUUCGCUACAAGAACACCUGGCCACUGUGUCUGGAGUUCCCUAGAAGCGGAAAGAUUGAUGUAAAGCCCCUUGUCACGCAUAGGUUUGGUUUCUCCCAGAAGGAAGUGGAAGAGGCCUUUGAAACAAGUGCUCGUGGUGGUACUGCAAUCAAGGUCAUGUUUAAUCUGUAAAAUACAACGUAAAGUAAACGUUUGGGCAAAAGAUGAAAUAAAAUGGAAUUGUCGCCGAGUAAUAUGAAUCAAAGUGUAGCAUAUUACUUUAUUUCUAUCUAUUACAAAAUAAAAUUCAGAUUUCUCAAGUUUUUUGUUCUUUAUUGUCUGCUCUGUGCUAUAUUUUCUUCAUCCUUUUGUGUAUGCUUAUUUGAAAGCCAAUCAAUAGGUUUCCUGGUUAACAGAUGAUUACCCUGCAAGACAUUUCAGUCACCACUUUCGUUCAGCCGUGAGUUGUGUUUGCUGUAGACAACUGCAGAGUAAUUUCAACAUAGCCGAACUCUUUCCUUUAACCUUCUUAACCUUUUUUAAAAGAUAAAACAAUUCUUUCAAACCAUUUUGCAAAAUUAGCCACCACUCACAUACAUGAAGUUGAUUUUGAUUCCUUUAUGAAGAUACAAUUAUUGCAAGGUUUCGAUUUCGGGGUCCAUAAAUUCUGAAAAAAACAAAAUUAACAAACAACAAACGGUUCUGAAACCGAUAAAUUCUCUCCACGUAAGCACGUUAUCCCGUUGAAAAAAGAAACCAUAAUCUCUAUCACAAAUUUUUUAAAACUGUCAUUAGUAAUUGGAUUUAUCCUUAAAUAAAAAUGAGUCAGAUGAAAACAGAAAUCAAUCAUCUACACGGAUAAAUAAAAAGAACACUUGAUGUUAUGCCUCACUUGUCAUUAAAUAUUCCUGCGACCGAAUCAAAUCAUAUCCCAUAUCCAGAAUCAGAUAGUGUACAGAGUGAAGUCUCUGCUGUACACUUGUGUUUUUGAAGGGUGAAAAGCAAAUAUGGGCAAAGGAGGGAUGUCACAAGGAGAAAAGAAGGAUGGAGAAGAAGUUAACAUGGCAGCUUGGCUUAUGGGUGUCAACACCCUCAAGAUUCAGCCUUUUGAGCUUCCUUCUCUGGGUAUUUUGAUCUUUCUUUCAUUUCAGUCUUGUAUCUUAGAAGUGUUAUGGAAUUUGUUUAUUGGUUGAAGAUAUGAACUUUUGAUAGAUUGAUAGUGUUGGGUGCAAGCGGAAGUGCAGAAAUUUUUUUUAUUUAAGAACAGAGUAUUUUGCUGGAAAUUACUGAAACUUUAUUGCUUAAUUCAUUUUUUCGUUUCUCUCUUACUUUUCAUACAACCAGAGUUCUAUAUUUAUAUGCAUUAUAGACAACUCUAGAGAUUACAUUAAUCAUGCUUUACAUUUCCAAAGCCACAUUGCAAACAUCAAUUCUACCCUUUACUUCACGUUGAAAAACAAACCAAAUAACCCUUCAAACUUCUUGCUCAAUUUACUAGAUUACUAAUUAUAUCUCAACAGAUAGAUAUCUAAAAAGAGAUCUUUGGUUGAAAAACAAUAAAAACACAUCUUCCAAUGCAGCUUAUCUCAUACCUCUUACAAUUGAAUUAACUAUCACUCACAAUUAAUGUAAUUCAAACUGAUUGUUUUAACAUCUUUGUUUGUUAUUUGUAAACUGUAGGACCAUAUGAUGUUUUAGUCAGGAUGAAAGCCGUUGGUAUUUGUGGAAGUGAUGUGCAUUAUCUCAAGGUAUUUUUGUUUAUUCCUCUUCAACUUCCUUUAAAUUAUUAUUAUUAUUAUUAUUAUUAUGGCAAUUAAUCUGUCAAAUUGCUGAGAAAUGUUAAUAAUGGAAUAUUUUCACUUUAUGUUAUUCAAAAUAAUACUUGAAUGUUGAAUGUUUGUGUAUUUUCGCAGACCUUGAGGUGUGCCGAUUUUGUUGUGAAAGAGCCUAUGGUGAUUGGGCACGAGUGUGCUGGGGUCAUAGAGAAGGUGGGAAGCGAGGUGAAGACUUUGGUGCCCGGUGACCGUGUGGCCCUGGAACCAGGGAUCAGCUGCUGGUGAUGUGAUCACUGAAAAGGAGGUCGAUACAAUUUGUGUCCAGAGAUGAAAUUUUUUGCAACUCCGCCAGUUCAUGGUUUUCUGGCUAAUCAGGUUGAUUGAAAAUUUACAUUUUGAACUAAGUUCUAUAGGACUAUGAGAUGAGAAAUAUGGUAGACUGACUUUAACACAGUUUAUGCCCUUAUAAAUUUCAGUAAUGAUAUACUUAGUAUGGUAAGUAUACCAUCACUACAGAACAAAAAAAUUUGAUUACAAGAUAAAAGAAAAUUCCAUUGUAAGACAAUUUUUUUUUUUUUUGUUUUCCCUUACAGAUUUUGUACUAAUAAUUAUACAUACAUUAUUAUUCUAUAAAUUUUACUGUUUGAGAUUUUUUAGUGUCUUAGAUUAUUACUACAAUACGAUCUAUGCCCUUGUGAAUUCUGUUGCAUAAAUAGUGGUGUCACUUUACCUGUUCUUCUAAAAACAUACUGGUUACUGUCAGUUGUGUAGUUCCCAUUUGAUCUUCUGUUCCCUCUUGUCAUAGAUAUUUUAUCUGGAAAUGAUUGUUGAUUCCUUUUAUUUGAAAUGAAAUUGACUGCUAUCAAAAUUGAUCGGCUGCUUGACAUAAUGACUAAGAUGCAUUUCUUGUGUAUAAUAGGUGGUGCAUCCUGCAGACCUAUGUUAUAAGCUUCCGGACAAUGUGAGCCUGGAGGAAGGGGCUAUGUGUGAGCCCUUUAGUGUUGGUGUUCAUGCUUGCCGCCGUGCCAAUAUCGGUCCUGAGACAAAUGUGCUUAUCAUGGGUGCAGGGCCCAUAGGACUUGUCACAAUGCUAGCAGCUCGUGCUUUUCGAGCUCCUAGAAUUGUCAUUGUGGAUGUGGAUGACUAUCGUUUAUCUGUUGCAAAGGAAAUUGGUGCAGAUAAUAUUGUUAAAGUUUCAACAAAUUUGCAGGUAUAUUACUGCUCAUUUCCCAGCAGAAGAGUUUAGAAAAGUAAAAGACAUCUCAAAAUCUUCAUGCUCACAAUCCUUCCCUUUCGGCUUUCUAUUAAUCAUCAUAACAACAUGUUUUGUUCAACCAACUCUGUUGCAUUAAGACCUUGUUCUAACUUCCUCAGUUCAUUUUUGUUCUCAGUACCUUUUGUUUUCUGUUUGAAAGUUGACAACUCUAAUCUGCAUUAUUCUUGUUAUCAGAGUAGAGGUGAGCUUGAGCUUUGGUUCGUUUGAAACCUGUUCAUGUGCUCCUCACCCUUGUUUUUUCUGCUUGAAUAAACCGCUAUGCAUCGAGUAUUUUGCAGGAUAUAGCUGAAGAAGUGGAAAAGAUACAGAAAGCCAUGGGGACAGGAAUAGAUGUGAUCUUUGAUUGUGCAGGCCUUAACAAAACCAUGUCAACAGCACUGGGAGCCACUCGUGCAGGUGGUAAAGUUUGCCUCGUGGGGAUGGGUCAUCAUGAUAUGACUGUCCCACUCACUCCAGCUGCUGCAAAGUAAUUGAUUUACGGUUUUCUUUUCCUUUUUUUUCUUGUUUUGGGCUACUCCGUUAUUUACUUUAGGAAAAUGCUAUAUACCCGGGUCAAACCCCAAAACUAAUUCAAACAACACUGUUUGAUCUUUUUUUCUUUUUCUUUUCAUUCACCUUAAAACGACUCCGUUUUGUUUAGCUAAUGUCAGCCUUAAUUGCUCUCUCUUCAUCUUCGUUUCAACGACAAAAUCGAUUUGGCUUAGACAAAACCGAUUUCAAGAACAUCAGCAACAAAACCGAUUUGGCAAAACCUUUAAGCUUUUAUCUUCCUUCUAGGUGAUUGGAUUUGGCUUAGAUAAGGAAAAAAGGAAAUCUUGAACAAGGUGGCUGCUAGGCGUGAUGGUGGUGCUAAUGGCUAGGUAUGCGUGAUGGUGGCUGCCAGUUGUGGAUCGCGAACGGCUGUGAAACGAAGGGGAAGAUAAAGCAGUUGUUUUACAGAGACAUGGAAGGCGAAUGGCUGGGAGACAAAGAGGAAGAGAAAGCAAUUUUGGGCCGUCGUUGCUUUUGCCUUAACUAAGCCAAAAUGACGUCGUUUUAGGGAGAAUGAAAGGUAAAAAAAAAGAUGAAACAACGUCGUUUGCAUUAGUUUUGGAGUUUGACUCGGGGUAAAUAGCAACGCUAUUUACUUUAAGUUUCUAGUUAGUUUCAGCAAAUUCACUUUAAGAUCACUUUUUUUUUUAAAUAUGAGAAAAUUUGAAUUAGUGAAAUGUUUUUUUUAUCUGAAUUGCUAAAAAUAAAUUUUAAAUUAUUUUUUUAACCUAAAAAAAAUAUAAAAACUAAUAUUUUUACAUUUAUAUCCUUACAAAUUAUAAAUGUUAAACAAAUAAUAAACAUAUCGAAAAAUAUAAAUAAGAUAAUAUAUUAUUAUAACAUAAAUCAUAUUCAGUUGAAUACAACUCUUUAAUAUUUUAUAUUAAAUAUGUUAAUCAAAUUUAUUAUAGUUUAUGAUGUCUUUAUAUGAAAAAUAUUCAUAAAAAAUUAUGAAGAUAAAUAAUGCUAAUUUGAAGAAAAUAAAAAGAUGAAAAUAAUAAUAAUCUACCACUAUAUAUUAUCACAAGUUAUAUAGAGAUGAGUAAUAAUGCUAAUUAUUAAAUUUUAUUCAAGAAAUGAUGAAAAUUAAUUAGUGAGAUAUGAAUAUUUUAGAAAAUAUCUUUUAAUGGUACCAUUAAAACUUUUUAUAUUAAGCAAAAAAAGGUAAAAAAAAAAUAUUAGUUUAAUAACUUAAUGACUUAAUGGCUGAAAUUUUUCAUUAAGUUGAAAAAAAAAAUAGAUUUAAUGACUUAAUUGAUUAAAAUUAAGUCAAUUAAGUCAAGUCAAAAAAGCAAACGACCACUAAGUCUCUAAAAUGCAAAAAAAAAAAAAAACACAAAAUUCGUGGGAGGGGCAUUUCAUUGUUGGAUUUGGGAACAAAUGGAUUUAAAAAAUGAGAGAAUAAAAGUUGAAUACAAUUACCAAAAAGAUCAUAAAGCCAUCAUUUUUAAGAACAUGUAAAAUAUUAAACAAAAAUUGUUGAAUAAAAGUUGGAAUGUUCUAGAAUCAAUAGACUUGGAAGAAGAAUGUAAACAAAUUCUUGUGCUUGGGUUGUAUGUUAUCUAAUAGAACACGAUGGCAUGUCAAGAACAACCUUCACAAACCAUCUUGUAUAUUGUUUCUAUUUAAUGACUGUUUUUCCUUUCCUUUUCUCGAAACAUAUGUUUAAUGACUUCUUAAGCUGAAUAACACGUUUCAGCUUUUAAUUGGACUAAAAUCCGUCUGAGUGUAGUGACUCUAAAAACACAUCUUCUUAGUUAAAAAAAAAAAUCAUUUUCUUUUUCUAUCGUUUUAAGUGUAACCUUUCUAAUUAGUUUUUCUGCAUCAUUUUCACCUUUCUGCAUGCAUAUUUUCUUUUCAUGUUUAGAAUAGGUUAGGGGGUAUAAUGUUGUUUGAAAAAGAAAAUUUGUGAUUUUUUUUAACAUUGGAUGACACGAUGACUUUCAAAUUUUAGUAUUUGUAUUAUCUUUGGUCUUAAGUAAUGUUACGCCAUGUUUUCUACUCUACAUGUUGAUGUUGGAGACAAAUAUGAGUUGCUUGAAGGAAUGUACAUGUCAUAAUAAAUACCAAGUGAGUUUUUUAGCCUGUCAUUUUUCUUGGAGAGUAAUCAUUUUUGCCCAUUCUUCAUACAGCUUAGCAGUUUAUUAUUUUAUACAUGAUCUCUAGAUUUCCUUUGAGUCAAUCCUCUAAAAAAAAAAGAAAAAAAAAUGUGUUACUACAUUUGAAGGUCCAUCUAAUUAGUAGAUAUUGAAGAUUAUUUAGAGCCCUAAAAGACGAUGGAAAUACCAUCUUUGACCCGUUUGAGCUUUUCUAGCCAUCCCUUUUGUAAAAUAUCCAUAGUUAGCCCUUUUAAGCCUUUUAUUUAAUAAAAAAAUUUCUUUAUCAACUUAUCAUCUUGACCCACUUCGAUUUGAUGUCUUACAAAUUCCAUCACAUAUUCAUAUUUGAGAAAAAUGUAAAUAAUUAUCUUGUUCAGUAAAGUUGUGCCAUACAAAAAAAAAAAAACAAAAAUAAAAAAUUUGUUUCAAAAAAAAGGAAAAAAAAAAAAAGAGAAAAAAUUAAUAACAAUAAUAAUAAAUAAGCGAAAUGCACCUUGUAAUUUCCAAAAGAUCUAUUCUUUUUCUCAAACAUAUAUUUUGUUUUCCUUAUUUUCCCUCCUUUGUUAGCUAUAUCCUUAGCCUACGUUGAUUUUAGGGAUCUAUAGUCUGAAGUAGAAACUAGUUAUAUGGGCUAAAAGGAUGUAGUGAUGCAUAUAUAAAAAAAUAGAAAAAAAAAAAAAUUGGGUUGACUAGAAUUUUGUUAGAGUUAAGAUGUACUUUUAUUUUAUUGCUAUUAUUAGUCUGAUUGAAUAAACACGAGUAUUUUAAAAAAAAAUCAAUUUGGGUUUGAAUUUUGUUUUCGCUUAAUUUGCUAGGAACUAGCAAUAAGCUGGUUGGGGGGUGUGUUGAGUGUUAGAAAGUAUACAUUUAUAAAGAAGAAAAUUGUUAUUUUACACUUCAAGUUUCACUAACAUUCGUACUUUUAUGUAUUUAAGUCUCUUGUGAUCUAAUUAUGUGUGUUGUAUUAUAAUUAAGUAUUUUAUGUAUUUUAGGGGUAUUAUGGUCAUUUCAUUAUGAACGAGAGAUCAGGCAGCAAAACAGACAUCACUUUUGAACUCAGGACAAUCGAAAACCUUAGGAGGAGCAUAAAUGGAAAAAUGGCACUGUUCACAUAUACGGUGCUGUCCAUGUUUUUGUUCACGACGCUGUUCACAUAUACGGGAUGAUGAUGUGGCAUUGACCGAUCAGUGUCACAAUCCUAUUGGACUAAAAUUCUUAUGUACUGUUGAUUGGUGACGUGGCAGCACGUUAGUGGAUAAAAAAUUAUGCUUACGGUAUAUGCAUAUACACGGAACUAUUUACAACCAAACCUCGUCACUAUUCAAGCCGCCUCACUGUUCAUACCGCGUCACUAUUCAAACCGCGUGAUCAAACUGCAUAUUGUUGACUGAUGACGUGGCGCAAUCCUGAGCGUCCAAAAUAUUUUUAAUUCGAUGGCCAUGAUUUACUCAGUGUAUCUAUAAAAAGGGGGCUCCCCCCUAAUUUGGCACCCCUGAAUUUAUUUUUGAGUUUCAUUUCUGUAAUUCCUUCUCCAUCUUGUAUUUUCUACGUAUUUUAAUAAAUUCCUAUUUUAAUUUAAAUUUUAGGAUAAUCUAAAUCACUUCCAUCACAAAUCUAAUCGCCCACUUAGAAAAUUAACUCUACACACAAUUAAAAUACACCUCCUCGUGGGAUCGACACUCGUCACCAUUAAUCUAUUCUACAAUAGAUUUCUGCACUUGCGAGUUCAAUAAAAUUUGCACAGUAGAUAUCAGGUCGCUUUAUUUCUUAAUUAUGUAGCUCCUCCUUCAAGUUCUAGCAAGUUUUCAUAUUGGUGGAAGUUCAUUUGGGCAUUGUCCAUUUCUAGCAAAUUUAAGUUACUUUUCUGGCGAGCACUCCAUGAAAUCCUUCCCACCUCUUGCAAUGUUUUCAAAUGUAACCUCUUGUAACCUUUUCAAAUGACUUCUGUAAAUUGAGUACGAUGUGUAUGGAUGGGUCAAAAUAGGUUACUUUGAACUUUUAGAGUCAGUUUGGUAAUACUGCAACUUUUAAAAUAAUUACUGUUAACGGUGUUGUAAAAAUAAUCAGCUAUGAAGAGAAUUAGUUGAAUGGUUGGUAAAAUUUAUUUUUAAAAAUAUUGCUAGUUUUAAAAACAGUCCUAUCUAUUUAGUAAAUCUUAUUGUUAAGCUACUAUAGAAUGUAAAUGACUAGAUUAGGGCAAAAUAUUGAAUAAAAUUUAUUUAUACAUUUAUAAACUUAAAUAUAAAAUAUUUUUUAUUACGUAUAUAGUAAAUUAAUAACUAAAAUAAAUAUUUUAUAUUAUUUUGAGAAUCAAUUUUUUGUUACUUUUCAAAAUCUAUUAUAGGAUAUGGUGAUUUUGCCAAAAAGAUUUCUAAAAAAAUUUAUUAAACACCAAAAUUAUCUUUUAUUUUAAAUCCCCCAAAAGCAAUCUUACUAUAUCAGAAGUAAUUUGAGAAAGAGUUAGGGCUGAUGUGAGUAUUUUCACCUAAAGUUUGUAAAUCCAUGAUAUUUCUUUACCUUCACUUUCUAGUAUGUCAACUAUUAUUUGUGCGUAUGUUUAGCUUUUCAAAAUCACUUAUGAGUUAUGGCCUCCCAAAAGUAAUUUUACUAUAUUAGUAGUAAUUCGUGAAAGGAUUGGGGCUGAUGUGAGUAUUUUUCCCUAAAGCUUAUACAUUAAUAAGUAUUUUUCCCUAAAGCUUAUUCAUUAAGCCAUGAUAUUUCUUUGCCUUUACUUUCUGAUAGGUUGACUAUCAUUUGUGUCUAUGGCUCAUAACAUUCUUUUCUGGAAUAUUUUCCAGCUAUCUAUUAGAUGCUGAAAAUUCUUGUGAGUCAUAUUCAAACUAAAAUUCUUAUAUGGAGUUGCUGGCACUUAUACAAAGUGUAUUUUCAUGGAAGAACUUAGUGCAAAAGAAAGUUUGUUGGACAUUUUGUACCCAAGGUCUAGUUAAUUUUUCUGAGUUACUAUAAAGGUUUCAUCAAAUUUCUAUUUUAUUUUUCCAAUGAAUUUAAUUUUUCCUCUGUCUGUGCAUAAUACGAACAAGAGGACUUUAGAUGAGGGUAUCCAGAUCCUAAUUUGACUUAAGCAAAAAGAAUUGGUUGCUCACAUUGAAUUUUGGGUAAACCAAACACUGAAGAUGAACAACCAUAAUUUGCUACUAUUGAUGUUGUUGCAGAUCAUAACCUAGCCACUAGCUUCCUAUAUAGAUACUAAACUAGUACAAACCCUGUUAGAUUUAGGUGCCCCAUUAUGGGCUGACUUUUAUCCAACUUGAGAGAUAAGAUAAUCUUACAAUUUAUCUAGGAUUCUUAUAAGAUAAACUUAAUGUUUUAUCUAAAUCCUAAUCAUAUAAGUUGUGGCUUAUUCAAAUAACUCUAGAAAGUUUAUUUAAAUUAAAUUACAUUUAUUGUACUAUAUAAGCACUACAUGGGUGGGUGCAAAUACGUAUAAUAAUAAUAAUAAGAAUCAGAGUACAUCAUAAAGUGAGUGAGAGAAAAGAGAAAAUGCAGUGGGUUCUUACUUCAUGAAUUGAGGGAAUUUUCUAACCACGUGAUUGUCCUCCAACCAUCAGUGACAUAAACUCAUUAAGAUCCAUUUGUGAAGGUUCCAGUAAUCAGUUCCUCUUCGUAGCGAUCUGUUCGUGAAGGUUCUAGGAGAUUGGAAGGAAUCUAUUAUUUAUUUCCGCAGAUCCUUGACUAUUUGUUUCUGCAUCAACCAACAAGGUAUGAAUUUGGUUGAUAAAAUAAAAUUGCAUUAUUGAUUGAGGAAAUCAACAUUAGUAUCAUAGCUUGUGUAGCUUAUGUCUUGAUCUUGAGUGCUUAUGUAUGCUGAUAUGCCAUGUUCUUCUAUGAAAAUUUGUUUCUCGCUCUAAAAUCACACAUUAAUGGUAUAUGAUGAAAUACAUACUGUUAAAGAAUGAAAUCCGGACUAUAAGUACAUGAACAUACAUGGAAUAUAUCUAGAAUCCCAUUUGAUCUAAUAUGCUCUUAAGUGAUAAAUAAAUUGAAACUCUAAGUUAUGAACCCGAAUGCUUAUUUUGCUCAUAAAAUUUUUUAUGUUCAUUCAUUCUCUACAAUUUGGUAUCAUUAGAAAGGUCUUUUAAUUAUCUUUACAAUGGUAUAUCAUGUGCAUUAUUUGGCCUUGUAAAUUGAGAGAACGAAGUAUUUGAAUUUCUGGUUCGAAAUUUGAAAUUUUUGUUCAAAUUGAAGAAGAUAAAUAGUAUUCUAUGUGCAAUCUCACUCUCGGGUAUGAUGUGUAAGCUCCAUUUGUACACUAAAAAAAAUUUAAGACCAGAUUUGAAUUCAAGAUGUCAAAUAAGGUCAGUAGGUUAGAAAAUUGAGAGCAAAAUGUGCCCGGAAGCUGGAGCAUGUGUCACACGCGCCAAGAAAGAGAGUUAAGCCGAAUAUGUAAUCGGCUUGGUAGUAAACUGGCUUCGUCAGAGCCGCGCGAACCAGAUCAGACCGAACCAAGUGUCAGCGCUAGUUAGCGUGCCAAGCGUGGCCACAUUGGUCCACGCGUGACAGUAGCGCGCAGCGCACGUCCAACCUUCCUGACCUCGGAUUGCAAUAUUGUGUUACGGCAACUGCACGAGAAUUCAAUUUCCUAUUUUUCUGUAUUUUAAAAUUAAAAUUUUGUUUCUAUUUUUAAUUAUUUUAUUUUAUUUUAUUUUUCUAACAUACUUGAAUUUAGAAAUAAAAAUAGUUUUAUAGAAAUUAAAUUCACACAAUAUGAAUCUUAAUUGUAAAGAAUGUCAUAUCUAGUCGGAGGAAAUAUAAAAUACUUAAAAUAUUAUGAGGAUUAUUAAAGUUUGACGUAGUAAUGUGAAUUUAUGCAUGUCUAGGAAAAUUCUAUCAAAAUGACAAUAAAAGUCUAAGAAAAUGAGGUACUUAAGUGGGACUAUCUUAUCCCUACCUCUUUCUUGAGAAUUUUCCUAAUGCUUAUUCACUUGAAAAUAUGCAUGAAGGCUUUUUUAUCCCUCAAAACUAAAAUGAAAAGUUUUAUUAUUAAAAUAAUAAAAGGAUUAAUAAUAAUAGAAUUAAUAUUUUUUGCACAAAAGGACUAAAUGAUGAUGAUUUAAUUAUUUGGGAAGGAUGAUUAUUAGGAGCUUGGAUGAAUUUUCGAUUCUAAUCCUUGUAUUAAAUAAUCAUGUUGAGUCUUGUGUUUAUGACAAAAUUAUAAAUGUGUAUAAGAAUCAUGCUAAUUAACGUUUUUUCUCUAUGUUUUAUUGUGGCUAUAAGAAAUGGCAUCUUCAAAGAAUAUCGUGGCCGAAUUGAAUAAAGGAGAAAAAUUGAACGGUGACAAUUAUGACAUUUGGCACCAAAAGGUUCAAUAUGUUCUCAAUGAACAAGAGACUCUUGAGACUCUCAAUACAGUAAUUAAGCUGAGGAGCUUGAGAGCAGUCUUUCUGAACAAUACAAUAAGGAUCUUGAGGCUUAUCCGUCUUGGAAAAGGAAGAACAACAGUGCUCGCAUUAUGUUGCUGAGUGUUGGUAUAAAUUUAAAUGCUAUUGGUGUCUAUGUGCAAAUGUACACAAUAAGUAAUAUAAUUAUAAGUAUUCAAGAUCAUUUCCACAGGGAUUGAUGUUAUUGAAAUUGCUACAACAAUCUUAACAGUGCAGUUUGCCUUAAAUGAAAAUAAAUUAACAAUUAAAUUAAUAAAUUGUGUAAUAAAAUGCAAUAAAUAAAUAUGCAGAAAAGAAAAACUUUAACGUCACACACACAAGGAUAAAAUCAAUAGGAAUGAAGUAGUUGAGUGAUUAAACUCUCUUAAUGGUUUUGAUUAUUUCUUGUAAUUCUAAGUUCAGUUGCUAUAGCAUCUGCUACAGUAUUGGGUAGAAUCAUUAUGUAUCAUCAGCUAGCGCAUGUUGGAUGUCUUACAUCUAUAUACAACCUAACAAUGACCAAUUGUUAUACCAACAUAAGAUAUAUCAUUGCAUGUUUAAGGUUUAUUUACCCUACAAGGUGAAUCCUUAUGUCUAGUUCAUCACUAAUUUUAGAUUAAGUAUGACCCUUUUGGAAUUAAGUUAAACUCAACUCAGGAAGCCCAAUCCAAAAUCAAGUAUUGUUCUGAUAUGUUCCACUAAGAUAGGCCUUUUUGUACUCUUUCUUAGCUUGUAUCAUUAUGGGUGGUCAGCCGAAAUAAUGAAUGUAAAUAAGCUUUACUAAAAUAAAAUGCUAUAGCAAACACGCAACAACAUAUAAAUCCAGUCGAUAGCCCAUUAAGAUUAUUUAUCACUCAACCACAAGUAAAUUUAGUUCAUAGUUUGUGAAAGGAAAGUAAACAACAAAGUUUAAGCCAUCGAAUACUUCUUCAUGAUCAAAGAAUAAACAAGCAAACAAGAAAUAAUAAGAAAGAUUGAAUUCCAAUUGAUUCCCACAAAUUUUCCACUGAUUGCAGCCUUGAUUCUUGCUCUUGAAUUCUAUUUUUUCUUUGUUUCUUUUCGGUUUUUGAUCUUAGUUGACAACCCCUUCUUUUCCUUUGCAUGUAUCCUUCCUUUAUAGCUGAAAACUAGGGUAAAUUAAAGUCUAGGGCGUGCAUAUUCCAGAUUAGGAAACUACAGAUCACAAUCUGAUAAGUGCCUCGAGCAAAAUCUUCUCUGUUGUUGUUCCAGGAUUAUUACAACAAUUGAUGCUACAACAACCACUACAGCAUCUACAUUGUUUCAUAUUUGUUUUAAUUUUUUCUAUAACCAAGUCCUGUUCCAUUUUUUGCAAGCCUAUUGCCACAACAUCCUUCCCAUGAAAUUUGAACUUCCGGUUACCUACAAUUAUGCAUAUGUUUUAAGUACACGACUUUUGAAAUCAAACAAACUUUUAUUAAACUUAAACUAAAAUGAAUGUUAAUGUAAACUAUCAUUAAAAUGCACUAAAACACAUCAAUUACUCUCUAAGUAAUCUUGAUUUGACCCUAAAAGUAUCAUGAUAACUCUCAUUUCAUAGAGUUAUCACUGAGCUGCAUGCAAGAUGACCUUAUGUGUAAGUUCGAAGAGUAUUGUAUGCCUCAUGAAAUGUAGCUUGAAUGAAAAGUUAGGUGGUACUUCGACCACUAAAUAAAAAGGGCUCAACAUAAAAAAUGAUGGACAUGUAUUGACUGAUGAGCAAUAUGUUCAGGCAAUCAUACGAUCGCUUCCUAAUAAUUAGGAAUAUAUGAGAGUUAACAUGGCUCAUAAUUAUAGCAUUAAGACAUUUAAUGAUAUCAAGUGUCAUUUGGAACUAGAAAGCUUCUAGCCAACUCUAUAUGGCUAACUCUAAGCCGUAGAAAGCUUUGGGCUUCAAGCGCAAAAAAAGAAGGAAUACUUUUCAAAGGAAAAAGAGAAUUGUGACAGCUCAAGGGAACCCUAAUAAUAGAAAGUGCAUGAAAGGAAAGCGCGUUGGAUAUAAGAAAGACAAGACUAAAAUGAAUUGUUAUAAUUGUGGCAAAUUAGGCCACUUUGCUCGUGAAUGCACUGAGCCAAAAAGGUACCAUUCAUCUCCAUAAAUUUAUGUUCUAACUAUGUGAUAAAUUUUAUUUUUUUAACUGAAUCUCGUCCUUCAAGGACUGUAGACUCAGGACCAACAGACCACAUAGCUGAAGAGCGUGGAGCAUUUGUGAAGUAUCGUCAAAUUAAUCAAGGAACAAAAUGGUAUACGUGGGUAACAACUCAAGGGUUGAGGCAAAAGGAAUUGACACUUGCAAGUUAGAGUUGCGUGGUGGCCAAAUAUUUUAUCUCCAUGAUGUUCUUUAUACUCUAAACAUCCAAUAAAACUUAGUCUCUGUUACUGUUCUUCUUAUGAUGGGAUAUCAAUUACAAUUUUAUAGUGCUAGUUUAAAGAUUGUUCUUAAUUCAACUCUAGUUGCUGGUGGUUAUUUAUUAGAUGGUUUUCCUCUUUUGGAUACUAAUUAUUAUGAUUCCAAUAAUAAUUGUUUUUUGGUAAAUGCAUUUUCCAAUGUGGAUAUAAAUACUUGGCAUGCUAUACUAGGACAUGUAGGGCAAGAAAGAAUGAAUAGAUUAGUUAGAGAAAGCUUAUUAGGCUCACUCGCCAAUAUUGACUUGCCUAUUUGUGAAAGUUGUCUAGCUGGAAAAGCAACUAGAAAACCAUUUGGCAAAGCUACUAGAGCUGAAAGUCCAUUGUAAAUAGUCCAUUUUGACAUUCGUGGACCAAUGAGUGUGAGGGCUAAAUAUGGAACCUUGUAUUUUUAUCACAUUUAUUAAUGACUACUUACGCUUUGGUCAUGUUUAUUUGAUUUCUCAUAAAUCUGAAGCAUUGGAUUGCUUUAGAUCAUACUUGAAUUUAGUAGAGAAUCAAUUAGAAAAAAUAUCAAAGUCUUAAGAACAUAUCGUGGGUGUGAAUACCUUUUAAAGCAGUUCAAGGAAUUGUGCAAUAAUAAAGGUAUUGAGAAACAACUAACUAUUCUAAGGACUCCACAACAAAAUGGUGUUGCAGAAAUGAGGAAUAGAACAUUACUCGAGAUGGUUAGGUCUAUGAUGGCAUUAUUGACUGCCAUUUAUGUACUUAAUUGAGUUCCAAGUAAGUCAGUAAGUUUUACUCCAUAUGAGUUGUGGAUAGUUAGAAAACUUGAUCUUACUCAUUUGCGUCCCUGGGGGUCUGCAACGUAUAUUCACAACUCAUCUCAUAAACAUGGGAAAUUGGGUCCAAGAGGAAAGAAACGUUUCUUUAUAAGAUACCUAAAACACUCCAAAAGAUAUGUAUUCAUAGGUGAACAUGAUGAUGGAAAUAUAACUGAGACAAAGUCAGGAGAUGUUUCAUUUUUGGAAAAUGAAUUAUUAGCAUUUCAGAAGUUGACAAAGAUGUUACAUUUUUGGAAAAUGAAUUAUUAGCAUUUUAGAAGUUGACAAAGACAUUCAUCUAUAUGAGUUGAAUGAUUCAGAGGUUAAUGACACUUCUGAUUUACAAAUUGAGAGAAACUUAGAUAUAACUGGGAAUACUAAUCCUAGUAGGAGUCACCCACAAGAUGAGCCUACUCCACAAGACAACUCAAUUCGUAAAAGCAAUUGCAUACCCAUCCCACGUCGUCGUUUUGAGAUUGAGAAUGAGGCAUUUAUAGUUGCUUUACAUGAUGGUGAUGAGCCAAGAACUUAUAGAGACGCCAUCACAUUAUCAACUAAGGAAUUAUGGAUUGAGGUAAUGAAUGGAUGAAAAAAUAGAGUCUAUGAAAUCAAACCAUAUCUGGGACUUGGGUGAUCUACUGCUUAACUGAAAGGCUAUUGGAAACAAAUGGUUUUUACGUGUUAAACAAAAGGCGGAUGGCAUAAUUGAAUGAUACAAGGCACGCUUGGUAGCGAAAGGAUAUACCCAAUAAAAGGGUAUAAAUUAUGAGGAAAUGUUUUCUUCAGUAGUAAAGUUUGCUUUUAUAAGAUUAAUUUUAGUAAUUGUUGCACACAUGGACCUUGAAUUACAUCAAAUGGAUGUUAAAACAAUUUUUCUCAAUGGAGAACUAGAGGAAGAAAUUUAUAUGAAACAGUUAGAGGGUUAUAUAACCAGUUACCAAGAGCGCAAAAUUUGCAAGCUAAAAAGGUCUAUAUAUGGGCUAAAAUAAUCCUCUAGACAAUGGUAUCUUAGGUUUCAUUAAUCUGUAAUGUCUUAUGGGUUCUCGAUGACAGAAGAAGACCAUUGUGUGUAUGUUAAAAGGUUUGAAGGUAACUUUGUUGUCUUAUCUCUAUUUGUAGACGAUAUAUUGUUGGCUGAAAAUAAUAAGGAGUUUGUCCAAAUCAUCAAGGAAUGGUUAUUUUCAAACUUUGAAAUGAAAGAUAUGGGUAAAGCAUUUUAUAUCUUGGGAGUUAAAAUCCGUAAGGAUCGUUCCAGAAAACUUCUAAUUUUAUCACAAGAGUCUUACAUUAGAAGAAUUCUUAAAAAAAUUAAAAUAGAUAAGCGUAAACCUAUAGAUACUCCCAUCUCCAAAAACACAAACUCUUAGCCUUGAAACGUGUCCAAUGAAUCUAAAAGAACAUAGUGAAAUGACACGAGUUCCAUACUCGAAUGCUAUUGGAAGUCUCAUGUACGCUAUGAGGUGUACAAGGCCAAAUAUUUAUUAUGUUAUGGGGUUGGUAAGCAGAUACCAAUCAAAUCCUGGGCGCAAACAUUGGAAUGCUGUCAAAAGGAUUUUAGCAUAUUUGAAAGGCACUGACUAUUCUUUAUGUUAUCAAGGAGGUGUUUUAUGCUUAAUUACAUACACAUACGACGAUUAAGGAGGCGAUCAUGAUGAGCACAAAUCAAUCUCAUGAUAUGUAUUGCUAUUGAGUCGCGGUGCGAUCUCAUAGAAUAGCAAAAAGCAAACAUGCAUGGCUCUGUCGACUAUAGAAGCAGAAUAUGUGGCAUGUUUAGUUGUAGUAUAAGAGGUUGUUUGGCUUAAGCGUUUCUUAGAUGAUCUUAAGAUUGUUACUGUGAUAGCCAAGCAGCCAUAUCCUUUACAAAGGAUAUAAAAUACCACAACAAGUCCAAACACAUAGAGACCAAGUACAACUUUUUAAGAGAUAUUGUGGUGAAAAAAGAAGUGUUGAUGUAACACAUAUCAACACGCUUCAUGAUUGCAGCCCAUUUACUAAUGCCAUGACAUGAAAUGUUUAUCUCACACAUACGCGAUCUUUGGGGUUAUGUAGAUUGUAAAGUUGUACUUGAUGAGAUUUUGUUUUUUGGAUGAUUUUAAUAACAUUUUUUUUAAUUUUCAACUUAUAUUAGCAUGAUUACACACAUAUAUGAGUACUAAAAGAUGUCUUUAAGUUCCGAUUGGCUUUCUUACACAAGUAGUCGCCUUAGUUGUUAAGAAAAGCAAACUGAGAUGAGACACAAGAUUAAGAAAAAGUACGAGAUACGUUCUAAUGGAGAUUAUAUCUUGAAAAUGUCGCCUUGACUAGAUCAAGAUGAGAACAUGAUUGAGCUAGAUACGAGUUCAUUUGGCGCCUUAUAAAGGCGAGCUUAUUGAGACUCAAUUUGGGCUCUUGAAUAGCGACUAAUUUCAUAUAUGUACAAUGAAUUGUUAAACAUAUGCUCUUAUACAAAGAGAAUUCAAGGUAACGCGUGAUUCAUAACAUGCGUGCUUUUGUGACCAAAAAGAAAAAUGAGUGAAUGAAUCCCUGCUUCCUCAUUGUGUAAGUUCCUUUGAGGUAUAAGAAGGACCUCGACAGUUAUCUUUAGUCACCAUCGACUAUAUCUUAAAGGGAAAGACUGGUGAUAACUACUCUAGCAUGUUUUUCUAUGACCAUGAGGUUAUUCGACCUAUGAAACAUGUCUAAGAAAACAAUGAGCCUAGAACUAAAAGAUAUGAGUAGGAUGGGAAGAUUUAUUCUCUUUACAUCUGACUUAUGCAUUCACCGGUUGAUUGUAUAAUCUACUUAGGGAUGAAUAUAAUUGUGAAUACAUAAAGUGCAUAACGUCAAACAUAAUUUUUGUUAAGGGAUUAAAUAUGCUUGUACCAAUGUAAUGGAAAAUGAAAUCUAGGAUACAUGAUGAACAAGUUAUUUGAAUCUUUUGCAAAUAGUGCAAUUGAGAUUUCUUAUCUCCAGUAGAUAUAUUGUGUUCAUGGGUCACACGUUGCAUUUACCUGUAUGAUACUGUUGUAGUGGCUUUGUGCCCAAAUACCCUACUCUCGUUGCUUUGGUUACUCAGUCAUCCCAUCACAUGCGAGUGGGAGAUGUUAUAUUUAGGCACCCAUGAUGGGCUGACUUUAUCCAACUUGAGAGAUAAGUUAAACUUAUAAUUUAUCUAGGAUUGUUAUAAGAUAAACUUAGUGUUUUACCUGAAUCCUAGUCAUAUAAGAUGCGGCUUAUUCAAAUAACUAUAGGAAGUUUAUUUGAAUUACACUACAUUUAUUGUACUAUAUAAGCACUAAAUGGGUGGGUGCAAAUGCGUACAAUAAUAAUAAUAAUAAGAAUCAAAGUAACAUCAUAAAGAGAGUGAUAGAAAAGGUAAAAGGUAGUGGGUUAUUGCUUUGUGAAUUGAGCGGAUUUUCUAGCCACGUGAUUGUCCUUCGACCAUCAUUGACAUAAGCUCAUUAUGAUGCAUUCGUGAAGGUUCCAGUAAUCAGUUCCUCUUUGUUGCGAUAUGUUCGUGAAGGUUCUUGGAAAUCCGUUCUUGGAGAUUGGAAGGAAUCUAUUAUUUGUUUCUGCAAAUUUGUGACGAUUUGUUUUUGCAUCAACCAACAAGGUAUGAAUUUGGUUGAUAAAAUAAAAUUGCAUUAUUGAUUAAGAAAAUCAACAAACCCAUUAUUUGAAAUGAGCCACUCUAUCAGUUAACAUUGAAUUGUUUUAUGGUUGCUAUAAUAAUUUUAAAAUAAAUUUAAUUUUUAUCUACAAUUUCAUUUCUUAAAUUAGGAGGUGUAAAAUAAGACAUUAAUUUUGGCAAUUAAAAGCAAAAGAAUUGCAGGGAAUAAAUUCGGCAACUAAAGUGGUAGUAAAAUAAUUUUUGAAUUUUUUUGUGGGGAAUUAGUACGGCCAAGUUCCUUGCAAAAAUCAGGGCUUACAUUGGCUGCUAAAAAGGACUUUUUGUGAGGCCACUUAUUGCAACCAUUAAUAUUUUUGUUAAUACAUAAAUUUUGGCUGCAAAUCGUUUUUGCCACCAAAAUUGUUCUUAUAUUUGUGAGGAAAACUUUUGGUGGCAAAAACUAAUUUUUCUUGUAGUGCUUUUGCUCGAAAACCCUUGUUUCUUAUAAUUUGUAGUCUUGAUUCGCACUCUCAUCACAAAAAAUUAGGGGAUUGAUGUUUGGGGAUAAAAUAUGGUGACCACAAUCCAAUGUUUGCUUGAAACCUAAACAUGCUUGACUCCAAUAAAAUAAAGGUUAAUUGCUAAUGAGCUGAGGAGAGAAAAACUAUCAAGAGCAGAUAUCGUGGAAGGAGAAAAGUUAAGAUUAGUCAAAGUGCAAUAGUACUACUUAAGUAGUACUUUCUUUUUCUGUCUGAAACCUGAAUAGGUUUAAAUUUUGUUGAAAUAUGAAUGACAUUUCAUUUAUCUUUUUUAAACAUAUAAGUGGAAUCUCAUUUGUUCUUAUAAAUUAAAAAAAAAUUAACAUAGUUAUUUGAUAUUUUAUGUCCCUACAAGUCAAAUAAAAAGAAAAAGAAAAAAAGGACUGGGUUUUACAUUUUAGGAAAAAAAUAUUUAAUAAAUAUACUUUUGGGAUAUUAUGUUUACUUCCUAUCAAAACAUUUUUUCAUUUAGAUAAAAGUCACAAAGUUUAUAUUUUCUAUUUAGAUGUAAAUGUUUGAAUAUCAGACAUAUGUUAUGAAAACAAAUAAGUAAAUUAAAAAAAAAGAAAAAAAUAAUAAAAUUUUAGACUUCAGACAUUUAGCAAACAGACCUUCAACAAAAAUACCCCGUCUAUUUCCUCUAAAAAAUUAGGGAUGAUGUUUAUCUUCAAACAUUUCACUUUGAGAGUCCAAGGGGAAGAGAAUUCUAACCACUAUAAAGACCUGGAAAUUCAAAAUAAGUUAAACUUUUCUCUCUUUAGACUUCCUUUUACUUUUUAACUGUGUUUACAUUGAGAUUUUUUCUUUCCUUUUCUAUUACACUAAAAAUCGAAAACUAUUUUUUUUUAGUAAACCCAAAAAAUUGACUUGAGUGCCAGAAAUUAACGUCAGAAAAACUUAUAUCACCUCUUAUUGCUUUUUAUGUUGCAAGUAUUUGCGGAGAAUCUGCUUGAGUUCAUGGAUUCGUCCAGAAUUUAAGAGAUUGGCAAACUGCCCUCACACAUAAAAAUUUAAAUGUUGGCUUUGAGGUUUAGUUGCUAGCUAACAAAUCGACUAAACGAGAUUUUAAUGUCAACAACAUGUAUUAAUUAAGAGUUUGAAAACCUUUCAUCUCUAAUGACAUAUUAAUUUCAGCUUAAAUAAACUAGUAUUAAUUAAUUUCCUACUUUUCCAAUUCUCAGAUAAACUCGAAACCGAGCAAUCUUUUGACUCUGGCCAUCUUCAUUCCAAGCAGCCUUAAACUUCUCCAUCACAUUUUCUGUCAAAAGCUCAACACCUUUGUCGUUAGCCUUCUGAUAUGCUGAACAUGACCUUAUGAACUUGAAGUAAUCAUCUAAAUCCAUCAGCUUCUCUACAACAAACUGAUCGAACGGCCCCGUAUUCUCAUAUCCAUCAACAGGCUCAAAUGGAAAAUCAAUGCUCAUGUACUUGUUGUCCACCAAUUUACGUUGUGGUGCCCAAAAUGGCUUACAAUCAAUGGUAUCGAAUGGUUUGAAAACUGCACCGACGGAUUCAUUGAUUUCGGGAUGGUGUAAGUCCAUGCAGCUAUUACUCCACUAGAUUUUUUGAGUACCCAUUUUACUUGUUUGUAAAAUUGACGUAAGUCAAACCAAUGUAGUGCUGAAGCAAUUGUCACUAGAUCUACACUUGAUUGUGUUGCCACAUUUUGCUCAAGCUCAGUUAUGGACAUGGUUGGAGGAGUAAGUUGAUACCGAAUGUUGGGGAGCUUUAUUGCGAAUUUUAGUUGUUUUGGGCUUGUAUCUGUAGCAAUGACGUGUUGAUAGAUCUGUGCUAGCUGAAAACAUAAAAUUGUGAGAAAUCAUAAAAUAUAGUAGGCUAUAACAAAAGUACUCAGAAUUGAGAGGGCCUAAUAGUAAAUUACAUAGGUAUCGUGAAAUUUCAACUGGUACUUCAUUUUUUGGGUAAUUUAACUUUUUUCAUCCCCAAAGUGUUGGGAAAAUAUGCUCUUUUAAAGCAUAUGUGUUUAUUUAAUUGUAAUAAAUAUUUUUUCUGAUUAAUAAAAUUAAUGAGGUAUUUUAUUCAAAUAUCUUAAUUGCAUUAAUAUUUUUAUUAAAGUCCAUUUAAUCAUAUUAUAUGUAUUUAUGUGAUCACCAUGUAGAUUCACAGAAGACAUAAAUACAAGUUAUCUUAUGAUUAAAUAAAUUUAGUUCGCAGUUGAUACAUAAAGUUGGGCACUUUAUUUAGGUAUAGACUGUAAUAAAUUCAUUGAAUGAUUUGUUUUAAUCAUGUAUGAAUUUAUUAAUGUAGUACGACUACAUUGAACAUGACCACAUAUGAGAUUUAAUUAACUUUGUAAUAACUGUCAGACUUAUUAAAUCUCAUAGGCAUUGAUUUUAUUGUAAUCUUAAUCUUGAGUUAAUUAUGAUUUCAUGAUUGUAAUUGUUAUUCCAUUUGAGUUACCAAUGGGCAUGACAUAUACUUGUAGUCUAGAUUACCCGGUAUCUUGGUGGGAGCAUUUAUGAGUAUUGGAGUUAUAGAUUAACAAUAUAGAAUUUGUACAACACAUCUCUUGAUGGGUUUUCGGCACUUGAUCAUAGAAUUUUCUGGCCAGAGUGUGUCAACAUAUUUAGUAUGUUGAAAAUGAUCAUUAGAGAAAACCAGUAAGUAUCAAAGAAUAAGAUGUUAUUAAAUUGAUUGGACAGUUGAAAUAUCAAUUUAAUUAACGAUGUGGUACAAAGGAUUGUGCAGUAAAGAAAUCAAUGUGGCUUGGGACGAAUUAUUAUUUGAGCAUACAAUUAUGGAAGUCAAUUCUAAUCUUUUAGUGGAGUAGAUUUGGAAUUAAAUAAUUGGACUAGUUUAAUUACAGGCCUAAUUAUUGUAGCUACUAUUGUAUGUUCCCAAAUGAUCCCAGGGUUAGCUCAUUUAAUUGACUGCACCACUACUGGAUUAAUAAGCAAGAUAACUAGUUAUUUGGGUCAAAAGCCUAAACAUAUCAUUUAGUGGGAGGCUCCAUUUAAUUAGCUUGUGUGUAAGGGGCCUUAUGUUAUUUUACAAGGUCGGUCCCCUAUAGAAAAAGCAAGUAACGUGAGUUUUUUUUUUUCAUUAUUUGGAGCUUAGGGUUUUCACUAAAAGGAGAUAUAAAAGGCUUAUUUUCUCUAAAGAAAAAGUGUGCAGCCACUUUAUACAGAUCAGAGAAAAAGAUUUUUCUCUCUAUUGUUGAGAGAAAAAUUUUCUCAUGCUAGUUGCUUUGGUAGUGAUAAAGGCGCCCAUACGUCAAGUGCAGAUCAAACCUGAGUCAUAACCUGGAAGAUCAUUGGUGAUAGUUCGUGAUCUAACAAGCGUGGUGGUGACGGAUCGUGGUCUAACAGGCGUGGUGGUGACGGAUCGUGAUCUGGGAGCCUAAAUCACUUCAGCGGAAAAAUCUAAAUCGGAUUUUCAAGGUACGAUUUCUAGAUUACAAAUUCUUAUAUAUUAUAUGAGAGCGAUCUUAAAAAUGUUUUAUAAAAAAUUUAAAAAUCUAAUCGUUCCCCAACACAAAGUGGCUAGGCUACCCUAGGCUUCACCUAGCUCCGCCCUUGGGAGAUAGAUAAGAUUUUUCAUUACUAGUAUUACAAUUAAAUUUUCAAAUAAUUUAGGUACUAAUUUGAAAAUAGUACAUCACUUAAUUGCCCAAUAAAAAUAAUUGUAAUUUAACUGGGGAUGGUAAGGAGGAGGAAAGGGGAUCAAUAUCUCUAUACUCAUUUUCAAUCCUUUGCUUAUAUCUCUAUACUGUCCCUCUUCCCUCCAAAAUUGUUUGAGGGUAGGAGACAAGAUUCCCAAUGGUACCUAAUCUCUAAAUAACUGAUACUUUUAUUUUCUAAACUUUAUUUAAUCGUAUUAAAGUAAAAGUAUAAAAUUAUUUUACAACACAAAAACAUCAAAGUAAACUAAAGUAUUUAAAAUCAUUUCCUUAUUAAGCAAAAGUAGAGCUUCAAAAUUGAACACACGUAAAAAAUCACAUGGUCUAAAUCAUCAACAAGAUUAUCUUCAUCAAUUUUCAAGUGCUCAAAUUAGCUAUUAUUUAUAUUUUCUAUAAAUACUAUGAUAAGGAAAUUAUAUGGUAUUUGUUAUAAUAUUUGUUAUUUAUGCAAUGAUAUUUGUUAUUUAUAUUCUUACCACUAUAAAUUAAAUUUUAAAUAUAUUUAUUAAAAAUGUAAAAAAAAUUAAAAUUAUAAAUUAUAAAUAGAAAUGGAGAAAUGGGGGAUGGAGAUUUCAUCGAACCCCCGUCCCUUCCUCCAAUGAGAUAUUAGGUAUUUAAUUAUACCCUUAUAUAUUUUCCCCGAUCUUUAAACAGAGGAUGUAAAAUUAUUCCUACACCCUCCCCAAAUGGAGAAAACCUUUCAAGACUCGUCCUUGUGGAAAUUUCUACCAUCCGUAAAUUUAGCAGUUAUGUAAUUCAAUAGUCUUAUAACUUGGGACCAUAAUUCUGAAAUAUUCAUUGGGAACUUUAGUAUUAUUCAAUAAUAAAAACUAAAGAUGUGCCGCUUCCGGUGCCGACGUCCCAUGCAAGGUUGCGUUUGGGUGUUUUAGAGUCAAUUAAUUUGAACAAUUCUUUUGGAUAAUUUGGUCGUGCUACCGCGUAUAGGUUUGCCUGCUUAAUGAACAAUUCUGCCAUCUUUUCUGUUUUUUUCCUAAGUGUUGAGAAUGUAGAAUUAAGAUAAAUCUACUCAUUUGGUUUCGUUUCGUUUCUUUUCUUCUUUAUAUAGGUUUUAGAAUUUGAUGAAGUGGACAAAUAGACAGAUUUUAGUUCGAAAUUAAUUUGGUAAUGUUUAUCUCGGGAAGCCGCAAUAGAACUAGGACAAUCUCAUAAAGUCUUAAAUUUCGACCGAAUUUUUCUUUCUUCCCUUAAUUUUCAAAAAUUAAAUACUUAUGUACUUGCCUUUUCGGUCGCAAAAAUGAUUUACCCAUCUCAUCAAUGAGCCCCACCUCAAUUAUACUUUGGCAAAUUUUUUGGGACAAUUUUAUUUUUGAUUCAAGCGUUAAAGGUAUCUACUAGAAUAUUCAACUUUCACUUUAUUCUUUUAUGAGGUUAAGAUGGUGGAGCUACAAGUGAAUCAACCUCAUGACGAGCGGGAGUUCAUGCCCUGUUAGAGAAAAUAAUUUAAAAAAAAAAUUAAAGAGGUGACUAUUUGAGUUACUAAUUAGACCCCAUUAAAUUUUCUAAAAUAACCUGUUAAAUUUAUUAAAAAUUGUCCCAUAAAUUCACAAACGCAUAACAAUUAAAUUUUGAUUUUUGAGAAUGAAAGGAAUUUAGAUCUAUUACAAAUAGAUGUAGGCAGUUAAAACCCUAAAAUUAACAACUUAAUUAAUUUUCAAAAAAAAUUGUUCACCGUUACUGUUUAGUGUUUACUACUAUUGUUUAUUGUUCACAGCUACUGUUCAUCUCCAUAAAAAAUAUUAAUUUUUCAAAAACACAAUAAAUUGCAGAAAUUAAAUGACACGGAGAUUUUUACAUGGUUUGGAUUAAUGAAUCCUACAUCCACGAGGUUACGCCUAGAUAAAAAACAAUUCACUAAGUUGAAAUGUUACAACUUAUGGAUUUACCGAACUUAAGACUCUCACUUACAGUUUAUCACAAUACAAUUUACUCAACCUUCGACUGAAUCUGUUUCUCUUGAAUAAUUGCUACCCCUCUUGAUCAACGAUACUCAAGGCACUUUGCAAAGUGAUAAAUAGCAAUUCUUCAAUGUCUAGUGAUCCAAGAUCCACCACAGAGAUGAAAAGAAGAUAAGAAAACAAAUCAACACAAAAUUGUGCGCCAAAUCCGGAUUCUCUAGGGAGGAGGCUGAAUUUUGCUUCUCUGCUUUAUUCUUUGUAUUGCGUGCUUUCAAUUGUGAAAUAUCUCUCUUUAUAUAGGCACUAGGGUUUCACAAAAAUAACAAGUCUUCAAAGACUAGAAUUCUUUCCAAAUAAAGUUUUUUUCCUCUUAUAAUUCUUAUGAAUCUGAAUAGAAAUGAGUAUGAUAUUUUUGCCUUGCUCGUCUCCCAAGAAAUAUCUAGAGCAUUUAAUAAACUUUUUAUUUGAACCAACUUCUUGCCCUAAUUAAAUCUAAUGUGCCAAUCUCAUCAUUAAUUGACUUGCAAAAUUAGACUUCUAAUUAAAUUAUGAAUAAAAUAUUCCUAAUAAAUUGGAAUCUCAUUAAAUUAGGAAAUUAAUAAAUUAAUCCCUAUUACAAGAUAUGCAAUAAAUAAAAUUCUAAUUUAACUAAAAUUGCUAUAAAAUGCCAAUUCUAUAAAUAAUGGACUUACCAGAGAAUUAUAAAAACUUUCACUUUAAUUGAAAAGAGGAAAGUUUUUACUAUUAUUUAAUUUAGUCUCAUUUUAUCUAUUAAAAUAAUAUCUGCAAACUCAUUAACCCAUAAAAUUUUAAUUUUUACAUUUCAUCAUUAUGUAAUUUAGUCCUUAGUAAUUAUUUUUUCAAAAUUCGCUACUGAUUGGAGUUAGCUCCCUAUCAUUCCUCGUUCUCAUUUAGGUUCUAUCAAAGAUAUCAAAGCAAAGAUUAUUUGGUAUUCAAUUACAUUGCUUCGAUUCAAUGUAAAUGCAUGUAGGUCCGGGUUGCCUUACUUUGUGGUCCAUUGGCGUAAUGAAUUUCAAUGGGAAUUGCAGACAUCUUCAUGUACGGUUUUUCUGAUACUGCACUCCACAUGAUUUUUUUUUAUCUUGCGGUGUACUUUUUUUAUCCGGUAGUUAUCUAUAUUUUGUCUUCUAAUAAUGUGUGCUUGUAUAUAAUUUUUUGUAGAUUUAUCAUCCAUGGUUGCAUUACUAUUAGCAUGCUCCGAAAGAUCUUGUUUUUUUCUUUUCGAAGAUUCCGCAUUUCUUAAUUUCAAAAUCAGCAUGCUCUCCGUCCUUACGCAUUUGUCUUCUGUAAUCAACAUAGUCAUUAACGAAAUUUCAACAAGGUAGAGCAGCAUUCAACAAGGUUAGGCUUCUUUUUGAAUUAGGAGUAGACUUUUAAUUAAUUUUUUAUGGAAGUUGGUGGCUAUCCACAUCAACUUAGACCUAUUUAACUAGUCGUGGUCAAUUAGCUAAGCUAUUUGGGUGAUCACCAAAGAAAAAUUGAAACAGGAACAUAGUACACGCCGUUUGCAUUAAUUGGCCAUUUGACAAAAUAGCUCAAGAGAUCGGAUGGCUAAAGAGCUAUGCACAACAAUAAAUUGUAGAAAUCCUAAUUAAAGUAAAAUUUACAACAUCCAGAAUUAUUUUAAUUAACUUGUAUUCUACUUAAUUUGAUUUUCUAUUUAAAGUUUCAUUAUUUAAGUAUAACUUAUUUAAGUUGUAUUCUUAAUUUAGAUUUAAGUCAUAUGAAAAUAGAUUUACUAGUCAAAUUAGGAUAAAUCAUAAGUAGUAUAAAUAAGUGUUUUUUGUAGUAUUUACAAAAGGUCUUGAUUAUUUGUUAUUGAUUGUUUCUUGGGAUAUACUCAGUUUGAGUUUUACACCCGUUGUCGACAUUAUGUGGAAUCAACAAAUUUUUAACACCUUAGAUUUACGCGUAUUCUUAGAAUCAACGUGAAUUUAGCUUACUUCUUUAUUAUGAUAUUCUUAAGAAUCAACAGAGUACUAAAAAUAUCACUAUUGAUCCGUCACAAUAUAGCUCUUUUCUUUUCAUUGCGUCAGUUUCAUUGCAGACCGUUUUAUUGUAGAGCCACGCUAUACUAGUUUAGUACUAAAGCUAAAAAAAUGGUAUUACAAAUCUGCCCCCCAUCUACCACCAAAACCUUCCCUUUCUCUCUUUUUUUAGCUUUUUUAUUUUUCCGUUUAGCUUUAUUAAAAAAAUCAAAUUAGAAAAAACUAAAAAAAAACACAAAAAAAGAAAUAAAAAAUCCUAAAUUUUUAAAGCCUACCCACCACUGACCGCCACCACUGCCAUCACUCCACCAGCCUUCACCGUUGUUUGACACCACCACCAAACUCAGCAGCCACACUGGACAAAAUACCAACCAACUUCGUCCUUAAGCCACCAUCAGAGCCCAUGUGAAACACCCAAACCCGCAAGCUUUUUGCCCACUCGCCACCACCAAGCCACCAAGCUUUUCCAUCAAUUUACUACACCACCAUAAGCCCAAGCAAUAGGCGACCAUAAUGUCACGGGAUGAGAGUUUUGCGUAGCAAACCAGUGCGGCACUUAGACGACUUCUAACACACAAGUCACUAAGUAAGCCUAGAUCACUUCUCAACCAGUGAAGCAAGAAUGCUUGCGGACAAUGCUAGAGAGAAGUAGAACAAUAUGGCCAAUAAUAUAUUUUAUUACACACUAAAGAAUAAAUUACAAGAGAGCUUUACAAGAGACCUAGAGAGCUUGUGUGUGCUUGAGUGUUUGUGUGUGGUGUGGUUGGUGGGCAAAUGAGGGGGCUCACCCCUAUUUGUAGGUGUUGGAGUGUUAGCUAUAGAGAGUUCCAUGCAACUUGCAUAAAUAUCCUAGGGGUCUAAGUGAAGAGUCCUAGAAACUUCUAACUAUUUACAAAUUGUAAAGAAAUCUAGAUCUUGGGCCGGGCUUGGGUGAUUUGCUAAGCGCACCACGGUUGGCUAGUUGUGUUGGUGGCCCAUUUCUGAGCGUAUCCCGCUUCUAAGUGCAUCCCACCUUGUGUGCUAAGCGUAUCCCACUUCUAAGCGCACUCCACUUCGAGGCGAACUUUUGCUAAGCGGACCCGCGUGCGCGGAAUUAACCUUCGGUUGCGGGAGAUUUGAACGGCCCGUGACAAUAAGCCUAGCUAUCUGCUGUUGUAAAGCCGCCAUAAGCCACCACAAAAAACUCUCAAAACCCAAGAGUUUCACAACUUCAAUAUGCUUCCAUCACCAUGAAUCUAGCCAAUCCACGGCCACCAUCAUGUUCUUUACCACUAACUCUAUUAGGUCUGGCCAUUAUCACACCAAAUCACGGCCACCAGCUGCCAGCAACACCAAACCUUGAAAGUUAGAUUAUUUACAAUUUUGCUAUUAGUUGUAUUUUUAAUUUGAGUGGAUAAAAAAUGAUGAAGACAAAUAAAGGUCCAUAUUGUCUUCUUGAGUUUGAAGAUAUCUUAGAUAUUGUGGUAAUCCUAAUGAUGUUUUUGACUAGAUUUGCAUGAUGUAUAGUUUGGAAGAGGAAUAUGUUUGUUUGCCUAUAAACUCGAAAGUCGAAGAAUUUGUUUAGGAUAUUGGUUGGCCAUUUAUAUCUAUCAUAACCCCUCAACAUCCAACCAUUGAUUUCAAUCAACUCCGAUAUUUGGUGAACCAAUUUUUGAAGAUGAGAAGCCUGAGAUUUUUCAACCUGUGGAAAAUUUUGAGAAAAACUCAUUUAUCCUCAAUAUUAGCUCUGAAGAUUUAUAUGGUCAGUACGAUAAGAUAUGGUUAGAGAGAUUAUUGCUUGAAGAUUUUAUCUCAUGCUAUUGGAUAAGAUGGAUUAAUAUUGUCACCAAGGUUGGAAAGUUCAAGUUUGUUCAUCAAUAUCAAGAUGAAUUUUCUCCAUCUUGACGGGAAUGAUGGAGGGUAAGAAAUUGAAGAAAUCAUAAUUAGAUUGAAAUUUAUAAUAUUUAGGAUUGUUUUAAUUAAUUUAUAUUCUAAUUUAAUAUAGUUUCCUAAUUAGAGUUUCAUUGUUCAUGCAUAACUUAUUUAAGUUGUAUUCCUAAUUUAGGUUUAAUUCUUAUGAAAAUAGGUUUACUAGUCAAAUUAGGAUAAGUUGUAUUCCUAAAUUAGUAUAAAUAAAUAUCUUUUAUAGCUUUUACAAGAGGCAUUUAUUAUUUGUUAUUGAUUUAUUUCUUGGAAUGAAAUCUUUGUUUAAGUUUUAUUCUUGUUACUUCUCGGCGUUCUAUGGAAUCAAUGAGUUUUAACACCCUAGAUCCACGGGUAUUCUUAUAAUCAAUGCGGAUUUAGCUUAUUUCUUUUUUGGUAAUAUUCCCAAGCUUAAAUGGAGUAUUGAAAAUAUCUCUAUCUAUCCAUCACCUUGCAUUUUCUAUCCAUCUAUUGUGUCAGUUCCAUUGCAGAGCAUUCUAUUGCCUUAAAGUAUCAAGAUUUAAACCUAUUCAUUUGAAACCACACAUUUAUAUAUUCUAAAUUUGAAGCCCGCAGUAUUUUCUUGAAAAUUAUUUAUCUUCAAUUUUGCCUUAGUAAUUUAUCUAGAAGCCAUAUGCCUCAAUAAAACAACUAAAAGCCAUAGGACUUAGUACACAAUCAAGCUCAUCCAACUAAAACAAAGCCAUUUGUGGAAUUGAUACGAAGCCUUACUUGAAGACAAAUCUCACCAAAGUAGAAUAAGUUUCAGUUACAAUAUUUCAAAUUAGCCCAUGAUCAUAACUCAGUGCUUACAAAAUCACAUCACAGUCAAAGAUAUGUGGAAACAAAAUUAUUGAAGAAGAAGAUAUGCUCAACAAUUCAUGCUUCCAACAUAAUUCUGCGGCAACAAUAUCGAGCUCGCUAACUGAUAGGCACAUAGUCGGUUCUAAAUCAAAAUGCUAUCACAUAUAAGCAUGGUGAAAAUCAUUGACAUGACAAGGUUACAGCAUGCCAAAAAUAGUGGUUACAAUUAUGAUUGAAGUUACAGUCUUGAAGAAAUCAUUAUUGAUCUCAUAGUGAUAGCAUACAUUCUUAAAUGCAUGAUGCCUAAAUAGUUGAUUAAAUUGUUAAUUAAGAUAUCUAUACCUAUUAAGAUUAGUAUUAAAUUUUAUGAGCUUUUAUAUUCAUAUGUAUUUUAUUUUAUAUGAUGAUGUCUAACAAAUUUAUCUUUUGAAAGGAUGUGGAUCUUUAAAGGGGAUUGCAUGAUAUAAAAUAUUUAACUAACAGUGCAACUACACAUACAAUCCUUUGAAAUUAGAAAUAUUUUAUGAGUUUAUAAUUAUUUGAAGCUAAGUUGAAUACCGUCUUAGGUCCUAUAGAUCUGAUCGAGGGCUCUGAAAGAGCAUGUUCAUAUUACCAAGUGGUACAUAAUUAUAUAUCCAUGAUGCUCUCUGUAUUCACCAAAGACUAGAAGAAAUCUUUUGAGUUUUGUCAUAUAAAGAUAAUAAAUGAGAAUAGUACAGAAUAUCUCUAUAUUACUUCUACUAUCUCAGAAAAAAAAAUUUAUUAAAAAACCUUCCCACUUUGUCAUCUGGCUUAUAUCAUCUGAUGAUGAAAGUAAUUGAGAGUAUGCUGUCAUAAACCAGACACUUUGUGAUCUAAAAGCUUUUCGUGCUUUGGCAUGAUCGUCUUAGUCACGUUAGGUCAGCUAUGAUGAGUAGAAUUGUUGAAAAUUCUCAUGGACAAACUUUAAAGGAUUUAAAGAUUAUUUUAUCCAAUAAGGAUAAUUGCACUGCUUGUUCUCAAGGCAAAUUAGUGGUCAAACUAGCUCGUUCUAAGAUUAGCCUUGAAUCUCCGUCAUUCUUACAAAUAAUUUAGGGAGAUACAUGUUGAUUUAUUAUUCCACUCAAUGGUCCAUUUCUUUAUUUCAUGGUCUUGAUUGAUGCAUUUGUACGAUGGUCAUAUGUCUGAUUAUUAUCCACAUAUAAAAUUGCAUUUGCUAGAUUGUUUACCAAGUUAUCAGAUUACGUGCACAAUUUUAAGAUUAUCUAGAUAAUACUGAUGAAUUCACUUUUAAAGAUUUUAAUGAUUACUGCAUAUUAGUUAGUAUUGACGUAGCGCACCCAGUACCAUAUGUUUAUACUUUAAAUGGAUUGGUAUCAAACAUCUUCAAGUAAUUGCAAGAACUUUGUUUUUAUAUAACCUGAUUACCUAGUUUUUGCAUUACGACAUACUAUUCUGCAUGUUGCCGCAUUGAUUCGCUUGAGGCCUACUGUUAUCACUAGUAUUCGCAUUGCAAUUGGUACUAAGGCAUCAACUAAUAUAUCUCAUUUGUGCAGUUUGGCUAUACUGUACAAGUGCCAAUUUGCACCUCGCUGGCAUACUAAAAUAGAACUCGAAUGAUGUUUAGGGAUUUAUGCGGUUAUGACUCACCAUCUAUUAUCAAGUAUCUUUAGCAUAUUACCAAUGACUUGUUUACGUAUGCAAUAUGAAUUUCCAUUUUAAUGAGAUAAAAUUUGCCUUUUUAUGAGAGAAAAAGCCGCCAUAUGAUGAUUGAUGCAAGCUUUUAUGGCAUGUGACAAAAUUGUCUCAUCUAGAUUAUCGCACUACUCAAAGUGAAAAUAAAGUGUGGAGGAUAAUUCACUUACAACAAUUUUGCAAAUCACUUGUCAAAUGCAUUUAUAGAUGGAUCUAAAGUAACCAAGUCAUGUCUACCACAUGUAAAUGCAUCUCACCAAGUAGUUGUUCCUAUUGAAAUUUUUGAUAAAAAUAGCUAAUAGAUUAAUCUAAGGCACACCUAAGGUAUGGUAGACCACUUGGUUUAAAAGAUAAUAUUCAACUAAAAUAAAAAAAAAUAAAAGGUUAGGAUUUUGUUAAUCAGUUGUAAGUAAAAGUGCUACUUCAGAAGAAUAGGUCCUCUCCUACGUGCCUACAGCGACACUACCUUCUGAAGAGAUAAAUACCUCAGAUGUAAGCCAACCUCUUAAUGUAGCUAAGAAUGAAGAAAAGUUUGCAAAUUUUACUCACAAAAUGGAAAGUGUAUAAUCAUAACAAAAAAGCUAUUGACAAUGCUUAUUCAUUUACAAUAGCUACUGAUUUGAUAAAUGAUGAUAUUGACUAAUAGUCCAUUGACGAAUUUAGACUAAGACAUGAUUGGCCCAAAUAGGAAGAAGCAAUCCAUGUGAAAUUGAUUUCCUUAGCAAAACAUGAUGUUUUUAGACUUAUAAUCCAAAUACCUAUUAUUGUUAAACCAUUAGGUGUAAAUAAAUAUUUUUUUAGAGGUGGCUAGAUAUAAAGCACGACUUAUUGCACAAGGUUUCUCACAAAAAGUAGUUAUUGAUUAUGAGGAGGUGUAUUUACUAGUAAUUUGUGUAGUUUUGUUCUGAUUCUUGAUUAGUUUGACUAUAUCUGAGAGGUUUAAUAUUUGUUUUAUGGAUGUAUUUAUUUGUAUGAAUCAUUAUUUAUAACACACACACACACAUAUGCAGUGGCGGCGCCACUUGAGAGCCCCUGCUAGAUUUAAAAAAAAAUAAACUCAUCUUAUUUUUUAGUGCAUUUACAAUAAAGCCCCUAGAAAAUUUUAAAAAUAACUAAAAGAUCAGUAUUUUAAAUAGUGAUUAGAAUCCAAAAAAAAUUCAAAAUCAAAUCCAUAACCACCACCAUCAAUCAUUUGCCAAAGAAAACCUCCAUCGGCUACCAUCAGUGAUCAGCUUGUCGUCUAUCUCUGUCCAAUUCCCAUGUCAUCACACCUCUUUGUUUUCAUGUCAUUGCCAUAGACGCUACAACUUGUAGCUCGUAGUCGCAGUCGCAGUCUUGCAUCACCGUAUGGUCCUCGCACUCGCAGCCUUGCAUCACCACAUGGUCCGCAUCUUUGCAUUUUUUCUAGUACUACCAUUGCACCUUUACAGCUUUUAUAUUAAUUAUCAAGAAUUGAUUAAAUUAUUUUGAUAAUUAAGCACCUCUGUCACUUUAUGAUUUAAUAUUCUAAUUCUUGAAUUAGUUUAUACCUUUUUGAAUUGAAUUGGUUUAUGCCUUUUUUAAUAGAAUAAUAUUAUUAACUUUCAAUUAUUGUGGCGAUGCUUUGUGGAUUGAUAAAGGGGCAAUGCUUUUAACUUUACUGAUUAUAACUAAUAAAAUAAAAAUUCCAUGGCCCAUGGGUGACGCCGUGACGAGUUAGUAACCUAGUGGUUGAGGAUUUAGUCGGGUAGUCGGUUUAUUAAAUUAAUAAUUUGUAAUUUUUUCUUUUUUUUUUUUAGAUUUUGACAUGGAAAUUGUCUUCAGUUUCUCUUUAAAUAAACACAAUUAAUUGUGUUUAGUUGUCACAGUUAUGGAGAAAUAUUACUCAAGAAAGCCAUUGUCACAACCUUCUCCAAAAAAAACCAAAAUACAGCUCAAAUCAAGAUGUAGAAUUCAAUUUACAAGAUCCUCCUACAGAUCCUGGUUUACAAAUUUCAAUCUCUUGUUAUAGUCUUAAUAUUCAAGAUUAAGUCCGAAGAACAUACUUAUAGAGAGGUUCUGUUCAACCUAAAAAUCACAACUUCAAACUUUUAGAUUUUGGAAACCAAAAAAGGCAGUUUGGUAGUAAUUGGUUUGGGAAAUUUAGAUCUUGGUUGGAAUAUAGUAUAGAAAAAGAUGCGGCAUUUUGUCUCUUUUGUUAUCCUUUUAAAGAAGAGAUUGGUAAUAAAGGGGGUGGUGAUUCAUUUGUUGGUAAUGGUUUUAGAAAUUGGAGGAAACCUGAAAAAUUUGUUGAACAUAGGGGAGAUGUUGAUAGUGCCCAUAACAAAGCUAGAGAAAAUGUGAAAUGUUGAUGAAUCAAAAUUAACACAUUCAAACAGCUUACACAAGACAUUCUGACAAGUAUCUAAGCGAUUAUCGAGCUCACAUGAUGGCUACUAUUGAUUGCAUUAGGUUUUUAUUAAAACAAGGGCUUGCAUUUCGUGGGCAUGAUGAGUCUAGAGAUUCAGGCAAACGAGAGAAUUUUCUUCAGCUUCUAUUUUCUUGUCGAUCAUAAUGAAGACAUUAAUGCUGUUACUUUUGAUAAUGCUCCUGAAAAUCUUCAAAUGAGAUUCAAAAAGACAUUGUAAGUUGUGCUACAGUUGAAACUACCAACAUUAUUAUUAAAGAGAUGGGCGAUAUUUUGUUUUCUAUCCUUAUUGAUGAAUCUCGUGAUAUUUUUACAAAGGAGCAAAUGGCUGUUGUUUUGCGUUAUGUGGAUAAAAAUGGCUAUGUGGUUGAGCAUUUUAUUGGGAUUGAACAUGUUACUAGUACUACAUCUAUUUCACUUAAAGAGGCACUUGACAAACUAUUUUCCAGACAUGGUUUGAGUAUGUCUAGGUUGCACAGACAAGGAUACGAUGAAGCAAGCAAUAUGUAAGGUGAGUUCAAUGAUCUUAAAGCACUGAUUUUGGAGGACAACAGAUGUGCUUUUUUUAUUCAUUGUUUUGCACAUCAACUUAAAUUGGCUUUAAUUUAUGUGGCAAAAAAGCAUGAAUAUGUUAAUUCUCUUUUUCAGUUUAGUUACAAUGUUAGUCAACGUUGUUGGUGCUUCAUGAAAACAUUGUGAUAUUCUUCAAGAGAAACAUGCUCAAGCAGUUAUUAAAGCAUUCAAUGAUGGUGAAAUAUCAAGUGGACGAGGUUUAAAUCAAGAGGUUACUUAAAAGAAAUAUGUUGACACACGUUGCUCACAGUAUGGUAUGUUAUUGAGCAUAAUCACCAUGUUUCCAUCUAUUAUUGACGUGCUUGAGAUAAUUUCGAAUGAGGGAAAUUCUGAACAAAGAUUUCAAGCUACAAUGUUAUUUAAGUGCAUGCAAUUAUUUGAUUUUGUGUUUAGUUUGUUGUUAAUGAAAAAAAUUCUUGGAUUUGCACAUGAGUUAUCACAAGCAUUACAAAAAAAGGAUUAGGACAUUGUGAAUGGUAUAAAAUUAAUUGGAGUGUAUAAGAGAAACUUGAAAAAAAUGAGAGAAAAUUGAUAGGACUCUUUACUUGGUGAAACUUCUUCUUAUUGUGUGAAGCAUGAUAUUGAUGUUCCUAAUAUGGAUGAUUUGUUUCAAACUUAAGGGAGAUCACAACGCAAGGCUCAAAAUAUUACAAAUUUGCAUCGUUUUCGUGUUGAAUUAUUUUAUGCAAUUUUGGACAUGCAACUUCAAAAAUUAAGCAAUCGUUUCAAUGAGACGAAUACUGAGUUGUUCUUUGUGUGGCAUGUCCAUGACCUAAUGACACAUUUGCAGCUUUUUAUAGACAGAAACUACUUCGCCUUGCUGAGUUUUAUCCAAAUGAUUUUUCUCCAGUGGAUCUUGUGGCACUUAAAACUCAACUUGAUAUUUAUAUUAUGGAUGUGGGUGCUGACAACAAAUUUUCAGGAUUGAAAGGGAUUGGUGAGCUAGCAAGAAAAUUGGUUGAGACUAAGAAGUAUCAAUUAUAUUAAUUAGUUUAUUUAUUGGUGACAUUAGUAUUGAUUUUACUAGUUACCACAUCUACAAUAGAAAGGGCAUUUUCAGCUAUGAAUUUUGUGAAAAAUCAUCUUCGAAAUCGGAUGGGAGAUCAAUGGUUGAAUCAUAGUAUUGUUGUAUACAUAGAAAAUGAUAUAUUUUGUAGUCUUGACAAUGAGGUUAUUCUUCAACGUUUUCAACAUAUGAAACCUCAUUGAGGACAUUAUAACUGUAUUGAAUUAAAUACUUUAAGGAACUUUUAUUUUAAUAUAUAUCAUUUAUUGACUACUUUCUUAAAUUAAAUUAUUAUUUAAACUUAGCCUCUACUAAAAUUAAUUUCUGGCACCACCACUUCACAUAUGCAUAUAUAUAUAAAAUGCUUAAACAUCCCUGUCAUCACAUUAUGGCUUGUAUUCUAUAAAGCUUCAAAAAUCUUUAAACAAAUUGAAACAAUCUAGACACAUUUGGCAUAGUCAAUGAAUACUUGAUCAAGGAUACAUGCACUAUAAGAAAAUAGCUCGGAUGUGACGGUGUAUAUGACUGCAAAAUUGGGGGUCGCAAAAGAUACUAAACUACUUUGCCGCGUGUCUCAAAGCUAUUUUCUUGGUAACACGUGACCAUUUUGGGACAUAAAAAACCAGUCACAAAAAAAAUUCUAAAAAAAAAGAGUGAUGAUAAAGCCACAAACUCUUGUACAAACUUAUUUUAUACAAAUUGAUGUGGCAUUAAUUUAUUGGUUGAAUGAAAAUAUAAAAUAAUAUAAAUAAAUCAUGUAGGCCAAGAAAUAUUUAAUUCAACCAAUGAAUUAACGUCACAUCAUUUUGUACAAAAUAAGUUAGUAUAAGAGUUUGUGACUAUAUCAUUACUCAAUAAAAAAGUAGUUUGGCCCUUAACUCCUCGAAACUGUAACCGCCAGAACGCCACACAAUUAAGUCCUUACCAAUGAAGCCAAAAGCAAAAAGCUUGUUGGAAUUUAAAGUUUAAACAUAUUUAAAACAUUUUAUUUUUGUACAACUUAUUCCAUUAUUCAUCAUUUUCACUUGUGCAUUUCAUUUUAUUUCCAAUUCACUAUUUUAGUUACAUUAUCUGUUUGCAUCAUAUUUGACAACUCUGAAAUUAAAUCUCAUAAUUACAUAUUCUCUUUUAAUUAAUUGUGCUUUUGAGUCCUAAUUUGAAUCAUUUGUAUACCUAAAAUUAGAGUUUGAAUCGAUUACAAUAAUUAGGGAUUCGAAAACCAAAAAUGAAUAGGGUUUUGAUUAUCUUUCCUUUUGAAUUUUUAUCCUCAUUUCUAUUUCUAUGACUUAUUUAAUUGGCGAAGCUUUUUCAUAGUCCAUUUAUAUUCAUAGGAUUUAAACGAACAAUUGUUUCCUAACAUUUCCUAACGGCUCUUUUUUUCUUUCUCCCCAAUUAUAAGUAAAUUUACUAUUUAGCUUUUGAAUUUGUUGAUUAAAUGCAGCAUUGAUAAGAUUUUAGAUAUUGUCAUACUUCAUGUAAAGAGCUUGAUUAAUGUUUAACAGUUCAAUUUACUGUAUUAAAUAAUUUUUGUUAAUGUCGAAAUCCGAUCGAGUCGGUUAGCGGCUCGAUACUAGACCCUUGCAUCAGCAUUAAAUUUGUUUGGUGGGGAAGCGGCUUGCCAAACACUAAGAACACCCUCCGACCAUUACCAAAUAACCUAAGAAAACCUGAAAUCACAAAUAAUGGUAAGAGGCACCAAAAGUUUUUUCUGCGAUAACCCUCUAAUGCUCAAGUCACUUUAUAGGUUUACUAGAAUAAAAAUAAAUAAUUUCUAUUUUAAACAAAAACAUAGAUCAAAAAAUCAAAAAUAAAACCAAGUACCAAUAUGAAGAACGGAUUUUUUUUUUCAGCUUGGCUGAAUCCUUCACCCUCAAAAAAAAAAAAAAAAAAAAAAAAAAAAAACAAAGUAGUAGGUAGCAAUGUUGGCAUGGGCAACCCCACUUCCGUUUGAAAUUCUCCAUUUUCCCCACUCCCAAGAGCCCAUUCCUCCUUUUGCUCACCAUCCUUUAUAAUUUUUUAUACUCGUCUCCCCAAAAUGGCCUUUGAAUACAUAAGUGAAUGUCUAGGCUUUGGUAAGGGUGGUUCGGUCAUUGCCUUUUACAAGUAAGAUGGGUGGUGUUGAAAAAUGAGGAGUGCACGUCCUCUUCAGUAAAUCCCACUAACAAUUUCAUUUUCUUUAUUAAUUAAUCUUUUUUUAUCUCCAAACACUAGUCCCCCAAUUUCUAGUGUUGAGAGUGUAACGAAUAAAGACUGAAAACUUUAUAAAAAACUCCCUUGACCGAUUGGGUAGAUCAAGAAAACAGCAGUCGCUGCUGCAACAUAAUUUUAAAAUGACCUCGAGGUGACUUCUAUGAGUCGGCUCAGGGUUGCUGAAAUUAACCUCGCCAUGGGCAAAAGAGUUGAGCGAAUUUUAAGUUUUAUUCCUCACGUCAAGGAGAUUUUGAGCUUACAACCUUUAUUACUAACUUAAGCUGUUUUAAGCAACUCUUAUCAGUUUAAGGAUGUAUGCUUAUCUUGAGCAAAUUUUAAGGCUUUUUUUUUAACUUUUAACUAACUUAAGCAAUUUUAAGCUACUCUUAUUAAUUUAAGGUCUUAUACCUUACUUGGAAUAAGUUUUAAGGCUUUUAACCUUGUACUGACUUGAGCAACUUUAAACAACUCUUGUCAGUUUAAGGUUUUAUACCUUACUUAGAGCAUGUUUCAAGACUUUUAACCUUUUAUCGACUCUCGUUGCUUUUUAUUGUGCCUUAUAAAAUAUUAAUAAAUUUCAUCUAUAAACUUUGUUUGGUUCUCAAUGCUAGCCUACAACUCUCCUUUCAUAAAUUGUUCUCACAUUGAGUAAGUUUCAAGAAAUCAAGUUGAUUAAGUGUUAUCAUUAGCCCUUAUUCGUGCUCAAUCAAUUUGAUAAGUAAAAGUUGUCCCUAUUUCGUAAAUUAUUAGUAGGUAAAUACUAUACCCGCAAAUAAAGGUGGCAAAUGCAUGUUUUGAUAUAGACAGCAAGACAUAAAUUUGUUAGAAUUUCUGACCCGAUUAGCGUGCAACUUUAGCAUCAAUGUCUCCUUCUAGGUGAGCCUGCCUCAUACGCAAAUGUAUCAAAAAUUGACUUGGCCAUUCAAAUAAGAGUUUGUCAAAUACACGACAGACAUAAAUUAUAGAUGUGAUAUCAUUCACUAGGAAUUAUGUAAUUCAAAAACAUAGGUUAAAUAGCAGCGAGUCUAAUGUCCAAGUGUCUAAAGUCAUCAUUGUUACGAAACAACUCAAACCAAACUGCAACUUAUAAAUUAUCCACAAAGUAGCUCACAAAAUCAAACACAGUGGCGGGGCUUCUAGCCAUUUAUGACUGAUGCUUCUAAUCAUUUAUUUAUGCAUCUAGGUUUUUUUUAUGGAUAAGCAUCCUUUGUACUCCAUUAAAAGUCCUCUGUUAAAGGUCCAUAUAGUAUUAUUUAUUAUUGCUAUGAAUAUUGAAAUUUAAAUGAAAAAUAAACCAUAGCAUUUUAGUAUAUGUAAUCACAAAAGAGAUGGCAGUUUAAACCAUUAAACAAAGUCAUAUCAUUAUAUAUGAUGCAAUAUAUAAUCGUUGUAUUAAAAAAUGGCUAAUGAUGAUGAGUUAAAAACCCAAUCUUGCAGAUACCUUAAGUCAAUAAACAGAUUUGAAGAAUAAAAUAAAAUCAUGAUUUUAGAACAAGUGACCUUGUUUGAGUUCUAAGAAUUCUGUACUAUCUUGUAGUGAAAUUGCAUAACAGAAUUCCCUGCAUAUUCUUCACACGAAAACGAGCUGCGUGGUCGAAUUAUUGGGUGUAAAACUAGCAGAAAAUACCCUGAAGAAACCAAAGAUCCAUGGGUUUUUUAUGCUUGUCACCAAAUAGGUUUAACUAUAUAUAUGAGUAACCUUUAUUUAAGAACUUGAACAUUGAUAAUAUUGCAAACCAAUUAUUCUUUUGGGCAGACUUUAUGUCUAGAAUCCAAUGCAACGAGAGUACAAAUAUGUAACCAAAAUAAUGAUGGCAACGACAUUAUGAAUCUAAGAAGCCAGAACAAAGCUAAUUGUUACUUAUUUAAGACAUUAUGCCAAGCAUGUGGUGGGCAAAUUUAAAAUAAAUUUAUUUGUAAGUGUAAUAGAAUGUAAUCUUGCUCAAUCAAUUAUGAAUGAAGCCAGUUCUAGCAAGCUGAUUUUAUAAGAAAAUAUUUUCAAUGAAUUCCAAAAUAUAAUAUUCAGUUCUUUCAUCAAGGAUAUCAUGCAUGUUAGUGAAGAAUUUGCAAACAUCUCAUUUUCGAUAAACUAAUCAUCAUGCCAAUUGUAAUUUAAAUUCUAAUGAACAUUUACUUAGAACACUGCAAAGAUAAAUAAGUGAAAACUAGGGAUGGCAAUGGGGAGGGGAGGGGAGGGGACCAAUCUCCCCGUACGCAUCCCCGAUAUUUUGCGUAUGUCCCCGUCCCCGUCAGAAUUACUUGAGAGAAUCUCCAUCCCCUCCCCGAAUAAUAACAUGGGAUCCCCGAGGGUCCCCGAUCCCCGAAUAACUAAUAUAUUUUUUUUUUCGAUUUUGGGUUAAUGAUAUUAAAAUAAAAAAUUUAAAUAAAAGUAAAGUUCGAAAUAUAUCUUACAUUAAUAUCCAUUACAAAAGUCACAUACAUUAAAUUAAUAAGUAGUGCAGCAUGCAAGGGAUACAAACUUCUUUUACAAACUAUUAUGAACAAAUUAAUAGUCUAAUACAAAAUUGUUACAAAUAAAAUCGAAUUUAGAUUCAAAAUUAACUUUUUCAAUGGUGGCGUGGACACUUUAUAAAUGUGGACUAUUCCCUUUACAACACAAUAGUUAAAUCGGAGAAAAUCAAGAGCAAAUAUUAGAUUAGAUUAGAUUAGAUAUUAAAAUUUUGAUCGCUGUGGGCAAUUAUAAUAUCUAAAAAUAAAUAAAUAAAUAGAUUUAAGUUUAAAAUAUUUAAAUAAUAUUAAAAUUAAAAAAUUUUGGGCUAAUAGAAUCUACUCGGUCUUUUUAAUGUCCUAAAUAAAAAUUUAGGACUUUAAUUAGUUAAUUAGGCCUAAAAGUUUAAUAAUAUAAAUAUUUUGAUAUUUUUUAUUUUUACCAAUAUUUAUAAUUUAAAUUUUAUUAUUUAUUUACUAGUAAUUUUAAAAAAUUAAAAUAAAAUUAAAAAUUAAAAUGGGGAAAUGGGUAGGAGAUGGGGAUUCCACCUCAUCCCCGUCCCCUCCCCGAAUAAGAAAUUGGAUAAAAAAAUUUCUCCGUCCCUUCCCCGAAUAAGAAAUUGGGUAUGAAAUUAUCUCCAUACCCUCCCCGAAUGGGAAAAAUUCCCGAGGGUACCCGUCCCCGUGGGAAUUUUUGCCAUCCCUAGUGAAAACCUUCACAGGCGGCAUUCCAUUUAAGCAUUGGCUUCCUCGUUUGAGCAAGUUCAUCCAUUUAGGCAAUAAGCAUGCUUAAAAUAGGAAAUAACUGAAGAUUUCAGAAGCCAAUUAAUUAACUGAUGCACAUUCAGAAGCUUAUACAAUUUCGUGGAGAUAAAUAAAGACUUUGGAAAUAAGCAUGCUUAAAAUAGGAACUUAUUUGAUGUGCAUGGCUUUAUAAGUUGCAUGCAAGAUUCACUUUACCAAUUCAAAAAGAUUUCAUGCAUAAGUCUUGCCUAAACUAAAUUGCACAUGCAUGGCAUUAUAUAUGGAAACCAAAUUGAAGAAAAAGGAAAUCAAAGUGGACGACAUGUGCGUGGCAAUUAAGGGAAGCAAAUUAAUUGCUUUAAAUUAGAAAUAAAAUCCAAUAAGGAUUUGGCCAAUCUUUGGGCAUUAUAAAAGCCAAUUUUUGGCUUUUGAUUCAGGGAGUGGACAGCCAUACAUAUGCAACACCGGCGGCAAGAAGAGCAGAAAAGGAAAUGAGAAGCCAGAAGAAAGAAAUGGAGAGUUAGCCACUUGAAUUAAUCUCCAUUAUUGGUUUUAUCAAAUUUCUUAUUCCUAAUUCAAUUAUGUUAAGCUAGAUUUUCUAUUUGGUUAAGCGUGAAUUCAAAACCCCAAACAUGUCAUAUGAUUAAUGUUCAAUUUCUAUCAUUCAAUUUAUUUAAUUGAGAUUGUUUAUGUUCUUCUAUAAUUAAUUAUUAUGAUUUUAUUCUUGUUUUAUUUGAGUGGCCAAUUAGAUAGGACUUGAAUGAAUUCUAUUACCAGAUUAAAAUUAUUGAUCCGUAAUUGUCUUGAUAUUUUAAUCAUUAAUAGUAGAUUGGAAUAAGUGAUUUUAAUUGGAGAACAUAACCUAGGUUAAAUAAUCCGAGCUUAUGUGUUUAUUACCUAAAUCAACCUAAUAUCUUUCUCUGCUUAAUGCUUCCAUUAUCUUAAAUUUAAAGAGUUUGUUUUAAAUUAUUUAAUGGUUAGAGAUUAGGUGAAAAACUUAUUUUGCCUAACGACAUACUAAGGAAAGCUUGAGACUAACAGAGCUUAAUGUUGUCUACGGUUGAUAGUUUCAAUAGAAAUUAAUGAUAGAAUUGAUAUAUUAUGUGCAUGUUUGAUGGUGGCAAAUGAUCAUUUAACUAAAGUUUUUAUCAUUAUUAUUUCUUUCUCCUUUAGUUCGAGUUUUUAUUAAAUUAUUUUUUUGUAGUUUUAAUUUCUUUAUUUCUUGCUAUUUAUUUAACAUUCAUAAACCUCCUUUUUUUAUUCAUCAUUGCCAUUUUCUUUAGUUAGAUUAAUUUAUGUUAUUAUUACUACUAUUAUUUUAUUUUAAAUCCUCUUUAGAGUUGAUAAUAAAUAUAACUAGCAUACUUUUUGUGUGAUCGAUCCUUACUCGCCCUGUACUAGUUAUUUAUACUAGUAGUAAAGUUUUAAAUUUGGUGCACUCUAACGACACUACCAUGUUUCAACUGGUUAGCCCGAUUUACUGUAUAUAAAAUUUAUUAGUGUGUGAAAGAGUAUAAAUAGCAGCUAGAGCACAAGACUUUAAGAAGUUACCGUACACCUUAAUAUAGCUGUAAGUUAGUUAACAAUAUAUAUGUGCAUACGACAAUGAAAAUGCUUCACCAGGUUGGCCUAAUUUAUUAUAUAUAUAAUUUAUUAAUGUAUGAAAGAGUAUAACUAGCAACUAAAGUAUUUGAUUUCACUACAAGAAAAUAGGUAAUAGAUGACGGAAAAUAACUAUCAUAAAAAUGGAUGCAUGACAAACAAUCUAUCCGUCAUCUAUGUUACUGUCAUUAAUUUAUGAUAAAAAAAUUUUCCACCAUGAAUUUAUGAUAGUUUUUAAUAGUCAUAUAUAUGUCACACUAUUUUAGUGGGAAUUUCAAAAUUAUUUGAAUUUUUGGCAUUUUUGUAAAUUUUUUGGCAGGAAAAUGGUUAUUAUUUCAAUUAAUAAUAUUUAAAAAUAUUAUUAUAUUCCAUCAAAAAAUAUUAUUAUUUUUUAUUUUGAUUUUAGAUUAUUCUUUCUUAAAUUGCAUUAUUAUUAUUAUUAUUGAAUUUUGGUUAUUCUUAUUUGAAUUGUAUUAUUAUUAUUAUUUCUUCAAAUUUACAAAUUCUACACAUUUGUUUUCAGAAAAUCUAAUGAUAAUAUUUAAAAAAUAAAUAACAAAAUACAUGAAAUUUAAUAUAUAUUAAAACAAGUUUAAUCAUAUACAAACUAUAUUGUUGAAGUAUUUUCAAAUUACAUCGAUCCCAAAAUAAACUACAAUUUCACCAGCCGCAAAAUACUUGCACCAAAAAUCAAAGUCCGCCAAAACCACAGCUAAAAUCUUGAUGCAGCAACAAAAUCCAAAUUGAUAGUACCUGAAAACAAACAUAACACAGAUAACAAACUAUGGCACGUUAAUAGUCUUUAAUGCCACCGUGCCAGAAUAUUUCAUCCAAAUUAAAUUAAGAUGCACAAUCUAUUUUGAGAGGAUGAACAAAUUAUUCUAUGAAUACAAUCUAUGGAAGCCCUACCUUAUGCUGCUCUAAGCCACACCAAGGUUCAACAUUGAUUAAACUUUUAUCACAACCAAUUGUGCAUGAUAUAAAGGAACAAGUUUGACAACAUAAUGCAAAUAAAGCUAACUCGUAAUAUAAAUAAGGCUAAGUCAAUGAGAAGUUUUUAUCAUCUUGGUAUAGACACUUUAUUGAAAUUUGUUUCAGAGGAUAAUUUAUUUACAUAAUCUAAUAGAGAAGCUUGUGCCGACUACAAUUAUUUAUAUAAAAGCUAGAUGAAAGCUAGACAGAAUGAGUUCUAGGUAAUUAUAGACAACAAGUAUUAUUGCAGCAUUUUGCUAAAUUAGAACAAAAAUUCACCUUUGUACAAUUAUGCCUAGACUUGAAACAAGAGCAUGCAUUGUGCAGGUAUGAAGGUCACAUGCAUUUGCCAUAGUCUUGACAAUUGACCUCUUCAAAGCAAAUGUAGCUAGGACGUUUCGGGGGACAUGACACACAACAUGUAUGGCAACGAUUGGAGCAACAAACCCACAUAAGAGCAGAGCAAAAAUUUUCCCUGCUGAGAAUUCAUGUGCAUUAUCAAUUUAUAUAUAAUUCAUUGAAUUUCAUUUUAACAUGCAAAUUUUCAAAAAGAAAGUAAGUUUGAUCAGUGAAACUCAAACAAACAAAAGAUCACAGCAUUUAGCUUUGGGAAAUUUAAAAUUCAUUGAAAGACUAGAAAGCCAAUUAGGGGCAUGGAUGCCUUGCUAAAUAUGCUAGUUAUUUUUAAAAGGUUACAGCCUAAAAUGCAUGCUUAUAGCUAAUAAAGUUAAAGCUAAAGCUACUUUAAUUCAUAUGGAAAAUAAAUAAUUUUCCUGUUUAUGUCUGACAAGAAAGCGAAAGAGAGAGUAUAGACCAAAUAAUAUAAGGCUUGAAGUUUCUAGUUAGCAUAUUACUAAAUAUAAUGCUGCAGAAAUUUUAUUUACCUCUAAAGUACUUCUUGACAUGGCCAAUAUCAUAUUUGCCUACAGCUCCAACUAACUCAAUCUCCAUCAUACUCUUCUUUUGUGUUGUCAUAUGACGAGUUGCACCCUGAGAACAAGUAAAAGAAGAUAUAGUCCCUUUUGAAGGGCAGACCUUGUUGGCUAAUGGAGAUGUGAGGAUUUGUAUACUGAGCAAGCAACGACCUGGAAAUUACCUUUCAAUAUCUAUAAUAGCACCAUUUCUCAAAGGUAAAAAGACCUUGAUUGUAUCCUUGAAUUCACUCUCAUAGCUUUCAUCUUUCUUCCUAUAAUAGACAGAAACCAAUAAUCACUUGUCGAUGAUUAAGCAAAAUAUAACUACUUCCAUUUAGCAUAGAGAUCAACCCAUUAGUUUAGGGAUAUUGACAGAGGAAGGGAACCACAAUUUAAUGCCUCUUGCACCAACAACAGCACCCGAGUAGAACCUAUUGAAUUUUUUUAAGAUAUAAGAAUAAACUUCAAACUACAAAUAAGGGUCAAAAGGAUGAAAUUGAAGAUUAACAAGAUGAAACAGAGACACAGGCAUAUGGAAAUAACUAACAUGUAAUGACCACAGAUUAAACCUUGGUUGAUUCCACCAAUUACCAAAAAGAUCAUAUUCCACUGAAACUAUAAAAAAUGCUUAAGAGUUAAAAUCUAAAUGUAAAAUCACAAAUAACAGUAAAUUUUUACUACCCGUAAAGAAAAUGGUCCCUAGAUAGUGCUAAUGACACAUAAUCCAUAAGCGUCCCUAAGUAACAAGAACCAUUAGUAAAGGUUGUAUUACUAUCAUCAAGCAUAACUAUACUGUAUUAGAUUUACACAUCAUAGGGGUAUACAAUACAAGCAUCUCUUACAACUGAUAAAAGUUAAUAAUAAGAAACAAAAAGAAUAAAAUUCAUCAUUUUCUAAGAAAACUCAUAGCUAUAUUCCUCUUACAGAUUACAGAACCUUACAAGAAUAGUUAACUACUAGAUGCAGCUUAGUUUCUUCAUGCUAAGUCAAAUUCUUAUUGAGUUAACCCAGCAACUCAUAAUCCAACUCUCACCUUCGUGCCUCUUUAGUCAAAUCAGAAAAGACCUGCAAAAAUUAAUCAAUUAAUUAUAGUUGCAUUGAUUCCAAUUUUAAAGCUAAUCAAUUUUAGAAAUCUACUAACUUAUUUUCCUUACAUUUUGGAAUAAAAAUAAAAUAACAAAAACUAAUCAAACAAGCAAAAGCAAACCAACCUGACGGGCAGCCAAUUCAUUGAAGCCACUAGGAUUUCUUUGCAAAUCUUUGAUCAAAGCAAAAGCAACCUUCUCAUCUCCCUUGCUUGGCUCCCUUUCUUAAAAAUUAGAAGUCUAUUUGCUAUCAACAACGUUCGUAGGCACGGCAACAACAAGCGUUCUUUGAGAGAGCGAUUUACAGUUAUUGAGGCUGCGAUUGUGGUUUUUUGCUGUAACUUCAUUCAUGGUGGCUGUAGAUGUGAGCAUUUACCUAGGUCGAUUGAGAGUGGCUGUGGGUUUAUGUGGAUUAACGGUGGCUGUCAGGACGCUAGGGUUUCAAGUGGUUUUGUGAGAGAAGAGUUCAGUGAGAGAGUGUGUGGUAGGGGUGGUAAAAAUAUCCGUCUGGUGCAGAUCCGGAUCAUAUUCAGGUGUUAUGGAUGGGGUAUUAUCCGACCUGGGUAUGAAGUUGGAUCGAUUUUGAAUAUCACUUGAUAAAUUUGGAACUCUAAUUUUAUUAAAAAAAUAUUAUAAAAUAUAUAUUAUUUUAAAUAUUUAUAUUUAUUUGACUCAUUUAUUAUACAGAUAUAAAGUUUUAAACACUUAAACUUUAUAUUUUCAUGUCAAAUUUUGUUGAAAUAAAUUUAAAACUUAUAAAAUUACCAAAAAAUAAAAAAUAUAUACACAUAUAAUAUUAAAAAAUAUAAAAUUUGAGUACCCAAAUUAAAACCCGGCCUGAACCCGGACCCGGACCUAGACUGAUUGCAUCCAGGCAAGGUCCGGUCAUUACAAUACCCGGACCUGACCCGAGGUUUUGCCAUCCCUAGUGUGUGGUGACCUCAACACUUAGGAAAAAAGAUCGAGGGUAUCUUUUUAAUUUAAACUCUUUAUGUUUACUUUUAAUAAUUUAUUUUUAAUUUAUAAUAAAAAAUUCAUAAUAUUAAAUAUUUUAAAUUUAUGAGCAAAAAGUCGUCGUUCUAAUUUACGUGAAAACGACGACGUUUCUUGAGUUAUAUAAAAUUUUAUUUUAAAUAAUACCCAAAAUUUUAUUCAAAGAAGCGCUAAAAUUAAGUAAACAUUAAAAUUCUAUCAUGAAUCAUUGACGUAAUAUAUUCUUUUUGGUUAUAAGGAGCUACUGACUUCGAAAGUAUGUGCAAAAUCAAGCACUUCUUGAGGCUUCAAUUGCUUAAGGGUACCUUAUGGAGGAAAGUAUGAAUUUUUGUUAAAGUUACAUUGACAAGGUAGAAACCAAAAGUAACCGACCAUUUUGUAAUGAUGUUGGUGGUAACAAAAUUGGGUGUCCUCGCAGUAAAGGGGCUAAAUUAUGUCUUAAUAAUGUUUCAUGGGUUCAGGUGCACAAAUAUGUGCUAUUUAACACAGAUACUGUAACCAUUUUUCCCUGAGUAUGUAGUGUAUAUUUUUUGUUCAAAUAUUUUGAUCUCUAGUUUUUAAUUAUCAUUUAUCCAGUGAUUUACUAAGUAAUGAUUGAAUUGACAUAGGGCAACAUCUAGCAAUUCUCAAGCGAGAGAUAUUGCGUGGUGCAAAACAUCACAUUAAAAAAGUUCACAAUGAAGUAUUUCACACAUAGUUUUCGAAUAAUGUAAGUCUCUCAAACAUUGCCAUUGUGAAUUAUUGUUUUAAGUAAUAGCAAUUUUUUAUUUCUAAUAUGUAUUUAUAGGUUAAAACUUUGCAACGAGCGUCAAUUGUAGAAUUCUUUGAAGAAAUUUUAAAUCUAGCCAACGGUCCAAAGAAGUUUGCACAAAGAUCCAAAGGCUACACUGUUAAUAGCUGCUGAUUCUGCACAAAAGAUAAUGAUAAGAAUAAAACAACAUAAAAUUUUGGUGUUGUAUUAAAGGCUGACACAAUGAGCUAUACUGAUGCAAGGGAUAAAAAUCCUCACUUGGGCAAAGUUACAUUUCAUGGUAUGUUAAAAGACAUUAUAGAAAUUCAUUAUAAUAAUGACAUGAAGUUUGUUCUUUUCACGCGUGAUUUGGUUGAUGAUCGAUUCAGAAAGAUACUUGAUGAGUUUAAUUUUACAAUGGUGAAUUUCAACCAUUUGUUAUAUAAAAAUAAUCAAGUUUGGCAUGAACCUUUCAUUCUAGCGGGGCAAGUAGAACAAGUUUGUUAUGUCCAAGACCCUGUAGAUUUAGAUUGGCAUGUUGUUAUGAGUUUAAUUUUACAAUGGUGAGUUUCAACCAUUAAUUCAUAUAAAAAUAAUCAAUUUGGGGGAUGAACCUUUCAUUCUGGGCGGCAAGCAGGACAAGUUUGUUAUGUCCAAGACCCUAUAGAUUUAGAUUGGCAUGUUGUUAUGAAAAUGACAAUUAGGGAAUUGUAUGACAAUUAUUCUUAUAGCCCAUUGAUAAUGCCUCAAGUUGAGUUAUAUCUCAAUAACAGUUGGAUGAGAGUGUGUAUAUGUGUGAUGAAGAUAUUGCUUGGGUUAAGAAGGGGGUUGAUGUGACAACUGUGGAAAUUAAUUCUGUGAAUGAUGAUGAUGAUGAUCUUAGCAUGGAAGAUAUUGAUUAGAUUCAUUAUUUUGACAUCAAUAUUAACAUAUAAUUUGUAAUAAUGUAUGCAUUUUGAGGGGCAAAGUUUAUUAUGUUCCCCCCAUAGAGGUGUUUUUACUUUUUAUCACAUCAAUAAAUCAUGUUACUGCUUUUCAGUAGUAAUUAAUUUUCGCCUAUAUCUAUUGUUAUUGUUGUCGUAUUGACAAGUUUAUUACACAUUAACAAGUUCAUUAUGUAUUUUAGUGUAUAAUUGUAGUUUAUCAUGGUGCCGAAAAGAAAUAGACACUACUACAAAAAUGUAAAACAAUGACACAUACAUUAUGACGGUUUAUUUAAAAAACCGUCAUUAAAAAUAUUUAAUGACGGUUAUUAUAUGAACGGUCAUAAUAUGUACUAUUUAUAAUGACGGUUCUAUUAUAAAACCGUCAUUAAAUAUCAUGCUAAAAAUAUAAUUUUAUUUUUAAUAACGGUUACUUAUAAAAACAGUCAUUAUAAAUUUCAAACUUUUAAUGACGGUUCUAUUAUAUAACCGUCAUUAAAUAUCAAGUUAUUAUUUUUAAUGACGGUUUAUAAAAAAAAUCGUCAUUAAAAAUAAUUACUUUUUAUGACGGUUUUACUAUAUAACCGUCAUUAAGUAUCAAGUUAUUAUUUUUAAUGACGGUUUUUUUUAUAAACCGUCAUUAAAAGUCAUUACAUAUUAAACUAUUAUUUUUUAUGACGGUUCUAUUAUAUAACCGUCAUUAAAUAUCAAGUUAUUAUUUUUAAUGACGAUUUAUAAAAAAAACGGUCAUUAAAAAUCAUUACAUAUUAAAUUAUUAUUUUUUAUGACGGUUCUACUAUAUAACUGUCAUUAAAUAUAAAAUUAUUAUUUUUAAUGAUGGUUUUUAAACAAAACCGUCAUUAAAAAUUACUAAUGACGGUUACAUAUAUAAACUGUCAUUAACUAUAAAAUGUUAUUUUGAAUGACGCCAUUAAAAAGCUACAAUAUUUUUAAUGACGGUGUUUAAUAACCGUCAUCGAAUAGAAAGAAUCAUUUUUAAUACAUUUCAUGACCGUUUUAUAAUAACCGUCGUUAUAUGUUAUUUGCCUUAAAAAAUUUAUAAAAAAAAGCCGAUAAAAGGAAUAAAGGAAACGCGCAAUCCCUAACCACUCACAUUCCUUAUCUUCUUCUUCAAUUUUCACGAAUUACAAUCACAACGACUCACUCAGUCACACACACCAGCCCUAACCCUACCUAAGCUAUCAAACGCCAAUGCCGCUGCCGCUGUCAAAUCGAUUCAAGUGCUCCGGCGCUGAGUCUAGCCGUCCUUGAGCCGAUUUGCUUCCUUUUUCUGCCGCCGCUGUCAAUCUCUGCCAUUUUUGAGCCGAUUCACUUCCGCAAAAUAGCUGCUGUCAUCUCUGCCGACAUUGCCUCUGUGUUCGUUCACCGUCAGAUGCAGUGUUAUUGUGGUGACACUGCCUCCGCUGUCAAGUCAGUUCAAAUUUUCUGGGUGCUAUCUCGAAAAUGUUGGUGAGAUUGUUGCCAAUGAUAUUCUAAAAUUUUGAAUUCAGGGUUAUUGUUUCACCACUGUGAGUUGCUUUCUCCAAUUUUGCAAUUCUUUCCUCUUAAUUUGCUUUGAAAUAUUUGCUCGUUGGAUUUAUUUCCUCUUCAUUUAUAAUCGAUUUGGUGAUUUUGUGUUGUGUAGCUUGUACCUUAGUCUCUCCUUUUCCUUUCAUAAUAUUAUAAAAUAUGUCGUGCACUUUGGCCUUUCGUUUCUUGAUUUUCUUGGUUAAUGAAUUUGGAAAAAGAGUGAAUUAUGGGUAAGGGGAUAGAAAAUCACAUUGACAGAAAAGAGGACUGAAACGCCCUGAUUUUUACUAAGUGGAGUUUACUUAUUUGUUAAAAAAAUAAAUUUUAAAUUAUUAAUGAUUUAAUUGUCUUAUGCUUAUUAUAUUGUUCGUAAAAUUUUUGUUACAAGUCCAGCCCAUGAACCUCUUUAUGUUUUAGCAUUUCUUUAUUUAUUUACGAAACGAAAACCAGCGUUCGAAUUCAAAAGGAACAAAACAGAAAAAGGAAGAAAGGAAACAAGAGGAUAACAGGACGUGAGAGAGGAGAAGAGGGAGAAAGAAGAGAAAGACAAGAGAGGCUAGGUGAAGGAUUUGGAUUUAAAGAGAGAGAAUUCAAUUUCAGAGCAAAAUAUUAAAUAUCUGGCUUUUUAAAUUUGUAAGCCUUAUUCAAUUUCAGGGCAAAAUAUUAAAUAUCUGGCUUUUUAAAUUUGUAAGCCUUCUUUCUCAGUUCACUUUAUUCUUUUAUUUUUCUUCAAAAUUCUUGUUUAAAUUGGCAUGCAUGUUGAUGUUGUUAAGUCAUUUCUAAAUUAACUUGCAUGCAUGAUUAAAAUUCUGUUUAUUUAGGUAUUAUGUCAUUGAAAUUAGUCUCUUUUGCCAUGCUUGUUUCAAGUUCCGAUUCUUAUUUGAAAAAAAAAAAUUUCUAUGUUUGUUCCAUAAUCUGUUUUGGGUAUUAAAGUUGAUACUACCUAGCAAAUUCUAAACUGUAAUGGCUGAUUUCUUCUCUUAUUUUUGUUUAAUCUAUUCAAAUUCAUGUAUAAAUUUACAGGUGUCAGAUAUUUGCCUAAUUAUCAUGUAUGUGUUAAAUUCAUUUUGGGUGAAUUUUUAUACUAUUUAAUCAACUUCAAAGUUACAUGGGUUUGGCCAAUUAUCACAUAAUCUCUUCUUUGACUAUUUGAUUAGAUUUUUGUUCAUGCGUGGCUUAAUUAAUUUCGAAAUCUUCUUACUUGUGAGUGUGGUCAAACCCCAAACAAAUGAAGAAGUCUUCUGGUUUUAUGUCAUAAAUAGAAUGCCUGUAAAUAUAAAAUCGAGAUUGAGCUAAUGAGUGAAAAUGAUGAUACUUGGAUUUUUUGAGGCUCUGUUUUUUUUUUCUUUACUUUAAAAGCUAAUUUGUUUAGCUUUACCUUUGAUUUGAAUUUUUUGCUUCUGUUCUUUGCAGCCAACCUAUGAAAAUGGUGAUAAUCGGGCUCCAAUAAAUAUUGAUUUAAUAGGAACCACAUUGGUAAGCCUAGUUGCAAGACAAGAACUACUUUGCAAAGCAUGCUAUGUGUAUAAUUCUGAGCAUUAAGGAUUCAGUUUCUGAAGGGCAAGCUUGCUGGCUGGGUAUAAAUGUUCCAAGUGCCAAUCCCACCUUAUGUAAGCACAAAAUAUAGUCUCCAUUUCCUUUUUGGAUUAUAUUUGUUUGUAUAGUUAUAUGAUACUGGAUUUUAAUUUAAGAAUUUGUGCAGUACAUUUUUUUACUGUUAGGAGUUAGUUUGAUCAAGGUUAUUUAAGUACUAAACUGUUAUAAUUGAGCUUGUAUGCAUUUAAGUUCUUUAUAUGUAAAUGACAAUUAUAUCAAUGUGUAAUGUAAAUUGAAAUUUGCCAAUGUGGCUUCAAUUGUACAGUUUAGAAUGUGAAAAUAACUAUCUAAAUUUUAAUUUAAAAAAACAAUUGAAGUAUAGUAAUUUUAAAUUGUUAUUUUUUUUUAUUUUUACUCGUGCAAAAGAUGACGGUUCUUAUAUAAGAACAGUCAUCAAAGAGCGAUAUAAGAUGACUGUUAUGAUACAAAACCGUCAUUAAAAAUUGAUAUUUAAUGACGGUUAUUAAAAAUCCGUCAUUAAAAGUAUAUAUUUAAUGACGGUUAUUGGCAAAAAACGGUCAUUAAAACUUAUGUACCUAUAGCAUAUAAUGACGGUUUAUUAGAAUAACCGUCAUAAUAAGUAUACAUUUAAUGACGGUUUUUAAACUGUCAUAAAAAAUGUACCCCUUUUAACGUCGCUGUCUAAGAUGACGGUUUUAAAACCGUCAUCUUAUGUCUUUUAAAACCGUCAUUAAAGGCCAAUUUUGUAGUAGUGAGAGGUUUAUCCAUGGAUAGCUUACUUCAGCAGCAAGCAGAAUAACAAAAACAGUUAUGCUCCUCUUCUCGUUCGCAUUCACAUGCACCACAAGAUGAAGGUGUGUAUUGUCAUGUAUUCUAACAUACAAUCCUUUUUUUUUCCCCUUAUAUUAAUGCAUCAUGUGCUACUUUUUUUUUUGUUUUUGGAUAAUUUUUCUAUUAUUCCUAUUUCUUGAUUGUUUUUUACUAUUUUUAGCCUUUUUUUUCUUGUUUAUGGGUUAAUUUAGAUUAUUAUAUUUUGGUUAAUUUUGUAGUUUGGAGUGAGUCAUCAUUUAUUAGGCAAACUCUUGUCCUGCCCUUGGUCUAGAUAUAUUUGGAAGGAAGUAAAGUUAUGUAAUGCGUACACUUCAUCGUUCAAGUCACUGUCGCAAAAAUAUUGGUUUUAUUUUUAAACUAUCACUAACCUGAUUUGGCUUUCAUGUGUUGCAACAAUAACUAAUUACUUCUUUCUUAGUCUAACCUUUUUAUUUAUUUAUUUUUUUCAAUGUUUUAACGGUUAAAGUUAUAAGACAAUAACUUAUUUUGUAUUGAAUUAUAGGAGAACAUUGAUGCUCCAGAAGCCUAUAAACUUCAUUGUUUAAGGCACAUUAGUAAACUAUGGAAGGCUUGGAGGUCUAGAGUGAAGACUGACUAUUAUGCUGCUUAGACAAAUGAAGAGUCUCUUGCAUCUAUUCUUGAUAGAGUUAUUGAAGAGCAAUGGAGGACACAUGUAGCAUAUUGGGAUAAUGAGGAAGUUAAGGUAUAUGGUUAAUAACAAUAUUAUGAUAAUACUAUCUUAUUAGGAUAGUAAUUUAAGAAUUUACUUCAGUAGUAAUUACAUAUAUAGUAUUUACAGGCAUGUGCUGAACAGAAUAAGAUUAACCAUUCACAACUAUCUUCCCUUCCUAGAACAGGUCGAACUUCGUUUCCCCCAAAAAAGAAAAGAAGAAGAAAUAAAAACAAUACCUAUUUGCGGCUGAUUUUGGGUUAAUGAAAUAAAAUCACAUAACCAAGCCAAGAACAAUAAAUUUAUUUUUUGUUGGGGAGCGGGGUGCCUCGCUUGUUUGGUGCAUGCGGGUUGUUUAGGCUUUUUGUGGAGUGAAGGAAGAUUGAGAUGGCGGUGGAUAUGGCGGAGGUCUGAUUUCAAGUACGGAGGGCUGGUGAAAAUUGCCUUAAACCUGCAAAACAACCAAAAAAGAGGUCAGAGGUGGAGCUGGGGUGGCCCGCGACCACACUUCGACGCUCAAGUCAGAGUUGGGUUAUCUCAGGUUAGAGAGCUUGCAAACUCUCGGUAAUGGAAGUUUUGAGGUUGAAGAAACCUUAGUUUUUGGUGGUGUGUGUGUGAACUUAAUUGAUAAAAAUUAAACCUGAGUAUUUAUAUGGUGUACCCCGGUCGCUGUGCCACCUGGCAUUAUAUUAUUAGCGUUCCCUGCUGCCAUGUCAGGAAUAUUCUUAUUUUCAUGCGUAUGGCAACUUAGGCAUUUCAAAAAUAUUUGUGGAGAGCAAGUUUGAGGCAUUUGCAUGUGCUAGGCGUAGUGGAGUGGUCUCGCGUACCUCUGCAAUUCCGUUGUAAUUUUGCAGGUGUGGCAGGAAAAACUGGUGGUCCCAACUGUCAUAAUAUCAAACUUUUGACGGAUUCGUUGGUUGACAGGCAGCUGUCUCCUCUUUUGUAGCAUGAGAUUUCCUCACCGAUUCUUUAUUUUUUGACACUAUUCAACCGAUCUUUUUGAGAUUCGGGGCCCACCUAUCCAUUGACAUUUUUACGAAGACCUUUUACACUUAUAUAGUGUACCCGAGGUACCCCCAUAGCACUUAGGGUAGCCGGGGUACCUAGGGUACCUGGGGUAUCCAAGGUACCAGAAGUUAGCAAAUUUCUUAAAUAUCGACACGUGGCACUUUAUCAUUGGCCUCAUGUUUCCUUCCCAAACAACAUCCCUCUAGUUUCUUUAUGGCGAAUGUAAUUGAGGCACAAGAAAUUCUUGGAGGAACUGUGUGUGACACGUGGCGAUAUUUACUUUUUUUUUUUUACAAACAUUGAACUGAUGCAUGUCUUCACGUCUCUCCAGCUUCUCUUGGGAAGUGGUAACCGUCUGACACAUAAUUUGAAUUUGAAAACACCUCUCUGUAAAAUUAUUUGACCUCUCGCUUUAUGAAGUACGAUUUGUCAGGUUUAAUUAAAAUCUAUUCCGCUCCUUUUAUGUUACCACUUUACUUUGAAAAUCUCAAAAAAUCUCCUAUUAAGUGUAAUUGCUUCCAGUGGCUUCUUCUUGCUCCCUGGCUUUUCAUCUUUUCCUUAGCUUUAUUUCUUAUUCUUUUUGGCUUAGUCUUUUUCUUUAGCUUCUCAUCUUCUCUUGGGCUCCAUGAACAUUCCAUAAACAGGUUAAAAAAAGUCUUCCUUUACUUUCUCUUUUUUCUUUCUUCUUCUCGACCCACCAUCAUUCUUUCUUUCUCUUUUUUUUUUUGGCCUUUUCACGUGACCUUUUUCAUGGGUUCUUUCUUAUUUUCCCUCUCUUUCUCUUUUCUUCUUUCUUCUUUCAAUCAACUCUCUUUUUCCUCUUUUUUUUUCUCUCUUUUUUUUUCUUUUUCUUUUCUUUCCUUUCUUUUUCUUUUCCUUCCCUCUCGGUUGCAAUUCUUUUUGCGCGUUUUCGGUGGGCUCUUGGCGGUUGUUGCGGCGGUCUUCGGUGCCCGAUCUGUCCGGCGCACGGCUGCGUCUCGCGGCUUCUAGCGAGAUCUCCUUCCGGCGGGUUUGGCUCGGUGCUUCUCUCCCCCACAUUGUCUUCUUCACUUCUUUUUCUUCUCUCUUUUCUUCUCUACUGCGUUUUCUUUGGCUUUUUUUUUUAUCCAGACUUCUUUUUUUUUUUAAUCAUCCUAGCUCCUUUUUUUUUAUCAUCCAGGCUCAUUUUUUUUUUUUUACUUCUUUUCCUUUUUUUUUAAUCCAUGCUCCCUUUUUUUUGUUGAAACCUCUAACGGGUUUCAUUGUGCCUAUUACAGCCUAUGCACAGCUUCAUCUUUUAAGCAAUUUCUGGUGAUCCGCGACUUCUCUUGGCGAUUUACAGUCUAUUCAUCUCCAAACUUGCUUUUUUUUUUGCGACUAAAAUUUGCUGCUCUCGGUGAAAUCUAGGUAUGAAUUUUUAUACUUAUUUUUGGCUUCUUUAUUUUGAAAAAUAUUGUGGCUUUGUUUCUGGAUUUCAUGCAAAGUGUUGGUGCUUUUUUUUUUAUGCUUUUAUUGGUGGAUGUUGGUGUUUGACUUGUGAUGGAUGAGGCCUAGAGUUGUGGGGGCAUGUUUUGAUGUGGAGAUUUUCUUUUUAACUUGUGUCUUGUGUUUUUAGGGGAACAAAAUGGGGAGAAAAAGAGUUGGGAUAAAGGGUCUAAAUAUUGUUGAUGAUUCGGGUGGUGAGGAGGCCCCAUGUUCUAGGUCAGCCCCUUUUGUAUCCAUUAGCGAUGACGAUGGGUCUCCUUCGGGUAGCCCCAAAUUGUCCCAAACUGAUCCUUGUAGUAAAUCUAAAACUAGGGGCAAACAACCGGUUAGGGCAGCCCGUAAGAAAAUCCGUGUAAAACAUUUCAGACGCAAAUCUCCUGCCCCUAUCAGCAUUCCUGAGCCUCCCCUGGUCUCCCCUUCUGUCUCUGUAGCUCGUAGGCUCUAUUCACUAGGGGGUAGGCUAGCUAUUCCAAGAGAUUUAGAAAGGGUUAGAGCUAAAUAUAACAUACAUCCUUCUGUCCGCCUUGGGGUACCUCGCAAGGGCGAGCACCCCCAUUCUGAUAGUGUAGCAAUUCAUAUUGACUUUUUCGACUUAGGUCUCUGUUUGCCUCUUCAGCCAUUUUUUAGAAAAAUGUUCACUGAGAUGCAGAUUGCUCUCGGACAGUUAUCUUUACCCGGUUGGAGAUUGCUCACGGGUUUGGAGGUUCUGUGGCUGGAUGUAUUUGGGGAGAAUAUUUCUUAUGGAGAUCUGAGGGGGCUUUAUCAGUUGAAAAAACUGGCUGGUUUAUCCGUAGCUUAUUUUGCUACUUGGGGGGUUCAUGGUAGCUUGGUGAGACCGGAUCCCUUGCUGAAAAAGGGCUAUAGAUAUGGGUGGUUCGUGGCUAAAGGCGAGUGGGGGAGGAGUAUGCCAGCGGGGAAUGAUGUUGUGUAAGUUCGGAACUUCUUCAAUGAAGAUGGUAUGUAUUUUUCUCCUCCUCUCUCCCUUUUUUUUUAUGUAUAUAUACAUUUCUCGGAUGAAUUUUCUUCUUAUUCGUUGUUUCUUGGGACUUUUACAGACAUUACUUGGACUAAAGGGACAUGCCCAGUUCAUGAAGUGGGGAGAAAAGUGAGUGGUGUCAUAGAGAAGUUUCAGUCUUUGCAGAGUGAGGAUGAUGUUCUGAGCACUACCCGGCUGGCGAGAGCUGGUUUGAUUGAGGAGAGCCUUCCAUCUUCUUUGGGGGGCGAUUUACGUAUGGCUAUGUGGUGUCGCUAGGGUACCCUGCCUUCACUGGUUCUGUGGGGGGUGCCCCCAUCUUUUGCACAAUUUUUUUUUUUGCGGCCAUCUCUUAUUUUUUGUUAAUGUAUCUUUUUGCCAGUGUCGAUUCUGAUGUUUAUUUUUCUGAUCCAUCUCUAUGUUGCACUUUUUUUUUUGUUUGCUUGAUGUUGGAUAGGUAUGGACCCUUUCGCUGAAGAUUUUGAAGCCUUUUUCAGUCGCAUGAGCGGCAGCUCCUCCGCUACCCUAGGUACCUCAGCAAAGGGUGAUUAACCUCCCAUUGUUCCAGGCGCCAAGGGAAAAUUGCUCGUUUCCUCUUUUGGGGGUUCUCGGGGUACCCCGACUACCCACAAGAGGAAGUUUGGCUCCCUUUUCAUGGCUCUUGGAGAUCUUAUGAAGGGUGAGCUGGACCCAGUGGCAAACAAGCGGAUAUCUCACCUGGGCGAUUGCUUCCUCCAUUCCUCUGAGUGUAUUUCUACAGACAUGGCCAUGGAGGCAGAUAAAUUGGACUUAAAUGAGCACUAUAGCCGAGUGCUCAAGGCUUGUCAUGACGUGAGUGCCUCCCUCUUUCUCAUUUUUAUUUUUUUAUAUAUAUCAUCUUGACUCCCUUUUCUUCUCUUUAUUAUUAUUAUAAUUUUUUGUGUGUAGGCGGCCUUCUACCUUAGCCACAGUUUCCACGACUUUAGUGGCAUCUCGGCUGCAUAGGCUGAGGUGGAGAGGCUGCGAGGGGAGGCAGACUCGGUCAGUCUCGGGAAGAGAAGCUCGGAGAGGAGGGCAGGGCUUUGCAGAGGCGUUUGGACAACUACGCCUGGGAGAACAGCCGAAUGUCCAAGAAGUUAGAAGAGGUGGAGUCUAAGCACGGCGAGCUACUAUCUCGCCAAUAGGAGAUUAUGGACAAGGCUUUUACUCUUAUCAUGACUGAGGUCUGGAGCGUCGACCCAGAGCUGGUGGUACCCCGGGUGGAGAAAUGGGUGGACAAGUCGACCAUCCUGAAAGCGAUAGAGGACAAGAGGGUAACCCAGACUCCACCAUCUCACAGCCCACAGCAGUCUUUUGGGAUACCCUAGGUACCCCAGGCGGAUCUCCCUUCUGUUAGCGCUGUUUAUGAGGGUAGCAACUCUUUGACAUUGAGUGUUCCUGUUGAUGCCCCCGUUGAAGGGAGCGGUGGAGAGGAUGUCCCUCUUUCUGCGUGAUCUUACUUACUAUUUAGAGUUUUAUCCCGAGAUGUCUCAGCAGUUUUCUUUCUUUGCUUUUGUACAUUUUGUAGUAUGGUAUCAUCCUUUUGAUGUGUUGGGAUAGUUUUCUUUUGAAAGGUUGCCUCGACAAUCUCGCUACUUGUUCGCAUUAAACUUCUGCAAUAGACUUGAUUUGACAUGCCAUUGAAUUCCUUGCUUAUGAUUGAUUUUGUAUAGACUUAUGGGGGUUCCUCGGGUACCCCAGGUACCCCCUGAUGUAUUUUUGGCGCUUGCGUGGUGAUUUCCGUAGAUAUGCUCGCUGCUCGUCUUAAUAAAGAUUAUGACGUAUCUCAAAUAAUUUAAUAAUUCAUGUAUCAUCAUAAUUUAAAAUUAAAUUCAUAAUUGGCGCAACUAGGAUAUAAAUAAAGAUUAUGACGUAUCUCAAAUAGACUCUUGGAGUUUCCUUGGGUACCCCAGGUAUCUUUUUUUUUUUUGUUCGGGGACCUUCUUGGCCCCAUUUCUUGCAGAAAUGGUAAAAAGCAUGCUUGUUUUGCCAUAUGUUUCUAGUCAAUAUUUAAUGAAAUCAUUCGAAUAGAGGUGCAUGCUUGCCUACCUCAUUUCGUUUAGGCAUCCAACUCUUGUGAUUGCCAUUUGUCUAUUCUUUACUUGGCUCAAGUUAAAGAAUGGAGGUGUGGGUGUGUGCAUACCUUAACGGAGUCUUAUGGCGCUAGGGUAUGCUGGUUUACCUUGCCCAUGGGUCUUCUCUGACCCUCCCUUUUUAAAUUUUUUGUAUUCUUUCUUAUUGGCUUUGACCUCGAACAGAUCUUCACGAUCAAAUCGGGUCAGAUACCCCAGGUUCCUCAGACUAUCUUGAAAUGGAGUAAUUAUAGCUGAAAGGUGCAUACAAAACACGGCGUAAUAAGAUUGAGUCACAUUAAUGGCGAAAGUUUAACCAUAAUCACAUUUGGUAAUCAAAAGAAGAACAUUACAUAAGACUGACUCAUUCUCCCAAUGAGAAUAGGAAACUGUAUAGAUAUCCACUCUCUGGGACUUAGGAAAUUAAAAUUUUCACUUGCACAUGUAGGGUACCCUAAGUACCUUUCAUGACUUUACCAUAUUACACACAUAGUAAAGAAAAUAGGAGAUAGAUAAAGUGAACGAUAGGGUUUAAGACACUGUCCUCAUGUUAGUAGUACUUCCUUAGCAUUGCGGCGUUCAGGGAUGCUUGACGAUUGUUCCAUCUAUGUGGAGUAGGCUGUACGCCCCCGAUCCUAUUGGCUUGUCUAUGCGAUAUGGGCCUUCCCAAUUUACUCUGAAAGAGCCCUCCAAGGGUAUUCGGGUGUUCUGAGUUACCCAUCGUAUGACUAAAUACCCUUUCUUGAAUGAUUUGGGGCGUACCCUCUUGUCAUAUAAAUCUAAAACGCGAUGCUGGUAUAUUGCAACCUUCAAUUCUGCUUUGGCCCUUUUUUCUUCAACAAGAUCAAGACUGGAUGCAAUGAAAGAGGCAUUCUCGGCUUCAUCAAAGUAUGUGGUUCUGUGAGAGGGUAUCCUGAUUUCUGCUAGAAUGAUUGCAUCAGUCCCGAAUGCCAGAGAAAAUAGGGUUUCCCCAGUUGAAGUAUUCUGAGUUUUCUGAUAGGCCCAAAGAACGCCGGGUAACUCGUCAACCCAAGCUCAUUUCCUUUCCUCCAGCCUCUUCUUUAGGAUACCCUUGAUGAUUUUGUUGAUGGCUUCCACCUGUCCAUUAGAUUGCGGGUGAGCCGGAGAAGUAAAUCGGUUGGCUAUCCCAAGCUCCGAGCAGAAACUCCGAAAUUGAAUUACUUCCUGUUGCCGCUGACAAUUGCAUUAGGGAUACCAUAUCUGCAUAUGAGGUUCCUCCAAAAAAAAUCAAUGGUUUUUCUCUCAGUAAUACUUGCCAACGGCUCCGCUUCUCCCCACUUUGUAAAAUAGUCAACGACUACAAUUGCAUAUUUAGCUUGCCCUCUCCCGGUUGGCAGUGGGCCAAUGAGAUCUAUAUCCCAAACAGCAAAUGGCCAUGAAGAAGACAUGACAGUUAACUUUUUUGGUGGAAGGUGGGGUACCUUGGCAAAUCUUUGGCACUUGUCACAACUCUUGACCAUAUUUUUAGUAUCCUCCCGCAUCGUAGGCCAAUAAAAUCCUUGACGAAGGGCCUUUUGUGCCAAUGAUUGUGCUCCAUAGUGGUUACCGCAAAUUCCUUCGUGUAUCUCUCUCAUGACAUAUUCGGCAUGUUCAUCUCCCAAAUACUUUAAGUAAGGGAGGGUAAACCCUCUUCUGUAUAAGGUAUCCUCGAUGAGACAGUAUCGUGCAUCUUUAUACUUUAGCCUCCUUACUUCACUUUUGUCUGAGGGCAUAUCCCUACUUCUGAGGUACCUUAUGAUUGGUUGCAUCUAGGGUACCCCAGCAGUUAUCGACCCUACUUCUUCUGGCUCAAGUAGAUUAACACUGGUUGUAGGUAUAUACUCAGUAGUGAUUGGACCAACCGACAGAGUUGAGCGUGGCUUGAAAAUGUUGUCGAACUCACUCAAUUCAAGAGACCAGCGAAGAAAUCUUCCAGACAUGUCCAACUUCUGGAGGAUUUGUCGAAGGGGAAGGUUUGUUACAACACCAAUGGUGUGGGCCUGAAAAUACGGCCGAAGUUUCCUUGCAGAGAUUAUCAAAGCCAAAACCAGCUUCUCUGUGGCGGGGUACUUAUUUUUCGCAUCCACCAUUGCCCUACUAGUGUAGUAUAUAGGCCGUUGCACCCCAUCUUCAUUUUCUCUAAGCAUCAUCGAGCUAGUGGCGUGCUCGGAAACGGCAAGGUACAAUAAAAGCACUUCUUUGGGCUUACGCUUGGCGAGCAACGGCGAAUUAACGAGGUACUCCUUUAACUUCUAAAAAGCCUCUUCGCACUCGGCGGUCCAUUGGAGCUUUUUCCCCGCUUUCAAAGCUUUAAAAAAUGGCUUGCACCGGUCGGUGGCCUUGGAGAUGAAACGACUCAAGGCGGCUAUCCGGCUAGCUAAGUUCUGGACUUCUUUGAUAGUACUUGGUGACUUUAUCCCAAGAACCGCCUGGAUUUUGUCGGGGUUAGCCUCAAUCCCCGCUGUUGCACAAUAAAUCCAAGGAAUUUACCCGAAGUCACCCCGAAUGCACAUUUCUCAGGAUUUAGGCGCAUCUGAUGCUUUCUCAAAAUAUUGAAGGUGUCUUUGAGGUGCCCAGCGUGAUCACUGGCGUACACCAACUUUAUUAUCAUAUCAUCGAUAUACACCUCCAUGGUACGACCGAUUUGCUGUUUGAAGACCUUGUUUACGAAACGCUGAUAGGUGGUGCCUGCAUUCUUCAAACCAAAAGGCAUAACCUUGUAGCAGUACAACCCACGGUUGGUGAUGAAGGUCGUUUUAUCUUGAUCGGGCUCGUAUAUUGGAAUUUGGUUGUACCUGAAGAAAGUAUCCAUGAAACUAAGCAUCUCAUGUCCCGUCAUAGCAUCGACCAGUUGGUCUACCCAGGGAAGCGGGAAGCUAUCCUUAGGACAUGACUUGUUUAAAUCCGUGAAAUCUACACACAUGCGCCAUUUUCCGUUGGACUUCUUAACCAAGACAACAUUUGACACCCAGUCGGGAUACACCAUCUCCCUAAUAAACCUCGCUGCUAGUAAUCGGUCCACUUCUUGUUCAAUGGCGUCAUAGCAUUCCUGGUUGAAAGUUUGACGUUUCUACUUAACAGGCCUAUGAUGUGGAUCGACAUUGAGCUUGUGACAGGCGAUAGAAGGCGGUAUACCCGGUAUGUCCGCGUGAGACUAAGCGAACACAUCAAUAUUUUCCUUUAAAAACUCAAUAAGUUGCUCUCGGUGUUGGUCAGGGAGGUUGGAGCCUACCUUGACCAUCUUGGUUGGGUCAUUAUUACAGAUCAAAAUAGACACAAGAUCCUUAACCAGUGCUCCUCACUUUUCAUCUUUCGGUAUCCGGGGAUCCAAGGGUACCUCAACCUCUCCUAUUGAUGCAGAACUGGGACUUUGGGGUACAUGUGGUGCCCUAGGAGCUAUUACAUCCACUUCCAUUGCCCAAAAUUCUUGUGGCGCUUGGGAUAUUUAGGAAUUCGUGGACCGUUGAGCUUUCUUACGUGCAGCUCUCCCGAGUCUAGCGAGUGCCCGCUUGGAUAUACUGGCAAGUGGCCUUGUGCUGACGGGCUACCCCUCCAAGAGCAUAUUGGAGGCAAUUUGAUAACUCAUCUUCAAGGCGACAGAGUAACAUCCUCGAGCCGAUUAUUGAUCCCCUUUGAUUGUGAUAAUUUCCCCGGCGGUUGGAAUCUUCAUGGUGAGGUAAUGCAUGGAGAUUGUUGCUUUAGUUGUUGCUAAAAAUGGUCUUCCCAAGAUGAUAUUAUAGGCACUGGGAUGAUUAACAAUAAGGAAGUCGAUCAUAUGGACCACUCGGUAGGGUACCUUGCCGAUUGUAAACGGGCAAAGUGAUGAUACCCUUGGGAAUAGCCAUGUCUCCUACAAAACCAACGAGUGGCGUGUCACAUGGAGUGAUCCUUGGCCAUUCGAUUAGUAGUUGAUCUAGGGCGCUUUUAAAGAUGAUGUCCACGGAACUGUCGGUGUCCACCAGAGUCCUCGCGACCUUACCGGUGGCGACUUUUAAUGUUAUAACCAGAGCAUCAUCAUGGGGGUAUGAGACACUUUCCGCAUCUUUCUCUGUAAAGAGAAUUGGGACGGGAUGGUCGGGUACCCGGGGUACCCUAAAGUGAUUUUGACAAGUGAAGUUCACUUCUUUUCCAAGGCGAUCCAAAAUUGGCGACUUGCUAUAACGUUUGAUGGCCCGUCUAGAUUCCCCCGCGACGAUAGGACCUUCUACUAUGACCGCCAUAACUUCCCCAAACACAAAUUCUUUUCAAAAUGAGUGAGAGUAUGUUAGUGACCAAACGUACCGGUACGCAACACCUCUUGGUGGAAGCGGGUUACGUACUCGGCUAAAGACUCCAAUUCCCCUUGCUUGAUGAAAGCAAGCUUGGAAGAUGCUAUAUCUUGGGAGGAUGCAUAACCAAACUCAUGAACAUAAUUUUUUAGGAGUUGGUCUAAGGAAGAUACACUACCUUCCUUCAACGAUCGGAACCAUGAUUUGGCAGGUCCAGUGAGGGUAUGCAGGAACAUCCGGCACAUAGCAUUGUCACCCACUCCUUUAAUCAUCAUCUGGUCACGAUACAACUCAGUAUGUUCCACGGGAUCUGAGGUAUCAAAGUAUUGUUGUAUUUGAGGCAUGGUGAACGCUUUCGGGAGAACCGCUGUCCGAAUCUCCAUGGUGAACGGCGAGUUACAUUCUGCUGGCGCUAGAGUAUUGGUGGGGUUUUGUUUUCCAGAAAUGAGCUUCACUUGAGCUUCGAGGUACUCCAUUUUUUCCAGGAACUCGCAGGGUACCCCAGGUGCAUCUGAGGAUGCCGUAGUUGUUUGGGAAGCUCUUUUAGCGUUCAACUUGUGCCGGAGAUCUUCAUGGACUUUUUGUUUAUGUUUGGUACCCUGGCUACUACGGGAAUAGCAAGAGGCAGUGGAGCAUUCUUCCCGAGAGCCGCAGGUUUGAAACUUUGAACAGGUGCCCGAUGGCCCGUGCUUUGGUAUACUUCCCUUCGGUAUUUUAGAUCUUUGUAUGAUCUGUUUCUCACCGUAUGGAGGCAGGACAUCUUGAAUUACCGAGGAAGUGGCUGCCUCGAGUACCCGAGAUCCUACUGCUCUGAGAAUCGUGUGAGCUAAAUCCUCAAAGUGUUUAUGAGUAACGGGCUCCUCGUCGGGUUGAAUACCAGUUGAUUGCUUAACUGAUUUGCUUUUCUCUAGGCGGGAUGCCCUCUUUGUUGAGUCACCCCUCUCAUCACUGUUGUGGUCCUUCGCUCUAUCAUGACCUAGCAUUUGGUUAUCAGCGGGUACGUCGGGUGCCAUAGUGGCACAAGCACAUGUACUGACAAGCUCAGCACCGUGUGGAGGCUUUUUGCUCGCUCCCCACAGACGGCGCCAAUUGUUUGCGGUUGAUUUUGAGUUAACGAAAUAAAAUCACAAAACCAAGCCAAGAACAAUAAAUUUAUUUUUUGUUGGGGAGCGGGGUGCCUUGCUUGUUCGACGCAUGCCGGUUAUUUAGGCUUUUUUUGGAGUGAAGGGGGAUUGAGAUGGCGGUGGAUAUGGCGGAGGUCUGACUUCAGAUACAGAGGGCUGGUGGAAAUUGCCUUAAACCUGUAAAACAACCAAAAAAGAGGUCAGAGGUGGAGCCGGGGGUGGCCGGCGACCACACUCCGAUGCUCAAGUCAGAGUUGGGGUAUCUCAGGUUAGAGAACUUGCAAGCUCUCGGUAAUGGAGGUUUUGAGGUUGAAGAAAUCUUAGUUUUUAGUGGUGUGCGUAUGAACUUAAUUGAUAAAAAUUAAACCUGAGUAUUUAUAUGGUGUACCCCGGUCGCCGUGCCACCUGGCGUUAUAUUAUUGGCAUUCCCUGCUGCCAUGUCAGGAAUAUUCUUAUUUUCAUGCGUAUGGCGGCUUAGGUGUUUCAAAAAUAUUCGUGGAGAGCAAGUUUGAGGUGUAUUCACAUGCUAGGCGUAGUGGAGUGGUCCCACGUACCUCUGCAAUUUCGUUGUAAUUUUACAGGUGUGGCAGGAAAAGCUGGUGGUCCCAACUGUCAUAAUAUCAAACUUUUGGCGGAUUCGCUGACGUGACAGACGGUUGUCUCCUCUUUUGUAGCACGAGAUUUCCUCACUGAUUCCUUAUUUUUUUACACGUAUUCAACCGAUCUUUUUGAGAUUCGGGGCCCACCUAUCCCUUGACAUUUUUACGAAGACUUUUUACACCCUUAUAUGGUGUACCCGAGGUACCCCCAGAGCACUUCGGGUAGCCGGGGUACCUAGGGUACCUAGGAUAUCCAAGGUACUCGAAGUAAGCUAAUUUCUUAAAUAUCGACACGUGGCGCUUCAUCAUUGGCCUCAUGUUUCCUUCCCAAACAAUACCCAUUUUCUUAAUAUAAUGCUAGACUGUGUUCUCCUUUUUCAGUUUAUCUUUGAGCAACAACUUACUUAAUGUAAUGCCAAAUUGAGGUUGUCGAUAACUUGUAGGAAUCUGCACUUAUACUUAUUUUAUAAUCUAGAUUUAAAUUCAUGUGUCUGAUGGAGCUGAAUCAUUUUUGUUUCUUUCGGAUAGUAAAUGAGACAUUGUUUUCACUAAAAUUAAUGUCAAGAAUUUCUUGCCCUAACUAUUUCUAUCUUAUUGCAUAUUUAGGUAAUUUUCUAAAAAAAAAAAAAGAAAGAAAAAAGCAACAACUGAGAUAUGAAUCUUAUGUCUAUUAUGAAGAGAUAUAAGCUUAUUUGUCACUCUUAUGUCUAAAAUUUUUAGAUGAAGAAAAAUAGGAAAAAGACAGAUCAGAUAAGUGCGUUCGUAGAGGCUCGAACAAGAUCUUAUGGUAGCAUAAGUGAUGUGGAGAGUGAACAAAUAAUUGCAAGUGAUUUUUUUUUACAAUAUUAUAAUUCCUUACUUUUGUAAAUGCUAUAAUUAAUAUUGUCAAUUUACGAGGUCAAUUCAAUAAAAAUCUGUCUAAAAUACCCAUUAAGCAACAAACAAAAUUUGUUAGAGAGCAAGUAUUCACUCAAGUGAUGGGAACUGAUGGUCAUGGAUGUGCUUGAACUUAUGGUCAAAGUCCAUCAACUUCAUAUGUCUCACGUCAGAAUGUGACUCACGGUUAUAAAAUGUUACAAAAUGAGUUAAUUCUUCUCCAGUCGAAUCACAGAGAAUUAAAAUCCAAAUACAAUGACUUGCAAUCCAAAUAUAGUGACUUGCAAUCUAAAUAUCUUGAUUGCAAUCUAGUUAUGGUAAGUUCCAAUUGGUGACAUGCAAGUCAAGUAUGAUCGACUAUGUUCAUUUUUACAGCAGUAUUUCAACUAUUGUGAUGAUAAGAUGAGUCAAUUCAUAAGUGAUCAGGUAUAACUAUUUUAACUAACAUAAUUUUUAGCUAAAACUUUACACUGCAAUCUAUUUAAUAUGUGUUCUUUGUUAAUAGGUUCCAUACACAUCCAAUCCGCAUCAUCAUAAUACAACUGCUAGUUCUAAUUACGACCUCGAGUUAUAGGUAACUUUGUAUUUUUAAUAUUUCCUUUUUUAUAUUUUGUCUAAUUCUAAAUAUUUUAUUGGUUGAUUUCUUGAUAUAUAUUUGCUCUCAAUUACUUGUUCGCUAGACAUUUGUUAAAGAAACGUGAUGAUAUGCGAACUUAGAGCAUGAAAUGAAUCUCAUUAUGUAUUUACUUGAUUAGAUUUUGUUGAGUUACACUAUUGCUUUAACUUUAGAUAUCUAAACUGCAUUGAUUAAGGUUAAAGAAGAGUAUAAAAUCAUUAUACUGAACUGCAUGGAUAUCACAGUCUAAAGAUUUAUUCUUAAUCCUUCCCAAAGUCAUUUCUGUUAUUCAUGGACAUUGGUUGUGUUUAAUAUUACUUAUACUUUUUUAACUUAUUAUUUUCUACAGACUCUUGAGAGAGAGCAGGCAUUGGGUUCUCUUUAGACUUGCUGUAGGCAUUAGAUUCUAGAGAGAUAGAUUUCAUUGUCUAUGUGUCAAUUCUAUUUUGUAUUGACUAAUAAACAAACUUAUGAUUAAUGCUUUGUUUUAGAGGACUUAAUAUUAUAAAGUUGAAUCUGUUUGUAACAAAUGAUGAUGUUUUCAUAUAAUUUUGUAUUGAUUUUUUUUCAUUUUAAUUGAAAGUAUUGCAUUAUCAUUUUAAUUGAAGAAAAUUAGAUUUGUCAAAUAUUUUAAAUUUGAAACUGCUUGAACCAGUCACCAAGGUUUUAACCUAAUGAUAUGUGUGAUUACUUAAAGCUUUCUGACAUGCUUCAAUUUUAUUUGUUUAUGUGACUACUUAAAGCUCUAUUUGUAGGUUUCAAUUUUUGUUAUUUAUGUGAUUGCUUAAAGUCAUCAUAAAAUAUGGUGACCCAUUCUAUCUUUUGUGGUGGUAGGUUCACAAUCACAAAAGACACUUUGUGAUGCCAUGUCACCAGUAAUAUAAACUCUAGGAGGCUCAUAUAUGUUAGUGCUACCUGCCAUCUCAAAGAGGUCACAAGAGGUCAUAUGUGAUGGCAAAACAACGGACAUAUAAACUACUUUUUUUUUUUGUAGUGGUAAAUGAUCUUAUUUGUCCUUCAAUAUUUAUAAAUAAGCUAAAAUUUUGAUUUGCUAUCAUAGCAGUCUAUGUUGAAGAUAUGAAUUUGAUUGCAAUUCUCAGAGAUCUCCAAAAGACUACUGAUUAUUUGAAAAAAAGAGUUUAAAAUGAAAGAUUUUGAGAAACAACUAGAUACUAUUUAGAUAUAUAGACGGAGCACAUGUCUAAUCGUAUCCUUUUCCAUCAGUCAAUUAUACUAAAAAGAUUUUGAAAUGUUUCAAUAUGAAUAAAGCUUACCCAUUAAGUACCCCAAUGAGAGUCUAAUUCUUGUCCAAAGACAAACCUAUUUUGUCCUAAACAGGAUGAUGAACAGGUACUUAGUCCUAAAUUACCAUAGUUGAAUGUCGCUCCGAUGUAUUUAGCCCAAUGUACUAGACUAGACAUAUUUAGUUUUAAACUAACUAGACAACAUUAGGAUGGUGUUAAACAUCUAUUUUUGUAUCUUUGUGGAACUAUUUAUUUGGGUUUAUUUUAUUCUAAUCUACUAACUGUUGACUUUCAUUCAUAUUCAACAUAAAAUUAGUGGGAGAUCCAGAAGUGUAAAUUUUGAUAUCUAAUUACAAAAGCGGAUCACAGUGAGGUUAUGUCACUGUAGAGAUAGAAGACAAUCUCAUGGAAAAUCUUCAUGCCACUGUAUGCUUAUGGUUGAAGGAUAAUCAUAAUUAAAGAAAAUCCUCUUAGAUCAUAUUGCAAGAGCUCACUGCCUUUUCUCUCAUUUUCAAUCUCUAUACUCUUUAUUAUGUUAUUAUCCAUACUUAUUUUAGACACAAUAGGUAUGUUGAUAUAGAAGCUAAAAAGGGUGAUUGAUGUUAACUGAAAGACUUCAUAAGACUUAAAAUCCAAUUAGAUUUACAAUAGUCAUAUGAAACUCUAUUUAAAAUAAGCUUUUAGAUGUUUCUUUUUGUUGGGCCAGUCUAGCCUAUUAUGGGGCGCCAAUUCCAACAUCUCUCUCGCACGUGAUAGGUGACACUAUAAACAAAGUAACGAGAGUAAUAAGGCUUGAAGCCUUAAAUACAAUAUCAUAUAGGCAAAUGCAACAUGUGACCUAUGAACAAGUUGGAGCUAAAAUAUCAAGAAAUAUUAAUUGUAAACAAAUGCAAAAGAUUAGAAAUUUUGUUCUUUAUGUAUCCUAGAUUUUAUUUUUACUACUUCAAUCUAAGCAUAUUUUAUCCUUUAGUAAAAUAUAUGCUUGACUCAAUAAGCUCUAUAUAUCCACAAUUGUAACUAUCUCUAUAUGGAUUACAACUGGGCAACUGGUGAAUAAACUAGUCAGAUGCAAGAAAAAAAAUCUUUUGAUUCUACUCAUAUUUUGAAAAUUCUAGACCAAUUGGUUUCUUAGACAUUUUUCACAAGCAGCAUAACAUCAAAGCCAUAAAUAACAUUCUAAAGUGGCAAACAUUAAUCUUUUACCCCAAAAUAUAGUUGACGUUGACUAAGGAUACCAACCAAGGUUCAUUUUUAUCUUGAAGGAACUUACAUAAUGAGGAAGUAAGGAUUCAUUAAGUUUUUUCUUCACUCAUUUUCCCUAUUGACCAUAAUAAGCGCGCACGAUAUGAAUCACAGUUAUAAUGAAUUCUAUUCUAAUAAACAGCAUAUGUCUAAUUAUUCACUGUACAUAUCGUUGUUCAGUCAGCACUAAAAGUGCCUGGCUUGAAUUUUAAUAAGCUUGCCUUCAUAAGGUGUUAAACUCAUAUCUAGUUUAAAUUAAGUUUCCAUGACAAUGGAGUGUAUUGUAGUUGGUCUAAUAACUUACUUAAUGUGACCUCAUCUUGACCUAGUUGAGGCGACACAUUAUUCAGAAUUACAAAACUCCAAGACAAUAUACCACAUAUCUAAUUGUUUUGUAAUUCUAUAUGUCUCAUCCCAGCUUGCUACUAUAGCAACUGAGGCGACCUCUCGUGUAAGAUAGCUGGUCUUAACCUGACGACAUAUCUUUUUACAACCUUAUAUAUGUGGUUAUGCUAGCUACACAUUUUAAGUAUUAAUUGGGUACUUCAUUGUUAACAAUUUGGUGUUAUAAGAAUAUCUAGCAAUGACAUUCUUAAUCUAUAACAAUAAGCCUGCAAAUCUGAAAUGCAAGUUAUGCAACGCAAGAGGGGGGUGAAUUGGGAUUUUAAAACUUAUGCUAAACAAUUCGCACAACAAUUUAAUCUAUUGCCUUAAUCAAAUCAAAAACAAUAAAUUCAAUAAAGUACAAUAAUAAAAGAGUAAGGGAAGAGAGAGCAAACACAACAAUUUUUACGUGGUUCGGCAAUCCCCGCCUACGUCCACGCCUCCAAGCCAACCAAGCUUGAAGAUUUCACUAUCCAAGCCUCCCAAGGCUUCAAGUUCUUUACAACUGACUUCUAAAGUGUUAAUAAACCUUUACAACCAAGAGAUUAUCUUCCAAUCUCUUCACUCAAGUGUUUCUCACACUUAAACACUCACAAAUUUGAUGAUGAAAUAAAGAUUACAACAAUGAACUCUCUUUUAGAGUAAAUGUACAAAUGAUAGCAUAAUAAAGAGUUAAUUUAUGAUGAUUUUCGAAUUUGGAAGCUCAAAAUAUGUUGUUUGCCCUUUUUUAUGCUUACAAGAGUCUCAAAAUUGAAGUUGGAGUUGAGUUUUUAUAGUUAAAGCCCGAAAACUAGCCGUUAUGGGCAAAUUUCAGCAAGCAAGCAACUAGCCGCUUAAUUUAUCUGGCUCGCCGCUUCCGAGCAGUAAAGUUACCAUUAAAUUUCAAUUUUACUACAGUAACAUUGUUCAUGAAAUUAUAUUUGUGCCCAAAAAUUUUUGUAAUUAUACUAUGGCCCAACACGUCAUAAAACUUUACUAACAUGUCCAACUUUAGAAUUUCUACAUAAUACUUGCUAUUCUCAAAAUUUUUUGAAAUUAUGAUAUGGUUCAAUACAUGAUAAUAUUUUUUAAAAUAUUCCUAUUCAAAAUUUAACAUAAUACUUAUAAAUUUCAAAGUUUUCAAAAAAUUUUCAAUUUAGUCCAAAAUUUGAAAGUGCGAAGUUUUCCUCAGGCGGCUAGCCGCUAGCCCUCAGGCGGUUAGCCGCUAACUCUCUGUCCACUUAUGAUAUUUACACUCAGGCCCUUAAACUUUUAUAAAUUAUAAUAUAGCUAAAAAGUUUCAAAUAUUUGCAAAUAAGUCCAACUCCGGAAUUCAAAAUAAUACUUAUUAAAAUCAAAGAUUGCAAAACUUUUUUAUUUACUCCACAUCUUGAAAAAUAACUAACUUCAUAAGAUACUUAGCUUAUACUUGUAAAACUUUUUAUAUGUGAAAAAAUAAUGAUUUAUUAAACAAAAUCUUGAGCUUCUCAAAUACUAAACCAUUCAUAUACUAAAUUAUACUAGCUUUACAAGAAUUGUUGCAAUAAUGAGUCUGUUGAGCUCUAAACUUUAUUCGUGAUCGCGCCGUUGUCCGUUGAGUGUCUUGAGCUUGAUUUCACGUGAUUCACUUCAUCGUAAAUAUUAUCCUUCAAGAACUAGUGAAAAUGUGAAAUAUAAUAUUUUUCAAAUUACUUAAGACACAUGUUUGUUAUUAUCAAAAUUACAAUACGUAUAGCCCUUUAGGCUAACAAAAUCUACAAUAGGUCAAGCUUAUACCACUAAACAUCUCUACUCACCUCUUUGUACUGAUCUAUACCAUAUUGUGUAUUAUAAAAUUGCAAUAUUUUAUUUAUCAAUAUGGUACAUAAAUGUCCUCUAUAUGUAAAACCUUUUUGUUUGGUUUAUCAUUUUCAAUCAUUAGUCUUUAAUUACUUAUGACAAUCUCAAGAUAUUAUAAAGAUUACUUAACAAAAUAUGCGUAUAGAAAUAUCCUCGUUAUGGACAAAGCUAUGCAUGUUUAUUAUCUGAAUAUCGUAUGUAAUAGCACUAAUGUUUUGCUAAGAUAUGUGCAUUUUUCUAGAGGUCAAUUUUCACUCAUCUAGAUUGCCAUACUUGUUGGUAUUCAAGUGCAAAUUUUCCCAUUGGUACAAAGUGUAGUUCACAGUGCCAUAAAAGUAUGCUAAAUACCUAUUUGAGAAACUCAAUGCUUUAUUCAGGAUUCGAUUAGUAUUUCUUACCCAUCUCAUAGCAUAUAUCAAGUGUUGUACAUCUCAGUGUACCUGAGACCAUUAUUGGCAUUGAAAUAAAGAACACUAGCCAUUUUAUUUUUUUGUAGAGGACUCUUCAAGGCCAUACAUUUUUCAUAUCUACAGGAGUAUCCAUUUAGCUUUCAAUUUGUCAUUUUGAAUCUUUUAAGAAUGUUUCUAAUCUAAAUAUAACUCUUAUGAUAGUGUUAAAAAUUUCUUAAAGGAUUCUAUUUAGAUUUAAAUUCCUAAAAUAUAAGCAGCUUUGCCCAUAUUUCAUUGGAUAAUCAAUACCAAUGGUUUUGACAAGAUCCUUUUUUUUAAAAAAAAUUCUAGUCAUCUAAAAAUAUCAUCUACAUGUAUAAAUGCAUUGGCUAUCUUAAAUCAUCCAAUAUUUGUAAUUAAAUAAGGCUUGAUGAAAAUUAAGAUUCCAUUAUUAAGAGAAUGUUGUAGAUAAUAUAGAUAUAUAGACUUUUUAGAGCAAGCCGACUAUGCACUUAAGGUCUUUAGCAAAAGCCUUCUAAGCAUGCAAUCUACGCACUCAAAAUCUUUAAUAAAAUUCUUUUGAGCAAGUAAACUAUGAGCUUAAAAGUUUUGGCAACAUUAUUUAGAGCGUGCAACUAUGCGCUUAAAAGCUUUAGCAACGACACCUAGUAUUUGUUCCAUAUAUAUAUAUAUAUAUAUAUAUAUAUAUUUCUUCCUCUGAUUUUUUACUGAGAUGCAUUUAUUACAUCUAUUGAUAUGAUGAUGAAUGCAUGUGCAAGUUGACCAGAAAUAAUUGCCUUAGAGAAACCUCUAAGCCAAACGUUUUUUCUAAUUUAAACUCCUUAGAUAUAACUUUUAACAGUCCAUAUUGUACUUAUGCCUAUCGCUUUACACAUGCACAACCUUAUUAUUUGCAAUGGUUUAUUUAGCAAUUGACCAACUGUGACUCGGACAUAAUUGUUAUUUAAUGACUUUAUCUAUUAAUCAUUGCUUUUAUCUAUAGUUCCUUAGAAUUUAGAGUGACAACUCUAUACAAAUAAUCCUAGCUUAUGACCAUAGUAUGAAAUAAUUGUUAAGAAAUUCCUUUCAAUCUCUAAAAGACAAUAUAGGAUUCAUUUUCAAUUAUUCCAUUGAAUUGAGUUAUCUGGUAGAGCUAUCUCAUUAGGCGUUUGUUCAUACUUGAAUCAAGAUUUCUUAGUAAAUCUAACCUAUACUCAAUUCUUAACUCAAAAGUGAUAUCAUAAAAAUGAUAAUCCAAAUCAUGAUUUAGGAUAUAUAUUUAUCAACUUCUAUGACGCUUAGGAAUUCAAAAUUUUCAAGUUUGUGGUUUCUUAUCUAGCCACUAUCUUAGCCAUUCAUUUAACAUUAAACACAUGUUUUAUUUGCUUAUUUGAAUUUUGAAGUAAGGUUAGAUACUUUACCUAUAGCUGGAGUACUUAAGUGACUCAUUAUAUGAGAAAUUAUUUAAGUAUUUAAGGUGCAAUUAAAUAGAGUAUCUCCAAAUAACAUAUUGGAAAAACUUAUGUGCUACUAUUACUUUAUCAAUUGUCUUAAUGCCUUAUCCCUUAAUUUCCACUACUCCAAGUAGUGCGUUACUAUAAGAAUCAUCAAUUAUCUAUCUAUAUCUUUCUUAUAUAUAGUGCUGAUACAACUUUUCCCGAGAUUAAUGACAAGUUAGCACUUGAAACAGAGGAAGAAGCCCAGCUGGUCGAGGAGCCCAUAAAAGGUCCAGCUCGUAUGCGCAGGGCACCAACAUACCUCAAGGAUUACAUUACCUAAGGAAUAUUCGAGAAGGAACAAAAAGAGUGAGAAAGAUGGCAGCUGUGAUUUUGGUUAUUUUGUUGUGACUGUUUUUUUUGCCAAUCAUUACAUAGUUGGUUAGUUACGCGUGUAUUGUUGAGGGCUAAAAGAUAUAUGUAGAGAGAAACACGUCAUAAAAGGGAAUGAAAUGGAAAAUAUUCUUCUUCUCUCUCUGUCUCUCCUGUUAUCUCUGUUUCUCAUCUAAUUUCAAUUCUUUUUUGCUUCUUUUUGCUGGAGUCAGCACUUACUCGAAAAGUGUAAAUCUACGAUAUAAGCUCUGAGUUGCAGAGUUGUACAAUUGGUACUUUCAUUGACUUCUUCUUCUUAAAAAAAAAUCCACCAUGACUGAGAAAACAAAGACGAUUGAUUCUGAGGUUCUUUCCGCUAUUAAGGAGCUUCUUGAGAAGCAAACGCUCUCUGUUCAUCAGACCUUACAACAAUACAUGUCCACUGUAGAUUCCCGUUUUGAGGAAUUCCAAGCUCAAAUCCGUGGUUUUGUUGGCGUUUUGAGUGGCCCUUUACGAUCAUCAGAGCCGAUGUCAGCGUUUACAGAGGGUUCUGCUGGGGGCACAAACUUUUCAGCGCUUUUACGUUCCAUGAAAAUGGACAUCCCCAAGUUUGACGACUCGGAUUCGACCGGGUGGGAUUUUCGCAUCAACGAGUUUUUUUACCUCCAUGGGACCCCAGAUAAUUUGCGUUUUGCAUUGUAUCGUUUCACAUGGAAGGGAGAGCCGUUGCUUGGUAUCAAUGGAUGAAAGCUAACAAUCUAUUAACCACUUGGUGAAGUUUUUUUGUCAGUCUUAAGAGUCGCUUUGGAGCUUCCAUGUAUGAAGACCAUCAAGGGAAUCUUUCAAAGUUAACGCAGACCUCCACAGCUGCUGACUUUCAGUCUGCUUUUGAAGACCUAAUGAACAAAGUUACUGGUAUAUCUGAGCCUUUGUUAAUUAGUUUCUUUAUCACGGGUUUAAAACCCGAUAUCCGUCGUGAGUUGUUGUUUACUCGACCGACUUCUCUGAUGAAAGCCUUUGCUCUUGCUAGAGCUUAUGAGGCUAGAUCUGAUGAAGUUAAAACAACCAGUCGUUCUUGGUCAAAAUGGCCUCCUACUACACCUCUAGCUCCACAAAAUUUCCCCCCUGUUUUACCAAAUACUUCCACUUUAAAAAUACCAAUACUCUGGCUGCCCUUGUUAUUACUACACCAAAACCACCAUCUCAACCUCCAUUAUUACCAACCCCAAAUUUACCAAUCCGUCGCCUUACUCCAGCUGAGUUACGGGAUAAAAGAGAAAAAUGGUUAUGUUAUAAUUGUGAUAAAAAAUAUAGUGCAAACCAUCGUUGCCGCAACAAAUUCUUGUUGUUGAUGGGUACUGAUGAUGAGGAGUGUGACCCGGGGGAGGAUAUGAAUGUCAUUGAGCAAACUGAGGAAGUGGUUACCGCAGACAUUUCAAUCUUGAAUGCCUUGGCUAGACAGUCCAAUCCGCGGUUUCUGUGUGUCUUGGGUGAAAUUAACGGACAUCAAUUCCAUGUUCUUAUAGACAGCGGCAGUACUCACAAUUUCAUCAAACCGCAGCUAGCUGAACGGGUUGGACUUUCGAUUCAAUCCACCUCAACUUUUCGAGUUUAUAUCGGCAACGAGGAUUUUCUGGUUUGUCGAUUUCACUGCCCGGAUGUGCCAAUUGUUAUUCAAGGCCAUGAGUUUCGCUUGGAUUUCUUUGUUUUACCAAUUGAGGGACCGGAGGUAGUUUUGGGCAUCCAGUGGCUUCAACGCCUUGGGCGUGUCUCCACAGAUUAUUCAGAGAUGACUAUGGAAUUUUUUUGGGAGGGUAAGCAAGUCCUUUUACGAGGUGAUCCUAUUCAACUCCCUAAUUUGAUCUCUUUUAAUCAAUUUCAAGCAUUGUUACACAGCGAAGAAGUUGACACUUUAUUCGAGCUACAUUCCCUCUCCAGUAACACAUCCGAAUCCCAUAUUCCUAACUCCACAUCCUCAACUUUUGAAAUCGACUUACCCACUUCCUUGUCAAAAUCUAUUUAUCUUCUCCUCCAUAAAUAUAAGGCAGUCUUUGCUCCGCCAACUGGCCUCCCUCCCCAGAGAAAUAUAGACCACAAAAUUCACCUCACUCCUAAUUGCAAACCCGUCAAUGUCAGGCCAUACCGUUAUCCUCAGUUUCAAAAAAAUGAGAUGGAGAAAUUAGUUCAUGAAAUGCUUGAGCAGGGAAUUAUUAAACCAAGUCAUAGCCUUUUCUCCUCACCAGUGUUGUUAGUAAGGAAGAAAGACGGUACAUAUCGCUUCUAUGUUGACUACCGUGCUUUGAAUGCGGUAACAGUGAAGGACAAAUUCCCAAUCCCUACCAUCGAUGAAUUAUUUGAUGAACUUGGUGGCGCAAGGGUAUUUAGCAAACUGGAUUUGAGAGCAGGAUAUCAUCAGAUCAGAGUCCAUAAACGUGACACUUACAAGACAGUGUUUCGCACGCACGAAGGGCACUACAAAUUUCUUGUCAUGCCAUUUGGAUUGACCAACGAGCCGUCCACCUUCCAAGCGACAAUGAACCAAUUAUUUACUUCUUUUUUUAGCAAAUUUGUUAUAGUCUUUUUUGAUGAUAUUUUGGUAUAUAGUUCUUCUUUGGCUGAUCAUGUGUGUCACUUGGAGCAGGUUUUAUUGCGUUUACAAUCACAUCGAUUUUCUGCCAAACUCUCUAAAUGUUUAUUUUGUCAAGAGACCAUUACUUACUUGGGACAUAUAGUCUCUGCUCAUGGUGUUCAAGCCGAUCUUCAAAAGAUUACCGCCAUGGUGGAUUGGCCCUUGCCCAAAAUAGUGAAGCAACUGAGGGGAUUUUUGGGGCUCACUGGGUAUUAUCAGCGAUUUAUACAGGGUUAUGCAACUAUUGCAGCUCCACUUAUAGAAUUAUUAUGCAAGGAUGUCUUCCGUUGGAAUGCGGCAGCCACUAAAGCCUUUAAUAAAUUGAAAGAUGCCAUGGUAAAAGCUCUUGUAUUGCUCCUACCUAACUUUGAAUUAGAAUUUGUCAUUGAAACUGAUGCAUCAAAUGUGGGAAUUGGGGCGGUAUUAAUGCAAGUGGGUCACCCCAUAGCUUAUUUCAGUAAAAUAUUGGGACCUUGGUUGCGGGCAUCGUCGACAUACAUCAAAGGACUACAUGUCAUUGUGUGUGCCGUGCUAAAAUGACGACAAAAUCUCCUCGGCAUAUUGUUCAUCGUCCAUACAGAUCACAAAAGCAUUAAAGAAUUAUUUCAACAAGUAAUCCAAACUCCUGAUUAGCAAGCUUACGUCCAAAAGUUAUUAGGAUUCCAUUUCAGAAUUGACUAUAAGGCUGGAAGCUCGAAUCAAGCUGCGGAUGCACUGUCACGUAUACAUAAAGAUACACCUCCUGAAUCACAAAUGGUUCCAGCACUCUGUUUAGCAAUGGUUAGUCAACCCUCUAUUGAUUUAUUACAAGCCUUGCUAAAGGAAAAUCCAACCUUAGAUGACAUGUUACUCUCCACAAGAAGUUGGCGGCGGGAACCUGUUGUGCAAAUUUUAAUGUACUCGCAAGCGCACGAAUCUAUUGUAGUAUAGAUCAAUGGUGACAAGUGUCGAUCCCACGAGGAGGUGGAUUUUAAUUAUGUGUAGAAUUAAUUUUGUAAAUGGGUGGUUGGAUUUAUGGUGGAAGUUAUUUGAAUUAUCCUAAAAUUGGAAUUGAAAUGGCGAGAAUAAAUUCUAAAAUUAGAAUUGCAAUGGCGAGAAUAAAUUGAAGAGAAAUGUAUUGAAAUGACGUACUUGGGUAUCUGGAUCCGUAUCAACAUGCAUCAUGGGCUAAAUAUUCCUUAUUAAUGCCAAUUAAAUCAUGAAGGGGGAAUCCACACCUCAUGAACCACGCUCUAAUCAAUAUGGUGCUAAGGGCUUAUCGUGCCAAAUAAUAAUAACCUUAUACUAGAGAGCCGGUGUAACCAAGGCGGUAUCUAGACAAGAUUAUUAUUAUUUGUCGACAAGAAGUCAAAACAUCCACAAAAACUAGAGGGGAAGUGAAAAUAAAUUUACCAAAUUAAGCCCAUGACACAUGUUGAGACUUCACCUUCAACCCAAGCUUGAAAGAAAAUUAGCCACUCAUAAUUGAAAUAGGGGCAAAAUGGGAAUUUAUUAAAAUACAUAGAAAAUACAAGAUGGAGAAGGAAUUACAAAAAAUGGAUUCAGAGAUAUCAAAUUAGGGGGAAGGCCCCCUUUUUAUAGAUACAUGGAGUAAAUCAUGGCCAUCGGAUUAAAAACAGUUUGGACGCUCAGGAUUGCGCCACGUCAUCAGUCAACAGUCCACGGUUUGACCACGUGGAUGAACAGUAACACGGUUUGGUUGAAAAUAAUCCUGUGUGAUGCAUGCACCGUACGCGAGAUUUUUCGUCCACUGAUAUGCUACCACGUCACCAUCAACAGUACAUAAGAAUUUUAGUCCAACAGGAUCGUGACACCUCAUCAGUCAAUACCACAUCAUCGGUCAAUGCCACGUCAUCGAUCCGUCUAUGUGAACAGUGCCGUGAACAGUAACCUAUACAGUACCGUAUACGCGAAUAGUACCGUACAUGUGAAUAGUGCCAUUUUUCCUUUUAUGCUCCUCCUAAGGUUUUCGACCGUCCUGAGUUCAAAAGUGAUGUCUGUUUUGCCGUCUGAUCUCUCUUUUAUUGUGAAAUGACUAUAAUGCCCCUAAAAUACAUAAAAUACUUAAUUAAAAUAACACACACGUAAUUACAUCACAAGAAGGUUAAAUAUAUAAAAGUAAGAGUUGUUAGUAAGACUUGAAAUGUAAAAUGAUGGUUUUCUCCUUUAUAAAUAUACAUUUUCUAACACUCAACACACCCCCCAACCAGCUUAUUGCUAGUCCCUAGCAAAUAAAGCGAAAACAAAAUUUAAAUUCAAAAUGAUUUUUUUUUUUUUUUAGAAACACUCGUGUUUAUUCAAUCAGAUUAAUGAUAGCAAUCAAAUAAAAGUAUAAGCAUUAUCUCCAGUCUAAAGCAACAUCACACCCACAUCAACCAUCCACAUGAAUUGGCCCAGUAGACUUUGUUAUAGCUACUUUCAAGAAUGACAUGUCAAACCCCAAAAUCUCACUGGAAGUAGUGACACUCUCACAAAGAAAUUAAACCCAAAAAAUAGUCACUCCAAUGAAUGGUAAUUGAGAGAAAAUAAUGAAGAAGUGAUAUCACAUGCUCUUACCAAGAUGAAAUAAAUAUGUCCUCAGCUUAGAAAUAAUACGAUCUCAAGUCAAAUAAAAAAAUGUUAGUCAACCCAAUUUAUUUAUUUAUUUUUUAUAUGCACCACUACAUCUUUUUAGCCCAUAUAACUAGCUUCUACUUCAAACUAUAGUUCCCUAAAAUCAAGAAGGACUUUUAUUAGGACGUAACGUAGGUUAGGGAUAUGGCUAACAAAGAAAGGAAAUAAGGAAAACAAAGUGUAUGUUUGAGAAAAAUGCAGAGAUUUUUUUUUUUUUUUGAAGUUGCAAGGUGUAUUUCACCUAUUGUUGUUUAUUUUUUAUUCUUUUGAAACAACAACUUUUUUUUUUUUUGUUUUUUGGCUUUUAUUUGGCAUAACUUCACUGAACAACAUAAUUAUUUACAUUUUCUCAAACAUAAAUAGGUGAUGGAACUUAUAAGACAUAAGGUAAUACUCCAAAUCGGAGUGGGUCAAGAUGAUAAGUUGACAAAGAAAAGGUUUUUUUUUUUUUUUUAAAGGCUUAAAAGGGGUAACUAUGGAUAUUUAAUAAAAGGGAUGGCUAGAAAGGCUCAAACAGAUCAAAGAUGGCAUUUCCAUCGUCUUUUAGGGCUCUAAAUAAUUAUCCAUACUACUAGUUAGAUGGGCCUCCCAAUGUAGCAACACACAUUUUUUUCUUUUUUCUUUUUUUUCUUUUUUUUAAUUUACAAUUUUUUUUUUAAGGGUUAACUCAAAAGCAAUUUAGAGAUCGUGUGUAAAAUAAUAAACUGCUAAGCUGUAUAAAGAGUGGGCAAAAGGGUUAUUCUCCAAGAAAAAUAAUAGGCUCAAAAACUCACUUGGUAAUUAUUAUGACAUGUUCAUUCCUUCAAGCAACUCACAUUUGUCUCCGACAUCAACAUGUAGAGCAGCAAACAUAACGUAACAUCACUUAAGACCAAAGAUAAUACAAAUACUAAAAUUUGAAAUUAAUCAUGUCAUCCAAUGUUAAAACAAAUCACACAAUUUUUUUUUUUCAAACGAUAUUCUACCCCCCAACCUAUUCUAAGCAUGAAAGGAAAAUAUGCAUGCAGAAAUGUGAAAAUGAUGUAGAAAAAUUAAUUAGAAAAAGAAUUGUUUUUUUUUAAACUAAGAAGAUGCGUUUCUAGAGGCACUAUACUCCAUAUUCAGCCAUCUUCGACUAAAAAAUUUGAAAAUAUAUAUUUAUAAAGGAGAAAGAGGAAGAAAACGGUUUUUUUUUUUUUUAAAACGAUGAAGAUACGUUUCUAGAGUAACUACACUCCAUAUUCAGCCAUCUUCAACACAAAACGUUAGCAACAGGUAGUUUCUACAACAAAAAAUCAGUAAAAACUUAACCAAGAUUCCACAAUUGUCGACUAUUCCCUCCCCCCAACCAGAACGAAACAUUGUCCUCAAUGUUUUAAAGGAAAGAAGUAGAGUUUAGAAGACAUCACCUAGGUGGUGUAAUGCCCCUAAAAUACAUAAAAUACUUAAUUAAAAUAACACACACGUAAUUACAUCACAAGAAGGUUAAAUACAUAAAAGAGAGAGUUGUUAGUAAGACUUGAAAUGUAAAAUGAUGGUUUUCUCCUUUAUAAAUAUACAUUUUCUAACACUCAACAGAACCCUUUCCCCUGAUUUUUUUGUUCACAAUGGGUUCUUAUUAUUCCGCCACCGCUACUAUAUCAGUCCAUAUUCAUCUUUGAAACCAUUAUUGCUCAAAGAAUUUCAUGACACAGCAAUGGCGGGUCACGCGGGCAUCAAAAGAACUUUGAUUCGACUGUCAUCUAAUUUUUAUUGGCCCAAAAUGCGAGCUAAUGUGGAACAAUAUAUUGUUGCUUGUCUCACCUGUCAACAAAUCAAAUAUUCCACCCAAGCCCCUGCAGGACUACUCCAGCCUUUUCCCAUCCCUUCACUUGUUUUGGAUGAAUUGCCUAUGGAUUUUAUUACGGGGCUACCCAAUUCUAAAGGAUUUGAAGUUAUUUUGGUUGUGGUCGAUCGUUCGACGAAAUCAGCCCAUUUCGGAGCAUUGCCAUCUCAGUUCACUACCCAAAAGACAGCCAUGUUAUUCACUGAAUUAGUAGUGAGAUUACAUGGUUUUCCCAGUUCAAUCAUUUUAGACUGAUAUCUAGUAUUCAUGAGCCAUUUUUGGCAAAAAUUAUUUAAAUUGAGUGGCACCACAUUACGCCACAGCAUCGCUUAUCAUCCACAAACCGACGGCCAAUCCGAGGUGGUAAACCGUGGCCUAUAGCAAUAUCUCCGUGCCUUCACUCAAGACAAACCUCAUUCUUGGUCAACUUUUUUGGGAUGGGCCGAAUUUUGUUACAACACCAGUUAUCAUAGUAGCUUGCGAAUGACACAUUUCCAAGCUCUUUACGGACGCUUACCGCCUACAAUUCCUAGCUAUUCCAAGGGCUCUACUUUAAUCCAAGCAUUAGAAGACCUGUUGUUCGAAAGAGAUGAAUUGUUGCGUUGUCUGAGAGCAAACUUAUGUCAAGCUCAGCACCGAAUGGCACAAAAAGCUAACAAGCAUCGAAGGGAAUUGCAACUGCAGAUGGGUGAAAAAGUACUGGUAUGCUUACAACCUUAUAGGCAAUCAUCUGUUGCCAACCGCACUUCUCACAAGCUGGCAAAGCACUACUGUUGGCCAUUUCGGGUAUUGGAGAGAAUUGGUUCUGUUGCUUAUAAAUUAGAAUUGCCCGCUGGUAGUAAAAUUCACCUUGUUUUCCAUAUAUCCUUACUCAAGCCUUAUGUUGGGGAUUCUCAUGUUAACAUUCAUUCCCUGGAUCCUGCAAGUGUGAACAACAAGACCCUUUCUUCCCCUAUAGCUAUUUGUGCUAAGCGCUCGGUGCUUAAACAAGGGAAGGAGUUUCGUCAAGUUUUUGUACAAUGGUCUGAUUGUGCCCCCAAAAAUUCUACUUGGGAAGAUUAUGAUGAUUUUCGCAAGACAUAUCCCGAGCUUCACCUUGAGGACAAGCUAAACUCUCAAGGGAUGGGGAAUGAUACAACCUUACCCGAGAUUAAUGACAAGUCAGCACUUAAAACAGAGGAAGAAGCCCAGCUGGUCGAGGAACCUAUAAAAGGUCCUGCUCGUAUGCGCAGGGCACCAAUAUACCUCAAGGAUUACAUUACCUAAGGAAUAUUCGAGAAGGAACAAAAAGAGUGAGAAAGAUGGCAGUUGUGAUUUUGGUUAUUUUGUUGUGAUUGUUUUUUUUAUCCAAUCAUUACAUAGUUGGUUAGUUAUGCGUGUAUUGUUAAGGGGUAAAAGAUAUAUGUAGAGAGAAACACGUCAUAAAAGGGAAUGAAAUGGCAAAAAUUCUUCUUCUCUCUCUGUCUCUCCUGUUAUCUCUGUUUCUCAUCUAAUUUCAAUUCUUUUUUGCUUCUUUUUGCUGGAGUCAGCACUUACUCGAAAAGUGUAAAUCUACGAUAUAAGCUCUGAGUUUCAGAGUUGUAUCAAGUGCCCAGAAUUACUUGGAAAGAUAUGCAUAUUUCGGUUCAUCUUUAUUCCUUACAAUAUUCAAGAAAAUCCUAAAGUAACGUAAUAUAACUGAUUUAUAGGAGAUCAUAAAGAUUAGUUCAAACUUGAUAUAUGCAUAAACAUAGUCACUAUAGGCUUCAUUCUUACCCUUUACAUUCUUUUUACUAUAAGUGUCAAAAUGGACAUUUACUAUUUUCCAAGUUAUUCUUCUACAUUAAACAACUAUUCAAUAUAUGCUUUAUCAUUGUAGCGAGUGAGCCCAAUGUUCUCUGUCUAGCGAACUUAGCCAUUUGUCUCAGUCCAAUAUGCAAAUUUUAACAUGUACAUUAUCACCACAAAAUGAUGCAUAAUGAUCAACUUUUCAUAAAACCUCUUUUCAAAAGUGGUUAGAAAACACUCAAAUGUAAAAAUCUUAGAUGGUUAAUGAUAAAGACUAAGUUUUUAUUGUAUAUUUGUCAUUGGAAAAAUAAGGACCACGCAAUACCAACUUGCAGGUGCUUAUACUUUUAACUUCUACAGCGAGUAUAUUCCCAUAUGUACUUUCUUUUCCUUUGACAAUUAUAAAAGAAAAAAAAUUCAAAAACUUUUUGUUAUCUCUAGUCCCAAGGCAUGGCUACCUAGUCUAUUUAUGUUCGAUGCAAUCACGAGUGAAUAACUGAAAUACAUGGUGAGUAAGCAUCUUUGUAUUGUCCUUCUAUUUUCUAUUUUCUAAGCAUGCUUGCCUCAUUUGGCAAUUUCUAGCAUUUGAUUGCUGAGAUUAGGAUUAAGUCCUAAACUCCCACUAGAAAAGAUUACCCUUUCUCUUAUGCUCAAAGCUUGAAGCUUUCCACAAGCUAAACUCUUUCUUGUUAAGUUGAUUUAGAAAGCAUUACUGGUUCUAUGCACUUAUUUUCUCAAACUAGUAUCAAUCACAUGAUGUUUGCUAAAAGUAUUAGCUGUCUCUAGGUGCCUAUUUUCUAUAUAUAUUUGAUUAGAAGUUCUAGUAGUCUAUUGGCACCAUUCUUCAAAUCCUUAAGGUUAUGCAUUAUAUAAACUCUCAUAUUGUCACAACUAUUAGGGUUGGACAUUUUAUUGCCUGGACCUAACAUUGACAUUUACAAUGUGUCUAGCAUAUUUGAACUCUAUUAUAUGAGCAACCUAAUACAUCUUAUUAAUAAGCUCAUAAAAUAUGUUACUCGGCAACGAGAUGCGAGAAUGCUCUUAUCUUCUAAAGAGAAGAUUUAAAGUCUCAUGAUUUAAUUCCAAAUCAUAAAAUAAAUUCAAUCAAUGUUAUAUAGUAUUCAUUUGAUACACAUUUAAUAUAUUUUGCCACAACCAUAUACCAAAUUAAUGAAAAUUUCAUAUAAGGAUUGGAAUCAAAAAGUCAUUGAGGCUUUCAAUCAUCAUCUUUUCCAAACAUUAAAUCAAUUUAAUUAUAUUUUAUUGCUCAAAACAUUUAGUUCAAUUAUUAUUUUUUCCUAGAAUCUUAAUAUUAGAACUCUCACUAUGAAUUUAUAAAUAUAAUGGGAAUAAAGUAGCCUUCAUACAUUUGUUCAUGUGAAUAAUACACCAGAAAUUUUCCUAGGAAAUCGAUGGGGUCUAAUAGUCCCACUUAAAUACCCAAUUUUCUUAGAUUAUUAUCGUCUUUUUGACAAAAUUUUUCUAGAUAUAUCAUACAUUCACAAUACUACCCUAUGCUGUAGAUUUAUUAAUCCCAAUACAUUUUAAUCUUCUUGUGUUCUCAUUAAAAUGAUUACAUUUGACAAGAAAAUAUAAUUCAUAAAUCAGCUCAUCAUGAUCAUCAUAUGGAUUAAUAAAAACAUUCAUGCUUGUCUUAAAACAAACAGUAUAAAUUAUCUCUACAAGUAUUAGAUAAUUUACCAAUAUGCAUUAUUAGGAGAGCACAUAUAUUAACGUGUUGAAACAGCUCUCAUAGAAGCAUAAUACUGUCAAUCGCAUCUCAAAAUAUUUAAAAAAUUAUUUUUCUCAAAUUUUAUCUCACUUUUAAAUUAUUAUUUUAUUUAAACAUCUUCAAAAGAAUUUAAUUCAAAAAAAUUUAAUAUAAGCAGUAAAUUAUUUUUAGAUCACAAAAUAAAAGAGGAUAAAAUUACAAGUCAGUUACCGUAAAUAGCGCCAAAAUAGAAGUUAAGAUAAUCUCUUGUUGUAAAGGUCCACUUUUAAAACUUUGGGAGGCUUGGAUAAUGAAAAACUCAAGCUUGGUUUGCUUGGAGGCGUGGACGUAAGUGGGGAUUGCCGAACCACGUAAAAAUCUUUGUGUUUACUCUCUCUUCCUUUACUCUUUUAUUUUCAAAUUUUGUUAAAUUUAUUGUUUUGGAUUUAUUAAGGCAUUAGAUUAAAUGGUUGUGUAGUUUCAUAGCUUAAAUUUUAGAAACCCAAUUCACCCUCUCUUGGGUUGCAUAACUAGUAUUUCAUUUGGUAUCAGAGCUUGGUUCUCUUAUUAGGACUUAACCGUCUAGAGUAAAAGAUCCAUGGCAACGCAAAAUGACUCAAUCUUUAGGGAAGGACAAUCCAUAACUAGACCACAUUUCUUUGAAGGUAAUGACUACCCAUAUUGAAAAACUAGGAUGAGAAUUUAUUUGAAAGCUUUAGGUUAUGAAAUUUGGCAAGUUGUUUGUGAUGGUUCAUCCAUGCCUAUGACUAAAAAUGAAGUACAAGAUGAUAUUCCAAAACCUUCAAGUCAAUAAAUUGAGUUAGAAAAGAAAAAGAUAUUUUUGAACUCUAAGGUAAUAAAUGCUUUGUUUUAUGCUCUUGAUAAGAAAGAUUUUCGUAGAGUGUCUAGUUGUAAGAGUGCUCAAGAAAUAUGAAACAAACUUGAAGUUGUCUAUGAAGGGAAAAAUCAAGUUAAAGAGUCUAAGAUUAGUAAAUAUACUCGACAAAAUGAAUUGCUCCAAAUGGAACAAAAUGAGAGCAUGUAUUGUAUGUAUACUAGGUUUACGGAUAUUGUGAACACAUUAGGAGCCCUAGGAAAAAUGUUUUCGAAUAGCAAAAAAGUUAAGAAAAUUAUUAGGUCUUUACCAAUGGAAUAGAGACCUAAAAGAACUGUCAUAGAGGAAGCUAAAUAUUUAAACGCUUUGCCUAUUGAUGAUUUAAUUGGUUCUCUAAUUUCAUAUGAGAAAGAUUUGACAGCAGAAAAUGGCAAUGAGGAAAAAAAGAAGAAAAACAUUGCACUUAAAGCAUCAAAACGUGAGAGUGAUGAGGAAAGCGAGCUUGAUGAUGAAGGCAUGGCUAUGAUGUCCAAGAGGUUAAAAAAAUUCUUCAAGAAAGCCAGUGCGCGGAAAAGAUUCAGAAACUACAAGAACUAAAAGGAGAAGAAGGAGCCAAUUACUUGUUAUGAGUACAAGAAUCUUAGAAACAUGCGAUCAAAAUGUCCUCUUCUCAACAAACUUAAGAAGAAGGCAAUAGUAGCCAUAUAAGAUGACAGGGAUAAGAAAACAAGUGAUGAUAAAGAGCAACAAGAGAUGUAAAAUCUAGCUCUCAUGGAAAUUGGGGAUGAAUUGUUUGACGAACUUGAUGAAGUAAGCGAUCUUACCUAUGAUUAAUUAUAUGAUGCUUUUAAGGAAUUGCAUGAUGAUUGGAUAAAAAUUAGCAAAAAAAUACAUGCCGUAAAAAGAAAAUGCUAGAACUUUCAAAUGAAAACGAUGCCUUGCAAAAUACAAUGAUUCAUUGAAUGAAAAGAUCAAGGGAUUAGAAUUAGAUAAUGAAAUGUUGUAUGGUAGGAUUACAACAUUUAAAUGUAAACAAAGUACUUCAUAUGAGUAUGAAAAAUCACAUGUUGAUGAAUUGAUAAAAGAAAAUGAAGUGCUUAAGAAAAAGAGUAAUGGACUCAAUGAAAUUAUGUUAAAAUUCACAAGUGGUCAAAAGAAUUUAGAAAAAUUGCUGAACUCUAAAAAAUGUAUAUUUUAUAAAGGAGGACUUAGGUAUAAGCCUAACUUGAAGCAAAAGUAUUAUAGGAAUUACUUUGUUAAAGUUACCUCCACUAGUGAUCAUAAAAUUAUUUGUCAUUAUUGCAAUCAAAAUGGUCAUAUAAAAUACAGAUGUCCAAUGAAAAGAAAUGCAUACAAUGGAGUCAAAUGUGUUUGGGCUCCAAAAGGAACCAUUGCUAACACUCAAAGACCCAAAAAGAUUUGGGUACCUCAGACUUGAAAUUUCCUCUGCAUGGUUUUAAGAAAAAGAAGAAUAAAUGACACUUGGACAGUGGUUGCUCAAGGCAUAUGACUGAAAAUUAUUCAUGGUUUUCAAGUUUUACCAAGACUUGAAAUUUCCUCUGCAUGGUUUUAAGAAAAAGAAGAAUAAAUGACACUUGGACAGUGGUUGCUCAAGGCAUAUGACUAAAAAUUAUUCAUGGUUUUCAAGUUUUACCAAGAUUGAAAAUGGUGGAGAUGUGUCAUUUGGAGAUAAUUCAAAAGGAAAGAUUAUCGGUAUCAGUAAUGUUAGUAAAGAAUCCUCUACUCUUAUUGAAAAUGUGUGUUUGGUUGAAAACUUGAAACACAACUUACUUAGCAUUAGUCAAUUGUGUGAUAAAGGCUAUAGAGUUAUCUUUGAUAAAUCGAAAUGUGUUAUUGAGAAUGCAUAUGAUGGCAAGAUUUUGUUUGUAGGAAAUAGAUGUGUUAAUGUUUACACCAUUAAUAUAGAUUGUGCAUCUACUAAUGAUAAAUGUUUCUCUGCAUUGCAUGAUGAUGGCUGGUUAUGGCAUAGAAGACUAGGUCAUGCAAGUAUGAAUUUAAUUUCAAAGAUUUCAAAAAAUGAUUUGGUUAAUGGUCUUCCAAAAAUUAGUUUUCAAAAAGAUAGAAUUUGUGAAGCUUGCUAAUUUGAAAAAUAAAUCAAAACUUCUUUAAAAAAAAGAACCAUGUCUUAACUUCAAAAUCACUUCAACUACUUCACAUGGAUUUGUUUGGACCUUCUAGAUAUGCUAGUUUAAGUGGCAAAUAUUAUGCAUUUUUUAUUGUGGAUGAUUAUUCUAGAUACACAUGGAUAUUGUUCUUUGCUAAUAAGGAUGAUGUUUUUAAUGCAUUUAGAAUUUUCUAUAAAAAGGUUUAAAAUAAAAAGGGAUAUGUAAUUUCUUGUAUUAGAAGUGAUCAUGGUAGAGAAUUUGAAAAUCAUGCAUUUGAGAAUUUUUGUAAUGAUUUUAGCAUUGAGCAUCAAUUUUCAUCACCUAGGACUCCACAACAAAAUAGAGUUAUUGAGAGAAAGAAUAGGUCUAUCCAAGAAAUAGUUAGGACUAUGUUGAAUGAAAAUAUUUUAUCUAAGUAUCUAUGGGCCGAAACCGUCAACACCGUUUGUUAUGGCUUAAAUCGUGUGUUAAUUAGACCUUAUCUCAAUAAGACUCCCUAUGAGCUUUGGAAAGAUAAAAAACACAACAUUGGUUAUUUCAAAAUUUUUGGAUGCAAAUGUUUUAUCUUGAAUGCAAAAGAUAAUCUUUGCAAAUUUGAUCCAAAAUAUGAUAUUGGUAUUUUUCUUGGUUAUUCAAACACAAGCAAAGCUUAUAGAGUGUAUAAUAAAAGAACUUUGGUUUUGAAAGAAUCUAUGCAUCCGAUAUUUGAUGAGUCUAAUCCUUCCUCUACAGAGAAAGUUGUUGUCGAUAAUGAUGUAGAUGAAGAGUCAUAACAAGGAUUAUCAAAAGAUAAAAAAGAUGAUGCAUCACAUGAAAAUCAAGAGGAUAGACAAUGAGAACAAAUAAAUAUGGAGCAAUAAGAAGGUAUGUCUCAAACACUCCCCAAGGAGUGGAGGUAUGUUUCCCCUCAUCCUAAGGAUUUAAUUUUAGGUGAUCCUUCAAGAGAUGUUACCACUAAAUUAUUAUUUAGAAAUACUUGUGAGCAUGCUGCAUUUAUAUCUAAAAUUGAACCAAACUUCUUUGCGGAUGCGGAAAAUGAUGAAUCUUGGAUCAUGGCAAUGUAAGAGGAGUUGAAUCAAUUUGAGAGAAAAAAUGUGUGGAAAUUAGUUUCUAAACCGGAAUAUCAAUCUAUUAUAGGCACUAAAUGGGUAUUUAGAAAUAAAAUGGAUGAAUCCGGUGUGGUUGUAAGGAAUAAAGCUAGAUUAGUGGCUCAAGGAUACAACCAAGAAGAAUGAAUCGAUUUUGAUGAAACAUUUGCACCUGUAGCUAAAUUAGAAUCCAUUAGGAUAUUGUUAGCAUUUUCAUGUCAUAAAGAUUUCAUUUUAUAUCAAAUGGAUGUCAAAAGUACUUUCUUAAAUUGUUAUAUUAUGGAGGAAGUUUAUAAGUUGUCUAAAGCAUUGAAUGGAUUUAAAACAUGUACCUAGAGCAUGGUAUGACAAGCUUAAAAAUUUCUUGGUGGAUAACAAGUUUUCAAUGGGAAAAGUAGAUGCUACUCUCUUUGUUAAGUAUAAGAACCAAGAUAUACUUGUUGUUCAAAUUUAUGUUGAUGAUAUUAUCUUUGGUUCUACUAAUGAGUCUUUAUGCAAGGAGUUUUCAUCUUGUAUGAAUAAGGAAUUUGAAAUGAGCAUGAUGAGAUAAUUGAAGUAUUUCCUUGGACUUCAAAUCAAACAAAACAAUAAGGGAAUAUUCAUCAACCAAGCUAAAUAUGUCAAAGAUCUACUCAGGAGAUUUGACAUUGAUGACUCAAAGUCUAAGAGACCUCCAAUGAGCACAACAAUCAAACUUAACAAAGAUUAAAAAGGUAAUAAGAUUGAUAUCAAAAUGUAUCCAGGUAUGAUCGGCUCUUUACUUUACUUAGCUGCAAGUAGACCCGAUAUCAUGUUUAGUUGUAUGUUUGUGUGCAAGAUUUCAAUCAUGUCCCAAGGAAUCUCAUUUGCUCGCUGUGAAAAGAAUUUUUCGUUAUUUGAAUAGAUCUAUAGAUCUUGGUGUUUGGUAUCCUAGAGGAAUCCAUAUAGAUUUAACUUGUUAUUCGGAUGCCGAUUUUGCCGAUUAUAAAAUCGAUAGGAUAAGCACUAGUGAAAUGUGUCAUUUCUUAGGUCAUUCUCUUGUUUCAUGGUUUAGUAAGAAACAAAAUUUGGUUUCACUCUCAACCACUGAGACAGAAUAUAUUGCCGCAGGUAGUUGUGCACAAACUCUUUGGAUGAAACAAACAUAUAGAGAUUAGACAUCAUUUCUUGAGAGAUUAUGUUCAAAAGGGAGAUAUUGCAUUAGAAUUUAUCUCUACAGAAAAAAAAAUUGCCUAUAUUUUUACAAAACAUCUUUGCGAAAAAUAAUUUUCAAAAAUUCGACAUGAACUUGGGAUAAUGACAUUUUUACAUUAACAUCUCUAAUCAUAUUAUUGAAUCUAUUAAAAUUGAUUGAUUGAUGAUUUUUUUAUGAUAAUGAAGUUUUUAAGCAUGAUAAAUGAGUGAUGUAUUUGAAUCAUUAAUCUAUGAAUGCUUACAUGUCUCAUGAUUGUGUGAUGUAUAAGCAUGAUAAAUGUGUUACAUAUUUAAAUUUAUAAUCUUUGAAUAUUUAUAAUUAUGAUUCAUGCAUUAAAAUGACUUUUGAAAGUGUUCGCGAUCACGAAAUGGUCUUGGAAUAGAUCAAAAUUAGCCGGAAAGCAAACAUUUGUGCAAAAAGGUAGGAAAAAGGCGGCUACCCGCCUGCCCCAAAUGGCUAGCCGCUUGGGCACUGCCCCAAACCCGAGAGCAAGCGGCUAGCCGUUUGCCUCCAAGUGACUAGCUGCUUGGUCACGGUUUUUAUACAUUUCUUCCCCCUUUCUCUUGCUUUCUUCAACCUUUCUCUACUCUCUCUCAUGGUUGUUCAUCUCUUCUCCAUUUCCUCCUAAAUUUUCUUCAUUUCUCACUCAUUUUCAUGCCAAAAUCAAUCUUUCAAACCAUUACCCAUGCAUUUAACCUUCAUUAAACACUUCCCAAUCAUCAUUUCAUCAUUUGUUUCUCCAAAUCUACAAAUUAAAACCUAAGUUUACCUAUUUCUCUUUCUUCUAUUUUAAGCUCUUUUUAGCUCAUUUUUUGUCCAAUUAAUACCAUACAUUGCCUUAAAUCAUCUCUAGGAUCAAUUUUAUUGAUUCAAGCACAUCCAUUUCACUUAAAAUCUUGAAAAUCCGAAUUUGGGUAUUUAAACUUGUUCUUGUUUUCAACAAUGGUUGGUGGUGAAAAAUCCAAGGAAAAACAUGUAGCCAAGAAGCACAAGGAAGAUCAUGGAGACCAUCUGGAGUUCAUAUUAACCCAUUUUCCGCAACCACCUUUUCAGAAACAUUUUCACGACAAAUUUAUGUCGAGGUUAGUGCUUGCCCCCUAUUUUGUCAAUCUUCGUCAUUUGGAGAAUUUAGCAAUUUUUCAUAAAUCUCUUAGUGAUUUUCUUAUUGAUAUGGGCUGGGAAAAUGUUUUAGUUCUUAAGGAACGAUAUUAUGAAAAUUUAGUCAAAGUUUUUUAUUCGAAUAUGGUUAUUUCUUCGCAAACUAUAAAUAAAAUUGUUACAAGUGUUGGGGGAAUACAUAUUGAGUUUGAUGUUGUGGAUUUAAAUCAUAUUCUUAGAACUCAAAUGAAAGGUUGGAACAUUAUACUGCUAGAAGCAAAAUAGAUUAUCCGUGGUAUUCAGUUGAGGAUAUUGUUCGGAAAAUUUGUAGACGUUUCGAUUUGUCUUCUAAGUUUUGUAAAUCUACCUUGAAAUCUCAAGCCUUACCCUUUUAACUUAGGAUCCUUCAUUAUGUUCUUUAACAUGUCAUUAGUCCUAGGUCUAGACAUGGGGAUGAAGUUACCCGAUUAGAUGUGGCCUUAUUGGAUAGCAUUCUAUAGGGUGGGGUGCUAAAUGUCGGUUAUAUUAUUAUUCAUCAUAUGCUUAGCACUCUAUGUAUAGCUAAACAAUCCCUUCCUCAUGGAAGCAUUAUUUCCUACAUUCUCAAACAUUUUCGGGUACCCAUAAUCGAACCAACCUUUUUGAAUCCUAAGGAAUUAAGAGAUGAAGCUAUAGCUAAUUUAGGGUUUAUAUGGGUGGAAGAUAAAUGGUGUAAAGACCAGAGAUGCAAAAACAAGGGUACUGCACUAGCUCCUACAGAUCAUUGUUUCUUUAACGAUGUUCUUCCACCAAACCAACUCCCUUGAUCUCAGAGCUCCACAGCGCUCACAUCCUUCGCCUUCCGAGGGUCCUUCCCAUUCUAUUUCAGCAGACCCUGAGGAUCCAAUGUAGCAGCUAUUGACUGAAGUGCAUUCUCUUUCCGAGCAGCAGAGCCAACUUUAGUCCCAGUUUGAGGCCUUUCAAAUUCAGUCCACUUCGGAGCAACAACGCCUUUUUAAGCAGUAGCAGCGUUUAUUUGAUCAACGGCAUCGACUCUUUGCUCAACAAUAGUAGCUUCUUGAUGGCCAGCAAUGACUUUUCACUGCUCUUAGGUUUCCACCACCAUCCUCCUCAUCACAUCCACCAUCUCCAUAGUGUUCUAUAAUUUUUUAUCUUGAUUUCAGUUCUUCGUUUUAUUUUGCACUACAUUUUCAUAUGCAUUGUUGUUUUACUUAUGGAUUAAAGAUGAUUGUUGUUUGAUAUUUAAAUGUUUUAUAUUUGGAUGAUAUUUUAUGGAUUCUGGGAUAACUCUUUGGUUACUUGCAUGCUUGAUUUUAUAUGUUUCUUGAUUAACUAUUGAGAUGUUAUUUUUGGUCUGAGCAUGGAGUUAUAGUAAUUGUUAUGAUGAAGAGGGAGAAGUCAUGUAUUUUGAUUUUGAAAUAUUGAUGCAUGAUUUUGAAAUAUCUAGGGGGAGCAUACAUUUGUUAAAGAUCAUGUAUUCAGGGAGAGUUCAUAGUUCAUUUAUAUGUUGAAUUAUGUAUAUCAUAUAUUAAGGGGGAGUAUAAAUGUCAAAAUACAUUAAAUGUUUAUCAUCAUAAAAAAGGAAGAGAUUGUUAGCCUAAAGGGCUACACAUAUUUUAAUUUUGAUGAUAAAAAAACAUAUGUCUUAAGUAAUAUGAUAAAUAUUGUAUUUCACAUUUUCACUAGUUCUUGAAGGACAAUAUUUAUGCAAAUGAAUCACGUGAAAUCAGGCUCAAGGCACUCAACAGAUAACGGCUUGAUCAAGAACAAAGUUUAGCUCAUUGGAGUCAUUAUUGUAACAAAUUCUUAUAAAGCCUGUAUGAUUUAAUAUAUGUAUGGUUUAGCAUUUGAGAAGCUCAAGAUUUUAUUUAAUAAAUCAUUACAUCAUUGACAUUAAGUGUGAAAUGAUCAAAAAAAUGUGUAAAUCACACAUAAAACUAGUAAAUUGAUGGAAAAUAGAGUAAAUUAAUGUUGAAGUUGUCAAUUACACGAAGAAAUUGUAAACAAAACAAAAACUUAGAAAAAUGACAUAAAACUUGUAAAUUGACAUUAAGUGUGAAAUGAAACAAAAAAUUUAUAAACCACACAUAAAACUAGUAAAUUGAUGAAAAAAAUGGGUAAAUUAAUGUUGGAGUUGUAAAUUGCAAGAACUAGUAAACAAAACAAAAACUUAGAAAAAUGACAUAGAAAUUGUAAAUUGACAUUAAGUGUGAAAUGAAACAAAAAAAAAGUGUAAAUACACAUAAAACUAGUAAAUUGAUGGAAAGAGAGGUAAAUUAAUGAUAAAGUUGUAAAUUAGAAGAAAAAAGUGUAAACAAAACAAAAACUUAGAAAAAUGACAUAAAACUUGUAAAUUGACAUUAAGUGUGAAAUGAAACAAAAAAAAAGUGUAAAUACACAUAAAACUAGUAAAUUGAUGGAAAGAGAGGUAAAUUAAUGAUAAAGUUGUAAAUUAGAAGAAAAAAGUGUAAACAAAACAAAAACUUAGAAAAAUGACAUAAAACUUGUAAAUUGACAUUAAGUGUGAAAUGAAACAAAAAAGUUGUAAACCACACAUAAAACUAGUAAAUUGAUGGAAAAAUAGAUAAAUUAAUGUUGGAGUUGUAAAUUAUAGGAAGAACUUGUAAACAAAACAAAAACUUAGAAAAAUGACAUAAAACUUCUAAAUUGACAUUAUGUGUGAAAUAAAACAAAAAAUUUGUAAACAACAUAUAAAACUAGUAAAUUGAUGGGAAAAUUGAUAAAUUAAUGUUUGAGUUGUAAAUUGCAAGAACUUGGGAACAAAACAAAAACUUGUAACUAUUGCAUAAAACUUGUAAAUCAACAUUAACUUGUAAAUGUUGUGUAAAACUUGUAAAUCACACAAAAAAUGUAACUUGUAAAUGUUCCAUUUUAAAGUGGGGUCAUUCUAUAAUGCCGUAAUCUGCACUCAUUUAAUUAAAAAAGAAUUCAAAGCAAAACUAAAAGACACAAAUUACAUACAUGUCUAGGAGCCAUAUCAAAGGUGUUAUAUAACUUGUCCAAUUAAUAAAUUCUCUUAGGGGUCAGAACGUGCUCACUCAUUUCCAAAGCUAUUAAUGAUAAGAACUUUCAUCAUUAAUUGAUAUGGCCAGUGUAGAAAAAAAAUGAAAAAUCCCUCCAACAUCAAAGCGCAAGGAUAAGUUUAGAAUUACACUUUUUAAAUUUUGGUUAAUAUAUAAACGUCUAUAUGAAAAUAGAAAAUCGUUUGGGAAUAACUUUUUUUUUCUUUUUUUAAUGAGUGUAGAAAUAAAAUUUUAAAAUCGCCAAACCGAAAAGAAAAACAGGGGAAUGAAAAGAGAGCCCACGUUUCUCCUCUGUUUUGUUUUUAUUGUUAUCAAACAUGGGAAUGAAGAGAUCAGCUCUUGUCGCAAGCGCAAAUUUUUUUAUCUACCUUUUAAAUGCAGUUGAUUGUAAGUAUAUCCUCGAUCCCAAGUACUUAGAAGUAAAUUACGCAGGGGUCGUGGAUUGUGCGCGAAAGUGCUGGAAGCACCCAUUGUUUAUUAGGAAAAGCAGUUGAUUGUAACUAUAUAUAUCUGCGGUCCCAAGUACUUAGAAGUAAAUGCUCUUGGAAUUUCUAUUGCAGUUCAUGAGAUGUUUCCCUUUCAAAUAGCUCGUCUGAUACCAUUAACAUGUUCAUCUUUCUGUAGAUUGAUGUUGACAUAGGUUAUUCUACUGUUGCUAGUGUAGUUUUGGGCCUUGCCGUAAUUGGUGUAAUUACGACAUUGAUAGUUGACAUGGCUUUCCUUGUACAGGUAUGCAUGAUUGUUUUUUUUGCACUUGUAAAUGGACACCACGGAAAAGACAUGAUUUUGAGAUAUUGCAGAAUAAUUUGCAUUUUUGCAUGCUGGAAUGUUCUCAGAAUGGUAUAACGCUUCGCGUCUCUUCUUUAUCUUGCUCUUUUGUAUGCAGGCAAAUACUACAGAUGAAUUACCGGAGCGACUGAUUGGUGUUAUACGUGUUUCUCAUAUAGAACUCAAGUCUGCUAUUGUCCCAAAGUUGGAACCAGAAACAUCAUGACUCUGGCUCCUUUUCACCUCAACUUUUUUUUUUUAAAUUUAAAAAAGCAUUUGUUUUAGGUAUACAUACAUGUAUUUUGAUCCCAUUUUCAUUGUAAUUUCUCAUUUACUUUGAAUGAAAGUCAUUGGUGUUUCCAAAUGGGAAUUUUGCAUUAAAAACAGAAGAAUAGUUAAUAGGAAAUUUUCUGAUUCUUUAGUUACUAUUUUUGGAAUGAGUGUGAUAGCAUUAAAGUUGGUUACUUGGUUUCUUAAUGUUGUACUCGCAAACAAGUAAACUGCUCGAUUCCCAACUGCGACUUAACUGGUUUCUAACUUUUUUGUAUACACUAAUUUUUCUUAUUUAAUAAGUACUACUAUUAAAACUCAACAACUAACAAAGAUACUAAUAAAAAAAAAUGAUUUUCUUGUGAUGUUGUAGAAAUAAUUAUGGGUUUACUUAUUUCCACAAGAUCUGUAACAAAGUCUUGACUUCACGAAAUUCUUUUAAUUUAAAGCGCGCUGGUCUGAGAAGGUCAGUUUGAUGGAUUAAUUCCUUUUAAUACUGGUCGAGAUAAUUUUAGUAUACUCAUAAAAAAUCUUACUCUGAUAAUGCAUGCCACAAAUGUUAUCAACAUUGUCUUGUGCUGUUUCCUUUACCUAAAGAUCCUCUAUUAAAACAGGUUAGAAAUCAAAUGCUUAAAAUACCAAUUGAACAUAAAAUACAGAGGUUUAAACAAAAUCUAAUUGAAUAUUGCAUGAAACAUGAAUCAUCAAUUCAAGUCGUUCCUUAAACGGAGAAUCCAUCAAACAAAUCCAAAGUGUCUUGCAAGUCUGUAGCAUGACAAAAAAAUUGUAAAUAAGUUUAUAACCAAAUUAUUCCGGUACAAGAGAACGAGCAAGAUGAAUCAUGUACAAGAGAUUGGCCUGGUUCGAGAUAGCUUUUUCACUGUACCUAAAGGUUUGGCUCAAUCUCUUCUUUAGAAUUCUGUACAUUUUGUAAUUACUCGUGUAAGCAGGCAUACAUCACCACCAUAACAAUAAUAAAGCAAGAGUAAUGAUACCGCCACAACCUCUUGUGCACAAACAAUAUUGUAUAAAUUAAUGUGACACAAUAUGAUUGCUUAAACAAAAAUAUCACAUGACCGUCAUAAUUUAUUUAUUAGUAUUAUAUAUUUUCAGUAAACCAAUCAUAUUAUGCCACAUUAGUUGCUAUAAAAAUAAUUUGCUAGAUAGCGCCAACACUUAAUUGAUACUCACCAUUUCAUUGAACAAGUUUUUUAUGGUGUCAUUGAGGUUGCCUUCCCAACAUCCUUCAUCAUCAUAAUCUACUUCGUCAUCAUCUUCUUCUUCGGUGAGUUUCACUUUGUUUAGCUUUGGUGUAUCUAUGACUCCUUGAGAGAAAAUCAUCAUCUUUGGGCAUCGCCUCGCAAUUACUUGUUUCAAGGAUGGGAACUUGAGAGUGUAAUUACCCGAACAAAAGCUUGUUAGCCUUGGCAAACAAUCAAGUGUCAAGCACUUCAAUUUCUUGAAAACAAUGCAAUCUUUCGUUUCUUCUCCAACCUGCGAUUGUAUGAUUUCUUCUAUCAUUUUGCAAUCUAGCAUUAUCCUCCACCCUGGUGCUCUGCUCCUUCCUUGCAUGUCAUCUAUUACCUGUGUUAAUCUGCGCACUUCUUCUUCUAAUUGUACAGCACGACCAGGGUCACGUGCUGCAACCUGGUCUCGUUCUUGCUCAACGUCAUGCAGGUGUUGCCGAAGUUCUCUUUCCUCUGCAUUCGCCAUUCCAUCAUCGUUGUCAAAGUUCUGUCUCCCUGGGGAUUGAUCUUCUCCUUUGUGACUUUCCCCCCGUAGAGAAGAGUUACCUCCCUCACCACCAGAUCUUCUGGUAGACCGACUUCUCAUCAAGUUAUCGUGUCCUGGUGUCAUUCCGCCACUUCUCACCCCUUCCUCAUGAACUCCCAUUCGUUCACUCCUCAUUUUGUGUAAGAUGGUUGUCAGGGUCUCCAUCUGCUUUUCCAUCCGUUCCAUCCGGUCAUACAUGGCUUUUUCCCGUGCUUCAUUGGCUAUCUCUCUCAAUGUCACGGACUCGUUAAGCCUCAAGUCACCUCCUUGUGCACUACUUCCUCCCACAUCCAUUGUUUCUUCACUUGCUUUCUUCUUCCUCUUUCUAUCAAUAGAAGCUUUUUUAUCAGCUCCCCACAGACGGCGCCAAAAUGUUGAUGCAAGAUUUUGGUUCUCUGCUAGACCACGACCAAAUCCUCUCCUCAACUAACUCGACCACGAUCAGGAUCUCUCCUUGUAAGACUUCUUCUCUACAGACUCCUGCGUACACAGAAACAAAUCAAAGCACGCCGGGUGUUUCCCGGCGUAAACCCUCCUACGCUCAAGUCAGAAAUGAAGGUUUCGAGUCCCUGGGAAAGUUAGCCACUAAUCUUAUGGCUUAUUUUCAGUAUCAAUUAUUCAGAGCUCUCUUUAUCUCAGUUUCAAUGUCAAAAAAUCUAACCCUUUUACCUUCGUUGGCUACCUUUUUAUAGGCUCCCUCUGAAUCUCGGCCACUACCAUUACCUCCCCCAACUCUCGGACGUGGGCGCUCCGUUAUCUUAGUCGUGGCUGGAUGGACUUCGUGCCUUGAUUCUCGGGUAGGAAGGCACGUCCUGCCAACCGUCAUUGACCGGGUCUCCUCACCUCGACCUCUAGCAGGAAUCGUUUUAUGCUCCUGGCAGGAGGCCGGCUCCCGCUAUGGCCCCUUGGAGGGUGCAUUCGUGUACGAGCAUAACAAUCCUGCUCGUAUUCCUCUACUACCAUACCUCUGCG
rnacentral:lncRNA from 1 species